UUUAACACACCAUUGAAUACACUGUGUCCAAGUCUUUGGCAUGUUGUUGUGUACAUUAAUCCACCUUAGUAGCCUCUCUCAUAAUUCUUCAGCAUAAUGACAUUGGAUGAACAAAUUCUUUAUACUCUCUUCUGCACUUUUUCACAAUACACAAUCUCUAUCAAGUGUCAUUCCCCAUUUAGCAUGUCUAUCCACUAUUGCUAGCUUCCUAUUCAUCAAGAUCCAUAGAGUAAAACUAGCUUUUGGUCUGGCUGCAUUUUUAAUCAUUAAAUAUCUCCAUUCAGGUUUGAUCUUCUCCCCUCUAUGAUAGUCAUAAAUAUUUUUGAUCACCCCUUUUUCUUGCCUUGGUUGACACUGAUCAACUAUGUGCUUAGCAUUCAUAAUUUUCCUGAUCAUCCAGCUGGCUUGAUCUCUCUUCUGCCAUUCAAUCUGACCUUUUAAGUAAUAAGCAUGAAUCCAUUUGAUCCAUAAUUUGUCUUCUUUAUUUGCCAAGUCCCAACAGAGUUUAGCUACUGCUGCUCUAUUGCACACUUGCAUGUUUAUCAACCCCAUGCCACCUUCACUUUUAGGCCUUCAAACUUGCUCCCAUGCUAUUAAAGCCUUCUUUGUAACAUGUCAAGCUCCAGACCAUAAAUAGCUUCUCAAUCAACUUGAUUAUCUUAGCUGGAAAGAUGAACAAUUGUGCCCAAUAAGAUUGAACACCAAAUAGGACUGUCUGUACGAGUUGAGGUCUCCCUGCAUAAGAUAGUUUCCUAGCUGUCCAUGAGUUGAUUCUGCCAUUAUUCUAUCAAUUAGUGGAUGCCAUUGCAUAACUGACAUUUUCUUGGUUGAUAAUGGAACUCCCAAAUAUUUGAAAGUCAAUUCCUCCAUGUUGUAUCCUAGCUGCUGAACAAUCUGUUAUCUCACUUCUAUUUGCACACCUCCACAAUAUACUGAACUUUUAUUGAGGUUAUCCUGUAACCCUGAAGCUUGAGAAAAGUGGGAGAAACAUAAUUGAAUGGCUAUAACAGACUCAAGAUCACCUCUAGCAAACAAUAAAAGGUCAUCUGCAAAAGAUAGAUGAGUAACAUCAAGCUUUGAACACUUAGGAUGAUACUUAAACUUUUUAUCAUCUUUAAGACCUUUAAGUGUUCUACUAAGAUACUCCAUUGCUAUAGCAAAUAGAAAAGGAGACAUCGGAUCUCCUUGUCUCAACCCUUUAGCUGCUUCAAAACUUUGUGAAACCUGCCCAUUAACUAUUAUAGAGUAGUUCACAGUUUUGACACAUUUCAUUAUCCAUUGCACAAACAUCUCAGGAAAUCCUAAACCAUACAUUACUUGCUCCAAAAAUGUCCAUUCCACUGAAUCAUAAGCCUUCUGUAAUUCAAUCUUCAACAUGCACCUAGGAGAGAUAUGCUUCCUAGUAUAAACUUUAACCAGUUCAUGAGCAAGCACUAUAUUAUCAGAAAUCUUCCUUCCUGGGAUAAAUCCUGCUUGGCUGUCACAAAUAACACUUUGAAUAACUCCAUGCAGCCUAUUAGUUAGAACUUUGGAGAUGAUAAUAUAUACCACAAUACAACAAGCUAUUGUCCUGUAAUCUUUCACUGUUUUAGGAUUCUGAACUUUUGGAAUAAGAGAAACUAGAGUACAUUUAAAAGCUUUGUACAACUUGCCUUUUGUGAAAAAACUCUGAACAACCUCAAUGAUAUCCUUUUUAAUGAUCUGCCAAGUAUGCUUAAAAAAGUAAGCAUUAUAUCCAUUUAUACCUAGUGCCUUAUCAUUUCCUAUGGACUUCAAACCUUCAUAUAUCUCUUGUUCUGUUACCUCAGCACAUAGUUGUAUCCUCUGCUGCUUUGUUAGAGUAGGCUCUCUUUUUAUCACUUGAGUAUUAAUGGCUGGUAGUUUGCCUGCUGAAGUUUCCAUUAGACUCUUGUAAAAACUCACAAACUCCCCCUGAAUAUCAUUCUGAGCAUAUAGCAUCUUGCCCUUCAAAGACAUAAUAUUCCUUAUUUGUUUCUUUUGUGUUCUCUCCUUUAUAAUUGAGCUGAAGAACUUAUUGUUGGCAUCCCCUAAUUGAAUCCAUUUUAUCCUUUACUUCUGCCUCAGAGCACUUUCUUUUAUCAAUGACCAUUUUUCCAGCUUGAUUAGUAACUCUUUUUCCAUCCCAACUAGCUCAUCAGUAGCCUUCUCUUUUAGUUGAUCUGGGACAUUGACAGUUUCCACUCUAGCCAUCUCAAUCUGCUUCCCAAUAUAUUUAAACUCUUUUUUAUUCAACUGAGUUAAAACUUGCUGACGGUCCUUCAAUUUCCACCACACUUGUUUCAUUAUGCUAUUCACAUCUUCUUUUCUCCAUACUUCUUCCACCUUAUCCAUAAAACUUUCAUGUUCAGUCCAUAUAUUAAAGAACUUAAAGCUGACUUUUCCAUAUUGCUGAGUUUUUUGUAAUACUAUCAUCAUAGGGCUAUGAUCAAAUAUGCUUGGAUUCGCAUACUCAAUAGUGACAUGUACCCGUUUAUCCAUCCAUUCAUCAUUUCCAAAUGCUCUAUCAAUUCUUCUUGAUAUUCUAUCUUCCCCACACUGCUUAUUAUUCCAGGUAUAGUAGUUCCCUUUCCAUUGCAAUUCAGUAACCUCCAUAUCUCUCACACAAUCACCAAAAUCUUGUAUUUCAUUCUUAGUAACAGGACCUCCAUCUAACCUAUCCUUAGUAGAAAGAAUAGCAUUAAAAUCUCCUGCAAUGAGCCAAGGCUGAGUAAUACCUUUUGACAUUGUCUUCAUUUCCUACCAUAAACUUUUUCUCUGUUCCACUGUAUUAAAGCCAUACACUACAGUCACAAUAAACUGAUAAUCUUUGCUUCUCUCAUUAACCUGACAAUGAAAGAAUUGAGCUGAGCUAGUAAUCACCUUAAUCUUAUACCAAUUAUCAACCCAAACCAGCCAAAUUCUUCCAUUAGGACUAUCAUUUAUUAAGCAUCUUCCACCCUGGCACUAUCCCUUUAAGAACUGUUUUCAUAUUUUUCUCCUUAACUCUUAUUUCAAUUAGCCCUGCCAUAUUAACUUUAUUCUGAUGUAACAUCAGCUUAAUCUCCUUCUGCUUAUACCUCUUAUUCAUACCUCUCACAUUCCAGAAUAACCACUUCAUCAACAAGUCUUUGGAGCUCCACCUCUAUCAACAGAAAGUGAAGUCAUUUUAUUAUGCAUGAGGCUCUCAAAGCCAUUCCUUGUUGGUAUAGCUUUCAGCAUAGAAAAAUUAGUCAAACUCAGAUCCAGCUGUCCAUCUACAUAAGUCUGUUUAUCAUUCUUUGGUGUUUGUUGAUCUAGAUUCUUUCCUAUCUCCUAUUCCUUAUCCUGUUGAUCUUCCUGUGGCCUAAGAGUGAUCUCUUGCCUUUGUUCAUCCACCUUUCCUUGCUCAUUUUUUUGUGAGAUAUGGCCUUUAUAUUGCCAAGUUUGAGUUACUUUUUUCCAAGGCCUUCUUCUCUUUGGCAUCUCUUCUUUUGCUGCUUGCUCCACCUGACACACAUGCCCUAUCUUCUAGCAUCUAUCACAAUAUUGAGGCCUCCAUUCUAGCUCAACAUCUUGCAUAAAGGUCUUCCCAUUUGGAUCCACUACUGUUAUCUUCUGAGGUAUAGCUUUUGUAACAUUUACUUCAACAAGCAUUCUAGCAUAUAAUAUCCUAGUUUUCUUAGUGGUACAUUCAUCAGCAAAAAGGGGAACUCCUAUAGCACUUGCAAUCCUACUCAAAGAUCCCACACCCCAGCAAUUUAAAGGCAAUUUUGGAAAGUUCACUCAUAAUGGAAUCUCUAUUAGGAAUUCACUUCAUAGAUCAAACUCAAGACACCACUGUUUCAGAAUUAUUGGUCGAUUGUUGAUAGUGUAUGGCCCAGAGAACAAAAUCUCAUUCAUGUCACUGAUUUUCUGAAAUUUGAUUAAGUAAUAUCCAUCCUCAUGAACAAAAACUUCAGGUUUGCUCACACUUGACAAGUUCAUCAUUAUAUAUCUCUUCAAAGUGUUAUACCUAGGGCAUUCACCAACCACAUAUGCAAUGAGAGCACACUUCCAUUUAUGUUCUUCUUCUUGUACCUCUUUCUCCUCCAACUGCACCAUUGUUUGUCCAUUAACUACUUGUGGAGGAAAGUAUUGUUAUUAUUAUUGUUAUUAUUAUUAGUAGUAGUAUUAUUAUUUUAUUAUUAUUACUAUUGUAAUUAAUAUUAUUAUUACUAUUAUUAUUAUUAUUAUUAUUAUUAUUACUAUUCUUGCACUAGAACAAGAAGAUGAUUAUGAAUUUCUUGCUCUUGUAGCGUUGGAAACCAAGGAAGAAAAGGAGACCUGCAGAUCACAAGAAACCAUACUAGCACUCAUGACUGGAUCAGAUUCUGAAGAGGAUAAAGAAGAAGAAGAUAUGAAUGAAAAGGUUAGUCUUCAUCACAUACAAGACAAUCUAAACUCAUACUUAAAAAGGGAGCUAGAAUCUUUACUCUACACUCUCAUUGAUGCAUAUAAAAUCAUAGACUCAAAAAGGGAAUUGAUAAUGGAAGACUAUGCAUCACUAAUUGAAGAAAACAAGAAUUUUGAAAAACAAAAUCUUCAUCUUUUAUCCAUGAAUACUAAACUAAGUAAAAUCCUAGACUUGGUAACUAAAAGGAAUGAAGCACUCUCCAAAGAGCUUUAUGUGACUAAAACUGAAGCUGAAAAUGAAAUGAGAUGGACCAGAUCCUCCAUAUUGCUUGACAACAUUCACAAGAAUCGUACAUCUGAGAGACAUGGGAUAGGUUUUGAUAGAACUAGCUCUCAAGUAAAAAAUCCCAACAUAGAUUGUCUAUGCAUGCACUGUGGGCUGGUAGGGCAUAAAAGUCCUGAUUGUCAAAGAAAACAAACUGCUCAUAACAAAGACUUGAAAUCUUUGAGAAAACCUCAUCAUGAGAAAACCAAUGAGCAAAAACAAAUUCCUACAGUCAAAUCUCUUCCUAGAUGGGCCAGAAAAAAUCUUAUUCAUCCAUUCUCUAAGCAUAAAUCAAAGUGGAUUUGGGUACCAAAAUCUAAUCACCAAAAUUAAACUGCAGGGAUCAAUGAAGAGGAAGCAACAACAAUGGUACUUGGAUAGUGCAUGUUCCAGACACAUGACUGGAGAUAAAAGAAGAUUCCUCACACUCAAGAAAAUCAAAGGAGGAAACGUUUCCUUUGGUAAUGGAAAAAGUGAGGAAAUUUAGGGAAUUGGAAAGGUGGGAUCAAUGGAUACUCAUGCGAUUGAGAACGUAUACAAUGUGAAUGGCCUACAACAUAAUCUAUUGAGCGUAUCUCAAAUAUGUGAUAAAGGAAACAAUGUUCUCUUUACAGAAAAGGAAUGCAGAGUAACAAACUCAGUGACUGGGAACCUAGUUCUACUAGGUAAGAGACACAAGAAUGUGUACAAAGCCAAUAUUGUUGACUCCAAGGAAGAUACUCUUAAAUGUAUAAGUGCGGUCUCUGAUUGCUCCAUGCUAUGGCACGAAAGAAUGGGACACAUUAGCAUGAUAACUAUAAAUAAACUCAUAUCUAAAGACCUGGUUAGGGGACUGCCAACCAAAAGUUUCAGGGACAACCAAGUAUCUGGAACCUGCAUUCAAGGAAAACAGGUUAGAUCAUCCUUCAAACCAAAGUUGACAGUGAGUACUACCAAGCCACUAGAACUGCUCCACAUGAAUUUGUGUGGACCAAUGCGUGUACAAAGCAGGGGUGGAAAAAGAUAUGUAUUUGUAAUAGUUGAUGACUACUCAAGAUUCACUUGGACAUUGUUUCUUGCAACAAAGGAUGAGACAUUCACUAUGAUCGAAAUCUUUGCAAAGCUGGUUCAGAAAAAGUUCAACAAAGAAAUAAUUAGCAUCAGAUCUGAUCAUGGGUUGGAGUUUGAGAACUCACAAUUCAUACAAUUUUGCACUACAAAUGGGAUUGAGCAUACCUUCUCAACACCUAGAACACCACAACAAAAUGGUGUAGUUGAGAGGAAAAAUAGAACACUUGAAGAUAUUGCAAGAACAAUGUUAAUCUCAAGCAAACUUCCAAAAUUCUACUGGGCUGAAGUAGUGAACACAGAAUGUUAUCUAAUAAACAGAUGUAUGAUCAGAUUAGUGUUAAACAAAACACCAUAUGAUCUGCUAAAAGGAAGAAAAGUAAAUUUAGCACAUCUUAGGGUCUUUAGGUGUGUAUGCUUUAUACACAACAAUGACAAGGACAAUUUGGGAAAAUUUGAUGCCAAGAGUGAUGAAGGAAUUUUUCUGGGCUUCUCGUCACAAAGAAAAGACUACAAGGUACUGAAUAAAAGAACAAACCGUGUAAAAGAAAGUUUUCAUAUUGUCUUUAAUGAAAAUUGCAGUGAAGUUGAAGGGAAUUCAGAGGAUGAACAGAAUGAGGGAACCUUCUCCAAGCCAUCACAACCAAAAAUAUAGGGAGAAGAAUCUAUACCCUCGCAUAAAAGACCUGAAAUAGGAGAUAAGUCUACUAAUGAAACUGGUUCUUCUGCACCUCAAGAGCCAGUAAACAUUCCAACUCACAGUUGGAAACAUCAAAGCUCUCACCCUUUGCAAAACAUUCUUACUCCUCUUAACUCAGGUAUCUCUACAAGAUCCAAAUUAUGAAGCAUGUGUGCAUUCUCUGCCUAUGUGUCCCUGAUUGAGCCAAAAAAUAUAAAGGAAGCACUACUAGACUCUGAUUGGAUUAGCGACAUGCAAGAAGAACUCAAUCAAUUUGAAAGAAGCAGAGUAUGGAACCUGGUUCCAAAACCUCAAAACAGGACAGUAAUAGGAACAAGGUGGGUGUUUAGAAACAAGAUCUAUGAGCAAGGUCAAAUAGUACGCAACAAAUCUAGGCUAGUUGUACAAGGAUACAACCAAGAAGAAGUUAUAGACUACGAUGAAACCUUUGCACCAGUAGCAAGAAUUGAGGCAAUCAGAAUAUUGGUCGCAUAUACUGCUCACAUAGAGUUUAAACUCUACCAAAUGGAUGUCAAAAGUGCCUUCUUAAAUGGUUAUCUGCAAGAAGAGGUGUAUAUGAAAAACCCCCCAGGUUUUGAGAAUACCAUGUAUCCUGAUCAUGUACAUAAACUGGACAAAGCACUCUAUGGGCUAAAACAAGCACCUAGAGCAUGGUAUGAUCGAUUGUCCACUUUUCUUCUCACGCAUGGAUACACAAGAAGAAAAUUGAUAAUACACUGUUUCUUCGAAAACAAGGUGAAGAUCUGUUCAUAGUCCAAGUAUAUGUAGAUGAUAUCAUAUUUGGAGGAACCAAUGACUUACUGGGAGUAGAAUUUGCUCAACUAAUGAAUAGUGAGUUUGAGAUGAGUAUGAUGGGAGAGUUAAACAUCUUUUUUGGACUCCAAAUUAAGCAAACUCUAGUUGGAACAUCAAUUCAUCAACAAAAGUACAUCAAGGAAUUACUGAAGAAGUAUGAUAUGAAUGAAGCUAAGUCAAAUGACACACCUAUUGGGACAACAACAAAGCUUGAUAAAGAUGAACCAGGUUCACCAGUAAAUGACACUAAAUAUAGAGGUAUGAUUGGAUCACUCCUAUACCUUAGUGCCAGUAGACCUGAUAUAGUGUUCAGUGUUGGUCUAUGUGCACGGUUUCAGUCCUGUCCCAAGGAAUCACAUCUAAAAGCUGUCAAAAGAAUCCUGUGAUAUUUAAAAGGCACAAUGAAACCUGGUUCUCUGGUAUCUAACUGGGGAAUCUUUUUAUUUAAAAGGAUUUGCUGAUGCAGAUUAUACAGGACAUAUAGUUGAUAGAAAAAGUACCUCUAGGAUGGCACACUUUUUAGGACCAUGUUUAAUAUCUUGGGCAACCAGAAAACAAAAUUCAGUGGCUUUAUCUACUGCGGAGGCUGAGUAUUUUGCAGCAGCUUCAUGUUGUGCCCAACUUCUUUGGAUAAAACAGCAGCUUAAACAUUUUAGCAUAGAAACAUGUUGUAUUCUUAUUCUAUGUGAUAAUACAAGUGCUAUGAAAAUGGACAAAAACCCAGUUCAACACAAACGCACCAAACACAUAGAUGUUAGACAUCACUUUCUUCGUGAUAAUGUUGAAAAAGGAAACAUAGUAAUGAAGUUUUGCAAAAUUGAGGAUCAAGUUGCUGAUAUUUUCACCAAGGCACUAGGAAGAGAAACAUUUCAGAAAAAUAGACUUGAGUUAGGGCUCAUCUUUUAAGGUUGAAUUUUGUCCAACCAAGUUCUAAGGAGAUAUGAACCAGGUUCAGUCAAGUUGGUUCUACAAUUGCUUUACACUUAGCAGUCAAAAAUUAAUAAAAGGGGGGGAACAAUUUCAUCUUCUCUCUCCUAUGUCACGUCUCUGAAAAGCAGGUGCAACCGUCAAAGCACACGUCUCCUCGAUGUCAAUCCCCCAUAAUUACUCAAACCCCUCGAAUACAACAUCAAAACCGUUCCCAUUAAAGCACUCUCUCUAAACAAGCAACCAACUCUUUCUCAUCUUCAUUCUUAAAAAAAAUCCUCUCCAUCUCCAUGGUUAAUCCACUUGUUGCUUACUAAGAUGAUGAAAAUUCAUCUGACAGUGCAUCUUCUUAGGGGGAAGAGAAUCCUGUCGUUGAUACUGUGCUUAAUCAAGGGGAAGAAAGCCAACUCCCAACCAAACCAUCUAUAUCCUCACCCAAAUCAGAUCCGUCUACAUCUCCACCACCAAAAGUUACAUCUCCACCAUCACCAGUUAUAGAAACAUCUCCACCUCCAGUUGCAAAAUCUCCACCACCACCCGUCAUAGAAUCACCAUCACCACCAGUCCAAGAAAGCCUAUUACCACCAAAUCAGGAAACUCCCAUAACCACUAUUCCAAAAAAUCCCUCUUCUUCCCCAUCUUACAAAACCACUCCUCAAAAUCCACCACCAUCUCCACAUUCUCCAAUCAAUGAUGACAUUCUUCUGAGCACACUUCACCUUAAAAAACCAAGACGACCAAUAAAACACAUUGCAGUUAAACAGGUUCGUUCACACAGGCCAGUGACUCGGAGUGUGAAUGUGGUCAAACCAACAGAUGAUGCAACAUCUAGUGUGAAGCGUCAUCGUCUGGGUAAGUCUCAUGUUCACUCAUCUGUUUCUCCAAUGAUUCUUGAUUCUGAAACUGAUGAUGUUUCUGAGGGUAAACAUUCUUAAACCGCUCAGUCAAAAUCAAAAUCUGCAAAAAGAAAUGUUGAUAAAUUUCUCAAAGUGGGAGGAGUUAUUUCUUGAACCUAAUAUGAUUUAUGAACAAGAAGUGGUAGAUUUCUAUACAAAUUUGGUAAUCUUGGAAGGAGAUGUGGUAUCGUCUAAUGUGAAGGGAGUUGACAUUGUUUUUGAUGCAACUAAACUUGGGGAAAUCUUGCAUAUACCAUUUGUGGGUAUUAAUGAGUAUCAUUGGGGUUUUGAUGAACAUUCUAGCUUGCCAGCUAAAAUCUCUCAAGGUAGAGUCAAUUCUAGGGCACAAACUGUUUUAAUGGGAAUUAUGAGAUCAUUACAUAAGCUUCUCUUUGAGAUAGUACAUAAGGUGAUACUGCCUAGAGGUCAUCAACGUCACAUUGCCUCCAUAAGAGACAUGGGACUUAUGAAUGGUCUUGAGUGCAAAGAACGCAUUGACUGACCCACACUGAGUAUCAAACAUCUUGCUAGAAUUGUUGAUCCUAAACUAGGUUCUCAUCAAUAAGCUUUUGGAAAUCUGUUAACUAGAGUGUUUGAUGCAUUUGAAGUUCCAUUGGGAGAAGGCAGGAUUUUGACUAGUGCAGAUAUAUUUACUCAAACCAUUCUUGCUGAUUGUGGCAUUCCCAUGGAAUCGGAGCAGGUUGCAAAUGCUUCUCUACGUACAUCUGGUCAUGUUGUUCAGUUACUCACGGAACUCAAAGUGGCUGAAGAAAAAUAUGCCACUCUUGAAUUGGAAAACCAGAAUUUACGUGUUGAACUUCAUACUUCAAAUGCUGAGAUUCAAAGGUUGAAAGAUCAGUUGGUGCAGCAGCAACUUGCUCACAAUGAAAGGGUUGACAGAAAUAUGGAUAUGCUUUCUUCUGCUUCAACCAAGCCUAGUCAAACUUCAACUUGAAAAGAAUCUUGUUUGAACCUGGUUCUUUUGGUUGUUUAACUCUGUGUUGUUACUCUUCUUUUUGUUGCCAGAACAUUUUAUUGUGCUCAACUGGCUGAGCUUCAAUUGUUUCUAUGGAUGUUAUUUGGUUUUGUUUAGCUGCUAUUGGACUCUUUUUGAUUUGUCAAAAGGGGGAAGAGGUAUGCACCACACAGAUAGAUUUGUCUUCAUCAAAAAGGGGGAAUAUGAUAGAAUCGAUAAUUCUACUACAAGAAAAAAAGUUAAUCGAAAUCGAUAUUUUGAUGAUAGACAAGAAAUGCAAAAUAAUUGAUGCAGCAAAGCAGCCAAAGCAAUAAAAUAAGGAUUAAAGUAGCAAAAUGAUGCAGCCACGUAGUCAAGAAAUAGAGUUAUUUGUCAAAGCCAAAAAUAAUAUAUUGAAGGUAUAAGUUGAUACAAAUAAGGAAACCUUAAAUAUAUUAUUAAGAAAGGAAGUUGUAUAGAAUAAGGAUUGUAGUAUAAAAGGUAAAAAAAAAAGGUAAUCCUUGUUUAACUAUAAUUUCCUUACCUUAUCUGAUAAGGAUUAAAGGCAAAAGAAAACUCUAUAAGAAGAGGACAAUCGCAGAUGAAGAAGAUCACGACUUCACAUAGAGAGGAAAGUGAGAAUUAUUGAUCGAAUAGAAGUCUUCAAGAUUGAUAGGUUUGCUAAGUUUAAAAAGUUCUUGAGUGAGAAAAUUUUUGAACGUGUAAAACUAUCUUCUUGUUUCGUUCUUGAUUGUAAGUUACGGUUUAUUGUACAAGGAGUGGGUUUGGCUUCUUGUAAGGUUGAGUUUCAGUGAAGGUUGUAACAAAAGGUGGGUUUGACCUUUUGGAGAGUAGAAGUAAUCGAUUGUAGUUAAUCUAGAGAGGUAGUAGUUGUAAGGCUUUUUUAUUAUUGAGUUGUAAUCACAAAAUCUUAUAGUUGAAUUAAUAAAACGAGGUUUUUCCUUCCUUGAGUGAGGAAGACUUUUAAUUUAAUAAGUGUUUGUGUCUUUACUUAAAAGCAACUUACAAGAACCUGGUUCUUGUUCUACGGGAUAGGUUUGUUCAACUGAGAAUGUUGAAUUAGCGGUAAUCUAUUUUAUUGUGCUAACUCCGACACUUCCUAAUGGUGUCAAUAUUGUUAACAAAAGUAUUGUAUUGUUACCUACAGAUUAAAGUGACCUUUUCUUGGAGAGAGAGCCUCUUAAUUAACAAUCAGAAUAAUAAAUAUUCUUGCAACUUUGCUUAAGAAGCACCAACACUAUUUGCUUAUUGGUGUGAUUUUCUUAAACUAGAUCAUUACAAUAGAAGUCUCUUAUCCUGUGAUGGUGUUGCAAGGACCCAAAGAGGACACUGUCUUCAUGCGUAAAAUUGUCUGAAGAGGUAUAAUUUGUGUAUCUUAGAUUUUAUCUGCAUAUUACGUUGUUCUAAACAUAGCUUUAAUUAAGCCAUGCUAUGUAUUCUAAAGGACAUUCCAUUUACAUAACAAGGAUGUUGGAGUUAUUUCCCGCAGGGUACACUGGUAGCGCUUCUCCUGUUGUACGUUUUUAUUGGUUCAUGCCUUUUUUAGAUUGUUCAGUACAUCAAAACUCCAUUCUAAAUAAUUAUUUAUUUGUAUUGAGUAAAAUUCAACAGGAUAAAAUGAAAUGGUAAAUCUGAUGUCAUUGAUAGGAAGAUCGUUCACUAAGAUCUUUGUAGCAGAUAGUUGACAAACUUACAAUCGGAAAAAACUCGUCCGCUAACACUGUUAAAUUGCUUCUAUGUCCUCUAAGAUUCUUAUAGUUAUUUACUGACAUGAUAAAUUAGUCAAUGUUUUAACAUAUUACUGUGUUGUUGACCUAGACUCUCCUUGAGAGAAGCUUACUUAGACAUCUUAUUAAUUAUUUCCCAUUAGUCUCUCCCUUUUGGGACAUCCUAUAAAAGUGGAAUGAUACGGCUCCUAUCAAAGAUAACCUGCCAAAAUUUUCUCAGGAUACAAAAUGUUGUUAUUUUUUAUACUUCUUUCUCAUUCUUCUGAAUUAUUUGCUCCGGUACUAAGGUUAUAUAUUUCUACUAACAUCACUGCUAGAUCUGUGAUUCAACUUAGUGUCUUAUUCACUUGAUGUUUUAGUAUUAUUCUUUUUUAAUAGGAAGGAAAGUUUUUUACAUUGGUGUUGUUACUUCCCUCCUUUCUUGACAAAUAGAAUCUCUUUUCUUGUUCCUAACAUAACUUUCUCAAUUUGCAUGUGAUAUACCAUGGUUUCAAGGUAUAAUUAAUACUUUUUUCUUAAGUUUAGUGUGUCCAAAAGACUUUUUUUGCUAGUUUUUUAUAUAAGUUUUUCUUUGUUUUGCAGGAAAUCUAUCCAAAGCUGAAUGUAUAGAUUUUGAGCGAAGAAAUGCAGAAGAGACCACCUACAGAGCUUAUGACGGUCCGCCGUGCUUGUGACGGUCCGUAGGUGGCAGCGUAGUGCAACUGCUGAAGGAAGAUGGACAAGUCUGACCAAGUGUGGGGUUACGAAUCUUGUGACGGUCCAUCCUGCAGGUUCGUCAUGAAGUUCAGAGAAGUGAUCCCAGUAUCCAUAUUCAAAGAGUUGAAGUGUUUUGAAACGAAGGCCCUCGACGGACCGUUGUGCCAAUGACGGUCCGUUAUACUUGCCGUCGAGGGUAAUGAAGAAGAGCAGCAGAAGAAAUUGCACAAGUAUGGGACGACGGAGUCCAUGACGGUCCGUCGUGACCAUGACGAUCCGUCGCGAGGUCAGUCGACCCAGCCGCGUUUUGGAAGAUUUCCAGCAAACAGAGUCCUUGUUUAAUUAGGUUUUUAUUUUCUAUAAAUAGUUCGAAAAACCUCGUUUUUGAGGUCAGACGCCGGAUAAUUAUACUCUUAGAUUUUUAGACUCCGUAUUGUUAGACAUCAUAUUAUUAGACUUUGUGUAUUAGUGUUAAAUUUGGCGAUUCUUGCAAGUGAUUUUUGGUGAUUAAUCAAGCAAACUUUUAAAUUUUACUCUUUCUCAUUGAAGUAAGUACAUGAACUCUUAUUUAAUAUAUUUGAAUAUUGUAUUUAUGGCCAUGAGUAACUAAACUCCAUAACUAGGGUUGUGGGAACCAUAGGCAAAUAAUGAGAUAAAUCCUAACUAAAAUAACAAUUCUAGAAUAGUGUCUUGCAUGUAUUAAUAAUUAUUUCGCUUAGAAGUCUUUUUAACGGAUGACCAACGUUAGAACUCGCCUUAAUGCUACUUGCCGGACCAAGGAGGUAGAUAAUAGGAAAAUAAUUAUUAACAUAGAUUUAGUGUAUACUAUCUAAUAGGCUAGUAUUGAUUGGUAAGAGGUAAUAACUUAGUCAAAUAUCGAAUACGAUGCUUAAUAUGAGGUAAGAAUAAAGGUUAGGAUAGCAACACACGUAGCCGGACCAAGGUGCGGAGUGAGAUUUUCUAGAUGCCGGACCAAGGAUUUAGAAAUACAUAACUUAUCACUUUGCAUGCAAGAUACUAGGAAAGAAUUGUUAUAGUUAGAAUUAUCAAGUUAUGAACCUGUGGGGAACACGUAAACCCUAGUUACUUUGAUUAAUUGAUUAAAAUCCAACUGUCAAAGCUGUUAAGUGUUUCUUUCAAGUUCGUUAUUUAUUUUUACUCAUUUAGAAAUAGAAACGCCCCUUUUAUGUUUUUACUUUCCAAGGAAGUCAUUGCCCAAACAAUAGUAAUAACAGGUUGAAGUUAAGUCUAGACUAUUUUCCUCGUGGGAACGAUCCCAACCUCACUAGUUGGGUUAUUUACUUGACACGACCGCUUUACUUCUUAUUUGAGAAGUAAGUUUGAGCGUAUCAACAUGUCCCUUGAAAUGGGGUUGUAGGUCUUGAUUCUCUUGGAUACUUGAUGAACAAAAUUGAAAACAGUGACCUCUUUGAUUGGGUUGGACGGGUUAAGAUUAUUGAUUGCAUUUGCAAUUCCAUUUUAGUGGAUCCUCAAACUGGUCAGGUAUCACCUUCUAAAAUUUUGAAAAGGAAAGAUUGAAAGGAUAUCACUUUUCCUUUUUGCCUUGUUUUUAUUCAAUUUCUGAUUUUUUUUCAUGACACCUGCUUCAAAUUUGGGCAUGCAGUCCAUUAUUGAGAAGUUGUUCUUGAUGCUUCACGAUCCAGAUUAUCGAGUUAGGUUAUGAUUUGCUUAAUGGGUUAGUGUUCUUUUCCAAACUUAAAAUGGUCAUUUUGAACUGUUCCAGAACAUAUGGUACAAUACUUAGUUUUUCUUUUUAAUGCAUUAUUACCUUUUUUAAGUAUGUCGAAACUAACUGCUUAGCUAUAAAUAACCAUCCAUAUAAAUCUCAAGUGAAUAACAUGGUUAUUAGUUUAUCACAGUAAGUUGUGUUGUUAUUUAGAAUUCUUUGAAAGUUGCUCAAAAGUUCAACGAAGACAAUAGUCAUCAUUUUCUUUUAUCAAAAGUUUGAUAAGAACUCACCUUCUCAUAAAGACUAGAAUAGUAGAAGAACAUGGAUGGCACACGAACAGGUCAGAAUAAUCCAAUUAGUAGAAGUAUAUACUAUGUCGCAUGAAAUUAGAUGAUUGUCUAUGUGUUUUGGGUGCAUCAUACUUGUUCCAGAUUUAUCAUAAUCUAAUAAACUAAAUGGUCUCUAUAGAAUGGUGGUUAAACCGACCUUAAUGUAGGGGUUAGAGUGUUAGACUGUCAAGAACGUCCAAGAUCAAUGAUAAUGUAGCAGACACUAUGAUACUUAUAUGGAUGUGUGGACCACUGAAAAGACAUGCAAAAAUAUUAUAUUAUAUGUUUUGCAAAGUUCCCAAGUGUGUUUUGCAAUGUUUCCAUUGAUGAUGGUUUAAUCUAAGCUUAAACGUAUAUUGUAAGUUAGCUAAAAAAGUAUAGCACAUUUAAUUAAGCUAAAAGGUUACGUAUGUUUCUGUCUUUUUCUUCCAUUAUAAUAUUAUUCCUAAUCAUUAUUGUUCCCUAUUUAUCUCAAUUUAUUAUAAAAGGAAAAAUACGAAUAAAUAUCACGGUAAAAAACAAUCUCUCAUUUUAUAUUGAUCAAUGUGAAGCAUAUAACCAAGCUGUCGAGGGAUAAAAGAAGCGAAGAAUAUGCGGUCUUGGAAUAUGGAUGUAUUUGUAAAGCAAAUGAUUCUUUCUAAUCAUUUUUCUGGUUAAUAUGAAGCGUGUACAACAAGUGGUUACUCCCAUUGAGAAUUCAUUACUUGUGACACCAUGGAGUCUCCUCCUGCUACUACUAAUCAGGACGAGGUUUAUCCCUUUGUUUCAAGUAUGAGGGCAUCCCUUUGUUAGUCAUCUAUUGUUUAGUUUUGAUGUUUUCUGUCUUUGUGAAAAGUACAAACUGUGCAAUAAUAAUAGUUGAGCAAUGUAGGUUUUCUAAAGAGUAGUUGACAAAUUGUUUUUGAUGUUUUGCAUCGAAUGUAUGUGAUUCGAAUUUUGCUAUCUAUAGAUUUUGAACCCUUUAAAAAUUAUUUUAUAUGAAUGUUUAAUAUUUUAGAGGUAUUUAGUAAUUGUUAUUUAAUUUAUUUAAGCAAUGUAUUUUUAAAAUAGAUAAAUAAAAUUAUUUUACAAGAAUUUUUUAGCAACAAAUAUAAUGACGAUUUGGUUGUUGCUAUAAAAAUAUAUUGACGAUAGAUUGCCAACGAAACAUUUUAUUGACAAAAAUUUCGUUGCAAAUUUAUUUCAAAUGACAAAAUUAAUUAUGAAAUUAGCAACGAGCUAUAUAAGUAUAACAACGGAUCAAUCCGUCACUAAUAAUUCGCGACGGAUAUCAUUCGUCUCUAAUACGUUGUUAAACUUGCGACCGAACUCAUUUUUCGUUGCUAAGAGAUUACUAACGAGCGAAAUAGCAGCAGCCAACAAUUCAUCGUGAAUCCGUCACAAAUUUGAUUUUGUGACGAAAAAACAUAGAUUAGCGACGGAUUCCGUCGGUCGCUAAAUACUUUUUUUUUGGAGUGUAUACUAUCCUUUAAAUUUUAAUUAUUAUAUAGAAUGAUUUUGACCAACUUAUAUUAUAAUAAUACGUAUUUAGCAGGUGACUUGAAUGUUUUCAUCUAUAUUUCUGUUGUGCCUAAAAUAUUGCAACUGUAUGUUCAUUCAAUUUUACAAUUUGUUUUUUUUUCAACUGACAUCUUUAUGUUUAAUUUACGUGUACUAUUUUAAUUUGAUAUCGAGUUUAAUGAUGUACAUAUAUUUUUUUUAGUUUUGUGAUUUUAAAUUAAAAAUAUAUUAUAUGUAUGAAAAUAAUUUUUUGAUAUUAAACAUGUUUUGUGAAAAGUUAAAAUUAAUUAUAGAGUUGUUAAAAAAAGAAGACAUUUUUUGUGUGUAACGGACUAAAAGGAGAAUCAGAAAAAAACAAGUUGAAAUGAAUAAACUAAUUUAUGGCGUAGGAGAUAAACUAUAUGACUUAUUGUUUUAUAUUUUUAUUCUAAUUCAAAUAGUAAAUAAUUAUUUGGUAUCAUUUAUUUCCUCCAAAUUACUUUAUCCAUUCAUUUAUUUUUCACUUAUUUUUUAAAAUAAAUUUUCAUUUUUAUUUGUCAUUUUUUAUAAAUCAAGAAAAGACAAUUAUUAUUUUCCAUGUUUUGCCCUAAGAAUUAAAUCAUAUUCCUCAUAUCAUUUUUCAAAACUCAAACACUAUAUUUACUAUUUUGGUCCACUUUUAAUUCUUAUAGUUUUCUUUUUAGAUUCAAAUGAUAACAAUUUUGACUAAGAUUUUUUACGAUAUAUUUUUUAUCAUAUUAAUAUGCUAAAAAUUAGAGUUUAUAGUACUUUUCAUAUAGUUGUUGAAUAUCUAUAUUUUUUUGUUUAAAAUAUGUAAUUAAUCUAAUAAAAUAUAAUUUUAAAAAUUAGUCAAAUUCACUUUUGAUAAACACAACAUGACAAUCAUUAGUGGACAAAUUGAAUAAUUAGUUGGGUCAAAGAGCAUGAUAAAAGACUUAUAUCAAUAAUUAUUUCUUAAUGAUUGUGUAUCAAGUCAAAUAAUAAUGAACGAAAGUAUUAGAUCGAAAAAGGUUAUUUGUACAUCCGAUGAUUAUACUUACAAAAAGUCAAACUUGGGUUUCUAGUUAGGUUAUGAAAUGAAGAAUUAACAUUUCUAGGUGACUUUGAGAAAUGGAUUGAUUGCAGCCUAAUUUUACUACUCAUUGCAUUUAAUGAGUAGAAAAUUUCUUUGAAAUACUUACAAAUAUUACUUAUUUGGUCAGAAAUAUGAAUUACGCGACAUUAGCUAUCAGAAAUUCUCUAUUUUUUUUAAUUAUAUGACUUCUUCAUUGUUAAUUUGUUUUCCAAAUAAUUUUAUAUUUUUGAAUUUAGAAGAUCUUUAAACUUAAAACAUGAUUUUAAAACACUCUCCAAAACCUAGUUGCCAAAACCCUAGAUGUUUGAAUUCUACAGCCAGAAUGGGGAUUUGGAAUUUUUCCGUGGUUGGAAAAUUCUCAUACGUAUGACUUGAUAUUCACGAAUUGUGAAAGAUUACUCCAAAACAAUGUGAUGUGGACUUAGAGAAAUUAUAUAAUCAAUAUGUGUUGCGUAAUGAAUCUUUUACAUAGCUCACAGGAACGACUAUUACCUAAUGCAGACUUUUAAAUGGGAUCCUUUAUUUGACCCAGCGGAAGAAACAUCAAUAGAUAUUGCAGUAAUAUCGCUAUUAGCUCUACCUUAUUGAAAUUCCAAUCGAUUUGAAACAAUCUUAUCACUUCUCACUGGUUGUUGUUGUUGGAAAGUCAUGAGAAGUUGAUAUGGCUACCAAUAACAACAAAAUGAUAUCAUGUUACAAUAAUAAAGGUGGAAGUAGACCUUUUGGGUGAGUUUCCGAGGAGAGUCGAUGUGGGAAUCAAGAAAAAGACAAGUGAAAUCGUGGCUAAAUAGAUUACCAUCAAAUAUAGUUAUCUCUCUGAGCAUUGCAGAAACUGCAAACUAUAUAAAGGCUUAAUGAAAAUGAGUGUUUUGUAUCACAUCCGAAAUUAUAUCCAAAUGAUGAAGGGGUGCGGAAAACGAAAAAGAUAAGAGUAAAAAUAACAACAAAGAGAUCAAUACAGUGUCAAAAAAAAGGACAAGAAUGCUGACAAGGGAAGUCGAUGAACAAUAACUUCCAGAAACCUAGAAUUAAAAUUGGGGCUAGGAGAGGAUAAUAUCAUUACAGGGGAGGACGGAUACAAAGAUGGAAUACAAAGGAGAAAGAGAGUGAAGAUGAUUUGUUGAUGACCGGGAACAAGUUUAAUGUACUUAAUGAGGAAGAAGAGAAAGAAGAAACAAGUCAACAAUAAGAAAAUAGAUGACCAUAGAAACGCCAAGGCUGGGAAAAGCACAAAGGAAAAAGUUGUGGUUGCAAUCAAAGACUGGGUGGAAGAUAAUUUUGGCAAAUCAUGCAAGGAAAAGGAUAUAUCAGUGAAUAAUUUGUUAAGAAACAAAAAGAUGUCAGAAAUUACCAACAAAAAAAAAAAACAAAGGGGAAGAGUAUAAGGAGAUAUCGACAAUGACAUGAAAAAGUAUAGUGAUAAAAUACAAGACAUUGGAAAAGAUAGUUAAAAAUGGGGUGGAGAUGGUCAUUAAAUUGACGAAUCCAAAGGUAGGACGAAAAGAAGAGGAAACUCCACCAGGCCAAUUAAAUACAAAUACAAGUGAUAUGAAGGGGGAAGGUUACAUUCAUCAUAUAACAAUCAAGGAAAAUUCACUAGCAGGGAAAAUGUUCAAGAACAAUAGGAGAAAACGCAGGGGCCAGAAAUAAGGGGAGAAAACAAGGAUGUAACUGAAAAUAUCAAUGAGAUAAACAAAUAAAGAGAUCUAUCACCAAGGUGUACGAAAUAAUUGUGAAAAUAGGCGGAAAGAGCUACAAAGCUAAUGGUAAGGACAAAAGCACAAUGAUUAAUGUAGCAAAACCACCAAUGUGUAAAUGGUGAUAGACAAACUAUUAUUCUAGAGUGUAUUAGAUUAGUUAGCUCACAAAAUUCUUUUGAAAUAUUAAUUAAGUUGAAGAAAAGAAGCAAAUCUGCAUUUAUUUCCCUUAUAUAAGUUCAAAAGUCUUCAACAAAAAAGAAAUCUAUAGAAUUCAAAAUGACAAAUAUUGUAGCAAAUAUCUCUUCCAAAAUUUAUAUAUGAAAGAUCAUAUUGAGGGAUAUAGACCAACUAAGGCUCCACCCAACUUUAUUACCACCUUAGUACUUUAAGUUUCCUUGGUUCAUAUGCUAGGACUCCUCGGAAGAAUGACUCAGGCAAGAAUAUUUUUUGUCACCUCUAAUGGCUCACACACUUGUUUUGGAGGUUAGACUCCAGAUCAAAUAGUUCCUCCAUGUUUUCUAACUCCGAGAACUGAGUCAGUUGCUAUUAUAGUCCUCUAUUAGAUAAUGUGGUAUUGUAUCACAUUUUGCUAACAUUCUGUCCAUGACCAUUUAUGAGCAAAAGAUGUUCAGAAGGUUCAGCAUGAGGAAUCUUUCCACCUAUACAGGUGACUUGAAUGAGGAUACAUAUGAAGUUAUAGUUACCUGUAAUUGAAGAUUGGAUAACCUUAGAUUAGAUGAGUCUCAUGAAAUUGACUACACGAUGUUCCAGAUGACUGGCCUUACGAAGCAGUGAUGGAGGGAUUAUAUUAAUAGUAUUUCAACUGGAUCACCUCUAUCAUAUUUCUAGAUAAGUUUAUUCUACGCGAUUAGAGGGAGAUAAAGAGAGUCGAGUUCGAGGAUUCGCAGCAAGACGAUAUGUCAAUCACAAAGUAUGAGGUUAAAUUUCAUGUUUUUGCUAACAACUCUUUGAUGAUACUUCCCACUGAGGCUGAGAGAGUGAAAAGGUGUAUUAAUGGUCCAAUUGUUUUGAUUUCAUCUGGGAGUUUCUUAGGUUACCACUUCUGGUGUUUCAUUUAAGAAAGUGGUAGAUGUUGCCAAGGAGUUUGAAAUGGUUUGAAGUGAGGGAUUUGAGCAACAUGAGGCCAAGAGGGCCAAUCUUUUAGGUCAUUUAGGUAGUGCUCCUCUUGAGAGUCGAGGUUAAUUAGGGAGAGGUUGUCACUCUUAGUACCCACUCAUGUUGCGAUAUCAACUGCUGAGGUCGAUUAUAUUAGGCAUAUUUCUUCUAGUUCGAUACAUACUUCACAUGCUUCACUUUCUAGAUUGGUAGGUCGUGGAGGAAUUAUUGUCAUCCAGGUUCCUCUCAUCAGCAUAUGUCAAUAUUUACCAUUGUACCCUUAUUUAAUAUUUUUCUUAAAGUCAAGUUUUCAAUAAAUGAACAUGAAUUAAUUUAUUUUGAAUAAUUAAUUAAUUUGAACAAUAGACAUGAAUUGUGUACUUAGUUUUUCAAUGUUGGUUAAGUAUAUAUUUCUAGGCUAAUAAAUUUCAAGGGUAAAAUAGGAAGAAUAGAGUCAUUUAUGCAUUGAUUUUGUAGAAUAAUAAAUAUUAAGACAUAUCUAUUUUAGUAAAGAUAUGUAAAUAGGAACGGAGAAAGUAUUUUUCUAUUCUCUCUACCAUAUAUUUUAACUUUACUCAAUUCCUUAACUAUUAAUUCUCCUAAUACUCCCUUCAUUCAAUUUUACUUCGCACUUUGACUUGACACACCAAUUAAUAAAAUAAUUAUUGAUAUAUGUAUUUUACCAAAUUAUCUCUAUAAAAUGAUUUCUUGUAAAAUGAUUUGAAACAUAAGUAUUUAAUGUUGAGGGUAAAACAUGAAAAAAAAAUAGUCUUUUCUUGAUAUGUCAAAAGUGACAAGUUCAAAUGAAAAUCUCUUUUAGAAAUAAGUGACAAGUAAAAUUGAAUUGAAAGUGUACUUCUUACCAUCUAUUUUAGAACUCCUUAAUUUUUAGGGGUCAUUUGGUUGGUAACUAUUUAUUCAAGGAUAAAUUAUCAUGGGGUUAGUUAUCGUGGGAUAACUUAUCCAAUCUGAAGAAACCUUACCCCAAAACAAGAACCAGUUCUUGUAAGUUGCUUUUACGUAAAGACACAAACACUUAUUGAAUUAAAAAUCUUCCUUACUCAAGGAAGGAAAAACCUCGUUUUAUUAAUUCAACUAUAAGAUUUUGUGAUUACAACUCAAUAGUCAAAAGUCUUAUCUCUACUACCUCCCUCGAUUGACUCCAAUCGAUCUCUCCAAAAGGCCAAACCCACCUUUUGUUACAACUCUUACUAACACUCAACCCUACAAAGAGCCAAACCCACCCUUUGUACAAUAAACUGUAAAUUACAAUCAAGAACAAAACAAUAAAACAGUUCUACAAGUUAAAAACCUUCUCACUCAAGAAUGUUUUAAACGUGGUAAACAGAUCAAUCUUGAAGACUUCAGUUUGAUGAGUAAUUCUCCCUUUUCUCUCUAUGUGAAGUCGUCAGAAUCUUCAUCUGCAUCGUGCUCUUCUUAUAUAGUUUCUCUUGCCUCGUACACUCCUUAUCAGAUAAGGUAAGAAAGUUAUUGUUAAACAAGGACUCCUUUUUAAAGUACAAUCCUUAUUAUAUACAACUUCCUUCCUUAAUAAUAUAUUUAAGGUUUUCCUUAUUUGUAUCAACUUGUACCUUUAAUAUAUUAUUUUUGGCUUUUGAAAAAUAACUCCAUUUUACUCGAUCUUGGACUCUAGCUUGGCUUCUUUUGCUGCAUACAUUUGCUACUGUUCUUUGCGCUUCUUGUCUAUCAUCAAAACAUGAAUUAUCAAUUCUAUCAUAUUGUAUCACAAUCAUUAUGAUAUAAAUGGUUGGAUAAGUUAUCUCAAACAUGUCAACUAAACAAGACAUCUAAAUUAUGUCCUAGGACUUUUUUUUUAUCCUAUGACUAUUUUAAUUUAUCCCUCACAUCAAAUAAGCCCUUAAUUCUUUCAAAAUUCUAACCAUAUUUUUUAGGACUCCUUAAUUAUUAGUUUUCUUAAAACACCUUAUCACAUGUUAUAGGACUAUUUAGUUAUUAAUUUUCUUAAAUAGUUCUUAUCAUAUGUUUUGAGACUACUUAAUCAUUAAGUUUUUUUUAAUACUUUUACCAUAUAACUUUUCUACUUAUGAACAUGCAUAUAUUACUUCCAACAUAUUACAUGAAAUUAAAAAAAAAAGAUUUAAAAGAGAAGGAAAUGUAAUAAAGAAAAAAGGGAACUAUCAAAAAAUAUAUUUAUCAAACUUUCCAACUUCACACUAAAACCCAGCAACAACAGCAACAAUGAUGGGGCCUCCAGUCUUUUUCCAUCAAGGAAAGUGCACUUUCUUCCCCUAUAUAUAUAAAACCCAGAAACUAUAAACUCGGAAAAUCCAAUUUAGCUUUCAAAAUAAACAAUGUUAAUUUUACAAAAAUAAAUAAAUAAAUAAAUCAUAUCAAUUAAAAGGAAAUAAAUAAUAUUUAAAUCAUUAGUACAACAUUUUCUUGAGAGGUCACUGCAAAAUUUUCCUCGUACGUAAUCUUUCGAAUUAUAAUCAUACAGCAAAACCUCUCCAUAUUAAUAUAGUUGGGAUCAUGAAAUAUUAUUAUUUUGCGGAGAUAUUAUUUAAUUAAUAAAUUAAUAUUUAUUAAUUUAAAGAGUGUUUUGAGGUUCAACCUUGUGAUAAUGGGAUAAAUAGAGAUUUGAAGUCAUAUCACCGAAACAUAUUUUAUUGAAAGAUAUUGGAAGGCUAUAAAGUUAGAAAAACUAAUCCAGAAACAAUUAAUGUUCUAGAUGCUAUCAAGUUUGCAAUCUCAGCUUGAACAACAAAUAUUCAAAAAGACAUAUACAGAAGCAAAUUAUUUUCGACACUGCAAAAUUUGUGCGGAAUAGGGGUUCAAAUAGGUUGGGCGGGUUAGAUUGAGAUAGAAAUCGGGUUGGGUCUUGACCUAUUCAAAUUUAUUUUUUACUCAAAUGGGGUUGGGUUCAAAUAAACUAAAAAACGGUUUGGAUCUUGACAUAAUAAUAUUUAACUUUAAUAAUCACAAUUCAAAUUUUCUCUCAAGAUUUCAUUUUUAAAAUAUAACAAUUGGAUAGAUAAAUCCUAAAAUUGUUAAAUAGAUAAUAAUUCAUACCAUUAAUAUAGGGAAAUAUCUUAGUAAAAUUUUUUAAAACAUGUUAAAAUUGGAAAUUUAAUUGGGCUCAAUUGAGGAUUCUCUUAAAAUGCAUGGCUUGAAUGGGUUGAGAUUUAAUUUAAUUCAAAUUUUCUUGAGACUAACACUUAAAAUUCUGGGGUGGGUGGGCAGGUUAUGUAUGUUUGAGUUCAUUUCUGACACCCGUAGUUUGGAGGACGAUAUCUCAAUGAUUUCGAAUGAACCCACUAGUGAAAACGUCAUUCAUUUACUUAUUGUCAUAAUUAAUGUUCAUGAUUAUCGCGGUAAAAUGGACGUCAAUAACUUGUUGAAUUAUGCAGGUAAAAAUGACAUAUGAUCAGAGAUUUAGACCUUAGAAUAAAUUGUGGAUACAAUGAAAAAUAAUGUUAAUAGUGAAGUUGAAGAUGAAACAAUACUUUUGAAACCAUCAUGUAUAAAAAACAGUUAUCACAUCUUGAACUCUUCACAAUUUUAUGAUGCAGUUCAAAAAGACAAGGAUGAAACUUUUUGAUGUAAUAAAAAAAUGUAGUGAUGAACUUCAACAAGAUUUAAAGUUCAACAAUAAACGAUACACAUAAAAUCAUUCACUUAUAUAUAUUUACAUUUUAAAAUAAUUAUUAAUUUUAUAAUAUCAAUGGGAUCAUAUAUUUUAUAUAAAGAUUUUCUAAAAAUAUAUUAUCUUAUUAUUUUAUCGUAAUAAGUGAUUUUUUCAUCAGCUCAAAUCGAGAUCGAAGAAAAAUAUUAAUAAUUUAUUUAAUAUUAACAUGGUGAAGUUUUAUUGUACGUCACAAUUUUGAUACUUUAUUGAUUACAAACUUACUUUGGGAAAGAGCGCUGAAUAGCUCAUAUUGCCUGUUCAAGUUGUAGAUUUUAGACUUCUUGACUUGCGUUGUUCCCCCAUGAGCGGUUUGCAGUGUUACCCAUAUGGCUUUGGCAUCUUGACAAGACAAGAUUCGAUUGUAUUCGUCUGGUCCUAUACCACAUAUCAGAAAUUUCUUGGCUUUGACAUUGUUUUGAAUUGCAAGCUUGUCUUCAGCAUUCCAUUCUUUUCUUUCCUUUGGGAUUUUGGUGAUUCCAUCAGUUACGGUUUUCAUAGGUAUGGUUGGGCCAUCUAGAAUUACUCCCCAUAGAUCAGGGUUUUUGCCAAUAAGAUGGUCCAUCAAAUGAUUUUUCCACCAUCCAUAAUAUUUGCCAUUGAACACUGGUGGUCGUGUUUGUGAAGCUCCUUCUUGUGGGGUAGGUGGUGCUGCCAUUGAGUCUUUUCAAGGUGUGAAUCUUUUAUCGAAAAGAUCUGCUCUGAUACCAAUUGAAGAAACCUUACCCCAUAACAAGAACUAGGUUCUUGUAAGUUGCUUUUACGUAAAGAUACAAACACUUAUUGAAUUAAAAACCUUUCUCACUCAAGGAAGGAAAAACCUCGUUUUAUUAAUUCGACUAUAAUUUUUGUGAUUACAACUCAAUAAUCAAAAGUCUUAUCUCUACUACCUCCCUCGAUUGACUCCAAUCGAUCUCUCCAAAAGGCCAAACCCACCUUUUGUUACAACUCUUACUAACACUCAACCCUACAAAGAGCCAAACUCACCCUUUGUACAAUAAACUGUAAAUUACAAUCAAGAACAAAACAAUAAAACAGUUCUACACGUUAAAAACCUUCUCACUCAAGAAUGUUUUAAACGUGGUAAACCGAUCAAUCUUGAAGACUUCAGUUUGAUGAAUAAUUCUCCCUUUUCUCUCUAUGUGAAGUCAUCAUAAUCUUCAUCUGCAUCGUGCUCUUCUUAUAUAGUUUCUCUUGCCUCGUACACUCCUUAUCAGAUAAGGUAAGGAAGUUAUUGUUAAACAAGGACUCCUUUUUAAAGUACAAUCCUUAUUAUAUACAACUUCCUUCCUUAAUAAUAUAUUUAAGGUUUUCCUUAUUUGUAUCAACUUGUACCUUUAAUAUAUUAUUUUUGGCUUUUGACAAAUAACUCCAUUUUACUCGAUCUUGGCUUCUUUUGCUGCGUACAUUUGCUACUGUUCUUUGCGCUUCUUGUCUAUCAUCGAAACAUGAAUUAUUGAUUCUAUCAUAUUCUAUCAUAUUCCCCCUUUUUGAUGAAGACAAACAAAUCAUUCUGUGUGAUACAUGCGCAAAUACUCUUCCCCGUUUUGACAAAUCAAAAAGAAUCCAACAGCGGCUAAACAGACCCAAUCAACAUCCAUAGCAACGAAAUAAGCCCAGCCAGUUGAGCAAAAUAAAAUGUUCUGGCAACAAAACAAAGAGUAACAAUACAGAGUUAAAAUAACUAAGAGAACCAGGUUUAAACAAGAUGCUCUUUCAAUGUGGAGGUUGACCAGACUUAGUUCAAGCAGAAGCCAGCAUAUCGAGAACUCUGUCAACUCUUGCAUUGUUAGCAAGUUGUUGCUGCACCAACUGAUCCUUCAACCUGUGUAUUUCAACAUUUGAAGUGUCAAGCUCAUCACAUAACUUCUGGUUUUCUGACUCAAUAGUGGCGUUCUUUUCUUCAACUACUUUAAGUUCCCUGAGUAACUGAGCAACAAGACCGGAUGUACGUGGAGACGCAGUUGCAACCUGCUCCGACUCCAUGGGAAUGCCACAAUCAGCAAGGAUGGUUUGAGUGAACAUAUCUGCACGAGUUAAAAUCCUGCCUUCUCCCAAUGGUACUUCAAAUGCAUCAAACACUCUAGUCAACAGGUUUCUAAAAGCUAACUGAUGAGAACCUAGCUUAGGAUCCAUAAUUCUAGCAAGAUGUUUGAUAAUCAGUGUGGGCCAAUCAAUGCGUUCUUUGCACUCAAGUGCAUUCAUAAGUCCCAUGUCUCUUAUGGAGGCAAUGUGACGUUGGUGACCUCUAGGUAGUAUCACCUUAUGAACUAUCUCGAACAGAAGCUUAUGCAAAGAUCUCAUAAUUCCCUUUAAAAUAGUUUGUUCCCUAGAAUUGACUCUACCUUGAGAGAAUUUGGCUGGUAAGCCAGAAUAUUCAUCAAAACCCCGAUUGUACUCAUUUAUCCCCACAGAUGGUAUAUUCAAGAUUUCCCCAAGUUUGGUUGAAUCAAACACAAUGUCAACCCCUUUUACACUGGACGACACCACAUCUCCUUCUAGGAUUACCAAGUUCGUAUAGAAAUCUACCACUUCCUUUUCAUAAAUCAAACUAGGUUCAACAAAUAGCUCCUCCCACCCCUGAAACCUUAGUAGUUCACAAACCUGCUUCACUAUAUCCAUUGAAAGUAUAUCAGGGUGAAAGGUUCUACCCCUAAGCACUGGUUUGGUUUGGAAGUACUUUUUCCUUCCCACUUUGAGAAAUUUAUCUGCAUUUAUUUUUGCAGAUUUUGAUUGAGGAGUUGAAAAAUGUUUACCCUCAGACACAUCAUCAAUUUCAGAAUCAAGAUUCAUAGGAGAGACGGUUGAAUGAACAGGAGACUUACCCAAUCGUCGACGCUUCACACCAGAGAGUGUAUCAGCAGUUGGUUUGACUACAUGCGCACUCCUAGUCACUGGCUCGUGUGGACGAACCUGUUUGACUACGAUGUUCUUUCUUGGACGCCUUGGUUUUUUAGGAUGAAGGGUACUCAAAAGAGUAUCAUCAUUAAGUGGAGAUAGUGGUGGAUUUUGAGGAGUGGUUUGGUGAGAUGGGGAAGAAGGAGGAUUAUUUGGGACAGUAGUUGUGGGAGUUUCUGGGUUUGGUGAUAGUGGGGUUUCUUGGAUUGGUGACAAAGGGGUUUCAUGGACUGGGGACGAUGGGGUUUCGUGGACUGGGGAUGAUGGGGUUUCGUGGACUGGGACGAUGAGGUUUCAUGGACUGGUAUGAUGGGGUUUCUUGGACUGAUGAUGAUGGAGAUUCUAUGAUGGGUGGUGGAGGAGAUGUAGCUUUUGGUGGUGGAGAUGUGGCUAUUGGUAGUGGAGAUGAAGCUUUUGGUGGUGAAGAUGUAUACGGAUCUGAUUUGGGUGUAGAUGGUUUGGUGGGGAGUUGGCUUUCUUCCCCUUGAUUAAACACAACAUCAACAACCGUGUUCUCUUUCCCCUGAGAACAUGCACUAUCAGACAAGCUUUUGUCAUCGGAGUAAGCAACUAGUGGAUUAACCAUGGUGAUGGAAGGAAUUUCAUUUUCUUGUUUUUCUGAAGAAUGAAGAUGAGAGAAAGUUGGUUGCUUGUUUAGAGAGAGAGUGCUUUAUUGGGAACAGUUUGGAUGUUGUAUUCGAGGGGUUUGAGUAAUUAUGGGGAUUGACUCGAGAAGACGUGUGCUGUGACGGUUGCACCUGCUUUUCAGAGAAGUGACAUGGGAGAGAAAAGAUGAAAUUGAUUUCCCCCUUUCUUUUAUUUUUAAAAAAAUUCUUUUUUUUAAUUGUUAAAUGUAAAGAAAAUUUAGAACCAACUUGACUGAACCUGGUUUAUAUCUCCUUAGAACUUGGUUGGGCAGAGUUCAAUCAAGAAAGAUGAGCCCUAACUCAAGUCUAUUUUUCUGAAAUGACUCUCUUCCUAGUGCCUUGGUGAAAAUGUCAGCAACUUGAUUCUCAGUUUUGCAGAACUCCAUUACCAUGUUUCCUUUUUCAACAUUAUCACGAAGAAAGUAAUGUCUAACAUCUAUGUGUUUGGUGCGUUUUUGUUGAACUGGGUUUUUGGCCAUGUUCAUAGCACUUGUAUUAUCUCAUAGAAUAGGAAUACAACCUGUUUCUAUACCAAAGUCUUUAAGCUGCUGUUUUAUCCAAAGAAGUUGGGCACAACAUGAAGCAACUGCAACAUACUCAACCUCUGCAGUAGAUAGAGCCACUGAAUUUUGUUUUCUAGUUGCCCAAGAAAUUAAACAUGGUCCUUAAAAGUGUGCCAUCCCAGAGGUAAUUUUUCUAUCAACCAUAUGUCCUGCAUAAUCUACGUCAGCAAAUCCCUUUAGAUCAAAAGAGUCACCAGUUGGAUACCAGAGAACCAAGUUCAUUGUGCCUUUCAAAUAUCUCAAGAUUGUCUUGACAGCUUUUAGAUGUGAUUCCUUUGGACAAGACUGAAACCUUGUACACAGACCAACACUUAACACUAUAUAAGGUCUGCUGGCAGUGAGGUAUAGGAGUUAUCCAAUCAUACCUCUAUAUCUAGUGUCAUCGACUGGUGAACCUGGUUCAUCUUUAUCAAGCUUUGUUGUAAUCUCAAUGGGGGUGUCAUUUGACUUAGCUUCAUUCAUAUCAUACUUCUUCAGUAAUUCCUUGAUGUAAUUUUGUUGAUAAAUUGAUGUUCCAACUGGAUUUUGUUUAAUUUAAAGUCCCAAAAAGAAGUUCAACUCUCCCAUCAUACUCAUCUCAAACUCACUAUGAGCAAAUUCUACUCCUAGUGAGUUAUUUGUUCCUCCAAAUAUGAUGUCAUCUACAUAUACUUGGACUAUGAACAGAUCUUUACCUUGUUUUCGAAGAAACAGUGUAUUAUCAAUUUUUCCUCUUGUAUAUCCAUGUGUGAGAAGGAAAGUAGACAAUCGAUCAUACCAUGCUCUAGGUGCUUGUUUUAACCCAUAGAGUGCUUUGUCCAGUUUAUAUACAUGAUCAGGAUACAUGGUAUUCUCAAAACCUGGGUUUGUUUUACAUACACCUCUUCUUGUAAGUAACCAUUUAAGAAGACACUUUUGACAUCCAUUUGGUAGAGUUUGAACUCCAUGUGAGCAGCAUAUGCGACCAAUAUUCUAAUUGCCUCAAUUCUUGCUACUGGUGCAAAGGUUUCAUCAUAGUCUAUACCUUCUUCUUGGUUGUAUCCCUAGUUCCUAUCAACUGUCCUGUUUUGGGGUUUUGGAACCAGGUUCCACACUCUGUUUCUUUCAAACUGGUUGAGUUCUUCUUGCAUAGCACCAAUCCAAUCAGAGUUUAGCAGUGCUUCCUUUAGAUUUUUAGGCUUAAUCAGGGACACAUAGGCAGAGAAUGCACACAUACUACGUAGUUUGGAUCUUGUAUAUAUGCCUGAGUUAAGAGGAGUAAGAAUGUUUUGCAAAGGGUGAGAGCUUUGAUGUUUCCAACUAUGAGUUGGAAUAAUUACUGGUUCUUGAGGUGCAGAUGAACCAGUUUCAUUAGUAGACUUAUCUCCUAUUUCAGAUGUUUUAUCAGAGGGUAUGGGUUCUUUUUCCCAUAUUUUUGUUUUGAUGGCUUGGAGCAGGUUCCCUCAUUUUGUUCAUCCUCUGAAUUUCCUUCUUCACUAGUAUGUUCAUUAAAGACAACAUGGAUACUUUAUUCUACACGGUUUGUUCUUUUGUUCAGUACCUUGUAGGCCUUGCUUUCUGAUAAGUAGCCCAGAAAAAUUCCUUCAUCACUCUUGGCAUCAAAUUUUCCCAAAUUGUCUUUGUCAUUGUUGUGUAUAAAGCAUACACACCCAAAGGCCCUAAGAUGUGCUAGAUUUGGUUUUCUUCCUUUUAGCAGCUCAUAUGGUGUUUUAUUUGACAUUGAUCUGAUCAUACAUCUGUUUAUUAGAUAGCAUCCUGUGUUCACUGCUUCAGCCCAAUAGAAUUUUGGAAGUUUGCUUGAGAUUAGCAUUGUUCUUGCAAUAUCUUCCAGUGUUCUAUUUUUCCUCUCAACAACACCAUUUUUUUGUGAUGUUCUCAGUGGUGAGAAGUUAUGCUCAAUCCCAUUCGUAGUAUAAAAUUGUAGGAAUUGUGAGUUCUCAAACUCCAGCCCAUGAUCAGAUCUGAUGCUGAUUAUUUCUUUGUUGAAUUCCUUCUGAACCAGCUUUGCAAAGAUUUCAAACAUAGUGAAUGUCUCAUCCUUUGUUGCAAGAAACAAUGUCCAAGUGAAUCUUGAGUAGUCAUCAACUAUUACAAACACAUAUCUUUUUCCACCCCUGCUUUGUACACGCAUUGGUCCACACAAAUCCAUGUGAAGCAGUUCUAGUGGCUUGGUAGUACUUACUGUCAACUUUGGUUUGAAGGAUGACCUAACCUGUUUUCCUUGAAUGCAGGUUCCACAUACUUGGUUGUCCUUGAAACUUUUGGUUGGCAGUCCCCUAACCAGGUCUUUAGAUAUGAGCUUUUUUAUGGUUGUCAUGCUAAUGUGUCCCAUUCUUUUGUGCCAUAGCAUGGAGCAAUCAGAGACUGCACUUAGACAUUUAAGAGUACCUUCCUUGGAGUCAACAAUAUUGACUUUGUACACAUUCUUGUGUCUCUUACCUAGUAGAACCAGGUUCCAAGUUACUGAGUUUGUUACUCUGCAUUCUUUUUCUGUAAAAGAACGUUGUUUCCAUUAUCACAUACUUGAGAUAUGCUCAAUAGAUUAUGUUGUAGGCCAUUCACAUAAUAUACGUUCUCAAUUGCAUGAGUAUCCAUUGAUCCAACCUUUCCAAUUCCCUGAAUUUCACCGCUUUUUCCAUUACCAAAGGCAACGUUUCCUCCUUUGAUGUUCUUGAGUGAGAGGAAGCUUCUUUUAUCUCCAGUCAUGUGUCUGGAACAUGCACUAUCCAAGUACCAUUGUUGCUGCUUCCUCUUCACUGAUCCCUGCAAUUUAAUUUUGGGAAUUAGAUUUUGGUACCAAAAUCCACUUUGAUUUAUGCUUAGGGAAUGGGUGGAUAAGAUUUCUUCUAGCCCAUCUAGGAAGAGAUUUGACUGUAGGAAUUUGUUUUUGCUCAUUAGGUUUCUCAUAAUGAGGUUUUCUCAAGGACUUCAAGUUUUUGUUAUGAGCAAUAUGUUUUCUUUGACAAUCAUGGCUUUUACACCCUACCAGCCCACAGUGCAUGCAUAGACAAUCUAUGUUGGAAUUUUUUACUUGAGAGCUAGUUCUAUCAAAACCUAUCCCAUGUUUCUCAAAUGUGCGAUUCUUGUGAAUGUUGUCAAGCAGUAUGGAAGACCUGGUCAAUCUCAUUCCAUUGCCUGCUUCAGUUUUAGUCACAAGAAGCUCUUUGGAGAGUGCUUCAUUCCUUUUAGUUGCCAAGUCUAAGUUUUUACUUAGUUCAGUAUUCUUGGAUAAAAGAUGAAGAUUUUGUUUUUCAAGAAUCUUGUUUUCUUCUCUUAGUGAUGCAUAGUCUUCCAUUAUCAAUUCCCUUUUUGAGUCUAUGGUUUUAUAUGCAUCAAUGAGAGUGCAGAGUAGGGAUUCUAGCUCCCUUUUUGAGUAUGAGCUUAGAUUGUCUUGUAUGUGAUGAAGACUAACCUUUUCAUUCAUAUCUUCUUCUUCUUUAUCUUCUUCAGAAUCUGAUCCAGCCAUGAGUGCUAGUAUGGUUUCUUGUGAUCUGCAGGUUUCCUUUUCUUCCAUGGUUUCCACUGCUACAAGGGCAAGAAAGUCAUAAUCAUCUUCUUGUUCUAGUGUAAGAAGGGACUAGUUUUCUGUCUCAUCACCCUCAGACUCUUCAUAAGAUGAAUUCCCCAUUGCUGCAAAGGCCCUCUUCAUUGACAUAUCUGCCUCUUGAGUUGUCAUUCUUUUGUUUGAGGGGACAAACUUAUCCUUUUUGAUGUCUUUACCCUUCUCAAAGUUUACCUUUUUCUGCUCUAAGGCCCAAAGUGGACAGAAUUUGAUGAAGUGAUCUGGGCUCCCACACUUAUGACAAACAUGGUCUUUAGUGUUUUCAGAUGGUUUUUGAGAAGCUUUCUUUUGAAAAGUCUGUCCUCUCUUUAGCAUUCUAGUGAACCUUUUGGUUAUGAGGGCAAUAUUUUCUUCUUCAAAAUCAUCUGAUGCAGUAGCUUUUAGAACCAGGUUCCUUUCCUUUCUUUUUCCUCCAAUUUCCUUUUCUUAGUUUUUCUUGAGUUCGUAUGUGAUGAUAUUACCAAUUAACUCAUCCAUUGCCAAUGAGUCUAGGUCGCGAGCUUCAGUGAUAGCCUCGACUUUGCUUUCCCAGGUUUCAGGAAGGACACUCAAGAGUUUCCUUACUGCCUUUCCAUUACGCACCAUCUCUCCUAAAGAGUACAUCUCAUUAAUGAUGGAGGUGAACCUAGUGUGCAUGUCUUGAAUAGUCUCCCCUUCUGCCAUCCUGAAUAGCUCAUAUUGCCUGUUCAAGUUGUCAAUUUUAGACUUCUUGACUUGCAAUGUUCCCUCAUGAGCGGUUUGCAGUGUUUCCCAUAUGGCUUUGACAUCUUGACAAGACGGGAUUCGAUUGUAUUCGUCUGGUCCUAUGCCACAUAUCAGAAUUUUCUUGGCUUUGGCAUUGUUUUGAAUUGCAAGCUUGUCUUCAGCAUUCCAUUCUUUUCUUUCCUUUGGGAUUUUGGUGAUUCCAUCAGUUGCGGUUUUCAUAGGUAUGGUUGGGCCAUCUAAAAUUACUCCCCAUAGAUCAGGAUUUUUGCCAAUAAGAUGGUCCAUCAUACAAUUUUUCCACCAUCCAUAAUAUUUGCCAUUGAACAGUGGUGGUCGUGUUUGUGAAGCUCCUUCUUGUGGGGUAGGUGGUGCUGCCAUUGAGUCUUUUCAAGGUGUGAAUCUUUUAUCGAAAAGACCUGCUCUGAUACCAAUUGAAGAAAUCUUACCCCAGAACAAGAACCAGGUUCUUGUAAGUUGCUUUUACGUAAAGACACAAACAAUUAUUGAAUUAAAAACCUUUCUCACUCAAGGAAGGAAAAACCUUGUUUUAUUAAUUCAACUAUAUGAUUUUGUUAUUACAACUCAAUAAUCAAAAGUCUUAUCUCUACUGCCUCCCUCAAUUGACUCCAAUCGAUCUCUCCAAAAGGCCAAACCCACCUUUUGUUACAACUCUUACUAACACUCAACCCUACAAAGAGCCAAACCCACCCUUUGUACAAUAAACUGUAAAUUACAAUCAAGAACAAAACAACAAAACAGUUCUACACGUUAAAAACCUUCUCACUCAAGAAUGUUUUAAACGUGGUAAACCGAUCAAUCUUGAAGACUUCAGUUUGAUGAAUAAUUCUCCCUUUUCUCUCUAUGUGAAGUCGUCAGAAUCUUCAUCUGCAUCGUGCUCUUCUUAUAUAGUUUUUCUUGCCUCGUACACUCCUUAUCAGAUAAGGUAAGGAAGUUAUUGUUAAACAAGGACUCCUUUUUAAAGUACAAUCCUUAUUAUAUACAACUUCCUUCCUUAAUAAUAUAUUUAAGGUUUUCCUUAUUUGUAUCAACUUGUACCUUUAAUAUAUUAUUUUUGUCUUUUGACAAAUAACUUCAUUUUACUCGAUCUUGGACUCUAGCUUGGCUUCUUUUGCUGCAUACAUUUGCUACUGUUCUUUGCGCUUCUUGUCUAUCAUCAAAACAUGAAUUAUCGAUUCUAUCAUAUUCUAUCACAAUCAUUAUGAUAUAAAUGGUUGCAUAAGUUAUCUCAAACAUGUCAACUAAACAAGACAUCUAAAUUAUGUCCCAGGACUUUUUUUUUAUCCUAUGACUACUUUAAUUUAUCCCUCACAUCAAAUAAGCCCUUAAUUCUCUCAAUAUUCUAACCAUAUUUUUUAGGACUCCUUAAUUAUUAGUUUCUUAAAACACCUUAUCACAUGUUAUAGGACUAUUUAGUUAUUGAUUUUCUUAAAUAGUUCUUAUCAUAUGUUUUGAGACUAAUUAAUCAUUAAGUUUUUUUUAAGAUUUUUACCAUAUAACUUUUCUAUUUAUGUACAUGCAUAUAUUACUUCCAUCAUAUUACAUGAAAUCACAAAAAAGAUUUAAAAGAGAAGGAAAUGUAAUAAAGAAAAAAGGGAACUACCAAGAAAUAUAUUUAUCAAACUUUCCAACUUCACACUAAAACCGAGCAACAACAGCAACAAUGAUGGGGCCUCCAGUCUUUUUUCCAUCAAGGAAAGUGCACUUUCUUCCGCUAUAUAUAUAAAACCCAGAAACUAUAAACUCGGAAAAUCCAAUUUAGCUUUCAAAAUAAACAAUAUUAAUUUUACAAAAAAAAAUAAAAAUAAAUAAAUCAUAUCAAUUAAAAGGAAAUAAAUAAUAUUUGAAUCAUUAGUACAACAUUUUCUUGAGAGGUCACUGCAAAAUUUUCCUCGUACGUAAUCUUUCGAAUUAUAAUCAUACAGCCAAACCUCGCCAUAUUAAUAUAGUUGGGAUCAUGAAAUAUUAUUAUUUUGCGGAGAUAUUAUUUAAUCAAUAAAUUAAUAUUUAUUAAUUUAAAGAGUGUUUUGAGGUUCAACCUUGUGAUAAUGGGAUAAAUAGAGAUUUGAAGUCAUAUCACCGGAACAUAUUUUGUUGAAAGAUAUUGGAAGACUAUAAAGUCAGAAAAACUAAUCCAGAAACAAUUAAUGUUCUGGAUGCUAUCAAGUUUGCAAUCUCAGCUUGAACAACAAAUAUUCAAAAAGACAUAUACAAAAGCAAAUUAUUUUCGACACUGCAAAAUUUGUGCGGAAUAGGGGUUCAAAUAGGUUGGGCGGGUUAGAUUGAGAUAGAAAUCGGAUUGGGUCUUGACCUGUUCAAAUUUACUUUUGACUCAAAUGGGGUUGGGUUCAAAUAAACUAAAAAACGGGUUGGAUCUUGACAUAGUGAUAUUUAACUUUAAUAAUCACAAUUCAAAUUUUCUCUCAAGAUUUCAUUUUUAAAAUAUAACAAUUGGAUAGAUAAAUCCUAAAAUUGUUAAAUAGAUAAUAAUUCAUACCAUUAAUAUAGGAAAAUAUCUUAGUAAAUUUUUUUAAAACAUGUUAAAAUUGGAAAUUGAAUUGGGCUUAAUUGAGGAUUCUCUUAAAAUGCAUGGCUUGAACGGGUUGAGAUUUAAUUUAAUUCAAUUUUCUUGAGACUAACACUUAAAAUUCUGGGGUGGGUGGGCAGGUUAUGUAUGUUUGGGUUCAUUUCUGACACCCGUAGUUUGGAGGAUGAAAUCUCAAUGAUUUAGAAUGAACCCACUAGUGAAAACGUCAUUCAUUUACUUAUUGUCAUAAUUAAUGUUCAUGAUUAUCGCGGUAAAAUGGACGUCAAUAACUUGUUGAAUUAUGCUGGUAAAAAUGACAUAUGAUCAGAGAUUUAGACCUUAGAAUAAAUUGUAGAUACAAUGAAAAAUAAUGUUAAUAGUGAAGUUGAAGAUGAAACAAUACCUUCGAAACCAUUCAUGUAUAAAAAACACUUAUCACAUCUUGAACUCUUCACAAUUUUAUGAUGCAGUACAAAAAGACAAAGAUGAAACUCUUUGAUGUAAUAAGAAAAUGUAGAGAUGAACUUCAACAAGAUUUAAAGUUCAACAAUAAACGAUACACAUAAAAUCAUUCACUUAGAUAUAUUUACAUUUUAAAAUAAUUAUUAAUUUUAUAAUAUCAAUGGGAUCAUAUAUUUUAUAUCAAGAUUUUCUAAAAAUAUAUUAUCUUAUUAUUUUAUCGUAAUAAGUGAUUUUUUUCAUCAGCUCAAAUCGAGAUCGAAGAAAAAUAUUAGUAAUUUAUUUAAUAUUAACACGGUGAAGUUUUAUUGUACAUCACAAUUUUGAUACUUUAUUGAUUACAAACUUACUUUGGGAAAGAGCGCUGAAUGAAAUAUGAUCUAAUAUAGGCAGAGAGUUGUUUAAAUCAUAUGACCAUUAUUUAUUGCUAACAUUCAUUCUUGACUCACAUAAAGUAAAAUUUACUUAUACUCCUUGUUAUUCUUAUUUAUUACUUUUAUCAAUAUUGAUACUACUUUUAAAUCAUAUAGUAUCUUCUUUUCAGUAUGACCACGGGUAAGGAAGAAAUGAUUAAUUAUUAGGUUUUAAGCUUUAGAAAGACAAAUAUUGUGAAUAUCUAUUUUUAAUAAAAAUGUAACAUAAUUAGAAACAUAUUUUUAUCAUCAAAACAUUUAUGACUGCAAAUAAAUUAGUUAAGAUUUAUAAAAUAGGGUUAAAAACAAGUGAAAUAGUCUAAACCAUUUUUUCCAAUUAGGAGCUAAUAAUACAAGCAAAUAGAAAUUAUAUUCAAGAUUGAACGCAAAAAAAAAAACAUUACUCCCGAGAGGGCGUUUAAUUUAGAUUGACUUAACAGUUGGUCAAAUCUAUCUUUAACUCAGUUUUAUUUUUCCUAAAAAUAUUUGAUAAAUAUAAAAAGGUAACAUAAAAUAAGUUUAAAAUACUUUAGGAAUAAGUAAAAAGUACAGUCUUACCAUCUACUCCAUUUUAAGACUUUAAUUAUUAGUUCUCUCAAAACUUCUUACGAGAGGACUCGUUAAUUAUAAGUUCUCUUAAAAUGUCUUACCAUAUGAUUUAGGACUAUUUAGUUAUUAAUUUUCUUAAAUAGUUCUUACCACAUAUUUUAAGACCACUUAAUCAUUAAGUUUUUUUUUUGUACUCUUACCAUAUAAUUUAUCUAUUUCUCUUACCAUAUUACCAUAUAAUUUUUCUAUUUCCGUAAAAAUAUUACUUCCAUCAUAUUAUAUGAAAUAAAAAAAAGUUUAAAAGAGAAGGAAAUUUUAUAAACAAAAAAUGGAACUUAUUUAUUAGAGCUAAAUGAUGAAAUACAUGACAAAAGAAUAUGACAAGUCAAUAUAUAUAAAAAAAAAAAUUUAAAAAAGUAACUACAAAAAAACUUAUAAAGAAAUAUAUUUAAAAACUUUCCAAGUUUGAUUAAAAACUCCAGAAAUUCUAGAAACACAUGUAUGAUUGUGAAUUGGCAGAAACAACUAUACAUUUAUUGGUAUAGGCAGAAGCACAAGAGGUAGUAUAAAAAAAUAAUCAAUGAGCAAAUGAUGAUAAACAAACUCUCAUUCUGGAAUAUAAGAUUAGUAGCUCAUAUAAUUCUUUUGAAAGAAUAAUUUAUUUGAAGAAAAAAAACCCUGCAUAUAUUACCUUUACGGAAUCGUAAAAAUUAAAGGUCUUUAGGAAAUAUAAACCUUUAGAAGAAAGCUCGAAAUGACAAAUGUUGUGGCAAAUAGCUCUUCCAAAAUUUGUGAAUUGGCAGAAACAACUAUACAUUUAUUGGUAUAGGCAGAAGCACAAGAGGUAGUAUAAAAAAAUAAUCAAUGUGCAAAUGAUAAUAAACAAACUCUCAUUCUGGAAUAUAAGAUUAGUAGCUCAUAUAAUUCUUUUGAAAGAAUAAUUUAUUUGAAGAAAAAAAAACUUGUAUAUAUUACCCUUACGGAAUCGUAAAAAUUAAAGGUCUUUAGGAAAUAUAAACCUUUAGAAGAAAGCUCGAAAUGACAAAUGUUGUGGCAAAUAGCUCUUCCAAAAUUUGCAUGUACAAGAUCAUGUUGAGGAAUAUGGACCAACUCAGGCUUCGUCCUACUUUAUUACCACUUUAAUGCUUUAAGAUACCUUGGUUCUAUGCUAGGACUUCUACGAGUGAUGGCUCCCUCGCGAACAUUGUCUAUCACCUCGAAUGACUAACACACUUGUUUUGGAGUUAAACUCAAGAUAAAAUAGUUGCUCCACGUUCUCAAACUCUACUAUUAUAGCUCCUCGAUUAGAUAAGAUGGUAUUUCUAGGUGUUGCAUCACAUUUGGCUUAUAUACCUUCUUCCAUGAUCAUUUAUAAGAAAAAAUUAUUUAGAAGGUUCAAGAUUGUGAAUGCUUUAACCUAUACGGGUGAGUUGAAUUAGGAUGCAUAUGAAUUUAUGAUUACUUGUAACAAGAGGCUGCAUAACCUAGAUUAGUCGAGUCUCUUGAAUUGACUACACGAUGUUCCAGUUGAAUGAUGACUAGCCUUACCAAGCAGUGAUGGAGGGAUUAUAUUAAUAGUAGGUCAGGUGGAUCACUUCCUCCACCAUGUUUCUAGAUAAGUUUCUUCAACGCAAUGAGAGGGAGAGAAAGAGGGUCGAGUUCUAGAGUUUGCAGCAAGAUGACAUGUAAAUCGCAGAGUAUGAGGUUAAAUUGCAUGCCUCAUUUAGGCACCCUUUAUGAUACUUUCCACCGAGACUAAGAAAGUGAGAGGGUUUGUAAUUGAGGGUCUAAGUAUAUUGAUUCAUUAUAUGGGGGUUUCUUAGGUUACCGCUUCUCGUGUUUCAUUUCAUAAAGUGGUAAAUGUUGCAAUAUUGUUGGAUAUGAUUCGAUGUGAGGGAUUUGAGUAGGGUGAGGACAAAUGGCUCAUCAUUUAGGUCAUUUGGGUAGUGCUCCUCCUAAGAGUCGAGGUUACUCAGGAAAAGGUUGUCACUCUUAGACUAACAGACCCAUUCAUGUUGCGAUACUGUUGUUGCGGCUGAUUAUAUUGGGCAUACUUCUUCUAGACCCGUAGGUCGUGGAGGGAAUCAUGGUCAUUCAGGUUCCUAUCAUCAGCAUACGUAUCGUAUUUACCAUUGUACCCUUAUUUAGUAAUUCUUAAAGUUAAGUUUUUAGUCAAUGAAUACGAAUUAAUUUAUUUUGAGUAAUAAAAUAAUUUGAUUAAUAGACAUGAAUUAUUUACUUAGUUUUUUCAUAUUGGUAAAACUUAUAUUUGUAGGUUGAUAACUUUCAAGCGUAAAAUAGAAAAAAUAUAUUAUGCAUUGAUUUUGUAAAAUGAUAAAUAUUAAUAUUAUCUAUUUUAGUAAAGACAAAAUGUAAAUAGGAAUAGAGAAAGUAUAUUCCUAUUCUUUUUUCCAUAUACAUUAGCAGUACUUAAUUCCUUAACUAUAUAUUAAUUCUCCUAAUACUCCCUUCGUUUAAUUUUACUUGUUACGUUUUAAUUUGUCACACGAAUUUAUUCAAUUUUACUUGGCAGUAAAGUACACUUUAAAUAUUACAUUUAGUCGUAGAAGAAUUCCAGAAAAAUCAUGUUAUGAAAAUAAGAGUAUAUCUCUCAAUUUAUCUAAAACAAAGGUAGUGUGUAAAGGUUACUAUUGUGCUUUACUAGAAAUGUCACAAACUUUUGUAAAAGUUGUAAUCUUUCGGAAAGGUCCCCACUUUUCAUAAAAGUCAUAACUUUUCUAAAAGUAAUAACUUUUCAUUAAAGCCGCAACUCUUCAUACUUUUCAUAAAAGUCACAACUUUUCAUUAAAGCCGCAACUCAUUAUAUUUGGCAUAGUUCUUUUAAACUUGUAGGUCGUGGAGGGCAUUGUGUUCAUUCAGGUUCCUCUCAUCAGCAUACGUUUCAUAUUUUCUAUUGUAUCCUUAUAUAAUAUUUUUGUUAAAGUCAAGUUUUCAAUCAGUGAACAUGAAUUACUUUAUGUUGAGUAGUUAACUAAUAUGACCAAUAGACAUGAAUUAUUUACAUAGUUUUUCCAUUCUAGUGAAAUGUAUAUUUUCUAGGCUUAUAUCUUUCAAGGGUAAAAUACGAAAAAUAUAUUAAUUUAUGCAUUGAUUUUGUAAAAUGAUAAAUAUUAAUAAUAUUUAAUUUUAGUAAUGACAACAUGUAAAUAGGAGUGGAGAAAGUAUUUUUUCUAUUCUUUUUACCAUAUAUUUUAAUACUACUGAAUUCCUCAACUAUUAAUUAUCCUAAUACUCCCUUCGUUCAAUUUUGCUUGUCAAAUUUUGACUUGACACACCGAUUCGGUGAAAUUUUACAUGGAAGUUAUGUACAUUUUGAAAAAUAGAUUUAGUAGUAGAAGAAGUCCAGAAAAAUCAUGUUAUUAAAAUGGGAGCAAAUUCCUCAAUUUUUAGAAAACAACGAAUAGGGGUAAACGUUCUUAUUGUGCCUUACGGAAAGGUCACAAACCUUUGAAAACAUUACAAUCUUUCGGAACGGUCACCACCUUCCAUAAAAGUCAUAAUUUUUCAUAAAAAUCUCAACUCUUCAUACUUUUCAUAAAAGUCACAAUUUUUCCUAGAAAUCUUAUUUUUUUUUAUAAAAGUCACAACUCUACAUAAAAUUCGCAACUUUUAAUUAUCAAAGUCACAACUUUAUAUAAAUAUAACAAUUCUUAAUUUUCCAUUCACACCUUUUAAAAUCUAACACAUGGCAAGUAAAUAUAUAUAUAAAAUAAAAGAAGGUAAUUACAAUUGAACUUAUAAAGAAAUAUAUUAAUUACUUUCAAAGUUGAUAGAGAUUGUAGCAGCAGAUUUGUAAUUCCAUUCUCUUUUCCAUCAAGUAAAGUACACUUCCGCAACCCCUAUAAAUAACACCCAUCACCACAUCGGAAGAGCAUAAGAAAACUAACAAUUCUCUUACACUCAAAAUAAAUAUGAAGAAAAUUGUAAAAGACGAGUAUUUGUGCCUCAGUUUUAACAAUAUUGGACUUUCAUCGGAUAUUGCUGCAAAACUCUCCGAUGAAUUUCAGGUGGAGGAGAACCAUAGCGAAGAAGAUUUUAAAUUCUCUUUAGCCUCUGAGAAUUCGAAUAACACAAUUGCGAAUUUCAUCUAUGACAGUCAGAAUAAAUUUUAGCAGCCAACUUUCCCUCUUUUCAACCGCGAUCUAUUGCAAAGUGAUUUAGAUUUGAAGGAUGUUGAUAAAUUAAUUUUGAUUCCGUUAAAGGAAUUUUUUCUAGAAAAAUAAAUCAACGACGUCAUUGGAAGUGUAGACGAUAACUGCCGGAGCUUAUUGUAUGUGGAAGCCGAAGAUAAGCGACGAAUCACCAGGAAAAUGCAACAAGAGUAAAUCAACUCUAUAUGUAUCAAAACAAUGGGGAUCCGAUAUCUGUUAUGGCAGAGUAAUAGUGGGGCAUUUUUGUAUUUCUCACAAGAAAAGAAAAAUAAAAAAAUUCCAGUGAGGUGAUGAAGAUUGCCGGAAAAUUGAAGCAGACGAAAACCAGCUGAGGAGAGAAUGGUUCACCGACGGCCGCUGAAACUGCGAGGGCUUUUGAGCAGUCAAUGUAUUAUGUAGGAAAUAGAGAAGAUGAUAUGAAUAGAUUAAAAUAAUAUUUACCUUAUAGGAAAGAAAUUAUUGGAAUUUUUCUUAUUGGAUUCUAACAUGUAAAUGCUUGUCAGCAUAGAUUGUUAAGAGUUUUUUUUGUGUGUGUUAUAGAAUAGCAUUUUAUCACCAACCAUUUUUAAAUGGAUGUUGCUUUUUUUUAUAUAUUAAUAUUACAUUGCUAUGAAAAAUAAAAUAGCUUUUUAGUAUUUUUCUAUAGUUUUUUAACGAGUUAAUUUAUUAUUUUAAAAUAUUUUAUGAUCAUAUCUAAUUUAGAUUUGAAAGUUAAAAAUAUUAAUUUUGCAAAAAAUAUUUAAAAAAUAUCAUAUAAAUUAAAAGGAAGUAAAUAAUAUUCAAAUCAUUAGUACAACAUUUUCUUGAGAGGUUACUGCAAAUAUUUUCCUCGUAUGCAAUCUUUUAAAUUAUAAUCAUCGUAAAACCUAGUAAUAUUAACAUAGUUGGGAUCAUGAAAUAUUAUUAUUUUGUAGAAAUAUUAUUUAAUCAAUAAAUUAAUACUUAUUAAUGUAAAGAGUGUUUCCAGGUUAAACCUUGUGAUAUUGGGAUAAAUAGACGUUUCAAGUUGUAUCACCGCAACAUAUUUUAUUGAAGGAUAUUAGAAGGCUAUAACGUCGGACAAACUAAUCCAGAAAAGAUUAAUGUUCUCGAUGCUAUCAAAUUUUCAAUUCCAUCUUGAACAACAAACAUUCAACAAUAGACAAAAACAAAAUUAUUUUCGAUACUGCAAAAUUUGUUCGGAGUAGGGUGUCAAAUGGGCGGGCUGAGUUGAAAUUGGAGAUAUUAAAAUGGGUUGAGAUAGGAAUCUGAUCGGGUCUUCACCCACCCAAAUUAACUUUGGACUCCGACGGGGUUGGGUUAAAAUGUGCUAAAAACACGGGCUGGGUCUUGAUUCACCCAAUUUGACGUGACUAACCUCAAUAAUUUAAACAUCAUAAUAUUUAACUUUAUAAUCACAAUUCGAAUUUCUGCUCAAGAGUCUUUUUAAAAAAAGUAAAAGUUAGAUAGAUAAAUCCUAAAACGGUGAAAUAGAUAAUAAUUCACACCUUUAAUAUAGGAACAUAUCUUAGUAAAGCAUUUUAAAACAGAUUAAAAUUGGAGAGUGAAUUGGGCUUAAUUGAGGACUCUCUUAAUAUGGUUAUUCUUGAAUGAGUUAAGAUUGAAUCCAAUUCAAAUUAUCUUGAGCCAAUCAAAAUUUUGGGCGGUUUGAGCGAGUUAUCUAUUUUUUGGUUCAUUUUUGACACCCCUAGUUCAGAGGAUGAAAUCUCAAGGAUUUUGAAUGAACCCACUUAUGAAAACGUCAUUCAUUUACUUGAUGUCAUAAUUAAUGUUUUAGAUUAUCGAAAUCAAAUGAACGUGAAGAAUAUGUUGAAUUAUCCAUGUGAAAAUUUUACAUGAUCAGUGAUUCAAAGCUUACAAGAAAAUGUGAUACCAUAAAAAAUAAUGUUAAAAGUGAAGUUGAAGAUGAAACAAUAUAUUUGAAACCAUUUGCGUAAAAAUCAUUUAUCGCAUCUAGAUUUUUUCAUAUUUUUAUGAUGCAGUUUGAAAAGUCAAAAAUGAAAUUGUUUGAUGUAAUAAGAAAAUGUAAAGAUGAACUUCAACAAGAUUUAGAGUUUAACAAUAAACGAUACACAAUAAAAACAUUCACUUAGAUAUAUUUGCAUUUUUAAAUAAUUAUUAAUUUAUAAUAUUAAUAAGACCAUAUAUAUUUAUAUAAAGAUUUUCUAAAAAUAUAUUAUCUUAUUAUUUUGUAGAAAUAAGUGAUUCUUUCCAUCAACUCAAAUCAACAACGAAGAAAAAUAUUAUCCUAAAAUAUUAAUAAUUAUUAUAGUAUUAACAUGGUGAAGUUUUAUUGUACAUCACAAUUUUGACACUUCGUUAAUUAUAACCUUAUUUGAAAAAAGAACAGUGAAUGAAACAUGAUCUAAAAAAGGCUUAGAGUUGUUUAACUGAAAUGACCAUUAUUUAUUGCUAGCAUUCUUCUUGACUCAUUUAUGUAAAAGAUACUUAUACUUCUUAUUAUCCUUAAAAUGACUAGUAUUGUAAAUUUCUAUAUUUAAUAAAAAUGUAAAAUAGUUAGAAACAAAUUUUGAUUAUCAAAAUUUUUGUGAUUGCAAAUAAAUUAGUUAAAUUAUAAAAUAGGGUCAAAAACAAGUGAAAUUGUCUAAAUACUUUUUUAUUUCAAUUAGGAGCUAAUAAAACAAGCAAUCAGAAAUUAUAUUCAAGAUUGAAGGUAAAAACAAAUAUCACUCCUGAUAGGGUGUUUCAUUUGGAUUGACUUAAUAGUUGGUCAAAUCUAUCUUUAAGUCAGUUUUUGACUUCUGAAAGUGUUUGAUAAAUAUAUAAAAAAUAACUUAAAAUAAGUCAAGAAUGAUUUAAAAUAUGUUAGAAAUAAGUGAUAAGUAAAAGUACUGUUACCAUCUACUCCAUUUUAAGACUUUAAUUAUUAGUUCUCUAAAAACUUCUAACCAUUAGGAGUUAAUUAUUAGUUCACUUAAAACGUCUUACCAUAUGUUUUAGGACUAUUUGGUAAUUAAUUUUCUCAAAUAGUUCUUACCAUUAUUUUAAGACUACUUAAUCAUUAUGUUUUUUUAAUACUCUUACCAUAUAAUUUUUCUAUUUCUCUUACCAUAUUACCAUAUAAUUUUUCUAUUUUGGUAGAUGUAUUAGUUCAUCAUAUUAUAUGAAACAACUUUUUUUAAAAAAAUAGUAAUUUAAUAAACAAAAAAGGGAACUUAUUUAAUAGAGCUAAAUGAUGUAAUAAAUGACAAAAGAACAUGGCAAGUAAAUACAUAGAAAUUUUUUUUAAAAAAAGUUAACUAUAAAAGAACUUGUGAGGAAAUAUAUUUAAUAACUUUCCAAAUUUGAUAUAAAAAGCUCCAGAAAUUCUAGAAGCACAUAUGUAAUUGUGAUUGAGCAGAAAGAACUACACCAUUGUUGGUAAAGGCAAAAACAAAAGGAGUAGUAUACCAAAAGCAUCUAUGUGUAAAUGAUGAUAAAGUAACUCUUAUUUUGGAAUAUUAGAUUAGUAGCUCGGAUAAUUCUUCGGAAAGAAUAAUUGAUUUGAAGAAAAGAAACACAUAUUCAUAUAUUACCCUUACGGAAUCGAAUAAAGGUCUUAAGAAAAUAGAAACCUUUAGAAGAAAGCUCGAAAUGACAAAUAUUGUGGAAAAUACCACUUCACAAAUUUGCAUGAACAAGAUCAUGUUGAGGAAUAUGGACCAACUCUGGCUUCGCCCCACUUUAUUACCACCUUAAUGCUUUUAGAUACCUUGGUUUAUAUGCUAGGACUCCUGUGAGGGAUGGCUUUGUCAGGAAUAUUGUAUGUCACCUCUGAUAGCUCAUACACUCAUUUUGGAGUCAGACUCAAGAUCAAAUAGUUGAUCCACAUUCGCAAACUUUUCUAUUAUAGCUCCUCAAUUAGAUAACAUAUUAUUGCUAGGUGUUGCAUCACAUUUGGCUUAUAUGCCUUCCAUGAUCAUUUAUAAGAAAAUCUGUUCAUACGAUUAAAGAUUGUGAAUGCUUUCACCUAUACGGGUGAGUUGAAUGAGGAUGCAUAUGAAUUUAUAAUUACUUGUAACAGAAGAUUGCAUAACCUAGAUUAGUUGAGUCUCAUGAAUUGACUACACAAUGUUCAAGUUGAGUGAUGAUUGGCCUUACCAAUCAAUGAUGGAUGGAAUUAUAUUAAUAGUAGGUCAUGGAUCACAUCCUCUGCCAUGUUUCUAUAUAAGUUUGUUCCACAUAAUGAGAGGGAAAGAAAGAGGGUCGAGUUCUAGAGUUUGCAGCAAGAUGGCAUGUCGAUCGCAGAGUAUGAGGUUAAAUUGCAAGCCUUGGCUUGGCACGAUUUGAUGAUACUUUUCAUCAAUACUGAGAGAGUGAGAGGGUUUAUAAUUAAGGUUAUAAUUAAUUGAUUCAUUAUAUGGGGGUUUCUUAGGUUACCGCUUCUCGUGUUUCAUUUCAGAAAGUGGUAAAUGUUUCAAUAGUGUUAGAUAUGAUUUGAUGUUAGGGAUUUGAGUAGUGUAAGGACCAGAGAGCUCAUCAUUCAGGUCAUUUGGGUAGUGCUCCUCCUAAGAUUCAAGGUUACUUAGAAAUAGGUUGUCACACUUAGUCUAACUUACCCAUUCAUGCUGCGAUAUAAGUUGUUGCGGCUGAUUAUAUUGGGCAUAGUUCUUCUAGACCUGUUAGUCAUGGAGGACAUUAUGGUCAUUCAGGUUCCUAUCAUCAACAUACAUCUCGUAUUUACCAUUUUACCCUUGUUAAGUAAUUCGUAAAGUCAAGUUUUAAAUCAAUGAACAUGACAUAAUUUAUUUUGAGUAAUUAGCUAAUUUGAUUAAUAGACAUGAAUGAUUUACUUAGUUUUUCCAUGUUUGUCACAUGUAUAUUUCUAGGAUAAUAACUUUCAAAGAUAAAAUAGAAAAAAUUAUAGUUAUUUAUGCACUGGUUUUGUAAAAUGAUUAAUAUUUGUGAUAUCUAUUUUUUGUUAAGACAACAUGUAAAUAGGAACGGAGAAAGUAUUUUUCUAUUUUUCUACCACAUAUUUUAACACUACUUAAUUCCUUAACUUUUGGUUCUCCAAAUUCUCCCUUCAUUCAAUUUUACUUUUCACAUUUUGACCUGACAGACAAAUUCGUUCAAUUUUACUUGUCAGUGAAGUACACUUUGAGUACAACAUCAAGUAGUGUAAGAAGUCUAGAUAAAAUACUUUAGUAAAAAGAGAGUAAAUCCCUCAAUUUAUAGAAAAACAAAGGGUAGUGUGAAAAAAAUUUGUGUUGUGCCUUACCGGGCAGGUAACCAUCAUUCAUAAAAGUCGCAACUUUUCAUAAAAUACACAAUUUUCAUAAUAGUGACAACAUUUCAUAAAAGCUGCAACUUUUCACAAAAAUCACACUCUUCAUAAGAGUCCCAAUCUUUCGGAAAGGUCACCACCUUUAAUAAAAGUCACAACUCUUAUAAAAGUCGCAAUCUUUCGGAAAGGUCACCAUCAUUCAUAAAAGUCACAAUUCUUCAUAAAAAUCACAAUCUUUUUUAUCAAAGUCCAAUCUAUUCAUAAAAUUGCAACUCUUCAAUUUCGAUUCGCACCUUUUAAAACCAACCACAUGAAAGGUACUUAUAAAGAAACAUAUUUAAUAACUUUCCAAGUUGAUAGAAAUCAUUAAAGCACAUUUGUAAUUCCAGUCUCUUUCCAUCAAUAAAAGUACAAUUCUGCGACCACAAUAAAUUAAAUCCAGCACCAAAGCAGAAGAGAUGAAGAAAAUAAACAGUUCUCUUUUACUUAAAACAAAUAUGAAGAAAGUUGGAGAAAACGAAUAUUUGUGCCUCAAUUUUAACUAUUCAUCGAAAAUCGCUCCAAAACUCUCCAUUGAAUUUAAGGCAGAGGAGAACCAUAGCGAAGAAAAUAUUGAAUUCUCUAAAGUCUCUGAGAAUUUAGAUAAAUCAAUAACAAAAUUCAUCUAUGAAGGUCAAACAAAAUUUUAGCAAUCAAUUUUCCCUCUUUUUUAAUCGCGAUCUAUUGCUAUGCAAUUCAGAUUUGAAAGAUAAAUCAAUCCUGAUUCCGUUGAAGAAGUAGUUUCUAGUAAAAAAUAAAUCAACGGAUUCUUCAUCGGUAGAAGAAUUGGAUAAGAUACCUGCUGGAACUUACUGUGUAUGGAAGUCGGAGAUAAGCGAGCCAUUACCAGAAAAAUGCAAGAAGAGUAAAUCAACACGAUUUGUAUCGAAGCGGUGGUUGAGGAUCCGAGAUUUGUUAGGUAGAGUAGUAGUGAAGGUAAAUAAGAGGGUACUAUUGUAUUUCUCACAAGAAAAGCAAAAUAAAAAAAUUCCAGUGAGGUGGUGAAGACGGCCAGAAAAUUGAAGCAGAAAAAAACCAGUAGAGGAGAGAAGGGUUCACCGGAAGUGGCUUCUGAGAAGACAUUGAAUUAUGUAGGAAAUAGAGAAGGUGAUAAGAAUAUGAGAAAAUCAUAUUUACGUUAUAGGAAAGAACUCAUUGGAUUUUCUUCUAUGGGUUUGAGUAAAAGUUAUCGGACAUUUUAACUUGCAAUUACAUUUAACAUAGAUUAUUAUAGAGUUCUUGUUUUGGUAUUCAAGUAUAGGAUUUUAUCACCAACCAUUUCAAAAUGCAUGUUGCUUUUUUAUUUUUUAUUUUUUAUUUCCCAAUUAUGAAAUUAAAAAGAAUUUGAGAACUUCUCUCUUUAUCAAAAUGUUUGAUUUUUAGAUUCGUUUUUUUUUUUAAAUCUUGACUAUAGAUUGUAUAUAAGUUAUACUCUCCUAGUUGUUUUGUUACUUAUACUAAUAUUGUAAGAUAUAUUCUCUUAUUAUAUAUAUUGAUAUAAAAAAUUCAAGAAAUAUUAUAUAAAAAUUAUAAAAUAAAAAGACCAUAUAGACCAAAAAGAAAAAUAUUUCAAUGUACUUGUUACAAUUGCGGAAAGAUAGGACAUUUAGCUAGAAACUGUAAACUACCCAAAGAUCCAAAAAGGAAGCAAAUUGCAAAAGUAAUUAUAGAUAAUGAUAAAUAUAUGCAAAUAGGAUACAUAGACUAUGAAUUAAGUGAAAACGAUAGUAUAUAUGAAGUAUCAGAUAUAGAAACUGGAAAUGAAGAAGAAAAUAUUAAUCUAGAUAAUAAUGAAACAGAUGAAGAAAUAUAAUGUCUGAAGACGAGAUAAAAAUAAUAUCCAAGGAAGAUUAUCAAAAUGAAGAAUUAUCAGACCAAAAAAUUAUAUUUGAUAAUACAAUUUUUGAACAAAUAAAAGGAAAAGAAUUAGACUUAUGUGUUGAAAAAGUACUUGAAAUUCCUACUUUGAGAAAUUGGUUUAAAAGACAAAAGGAAGAAUAUUAUGUAGUUAGUCAGAAAGAACAUAUAUAGAUUGUAAAUAUACAAGCGGAAAAGCAUAUAUACCUAUACUAAGUAAACGAAUAAUAAAUAAAGAAAUACAAGGUAUAAAAGCUAAAACACCUAUAAAAUAUGUACAUUUAGGAGGAACAGAAAUAUUAAUAAAAACUUGUUUUAGAGAAGGAAUAGAUAUGCCUAUUGAAAUAUACUUAGCAGAUGAUAGAAUCAUACACCCUAUAGAAAAAAGUGUAAUUAGUGCAGUAAAAGGAAACUUAAUAUACCAAAAUUUAAAUUUAUAAUAAGUGCCAAUUAUACGGUAGCAUUAACAGACAGAAAUAUAGAUAAAUCAAUAGUAUUUUAUUGGAAAAUGUCUGGAAUAGAGUUAGCACCAGACAGUAAAAUAUUUACAGCAAGAUGUAAAAACUUAUAUAUAUUAACAACAAAACAUAAAAUAACAGCAAAAAAUAAAAUUGAUAAAAUAAAGAUAGAAAAUCCUUUCGAAAAAAUAAUUACUGCAAUAGACAAUAAUGACUAUAGCUAUAAAGAAAUUGACAUGGAAAAAGAUUUAGAAAUUGUAAAAGAAAGAUUAAGUACUUCAAGUGUACCAAAUACGUUAACAAGAGCUACCUCAUCAAGAAUGAGUACAUCUAAAAGAAACUAUGAAAUCCCACAAAACUUAUUAGAUAAGGAAGAAAUAACACCAUAUCAUUAUUUCAUAACAUGAAUAAUGGACCAAAGAAAAUAUAAUAUUUUGAUAAAUACAGGACAAGAAAAAAAUUACAUAAAAAGAGAGUUAGUAUUAGAAGAAGAAAUUAUAAAAACAGGACACAUAUGCCCUGGAUUACCUAGUGAGAUUGUAAAUAUAAAUGAAGAAACAACGGAAAAAGAAAUAAUUAUAGGAGGAAUACCUUUAAUAAUACCAUUUAAAAUAUACCAAGGAAAUCAUAAUAUUACAUUAGGUAUAAAAUGGUUAGAAAAAGUUAAACCAUACAAUAUAGAAAAUGAACAAUUAACAAUAACUUGUCAAAAUAAGAAGAUAGUUAUAAAAAGAACAAAAUGAAUAAUGAAAAUAUUUAUACUUGCAAAAAUUAUUAUAGAAGGAUAUCACAACAGAUAUUAUACCCCUAUGAUAGAUACAGGAGCAGAAGCGAAUAUAUGUAAAUAUAACUGUCUACCAGAAGAUAAAUGGGAAAAAUUAAAAACACAUAUGGUAGUAACAAGAUUUAAUAAUGAAGGAAGUAUGAUUAAAUACAAAGCAAAAAAUAUAAAAAUACAAAUAUGGGAUAAAAUAUUAACAAUAGAAGAAAUGUACAAUUUUGAAUUUACGACAAAAGACAUGUUAUUAGGAAUGCCAUUUUUAGAUAAAUUCUACCCACAAAUAAUAACAAAAACACACUGGUGGUAUACUACACCAUGCACAAACAAAAUAGGAGCAAAAGGAGUAAUAAUAAACAAUGAAAACCUACAGAAUAGAUAAAAAGAAGUGAAAAAAUAAAUGAAGAAAUGAAAAAUAUAAAUAAGCAAAAAUAUCACAAUUAGAAAUUAUCAUAUUUACAAUAGAUAAAGUUAAAAUAAUAAAUGAACAACUAGAACAACUAUAUAACGAAGAUCCAUUACAAGGAUGGGAAAAACAUAAGACAAAAGUAAAAAUUGAACUAAUAGAUGAAAGUAGUAUAAUAACACAGAAACCAUUAAAAUAUAACUUUGAUGGUUUAAAAGAAUUCAAAAUACAUAUAGAUGAACUAUUAGAAAAUAAUUACAUACAAGAAAGUAAUAGUAAACAUACAAGUCCAGCAUUUAUAGUUAUAAAACAUAGCGAACAAAAAAGAGGUAAAAGCAGAAUGGUUAUAGAUUAUCGCAACUUGAAUGUUAAAACUAAAACAUAUAAUUAACAAUACCAAAUAAAAUACUAAAAAUUAGAUAGAUACAAGGAUAUAAUUAUUUCAGUAAAUUCGAUUGUAAAUCAGGAUUUUAUCACCUAAAACUAGAAGAAAAAAUCUAAACAGCUAACAACAUUCACAGUACCGCAAGGUUUCUAUGAAUAGAAUGUAUUACCAUUUGGAUAUAAGAAUGCACCAGGUAGAUAUCAACAUUUUAUGGACAACCACUUUAACCAGUUAGAAAAUUGUAUUGUAUAUAUAGAUGAUAUAUUAUUAUAUUCUAAAACACAAGAUGAACAUAUAAGAUUAUUAGAAAAUUUUAUACAUAUAAUCAAACAUUCAGGUAUAAGCUUAAGUAGAAAGAAAGUAGAAAUUAUGAAACCACAGAUAGAAUUCUUAGGAAUACAAAUAGAUAGGAAUGGAAUAAAAAUGCAAAAUCUUUUAGUACAAAAUAUAAUCACCCUUGAUGAAAAUAUAAAUACAAAAAAGAAAUUACAAUCCCUUCAAGGAUUAGUAAAUCAACUAAGAGAAUAUAUACCAAAAUUAGCAGAACAUUUAAAAUCAUUACACAAAAAACUUAAAAAAGAUGUAGAAUACUAUUUCGACAAUAAAGAUAAAGAACAUAUAAGAAAUAUUAAAAAUUUAUGUAAAAAAUUACCAAAACUUUACUUUCCUGAUGAAAAUAAAAUAUUUAUUUAUAUUGUUGAAACGGAUUCAAGUGAUCAUAGUUAUGGAGGAGUUUUAAAAUACAAAUAUGAAAAAGAAAAAAUAGAACAUCAUUGUAGAUAUUAUUCAGGAUCUUAUGCAGAAGCACAAAUAAAAUGGGAAAUAAACAGAAAAGAAUUAUUUGCAUUAUAUAAAUGUUUAUUAGCAUUUGAACCAUAUAUUGUUUACGAUAAAUUUAUUGUAAGAACAGAUAACACACAGGUAAAAUGGUGGAUAACAAAAAAGACUAUCUAUCAAGACAAAGUUACACAGCAAGGACAAGAUAAUCUUAUGGAGAACAUACUCAAAACCUUAACUACACUUUGUACAACAGUGGAUAGUAUAGGCUUGAGAGUUCAAAAGCUAAAAGAAAAUGCAGAAAAAUCUAAAGCUACAAGUCAGCAACAUGACUAUAAACAUGCGGAGCUACGUCGUUCGGCAGACGGUAAACAGCCAGAGCUAAAAGGAGACGUUGGGAAACUCCCUAAAACCCAUAACGUUGCUAAUGUUGCAGGUACAAGCACAGGAGCUAUGGAAAAAACUACAUCGAAAAAUACAAACCUAAACAGCUUAUUUACAAAACCAUUUAUCCCAAAGGUACAAAUAGUAGAUACCCCAACACCACAAACAUCUACAUACGCAGCCAGCCUGCAUAAGGAAAUGAAAACAUAUAACCAUAUAUCCCAAGUUUACAUUGAAAACCUAUACAAAAUAAAAAAACUUUUUAAAUCUCAAACCCAAAUCUACCACAACCACAGAAAAAAACCAGGACUAUUUAACCCAAAAAUUACAAGGUUAUAACAAGCUAAUUGCACAACCAAAAACGAAACCAAAUCUAGUUAAGACUUGUUAUAAUUAUGGACUAUUAAAUACAGUUUAUAGAUAUACAGGAGAAGAGAUAAGUGGAAUCCCGGAGGUCCACAAAUCAUUUUUGAUAUACAAAAAAAUAACAAAAGAAAACUUAUUUUUUAUAAGAUUCUUUACAGCACCAGCAGAGAUACUUUAUGACGAGAUAAAACCAAUGAUCCAAAUAGUAAAAAUUGGAUUAACACGAGAGAUGAUAAUACCAGAAGACAUAGGGCAACAACCAGAGAUACCAAAAGUUGAGAUACCCAGUUUUUAUGCAAACAAAAGAAUAAAUGGGUUAUCAACUAUCAUACAAGAGUUAGCUAAUAACUAUUUACAAGGAAAUGCCAUAUGGAGCUAUUAUUCAAGAGAUCAUUUAAUGAUAUAUGUCAAUUCGCGAGAAAUAAGGCAAGCAGAUAUGGAGGAAGUCUAGAAAUGGAUUUUUUCCUUAUUAAAACCAGAAGCUACUCCAACAACUAGAGCAAUAAAACAAGGAUUCAUCUCUAAAGAACUAAUGACAAGAUAUUGUAAGUUAGUUGGUCAUAAAUAUCCAGACCAUAUAUGUUCUAAGUGUAACCAAGGUGAUGACAUAAUCCCUGAGGUACAACUAGAAUAAGAUAAAUUACUUAUUUAUAAAAAAAAGAUAUUCAUGUAAUAAUAGUAUUAUUGUAUUUUGUUGUUUUGCGUCAGCCAUAUGUAAAAGUAAAGGCCAGUAUGUAAAGAAAUGAAGUAAAUAGUGUGUGUCGGCCAGAAAUAAAAAGAAGAGGCCAUUAUGUAAGUAGAAAUAGUGAGUAUUUUGUUUUUUGUGUCGGCCAAAUAUAAUUAGGCGAUGUGUAAAGUAAGUGUCGGCCACUUAUAUUGGCCAUACAUGUAAAUUUGAUUGUAUAAAUAGAGGGUUCUUUCUCAUAAUAAAAUCAUAUCUUUCAUAUAUAUAUAUCUCUCUCUCUUAAUUCCGCUUCCACCCCACAUUGGUAUCAGAGCUAGAUAAUUAAAACUAGAUUUAUGGAAAACAAAUCAGAAGCAACAAAUCUACAGAAACAGGGAUACACAUUAAGUUCCUGAGUAGUUAAAUCAAUUUAUUCCUGAUAAUCUCUUGUUGAUUAUAAUUGUUUAUCAUGUUUUAAUAUUGUUAUAAUAACCAUCUUUAGCAAGUUUGUUACAGAAACAUUCUGCGAAUAAGUAUGCCCAGACUAUGCCAUCCUAAGGUUGAAACCAAUAGGCAAGAAGGCCGUUUAGGGGAGUAAACAAAGUUGAGGCGUUGUUAGGGUAACUGAUCAAAGAAGAAAACUAUAGUACUGACCAGACGAGAUGGUUAUUAAAUCAUUAGUUUUACAUAAUAAAUAAGUAUAAUCCAUUUAGGGGUUAGAAGGAAUAAAAUUUUUAGCGAAAAAAUGAAUAAAAUGAACUCCUAUUUAUUGGAUGAUGAUGUUAAUUACAAAAUAUUAAUACUCUAUAUAUUAAAAGAUCUUAAUACAGAUAUAAAAAGGGAAAUUUAUGAUAUGUUGGUAACGUAUGAAGUAAUAGAAGUAACAACCCAAGGUUGGACUAAAUUAGAUAUACAAAAUGAUUUUUAUGAUGAAUUUUAUUUUGACAUAUAUGAUUUAUAUGAUGAUCUAGAGAUAUUCAGAAAUCAAUGAUUGAACCAAAAAAGUUUGAAGUUUGGCAAAAAUGAAGUAAUAAUAAUUAUAAGAUAAAAUUUAUUAAAGACCCAAACAAAUUAAGUAAACUUUUUAAAAUUUUGAAUAGAAAAAUAUAUAUGAAUAAUACAACAAGUAAAGAAACUAAAAUAACGAAAACCAAGAUAGAUAAAAAGGUACGAAAGAUAUGGAAAAAAUUAAAACCCUUAUACAUAGAAUAUAAACUAUCACAACUUAUUAAAACAGGUGACGAUGAGACAAAUUAUUUGAUAAAUAUAAUUUCAAAAACAGAAUACAAAUAUGUUUGUUAUUUGAAAAAACAGUAUGAACAAAGAAACAUAUAGGCAACAAUUGAUAGAAAAAAUAGACGAAAAAAGACAAGAACUACAACAUAGGAAAGAAAGAUUAAUAGAAAACAUGUUAGCAGGAGUAUGUAAAAAUUCGAUAUUAGCACAAAGAAAAGCUAUAUUGAUGUUAGAAAUACAAAUAGAUCACCUUGAAUAUAAAUUACAACAUAACAUAAUACAUAAAUUAUAAUGAAUGAAGAAGAAUUUGCAGUAGACGAAAAGACAUAUGAAAAUCAAGACGGAAUGAUAAUAAAAAUAAUAUUUUCAAAUCUAGGAAGGAGAUAUAAAAAAAUAGGAAAUAAUUUAUAUUUAAUGUUAGAAAAAGAAACAGCAAAAUUAGAAAAUAGUCUAACAGCUAUGAUAAGAAUAUUAAAAGAAAAUGAAGAAAUAGACAAAUCAAAAGAAAUUGAAAAAAUAAAAAUACAAGCACAACAAGAAGUACAACAUUUAGAAGAAUUAAAAAAUACAAGAAUAAGUGAAUUAGAAAAAGAAUUAGCUAAGUUAAAAUUAUUAUAUGAAUCUAAACAAAAAGAGAAACAGAUAAAGAGAAAAAGAGCCAGAAUUAACUAAUGAAAUAAAAGAGAUGGAACAAAAACUAAAUGAAGACCUUGAAAUAAAUGAAAUAGACGAAAAUGAAUCAGAUACAAUAAAUGAUCAAAAAUCAGAAAUAAGUGAUAUAAGUCAGACAUAAACAGAAAUUCUAGAACAGGUAAAAAAAUCGAAAAAAUUAGAAAUAAACACAGGAGAUAUGAAUCGACCUAGUACGUCAAGAGUUAAAACUCCAGACAAUAGCCCCAGAAAUAGUCCUAGAAUUAGUCCUAGAUGGACACCACCAACUUAUUAUACAAAAAGUUAUCAGCAAUCAGAUAGAACUAACGCAAUAUGGAAUAGUACACUAAAUAAAAAUUGGACACCAAGACCAAUAAACGAACAAUAUAAUUUCUUAGAUCUAGACUGUGUUACAGAUACAAAUAAAGUGAUAUUACUAUGGAUAGGAAAUAUAUCUAAGCAACUAAUAGAUAAUAAAAUAAAAACGACAGAAACACCAAGGUAUAUAGAAAGAACAUUUAUAGGAACAACAAGAUUAUGGAUAGAAAAUCUACCCUUAGAAAGUUUAGAAGUACUUAGAAGUGACAAGAAAAUGGAUAGAUCUCCAUCAUCAACAAAUAUAGAUAUACUAGAUAAAUAUGAAUCAGCAAUAAAAAGUGAAUUUGGAGGUAUGACCACAGAUAUAAGAGAACAAAACAGAGAAAAAUUAAUAAAUAGACAACUUAUGACAAAAUUAGUUAUAUGUAAAAUGUGUUAUAUAGAAGAAUACACUUGUUCAUUUAAGGAAUACUAUUACAAAGCAAAAUACAAUUUUGAUGAAGUAAAAAAAAUAAGACAACAAUAUUUUACAAAAUUACAAGAACCAUUUAGCACAAAAAUAAUUAAAGAUUGGAAUGAUGAAGGAUUAGUAGAUACUUUAGGAGCUAGAUUAAAAUUUUUACAUCAAUGGUUCAUACAACUAGGUGAAAACCAAAAAGAAAAAUUAAAAAUGGAAAAAGCACUAAACAAGAAUUUAUCCUGUUGUAAAAAUAAAUUAGCACCACAGUUUGGAUGUACAAAUAAAAAGCAAAAGCUUAAAAGGUAUAAAAAGAAACAACGGAAAAAGAAAUAAUUAUAGGAGGAAUACCUUUAAUAAUAUCAUUUAAAAUAUACCAAGGAAAUCAUAAUAUUACAUUAGGUAUAAAAUGGUUAGAAAAAGUUAAACCAUACAAUAUAGAAAAUGAACAAUUAACAAUAACUUGUCAAAAUAAGAAGAUAGUUAUAAAAAGAACAAAAUGAAUAAUGAAAAUAUUUAUACUUGCAAACAUUAUUAUAGAAGGAUAUCACAACUGAUAUUAUACCCCUACGAUAGAUACAUGAGCAGAAGCGAAUAUAUGUAAAUAUAAUUGUCUAUCAGAAGAUAAAUGGGAAAAAUUAAAAACACCUAUGGUAGUAACAGGAUAAAUAAUGAAGGAAGUAUGAUUAAAUACAAAGCAAAAAAUAUAAAAAUACAAAUAUGGGAUAAAAUAUUAACAAUAGAAGAAAUGUACAAUUUUCAAUUUACGACAAAAGACAUGUUAUUAGGGAUGCCAUUUUUAGAUAAAUUCUACCCACAUAUAAUAACAAAAACACUCUGGUGGUUUGAUACACCAUGCGAAAACAAAAUAGGAGCAAAAAGAGUAAAUAAUAAACAACGAAAACCUACACAAUGGAUAAAAGGAAGUGAAAAAAAAAUCAAGAAAUGGAAAAUAUAAAUAAGAAACAAAUAUCACAAUUAGAAAUUAUCAUAUUUACAAUAGAUAAAGUUAAAUUAAUAAAUGAACAACUAGAACAACUAUAUAACGAUGAUCCAUUACAAGGAUGGGAAAAACAUAAGACAAAAGUAAAAAUUGAACUAAUAGAUGAAAGUAGUAUAAUAACACAGAAACCAUUAAAAUAUAACUUUGAUGAUUUAAAAGAAUUCAAAAUACAUAUAGAUGAACUAUUAGAAAAUAAUUACAUACAAGAAAGUAAUAGUAAACAUACAAGUCCAGCAUUUAUAGUUAUAAAAAAUAGUGAACAAAAAAGAGGUAAAAGCAUAAUGGCUAUUGAUUAUCGCAACUUGAAUGCUAAAACUAAAACAUAUAAUUAUCCAAUACCAAAUAAAAUAGUAAAAAUAAGAUAGAUACAAGGAUAUAAUUAUUUCAGUAAAUUCGAUUGUAAAUCAAGAUUUUAUCACCUAAAACUAGAAGAAGAAUCUAAACAGCUAACAACAUUCACAGUACCGAAAGGUUUCUAUGAAUGGAAUGUAUUACCAUUUGGAUAUAAGAAUGCACUAGGUAGAUAUCAACAUUUUAUGGACAACCACUUUAACCAGUUAGAAAAUUGUAUCGUAUAUAUAGAUGAUAUAUUAUUAUAUUCUAAAACACAAGAUGAACAUAUAAGAUUAUUAGAAAAAUUUAUACAUAUAAUCAAACAUUCAGAUAUAAGCUUAAGUAGAAAGAAAACAGAAAUUAUGAAACCACAGAUAGAAUUUCUAGGAAUACAAAUAGAUAGGAAUGGAAUAAAAAUGCAAAAUCAUAUAGUACAAAAAAUAAUCACCCUUGAUGAAAAUAUAUAUACAAAAAAGAAAUUACAAUCCUUUCUAUUAUUAGUAAAUCAAGCAAGAGAAUAUAUACCAAAAUUAGCAGAACAUUUAAAACCAUUACACAAAAAACUUAAAAAAGAUGUAGAAUACUAUUUCGACAAUAAAGAUAAAGAACAUAUAAGAAAUAUUAAAAAUUUAUGUAAAAAAUUACCAAAACUUUACUUUCCUGUUGAAAAUAAAACAUUUAUUUAUAUUGUAGAAACGGAUUCAAGUGAUCAUAGUUAUGGAGGAGUUUUAAAAUACAAAUAUGAAAAAGAAAAAUUAGAACACCAUUGUAGAUAUUAUUCAGGAUCUUAUGAAGAAGCACAAAUAAAAUGGGAAAUAAAAAGAAAAGAAUUAUUUGCAUUGUAUAAAUGUUUAUUAGCAUUUGAACCAAAUAUUGUUUACAAUAAAUUUAUUGUAAGAACAGAUAACACACAGAUAAAAUGGUGGAUUACAAAAAAGGUAGAGGAUUCAGUUACAACAAAAGAAAUAAGGAGAUUAGUACGAAAUAUAUUAAAUUUUACAUUUACAAUUGAGGUAAUUAAAACUGACAAAAAUAUGAUUAUAGACUAUCUAUCAAGACAAAGUUACACAGCCAGGACAAGAUAAUCUUAUGGAGAACAUACUCAAAACCCUAACUACACUUUGUACUAAAGGGGAUAGUAUAGGCUUGAGAGUUCAAAAGCUAGAAGAAAAUGCAGAAAAAUCUAAAGCUACAAGUCAGCAGCAUGACUAUAAACAUGCGGAGCUACGUCGUUCGGCAGACGGUAAACUAAAAGGAGACGUUGGGAAACUCCCUAAAACCCAUAACGUUGCUAAUGUUGCAGGUACAAGCACAGGAGCUAUGGAAAAAACUACAUCAAAAAAUACAAACCUAAACAACUUAUUUACAAAACCAUUUAUCCCUAAGGUACAAAUAGUAGAUACGCCAACACCACAAACAUCUACAUAUGCAGCCAGCCUGCAUAAGGAAAAGAAAACAUAUAACCAUAUAUCCCAGUCUUACAUUGAAAACCUAUACAAUAUACAAAACUUUUUAAAUCUCAAACCCAAAUCUACCACAACCACAGAAAAAACCCAGGACUAUUUAACCCAAAAAUUACAAGGUUAUAACAAGCUAAUUGCACAACCAAAAACGAAUCCAAAUCUAGCUAAGACUUGUUAUAAUUAUGGACUAUUAAAUCAGUUUAUACAUAUACAGGAGAAGAGAUAAGUGAAAUCCUGGAGGUCCACAAAUCAUUUUUGAUAUACAAAGAAAUAACCAAAGGAAACUUAUUUUUUUAUAAGAUUCUUUACAACACCAGCUGAGAUACUUUAUGACGAGAUAAAACCAAUGAUCCAAAUAGUAAAAAUUGGAUUAACAGGAGAGAUGAUAAUACCAGAAGACAUAGGGCAACAACCAGAGAUACCAAAAGUUGAGAUACCCAGUUUUUAUGCAAACAAAAGAAUAAUUAGGUUAUCAACUAUCAUACAUGAGUUAGCUAAUAACUAUUUACAAGGAAAUGUCAUAUGGAGCUAUUAUUCAAGAGACCAUUUAAUGAUAUAUGCCAAUUCACGAGAAAUAAGGCAAGCAGAUAUGAAAGAAGUCCAGAAAUGGAUUUUUUCCUUAUUAAUACCAGAAGCUACUCCAACAACUAGAGCAAUAAAACAAGGAUUCAUCUCUGAAUAACUAAUGACAAGAUAUUGUAAGUUAGUUGGUCAUAAAUAUACAGACCAAUAUAUGUUCUAAGUGUAACCAAGGUGAUGACAUAAUCCCUGAGGUACAACUAGAAUAAGAUAAAUUACUUAUUUACAAAAAUAAGAAAUUAAUGUAAUAAUAGUAUAAUUGUAUUUUGUUGUUUUGCGUCGGCCAUAUUGAAAAGUAAAGGUCAGUAUGUAAAGAAAUAAAGUAAAUAGUGUGUGUCGACCAGAAAUAAAAAGAAGAGGCCAUUAUGUAAAGUAGAAAUAGUGAGUAUUUUGUUUUUUGUGUCGGCUAAAUAUAAUUAGGCCAUGUGUAAAGUAAGUGUCGGCCACUUAUAUUGGCCAUACAUGUAAAUUUGAUUGUAUAAAUAGAGGGUUCUCCCUCAUAAUAAAAUCAUCCCUUUCAUAUACAUCUCUCUCGCUCUCUUAAUUCCUCUUCCACCCCACAUUGGUAUCAGAGCUAGAUAAUUAAAACUAGAACUAUGGAAAACAAAUCAGAAGCAAAAAAUCUACAAAAUCAGGUAUACACAUUUAAGUUCAUGUGUAGUUAAAUGAAUUUAUUCCUGAUAAUCUCUUGUUGAUUAUAAUUGUUUAUCAUGUUUUAAUAAUGUUAUAAUAACCAUCUUUAGAAAGUUUGCUACAGAAAUAUUCUGCGAAUAAGUAUGCCCAGACUAUGCCAUCCUAAGGUUGAAACUAAUAGGCAAGAAGGCCGUUUAGGGGAGUAAACAAAGUUGAGGCGCUGUUAGGGUAACUGAUCAAAGAAGAAAACUAUAGUACUGACCAGACGAGAUGAUUAUUAAACCAUUAUUUUUACAUAAUAAAUAAGUAUAAUCCAUUAAGGGGUUAGAAGGAAUAAAAUUUUUAGCGAAAAAAUAAAUAAAAUGAACUCCUAUUUAUUGGAUGAUGAUGUUAAUUACAAAACAUUAAUACUCUAUAUAUUAAAAGAUCUUAAUACAUAUAUAAAAAGGGAAAUUUAUGAUAUGUUGGUAGCGUAUGAAGUAAUAGAAGUAAAAUCCAAGGUUGGACUAAAUUAGAUAUACAAAAUGAUUUUUAUGAUGAAUUUUAUUUUGACAUAUAUGAUUUAUAUGAUGAUCUAGAGAUAUUCAGAGAUCAAUGAUUAAACCAAAAAAGUUUGAAGUUUGGCAAACACGAAGUAAUAAUAAUUAUAAGAUAAAAUUUAUUAAAGACCCAAACAAAUUAAGUAAACUUUUUAAAAUUUUGUAUAGAAAAAUUUAAAUGAAUAUUACAACAAGUAAAGAAACUAAAAUAACGAAAACCAAGAUAGAUAAAAAGGUAUGAACAAAGAAACAUAUAGGCAACAAUUGAUAGAAAAAAUAGACGAAAAAAGACAAGAACUACAACAUAGGAAAGAAAGAUUAAUAGAAAACAUGUUAGCAGGAGUAUGUAAAAAUUCGAUAUUAGCACAAAGAAAAGCUAUAUUGAUGUUAGAAAUACAAAUAGAUCACCUUGAAUAUAAAUUACAACAUAACAUAAUACAUAAAUUAUAAUGAAUGAAGAAGAAUUUGCAGUAGACGAAAAGACAUAUGAAAAUCAAGACGGAAUGAUAAUAAAAAUAAUAUUUUCAAAUCUAGGAAGGAGAUAUAAAAAAAAGGAAAUAAUUUAUAUUUAAUGUUAGAAAAAGAAAUAUCAAAAUUAGAAGAUAGUCUAACAGCUAUGAUAAGAAUAUUGAAAGAAAAUGAAGAAAUAGACAAAUCAAAAGAAAUUGAAAAAAUAAAAAUACAAGCACAACAAGAAGUACAACAUUUAGAAGAAAUAAAAAAUACAAGAAUAAGUUAAUUAGAAAAAGAAUUAGCUAGGUUAAAAUUAUUAUAUGAAACUUAACAAAAAGAGAAACAGAUAGAAAGAGAAAAAGAGCUAGAAUUAACUAAUGAAAUAAAAGAGAUGGAACAAAAACUAAAUGAAAACCUUGAAAUAAAUGAAAUAGACGAAAAUGAAUCAGAUACAAUAAAUGACCAAAAAUCAGAAAUAAGUGAUAUAAGUCAGACAUACACAGAAAUUCUAGAACAGGAAAAUAAACCGAAAAAAUUAGAAAUAAACAAAGGAGAUAUGAAUCGACCUAGUACGUCAAGAGUUAAAACUCCAGACAAUAGUUCCAGAAAUAGUCCUAGAAUUAGUCCUAGAUGGAUACCACCAACUUAUUAUACAGAAAGUUAUCAGCAAUCAGAUAGAACUAACGCAAUAUAGAAUAGUAGAUUAAAUAAAAAUUGGACACCAAGACCAAUAAAUGAAAAAUAUAAUUUCCUAGAUCUAGACUGCGUUACAGAUACAAAUAAAGCGAUAUUACUAUGGAUAGGAAAUAUAUCUAAGCAACUAAUAGAUAAUAAAAUAAAAAACGACAGAAACACCAAGGUAUAUAGAAAGAACAUUUGUAGGAACAACAAGAUUAUGGAUAGAAAAUCUACCCUUAGAAAGUUUAGAAGUACUUAGAAGUGACAAGAAAAUGGAUGGAUCUCCAUCAUCAAAAAAUAUAGAUAUACUAGAUAAAUAUAAAUCAACAAUAAGAAGUGACUUUGGAGGUUGACCACAGAUAUAAGAGAACAAAACAGAGAAAAAAUAAUAAAUAGACAACUUAUGACAAAAUUAGUUAUAUGUAAAAUGUGUUAUAUAGAAGAAUACACUUGUGCAUUUAAGGAAUACUAUUACAAAGAAAAAUACAAUUUAGAUGAAGCAAAAGAAAUAAGACAACAAUAUUUUACAAAAUUACCAGAACCGUUUAACACAAAAAUAAUUAAAGAUUGGAAUGAUGAAGGAUUAGUAGAUACUUUAGGAGCUAGAAUAAAAUUUUUACAUCAAUGGUUCAUACAACUAUGUGAAAACCAAAAAGAAAAAUUAAAAAUGGAAAAAGUACUAAACAAGAGUUUAUCCUGUUGUAAAAAUAAACUAGCACCACAUUUGGAUGUACAAAUAAAAAGCAAAAGCUUAAAAGAUAUAAAAAUUAUAGAAAAACUAAAACCAAGUAUAAGUAUAAGAAACCAAGGCGAAGGUAUUAUAUAAAAAAUUAUAAAAUAAAAAGACCAUAUAGACCAAAAAGAAAAAUAUCCCAAUGUACUUGUUAUAAUUGUGGAAAGAUAGGACCUUUAGCUAGAAACUGUAAACUACCCAAAGAUCCAAAAAAGAAGCAAAUUGCAGAAGUAAUUAUAGAUAAUGAUAAAUAUAUGCAAAUAGAAUACAUAGACUAUGAAUUAAGGGAAAACGAUAGUAUAUAUGAAGUAUCAGAUAUAGAAACUGGAAAUGAAGAAGAAAAUAUUAAUCUAGAUAAUAAUGAAAUGGAUGAAGAAAUAUAAUGUCUGAAGACGAGAUAAAAAUAAUAUCUAAGGAAGAUUAUCAAAAUGAAGAAUUAUCAGACCAAAAAAUUAUAUUUGAUAAUACAAUUUUUGAACAAAUAAAAGAAAAAGAAUUAGACUUAAGUGUUGAAAAGUACUUAAAAUACCUACUUGGAGAAAUUGGUUUAAAAGACAAAAGGAAGAAUAUUAUGUAGUUAGUCAGAAAGAACAUAUAUAGAUUGUAAAUAUACAAGCGGAAAAGCAUAUAUACCUAUACUAAGUAAACGAAUAAUAAAUAAAGAAAUACAAGGUAUAAAAGCUAAAACACCUAUAAAAUAUGUACAUUUAGGAGGAACAGAAAUAUUAAUAAAAGCUUGUUUUAGAGAAGGAAUAGAUACGCCUAUUGAAAUAUACUUAGCAGAUGAUAGAAUCAUACACCCUAUAGAAAAAAGUGUAAUUAGUGCAGUAAAAGGAAACUUAAUAUACCAAAAAUUUAAAUUUAUAAUAAGUGCCAAUUAUACGGUAGCAUUAACAGACAGAAAUAUAGAUAAAUCAUUAGUAUUAUAUUGGAAAAUGUCUGGAAUAGAGUUAGUACCAAGCAGUAAAAUAUUUACAGCAAGAUGUAAAAACUUAUAUAUAUAUUAACAACAAAACAUAAAAUAACAGCAAAAAAUAAAAUUGAUAAAAUAAAGAUAGAAAAUCCUUUCGAAAAAGUAAUUACUUUAAUAGACAAUAAUGACUAUAGCUCUAAAGAAAUUGACAUGGAAAAAGAUUUAGAAAUUGUAAAAGAAAGAUUAAGUACUUCAAGUGUACCAAAUACGUUAACAAGAGCUACCUCAUCAAGAAUGAGUACAUCUAAAAGAAACUAUAAAAUCCGACAAAACUUAUUAGAUAAGAAAGAAAUAACACCAUAUCAUUAUUUCAUAACAGGAAUAAUGGACCGAAGAAAAUAUAAAAUUUUGAUAAAUACAGGACAAGAAGAAAAUUACAUAAAAAGAGAGUUAGUAUUAGAAGAAGAAAUUAUAAAAACAGGACACAUAUGCUUGAGUAGGAGAGAACAUGAUAAACAUUAAUAAUAUCUAUUUUUAGUAAAGACAAUAUGUAAUCAGGAACGGAGAAAGUAUUUUUCGAUUCUUUCUAAUAUAUACUUUAACACUACUUAAUCCUCAACUAUUAAUUCAUCUAAUACUCCCUUCUUUCAAUUUUAUUUGUCACUUUUUUACUUUAAACACAAAUUAGUUCAAAGGGUAGUGUUAUAAAGGUUCUUAUUUUGACUAGCACCUUUUCAUAAAAUUCGCAACUUUUUAUAAAAGUUGCAACCUUUCAUAGAAGUCGAACUUUUCAUAAAAUUUGCAAUCUUUCGGAAAGGUCAUCACCUUUUAUAAAGUCGCAACUUUUCAUAAAUGUCGCAAUCUUUCAGAAAGUGCACCAUCUUUCAUAAAAGUCGAAACUUUUCAUAAAAAUCGCAUUUUUUUUAAAAAGUUACAACUCUUCAUAAAAAUAGCAAGUCUUCAUUUUCCAUUCACACCUUUUAAAACCCACCACAUGAAAAUUAUGUAUAUAUGUAAAAAUAAAAAGAAAGCAAUUACAAAUGAAUUUAUAAAUAAAUAUAUUUAAUAAAUUUCCAAUUUGAUAGAAAUUGUGAAAGCACAUUUGUAAUUCAAGUCUCAUUUCUAUCAAGGAAAGUACACUUCCGCAACCCCUAUAAAUAAAAUCCAGCACCACAGCAAAAGAGAAGAAGAAAACAAACAAUUCUCUUUCACUUAAAACAAAUAUGAAGAAAGUUGGAGAAGACGAAUAUUUGUUUCUUAGUUUUAACAAUUAUGGACUCUUAUCGGAUAUCACUGCAAAAAUAUCUGAUGUCAGGUGAAGGUGAACCAUAGAAAAGAAGAUUUUUAACUGUCUUGAGUCUCUUAGAAUUCGGAUAAAUCAAUUGUGGAAUUCAUCUAUGAAGGUCAAAAUAAGUUCCAGCAGCCAAUUUCCCUCUUUUCAAUCACAAUCUAUUUCUAAGAGAUUCGGAUUUGAUGGAUAAAUCAAUUUUGAUUUUGUUGAAGAAAUUGUUUCGAGAAAAAAAUGAAUCAACGGUGUCCUCGUAGGCUAGGUUGAGGGUUUAAUUGGAGACCAACAAUUGUCUUCGAGUGCUGGACAUGUCUAGGGUGUGGACUCGGGUCGUGACUAUUAACUCAAGAAAUAACUUUAAAUGCAAUAUUUAGACAAAAUUGUAACUUCAAGUCUUAGUCAAUUACAAUUGAAAGAAAAAACUAAGAAAACUAGUACCAUCUGUAUAUGAAGCCCCUAAUAUAAAUAUGGAUUUUGGGACAGGACCUAAAUCAUCCUAAGAACUAAAUAAUAAAUAAAUAGCUAAAACAAAAGAUGUCCUCCGGAAUGAAGGGAGGCUCACCAACUAACUUUGAGUUGCUCACUGGAUCAACGGUGCGCCAAAUGCUGAUCAUAGUUGCCUAAGUCUGCAUCAUAAUACGAUGCAGGCCAACUGACAUUAGUACAUUGAAUGUACGAGUAUGUGAGUUGGAAUUCUAAAAUAACACUUCAGCUAGAAAAUGAGUAGGAAGGAACACUUACCUUGACUCUUUUCAACUCAUGGAUAACUACUUAUUUCAUUAUAAUGCAAUUUAAAAGUAAGGUGCAAUAUAAAGAAAAAAAAGAACUGCCUGAAACAUGUUGAAAAUUAUGAAUGUAUGCAAGAUACAAAUUUACUCUGGCACGUAGAUAAAAAUACAAGUAAAAUGAUGUGUAUAAAAUACAAUUACUUCCCUGGGCUCUUCUUUAACCGACAACCAUCACUUCAGAGCUAUAGUGAUGAUACAACGUUACUGGCCCACCUGCUUGACCAUCCUAACCUUGCCAGAGUAUAGGACUUGAACUGCCUAAUGGAUCUACUAGUCUACUGUGAAAAGGGUUCAUCUAAGAACUAUGACCCUCUUUUACCCAUGAGGGCUACAUGGUUUUUAUGUAGACUUGAGUUAAUAUGAAACUCGCAUCCCCACACGGUGCUCAAUACUAUACCCACAAAUAUACUGGCUCUUAUGUUUUAAAAACAUACUAAUUCUGGAUUUGAGAUUAGUGCUCAAAACAUAACUGAAAGGCUAUCUUGGGAAUUUUAGUUUCCAUAGUUACUUCAUUUUAUAAAGCUAUUAUUUCUUUCUGAAAGUAGUUUUAAGGCUCCUUACUUGUUUAGCUGUGAAAACAUUUGUAGCUCUUAGGGAUUACUUAAUCCCCAAAUAACUUUUGAGAAUGAACUCAAAUAUUUACCCUUGCUGAACUUAUAACUUGAGCCUUAAAAGAAAGUUCAAAAUGUUUGUUGAAGUCUCUAGGAAACUUAAAGAACUCACUUUGACAUACUUCUUAACUUUUGGAAUUAACUCUUAAUUUUAACAAUUAUCGUAACUCCUCGAAUUGGAUUAUGGAUUCAAGGUUCAUGAUCUCAUGUUUAUGAAUGAUUCAUGAUGUUUAGAUAUAUCUUAGAGUGUUGGAAUCAACUAAGAAAUGCGGGUACAUCACUUAGGAACUAGUACGAAAAGAUUUGGAACUAAUGAGAUCUCUAGGCAACCAUGACGGUCUAAGAGGCACGACACGCUAGAGAUUGACGGACAUACACUAUUUUUAGGCUCUCUGGUUGGUACGACGCGGCACAGCCUGACAGACAGAGUCUUCUCUGAAGGGCUCUGGUUGGAGUGGCGCCCCAGGGCCUGUCAGACAUGAAUUUUUUACUUUUCUUCUUUGAUUUUAAUCUCAAAACCUUCUAAACUUCCAUGGAUAUUUCUCCCAACACUAAGGAUACCUAAUAUUUUUGAUUCUCAAUAUUUUUGACUCGAAAAACAACCCAGAAACACAAAUCAAAUCAUCUAAAGACAUGCUACAACACAACCAACAAGGAUUCAACAAUUGUUCAUUAAGAACUUCAAUAUUCGUCAUUCAAUCUAUUCAAAACUCACUGAAUUAAACAUGUUAGUGUGUGGGUAAACGAACCCAACACAAAAAUAUCCCACAUACCUUAUAGGGAUCACUCAUAAUAAAAUCCACUCGAAAAUCUUGGCGUUCUUGGUGAAUUCUUGGCCUUUUCUCCUUUCUCCUUAUUCUCAUCUCUUUUCUCCCAAGCCCUAAGCGUAUUUCAAUUUUCUAAAUUGACUUAAGGCUUAGUUUUACCCCUAAUAAACCCUUAAAAUGAAUAAGGAAAUAGUAUGGUGAAAAGAUUACUUUAUCCUUACUAAAAUCCGGAUUGGACUUUUCUCAAUCCAAAAACCCAACUUCUGAAAGACAGAUCUUCCUCAUACAACAUUGAAAUAAAAAAAAAUUUGUACCCUUGGAAGUAUAUUCCCAAGGAUUUUCCAACCAUAAAAGGACUGAUCCUAACUCCUCGUGAGCUAGAAGUUAUGACCAUUUGAAAAUGACCAAAACUCACUUUUUAAGCGUAGAAAAUCUCCUGAUUUAAUUCCUUUCUUUCCAAAAGUGAUCAUUAUUGUCUCAUUAGCUUGUUCUUAUCUAUUUCUAGUUACAAGAUGUUACAAGAAAGUCUCACUAAUUAAUUCCAUGGUCUCUACCAUGGUAAUACUUAACUAGAACUCAGAAUCUGUAUACUAUAAGGGGACAAGAGAGAAGUAUGUGUCUUUGUCUAUUCUAAUGAAAGAGAAAAGUACAUGACUUUUUCUAUUAUAAGGAAAGUGAGAAAUAUGUGUCUUUUUCUAUUCUAAGAAAAUGAAGAAGUACAUAUCUUUUUCUAUUCUAAGGAAACACAUGGUGUUCCUUUUCCUCCCUUGAUUAAGAGGAAUUCUCUAUAAGUAGAAAUUUGUUUAACCUUGAGAGGAUAUAAUUUUUCUAUACGAUACUUUUCCACUAAAUAUUAAGAGAGUUCAAAAAUGAACUUGGGAUUACUAUAGAAGAUUGUAGAACUGUCUUCCUGUUUGUGGACUAGCUUGCCGAAUCACUUGAAGAUUCUAACAUAUGACUAGCUUGUGGAUUCGCUUGAAGGUAUCUACUGACAUUUCAAGAGUUAAAUCAUAGAUUAUAUUUUAGAAAGUUGAUGUGCUCUAGCUUAAAUUAUAUGUUGUCCAUAUUCAUGUAUGAAGUACGGUUCUGAUAUGCAUUCGUUGUUUAUAGUAUUUUGUCAUAUAAUUAUUAACGAUAAUUUAUUUUGCAUCAAACUUUAUGCCUUGGAUAAAAUGGAGAAUCUGGUCUUGAAGUUGUUGCUUUCCGCAGGGAAAGUAGAUGCUAAUCCCACUUAGUAAUGUUCUUAUUAUUUGUCUCGUGAGUUCGUUUGUUUCUCAUUUGAAUCCCUUUUAUAACUUUUAUAUGAUGAUUUAUUAUUUGCGGAAAAUGAGUGACACUUUUUGAAGUGAUGCUAUGAAAUAUGAUCAUAAAUUGCCCCAUUAAUUAUGACUUGAACAUUGUAACCAUGUAGUAUCACGUUAUUCUAUCUUAUUUAAUAUUACACUACUCUUUAAUUCAUUCGAUUAAAAAAAUUGUAUAUUUAUAGGGAUUUCAAUAGGGUGGGGUGGGAUGGGAUGGUUUGUGGGGAAAAUCUACAUAAAUCCGUUAGAAUUAUUAUCUUCCCUACUCCGCGUAGAAUCAUUUGUUUGUUUUAAUACACCCCACUCAACCAUAAAUAAAUCUGCUUUACCUCUCUCUGCACCCCAUAUUUUAUUAAAUUUUUUUUCAAACAUUAGACGUAACAAGUUUAUAACAAAAAGAAUUUAAAAUAUUUUAAUUUCAUGAAAUUUUUUUAACCUCUAAAUUAAGUAUGUUGUACUGUUCCAUACAUUUAUUAAUUUCUUUUGUUGAUAAUUUUGAAUUGAUUACAUAUGACGUAAUAAACAAAUUAUUGAAUGUAGUAAAAAAAACAAAAUAUGUCAAAAACAAAUUUUCCUUUUCAAUUUGUUGACUAUUCAAAGACAUUUUUUCAUCUGAAAGGAAAAAAAAAAUACCAAAAAGUGACCAAAUAAAUAAAAAAAAUGGUGCAAAAGUUAGUGUAUAUGAGUAAAUUUAAAAGACUAUUAUCUCAAACUCACGGCCCACCUCACGAGAAUUUUGAAUAUAUAUUAGAACCCAUAAAAUCUAUGACCCGCCCUAACCCACAGACAAUGAAACCUUCCCUACCCUACUUACACUCCACCCCGCCCCAUUAUCAUUCCCUAUUUAUUGAAUAUAGGGGUGUUCCUUUCCUGACUUGUUACAUGAGAGAUAUUGCAGUAUGCAUAGUAAAUGUGAUGUGAAUUUGUAGUGAAAGAAAGAGUUAAAUCGAGUGAAAAAUAUUUUAGGUUUUUUUUUACUUAAUACUAUAAAAUUAAGUAAUUAUAUGUUAAACAAACAUAUUGUUACAAUUAGUGCCUUCAUAGAGUUUGAACUCUUCAACUAACAAACAAUUAUUUGAGUCUGAUAUUAUUUUUGAAUUAUUGUAUCCUAGAAAAAUAAGUUAAGGGUUAUAUUGUGAUAUCUCCUAUAUUCAGAUUAGCAAACAAGAAAUAAUAAAUGAUGAAAAGGAAAACCAAAAAACUAUCUGAGUCCAUAGAACUCAUUAUGUAUCUUUAAGAAAGUUAAUCCCCUCUAGUAACUGAGAUUGCAUAUUAAUUCAUCCUAAGAUAAAACGAAUUAACCACUAAAGAAAUAGUGGUGCGUCAAACUUACAUAAUUUCAACAAACUGAAAAUGACAACAAUGAAUCACACAUAUAAACAUGAUCAAUAGAUUAUUAUUUUUUGUAAGAAAUAUAUGCAUAAUAAGGAAAGAAAUUUAUACAGAAAAGUACGAGAACGUCUCUCUAUUUAUAGCCAGCAAAGGGUAAAGGGCACAAAUCUUUGGAAACAAGAUAACCUUUUAGAAAGGUCAAAAAAACAUUGGAAAAGCAUAACCUUUCAAACAGUCACAACCCUUUCGAAAGAACACAACUUUUCAUAAAUGUGACAAUCCUUCAUUUCCUGUUCACACCUUUAAAAAACCAAAAAUCUCCCACAUAAAUAUGGAAUAACCAUUGUGAAAACACGUGCAUAAAAAAUUGUGUGAUUCAUUAAUAAGGAUUGAUUGUAUCUGGAUAAGUGAGUUUCUCUUUGAACUUUCCAUAGGGAACAUAUAUCAGAUAAACUCGGUAAAAAGAUUUGAUAUCUUUUAAUCGUCGAGUGUUGGUGUAUACCUAGAAAACAUAAGUCACACAAUAAACCCUUGAAAUGUUUUUGGUUCUCAUUAUUUUGUUCAUUUAAGUCAGGAACACAUCUUAGUUUAUAAGUGCAUAGAGAACUAGCCUUAUGGGAUUCUCCAUGAAGCAACUUAAACUUCACACUUACAUAAGUGACUUCUAAAAAUGUUACACCUAGAUACAUUAUUCAUAUACCCUGUAUCAAACAUAGAAACCAUUAAAAAGUCUUAAUGCCUUUAUCCUUGUUACUGAACAUUGUCUUAUCAUAAGAAUGGACCAUAAAAAUAUUUUGACAAUAUUGAACCGUCAGCAAUGACUUUAUUUGAUCUUCUUGAACCUAGAUCUUGGGAUCUCCAGUUUUCUAGGUAGAUUUACCGCCACAAUAACUUGUAAUUGAUCAUAGUCUCAUUCCUUUUGAUAAUCUAUCAACACUCUCUCGUAAGGCCUUUUAUAAGUGGAUCCGAUACAUUACACUUUGACGUUACACAAUCAAUUAUGAGAAUUCCACUAGAGAGUGGUUCUCUAACGAUAUUAUAUCUACAUCAUAUAUGAAUAGACUUUCCUUUAUGCAUCAUGCUUCAUGUCCUACCUAUUGCAAAUUAACUCUCACAAUGUACACAUACUGGAGCUAAACUGUUUGAGCAAAAAAAUCAUUCAAGAAAUUUCAGAGUCAUUCAAAUUCUUCAUUUGCCUUAUCUAGAGUGAUAAGUUUAGAUUUCAGAGUAGAGCAAGCGAUACGUAUUCAAUUGGCGGUAGUCUAUAUACAUUCUAAGGGAGCAAUCAUUCUUUCUCACAAAAAAGAUAGGAGAUCUCCAAUGAGAGACACAUGGUCGGAGAAAACCUUUAUAUAAUAAAUCUUUCAGUUGUUCCUUCAACUCUUUUAACUCUAUUGGAGCCAUUCAAUGUGGAGGAAUGGAGAUAGGACGAGUAUCUGGGAGGAUAUCUAUGUCAAAGUCUAUUUAUCUCUCAGGAGGAACUCCUGAUAUAUCAUUAGGAAAGACUUUGGAAAAUUUUUAUUGUAGGAACUUACUGAAAGGAAGGUACCUCAACACUUGAGUCAUUAACUCAGACUAAGUGAUAGAUACAUCCUUUUGAAACUAACUUUAUCUCCUUAAGGUACGAAAUGAAGUGACCCUUAGGCACUGAUGAAUUACUACUCCACUCUAUAACUGGAUCAUUAGGCCUCUAAAACUUGACAACUCGACUUCUGCAGUCUAUUGAUGUAUAAAAGGCAUGGAUCCAAUCCAUACCUAGAAUAACAUCAAAAUCUACCAUGUCUAACUCCACUAGGUCAGCCAUGGUAUUCUUGUGAUUAAUAGAAUUAGGACAAUCACAAUAGACUCAAUCUUAGGAGCAUAGCAAGACAGUUGGGUGAACUUUAACCCAUACUCAUGAACACUCAAGAAGUUUAGUUUCAUAGUAAGGAACUUUCGCACCUUGGACUCUUUCCUCUCGCACCUUGGACUCUUUUAGUUCUCAAGGAAAGAAACUCCCAAAGAAAGCCUCUUCAAAACAAGCCCAUCUUGGAUUUGGUGCAUUCUCAUCUCAACUCUUCUUUCAAUGGUCGAACCAAUUCCUAGCCACAUUCUUCAGUUGGUAAGAUUCUAGCUCGACUCUCUCAACACCAAUGACAUGUAUCAUAUAGAAUAUAUUUUCCAAUUCUUCCAUAGAGUUUUCUUGAUCCUCAAUAGUGCUCAAAUCGGUGAAACUAAAAGGAUUCAUUCUCAAGAAUUUGCGAAUCCUCGAGGUGUCAGCCUCUUCUUGUCGAGCUCCUCUCUAUUGCCCUAAUUGGUUAGUUACUGCUUGACUUUGAAUCCGAAUAGCCUCGCGGAACUCGGAAUUGGUAAGUUCCACUUAGGGUUGCACUUCAGGUGCAUUGGUUAACUCUUGCUCUUCAACAUUCCUUAUAGAUGGACGACCUUUUACCACUCUUCGUGGAUGCAUGAUAAUCUGAAAGACGGUCAAGCACAACUUACAGAGAGACUUUUAGGGAUAAACUCUAACACAUGAAAAAGGAAUAAGAAAGAAAUGAGGAAUUCCUACAUGUUGUUGCCUCCUAAUCAUAGAUGUGACGUGUUUCACACCGAUGACUAAAACCCUAUAGAUACGUCUUCAGAGACUCCCCAGGACAAUUGAACUUUGUGCUCUGAUAUCAUGUUUUUCACCGCAAGCCUACACACUAGAUGUGGCCGGCACCCAAUGACCAUUUCUGAUCUUGAGUGAACUCUUGCCCUGACUAAAUUACUCAGCAGAAGACUUAACGUAACACAAUUAUAAAGGUAAGGAAUAUAUACAAGAGAAAUACUUAAAAUGCAAUAGUCUGGCCAAACUGGCACUUAAGUCUCAUAGUUUACAAAUGAAAUGAAAAGACGCACAACUAACACAAUCUGUGUCUAUAAAACCUCUAAAAAUACUAAGGUGAAUGUUGGGACAAACCACACAACAUCCUACAAGGAAAAGACAUAAAAAGAUAAAGAAGUCCUUCGGAUGCAAAGAGGCUCACCACAAACUCAGGAUGCUUAAACUGGAUAAACGAGAUGCUGGAUGUUGAUCCUAAUUACCUGCAUUUGCAUCAUAAUACGAUGUCGGUCAACUGACAUCAGUACAUUUAUUGUACGAGUAUGCAAGUUGGAAUGUUAAACAACAACUUAAAGCUUGAAAUGAUUAAAAAGAACUGACCUUGGCUCUUCUCAACUCAUGAAAUACUAAACUCAAUAUAAACCAAUAAAGACACAUGCAUUAUGUAUAUAAAUUUUGUAAAACAAUGUAAAAAAAACUCCACUUUACUUAAAAUAAGAAAAGUAAUGUAGUUUCUGUGGGAAUUUCUCAAAUCGACAACCAUCACUAUAGCCUAAGUGAUGGUACAAUGUCUUACCUCACGUUGCAAGAGGACCAUCAUAUACCUUGCCAUCCGCAUAAAACCUGAACUACUAAGUGGAUCCACUAGUCAAUGCUAAAAGUACAAAGGAAUUAUCUAAAAAGUUUGACCCUUCCUCUGUCCAUCUUGACUACAUGGUUUAUGAGUGCUUAAGUUAAUAUGAACUCGCAUCCCCAUAUUUGUUAUCCGGACUACUCCCAAAAUACUUAGCUUAUAUGUUUUAAAGCAACUUCUUCUCUAGUCUGAUGUAAUUUGCUCAAACAUAGAUUUUAAAAUCUCUCUUGGAAAUCAUGGUUUCCUCUUUACUAAAACUAGCCAAAGGUUCUGUUCGAUGUCUAGCUUCUUUUGAUGCUCAAAAUGUGAAAAAAAUUGCAACUCUUAGGGAAUAGUUGUUCCCAUUUUACUUUUGAUAAAUGAACUCAACUGUUUACACUUUUUAGAAAUGAACUCAAGUCUUUACUCCAUGUUUAACUUGUAACAUAACUCUUAGGGCAUACUUAGUUCCCUUAUAAAUUUUUGGAUUUUUACUCAACUUUUUACUCUUUGUUAAACUUAUAUCUUGAGACUUAAAACAAAGUUAAAAUGUUUGUUAAACACUUCAAAAAUUUUAAGAACCUACUUUGACUUGAAUUAACUAUUAGACUUCACUCUUAACUUCUUUUACUCUAAUCUUAACUUUCCUUGAAUUGACUAUGAAUUCAAGGUUCUUGAUCUCAUGUUUAUGGAUUAUUUAAUUAUGUUUAUAUGUACCUUAGAGUGUUGGAAUAAACUAAUAAAUGUGGGUACAUCACUUAGGAACUAGUAUGAAAGGAUGGGAAAAGAACGAGAUCUCCAGGCAUCAUUGGCACUUUGAGAGGAGUGGAGCGCCAGAGCCUAAUUAACAGAAGUUGAACUGAGGGAUCUUGAUGGUGCGGCGUGGCAGGGAUUAUUGGAUAGAGCCCGUCUUGAGAGGCUACAGAAGGUGACGCCCCAGGGCCUGUCACACGAUAAUUCCGACAUUUCUUUUCCAUUUUUCAUCUCUAAACUUUCUAAAAUUCCAUGGAUCUCAACCCAAUAACAUAGGAUCAUUAAUAAGAUCAAUAACCUAUAGAUUAGACUUGAAAAUAACCCCUAAAGAUGAAUCCAAUCAACUAAAAAUAUACUAUAACUCAAUCAACAAGUAUUCAACCAUUGUUCUUCAAGAAUUUCAGUGUUCAUCAUUUAAUCUACUCAAAAUUUUCUGAAUUAAACAAAUUGGUGUGUAAUUGAACUAAACACAGAAAUAUCAUACAUAGCUUGAUAGGUAUCACCCGCGACGAAAUCCACUCGAAGAUCUUGGCGUUGACGAUGAAUUCUUGAAGUUUGUCCCUUUUUCUUCUUCUCUUCUCUUUGUUUUUCAAGUCCUAAGCGUGAAUACUUUUCUGAAACUGACUUAAGAUGGCUUAAUGUUACCCCUAAUAAAUGUUUAAAAUGAAUUAGGAAAUAGUUGUGUGGAAAGACUAUUUUACCCUUACUAAAAUCCAAAAUUGUGACUGCCCCACUAUAACAACCCAACUUCAGAAAGACAUAUCUCCCUCAUGCUAUAUCAAAAUCAUGCAAACUUGACGCUGUUGGAAAUAUCUUUCAAGUGAUUUACAACCAUAUAAAGAACUAACGCUAACUCAUCCUGAGCUAGAAGUUAUGAUUGUUUGAAAAUGACUAAAACUCACUUUUUACACUUGAAAAAUUUCUAGAUUUUCCUUUUGUUUCCAAAAAUGAUAAUUUUUAGUUUUUUAGCAAAUUCUUGCCAAUUACAAGUUACGAGAUGUUACAAAAAUGACUUAAAAUAAGUUCUGAAAUGUUUAACAAGGUAAGAAAUAACUUAAUCUAAGUAAAAAUGAUUUAAAGUAAGUUAGAUAUCAAAAGUAGAUCUCUCCCUACUUUUUAAUUUUUGACCUAAAAGUCAUUUGAUUUUGACUUGAAAGCUACAUUUUAAACCAAACCAAAAGGGCUCUAAAUAUAACAACCAUAUUGGUAGCUUCAUUAAAUGGUUGAAUUACCCCUCAAUCUAUUGUCCAAUUAUCAAUUAUAUAGUAAUACUUUAUAAGGAUUCUAUUACCCUAAAGUAUUUUAAAAGAAAAUAUUGACACCCUUAAAUGGUGAUGUGGUACAACAAGUAUAUUCACUUUCCUGUUGGCAAGUGGGAGACAAAUAUGUCAAAAUUAAUUAAUUUUACAAGUGUCAUUUCUUAAUUAAAUACUAUAAUAAAUAAAUUUAAUCAACUAAAAUGUCAUUCACUUUUUCUCACAGACAUCUCUAACCUUCCAUCUUUACAAGUUAAUACCCCUUCAACUUGUUGUGCUGCCAUGGCACUAAUGCAAGAAGAUAUUAUAUUUUCAUACUUUAUUUUUAAUUCAGAAAAUACUUUUUCAGUAUCGAUAUCUUUAAAAUAUCCCCUUAUUUUUAGGAAGAACAAAAAAAUAAGAAAAGAAAAAAAAACACCUCAAUUUCUCACCUUAAAGGAAAAUAUUUUUAGCUCGACGUUGAAAGAAAAAAUUGCAGCUUCCAUUGGAGACAUCCUUUUGUUUAUUAUAGAAAUCAAAGUCUCUUGACUGCAAUUGAAAGUGGGUAAUAAAAUUUGAGAUAUAUCAAGAAAAAUCUCAUCUUCAAGUUUAUCGAGAAGUGCAAUUGAGAAUCAACGGAAAAAGAAUUAUCUUAAAAAUAACGAUGAUGAUAGCACAUUCAGCAAAUUUAACAAUUACAACUGAAUUUUGUGCAAAUAGAUGAUUAAAAAGACAUUAAAAAGAAGGGGGGGGAGGUUUUGGUGUGUAUGGUGUGGUGUAGUGGAAAGGUCAAAGGAAGGCGGACAGAAGGAAAUGAGCUAUUUGGGAACAAUGAAGAAAAAAGAAGAAGAUUUAGGAAGAGGAAGAAUAAUUAUGAGAAUUGGUAAUGGUCAUUAGGAAAAGAAUGGUAGAGAAAAACUGGAAUGAUUAUUUUUUAUUUUAUUUCUCUGAAAUAAGUCUGUAUAUUACAACUAGAAUGAUUAUUUUUUAUUUUAUUUCUCUGAAAUAAGUGUGUAUAUUACAGUGGGCAACAAAGAUUGGGUGGUGGUGGUGGUUGUGACAUUUUAAGGAUGUUAAUAUCUUAGUUUAAAAUAUUUCAUGGGGUAAUAGGAUUCCUGUAAAAUAUUAGUGUGUAGUUGAGAAUUGGGCAAUAGAUUAAGUGAGUGUUUGACCAUUUUCUCAAAGUAUACAUAGCUCAAAGAACUAGUAUUACCCAAGGCGGACCAUUAUAUGGGAUCUUUAUUUGAUAUAGAGGAAGAAAUAUCAAUAGCGACUGCAUAAAUAUCACUACCAGCUCUACCUCAAAAUUUCUUUAAAAAAGAAACAAUGUUAGAGCUCAAAACUUCUUUAGCAAAGAAAAAAUCUUCUCAUUGGUUGUAAUUGUUGGAAAGUCAUUACAAGUAGUUAUAUGUAAGCAACAACAUGAGACCAAGUUGUGCGAGAGUACAUGUGGAAGUGUACCUUUGGGUGAGUUUCCUAAGAAAGUCAAUGUGGGAAUCAAGAAAAAGAAGGUGAAAUUGUGGCUAAAUGGAUUACCAUCAAAAGAAACAACAAACUACAAGGGCAUAAAUAAAAUGAUUGUAUUGUAUCACAUCCAAAAUUAUAUGCAAAAGAGGAAGGGGGUGAAAACCGAGGAAGAUAAGAGUAAAAAUAACAACAAAGAGAUCAAUAUAGUGCACAAAAGAAGGAGAAUGAUGACAUAGGAAAGUUGACAAACAAAAACUUUUAGAAACCUGGAAUCAACAUAGAGGACAAUAGAGAAUGGAUAUUAUUUAAAUGAAGGACAAAUUCAAAAAUAGAAUCCAAAGGAGAAAGUGAGUGAAAAAAAUUUGUUGAUAACUGGGAACAAGUUUGAUGCACUUAAUAAGGAAUAAGGGACAAAAGAACCAAGUCAAAACAAGAAAUAUGACAACCAUAGCAACGCCAAAGGCUAGACAAAGCACAAAGGAACAAGUUGUCGUGGAAACCAAAGACUAGGUAGAAUAGAAUUUUGGAAAACCAAGCACAAAGGAUAUAGGGGAAAGUACCAACAAAAAAAGAAGAAAGGGGAAUAGUAUCAGAAUUAAAGAAAAUCAGUAAUGAAAAGUACAACAAGAUGAGAAAUCUUAAAGAUAAAAUACAAGCCAUUGCAAAAUUGAGAAAGAUAGUCAACUUAAGGUGGACAUGGGCAUCAAAUUGUGGAAUAUGAAGGUAGGAGAGAAAUAAGAGGAAAAGCCACUAUAACAAUGAAAUAAAAUACAAUUGAUAUGUGAGGGGGUUCAUCAUAUAACAAUAAAGGGAAAUUCCCUGUAGGGAAAAUGACCAAGAACACUGGAAGAAACUGCAGGGUCUAGAAUUAGGGAGAAAAAAGGAAGGAGGAUGAAGAAGAAGACAUAGCUGAAAAUAUCAAUGAGAUAAGCAUGUAAAUAUAUCUAUCUAUCACUAAGAAAUACAGAAGAAUUGACAAUGCGAAAAAAGAGCUACAAAGUUGUUGGUAAGGACAAAAGCACAAGAAAUAGUAUAUCAAAAACCACCAAUGUGUAAAUGAUGAUAGACAAACUCUUAUUCUGAAUUAUCAGAUUAGUUAGCUUAAGAAUUAUUUUGAAAGAUUAAUUGAUCUGAAAAAAAAGAAAUAAAUGUGCAUAUAUUACCCUUACGGAAUCGUUUACAAGUCAUCAUGAAAUAAAAACCUAUAGAAAUCUCAAAAUACAAAUAUCUUGGCAAAUAGCUCUUCCAAAAUCUGGACGUGCAAGAUCAUGUUGGGAGAUAUAGACUAGCUCAAGCUCAACCCAAAUUUAUUGCCACCUUGCAUCUAUAAAAUACCUUGGUUCAUAUGUUAGGACCCCUUUGAGUGAUCGAUCAGGCAAGAAUGGUUAUGACCUCUGGUAGAUCACACAAUCGUUUUGAAGGUUAUCCUCCGAAUUAGAUAGGUGUUCCAAGUUCUUGGGAGAUCAACUCAUAUCAUAACUCCUCGAUUAGAUUUCAUUGACAAGCCUUUGAUGACCAUUGAUAAGCCAAAGAUGUUUGGAAGGUACGAGUGACUUGAAUUAGGAUGCAUAUUAAUUUAUAAUUAGCUGUAAUGGGAUAUUUCAUAGGCUUCGAGUAGUUGAGUGUCAUCGAAUUUACAAUACAAUGUUCCAGAUGAUUGGCUUACCAAGCAUUGGUGCAGGGAUUAUAUUAAUAGUAGGUCAGCUGAAUCACUUUUACUAUCAUGUUUAUAGAUAUGUUUAUUCCACUCACGAGCGGGAGGGCAAGAGGGCCUAGUUUGAAAGUUUGCAGCAAUAUGAUAUGUCAAUCACAAAGUAUGAGGUUAAAUUUCACGCCUCUACUGGGCACACUUUGAUGAUACUUUCCACUGAGACUAAGACAAUGAAGAUUUGUUAAGGGUCUGAUUAUUAUGCUUCAUAUGGGAGUUUCUCAGGUUGCCUCUUUUGUGUUCCAUCUCAGAAAGUGGUAAAUGAUGCUAAAAAUUUGGAAAUAAUUUGAUGUGAGAGAUUUUGAGUAGUGUGAGGUCCAGAGGACCCAUCAUUCAGUCCUUUAUAUAGGGUAGUGCUAGCUCCUCCUAAGAAUCGAAGUUGUAACUCUUAGUGUAGCAUACCCAUUCAUGUUGUGUUAGUGUGAUAUUUUAAUAUAUUCUAAAAAUAUUAAUUGCAAAGUCACAAAUGUGUUUGGCCGUUUGGUUGACUUAUUCAUAUGCUACGUUUUGAGUUACUGAAUAUCAUUAUUCCAUUUUGUGUUACUACAUAGGUUAAAAUUAUUUUCUUGAAAGUCACGUACAACUGGCUUUCAUCUUUCAUCCCAGAGAACUUUUGUAACUUGUCAUUUUUCUUUCUUUAUUGCUCAAUUAUACCGUGUAACAUAUGUAACUCCUAAGGACAUUAUCUUCACUAUUUAAAACACCAUUAUCUUCUUUUCAUUGUUAGAAAGACUUCUUCUUAUGUAAAUAGUGGUGAUUUUCAUUUGGUUUUGUACAAUACACAAGAGAAAAAUAUAAAGUGAAAGAUUUAGUCAGAAAGAGAAUUCUUAUUAGUUGAAGGGAGGUGUUCUUUUUUGUGGAGCUUUGUAUUGAACUCUUGUCCAGAGUUUUUGAGUUAUACUUUGUGAAGAUUGUUGUAUCCUGGAGGGGAAAAGUAAACGAGGACUACUGUUGGACUGAUGAAUAUAUUUGUUGCGUGGGCUUGAAUCUUCUUAAAGAGAGCGAGAUAUCCACGUAUUAUCCUGAAGAGAUUUAUUUCUUCUUUUUAUUUUCAAUUGUAAUCUUGCAAUUUUAUUAUCUUAUAAGUUUUAACUAACAAUUCUAAGGAGAUUCAACAUGGCUACACUUGAAUAAACCGCGGAUGUCAAGAUGAGACACUUGAACAAGCCAUUUAUAUUCAAUUGUAAGCAUUCUAAGAGAUUGAAGGGUAAAGUACUUCUAUUUAGGUCUUCUCAAUGUUAUAUAUGUAUUAACCGAGAAGAAUUCAAAUAAAUAAGACAUCACUUUUAUGAAUGAUGAUGAAAGUAUUUCUCAUCUAUGGAAACUGGAAAAGCGAUGGUGAUUCCUAUAAAUGUCGGUAUUAUAUAAUUAAUUGUCUAUCUGAUAAUUUUUAUGAUAGAAAUUACUCUAGUGUAUAGAAAAUUUGGAAAGCAUAGCAUAGUAAGUAUGAUACCGAAGAAUCGGCAACAAAAAAAUAUGCAGCUAGUAGAUUUUGUGGACAAUAAAUUGGUGGUACACCAAGUUCAAGACUUUAUCAUAAUUGUUGGGGAGAUUAGGUCUAAAGAGGUUAAAACUUGAGAUAACCUUAUUGUUUAUGGCAUAGUAGAUAAACUUCCACCUUCUUGAAAGGAAUUCCAAAAAAACUAUGCACUACAAAAAAAAAAGGAAACCUCUCUUGAAACCUUGGUCAUGAAAAUUUUCAUGGAAGAAGAAUUAAGGGGGCAAGUUGCACUUUUACGAACAAAAGAGAACAACAUCACAUCGAAGGUAAAUUUAACUACUUCGAAUAAUGAUACUCUUGUAACUCACGAAAAUACUUCUUUAAAGUCUAAGAAGAAAAAAUUCAUGAAAAUAAUGGUAUACCUCGAAAGUAUAAUAAUGGUGAAAAUAACCAAGCACAAAAUCAACAUGUUCAAGAAAAGGGAUCAUGCUUUGUUUGUGGCAAGAGUGAGCAUAUUGCUCGAUUUUGCAGAUUAUUGAAACGUGGUCGUAGACCUCAGACAAACAUUACAGGCAUAAACAUGGUUGAAAAUGUUGAUGGACACUGGGCUGAUUCUGGUGCAAACUGUCAUGACUGUUAUGACAAAGACAGAUUUAAAAAAUAUACUUAUUUUGAGGAGCCCAAAACCAUCAUGCUUGGUGAUGCUCACACUACUCAAGUUCUUUGAAAGGGAUAUGUCGAAUUUUGUUUUACUUUUGGAAGGGUAUUAACUUUAAAAAAUGUACUUUAUACCCCUUCCAUGAGAAAAAAAAUUGAUGUCUAGUUUUUUAUUAAUAAAGAAGGCAUUAAACAGAUUAUUGAAUUUUAUCAAUAUGUAAUAGUGAAUAAAGGUAUUUUUGUGGGUAAUGGUUAUGCAUGUGAUGGGAUGUUUAAGUUGAAUGUUGAUAUGAAUAAAACUUCUACUUUUGUUGAUAUGCUUUCUUGUACCAAUUUGUGGCAUGCUCAUUUGUGUCAUAUUCAUGAUCCUUAUAUUGUUAUCAUGAGUAUCUUAGGAUUAAUCCUAAUGGUUAAAAAGAAUUUUGAUGAGGCUUGUAGUAAAGAUAAAAUCACUAAAAGACCUCAUUUUCAAGUUGAAAGUAAAAUAGAUUUGUUAGAAGUAAUUUAUAUUUAUAUUUGCGAACUUGGUGAGAUUUUAUCUCUUCGAGGUAAUAGAUAUUUUAUCAGUUUUGUUGAUGAUUUCUCUAAGUUUACAUAUUUUUACUUGAUGAAAAAUAAAAGUGAUACUUUUGAAAAUCUUAAAACUUAACUCCAUGAGGUUGAAAAUGAGUUUGGAAGAAAAAUAAAAAUAACUAGAAGUGAUAGAUGCCGUGAAUAUGAAUCAAAUGAGUUCAAUUAUUUUAUUAGAUCAUUGAGAAUAAUUCAUGAAAUUAAUCCUCCUCACUCUCGUUCAUCUAAUGGAGUAGAGGAAAAUAAAAAUAAAACUUUGGUUGAAUUGACUAAUGUCAUGCUUAUUGAGUCACAUGCACCUUUAAAUUUUUAGGGUGAAGCUAUUUUAACUGCUUGUUAUGUGUUGAAUCGUGUGCAUCAUAAAAAGUCUAAAUUGACACAUUUUAAAUUGUGGAAAGGUUACAAGCCAUGUUUGAUAUAUCUAUGAGUUUCGGAUUGUGUAGCCUUUGUGAGGCUAUUGGAUCCCAAGAUUACAAAGUUGGGUAAGAAAGUUACUUCUUUUGCUUUUCUUUGUUAUGCUUCAAAUAGUAUAGCCUAGAUAUUUUUUAAUCUUGAAGAUAAUAUUGUAAUAGAAUCCAGUGAUGCUAUUUUUCGUGAAAACAAAUUUCCAGUUAAUUCUAAAAAUAGUGGGAUCAAAGGAUUGAACAAUAAUUUUGUCAUUACCUAGUUCUUCUACUUCUACUUUGAAAAAUUAGGAAGUUGAUGAUUUUGAGAUAAGAAGAAGUAAAAGAGCUAGAGUAGAAAAAUAUUUUGGUCUUGAUUUUUAUAUGUUUAAUGUUGGAGAGGACUUUGUCACUUUGAAAGAAGCAUUACAGUCACAUCAUUCUAUUUUUUGGAUAGAGGCUGUAAAUGAUGAAAUGAAAUCACUAAUUUAUAAUUUAACUCGGAAACUAGUUGAUUUACCACCGGGUUGUAAUACUAUUGGUUGCAAAUGGGUCUUACGGUGAAACCGGAUGGAUCUAGUGAUAAAUACAAGGUUAGGCUAGUUGCAAACGAUUUUAAACAACUAGAAGGUCUAGAAUUUUUUGAUACUUUUUCUCCAAUAACAUGAAUUACAUGCAUAAGACUUUUAAUUGCUACGACUGAAAUUUUUGACUUGCGAAUUCAUCAAAUUGAUGUAAAAACUGUUUUUCUAAAAAAGUGACCUAAAUGAAGAAAUUUAUAUGGAUCAACCGAGUGUUCGGUUGAAACGGGCCAAGAAAGAAAAGUAUGUAAACUUACUAAAUCCCUAUAUGGCUUGAAACAUCCACCAAAACAAUGCAUAAAAAUCUUGAUUCAUGGAUGAUUGAAAAUAAUUUUAAGAUAAAUGAGUGUGAUAAGUGCAUAUAUCAUAAGUCUUGAAAUAAUUCACAUGUGAUUAUUUGCCUAUAUGUUUAUGAUUUGUUGAUUUUUCGCUCUAACAUGAAUGUUAUUGAUGAAGCUAAAAGCGUUCUUAGAAGACAUUUUGAUAUUAAAGAUCUUGGUGAGACAAACUUUAAUCUUGAAAUAAAAAUAACAAGAACACGUGAGAGAAUUUUCCUUGACCAGUCAUAGUAUGUUGACAAAAUAUUCAAAAAAAUAUAACUUUGAUGAUUGCAAGCAUGUUGCUACUCUUUUUGAUUCAAGUGUUCACUUAUUUAUUGUUGAAAGUUAAAAUGAUGCAAUAAAUCAAAAGGAAUAUGUCAGUAUAAUAGAAAGUUUGAGAUAUGUGACUGGUUACACUAGGCCUGAUAUUGCAUAUGCAGUAGGAGUACAUGACAUGUUUACAAGCAAGCGAAGUAAUGAAUAUUUACAUGUUGUAACAAGAGUUAUGAGAUAUUGAAUUGGAAUGAAAAAGUGUGGCUUGUUCUAUAAAAAAUAUCUUGUUAUACUUGAAGGCUUUUGUGAUGCAGAUUGGAACACUUUAUCAGGUGAUUCGUGUUCUACCACUGGUUAUGUUUUUACUUUAAGUGGUGGUGGUGUUUGUUAGAAACUAAAAAAAACUAUAAUUGCUAACUUUAUCUUGGAUCUAAACUAAUUGUUUUAUCUUCAACUACUGACGAAGCGAAUUGGUCAAAGAUUUAUUGUUUCAAAAUCCUAAUUUUGAAAAACUAAUUCCUCAUAUUUGAAUUACAAGGUAAAUUCAGACCUAUAAGGAGGAAACAUCGUAAUGUAAGAUCAUAUUUGACAUAUGAUACCAUUAAUGUUGAUUAUGUCAAAUCUUGUAAUAAUCCUGCAGAUGCACUUACUAAGGCCUUAACAAGAGAAAAGGUUUGGAGUACAUCAAGGGGAUGAGAUUGAAGCCUACAACUCCUUGAGUCAUGUAUGAGGAAACCCAACCUGGGGACUAGAUAUCCCUCCUUAUGAUGUGAGUGCAUUGUUUCCUGUAGUUUGUGAAGGUUGAGUUGAUAAAACUCUUAAUGAAUACGUGUAGCUCAUAUGGGUGGAGUAUUAUGCUUAUAGGAGCACUCUCGAUAGAAUUUUCUUAUGUUAUGUGUAGAAGUAGGUCGCUUCCUAUGAGAAUUUGACUAAUUCUCAAAAGCACUCAUGAAAGAGGGAUAACUGACGUCCUGACUUUAAAGUUCAUAUCAACAUCUUGAUUAUUAUUUGAGAUCAGUGAUAUUUUAUUUCUCUUAAGCCGUCAUAGUUCAAGUCUAAGACCACUACGACUCUAGAGUAAUAUUUAUUGUUUCACUAAGUGGAGGUUCAAUGCAGAGCGCACCUUAAUUCUGCAUGAUAUUCUUCCUUCAAUUGAUAUACACUCUUAUCAAAUAUCAAAAUGAGUGGAGAAUUGUUAGUGAAACAUUUUAAUAUAUUAUAAAAAUAUUAAUUGCACAGUCACUACUGUCUUUGGCUGUUUGGUUGACUUGUUAAUAUGCUACAAAAUUAAUGAAAAUUACUUUUGGAUUAGUGCAUUACUCCAUUUUAGAGUUACUGCAUAUCAUAACUCCAUUUUGUUUUACAGCAUAUGUUACAGUUAUAUUCUUAAAUGCCACCAACGGUUGGCUUUCAUCUUUCAGUCCAGAGAAAUUUUGUAACUUCUCAUUUUUCUUUCGUUAUUCCUCCAUUAUACAUUCUAACAUAUGUAACUCCUAAGACCAUUAUUUUCACUAUUUACUACACCAAUUAUUUUCCUAUUCAUUGUUAGAAAGACUUCUUCUAAUAUAAAUAGUGGUGGUCUAAUUUGGUUUGAUACAACACACAAGAGAAAAAUGUAGAUUGAAAGAGUUAGUCAAAAAGAUAAUUCUUACUAGUUGAAGGGAUGUGUUCUUUUUUGUGGAACUUUGUACUCAUCUUUUGUCUAGAGUUGUUGAGUUAUACUUUGUGAAAACUGUUGUAUCCCAGAGGGGACAAGUCAAAGAGGACUAUUACUAGACCGAUGAAAAUAUUUGCUGAAGUGAUUUAUUUCUUUAUUUUAUUUUGAAUUGUAAUCUUGCAAUUUUAUUAUCUUGCAAGUUUUUCUCUAACAUGUUGUAACACAAGCUUCUGAGGUUGAUUAUAUUAAGCGUAGUUCUUCUUAUUUAAUACAUACUUCACAUGGUUCAUCUUCUAGACAUGUAGGUCCUGGAGGACAUUAUGGUCAUUCGCGUUCCUAUCAUUAGCAUACGUCUUGUAUUUACUAUUGUACCUUAUUUAAUAUUUUCUUAAGGGACAAUUUUUUUAAAUGUACAACUUAUUAAUUUUAUCUACACUAAAAUAGUAGUAUUUUUACACUUUACAUAGCAAUAUUGUUUUUUCAAAAACAGAAUUUAAAUUAAAGUUUUUUUCUAACUCAGCCCGAAUAAUCGUUUUUCCCAUAAAUUAAUCCAAAGUCAUUGUAUUUUAGUGUAUAUGAUUAGUUGGUGUAUUUUUUUGUUCAAAUUAUAUUACCUUCAUGAAUUUUUUAAAAUUUUAACAAGUAAGUGCAUGGAUUUUAUGUAGAUUUAAAAACAAUAAAAAAAUUAUACCCAACAUAUUAUAAUUAUUAUUGGGUAUAUUUGCUGGUGAAAAAACACACCAAUUUGACGUCUAUGAUAUAUGUUAAUGUUAUAGUUGUUAAGUUGGUGUGUAAGAUAAACAGAGAGCAUUUCACAAAAUAAUGUGAAGACGAUAAGAAAAUGAUUGAAGACGACACUGAAGAAGAAAGAAAGAGAUGAAGACGACACUAAAGAAAAAAGAUUGUAAGAGUAAAGACAAAAAAAAAGAACAACAAAGUGAUGAAGAAGAUGAAAGGUAAGAGAGAGUUUCUAGAAUAACUCAUAUACCUAUUGAAAACAGUACCAAUUUUCUUGGUACCAUAAAAAUAAAAAUUCAUUAAUUGAAUAAAAUAAAUAACUCAAUUACACCAAAAACAUAACUCAACGUAAAAGAAAAAAAUACUUAACGUGUGAAAAGGAUUCGUAAUAUUAUAAGAACUAUAACAAACUUUAUUGGUACCGCAAAUCUGAAUAUAAAAAGGAAUCCAAAUAAUAAUUAUAAAAAACAUCAAAAAAAAUAUAAGUUACUAAAGACGUGUGAAUGUGGGUAUGUUUAGUAAGAGAGAGAAUAACUGAUAAUUAAAUAUCAAAAUACACUCCACUAACUAAAUAUGACAUAAUCUACUAAAAGACAAAAAGAAAAAUUUUGAAAAAAGAAUUAAAAACACAAGAUUAAAUAUUUUGUUAAUUUUGUAAUUUAAAAACUUAGUUUUUAAUUAAAUAUAAGUAUUUGAUAUUUGUUGAUAGUAGUCUUAAGUAAUAUACUUCUAUAAUUUUUCCUUUUCUUAAAGUCAAGUUUUCAAUCAGUGAACAUAAAUUGAUUUAUUUUGAGUAAUUAAUUUAUUUGACCAAUAGACUGUAAUGACUCGGAAGGUCAUUUGUGGAAAUUUUAAAUAUUUAUUUAACUAUAUUUAAUUAAUUGAUGGGUAAUUAUACAUAAUUGACUUAAUUGAUAGUUAAUGGGUUAAAGUGAUAAUUUAUUUGGAACCGUACUAUUUGACCCUUAUGUAUUAAAAUAACUAGUAGGGUUAUCACUUUUAUAAAAAAAAAUAAUAAUAAGAAGAAGGGGAGAAAAUUAUCCAGGUGAUGUCGGACGAUAGAGGCGGAAGGCAUGGUCGAUGCCAUGAUGCGAAGACCCAAAUUUGCUUCAGGUAACAAUUUUGUUCGAGAAAAAUAAAGAUUUGGAAUUUUCCUUUCUUUUAAAACAUUGUAAUCAUCACUUCAAAUAUUAUAAGAUAAAAUAUUAGUUGGAUUUAUGAGGAAACUAACACCAAUAAAUUCCAUUAACAUAUUGGUUUUCGGAAAAAUCAAAUUGUGUUAAAGAUUGAUGUUUUGGUGGGGAAAAAAAGUAUGCUAAUGGAGGAUUAAUUAUUGGAGUGAUUGUGGCAUGUGAGUGUAAGUGCACUAUUUCAAAAGGUAUCAGCACAUAAGUAUUAUGGUUACGGUUCUUGAUAUAUAAGUUUUGAGUUUGUUUAUCCUUACGUGAUUGAAAGUUUAUUGUGUGCUAUCAAUGGAUCAAGUUUUGUUAUAUUAAAAUAGAUAAUUAAAUAUUAGGUGUAUUACAUUAUGUGAAUAUUAUUAGAUUAAUGAUAUUGGAGAAAUUGAAAUCCUAUUGUGAUUAUUUGUUUGAAUAGAUUGUAAUUAUUUGGAAGUCCAAGGAAAGGGGUAGGCUCAAGUCUCAGAGUGAUUGUUCGAUUGUUUGAGGCAAGUGGAUUUCUAAACUCUUGUUAAGUGUAUGAAAUGCGUGUAUUUCCUUUUGAUAUAUGUUUGGAAGUGAUGGGAUUGGUGAUGGGUUGACUUGUCCACAUUGAUUAAUUCUAAUAAUGAAGAAAAAAAGAUAAUAAAAGGAAAUGUGAUUAAUUGUUUAUGUGUGAUGUGUUGAGAAAGGUUUGAUGGCUUGUUGAAUAAUUGUUGAUGUGAUUUCAUGUUUGUGUGGUUGUGAACUGUGCAAUGUUAUGAAAAUUGUCAUCUCCUCAUUAUUUGUGUGAACAUGUCAUUUGCAUUAUUCAGAGACAUGGUUGUGAAAGUGUUAUGUGCUUUGAGAAAGAAUGAUAACUUAAAGAGGAUGUACCAUUUCGAGGAACGUAUCGCGCGCCGCGAUGGAUACUAUAUUUCGAGGGACGUAUCGCGCGCCGUGAUGGUUACUAUUAUCGAGGGUCGUGUCGUACGCCGCGACAGAUGCAUGGAGAGAUAUGCCCCCCAUGGGUCCCGGACUGAGAGACAGCGGGUGUGUAUCACUAGGUCAGACAUGCAUCAUUAUACUUAAUAUUGCAUUCCAUUGCAUUGCACAUACUUACCAUUAGUGAACUUGAUAUUGUAUUUCGCUGAUCUUUUGAUUGCCUUUCUGCGGAACUUGUGAUUGAUCAAUAUUGAGCUUGUUAUUGCGGAUAUGUAAUUUGUUGAAGUAUUUUUGUUGAGGAUAUGUAAUUGUUGAAGUGUUGUUGUUGAGGAUAUGUAAUUUGUCUAAGUGUUGUUGUUGAGCUACGUUCUAUGUAAAUUGUGAGCUGUUAGGUUGGGUUGAUUUUAAUGCAGGUUGUAUUUGUGGAGGUUCGGUUGGGGGUGGUAGGAGUACCCGUAUUUCAUCCCCAUAGCUUGUGUUUAGAGGUUUACUUGCUGAGUACCGUGUGGUUUGGUACUCACCCCUUGCUUCUACAAAUUUUUGUAGGUAAUGAGCCUGGAUUUUUGUUGUACUUGUCAGUCACUUCUUUUCCGAGGCUUCAUGGAGAUUUGUGAGGUAGUUGUUUCCAUCUCAGCAGACUUUCUUCUCCAUAAUUAUGAUCUUGUUCUAUUCUAGAAACAAGUUCAUUUGAGACUUGAGUUUUUCUUUUGAAUCUUGUAAUACUUUAGAGACUUGUACACGUGACUACCAGAUUUUGGGGGUUUAAUUAAGUUACUUAUAUUUUAUUUCCGCACUUUAUUAUAAUGGUUGAGUUUUAGGCUGACUUGUCUUGGUGGGAUAAGACGAGUGCCAUCACGCCCAUUUUUGGGUCGUGACAAAAUGGUAUCAGAGCCCCAGGUUCAUAGGUCUCACGUGUGUACAAGUCGAGUCUAAAUAGAGUCUCGAUGAUCAGUACGGAGACAUCUGUACCUAUUUUCGAAAACCUUUUUGAAAAUUUAUGUUUCACUAACCCAUUGCAACCAGAUUCAUUUUGUUUUCUCAUUUUGAAAGAUAUUGCCAGACUAAAAGUUCCAGGAAAGGGUCUACCAACCAGAAAAAAGGAUAAAGGGGUUUUUAUUGCUACAGAGGUUGCACCUCCUCGAUCAACUAGACUUAAAAACAUGGAUGUAUAUUCCACCCACCUCACCAUACAUAAUUUUUAUAAUGAUGAUGAUGUGGGGUCUAGGACUCAAAUUCAUAAUUCUGUAUCAGCAGAUGAAUAGACACUGAAAUGAAGACGUGAUGAGUUGUGCUCCAAAGUAGUUCAUGAUCCAGCAUAAUGUCCGCCAUUCCACACACCUCCACUACCUCAAGCACUUGUAGCACAAAAACCCAAGCAUCUCUACAAGGCUCCAUGAACCAGUUAAAGGUCACCGAUAUGUGAACAAUUUUGGAGGAGAAGAGGUUAUCCAUAGAUGGGGUAGUUGAUAAAUAUCUAGAAGUAUGGGAGACGCUCCAGUUUCAUAAAUUUGAGCAGUUCAGAAAGAACCAAAAUUUUUACAUGCCUACUUGUGUUAGAUAAUUUUACAACAGUUAUGCGUAGUUGAUCCAAAAAGAGAAGAACAAAUAUGGGUCGGUGGUACCGUUAAAUUGUUAAGGUGUGUGGAAGAGAGUGAAGUGUAUUGAGAUAGACAUCAAUGAUUUGCUUUCAUGCACAACACAGAUAUGGCCCCGUUUGAGGCACUUUAUGAGAGGUGACAUAGAUUACUCAUAGGAUGGUUUGAGGCUAGAGACAUGAAACUUUGGGGGUUGAUUUAGUAAGGGAUGAUUAAGAUAAGGUGAGGAGUAUUCAAGUUAAGAUUUUAAUAACCCAGAGUAGGUAGAUGAAUGCAGACCAUAAGGUAAGAGAAAUGGCAUUUGAAGCUACUGAAAAUGUGCUUCUUAAGGUAUUACCCAUUAAAGGAGUGAUGAGGUUUCACAAAAAGGGCAAGCUAAGUAUGUUAUACAUUGGUCCCCUUGAGGGUAUUCAAUGUGUAUGUCUCGUGUCUUAUAGAUUAGAUUUACCUUUUAACAAAUAGGAAGAUUAUCCGGUAUUUCAUAUGUCUAUGUUGAAAAGAUAUCAUGGUGUCGAGGAUUAGAUAAUAAAAUUGAGCUCAUGCAUUAGCCAAACACCGUCAGUAUGAGAAGAAACCGAUUGCAGUUGAUCAUGAUGUCAAUAAGCUGAGGACCAUUGAUAUUAUGUCCGUGAAUGUUUAAUGAAAGCAUCGUCUACUUGAGGAAGCUACUUGGGAAACCAAUAAUCACAUACUAGACAUUUAUCCCGUGUUAUUCUUCAGUUCAUGUACUAAUGUACUCUAACUUAAUCAAAAAUUUUCCUAGUUGUCGCUCGGGGAUGAGUGAGGAAUAAAUUGCUAUCUAUUGUAACGACUCGUUCCCAUCAUUAUUGAAAAUCCAAUGGGGAAAAAAUUUGGUUUGGAAAACUUUUUUGUAGUAACUUGGAAUUUCCCAACCUAGUCAAGAUUUGGAUGAAAUCAUAGUCAAUAAAGUUGUGAUAACUAUGGUGAAAACUUGGAGUUAUAAUUAUUAUUCUUAUAAAAUUAGUGGAUGGAUAAGACGUUUAGGAACCCACAUGACUAAACAAAAUUUAAUUCGGUGAGUGGAACUCCCAAAACUAAACUUGGCGUGAACGGCUAGUUUUUGAGUGUCACUGGUUGAAGGUGUGUUGUAAAAAGGGGGUUUGGGAAUUUUUUUUGUAUCACUGUAUUCAUGCAAGUUCACAAGGAAGGAUUUUUCCCGCUAGGGCAGGGCCGCUAUGGCCGGAUGUGUGCUUCCAUAGCGGGCCAAUCACAAAUUAAAUCGGAAAUAAAUCCCAAAACUUUUUAUUUAACACUUCUCUACUUUGAGAGCUAGGAUACCACUCAAAACGAUUUGUUGGUCAUUUUUCAUGAUUCUUAAGACUAAAGGUAAGGUUUUCACUCCCCAAAUCCAUUUUUCAGUCCGUGUAAUGUAUAUUUGUGUGUAAUUAUUGUUAUAGAAGGGUUUUUGGGACUGUUUGGAUGGUGGGAAAUGCGGUAAUUUGAAUAGUGGGAGCAUGGGUUAGAUCUAGGGUUGAUAACAUUAAAUUUAACCCAGUUAAUUAGAUAUUAUUUAUUUAUUCCCAUGUUAUAUUAAUUGUCUGUAGACCAAGAACAAGUGAAACAUAUUCGGAAAAGGAAGAAUCAAGUUUCUUAGUGAAUUGAAGUUUUGUUUGAGAUAAGUGAUGGUUGUGAAUUCAUGUUGUGCGAUAAAUGUUUGUUAUUUCUUCAUUAUGAUACAAGUAUAUAUGUGAAUGUUACAUUAUUUAUCACACUAGUAAUAAAUGAGAAUAGUUGAAUGAUUGAAUGUCAUGAAUCACGACUUGAUUAUAUAAUUAUGAGAAUGAACUCAUGAUAGUGAUUGUAUCUUGUUUAAUGGAUCAGUUGUCACACUCCGACACACUAACUAGAAUCGGUUUCCACGUACUGGAAUAGGUUUCACAGCCAAAAGGCGAACUUGGAAUUGCUACCAUGAACCAUUUUACUACAAGUCUGGGUUUGGGUUCCAUGAGAACAAUAUUUAUUUGACAUAAUUGUUUAAUUGAGAAUUAUAAAAUGCACUGUUUCUUCGUAAAUGAUGUUGAUAUUGUAUAUGUUUGGCGUAUUCAUAUUUAUUAUGUUGUAAUAAAUUAUGUAUGUUGCACUUCGUGGGAUAGUCGUGUGAUCCUACCAGUGCACUGUGGUUGUGUAUUUAUACUGCAUUUGCUAUUUCUUUGUUGAGUACCAGGCAUCUUGAAGCGGCUAUUGACAGACCUCAUUUAGAAUACUAGUGAUCAUUUUGAAUUCAAGGUUUAGACAGUUUUUUCGGGCUUCAAUGAGUUCUCUUUCUAUUGAUGGCCAUAUUUUGGACUUUCACUUUCUAGUUAGUUAUUUUUAUGUUAUUUUGGGGUUGUACCCCUUCUUGUUUAGACUUAGGGUUGAUUUUCUGGUACAUUGACUCUCUUGUUCUAUGUGUUAUUUUCAGCAUUUUUUGUUGGACUUUUGGAGAUUAUGGGAGCUCUAUUUCUUUUCCUUAGCAUUUAAAACUACUUCUAUUACUUUAAGGGCCUUAGUUUGAUUUAGUUGGGUACUUUUACUAUUACAUUGGUUGUUGUAAUGGUACUCCCACAAAAUUUUAGUUUCGUUGCAACUCGUUAUAAUCUGGGUCGUGACUGGGCACAUUGAUAUGGAACAAGGAGAUUUCGACUAGAAACUUAGGCUUAUGCUACGAGAGAGAUUCUAUUUUAAUGUCUUCUUACUGGUAAGUAUAAAUACCACUAAAUAAUCAUUAAUUUUAACUCAUUUUAUCAUUAGGGAACAUAGAUCUUCGCCUUUUAUCCUAUCAUUAUGGGACAUCGAUAUUCGCAUCUUGUCUUAUCAUAGGAUAUCUUCUUAGACCAUGGAUGAGAAAACCUUUCACUAUCUAUGAUAUUUUUUUGAAUAACUUUGAAGUCUUAUAGUAAUUCACUUCAUGCUAGAGAUGCCCUGAUACUAAUGGAAAUAAUUUUGUAGGCGUGAUCUAUAAUCAUUGAUGGCAUAUGUGGAUACUAAUACUAAUCAAAACCUAAUUAAGGAAUAUAGCCUGAAAAUCAUUGAGGGUAAAUCUAUAUUUCAUUCAUGUCAUGUGGCAAAGUUUCAUAGAACAUACUGGUAGAUACCUUUAUCUAUAAUCUUAGUUGAGUCAUAAACAUAGUUUCCAUGAAAACAUGCAUGAUUUCAUAAAACAUAUUAAUGGAUUCAAGAUUCUUCAUAAAUUCAUGUAAAUUAGGGUUCAUAAAAAAAUUCAUAGAUAAAUGCAUGGUUUCACAUAAAAUUAGUUGAAUAUCAUGUAAUAAAAUUCAAAUCAUCAAAAUUAUAUCAUAAUAAAGCAACUGAAUCCAUACAAAUAUAACUCAUGAGGAACUGAGUCAAAAUCUAGGUUAUCUUUAAAAUUAAAUUUGAAGUUUAAUGAAACUUUGGGACUCAAUAGAUGAAUGGAAACCAUUGAUUAAAUCCCUACAUACCUUGAUUUUGUAACACUUUAGGAUCAAGAAGUCUAGAAAAGGGAGUCAAGUAGGAGGUCAUUAGCCCAGAACUGAGCAAUGAUGCCCUUUAUGGAGUCCUUCACAAGCUGUGAAAGGCAUCAUGACUCGUGGUGGUGCUCGUGGAGCCUUCCCAUGUUUGAACAAGAGGGUAUACCCUCCCAAGAGCCCUUAGAUGGCUCUUGGUAAGCCUUGCAUCCCGUGCUGGUGGCCGUUGAGGAGAGGAAGAAUCCACCACAAAGACAAAAUCCUCCCAGGAUCCCCUAGCUGGCUCGUGAAAAGCAAGACGGCUCGUCAUGGUGGUCGUAGAGGGGUAAAAAUACAUGUACCCUAUCCCUAGGCCACUAUUCAAGGACCACUGCUUCCACUAUUGCCUGAAGGUCCAUGACGGCUCGUGAGCUCCAUCAUUUGGUGGUCGCAUCAGCUGUAUGUCAAUGUUAGUUGGGUAUUUUCCGAAUUAUUUAUAUUAAUACAAUGUCAUUUUACCCUUACCUGAAUCCCUAUAUAAGUGAUUUUAUCCACGAAACCAACCUAUUCAAGUCAUUCUCCCCAAUUUAUAAAAGAAGAACAAUUCUUUUUCUAAAAACAUUUCUCUCCCUAGAAAAGCUUGAAGAAGAAUGGUUCAACCUAGGGUUCAAAGUAAACUAUCCCAUUCCUCCAUUUAUGUAAAUCAAUUUUCAUUGAGGUAUGAUAGUUUUUAUCCAUAUAAGUCUUUUACCCAUGGAUUUCCAAACUUCUCUCCAAUUUUCAAAGUUAGAAUUUCUCAAUUAAGUUAGGGUUUUUCAUCUAAGUUUUAGGUUCUCUUGAUUUUGAUUUAACUAUUUGAAUUAUUCUCUCCAAGGCAUGAAUAAAGUUAGUUUUAUGUUUUCAUGAUGAUCCCCCAUGAAACCAUGUGCAUCACAUGUUUUCGGUGUGAUGAUUAUAUAAUGUGUGUUUUGUAUUAUGAAAUAGAAGUUCAUGAAUUCAAGCAUGUUCUUAUGAAAUGAGUGUAAAUGUGUUGAGGAGGAAUUGAAAGUGAGGUAUGAAUGAUUUUCAUAUUGUCAUGUUAUUAAAAGAAUUUAUCAUAUAUACAUGUAAGCAUGAAUUGUCAAAGGUUUUCUCACAUGAUAAGGGUUUUGAGGGUUUAAUGAAAUUCGCACCUAAAAUGAACCAAUGUUAAGGAGCUAUUCUAAUGUUGAGGAAAGAGAUGAUUACCCAUACUCUAAAAUUUUAUGAAAAGAGGUGAUUACCCAUGUCACGUGAUUAAAGGAAAAGAGGCGAUUACCAUUUAACAUGAAGAAAGUAGAAGAGGCGUGUAACGACCCAAGAGCACCCCUAGUCAUUACCAGUGUAUUCGACCUUGAAGAGAAAGCCCCCUAGCAUUCGUCAUAGCACGUAUCAUACAUUAAAAAUGUGGAAAAAUUAAAACUUCUACUUUGGAAGUUCAACUUCACUUCAUAUAUGAAAAAAGAGUUUAACUUCGUCACAACAUACCAUUUAUACAUAGAGGUAUAGAAAUUAGAGACUUAGCCCUUACAUCAAUUAGAAGUCUAAUAAUUGGAAAGUACAAUAAAUUCGUUCAACAUAACAAAAAACUAGGAAGCUAGAACAUAUGUUAUUGUCCUCGGACUUGAGGACUCACCAUCUUACAGAAGCAAAUCUAAGUGUCUUGAGAAAUAGCCUUGAAGUCUUCUCAAAAAUCCGAACCUACAACGUAUUGGAAGAAGGGAAGAAAAUAUGGUUAGACCAUCACACGUAUUUAGUAUGUCUACUAUGCAUAAAAAUCAUUAACGCAUGCAUAAAAGGAUAUUUGUGUCAACCGUGAUUUUAAUCAAGUAAGCUCAAGAUAUCCAUAAGUUAAGACAUGUUUUUUAUCAAGUAAGAUCAACACACCCAUAAGUUAAGUAUCAUAAGACAACCCAACAUAAUAUCAGCCCAAAAUGUAAACAACUCAAGCAAUACUUGUGGAAUGCAAAGAAUAGAAUCCCAUAACCCUAUGCAAAUAUAAGUAUAAAAUUAAGCAACCUACUUCAUACAUAUAUUCAUAAUCAGAUAUUCCAUCAUGACUUUUCAUAUUCAUAAAAAUCAAACAUAGCUUAACAUACACAGGCCGUAAUCAACAUAAUCACAAGAAAACACUACAACAACCAUCUCUUAUGAUCCAACAAGUGUAAUGUGUAAGAAAAGUCUCAUACCCUCCCUCAAACUAUGUAGAACCCCUUAACAAAUCCCUAGUAAGAGGUCAUACAUUUCCUUUAUUCAUUUACUUUUACAUUAUCGAAAGAACUUGCCGAUAUUAUACCAUGAGUGAUACAUGGAAUCCCGGAUUCUACUCCCACACCGAAAAGAGAGGGUUAACAUUUUCCUAAGGUAUUGCCAUUUGUACAUAGCUAACUAGGUGGAUCCACUAAGCUAGAGUUUAUGUGUGCACAUAGUUAAGGAUCAAGCAGAUUGUUACUAGAAAUGCUAACUUUCUCACGUGGGGGUUUCCAUCUCGUGAGACAACACAUAUAUUAGUACUCUAGACAUGCUAAACGUGAGGAAACCCAUGUGGGGAGCCAGACUUACUAAACGUUAGACACCCACCUCAUUUACAUGCCUUUAGGUACUAAGCAUAUAUUAACUUUAGUAAUCAUAUAUAGUCAUUACACAAGUUCUCAGUACCCUUUACUAGAUUUUUAUGUAAAAACCUUACCAUAAUAGCUCAUAGGUGUUCAUAAGUGAGCAAUCCUUUCACUUAGAAACAAUAUCAAGUGAGUAAACCUUUAACUUUAACAAUUUAUUAUAAUCAUGAGAAUUACCUUUCAAUCAUAUAAUAAUCAUUCCAUAACAUAAAUGUGUACAUCAUAGCUAAUUCAAGUGUAAAAGGUUAAGUAUGAGUGGACGUUGUCAUCAACACCACAAUAACAUAUUAAAUACAGCAUCAGUACUAUCCAAGUAAUUCAUCUUUCAUACUCGAGUUCAAGGAAGAACCAACAUUCAUAAUUUUUGUCUUCAUGGGAAUUAAUGUUUCAAACACCCAAAAAUGUAUAAACCACACAUAAUAUAAGGUAAGUAAUGAAUCCAUAACAUAACUAACAACAAUAUAAACAAUUGAUAUAUUCAUCAUCUUCCAUCAAUUCACCAUACCAAUAAUCCAAGAUUUAUGGAAUAGGGGAAGAACAUGGGUCUAAUGGAAUUUCAAGUGAACAACAAUAUUAUCCAUUUUUAUACAUCUAACCAACCAUAAGUUAUCAUAAUUCAUCAUAAUUAAUUCAAAAAAAAAAUUUCCAAAGGAGACCCACGUGUAGAGAAAAACCCUUGAUUUUGGGGAAGUUUGAAAGCAUAUUUGGAGGAAAUCUUGCCAAAAGGAAUCCCAAGAGUGAAAGAAACCAUACCUUGAUGAAUAUUUAUCCACGAAAUUGAUUUGACUCCUGUGCAAAUUUUUCCUCUUCUUGGAGCUUAAAAGUUCUUCAAUGAAGGUUUAGAAGAGAGAGAAUCUAGAGAGAAGGAAGAGCUUUAAUAUUUUUUUGACUUCUAAUUGAGUGUUUUGUGUUUUUGAUUGAGGAAUGGGUGUAAAAUGACUUAAAACUGUAGUUAUUAUCCCUCCCAAAUUACCCAAAACACCCCAACAUUAGUUGGACCUUAUAAUAAAAGUCCAACUUGACCUGUUAUUCAAUCCCAAAAUUAUCAAGAUUAGCAAUGACUUUGUGAUGCGUAGAGGGGUCCAAAUUCAUUUUCAAAAAAAUGCUUUUUGAGUCAUAAGAACUCGCAUCUGCUCCUCAACGCGGAGUUGAAAUUUUUAAGAUUUGGAGUAAGGCGCACGACGCGCUGUCAGUGUCAUAUCUUUCCCAUAAAAAAUUCUUCUUCAUUUUCCAUCUCUAAAUCCUUAAGACUUCCAUGAAUCUUUACCCAAACACAUAGGAAUUUUACUACCCAUGUUUUAGUUCAUAAUUAACUAGGUUAGGCUCUAUCUUAGGUCAUAAAAUUUUUGGGAUGUUACAAGGAAAUUACCAAUGUUUUCUUUUAGAGCUAAGAUGAAUAUGAACAUGAACUAGUCCAUAGAAGUUAAGCUUAAACUUUGGUGGGCAUAUGAUUAUUAUAUGUGUCCUAUAAAUGAUGUGUCGAAAUAGGAUUGUGUAGAUAGACAUUAUCUAGGGGAUCCACAUAAGCUAGAAGUUCAUGAUUCUUAUCGUGGCAAGUAGGACAACUAUUUUGGGUGUGGGAGAUAUUGUAUUCCAUGAUGAUAACUCUCAAGGUCUUAUAUUUCGGUUAAGUCUACUUCCCAAAAGAAAUUUAUGAUAAACUAAAUUUACUUCAAGUGAGUAUUUAAUAUAUUCUUAAGAUGAUGAGUAUGUCCAUUGACCAUGUGUAUGGCUUAUCUUUUCUAACUCUUUGAUUCAUGUUUUAGUGUGGUCAUUGAAUUUCAUUAAGGUAUAUAUUUUAAUCAUAUUUUCAAUUGUUUUAUGCAUGUGUAUAAUACUUUAUACAUAUUUUAUAUUAAAACAUAUUCUUGCCUACAUUUCUCAAAAUGUAGAUUCCCAUAGUUAGGGUACCAAGUUUUUUGGCUAGAGUUCAUUAAGAUUGUCGAGAUAUGGUGAGUCCUCAUGCUUUUAGGAGUAGACAUUUAUUAUUUUUAUCCUUUACUUAUUUUGAGUUUUGGAACAUGACAUAUAGGCUUUGUGCAGAUUUAUUCCUAUACACAAGAUGGAUUAGAGACUAAUGUUUUAGACUUCUGCAUUACUUUUGUAAUUUUUUUAUACUUUAAAUGUUCCUCUUUUAAUCUUCAACUAUAUUCAUUGUAUGAAUAAAAUUUAAGUGGCUUGUAUGGGGCCUCUUGUGGUCUUAUAAACCAUAUUAUGCCUAAGGGUUUCCUUGGGUCAUCAUAAACUUGGUAAUCAGAGCACAAUGUUUCAAAAGGUCCUACAAAGUCUCAUAAACCAAGUCGAGUAGAGUCUUGUUCAUGAGUAUGAAGUGGGUCAAUAUUAUGAAUGAGAGGCUAUAAGAUGUUUAGGAAACUCUACUUCUUUCAUUAAUCUUAUGUCAUGUGAUAGAGUUUAAAUCUAUAAGGACUCUCUCCUAAUAUCUAUAUGAUGUACCAACAGAGAUGGCUACUCAAAAAGAAUAUAAUAGAAUAUACAUGGGUGAGAAUGUGAAGAAGAAACUCAUUCUCAUGAUUAUCAAGCUCGUGUCGAUACUUUAGCCGAGCAAGUGACUUAUGUGGAGUUUAGGGGUGUUUUCAUGUGUUUGAAAAAUCCAUGAAGGCCCAAGGCAAUACGGAAGUUGUAGUUCCGUGAACUCAAAUGUGGGUAUAAAGACAUCUAUAGUGAGGGACUUUAAUAGAAUGAAUCAUCUAGGGUUCAUAUUUUGAAAAUCUAGGGAGAUCCUUAAUAUUCCAUUGAUGAGGUUUACAAGGUAUUGGUUAUAACGGGAGUGACGCUAGUGAAAAAGGGUAAGUUUAUCGCUUAUCAACUUAAGGGUUUUGCUCAAAUUAGGUUCAAUUAAUGGAAAGUAGGAAGAUUGGAUGAUGUGGCUCCUCUCAAAUGGGAAAAUCUUAAGGUGUCUUUUCUUAAUAGGGUCUUUUCCCUUGAAAUAAGGGAAGCAAAGAUGCUUGAGUUCUUGAACCUUAGUCAAGGAAGUAUGACUGUGAAGGAAUAUUCUUUGAAAUUUACACAAUUUUCCCGAUAUUUUCUUACAAUAAUGUAACAACUUUAAAAAUGGAUAUGCUAAAUAAUACUUAAUGUGUCUAUAAUGCCUACAAUUAGACCGGAUUCACACGAAUUGAUGUGCAUAGAACCAGACCUCUGAACCAUUACGACAGACAAUCUAACUAUCUUGGGGAGUUAUUUGAGCUUGGAAAGGUUGGGUCCAUCCAUGUAGGGCUCUCGAAUACGAAGAUUUACUCGAAUGAGUCUUUACCAGACUUAAAAAGGGAAAAUCUUAGGUUUGGAGGGUCUAGGGGUAAAAUGGUCUUUGUUAGGCUAAGGGUAGUAUCUUAAUUACCCUAAAUAUAUAAUUAAUUUUUUAAAUAAUAAGGUGGAGGGGUAUAUUGGGGAGAGAGGUCUGAAAAUUGGCUCUUAGAGUGAAAUCUUGCUCCACCGGGGUUCGAAUCUAGGUGGAAGCAAUGAAUUAAAAUUGUUUUUAACUUAUGUUGGUAAAUUCAUAUAAUUAAUUAAUAUUUAUGAUUUAUUAUAUAAUUUUAAUAAAAGAGAAAUCAGAUUUUUUAUCAUUUAAUAAAACCUUAUUUGACUAAAUCCUAAACUAGACUCCUAAGCCUAAUAAAACUCUCACUCUCACGUCAAUGUCCUCAAUAUUCACGAUCUUGCUCUCUUCUGUUUCACGUUCUAUCUGACAAAAAACUUCAAGAACAUAAAGAUAAACCAAGUUCUUCACACUUUAAUAACUCACCACGAAAUAUAAAAACAAACAACGAAAUCAAUCACGUAGGCAAAGAGAAGGUUAUCCGUUGAGUUGGUGUUGAACUUUCGGCGCUAGACAUGUGUUUAGAGAAGUUAUUUGGGAAGAAAGUCGAGGUUUGAACGUCUAAAAGGUAUGGGUUUUCUUCUCUCUUGGUCCCUUUCCUAUAGACCCCUGAGGUUCAGACGAAUCUAUUCCGAAAACUAGGGUUGUUCCCCGUUGCAUGUCCCUGUCACUAGCUCCCAUUGAAUCAUAGGUUGGUUAUGUUUUCUUGUAGAAAACUAGGGAUGAAAUGUGUUUUCGUGAUUAUUAUGUGUUUAUAUGUAUGUUUGGAAUUAUGUGACUUAUGUUAAUGCUUUCCAAAAAUGUAAUUACGUGUGUUUGGGUGUGUUGCCAUGGCUAUUGGUAAAGGUUUAGGACUUGAAAUGGCAUGUUAGUUCUCUGUAUUUCAUGUACAAAUGUUUAUGUAAAUCGUGAUGUUCAUAUGAUUUCAAAUGUGCUGAUUUCAAUGAUAAUUCCUUGGCUAAAAGAAUCCAUGAAAAUGAACCUAAGAAUGUAUUAAAUGAUCUAAGAAUUACCCUAUAAAUUUACGUAUACAUGUUGUUGAAAGUGAGCUGAAAAUGUGACAAAAAUUCCAGCAACUUGUAAGAUUGGUUUCGGGUAAACAUGGAUGAUAAAAUCUGAAAUUAUAAACGAGUGUAAAUUAGGUGAGGUCAUUAGGGAUGGAACCCGAGACCUCACCCGUGAAAAAUACUAUAAAACGUAAAUAUAGACAUUCCGUUAAGGGGAUUUGAAGUUGGGUGCUUCUGGCUGGAAAAUAAUGUAUGAAACUACUAAAUGAGAGGAGUUUGAUUCAAACCCACAACCUCUAGGUCAAGUUUAAGAAAAAAAUGAAAACAAAAUAAAUGUGAGGCGUGGGAAUUGAAACCCAUAACCUCUAGGGGGAAAAGGAGUAUUAAAACAAAAUAAAGUGAGGCUUUGGGGAUUCGAUCCCACACCCUCAUGGUAAACACUAAAAAGUCAAGGAAAAAGAAAUAAAAAAUAUUAAAGGGGCUCGAUCUUGGGUCACCAAACAAUGUGGACCAAAAUAAAAUAAAAGGAAAAAUGUAAGUGUUGUCCAAGGAAUUCAAAACCGGGUUCCCUUGUCCAAACUUCCAUAUUGACAGACAAGUCAUGCGUGAAUAAAUUUUCAACAUAAUGCUUCCUACAUAGAUAAAAAUUGAGAUCUUGGCACUCAUACAAGACGCAUAUGUCUUGUACUACAUAAUCUUAGGAAGAUAUGAAUCACUUAAACGAAUUAUGAUUGAAACAACAUGGCUUGUAUUUAUAGACCCAUAAGUCUAGCAUGUGUUAGAAGUAAGUGAACCUAUGAUGUAUGUAAUGAAAUGAUAAUAUGAACAAUGAAAUGAUAAAACCCUAAAAGGGUUAAGUAAUAGUGUGAAACACAGUAAAUGUCCAAGUGCAUUGGCAUAUGAUGAAAUGAACAUUCACGUAAAAAGGGGUGAGUAAUUAUGAAGAGCAAAUGUGCUAAUACUAAUGAUUGUGGUGACGACAUUAUAUGAGGCUAAUGUAAAAGAUGAGAACAAUCUCAAAUGAGCCUAAGUAAAUGUUACCAAAACGUACUCACCUCUGAGAGUGUAAAGUUAAUGAAGAGACCAGUCUCUAUGAACACUCUAAUAAAAGUAUUGACAUUAACACACUCUAUACCAAUGAUGAGAUGAGAAAUCAUAUCUUGAGCUAUGAUGUCCUCAUACUAGAAGCUAGCAUCCAUGACUUAUGAGUUUAAUGUGAUGGAACUUUAUAAUGAGCACUGAUAAACUAGCUAUGAGCGAUGAUGCCUUCUUUCAGGAAUAAUGGAGGUUCACGUAACUCUCAUGAGAUGAGAUUGUCCGGCAUGCCGAGUAUGGGUCUUCUUAUAUCUGCUAGUCUUUGAACCUAUAAUGCCAAUAUAGGGAUCUUGUGGGGAUCAAUUACCAUGUACGCUAGCAUAUUUUUGGUUACUUUGGGUGUGGGGGAGACACUGGAAUUCAUGAUGCUCACAUGAUCUAUGUCGUUUAAAGUUAUAGUUCCCAAAGAAUAAUUGAGGUCAUCCAAAAUAAUACACAUAAUAAAAUAAAUGAUACCAAAGGUCUUAGGAUAAGAUAAUGAAGAGGUGAUCUAGACUUAAGUAAUGGCACUAGGUCAUUCUUUAUCACUGCACAGCGAAUACGAUGAAAGUCUUAAACUACAUCCUAGGUAUAGCUAGUGUUCACUCUAGCCUAUGAAUGAAAUGAAAUGAAGUACGUUGUCAAUGAAUGAAGCAGACUCUCUGUUUCCUAAAAAAGGCUCCCUAGUUGAGGUCCCAUAUGUUAAGCCCUCAUUUUGGGAAGUCUAAAUAUCAAGUCCAUUAUUCCAAGUCUCAUGGUAUAUGAAUGACUGAUAUGAAAGGUGUUAUAUGCUUUAUGCAAAAAGGUAUGUUCUAUGUUUCAGAUUUUAUGUGUUAUAUGUAAAACGAUAUGUGCUAUGUGUGAGAUGUUAUGUUUUGUGUUCAGUAUAAUGAUACAAGUUACUCUGAUGGAAUGACUUUCCUAAUCCAAAUUUGGAAAGCUCAUUAACUUUCCUAAUCUUAUUUUUGCAAGUCCACUGACUUGACUUUCCAUAAUCAUGUUCAUAGAAAAGAGUUGUUCUUACUCAUGCAUGUAUAUAGUGUGUGCUUACAUAUAUCCAUACUUAGUACAACUGUGUACUAAUCCCAUAUAAUUCUACAAUUUUAGGUGCAGACAUAGGUGGAUGCUAGAGCUUAUAGGUUGACAUUGCACCAAUUCGGACGUGUAGAUUUCAUCUGGACUUCGUAGGCCCUCAUGCUUUCAAGGAUGUCUACCGUUAUUAUCUAGAUUAGGUGUAGGACAUAGCUAGUGGAUCAUGUUCCACUAGUGUUUCUUUCCACUUCCAUUCCAGACUUUGUAUUGGUACCAUUUUGGCAAGAAUAUGUUUAAUGAAAUUAUGAACUGUUUUUUCAUUAGAUUAUCUCUAUAUUAGAUGGUUAAUUUGUGAACGCCUAUGAUGUUAAGUUUAAAAUGUUUAGCAUGAAAUGAGAAAACAAAAAACUUCCAAUUUUACGCUAAAAUUAACCUAGAGGAAGUAAGAAUGACACAUGUAGGCUUGUUUGCGACCUUUGAGAGGUCAACGACGUCGGUCUCGUCUGGGGUCUAGAUUUCGGUCAUGACAAAUUUGGUAUCAGAGUGCUAAGGUAAAUUCUGAGGAUAAUAAGUUCACAUCAACCACAUUAAAAAUUUUCUAAGUCAAGGUAGUGAAGUGCACCACUAUCCUGAUUUAGAGCAUGCAUGAUGCAUAGGAAAAUUUCCCUUCUUCUGAUCUUAUUGUGCCUUUCUUAAUGUCUGAUUUUGUUGGUGUUAUGAGAGUGUAUAACAUCAAUCAUUGUUGUCUUUCUGAAAAUGAAUACUAGGAGGACAAUUGGUUAAAGGAGAGGAGAAGCAACUACUGGGGGCAAUCAGGUUUCACCACAGGCUCCAGCAAAAAGAGUGGCUAUGCCAGUUAACCAUGCUGGGUUGACUGAUUUUGAGGUGCGGGCAUAUCAGGCCCAGAUGGGACAGACAAUCACUAUGCAGGACCAAGCCAUGAAUGACCAGGUCAACCUGUAGAAUGUUUAGAGGGAGAACCCACCGGUUCGUAGUAUGGAUGACAGGCUGAGAGACUUUACAAGGAUGAAUCCUCCUAUUUUCAUAGGGUCUAAGACUUUGGAGGAUCCUUAAGAGUUUGUGGAUGAGGUUCAUAAGAUUUUUGUGGCUAUGGGGGCCACAGAUACUGAGAAAGCAGAGUUGGCUUCGUAUCAACUCAAGGAUGUUGCACAAGCUUGGUGCAAGAUAUGGCAAGAUAGCCGAGUUUUGGGUGGAGUUUCGAUCACUUGGGAACUAUUUCAGACAACCUUUCUGGAGAGAUUCUUUCCCAGAGAGAUUAAGAAGGCCAAGGUUGAGGAGUUUAUCAAUCUUAAGCAUGGAUCCAUGAUAGUCAGGGAGUAUUCCUUGAAGUUUGUUAAACUGUCCUGGUAUGCUACUUCACUGGUAUCUAACAAUAGGGAUGAUAUGAGAAGGUUCCUCACAGGGAUCAACAGAGAUCUAGAGGAGGAGUGUCAAUCUGCGAUGCUCCAUGAUAACAUGGACCUCUCCAGGUUGAUGGUACAUGUCCAGCAGGUAGAGAACAUCCAGAAAAGAGGGGCAUCCGUGAUGCUAAGAGGCCUAAGCCUCAAGAUCAGGAAGGUCCUAGUACCGGAGGCAACAGAAAAGACUUUGGUGUCCGUGAGCAGCCUAGAUUCAAAAAGAGGCAACAAAGUUCAGGGAACUCUAACUCUAAGAGGAGUUCAGCACCAAGAGGAAGCAUACCCGAGCCAAAGAAAAGGCAAUGCAGGUGAGACGCAGAAUCCCAAAAAAGAUUGUGCUAAGUGUGGUCGUGCUCACAGUGGAGAGUGCAGAUAGGAAACUAAUGCCUUCUUUGAUUGCGGUAAGAGUGGGCAAAUGAUUAAGGAAUGCCCAUAGAAAAGAGGCCAGCAUAGAACUUGUGCUCAGCCUAGGCCUAAUCCACAGGAUGUAGUAGCAACCAAGCCUCCUAAAAAAAACAUAUUAUAUGCCCUGAAGGGCAGGGAGGAGCUGGAGAAGUCCGCUGAUGUGGUCGUAGGUAUACAAGUAUUCUCAACUUCUAUUUAUGAUUUACUUGAUCCAGGGUCUACACUUUCCUUUGUAACUCCUUUGCUUGCUUUCACUUUUGAGAAUUUGCCUAAAGUUUUUCAUGAUCCUAUAGUGGUUAGUACACCUUAAGGAGAAUAUAUAAGAACUGAUAGAGUAUACAAGGAUUUCCUAAUAGUUGUAUGUGGUAAGACUAUGUGUGCAGACUUAGUUGAGUUGCUAAUUCAUGAUAUUGAUGUUAUUCUUGGCAUGAACUAGCUUCAUAGUUGUUGUGCUUGCAUGGAUUUUCAUAGUAGGGUUGUGAGAUUUUGUUUCACCAAUGAAGAAGAGCUAGUCUGGGAGGGGUAAAACUCGAGUCAUCCUAAUCCUUUGAUUUCGAACCUUAAAGCCAGUAAAAUGUUGUUCAAGGGGUUAUUGUGUCAUCUUGUGAGUGUUUAUAAUUUAGAUCAUGACAUUCCUUUCAUGGACUCAGUCCCUAUAGUGAAUGAGUUCGAAGAUGUAUUUUCAAAUGAUUUUCCUGGAGUUCCUCCCCCUCUAGAGAUUGACUUUGGUGUUGUCUUAGAACCCGAUACUAAACAAAUUUCACUUCCUCCUUACAGAAUGGCUCCAGCUGAACUCAAAUAUUUGAAGCUACAGUUAAAAGAUCUCAUUGAUAAGGAUUUCAUUCAGCCGAGCUUCUCCCCUUUGGGCGCUCUAGUGUUGUUUGUGAAAAAGAAAGAUGGAACCUUAGAAUGUAUCGAUUAUCGACAGCUUAACAAAGUAACUAUCAAGAAUAAGUAUCCACUUCCCAGAAAAGAUAACUUGUUUGACCAACUCCAAGGGUAUAGUUUCUUCUCAAGGUUGAUCUUCGUUCAGGGUACCAUCAUCUUAGGGUUAGGGAUGGAGAUACCCCAAAGACAGCCUUACGUACCCUUUAUGGUCAUUAUGAGUUCCUAGUUAUAUCAUUUGGUCUCACGAAUGCACCUGCUGCAUUUAUGGAGCUCAUGAACAAGGUCUUCCGUGAAAAACUUGACUCAUUCGUCAUAUUAUUCAUUGAUGAAAUUCUAAUCUACUCUGAGACCAAGGAAGAGCAUGAGCAGCAUUUUAGACUAACCUUGUAGGUACUUAGACAACAGCAGUUGGAUGCCAAAUUCAUCAAGUGUGAAUUCUGGCUUAUAUCAAUGACCUUCCUGGGUCAUGUGUGUCCAACCAAGGUGUAGAGGUAUUUCCUAGUAAGACUGAAACUGUUAAGAAUUGGCCAAAACCUCUUACUCCCACAGAUAUUCGUAGCUUCUUGGUAUUGGAUGAUUAUUAUCGCAGGUUCAUCGAGGGUUUUUCUUCAAUUGCUGCCUCACUUAUAGCUUUCACUAAGAAGAAGGCCAAGUUUGAAUGGACUGAGGCUUGUCAGAAGAGUUUCGUGGAGCUCAAGGAUAGACUCAUUUCAACCCCGGUGCUUACUUUGCCUAGUGUGGUGAGAAUUACACUAUAUUGUGAUAUAUCUAAGGUUUGUUUGGGUUGUGUUCUAAUGCAGGGUGGUAAGGUUAUAGAUUUUGUGUCAAGACAGCUCAAGGUCCAUGAAGAGAAUUAUCCCACUCAUGACCUGGAGUUGGCAGCUACGGUGUUUGCACUAAAGCUGUGGAGGCACUACUUAUAUGGGGUGCAUAUGGAUGUGUUCACAGACCAUAAGAGUCUCCAGUACGUGUUCACAUAGAGAGAGAGUUGUAUCUACAUCAGUGGAGAUAGUUGGAGUUGUUGAAGGACUAUGACAUGAAUGUCCACUACCAUUAAUGUAAAGAUAAUGUUGUAGUUGAUGCUUUGAGUAUGAAGAGUAUGGGAAGUACAACCCACAUUAAGGAUGGGAAGACGGACUUGGUGUAAGAUAUAUAUAGAUUGGCCAGACUGGGUGUGUGGUUAGUUGACUCUACUAGCGAGGGUGUUUCAGUUCAUCUUAGUUUUGAAUCAUCCCUAAGUAUUUGAAGUCAAGGAGGGUCAGCAUCUUAAUCCUGUGUUGAUGGAGAUGAAGGACAAAGUGUUUGUUAAGAUAAAUGAGUCUUUUGUUUUGGGAGAUGACGGCAUACUUAGGUACUAGAACAGGUUGUGUGUACCAGAUGUGAAUGAUUUGUGAACCAGGAUAAUUACAGAGACGAUGGUUCCAGAUACUCCAUACAUCCAGGUUCUACCAAGAUGUAUCAUGAUCUUAAACUGAUCUAUUGGUGGGAAGGCAUGAAGAAAGGACAUUGCAGAUUAUGUGGCCAAGUGACCUAAUUUUCAAUAGGUUAAGCAAGAACAUCUUAAACCUGGUGGUCUUACUAAGAUUAUUGAGGUUUCGAAUAAGAAAUGGGAGGCCAUUAAUAUGGACUUUAUAGUUGGUCUUCCGAAGACUAGGAGACAUCAUAACUCCAUAUGGUUUAUUGUGGACAGGAUGACUAUGUCUGCCCACUUCAUCCCUGUGAAGUCUACUUACAUAGCCGAGGACUAUGCAAAACUCUACAUUGAUGAGAUUGUGAUAUGGAAUGGGAUUGCUUUGUCUAUUAUAUCAGAUAGAGGAGCUCAGUUCACUUCACAUUUCUAGAGAUCCUUCUAGAAGAUCUUAGGCACGCAGGUGAAGCUUAUUACUGCCUUUCACCCUCAGAGUGAUAGGCAGGCAGAGCGCACCAUUAGACAUUGGAGGACAUGUUUAGGGUGUGUGUGAUUGACUUCAAUGGUAGUUGGGAAGAUCUGAUUGAGUUCUCGUAUAGUAAUAGGUAUUACUCUAGCAUUGGUAUGACACCAUUUCAGGCACUGUAUGGUAGGAGGUAUAGGUCUCAAGAUGGGUGGUUCGAGUUUGGGUAGUCAUCCAUUUUGGGUCCAGAUAUAAUUCAUGAGGCCUUAGAGAAGGUCAAGGUGAUUAGGGACAGGUUGGCUACUUCUUAAAGUCGGCAGAAGUCUUAUGCAGUUAAUAGAAAUUAGCCCUUAGAGUUUGAUGUUGGUGACCAAGUCUAUUUAAAGAUAUCACCUAUGAAGGGGGUGAUGCGGUUUUGUAGGAAUAGGAAGCUGAUUCCGAGGUAUGUUGGGCCAUAUGAGAUCCUAUAUAAUGUGGGAGAUGUGUCCUAUGAGUUUGCAUUGCCUGCGGAACUAGAUUCUGUUCAUCCAUUCAUUCAUGUCUCUAUGUUAAAGAAGUUCCUAGGUUAUCUAGCAUCGAUUCUACCUGUUGAAGGUUCGGGGGUUGAUGGAAAUUUGUCCUAUGAGGAAAUACCUACAGAGAUUUUAGACAGACAGGUCAAGCGGCUGAGGAACAAAGAGAUUGCCACAGGGAAGGUAUUGUGGAGGAAUCAUCUCCUUGAGGGUGCUACGUGGGAGGUCGAGGCCGAUAUGAGAUCCCGCUACACUCGUCUUUUCAUCUCUUAAGGUUAGACUUCCUACUCUUAUGUCUAAGUUUCCUUAGCUCUCCAUUCUUUGUUUCUAUUGCUUUAUUGUGUAUGGAGACUAUGUUAUGAUCUUAUUGGCAUUAUGCAAAAUAGUUAGUACUGUCAUUUGGGGACGAAUGUUCCUGGGGGGGGGGGCAGAUAUGUAACAACCCUAAAAAAAUGGCUAUGCUAAAUAAUGCUAAAUAUUUUUAGAAUGCCUACUAUUAGACCAUGUUUACACGGAUUGUUGCACGUAGAACCAGACCUCUAAAGCCUUACGUCAUCAAAGCUAAAUGACUUGGGGAGUUAGUUGAUCUAGGAAAUUUUGGAUUUAUCCAUGUAGGGAUCUCAAAUACGAAGAUUUACUCGAAGGAGUCUUUACCAGACUUAAUAAGGGAAAAUCUUAGGUUUGGAGCGUCUAGGGGUAAAAUGGUCUUUUUCCAGGAUAAGGAUAGUAUCUUAAUGACCCUAAAUAUAUAAUUAAUUAUUUAAUUAAUAAGGUGGAGGCUUAUUUUGGGGAGAGAGGGCCGAAAAUUGUCUCUUAGAGUGAAGUCUUACUCCACCCGAGUUCAAACCUAGGUGGAAGCAAUGAACUAAAUUUGAUUUUGACUUAAUUUGGUAAAUUAAUGUAAUUAAUUAAUAUUUAUUAUUUAUUAUCUGAUUAAAAAAAUGGAAAUCAGAUUUUUUUUAACGUUUAAUAAAACCUUAUUUGACUGUGUCAUAAACUACACUGCUAAGCCUAAUAAAACUCUCACUCUCUCACGUCUAUAUCCUCAACAAUCACGAUCAUUGUCUAUUCUCUUUCACAUUCUUGUUUCCAAAAUAACUUCAAUAACAGAAAGAUUAACCAAGUUCUUCACGCUUGAGAACUCACCACGAAAGAUAAAAACAAAGAACGAAAUUUAUAACGUCAGCAAAGAGAAGGUUGUCCGUUGAGCUGGUGCUGAACUUUUGGUAUUGGACAUAUGUUUGGAGGAUUUCUUUGGGCAUAAAGUCGAGGUUUUAAUGUCAAAAAGGUAUGGAUUCUCUUCUCUCUCGGUCCCUUUCCCAAGAGACCCCUAAAGUUCAGACAAAUCUAUUCUGAAAACUAGGGUUGUUCCCCGUUGCAUGUCCCUUUCACUAGAUCCCAUUGAAUCAUAGGUUGGUUAUAUUUUCUAGUAGAUUAUUAUGGAUGAGAUGUGUUUUCGUGAUGAUUAUGUGUUUAUAUGUAUGUUUGGAACUAUGUGACUUAUGUUAAUGCUUUCUCGAAAAUGUAACUAUGUGUUUUUGGGUGUGUUGUCGUGGCUAUUAGUCAUGGUUUCGGACUUGAAAUGGCAUAUUAGUUCUUUGUAUCUCAUGUACAAAAUUUUAAGUAAAUCGUGAUGUUAAUAUAAGUUGAAAUGUGUCUGAUUUUUGUGAUAAUCUCUUGGCUAAACGAAUCUGUGAAAAUGAACCUAAGAAUGUAUUAAAUGAUCUACGAAUUACCCUAUGAAUUUACGUAUAAAUGUUGUUGAAAGUGAGCUCAAAACGUGACAAAAGUUCCAUCAACUUGUAAGAUUGUUUUUGGCUAAACAUGGAUGAACAAAUCUGAAAUUAUAAAUAAGUGUAAAUUAGGUGAGGUCAUUAGGCAUCGAACCCGAGACUUCACCCGUGAAAAAAGUAUAAAACGUAAAUAGAGGCAUGGGGUUAAUGGGAUUCAAACAUGGGUGCUUAGGACAAGAAAAUAAUGUAUGAAAAUAAGAAAUGAGAGGAGUGGUAUUUAAACUCACAACCUCUCGAUCAAACUUAAGAAAAAAAUGAAAAGAAAAGAAAUGUGAAGCGUGGGAAUCGAACCCACGACCUCUAGGAGGAAAAUGAGACUAAAAAUAAAAUAAAGUGAGGCUGUGGGGAUUUGAUCCAACACACUCGUGAUAAACUCAAAAAAAGUCAAGGAAAAAGAAAUUAAAAAAAUUAAAGGGGCUGCACGGGUUCGAUCCUACAACCCCUUGACAAAGGAAGAGAAAUUUCAAAAGAAAGAAAUUAAAAGGAAACGAAGGUGUUGGGGAUUUAUCUUGGGUCCCCAAACCGUGUGGACAAAAAUGAAAUAAAGGAAAAAUGUAAGUGUUUUCCAAGGAAUUCGAAACCGGGUUCCCUUGCCCAAACUUGCGUAUUCACACAUAAGUCAUCUGUGAAUAAUUGUUCAACAUAAUGCUGCCUACAUAGAUAGGAAUGAAUAUCUUGGCAUACAUACAAGAUGCAUAAGUCUUGUACUACAUAAUCUUAGGAAGAUAUGAUUCACCUAAACGAAUUAUGGUUGAAGCCUCAUGGCUUGUUUGUAUAGAACCAUAAGUAUACCAUACGUUAGAAGUAAGUGAAACUAAGUUGUAUGUAAUGAAAUGAUGAUAUGAACAAUGAAAUGAUGAAACCCUAAAAGUGUUAAGUAAGACCGUGAAACAAACUAAAUGGCCAAGUUCAUUGGCAUUCGAUGAAAUGAACAUUCACGUAAAAAAGGGUGAGUAAUUAUGAAAGCAAAUGUGCUAAUACUAAAGAUUGUGGUGACAUCAUGAUAUAAGGCUAAUGUAAAAAAGAUGAGAGCAUUCAAAAAUGAGCCUAAGUAAAUGUUACCAAAACGUACUCACCUAUGAGAGUAUAAAGUUAUAAAAGGGACCAGUCUCUAUGAACACUCUAAUGAAAGUAUUGAGAUUAACACACCUAAUACUAAUGAUGAGAUGAGAAAUCAUAUAUUGAGCUAUGAUGUCCUCAUACUAGAAGACACCUUCCAUGCCGUAUGAGUUGAAUGUAAUGGAACUUUAGAUUUAGCACUGAUUGACUAGCUAUGAGCGGUUAUGUAUUCUUUCUGAAAGGGCAGAGGUUCACUUAACUCUCAUAAGAUGAGACUGUCAGGUAUUUCGGGUAUAGGUCUCCUUAUAUCUCCUAGAUUUUUAACCUAUACUGGCAAUAUAGGGAUCUGGUUGGGUUCAAUUCACAUGUACUCUAGCAUGUUUUAAGUCACUUUGGCAGAUGAUUCCACCUUUUAUCGGUGUAGGGGAGACACUGGAUUUCAUGAUGUUAACAUGAUCUAUGUUGGUUAAAGUUAAAGUUUCCAAAGAUUGAAUGAGACCAACCUCAAAGAUUCACACAAUGAAAUGAAUGAUACCAAAAGUGUUAGGAUAGGAUAGUCAAGAGGUGAGCUAGAUUAAGUAAUGGCACUAGGUCAUUCUUGAUCAUUGCACAGUGAAACCGAGGAAAGUCUUAAAAUUCAUCCUAGGUAUAGUAGGUGUUAACACUAGCCUAUGAAUGAAAUGACAUGAAGUACGUAUGAAUGAAUGAAGUAGAGUCUGUGUUUGCUAAAGAAGGUUCCCUAGUUGAGGUCCCAUAUGUUCCGCACUCAUUUUGGGAAGUCUUAAUGUCAAGUCCAUGAUUCCAAGAUCUCAUGGAAUAUGAAUGAUUGAUAUGAAAGAUGUUAUGCGUUAUAUGCAAAAAAAAAUAUGUGCUAUGUGUAUGAUGUUAUGUGCUAUAUGUAAAACGAUAUGUGUUAUAUGUAAGAUGUUAUGUGUUGUGUGCAGUAUGAUAAGUAUGAUGAUGCACGUUACUCUCAUGGCAUGACUUUUUUAAUCCAAAUUUGGAUAGCUCACUAACUUUCCUAAUCCCAUUUUGGCAAGUCCACUAACUUAACUUUACAUAAUCAUGUUCUUACGAAAGAGUUGUUCUUACUCAUGCAUGUCUUUGGUGUGUUAUUGCAUAUAACCAUACUUAGUACAAGUUUCUACUAAUCCCAUAGAAUUCUAUAAUUUUAGGUGCAGGCAAAGGUGAAUGCUAGAGCUUACAGGUUGACGUUGCAACUAUCCAGACGUGGAGCUUUCGUCCGGACAUGGUAGGCCCUCAUGCUUUCGAGGAUGUCUAUCGUUAUUAUAUAGGUUAGGUUUAGGCCAUAGCUAGUGGAGCAUAUUCCACUAGUGUUUAUUUCCACAUUCAUUUCAGACUUUGUUUUGGUGCCUUUUUGGCAAGAAUACGUUUAAUGCCAUUAUGAACUGUUUCUUUCAUUUGAUUAUCUCUGUAUUAGAUGGUUGAUUUGUGAAUGCCUAUAAUGUUAGUUUAAAAUUUUUAGCAUGAAAUAAGAAAACAAAAACUUCCAAUUUUCCGCUAAAAUUAACAUAGAUGAAUUAAGCAUGACGUAUGUAGGCUUGUCCGCGACCUCUAAGAGGUCAACGACACCAGUCUCGUCUGCGGUCUAGAUUCCGGUCGUGAAAAAUAAUUAUUGACCCUAUGGCGAGAAUGAGCAAGUUUGUUUUGGGUGUGUAUGAAAUGAUGGUUACAGAGUAUCGUACCGCAAUGCCUAUUAAUUACAGUGACGGUAAUUUUUCUCAUGCAUUGUCCAAUUGACAAGGAUGUUCUAAGUUUCGGGUUUUCUAGACAAGGUUCCUCCGAUGCUCCUUCUAUGUUCAACAAAGAUAGGGUGUCUAAUCUUCAGACUCAAGGAGUUAAUGGUGGUGGGUAUUUAUUACCUACUUGUGCUAAGUAUGGAAGGAAACAUGAGGGUAAAUCUUUGGAGGGUUCCAAUGCUUGUUUUGGGUGUGGUAAGAUGGACCACAAUAUAAGAGAUUAUCCUUCGGACGCUAAGAAUGAAGAAGAUAAUAGUCGAAGGGCUCAAACUAACCCUUCACAUUUUCCAAGUGUUUUGGGUCCAUGUGCUUCCAGUCAUAAUAGAUUUACGAACUUCAAACUCCUCAUGACCACGAGGGUUCUCCUUUUGUGGAAACCCAUUUAUUAAAAGAUUCCCAAGUUGAUAUUUACUUUUUACUUAAUCAUGUUGCUAUCUUCUCUUGUGUGACACCAUAUGUGACUAUGAGGUUUGAUAUUCUUCCGGACAUGUUGUUAUAUCAUUCUUCUUCCUCUUCUUUCAUUGUUACUUCUAUUGUGGGUAAGAGGGUCGAUACGAAGUGUCCUUCCUUAUGGCAUAGAGUUACGCUUGUUGAACUGGUAGAGUUGAAUAUGUUAGAUUUUGAUGUUCUACUUGGUAUGGAUUGGUUGUACUCGAGUUAUGUUUCUAUUGAUUAUAGUAGUCAAGCUUUAGUUCCUAAAUAAGCCUAAUCAUAAGUGGAAAGGGGGAAUAUCUAUGCCUAAGGGUCAGUUUAUCUCUGGUCCUAAAGCUAGAAAAAUGAUUGGUAAGGGAUGCAUUCACCAUCAAUUUAUGAAGAGGAAUUCAAAUUUCGUAACCCAUACUCUUGAGUUGUUUUGCGUGAUUAAAGAUUUUCCGUACCUAAAGAAAAAUAAACUCUAUAUUGACCUUCUCCCACAGAUACAACCUAUCUUUAUUCGUUUUUAUUGAAUGGCUCCAGAAAAACAUAAGCAAUUGAAACAUUUGUUGGAUAGGGGAUUCUCUGACCCAAAAUCUCUGAAUGGAGUUCUUUAGUAUUGUUUGUUAGAAAGAAGGAAGAUUUUCUUUGUGUUUUUAUAGGCUAUUGGAAGUUGAACAAGUUUACCGUUAUGAAUAAGUAUCCUCUCCCAAGGAUAGAUAUUUUUUCUUUUACCAACUUCAGGAGUGAGUUACUUUUCCACGAUUGAUCUUCGGUCGAGCUAUCACCAAUUAAGGGUAAGGGAAGAUGACAAUCCAAACACGUCAUGUUGAACUCUGUAUGAUCAUUAUGAGUUUUUAGUGAUGUUUUUUUAUUUGAUAAUGAUCCAGAAUGUUUAUAGAUUUGAUGAAUUGGGUUUUUAGAAAAUAUCGUGACAUAUUUGUGAUUGUAUUCAUUGAUGAUAUAUUAAUUUUUUUUGAGAAGAAAGGAUGAUGAAAUUUACCAUUUUAGGAUUGUGUAGCUAAUUCUCAAGAACCAACAAUUUUUGCAAAGUUUAGCAAAUGUGUGUUUUGUGUAAGGUCCUUACCUUUUCAUGGUUAUAUUAGUACCAGUAAGGGUAUUCAAGUAGAUCAUAAGAAGAAAGAUGUGGUUAAAAGUUGACCUAGACUUACAUCACCUUCGAAAGUUGAUAACUUCUUGGGUUCAGUUGGUUACUACAAAUGGUUCAUUGAAGUGUUUCCUUCUAUUGCUUCUUCAUUAACAACAUUAAAUCAAAAAAGGCUAAGUUCUUAUGGUACAAAGCAUGUGAAAGGAGUUUUCAGGAAGUUAAUAGUAGGGUUACUUCCUCUUUAGUGUUGACCUUACUAAAAAGGAUAGAUGGUUUUUUUCAUUGUGAUCCAUCGAGAAUUGGGAUCAGAUGUGUAUUAUGCAAAAAAAAGGAAAGUUAUUCCCUAUGUUUUACAACAACUUAAUAUUUAUGAGAAGAAUUAUCCCAACCAUGAACUUGAGCUAGCGGUGGUUGGUCUUGCCUUAAUGAUUUAGAGGCAUUAUUUUUAUGUGUCUAUCUAGAUAUUGUUACCAACCACAUGAGUUCGCGAUAUGUUUUUAGCCACAAGGAUCUAAAUCUCCGCCAAAGAAGAUGGCUUGAUCUACUGAUAGAUUAUGAUAUGAGUGUUCUCUGUUACCCUAGUAAAGAAAAUAUGGUGGUUGAUUCUUUCAUUUGUAAGCUAUGGGUAAUGUUUCUCAUAUCGAGGAUGAUAAGAAGAAUAUAGUUUGAGAUGUUCAUUAUUUGUCCGGUUGAGUGUUAAAGGAGGGGUUACGGUUCAAAAUAGGUCAGAAUCGUGUUUUGUGUUGGAUAUGAAAGCCAAGCAAGGUCGUGAUAUAACUCUUGUUGAAUUGAAGGAAGUGGUGCUUAAAAAUUUCAUACAUUCUUUCUCCAAAUUGGUAUAUGGGAUACUAAGAUAUCAAGGUAGUUUGUCCUAUUAUUAGGGACUUGAGCAAGCAUAUCUCUUCAUAUGUCAUAGUUCUCGAUAUUUUAUUCACCUAGGAGUCACCAAUAUGUACCGUGAUUUGCGCGAGAUCUACUGGUGGAAUGGGAUUUAUCACGAACCAAAGUACACCCUAGAAUAUAGGACAUCCUUCAAGUCGCCACACGACGUGUUCGACCUCUCAAAGAUCUUGCACAAGCCCUUAGACAUCAUUCAUUGAAUAUAUGUAUAUGAAAUGUUGUGGAGAUUUAAAAAUUUUCACAAUAAUUGAACCAAAGUUCAAAAUCUCUUUCACAAAAAACAUAGGAAAAGCUAAGUCUCUUUAACACACGAAUAUCUUCGGUCACGACCCAUACAUCAAAGAAAUAGAAAAUAUCAAAGUCUAAUACAAUGUGUUUUGAAAAAAAGAGCUAAACAUAGUUAUAUCCUCUAAUCAAUUGAAAACAAAACAAAACAUGCUUCAAAGGAUGCCAAUUCGAAGCUUGCUCAUAAUAUACUCCUCAUUUGCCACCUGCACCAUUAGAGGUAAGACAAUACACGGAAUUAGUACAUUUGAAUGCACUAAGUAUGGUGAUAGACAAUAAAACCAUUCUAAAAGGACAUUUGUUUUAAAGAAUGUUUUCAUGCUCUUUUUGGGAAAACCUCAUAAAAAAAGUAUAAGAACCCACUUACAAGUCAACAUUCAAACAUAUAAGACAUAUUAUAAGCAAUCUAUAAUAUAGCAUUAACAUCAUUUAAAACCAUAUUAGUAUAUAACCAUCCUACCAAAGGUUAUCCUAAGACUUACUAAGUAAGACAAGAAGAGACUGCACAUACACCCUCUUCAAGCACACCUAAAUAAUCAUUAAGACUACUUGGGAUUAGAUUAUUCCUUUUUUGUUGAUUAGACUCUGUACCCAACGUUACUCUAAGACUCACUUAAGUAAGACGUGGAGUGACUGCCCAUACACCCUCUCCAAGCCUACCUAAGCAAUCCUUAAAUCUACCCUAUAUAGGCAUCCUUUUUGUUCAACAUAUAUUAACUUAAGUCAUAAUCACUCAUUAAUUAAAGUAUGAUACAAUUAAGCAUUAAUAGGACUUCACAUAAUGGUCUUACAGAAGACCUAGGGAAACCACAUCCUAUCAAUUCAAAUCAUACUCGCGCUAUGUACAGAUAGCGGCCCAUUCAGCUACCUACAUGUUGUAGAACUUCUCUAACUGAAAUGCAUACAGCAUGAUGAGAAUAGAAAUUAACCCACAUAGACCAUACUAGCUAGGCAAAGAAUCUGGAUUCCACCCUACUACGAUUGAGGGUGCUCUAAAUUCCUAGGAUAUAACAAGGACAUAUCUAUGUAGGCACAUGGUUAAGCAAUGUCAAGGGCUUCUUUGUACUCUAGUCUCAUUCUAGAGUAGAUCCACUACCACAAGCAUAUUCUCUCGUUGUAAGCCAUGUACUCAUAGAGUAAGUUCAAUCACAAUACCAAGGAUGGGUCCUCUAUGGGCGCCAGUCAAUGGUCAAUAAGGAUAGCUCAAUAGCUUUCUUAGAGAUGGUUCCAUGUUGUUCCAACCAACCUAUAAGUCCAUCAUUAGUACAAGAAGGAUACCAUUACGACGUUCAACUUUAAGGAUAGCAUAACUUUUUUUCUAUAUUGAAGGUGCUAAGUUAGUGACCUUCUUUACAUGUUCAAGGUCACAUACUAGUAAUACUUAAAGGGGUACUAUCUUAGGUCUACCCAUCCAAGACUUUCAUUCGACAUUCAUUCAUACACAUUCAUGACAAAGUUGCUUAAGACUACUAAGAAAGAUGUUCAUAUUCAUAAUCUUCAUGUAUCAAGUAGAGGAAAAUUGUCUACCAAAAAAGAUACACAUAUCAUCAUCUUAUCACAUGUACAAUAACAUUAAAGUAGCACAUAGGGACAACAAAGUCUACUACAAGUCACCCAAUUCAUUCCUAUAGAAACAUCAACAUGGUUCAUCGUAAGACUCAUACUUCAAUCCCAUAUAUACACAUAUAUCACAUAACCCUUUACAUUACUCAACUAUACAAGCUAUAAUAUGGUAUAAACCUAACUCAUAUAUAAAUGCUGACAAGGCCAUAUUCAUCAAAAUUAUAACACAUAAGCACCGCUACUAUUAGUGGACCAUACCAAUAAACAGAAUUCAAUACAUAAACUACACAAUAUAGAAGAGAUUAGGUCAUCUUACCACCAUUCCAUCAUCAACACCACUAACCCUUAGCUUUCUCAAUCAAUUCACUUCACAAAGUGUCUUAACGGUAUUCCUAUAAUGAGAUACACACUUACAAUACAUCAAUCGCAUUAACAUGAGAUCCUCCUACCAAAGGUGAUUCUAAGGUUCACUAGAGUGAGUUGUGAAGUGAUCGACCAUACGAUCCCUUUCACACACACUUAAGAGAUCCUAUAGACUACCUAGGAUAAGAUCAUUCUAAAUUAAUACAAUAGCAUACAUUUAAUAUUACAUUAUCCCUUCCAAAGGUUAUCAAAUGACUUACUUAGUAAAUCGAGAAGAUAAAGUCCAUGAUUGACCUCUUAAAUAUUACCUAAAUAAUCCUUAAGACUAUCUAAGUUUGGAUUAUGUCUACAUAAUCAACCAUUUUCCCUAACUAGAGUCAUUCCUAAGACUUAUCUAGUUAAGAUACGAAGUGACCAUGCCUAUACCCCCUUCACACCUUAAUUAGACAACCCUUAACUACUCUAGAUAUGUACUUAUUCAUUUAAAAUUCUUUCUUAACUUAAUCAUUACAGUCGUUAGUUCAUUUAAGAUACAUUCAUCACAUAAGGACAUUCAAGUAAUGGACUUGAAGAAGACCUAGGGACUCUCACUAUCAUCUUCAAAGCCUGUUGUGCAAUGUCUAGAUAGCAUCCCAUACCACCACCUAAACUUUAUAGAAUUUCUCCAAUGCUUAUAGGUAUCCCAUAUGAUGAGAAUAGUCAAUAACUGACAUAAACGAUGGUAGCAAAUCACGGAAUGCAGAGUUGUAACCUACUCCGGUUGAGGGUGUUCUACUUGCCAAUGGUACAACUUGGACAUAUCCUAUGUAGGCACGUGGUUUGGGAAUAUGACGACUUACUUUGUACUCUUGUCUCGUUAUUCACUAGAUCUACUUUCCAAAUCAUACUCACUCGGUUCUAGCCUUUGUUUUCAUAGAGUAAUUUACAUUAAAGGAUCAUACAAAGGGGUUCCGUAUCAAGUUCAUAACCUGAUCACAUUCACCCUACCAAUGAGGUACUCUAGGGUUGCCUUACAAAGGCGAAAAGAUAGCUCAUCAUGACUUUACUAAGGAAGAUAUGAUGUCGUUCCAUCCAACCAAGCUUAAGUCUAUCAUUCAUUACAUGAAGGAUACCAUCACAACUUUCGACUUCAAUGUUCAUAACCUUACCACUAGGUUCAAGGUUUCACAUUAAGUCCAUCUUAGCGUCAUUCAAGGUCACUUGUCAUUUAUACAUUCAAGAGUAAGAGGAUUUAUCAUCCUAAGUCAAGAGAUCUCAUAUUCGCAUUCAUACGUGUAUCAAUAAGGGACAUAAGUCUACCACACAAGACACACCAUAAUUUACAUAGAACCUUUAGCAGGUCAUUCUAGAAGCACACAGGUACAACCAACCUCAUCUUUAAAUCAUUCUAUCCACUAUUGUGCUUCAUCAAUAUAACCAUUAUAGACUCAUAUAAUCAACUACGAAAAAUUAUGCAUCAACUCUAAGACUACACACAUAAUGACAUAGUCAUACUCUAACAUUAUCACCUAACAACGUCAAUACAAGAACACAUACUUUCACAUUACUAACAUGUUGGUAGAUAUGAUCAUACUUCACAUAAUCAACUACACACAUCAUCAAAAUAUCUCAAGUAAUGCUGACAAGGCCAUGAUCAUCAUAAUACAUAAAGUAACAUCGACAAGGCCACACCAGUUGCAAGUAAAGCACAGAGCACCGCCACCAUAUCAUACCAAUCAUAGCGUAAUACAAGUCUAACUAACAUAAAUUAAUUAUAAUUAAGGUAUCUUACCACCAAUCCAUUCUCACCACUUCAUUCCAUAGCUAAAUUAUCCAAUUUAAUACCAUAAGGCCCUUACUCAUGGCCAUAAUCAUCAAUUCAAUACAUAAACUAUAGUACUCAAUGAAUCUAGGUCAACUCAAUAUAAAUUUAUCAAUAUAAUACAACCUGUACAUCAAUUGAAUACAAUUCUUACAUCAUUCAAUAGCACAUGGAAAACUACUCUAGAAUUCAUAUCACUUAUCCCAUAAAGUAGUCAAAAAUUGGGGUUCAUCAAUUACAUGGGUGUAUAGGUUAAUUGUGUUAAAAUCAUAAAUUUAACAACAAUUCAAUCAAUAUUCAAUUCUUUAAAACAUUUAAUGUAAGAACCCAUGGAUAGAUUUAAAUUUAGAAAACUCAUCGUUUGUGAAGUCUUUGAAAAUCACUUUGAAAAUUGGCUCCUUGACUAAUAGAGUUUCAAGGACCAAAACCCAUACCUUAUUGAAUAUAAUACACGGUAUUGAUAAAUAAUUAACACUCAAAUCUCCAAUCCAAUCUCUUUUUUAAGUUUUGGCUUCAAUGGAGUUCUAGAGAAUUCUUAGGAUAUUCGGUUUUGAUUUUUAAAGAAUAAAUUAUUGUAAGUGUUUAAGGAAUAUAAACAUGUCUAAAAUAACAAAAGUACCCAUAAGUAACCACCCUUUCUCUUAUUUUUACUUGGGGUGAAAUUUCGAUUUCACCUCUUGAAUUAACAAUGAAGCUGCGAAAUUGACAGCCCUCACAGACGAAUCCAAACGGCCUGUUUCCCAACCAACAACCUGUCCUAUUGGUCCAUGGUUUUGGACAGAGUCUCAUCUUUUUCAGGGACUCCUUUCAUGCCUAAGUCAUAACCAACGACUCCCAUCGACGGGGCAUCGAAUGGUCAACGAGGCGUUUACUGCCUCCGUCAUUUGGGACUGUAUUGGGCAGUCUUGGCUCGUGAUAAAGGUCCUUCCUCAAGGACCCUUCGGUUGUCCUUGGGGACUUUCACCCAAACGUUUCCAACCCGAAUAUGUUCAUAUACAAUUUUGGGACCUCUCACAUCAAUUUCAUUUUAAACAAACAUGUAAAACUCGACGAAACAUGCCAAAAACACACAAGGUCGUUUCAAGUAAAACCUUUCGAAUGGACGUUCUUAACGUUUGACCUCCUAACUUCAUGAAAUUUGACACACUUCCUAUAGACACUAUAAUAACUAAUAUCAGGACCUCGCGUGCUCAUGAAACACACAUGAGGCACAUAGGUGACUUAGUCAUCGAACGUCUUAGUCGUCCCUUGACAUUUCACUUCCAAAUAACCCAAAACUCUAGGCACUGCCUCAUUACCACAUUAUAGACAACUUUAUGAACUUAGACCCUCAUGAAAACCAUGCAAGGCUCUAGCUUCAUCUAAGUUAUUUUUGAGGUAUUACAGAUUUGUUGUCAAGGAGCCCUAGGAGGCUUAUUUAUUGUGAUCCCUGUGUUCCUAUUUAGUGAGGAAUGAAGAGGAGAGUCCCUCUAAAAUUCAAAGAGCACAAUUCUCUUGCCUUUUAUUUUGGCUAUUUCCUGAAAGACAAAACAAUUCAAGAUAAAGACCGGGUGAAGUUUAGUCAUAAACAAACUAAAAACAAAGAUAAUUUAAAACAAGUUUAGAGGCUCGCUGAAGGUGAAGGCAAUUUUCCUAACAGGUUGGAUGAGCUAAAAGGAGCUCAGCAUAAUUGAUCAAACAUGGAUUACUUUCACUCAAGCAUCAAGGCUAGAUUUAAUUACAACUCAAUGAUUCAUCGAGUUGGUUUCAGCGGGCUAAGACAAGUCCGCCAAAAGUUACAAAUGCACAACUAAAAGGGACAAGAAAAAUUGGUAAUGUCUACUCCAACUUGGAGAUUGAUCAAUUUAUUUUCGAUAGGAGAAGACAAGAACACUGAAUGAGAUCGUGCCUAGGUCACAUAUUAAAAUUUAGAAAGGUGCUUUUAGGGCUUACUCAUCGAUUUGGAAAAUCAUCUUGGCGAUCUAAGACAAACUCGCCGAAAAGGUCAUUUUUAGCCUAAUGCCUAUAUUUCAUAACUUCUACACAACACAUCAACAAUAACCAUUGCAAAUCAAUUUUAUAAACUAUACAAAUGCUAGUCUACCCGUGGGUACUCGGACUAAUCUCCAAAUAUCACAAUGUUUUGCCAAAACCAAUUAUUUCCCUUAACAAAUAUGUCACCCUAUACAUCAUUAGGAAUACAAGUUGUCAAGGCAAUAUUGGGGUAAUGAAACUUCAAGGACACUUAAGUACUGAAGUUUAAAACUUUAACAAACUCUGAGUACUUGUAUAAAUUUUAUUUAUUUUUUCCUUUGGAGCCUCUCAAGUCUUGGCUUUCAUAUUUCAAACAUUACAUUAUAAUUCAAGAGAUUUUUUUAAUAGUUCUAAAUAAUAGACUAAUAAAGCUAUAGCCAUGCAUGUAAUUUUAUCAUAAUUUUGCCUCCCUUUUAUCUAGAAUUCAUCUUCUGAUUCUUUGCGGUGAAAGAAAAGAUAACUUAAAAAAUAAUAAUGUACAUAUCAAAUGCUUACUAAGUAUGGCCCCUCAAUUUUUUUCUUUUGUGUUUUGAGAAUUAAAUUAUAUUAAUUUUAAUUGAUAUUUUAAGAUAUAUAUUUUUUUUAAAUUAAAUGCAUUUUUCAAAUAAAAAGUAUGAGAAUAUUUCUAGAGUAGUAGGAGUAAUUAUAAGUUGCAAGAUAACCAAUUAAUUCUCUAUGUAAGUAAAUAAAUGAGUAAUGCCUUUUUAUUCGGAGAGUCUUUGAGCUAAUUCCUUGAAUAUUUAUUUAUAUUUAUGAAAUUAUUAAUUAAUUUAUUUAUUUAUUUAAAAUAAAAAAUAACUCAAAAUGUUAUUUUUAUUAACCAAUUAAUUCUCUAUGUAAGAAAAUAAAUGAGUAAUGCCUUUUUAUUCGGAGAGUGUUUGAGCUAAUUCCUUGAAUAUUUAUUUAUAUUUAUGAAAUUAUUAAUUUAUUUAUUUAUUUAUUUAAAAUAAAAAAUAACUCAAAAUGUUAUUUUUAUUAUUAUUAUUUUCAAAAUACGUUGAAUAUUACAAAAGAUUUCUUCCCUCCUAGUUGACAUUUCAUGUCACAUUAAAUAUUUUAUUCAAUUCAAAGUUGAAAUUCUUAAUAAUUAACAAAAAUAAAAAUACAAAAUAUUAUCAUUCUAGAAGAAUCUUUUUAUGAACCUUUUAUUAUAUGAUACCACAUACUUUAUGACACAAUUUUUUUAUAAAAAAAACAUGUGCUUUGACAUACAUAAAGCCUUAUAAUAUUAUAGAGAGCAAUAAUAUUCAUUUGCAGCAACUAAAAAAAUAAAGAAACGAAAGUCUUUUAACUUGGAUAGAAUGAAAUGACAAGCAAAUCAAAGGAAAAAAAUAAGAUCACAAAUCCAAACUUAGUAAUAAGUUGACAUGAUUUAAACUAAUGCAGAAAUCUAUAUCUCUAUCCGAAGGUAUACUAGAAAAAUCAGUAGGAAACACUUCUCUAAAUUUCGAUACCACAAGAAAAGACUCAAUGGAGGGAGACUCAACCUCAAAAUCCCGGAUAUGAGACAAAUAAGCUAAACAACCCUGCCUUACCCGUUUCCUAGCUCGAAUAGAAGAUAUGAUAUUAGACUUGUACACCCCUUCCCACUCUAUUUUCUCCCUACCGAGGGAUCUCUAGAGUCAUAAACUUAGUAUUACAAUUUAACAGAACAUAAUAAAGAGACAACCAAGUAAUGCCUAAGGUUUGGUCAAAGUCAGUCUUGUCCAAAAUCACCAAAUUAGUCUAAGUUUGAAAACCAUAAAAAAAAUAGGUCAAAUAGGAUAGGUUAGACAUCGGUGACUAUGAGAGCUCUCCAACUAGGGUACAAACACGGAUUGAUGCAUCAAGUAUAUCACAAAUCAUAUCAAAACCAAAGUAAAACUGCACAUACACAUAAGAAUAAGUAGAACCCAGAUCAAAUGACACAUUAGCCAUUCGGUUACAGAUAAAGAAUAGUACAUGUGAUCAGUGCAUCAGAUGCCUCGGCCUCAUUCUUGCCAUGGAAGGCAUGAUACUGAGCCCUGUCAUAUGACAGACGACUUCCCUUUCCAGAUGCUCUAUGCCUCUGCUUGCAUUACCAUUUCCUCGAUCUGUGCGACCUCACUGAUUUUCUUCUUAUCCACCUUGUGGAUGCCUUUGACCAUUAUUACCAUUUCCCGUGGAUACCAUUGCUCUAGUCUGUUGUGUGGAUUCUGACAUGCACAGAAGGGGACAAUAUCUCCUCAUAUGAAUAUGUUCUCCACAAUUAUAACAAGUGUGUUCCAAUGAUGGUCUACUACCCACGAAAUUUUUGACUCCCUUACAAUCUUGAAUCAAAUUUUUAUAUGUAGUUCCUGAGUAAAUUACUUGUAAAAGCGGGCAUAGUGGAUUGGAUUGGUUAUUCUGCAAGUGUUGGCCUACUUAAACCUCUGGAGUAGGAACCCUUAAAGAUUCUUGUAUUGUUAGACUUUUUAGCCAAUACUUUAGACUGACUCUCUCGCCUCACACCUCCACUUUCUUCACAAAACUUGUUACCUCAUUAAAACUUUUCCAUGCAGUAGUCAUGUGUACAUACAAUACCAACAACUCAGAAUAUAGUCUUUUAACAAAUAGGUGCAUCCUAUCUUCCUCAGUAGUCACCAAUUGUGUAGAACAUCUAGACAAAGCAUGAAACUUAGCCUCAUAAGCAGCCAUAAACGUACCACCCUACUCCAAAGACAUGAAUUCAUCUUUUUUGCGAUCUGUCAAUGUCCGGUGCACAUACUUGUUCAAAAAUAAAGCAUGAAAUUGGGUCCAAGUGAGUGGGGGUAAAGCUGAAGAUCUGCAUUCCACAUAAUCUCUCCACCAUUGAUUAAUCUUACCUUGAAGUUGAAAAGUUACAAACUCUACUGCAUGUUGAUGGACAAAUCCAAACUUAUAAAGUCUGUCAUAAAAAAACUAGAAUGAACUCAUAUACGUCCUCACUGUUAGAACAAUGGAACAUAGGCGGUUUCAAUUUCAAGAACUCAGUCAACAUCCCGUGUUCAUUGCCAAACAUAACAUGACCUAAAAAAGGAUGGAAGAAAGCAUCAAUUCCUACAGUUCCACCCACCUUGGGGACAGUGAUAGCAAUAGGGUGAUUGGUGGGAGCUUGUGUUGCUUGAACUGAGGGAAGAACCAUAGGACCAACCAAUUUUUUACUAACGACACAAUCUAUUGAGCUAACACUAGGUCUAGGGGAGGAAUACAUGUAUUCUCGACCUGCACUUCUUUCUUUUUUCCAACAUUCUCCUCUAUCUCUUCAUGACACACAUGAGAUUUUCAUUUUUGGGAGCAUUCGCAAUCAGAGCUCCAUCCGUAAUAGCUGCUACCAUUUCUCGAACCUCUACCAUUGCCUCGACCAUGACCUCUUGUUGUGGAUUCCUCAACUAGAACAUUGACGGGAUCUACGGGCUUGACGGUGUUGAACCUGGUGUUAAUGAUCUGUGGACAUAAGAGUGAAGGAUAUUACAUACCAAUUUAGAUCACUAGAUAUCAAUUGAAAUGAAGUUAUAGCACGAAAUGAGACAAAAGAAAAUAGAAAGAUUUCCUAACUUCAUAUAGCCUCUUGAAGAAAAGCACAAACGUGUCCAUACCAUUCCGCAAGACUCUACUAGACUCAUUUUGUUACAUAAAGAUCAACGAAUCAAAAGAUUUGAUACAAACUUAUUCACAAUCCAUACUGUCAUUAUUGACACCCACAAUAACCCUCCAGUGGGAGAACGUUAUUACAAGACAACUAACCAAAUUAACUAUAACUAAAGCAUUUAAAGAUACAAAAGCAGGUGUAAAUGUCUAAAGGAAAAAUAGGGUGUUCACAUAAAAUCUGAGAGGCUAAUAAAAAUAAUUGCGGAAGUAAAGCCUAGAACUUUGAAAGUCAAUAUACCAAACAUCUACUAACCGCAAUUCUAAGAAAAUGGUGCAAAUCCAAACUAAACAUAUGAAUAUCUAUAUUAUUAAUCUAAGUCCAAAUAGAAUGAGAAAAGUAUAAUGAGAACUCAUGGAAGCCUGGAAGACUGGAUGAAUAUUGAAUUCAAUCAAUAUUUUAAACGAGGUCUGUUAGUAGCUGCCUGAAGAUGUUCUGUACUACACAGAUAAAGAGAAAUUCAGUAUUAGUACACUACAACAAUGUACUGUUAGGAUCACAUGACUAUCCCAAUAAGUGAAGCAUAUACAAGCAAUCACAACAAAAUGAACAUACAUAUACCAUACAUAUACACCAUCAAUCAUCAUUUCAGGAUCAAUGCAAAAUUCCACAUUAUCAAUAAUACACAUAUAUGAUGCACAUGAACAUAGUACUCAAUCCAAGUUAGUGUGCCAGUCGUGACACGCGAUCCCAUUUAUGAGCUAGAAAAUAACAUUCGAUCCAAGUUAGUGCGUUGGAACGUAAUAAUGGAUCCAUUCAACAAGAUAUAAUCACAAACACAAUGUACAUUCUCAUAAUUAUAAAAUCAAGUGUUGAUUCAUAACAUACAAUCAUUCAUUCAUGCUCAUUUACGAUUAGUAUCAUUAGCUUUCAAACAAUCGCAUACAUAUAUGCAUUAUAAUGAAGUAAUUACUAACAUACAUCACAAAAACAUGAAAUCAAAACCAUGACCAACCUUGAACAAAGCGUAAAUCCUCAUAAGAAACUUGAUUCUUCCCUCUAUGUAUUCUUUCCAAUCGCUCUAGUUCUAUAAAAAAAUAAUUCAAUACGGAGAUGAAUAAUUAAGGUCUAAUUUAUCUUAAUUAUGACAAACCCUAUAGCCUAAGACCUAAAUAUGAUCCUAAGGUGCAUCUAUGGCUUUUCCACCAUCCAAAACCGUUCAAAAUCCUCCACCAAUGAUGUAUAAUCAAUAUUCUACGGUCUACAGAUCGAAAAAAAUGUUUGGAGAGUGAACAUUACAUUUAGCACCAAAAAUCAUGGAAAUCUAUCAAAAACUCGUCUGGGGUUUUCUCCUAGAUCUCCAAAAGAAAAAUUGUAGAAUAAUUGUAUUUUUUAGGGUUUAUUCACGACUUAAUUGGCGACUAACGGCUAUGGCGGCCCCAUCCUACCACAACGGUUCUGCCCUGGAGGGAAAUAUUCUUCCUUGUUUCUUGCAUCGAAAUAGUGAGAUAAGUUAAGAGUUUCAAUCCCCCAUUUCACAAUGCACUUUUAUCCCAUGACACUAAAAAACUACCCUUUCACGCUAAUAUCAGUUUUAGAAGCUUUACUCGCACGAAUUCAAUUUCGUAAAGUUGUACAUGUUCCUUAACGUAUUUGCUAUCCACCUAUGCGGUCAAAUUUAUUAAUAGAGUCACCAUUUGUUACUAGAUUUUUCUACACCUAACCGACCUUGAUUUCAUCCAAAUCUGAAUUAGGCUAGAAAUUCAUAAGUUACUACGAAAAAGUUUUCUGGCUCAUAAUUUUUUUCGUUGGCUUUUCAAUAACGACGGGUACAUGUCGUUACAAGGAGCCUGUUGGAAUUUUCAAUCCAAAUUACAAUAAAAAUGAUAGUACUUCCCUAUAGAAGAAAAAAAAUUUCACGCAGCUAAAUCUCUAUAAUACUAUUCGCCGGGUUUCGAAAUGGUAGAGAAGAAGUACAAAAGUUUAGUGCACUUUCAAAAUUUUCACGUGGGCAUGUACGAAAUUUUGUUUCACUUUAAGCAUAGACAAAACAAGGAGAAAAGUUUAAACCAUCAAUGAUGUUUUUCCAUGUUUUACAAAAAAAGUUGCUCUAUUAGAGGAGUUAUCUAUAUGUUGAAUUUCUUGAAGAAAUUAGUGGUUGCAUUUGAUUCAAGAUCUGAAAAAAUUAAAAUUAUUUGAUUGGAUAUGAUAUAUGUCACGAUAGAUAUAAUGAUCCGAAAUGUCAUUUUUUAAAAUAUUUAUAAAAUUACCAUUUCCCCCUCUAGGUAGUUGUCUCGGGUUAUUUCUAUCGGUAGAUAGAGUGUAUUUGGGAAUUUUUUGACUAUUCGAUAAUUAAUGGUAUUAAAUUGACAAAAAAAAUUUAAAAUAAUUAAAUUGUUUAGUUGAUAAUAAUGAGCUAAGUCUGAAAAUUUUAAAACCUUAUACCAUUUGGCCCAUGUACAAAAGUAAGUUAGAAGGGUUUGAUAAUUUUAGACUAUGUAAUUUAAGAGGAAACAAAAUCUGGAAAGCGAGAACGAUAACAAUAAUAUCAACAAUUAUCAAAUCUACUGACCAAUUCUAGAUGGUAAAAAAUUGGUCUUAGGGUGCUCAUUCAUCCGGUUGCUGACCAACUACCUACAGUUGUCGAUUUCCUUUUUUUUUUAUUACGUAAAUUAUGUUGAUUUUUCUUUAUCAGUUAGUGGGUGUAGUAAUAGUUGAUAUUGUUUUUUUAUGUUAGGGGUGGAAGUAUGGAGAAUUGGUGGUCAGGAAAUUUAGUAAUAACGAUUAUUUAAUGAUGAGGGUUAAUGAUAAUAUAAUCAAUUGAGUAUUUUGAUUAAUUGGGGUAGGUUGAUGAUUUCCUUCAAAAUGUGAUAUUUGGUUGUUUCUUAUUUUGUGGUAGUUUCAAGAUUUGAAGAAUUAUAUUUUCUAAAAUAAAAAUAAAAUUGAGACUUAACACUAGUUUUGAAAUUUAAGAAAUAUGAGAAUUGACAUGUUAAACUUGAUUAUAAAUAUGAGACUUAAUCAAAAUGGAAGGCUUAAGUUUUAGAGUGAUUGUUCGACUAUUUGAGGCAAGUGAAUUUCUUAACCCUUGUUAAGUGUAUGAAAUGCGGGUUUUUUCUUGUGGUAUAUGUUUGGGAGUAAUGGGACUUGGUGAUGGGUUGAUUUGUCCACAUUGAUUAAUUCUAAUGAUUAAAAAAAGGCAAUAAAGGCAAUGUAAUUCAUUAUUUGUGUAUGAUAUGUAGAUGACAGAGAAUGGUUUGAAAGGCUUAUUGAAUCAUUGUUGUGAAUUCUGUAUGCAAUGAAAAUUGUCAUCUCCUCGUUAUUUUUGUAACAUGUCAUUUGAUUGUUCAUAGACAUAGUUGUGAUAAGUGUUAUUUGCAUUGAGAAUAAUAAGAAAUUAAAGAGGAUAUACCAUUUCGAGGGAUGUAUCGCGCGCCACAAUAGAUACUAUAUUUUGAGGGAGUUAUCGCCACGCCGUGAUGAUUACUAUUAUCGAAGAUUGUAACGCACGCUCCAAUGGAUGCAUGGACAGAUUUGUCACACAUGGGUCCCUACUGAAUGACAUCAGGUUUGUAUCAUUAGCCCAGACAUGCAUCGCUAUAUGCCCUGGACUACCUAGCGAGAUAAUAAAUACGAACGAAGAAAUAACAGAAAAGGAAAUAAUUAUAGGAGGAAUACCGUUAAUAAUACCAUUUAAAAUUUAUCAAGGAAACCAGAAUAUUACAUUAGGAAUAAAAUGGUUAGAAAAAGUUUUCUUUUUGGUCUAUAUGGUCUUUUUAUUGUAUAAUUUUUUACAUAAUAUCUUUGUCUUCAACAUUAAGUAAAGUAACUAAAAUAACAAAAAUCAAGAUAGAAAGAAAAGUACGAAAGAUAUGGAAAAAGUUAAAACCUUUAUACAUAGAAUAUGAACUAUCACAACUUACUAAAACAAGUAAUAAUAAGACAAAUCAUUUGAUAAACAUGAUUUCAAAAACAGAAUAUAAAUAUGUUUAUUAUUUGAAAAAACGAUAUGAAUACUAUGUAGUUAGUCAGAAAGAACAUAUCAUAUAUUGCAAAUACACAAAAGGAAAAACACAGUUACCUAUACUAAGUCUUCUUAUUUCUUUAGUUGUAAUUGAGUCUUGUAAUUUUCCAGUAAUCCACCAUUUAACUUGUGUAUUAUCUGUUCUUAUAAUGAAUUUAUUAUAAACAAUAUAUGGUUCAAAUGCUAAUAAACAUUUAUAUAAUGCAAAUAAUUCUUUUCUAUUUAUUUCCCAUUUUAUUUAUGCUUCUCCAUAAGAUCCUGAGUAAUACCUGCAAUGGUGCUCUAUUUUAAAUGUUCUGCUAAUUUUGGUAUAUAUUCUCUAAUUUGAUUUACUAAUCCUAGAAAGGAUUGUAAUUUCUUUUUUGUAUAUAUAUUUUCAUCAAGUGUGAUUAUUUUUUAUAUUUUGUGGGUUUGCAUCUUUAUCCCAUUUUUAUCUAUUUGUAUUCCUAAAAAUUCUAUCUGUGGUUUCAUAAUUUCUGCUUUCAUUUUGCUUAAGCUUAUACCUGAAUGUUUAAUUAUAUGAAUAAAUUUUUCUAAUAAUCUAAUAUGUUCAUCUUGUGUUUUAGAAUAUAAUAGUAUAUCAUCUAUAUAUACAAUACAAUUCUCUAACUGGUUAAAAUAAUUAUCCAUAAAAUGUUGAUAUCAACCUGGUGCAUUUUUAUAUCCAAACGGUAAAACAUUCCAUUCAUAGAAACCUUGCGGUACUGUAAAUGUUGUUAGCUGUUUUGAUUCUUCUUCUAGUUUUAGGUGAUAAAAUCCUGAUUUACAGUCAAACUUACUAAAAUAGUUAUAUCGUUGUAUUUGUCUUAUUUUCAGUAUCUUAUUCGGUAUUGGGUAAUUAUAUAUUUUAGUUUUAGCAUUUAGGUUGCGAUAAUCUAUAACCAUUCUACUUUUACCUUGUUUUUGUUCACUAUGUUUAUUAACUAUAAAUGUUGGACUUGUAUGUUUAGUAUUGCUUUCUUGUAUAUAAUUAUUCUCUAAUAGUUCAUCUAUAUGUAUUUUGAAUUCUUUUAAAUCAUCAAAAUUAUAUUUUAAUGGUUUUUGUGUUAUUAUGUUGUUUUCAUCUAUUAAUUCAAUUUUUAUUUUUCUCUAGUUGUUAUUUUAUUAUCAAUUAGUUGUUUAGAUGUAUUUCCUAUCCAUAGUAAUAUUGCUUUAUUUAUAUCUGUAACACAAUCUAAAUCUAAAAAAUUAUAUUGUUCAGUUAUUGGCUUAGGUGUCCAUUUUUUAUUUAAUUUGCUAUUCCAUAUUGCGUUUGUUCUAUUUGAUUGUUCAUAAUUUUCUGUAUAAUAUGUUGGUGAUGUCCAAAUACAAUUUUUGAACAAAUAAAAGGAAAGAAUUAGAUUUAAGUGUUGAAAAAGUACUUGAAAUACCUACUUUAAGAAAUUGGUUUAACAGACAAAAAGAAGAAUACUAUGUAGUUAGUCAGAAAGAACAUAUCACAGAUUGCAAAUAUACAAAAGGAAAAACACAAAUACCUAUACUAAGUAAACGAAUAAUAAAUAAAGAAAUACAAGAUAUAAAAGCUAAAACACCUAUAAAAUAUGUACAUUUAGGAGGAACAGAAAUAUUAAUAAAAGCUUGUUUUAGAGAAGGAAUAGAUACAGCUAUUGAAAUAUACUUAGCAGCUGAUAGAAUUAUAAACCCUAUAGAAAAAAGUGUAAUUAGUGCAGUAAAAGAAAACUUAAUAUACCAAAAAUGUAAAUUUAUAAUAAGUGUCAACUACUCAGUAGCAUUAACUGACAGAAAUAUAUAUAAAUCAUUAGUUUUGUAUUGGAAGAUGUCUGGAAUAGAGCUAGCACCAGGAAGUAAAAUAUUCACAGCAAGAUGUAAAAACUUAUAUAUAUUAACAACAAAACACAAAGUAACAGCGAGAAAUAAAAUUGAUAGAAUAAAAGUAGAAAAUCCCUUUGAAAAAAUAAUUAUUAUAAUAGAUAAUAAUGACUAUAGUUAUGAAGAAAUUGACAUAGAAGAAGAUUUAGAAAUAGUAAAAGAAAGAUUAAGUACUUCAAGCGUACCAAAUACACUAACAAGAACUACCUCAUCAAGAAUGAGUACAUCUAGAAGAAACUAUGAAAUUCCAAAAAAUUUAUCAGAAGAUAUAACAAUAUAUCAUUAUUUUAUAACAGGAAUAGUAGACCAAAGAAGAUAUAAAAUUUUAAUAAAUAUAGGAUAAGAAGAAAAUUACAUAAUAAGAGAAUUAGUAUUAGAAACAGAAAUUAUAAAAACAGGACAAUUAUGCCCCGGACUACCUAGCGAGAUAAUAAAUACGAACGAAGAAAUAACAGAAAAGGAAUUAAUUAUAGGAAGAAUACCGUUAAGAAUACCAUUUAAAAUUUAUUCAAGGAAACCAGAACAUUACAUUAGGAAUAAAAUGGUUAGAAAAAUUUCUAAUUGUGUUAUUUGUUUUUUAUUUAUAUUUUUCAUUUCUUGGUUUAUUUUUUCACUUCCUUUUAUCCAUUCUAUAGGUUUACGUUGUUUGUUAUUUACUCUUUUUGCUCCUAUCGUAUUUCCGCUUGGUGUAGUAAACCACCAAUGUGUUUUUGUUAUUAUAUGUGGGUAAAAUUUAUCUAGAAAUGGCAUUCCGAAAUUGAAAAGAUAAAAAUGCAAGCAAAGCAAGAAGUACAACAUCUAGAAGAAGCAAAAAAUACAAGAAUAUGUGGAUUAGAAAAAGAAUUAGCUAAGUUAAAAUUAUUAUAUGAAACUAAACAAAAAGAGAAACAGAUAGAAAAAGAUAAAGAGCUCGAAUUAACUAAUGAAAUAAAAUGAGAUGAAACAAAAAUUAAAUGAAAAUCUUUCGUUUUUUAGUCUCUCCUAAUGAAUAUUAUUGAUCUCUAUAAUAUAAAAUAAUAUAGGUUUUAUGGCUGUAAAUGUUUUAUCAAAUAAUAUAAAAAAAUAAAAAAAUCUUCUAGAAUGGUAAUAUUUUAUCUUUUUCUCUUUUCUAAUAAGAAUUUCAAAUUUAAAUUGAAUAUAACAUUUAACAUGUCAUGAAAUGUCAACUAGAAGAGAAGAUAUUUUUUGUAAUAUUUAGUAUAUUUAGAAAAUAAUAACAAUAACAGUUGAGAAAUUUUACAUUUUUCAUUAUAAUAAUAAUUUUUACGUCAUUUUCGAACAAUAUAUAUUUCAUCUUUUGUUAUAAUUUAUGUCACAUGUAUGGAAUUAGGAGAGUCAACAAAAUUUCUUAUAUGAUUUUGAAAAUAUUUUUCAAUUGUUAAUUAUUAUAAUUUAUAGUAUAUUUACGUAACUUAGUAAUAAUAUAUUUGCAAGAUUUAUGAAUCCAAUAUAUUAAAUUACCUUCCAGACAAGAAUGCUUAUAUCAUAUUAUGAACCAUGAUAGCUAAAAAGAGAGGAAAUGGUGGCCCCCAUUGCUAUUUCAUUAUUUAUUUGAAUAAAAGUUGAGGCAUAAUAGCAGCCAGUGGCUUUAUAAGCCUCAUCGUGUGCAAGAAAAUUUCCACAAGAUUACGAUUAUCAAAUUUAAACUUCAUAAUUCUUAACACAAAGCACACUCUCUUUGAUUUCAUUUAAGGUUUAGUAUGUAUGCUUGCUACAUUUAGAGGGGAAAAAACUUUUCACUUAGAGUCGAGUAGGUAAAAAGUCUUGCAUUGUUAUCUCCACACAAAUCUGGACUAACCUUUUUUUAACCCCUGAAGGACAACAAAAAAAAAAAGGAAGUCACAAGAUGAGAAGAUAUAGACGCCUAUGUUGUUCAAAUUCUUCAGAGAUGUCAACAGAUGAGGGUUGAAUUCUCCAAAACUCUCCAAAAGUAAUGUAAUUUUGGAGAAUCUGACAAUGGUGCGGCAUAACAAUACACAUAAUAUGACAAUAAUUUUAGUCUUUUAUUGCUCAAAUCAGAAUUGAAUAAUUCAUCUAAAAAAGAAACACUAUGUCAUCCAACUGCUAUUUAAUUACUGCUUUUAAACCACAGUAAAUUUAAUUUUAGGCUAAAUGGUAGUAAAUUUAAUUUUAGGCUAAAUGGUCUGGUGGAUCCUAAUACUUACAUGAAUUUGUAUUAUGGACCCUCCUACUUGACCAUUUCUCAAUUGUACCUUUAAACUUAAUGAAACUCAAUAUUUUAAGCAUUCUGACCAUUUACCAAGCUUAUGUGAUAACUUAAUUGUUAACAUGGCACAAACACGUGAUUUCACGCUUUCAAGGAGCAUGAAUAUCAAAAUUUAUGCUAAAAAUAUUAUUUUCUUAACAAAGACUAAAAUAAGAGAAUUUAAUCUAAUUUUUUUUCACUUGUUUCUUCCUUUCCCACCCUACAAGUAACAUCUCACAAAUUGAAAUAGCUAAGUUAGUUCAUUCAUUAAUCAUUUUGUUAUUUACUUGUGUAUAUAUUUGAGUUGCCAUUUUGUCUAAGUUAAAUGUUUAUUUUGGAAAUAUUUUGAUUUCCAUUCCAGACAGUUGAAUUAGUUAGCAUUCAAAAUUUUUUCUUAAUGCAUUAAGUCAUCCGCUAAGUAAGUAAGCAGGACAAGGGGUCGCCUGAGGCCAACAAUGGUCUCCGUUAGUUGGCCACGUCCAGUGUGUAGGCUCGGGCGUGACAAAGUUGUUAUCAACGCAUAGAGUUUAAGAGUCCUAGGGAAUCUAUGAAGUUGUGUCUGUAGAGUCCUAAUUAUCGGUGUGAAACACACCACAUCUAUAAUUAGGAGGCUGCAACAUUUAGGCAAUUCCUCACUUCUUUCAUACUCACUUUGUGUGUUAGAGUUUAUCUCUAGAAAGUGUCUUUCUAACUUGUGCUUACGCGUAACCGAUUAUGAGUUGGACUUCGUUUGAGAAGUCUUUUUGGGUCAUUUGUUUCCCGUGUGAUAUAAGAGAAACUAAGAGAUGGUUGUUGGUAUCAGAAGUAGAAUGAGCUUGUUUGUAGAUAGGUAGUCUUGUUUAUCGAGUAAGGAAAGUAAAGUUUUGAUGUUAAUAAAUGACAUGGACAUAGCAAGGGUGAUGAUCCAUGUGCAAUACAUAAAGGAGGAAAAGAUUAGGGAUAGAGACGAGUUUAAGUAUAAGAGGGAUAAGACAAAAGGAACGUGUCCAUGGAGCAAAGGAAUAAUGUGAACUUGUCUUUUUCCUAAUAGAAAUAGAAAGGACAUGCUUCAUCAUCUACUAGUGCACAUACACCAACGAAACAAUGUUGUACAAUACUCAAGAUUCUUGGAACUUUAAAUUUAGAUUUGUGUAUUCGCAAGGUGGUAAGAAAUAAUGGGGUACUUAGACUCCUGCAUGUGCUAGGUGUGGUAGAACCCACAUAGGAUAGUGUGUCGGGGUCAGACAGGUUGCAUCAAACGUGGACAAAAGGGUCACUUCAUGAAAGAGUUUCCAAAAAACAUGCAAGAAAAUGGUACCAACAUAGGAACAAACAACCUAUAUGCUAUCACCAGUCGCAGAGACUAAGAGGAUUCUCUAGAUGCUGUCACUGGUAUGAUUUAAGUCUUUGACUUUACUGUUUAUGCUUUGCUAGACCCAAGAGCAAGUUUAUAUUUUGUAAUUCCAUAUGUUUCUUUGAAUUUUGAUGUUAUUCUUGAGCAACUUAGUGAACCAUUCAGUGUUUCCACACCUAUUGGUUAGUCUAUUCUAGUUGAGCGAGUCUAUUGUGAUUUUCCUGUUUCCGUCAGCCACAAGAGCACGAUGGAUGAUUUAAUUAAGGUAGGCAUUGUUGAUUAUUAUGUCAUUCUUGAUAUGGAAUGACUUCAUGUCUGUUAUGCCUCAGUUUGUUGUAUAACUCGAGUAGUUAUGUUUCAGUUUCUAAAUGAGUCAGUCUUAGAGUGGAAGAGCAGUUCAGUAGUGCCUAAUCGCCGUUUAUUUUGUACCUUAAGGCAAGAAAGUUGGUUUAUAAGGGGUGUGUAUAUCACUUAGUCUGAUUUAAUGACUCUAGUAUGGAGAUACAUCCUAUUUAUUCAGUUUUAGCUACAGUAGUAAAAGAGUUUCUAGAAGUGUUUCCUCAAGACCUACCCGGAGUCCCACCUGAGAGAGAAAUAGACUUUGACAUAGUUAUAAUUCCAUAUACUAGUCCUAUGUUUUUCACAAUACAUAAUAGCACUACCAGUGUUGAAAUUUUAUUAUAAUAAUCACCCAACCUAUGACUUAGAGUUGGUUGCAGUAAUAUUUGCUUCGAAACAUGAAGCCAUUAUCUUUAUGGUAUUGUUGUGGAAGUUUUCACCGAUCACAAGAGUUUUCAGCAUGUGUUUCAUUAGAAAUAUCUUAAUCUCAGGCAAUGAAGGUUGUCUGUGGGUACUACACACAUUUUGAAGAAGAUAAGAAAUAGUUAGCAAAGGAGAUGUAGAGACUUACCCAAUUAGGAGUUCAUUAAUGAAUUCCACUGAAGGAGGAGUAGUGGUGGUGAAUGGGUCUAAAUCAUUAUUAGUGUCAGAAGUAAAAGGUGAGCAAGACCAAGACCUUAUCUGUGUUGAAUUAAACUCAAAUGUUUAUAAGCAAAAAAAAGUGAUGGCUUUUAAAUAAAGGCGUGAUGGUGUAGUCAUAUAUCAAAGUAGGUUGUGCGUACCAAUGGUAGAUGAAUAAAUUAAUUUAAAGUUUUACCCAAGAGGGUGUUAUGAGAUUCUCUAAGAAGGGAAAUCAGUUAGUAUGGACGCUACUUGAGAAGCUAAAGAAUAUAGGAAAAAAGAGAUACCACAUCACAUCGAAUCCAGAGAAGUUCCAAACUAAGGUACUAAUAAUUUUCUUCGCAUUGAUAUUAAGUUAGCAUGUUGUGUUUAUAUUUUAUUUUUGGAUGUUUGAGCUGAAUGUAAGAUGUUACACCAUAGGCCUAGUAAUAAGUAAUCUUAUAAGAGGAUGAAUGUCCCCAGGGGGAGAUAUUAAAACAUCUCACAAAUUGAAAUAGCUCGGAAAAAGCUUAAAAGUUGAAACAGUUAGUUUUGAAAAAAAAUUAAAAUCUGGAAAAUUUUCUUAAGUUAGGAAAAAAAUGAGUUUUUGGUCAAAUUCUAACGUCCAUAAAUCCUAGAUCAGGAUGAGUUAGGCGUAGUCCCGGAUAUGGUUGAAAAUCCCUUGGAAGAAUAUUUUCAAUGCCGGUGAGUUUGCAAAGUUUUGAAUUUGGAUGAGUGAGUUAUGCUCUUUGGAAGUUGGAUGUUGGAUUAAGGAAAUGUCCAAUCCGAAAAUAAAAAGGGUAAUUUAGUCUUUUCUUAACCCAAUUAAUUAAUUUCAUUUUUGGUAUUAUUAUUAAGGGUCUAAACUAAACUUGGUCAGUUUUAAACUUUUGAAGAAAAGUUAGGGUUUUGGAGAAAGAACCCAAAAGAGAAAGAAAGGAAGAAGGGGCCAAGAUCGUCAAAUUCAUCAAGAAAAGCUUGAGGAUUUCUUCAGGGGUGAUCCCUAAAAAGGUGUGAAAAUCUUCCAUAGUGUUGGGUUCAUUCUCCCAUGUGCCAAACAUGUUUGAUUUAGCUUGAAAUUGUUCUAAAAGAUUAGAUUUUGAAUGCUACUGAAUGUGGUUCUUAAAUUGCUUCUGAUCUUUAACAUGGACUGAGAUUUGGGAGUUUCCUGAGGAUUAAAGUGUUGUUUCUUGAAUUCUUUGGGUUAUAUCCUUGCGUGUGUGAUUUGGGAACAUUAAUGUAAGGAGAACUUCAAAAAAAGAAUUGAUUUAAAAUAAUUUAAGAUCAGUAAACGAGAGUAAAAUUUCUCUAGAUUUUACCCGAAAAAACAGGUAGCGCGACGCGCCCCCUAAUUGCCCAAAAGGCUGGGGACGCGCGCCAGCAGUGCUCGUGAAUUGUGUCUCAAUCAAGUGAGGCUGGCGCGGCUGAUAUACCGUGGUUUCACGGUAUUUUUAAUGCUUUUUCCUUAAAUUUAGUGUGUGUCAAAAAGUAUUUUUGAAUUGAUUUUUAUGUAAGUUUCUCCUUAUUUGCAGGAAAUCUGUCCAAAGAUGAACGCGGAAGUUUUUGAGCAAAAAAUGCUGAAAAGUUACCACCUACGGAGCUCAUGACGGUCCGUCGAGUCUGUGACGGUCCGUAGGUGGCAUCGUUGUGUAGCUGCUAAAGGAUUAUGGGUAAUUCUAACUUAGUGUGGGAUUACGAAACUCGAUGACGGACCGUCAUAGCCACGACGGUCCGUCCUGCUGGUUCAUCUUAAUUACCAGAGAGUAGUCCCAGUACCCAAAUUCCAAGAAGUUUAAGUUUUAUGGAACAGAGACCUUCGACGGACCAUCGUGCUUGGAAAGGUCCAUCAUACUUGUUUGUCAAGAUUAAUGAAGAGACCAGCAGAAGAAUUUGUGUAGCAUGGGACGACGGAGUCCAUGACGGCCCGUUAUGACCACGACAGUCCGUCACGAGAUCCGUUGAUCCAGCCGCGUUUAAAAGAUUUUCAGUAAUUAGAAUCCUUCUUUAUUAGAUUUUGUUUUUACUAUAAAUAGUUCAAAAAACCGCGUUUUUGGGGUUGGACUUUUUGGUGUUAGACUCUUUGUUGUUAGACUCUUUGUUAGUUAGACUUUUUGGUUUUAGACUCUUUGUUAGUAGACUCUUUGAUAUUAGACUUUUUGAUUGUUACACUUUUUUCUGGAAAUGAUUGUUGGUGAUUUUGUUGAUUAAUCAAGUGAAUUUCUUGAUUUUAUUCUUUUUCAUCAAAAUAAAUGCAUGAAUUCUUAUAUUAAAAAUAUGAAUAUUGUGAUUAUUACUAUGGGUAACUAAACUCCAUAACUAGGGUUGUGGGAACCAUGGGUAAAUAAUGAGGUAAAAUCUAUCUAAAAUAGUUAUUCCAGAAUAGUGUCUUGCAUGUAUUGAUAAUUCUUUUGUUUAGAAGUCUUUUUAACGGAUGGCCAACGUUACAACUCGCCUUAAUGCUACUUGCCGGACCAAGGAGGUAGAUAAUAAGAAAAGAAUUAUCAACAUAUAUUUAGUGUAUACUAUCUAAUAGGCUAGUAUCGAUUGGUACGAGGUAAUAACUUAGUCAAAUAUCGAAUACAAUGCUUAGUAUGAGGUAAAGGUAAGGGUUAGUAUAACAACACACGUAGCCGGACCAAGGUGCGGAGUGAAAUUUUCUAGAUGUUGGACCAAGGAUUUAAAAAUACAUAACUUAUCACUUUGCAUGCAAGAUACUAGAAAAGAAUUGUUAUGGUUAGAAUUAUCAAGUUAGGAACCUGUGGGGAACACUUAAACCCUAGUUAGAUUUAUUAAUUGAUUAAACUCCAAGAUUUGAAUCUGUUAAUUAUUUAUUUUAAUUUAGUUAGUUAUUUUCAUUAAUGUAGAAAUAACCCCCCCCCCUUUUAUUGUCUUUUGUUUUCUAAGGAAAUAAUUGACUAAAUAAUAGUAAUAAUAUAUUAAAGUUAAGUCUGAACUAUUUUGCUCGUGGGAACGAUCCCAACCUUAUGAGUUGUGUUCUUUACUUGAUACGAUCGAUUUACUUCUUAUUUGAGAAGUAAGUUUGAGUGUACCAGCGGUGCGCACCGGAAGCGCCCAAACAUCGUUUUUCACCCAGUUUUUGUUAUUCCGUCCAUUUAAGAUUUUCAAACGUGUUUUAACACUGCUUAUUGAUUCUAAAUACUCUACAUGACUUAUAAACAUAUAGAAAUCAUCGAGAAAGAUGAAUUAUAAACUUGAAUCCAUAACUUCAAAUUCAAGAAAAGUUUAUAGCUAGGUCUAGAAAGUUCUUACAGUCCUUUCAAGAAGACAUUCACAAAUGCUAUUAACUUUGUUUUAAGACUUAAGGAUAAAGUUGCUUAAAGAGAAUAUAAUGAUAAUAAGUUCAUUCCCAGUUACAUAUGUCUUUAGAAAAAAGUUUUAACUUCGUUUUUAAGGCUCAUGUUUCAAGUUAAGCUAAAAGUAAAAAGUUGAGUUCAUUUCUCAAAAUUUAUAAGGGAACUAAGUAUUCCCUAAGAGAUUACAAAUGUUUUUACAUUUAAGGAAGAAAAGGGAACAUUGAUUCAAAGAGAGCUUUUAAGCUAGAAUUUUGAGCAGGAAUCUCAAAUCACAGAAGAUGUUUUAAUAAUAUAUGAAUAUUUUUGGGAGUAGUAUUGAGCACCGAUGUGGAGAAGAGAGUUCAUAUUAACUCAAGUCUCCAUAAACCAUGUAGUCGUCAUUGAGUAAUAAUGGGUCAUACUUUUUAGAUGAUCACAUAAGUUAAGGUAGUGAAUCCACUUAGUCAGUUAAGCUUCCUAUAUCUCUGGCAAGAUUAUAGGAUGAUCCUUGGCAGCGCGAGAUAAAAUAUUGUAUCAUCAGUGUAGCUCUUAAGUGAUAGUUUUUGGUUAGAAAAACUCCCACAACAGUAGUUGCAUGGUUGCUCAAGAGGUUCUGCUUACUAUGAAUGGGGGUAUGAAACAUUAUCCAUGCAUUUCAUAUGUAGACUUUAAUGCUUUAAGAAUUCCACUGAGCAAGUAAUCCAGGACAAGGGUUCGCUUGGGGCCAACAAUGGUCUCCGAGUGUUGGCCACGUCUAGGGUGUAGGCUUGGGGUGUGACAAACAUGGUUUGGAGCACAGUCUUUAAGAGUCCUAGGUAACCAAUGAAGUCGUGUCUAUAGAGUCCUUGUUAUAGGUAUGAAACGCGCCACAUCUAUAAUUAGAAGGAUGCAACAUAAAAGAAAUUCCUCAAAUCUUUCAUACUCACUUCGUGCGUUAGAGGUUAUCUCUAAAAAAUUUCUUUCUAACUCGUGCUUACACGUAACUGAUUGUGAGUUGGAAUUUAUUUGAGAAGGCCUUUUUGGGGCGUUUGUUUCCCCUAUUAUCCAUGAGAAACUAAGAGAUGGUUGUUAAUAUGAGAAGUAGAACGAGCUUAUUUGUAGCUGGGUUGCCUCGUUGGUUGAGUAAGAAAAGUAAGGUUGCAAUGUUAAUAAAUGACACGGACAUAAAAAUGGUGAUGAUCCAUGAGCAAUACAUUAAGGAGGAAAAGUUGAGGGAUAGAGAAGAGUUUAAGUAUAAGAGGGCUAAGACAUAAGGAUCGAGUCCAAAGAGUAGAGAAAUGAUGUGAAAUGACCUUCUUUCUAAGAGAAGCAGGAGGGGCCUACUUCAUUAUCUGCUAGUGUACAUGCACCAAGGAAUCAAUAUUGUACAAUACCCAUAAUUUUAAGAACUUUAGAUCUAAACCUGCAUAUUUGCAAGGUUGUAAGGAACAAUGCGGUACUUAGACUCCUUCAUGUGCUAAAUUUGGCAGAACCCACACAGGAUAGUGUCAUCAGGGCCAGACAGGUUGCUCCAAGUGUUUACAAGAGGGUCACUUCAUGAAAUAGUAUCCAAAGAACAUGAAAGUAAAUGGUACCAGCGGAGGGACAAACCGCCUGUAGGUUAUCAAAGGUCGCCAAGACCAAGAGUAUUCGCCAGAUGUUGUUACUAGUGUGAUUCAAGUCUUUGACUUUAGUGUUCAUGCUUCAAUACAACCAGGAGCGACUUUAUGUUUUGUAACUCCAUAUGUUGUUAUGAAUUUUAAUGUUAUUCCUUAGUAACUUAGUGAACCAUUCAGUGUUUCUACACUUGUUGGUUAGUCUAUUCUAGGUGAGCGAGUCUACCGUGAUUGUCCCAUUUCUGUCAAUCACAUGAGCACCAUGGUUAAUUAAAUUGAGCUCAACAUGGUAGAUUUUGAUGUCAUGCUUGUUAUGGAUUGGCUUCAUGCCAGAUAUGCCUCAGUUGAUCGUAAAACUCGAGUAGUAAAGUUUCAAUUUCCAAAUGAGCUGGUUUAAGAGUGGAAAAGCAUUAAGCAGUGCCUAAGGGUCGUUUCAUUUUGUUCCUUAAGGCAAAAAAGCUAGUUUAUAAGGGGUGUGCCUAUUACUUAGUUCGAGUUAAUGAGUCUAGUAUGGAUAUAUAUCCUAUUCAGUCAGUUUUAGUUUCAUUAGUAAAAGAGUUUUCAAAUGUCUUUCCUGGUGACCUACCUGGAGUCCCACCUAAGAGAAAUAGACUUUGACGUAGUCCUCAUUCCAAAUACUCGUCCUAUAUUUUCCGACAUACAAAAUGGAACUAGAAGAGUUGAAAGCUCAUGAGCAAAAUUACUAAACCCAUGACAUAGAGUUGGUUUUAGUAGUAUUUGCUUAGAAUGAUGGCACCAAUUUCUUUAUGGUGUUCCUGUGGAUGUUUUCACUGAUCACAAGAGUUUUCAGUAUGUGUUUUGUUAUAAAAAGCUUAAUCUCUGGCAAUGAAUGUUGUUUAUGGGUAGUACUGCACAUUUUGAAGAAUAUAAGAAAGAGUUAGCAAAGGAGGUUCAUAGACUUGCACAAUUAGGAGUUAAAUUAAUGAAUUCCACAGAAGGAGAAGUUGUGGUGGUGAAUGGGUAUAAAUCGUCGUUGGUUUUAGAAUUAAAAGGCAAGCAAGACCAAGAUCCUAUAUGGCUUUAAUUAAAGGCAAAUGUUCAUAAGCAAAAAAAAGUGAUGGCUUUUGAACAAAGGGGAGAUGGUGUAGUGAUAUAUCAAGGUAUGUUGUGUGUACCAACGGUAGAUGAUUGAAUUACUCUAAAGUUUCACCCAGAAAGGGUGUUAUGAGAUUUUGUAAGAAGGGGAAUCAGUUAGUAGAGAAUUUAAAGAGGGUAGGAAAAAGAGAUACCCACAUCACAUCGGAUCCGGAGAAAUUCAAAAUUAAGUACUAAUCCUUUUCUUCGCAUUCUUAUUAAGCUAGCAUGUUGUGUUUAUAUAUCGUUGUUGGGUGUUUGAGAUGAAUGUAGGAUGUUACACCAUAAACCUAGUAAGAAGUAAUAUAGUUCUUGGAAGAAUGUCCCCAAGUUGGAGAUACUGUAACAUCUCACAAAUUGAAAUAUCUAGGAAGAAGCUUAAAAGUAAAUAGUCAGUUUUGGAAAGAAUUAAAAUCUAAAUUUUUUUUAAGUUAGGAAAAGUUGAGUUUUUAGUCAUUUUUAAAUGGUGAUAACUCCUAGUUUAGGAUGAGUUAGGUGUAUAUAUGAUUAGAAAUCCCGUGGAACGUUCUUUCCAACGCCGAUGAGUUUGCAAAAUUUUAAAUUCUCAUGAGUUCGUUAUGCCUUUUGGAAGUUGGGAUAUUGGAUUAAAGAAAUGUCCAACCUUAAUAUUAAAAGGGUAAUUUCGUCUUUUCCUUACCCAAUUAAGUAAAUUCAUUUUGGUAAUACUCUUGAGGGUCUAAACUGAACUUUGUCAGUUUUACACUUUUCGAGAAAAGUUAGAGUUUUUGGAGAAAGAACGCAAAAGAGAAAGAAAGGAAGAACGAGCCAAAAUUAUUUAGUUAUUCAAGAAUAACUUCAGAAUUUCGUCAGAAGUGAUCCCUAUAAAGGUAUGUGAGUCUUCCAUAAUAUUGGUUUCAUUCACCCACGUGCCAAACAUGUUUGAUUCAACGAGAAAUUGUUCUAAAAAGAUUAGAUUUUGAAUGUUCUUGAAUUGCUUCCAUUCUUGAACAUGAGUUAAGAUUAAGGAGUUCCUUGAGGAUUAAAGGGUUGUUUCUUGAAUUCUUUGAGUUAUAUCCUUCUGCGUAUGAUUUGGGUACAUUAAUCUAAGGAGAAUUUGAGAAAAAGAAUCGAUUUAAAUAUUUAAGAUUAUAAAAUGAGAGUAGAAGUUCGUCAGAUUUUACCUGAAGGAACAGGUAGCGCGAUGCGCUCCCGUAGAGCCAAGAUGGCUGGCAUGGCAGCAGUGCACCAGAAUAGUGCCUCAAUCAAGUGAGACUGGUGUGGCACUCCUCGCACUCGCCUAGAACAUCGUUUUUACCUAGUUUUCGUUAUCUGCCUAUUUAAGUUUAUCCAAAGUGUUUUAACACUUCUUAUUGAUUCUAACUACUCUAAAUGACUUCUAAACAUAUAGAAAUUAUCCAGAAAUAUGAAUUACAACCUUGAAUCCAUAACCUCAAAUUUAAGGAAAGAAUAGAUUCGAGUCUAGAAAGUUCUUAGAGUCCUUUCAAGAAAUCUUUUACAAAUGAUUUUAACUUUGUUUGAAGAAUUAAGGAUAAAGUUGAGUAAAGAUAAGAUAUAAUGAUUAGAAGUUCAUUUCAAGUUUCCUAAGUCUUUAACAAACAUUUUAACUUGAUUUUUAAGGCUCAACUUUCAAGAUAGGCUAAAAAGUAAAGAGUUGAGUUCAUAUAUCAAAAGUCAUAAGGGAACGAAGUAUUUCCUAUGAGUUUACAAAUGUUUUUACAUUUAAGCAAGAAAAGCAAACAUUGAUUCCAGGAGAGCUUUUAAGGUAUAUUUUUUAGCACUAAUCAUAUCAAAUCACAGAAGAAGAUGUUUUAAAAACAUAUGAGCUAAGUAUAUUUUUGGAUGUAGUAUUGAGUACCGAUAUGAGAAUGCUAGUUCAUAUUAACACAAGUCUCCAUAAACUAUGUAGCCAUAAUGUGUAUUAAUGGAUCAUAAUAUUUAGAUGAUCACAUAAGUUAAGCUAGUGGAUCCACUUAGUCAGUUAAGCUUCCUAUAUCUUUGGCAAGGUAUAAGAUGAUCCUUGGUAGCACGAGGUAAAAUGUUGUAUCAUCAUUGUAGGUCUUAAGUGAUGGUUGUCGGUUAGAGAAACUGCCACAACAAUAGUUGCAUCAUUCCCCAAGAGGUUCAACAUGUUCUUCUUAGUAUGAAUGGGGGUAAGGGAUUUCAUCCAUGCAUUGCACAAGUAGACAUUGAGAUGAAGCAUGAUAUGUCUUUUAUUAUGAUUAUGAAUCGACAUCAGUUUACUUUCUAUUUUUUUAUCAUACAUCUUAGAGUUUUUUUAUAUGUUUGCGUACACACGAAGUUUACGUCAUGUUUUGAACAACUUUUCUUUAUUAUGCACUUGGUUUUAAAUUGCUUAAUACUGAAAUGACUUUAGUUAAGUCUUAAUGAGUUGACAAGAGCCAAGGUAAGUGUUUCUUUCAGAAUCUUGUUCAAGCCUAUGUCAUUUAGCACUCCAACUCGUAUACUCAUACAUUAAAUGUACUGAUGCAACUUGGCGUGUAUCUUAUUAUGAUGAAGAUGCAAGUAACAAGGAUUGGCAUGCGAGCGCACCAUUGAUCCGGUGAGCAGUUCAGAGUAAGUUGGUGAGCCUCCAUGCUUUCCUGAGGAUCCCUUUUCAUUGCUUUCUCGUUUAAUUAAUUAGGAUGUUGUGGGGUCUGUACUAACAUCCAUUGCAGUUAUUAGAGGCUUCAUAAGUGAUCACUCAGAUGUUAGUUCAUUCGUUUUCAAUUUGUUAUUGACAUAUGUUCAUAGUUGAGUUGCCAUUUUGACUAAGUUAAAUGUUUAUUUUAGAAACAUUUUGAUUAACGUCCCAGACAAUUGAGUUAGUUAGCAUUCAAAAUCUUUGCUUAAUGAUUUAAGUCUUUCACUGAAUAAAUAAUCCAGACCAAAGGUUUUCUUGGGACCAACAAUGGUCUCCGAGUGCCGACCACGUCCACGGUAUAGGCUCGUGGUGUGACUCCAUCCCGCCCCACCCAUUUCUAUUUCUCUUUCCAGUUUCAAGUAGCUUCUUCCCCAUCCAAACCUCAUCCCAACGUUAAAUUUUUUUUCCAUUUAUUUUCACAUUUUCUUUCGUUCUAGAAAAAUGAAAAUGUGGUCUUAUUGUAAAUUUGUGUUGUCUUUUCAUUCUUCUCGUAAUUUACAACCCAUAAGGUGAGAAAAGUUUGAUAGUAUUCAAGGAUGAAAAGAGAUUGGUGAUUGUAUUUGUAAAAUUAGGUGAAAUAUGUUAUGUAAAUUUGUGUAUAAAUAGUACUGUAUAUUAAUAAUAUUUAAUUGAUUUGGAGAAAAUAAAUCUAUGGUGGUUCAAAAGGUCGAUAGACGUUGGUAAAAACAAUACGAUUAAGAGUUGCGAAUGAUGAAAAUAGAAAAAGAAUCAAAAUAUGAUUUUGAAUAACUUGAAGAGCUUCAUCACGGCUAUAGACAAUGACGGUUUGAAGAAAAAAAAUUAAGGAGAUUGGAGAUGGUGUUAAUGGUGGUUGUGCGUUGAGGGAGGUGAAAGAAUGUGAGAGAAAUAACUAUUUUAUUUUAUUAAAACUUUUUUUGUUUUAUGUUUUAUGGAGUAACAUUUUAAGUUAAUAAUUUAAAAAUGGCCAAAGUCAUCUCCAGUCACUCAAAGUUGUCCGCAUAAUUUAUUUAGACACCUCAUCUGAUCCUUGUGUCAAUUGAACACUUUAUUUGUUCAAAAGUCAUUCCUAUUAGACACAAAAUGCUGACAUGGCAAAAAACUUGUAAUUCACUUUCUUUGAGCGCGUUAAUUUAUUAAAAAUAAUACUUUUCCUUUUUUUUUAAUAUAUUACCCCUAAGUUAAUUUUUUAAAAAAUAAUUAACAAAAAAGAAGAAGAAUAGUUGUCUUCUUCUUCCCUAUUUCUAUCAACCCCACCCCACCCCACCCCAACCCCCAUACCCAUGCAACAGUGGUUAUCUUCUUCCCCCACCAUUCUAAUGAUUUCAAAAUUCUUAGCAUCAGUGGUUAUCAUAUUCCCCCACCAUUCUAAUUGUUUCAAAAUUCUUAGCAUUUUGUUUCAUUUAUAAAUUUUUCGCAGAGAUUUUUUUCCCAUCUUUCUCUACCUAAAAAACGAGAUGAAGUAAAAAGUUAUAAUUAAUAAAAAAGCUAAUGAAAAAAAAUUGUCGGGUUAAAGAUGGAACUGUACAGGGAGGGGAGGGUCGACAUUAAUGGAGUUAGAGGGAAAUGUAUGUUUUGGAUUCCACUUGAAGGCAGAGAAGUGGGUGUUUAAGUUUUACUCCUUUUUUUUCAUUUUUUUUACUUUAAAAUAAUUUUUUAUUUUUUUUACUUUAUAAUAUAAUGUUUAAAUAAUUUUUUGAAUUAAAAAAUAAAACAUGUCAUUAUUUAAUUGGUCAAAUUGACAUGUCAGCGCGAGUGUAUUUCAUACAUCCUCUAUUUUUGUUUAUUCUCAAAAAAUGUUCAAAUGAUUCAAAUUCAGAAUGGUUGAAGUGUUCAAUAGGUAGUACGUCUAGUUGAGGUGUCUAAAUGAAUGAUCGGGACAAGUUUAAGUGGCCGCAUAUGACUUUGGCCUUUAAAAAUAUUUAUGACAUAAUUAUGACAUGACAUUAAUAUAUAUGAUGUGAAUAUGACAUGUCAUUUAUAUAAGGGAGAGUGAGAAACACACAUGGUUGAACUAGUUUAAAUAUCUUAUUUUAGUUUAGUUUGAGGCUUCACUAGACAAAGAUCUUAAUAGAAGGGUCCACAAUGCAAAUCCAUAACAAGUAUAACAGCCUAUCAGACCAUUUAGCCUUAAUUUUAUUGACUUACUUAAUCAAUUAGUUUAUAGUCAUGCUUUGUUAUUAUUUAGGAGUUGUUUAGUGAACUGCUAUUAUUCUAGGCUCUUAUAUAUCUAACUAGUUUCUGAGCACGCGCUUUGUGCUUGUAACCCAUGAGUGUAUUAUUUCUUAAAAGAUAAUAUUACUAAAUAAUAAAAUAUGUCUAAUUGAGAUUUCUUACUUUGUGUUACUACUAAUUGUGACACACCAAUUUUCUGACCUCCUAGUGAAUGCAUCGAGAUAAUAAUAUGAUAAAUUAAUAAAAUAAACUUCAUUUAUAAUUCAAAAAUAAGUUUGCAAAGCAAAAAGGAAAAAUAACAACUGUCUAAAUUAAAUUUCUCGAUAGUUCCGUUUUAUUGGUAGAAUAAUGUUAGAAGAAAUAGUUUAAGAUUAACUUUGAGUGAAAGGAAAACAAUACCUUUCAACUUUUUUACUUUGCCUUUUGAAUCUCCUGAUAAUUAUAAUGAAUGUGUUUAAAGUAUUGUAUUAAUUUUAUAUCCAAAAACACUUUAAACUAAUUAGUUAACUAUAAAUAUUUAAAACUAUGAUGUAAAAAGUCUUAUUAUUUAUAUUUUGAAAAUCAGAAUAUUUAUGAAUAACUACUAUUUUUGUAUAAAAUUUAAUUUUCUCUUCAUAUAUAACUUAUCUACCAUUAAUCUAAUAUUAUAUGUUUCACCUUUUUUUCCAUAAAAAAGAAAAGAAAAGAGUAAACAUCCUAUUUUAUCACAUUCAUUCUUAAAGAUGAAAAUUAAUGUAUAUGUAAAAUUAUAAGUACGAAGCAAAAAAAAAAGGUACACAUGAGCAAGAUAAUUAGGCAUUUCAUUUUAUUUUUGUUUCUAUAGUAAAACUGAACAUUUGAGCAUACAAAAUAAAAAUAUGAAUUUAGAGCAACUUGCUAAUAAACAAGAAUUCAACUAUAUGAAGAGAGACAAAAAAGUUUUAUUAUAAUUCUUACUACAAAUAAGUAUAGAACUAACACAUCAAGCUCUGAUGCUUCAGUAAUUGAAUUCUUGUCUAUUCUCGUGAUUGCAGAAGGGAAUCUCACAACUUUCACCUCAAAUUAUGACAUUAUUUCACAUGUUUAGAGUUCCAAAACACAAGAAUUGUAGGAGUGGUAAAUAAAAAAUUUUUUAAAAAAAGUUAAAUUUAUAGAACAAAAUUAUGGAAACAUGAAAAGUCACAUGAAUUAUUGUUAAAAUAAUUAUAAAAAAGAUAGAGAAGAAAUUUAAUUUUAAAGAUACAUGAAUCUACGUUAAUUUCUUGUCUAUAAGGAAUAAUUACUCAUUUUUAUUUUUAUUUACAUUUGUGUUAGAAAUUUGAAAGGUCAAAAUUAUGGAAUGAGAAUAAGAAGAUUAUAUAUAUGAAAAUUAUAAAAGUUUUAAUUUAUUAGAGGGGCAAAAUAGUAAUUCAAAUUUUAAGUUUUGAGCUUCCCUGCUUAUGAUAAUAUAUGAUAUGAAGCAUUAAUACAAAUGUUUUUCUUCUACUCUAUUCUUUUUUUCCUUUCGGGCGCAAUUUGUAAUUUCCCUUUGUGUUAUUUAGCUUAAGUAGGUUUUUAAAACCUUCAAUUGGUAUCAUGAGUUUUAUUUCUUAAUGGACCUGUGUAUGCGCGCUCCACAAUUAGAUUUCGUGAAUACCCUGAAUGGAGAAACAAAUAUUUCUUCAAUGGCACCACCAACUUUUGGUGGAUAAAGUUAUCGAAUCUAGGCAGUUAGAAUGCAGGCAUAUCUAGAAGCUUUAGAUCUCUGAGAGGCAAUAAAAGGUGAAUACAUCAUUUGUCUCUUUCCAAACAAUCCCAUGAUGGUGAAAACUGAAAAUCACCAAGAAUGAAAAAUUAGGAAAUCAAAGGUAAAGGCAUGUUUAUUUGCUGAAAUUUCAUUCACUUUCUUCACUCGUAUCAUGUCUCUCAAAUUGGAAAAAGAGGUAUGAGAUUAUCUUAAGACUGAGUAUCAAGGAUAUGAAAGGAUUUGGGGAUGAAAGUGCUGAAUUUGAUACGUGAGUGUGAGCUGCAAAGGAUAAAGGAUAGUGAAUCCAUAAAGGAAUACAUUGAAUGACUUCUUAACAUAUCCAAUCACAUCAGAUUGUUGGGUUCCACUUUUAAAGAUUCAAGAAUCGUUGAGAAAAUCCUUGUAACGAUCCCUAAAAGAUUUGAGACAACCAUUAAAACCUUAGAAAAUACUAAGAACUUGUCCUGUAUUACACUAAUAAAGCUCUUCGGUGCCUUUCAAGCACAAGAGCAAUGACGUGUUAUGAGAUAAAAAAAGAGUUGUUGGAGGAGCCUUACCUGCCAAGCAUCAAGAUGAAUGCGAUAUAAGAAAAAGAAGAACCUGAAGUACCAACCAACUUAAUAGAUAAGGUGCACGCAAUAGCUUCAAAGGAAACUACCCUCCUUGUAAGCAUUGCGCAAGAUUAGACACACACCUUUCAAGUGUUGGAGAAGGCCUGAAGCUAAGUGCAGUAAGUGCAAUUAGUUUUGUCUUGAAGAAAUCAUUUGUAAGAACAAAACUCAGCAGUAGGAUAUAGAUGCUCAAGUUGUAAAUGAACAGGAGGAGGAUAAACUCUUUGUUGCAUCAUGUUUUGCAAGCAAUGUUUCUAGCUAGUCGUGGUUGAUUGAUAGCGGAUGUACAAAUCACAUGACUCAUGAUAAAGAACUCUACGAAGAAUUGAAGCCUACUCGAGUUGAAUCUGUUUUAAUAGUUCAUUGUGGUCGCAUUAAAGCAAAAGAAAUGGGAACUAUUGCAGUGGAGACACAAGCAUGUACAAAAACAAUAAUAAAUGUUCUCUAUCUACCAGACUUAGACUGAAACUUUUUAAGUGUUGGUCGAUUGUUAGACAAAAGGUUUCAAGAUUUAUUUUGAAGAUAAAUAUUGCUUGAUCAAGGAUCCCUCAGGGCAGGACAUGUUUAGAGACAUAAUGAGAGGAAAAAGUUUGUCAUUAGAUCUAUUUGAGGAAGAGCAGAUGUUGUAUUCAAUACUAGAAAAUGUUGCUAAGUAUGGCAUAAGAUACUUGGGCACUAUCAUUAUCAAGGGCUUGUGAAGAUGCAAAAGUUGAAGAUGGUGGAGAGCUUAACUGAUUUGGAAGAAUAUUCCACAAAAUGUCAUGCCUGCCAAUUUGGUAAGCAUCACAGAGAGCCAUUUCCAAAAUAAACCUGGAGAGCCUCACAAAAGCAACAACUACUUCACACUAAUGUUGUAGGGCGUCAUAGAACUCCAUCACAACAGUAACAUUUAUUGCGUUCUUUUCAUUUACGAUUUUACAAGAUUGUGUUGGAUUUUUUUUUUUGAAAUUCAAGUCAGAAGUUGCUGGUGUAUUCUGGAAAUUCAAGAAUUUGGUGGAAAAUAAAAGUAAUUGGGAGAUUUAAGCUUUGAGGUCUGAUAAUGAGAAGGAAUACACUUGAACGAAAUAUGAUUCAUUAUGUGAGGAUGCCGACACUGUGCAUCGGCUUACAACACCGUACACACCAGAACAAAAUGUUGUUGGUGAAAGAAGAAAUAGAUGUAUAAUGGAGAUGGCAAGAUGUAUGUUGCAUGAGAAGGAGUCGCCUAUGAUAUUCUGGGCAGAAGCAACAAAUAUGGUAGCUUUUAUGCAAAAUUGACUUCCAACGAAAGCUUUGAAAAAAUUUAACACCAUUUGAAGCUUGGUAUGACUUUAAGCCUUCACUAAGUUUUCUUAAAGUAUUUGGUUGUAUCGGUUUUGUUCACGUUCCUCAGGUUGAACGUGACAAACUUGACAAGAAGUCAAUCAUAGGCAUCUAUGUGGGUUACAAUACAGUUUCUAAAGCCUACAAGGUCUAUCAUCCCAAACAGGAAAGAUGACAAUUACAAGAGAUUGUUCAUUUUAGUGAGAAUGGACAUUGGGACUGGAAGAAAUCUUUUAAAUCAAAAAAAUGCUCUGUAGAAGCAAACAUCAGCCCACCUGAAGAGUAAAAACACUGGCAAUAAGAAUUAGAAGAUGAUCAUCCACUCAAAGGGAGAAGAUUGUUGUCAAAUAUCUAUCUGAGGUGUAAUGUCUCUAUCUAUGAACCUUGUGGUCCAGUAGAAGUUUCUCAAGACCCAAAACGAAAUAAAGCAAUGGAUGAGGAGAUCUCCAUGAUUGAGAAAAAUAAAACUCAUUUGUUGGUCGACGAACCUGAAGAUAGAAAAGUCAUUGGAGGGAGAUAGGUCUUCAUAAUAAAGUUAUAUGCACAAGUUCCAUCAACAAAUACAAGGCGAGGUUUGUAGUUAAUGGUAAACACAAAUUUAUGGUGUUGAUUACUCUGAAAAGUUUUCUCUGAUUGGAAGAUUAGACACAAUCAAAUUGGUAAUCACAAUAGCAGCACAAAUGGAAUGAAAGGUUAUCCAACUUGAUGUUAAAUUAGCCUUCUUAAAUGGUGUACUGGAGGAGGAAAUAUAUGUCAAGCAACCAUCAAGAUUUGUGAAAAACGAUGAUGAAGACAAAGUAUAUCUGCUAACAAGGGCUUCUUAUGGCCUAAAGCAAUCACCAAGAGAUAGGUAUAGUAGGAUAGAUUAUCAUCUAUUAAACUUGGUCUUUGAGAAAUGUUUAUCUUAAUCCACUUUGUACUGUAUGUAAAACAUAAAUGCAUGGAUAUCCUUAUUAUGUCACAUUAUGUUGAUGAUAGGAAAUAAUACAAGUCUAAUUGAGGAGUUUAAAGAAUAAAUGAUGCAAGUUUUUGGAAAGACGAUCUUCCUCUUAUGACCUAUUUUCUUGGAACGGAGAUCAAUCAAAGCAAAAGUGAAGUGUUCAUUUGCGAGAAAAAAUACGCAAAGGAAAUGCUGAAGAAAUUUUGAGGAAUGCAAGUCGAUGAUCAAGACGAUGAAUAAAAAAGAGAAGCUCUAUAAAGAAGAUGGAGCCGACAAACUUGACGAAGGUUAUUAUAGCAGCUUGAUUUGUUGUAAGUCACUUAUCUCAUUAUAUGUCCUGUGCCAGUGAAAUGCAUUAAGGAGCAGCAAAAAUAAUAUUAAGAUAUAUCAAAGGUACGAUUGACUAUGGUGUAAAGUUUGAGAAGUGUCCAAGUUUCAAGUUACAUGGAUUCUCAGAUAGUGAUUGGGGUGGAUCUGCAGAUGAUAUGAGAAGUACCUCUGGCCAUUGUUUCAGCUUAGGUUCAUGAAUAUUCUCAUGGUCAUCUAAGAAACACGAAAUUAUUGCACAAUCCAUGCAAAAGUUGAGUUCAUAACACCAACAUGAGCAGUAUAUUAAGUCAUGUGGCUGAGAAAGGUCAUGUAUGAUUUACAUUUGGAACAGAAGGUAAGUACUGUCAUUCUUGUCAACAACCAGACAAAUUUUGCAACCUCAAAUAAUCCAAUGUAUCACAAGAAGACCACGAAUUUCAACAUCAAGUUCUAUUUCCUAAGAGAAGUAUAGCAAAGGGGAGAAGUGGCUCUAUCUACUGCAAGUCUGAAAACCAACUAGCAGACCUAUUUACGAAGCCAUUGCCGAUAAACAAAUUCGAGCUUCUUAGAUAGAAUUGGAGUUUGUAGUACCUAAAGUAAGGAGCAGUGUUAUGAAUUUGCUUUUGAACUGCAAUAAAUUUAAUUUUACUGCAUAUGUUUUAUGUAAGACUUCAGUCAAAUAGUUUUUAGUCAUGCUUUCCUAUUAUUUAGGAGUUGUUUAGCGAUCUGCUAGAUCGUGUAUUGUUAUUUUUUACUUAUCAUUCUAGGCUCUUAUAUAAUUAAUCUGAAGCAUAAAUAAAGUGUUCUUCAUAUGAUUCUAUUUUUCCCUCUCUCAUCUUUUUUGUUUCAGGCAUAGUCUUUGAUUUACCUUUGUGUUAUUUUGCUUAAAACAGAUUUUUAAAACCUUCAAAUAAUACUAAGAUCUGAAUCAAAAGAGCCAGCAAUAAGCCAAAUCUGAGACUAUAUCUCACUCUUUCUCUUUGUUUCGAAUAGUUAGUUCGGAUUUUUCUUUUUCAGAUUUCUUAUGAUAUUUUACCUUCUGUCAAGUUCCAGUUGGCUAAGUCGGGUGUAAGAGUGGCCCGUGGGAUUCGAAGUGCUAUUGUCUUCAAAAUUUCGUAUCUUCUCUUUACCUGGAGAUUUUGUUGGUAUUGUUCGGUUGUAUACUCUUUAUCAAUUCUCUAAUUAGUUGUUGCAAUAUUUACACCACCGCUAUCUUAUUUUUUGUUGCUAUUUUUUAUAUUUGUUUCUUUUGGGGUAGAGUUAGCUUCUUGAUAUCUUUUGCACAAUAUAUAGAUUUUGGAGUAGGAAGAAAACAGAACAUCAACCAUAGGAAAAUAAUUUUAGGAAAUAGACUAUAAUAACAUGAUAAUGAUUUAACUUAUAUACACUGUGUUGUGUUGUUAUAUAUAUGUUACCCUAUCAUUCGUGAAAUUUAGUUAGCUAAUACAUGUGAAGGUGUUUCUGCCGAAUUCAUACUUUGAGUAAUUCAUAUCCAUUUGCCAUGUAUUUCUUAGAAUAUCUUCCCCUUUGAGCUAUGUGAUGCUCUGAAUUUCUAUCUGUAGGUUGUUAACAAUUAGGAACCUUUAUGUUCUACAGUUCCUUAUUGCAAAUUUAGUCUUCAUUGUAUUGAAAUGUUUACAUUUAAUUACAGGAAUUAUCUUCCUCAAUUUGGUACUUUUGUUUACUCAAAAAGAAUAUUUUUGGGAUUCUUAAUAUGCACAACCUCAAUUGUUAUGACGGACCAGUUAUUACAAGUUCGGCCGAAGGAAGUAACAAAGAUGGUAUGCAACUUUUCCAAGUUUUUGGGUGGCCUCAGUGAUUCGGAUGUUGUGUCAAGUGGAUAUGCCACACUUAUUAUUAUGAUAACUUCACCAUAAAACUCACCUUUUGGCUGGAAAAUUGUUGAAUUGAUGUAGUAACCUCUGCUUCAGUUGUUUGCUCUAGUAUCUUUCUCGAUUUCUUGCAAAUAUCUUUGUCGUUCAAUAAUAAGAAUCUUCAAUUUUCAUGUACCUAUGCAUCUUCCGACGCCAAAAAUUCUGGGAAUGGAGAAGUUACGCCAAAAAUUCUGGUAUCAGAGAAUCUUGCAUAGACUCCAAUUCUACCAUCAAGUUGUUCUAGAUUAAGAUAUUGUCAUCUUGAAUAAAAAAACUCCAAACACCUUUAAAUUUUUGGCUUGUAUUAUAACUACUACUACAACAACACUUUCGAGCACUAUAUUUGCACGCAUUGGCAGAUCGAGUAUUUCCAUUAAGGGGGUUCACAAAAAAUAAAAUAGUGGUUUGAACCCCUAAACCACUAAGUCAACCUCUAAUCUUAUAUUCAAGAGGUUCAAAAUCAAUAUAUAAACAUAAAAAUUCUUAAAACUACCUUGAAUGUACAAAGUAAUAAACCCCCUCGGCAUACUCUAGGUCCGCCCUUGUCUGCACGAACACUUGUCUCUACUAUAAAUAAUAUGAAACUUAUAUAUAAUAGUAUGAUAUUAUGCUUGUAUUACUGUAGUCUUGUGCUCCAUCAAUUGUUCAAAGUUCUUGGUGAGCUCUGAUUUCAGUGACUUAAUUUUUUCUGGUCAUUAGCAGCUUUUGGAUACCUGUAUUAUAUAAAGAGAACUCACUAAUUUAUGCCAGAUUAUUCAUUAAGACAAAAAAAGCAGUGUCUUGAGAAAAGGCAACAAGUUGUGACUGAGAUGUACAUCAUUGUUACUCUUCUAAAAUUUGUCAAGAUCAUUAAAAGAGAACACACUUUAAACUACUGGCUUACAAUUUUAUCGUUGUUUAAUUACUAUUAACAUUAUUAUCUGAAAACUUUGAGAACGUUACUUAAAAUCUCAAAUCACAUGAUGACCAAAGCACACGUUCCAAACAUGUCAAAUAAACAAUCAAUUAUCCAAGGAAAGGAGAAGAAUUAUGCAGCACAAGUUUAUGAUAUUCCUUAGCCCAUUUAUAUAUCCUUCAUUUAUUUAUAACCAAAUACAUUACGAUACUUAUGACUUCUACUAACAAAAAGAAACCCAAGAAUCAGGGUAUUUAAUGAUAUUCCUUAGCCAACUUAUAUGUCCUUUCUUUAUAAUUGAGAAAUCCACGAGGGCAGUUACAUAAAGUUAUAAACUGUGGAAAUGACAAGCAGGUCCAUCUACUCUCCUUCACUUAAAUAUCAAGCAUUUAUUGCAUGCCAUAUGAUUGGAAAUUCUCUUCUCCUUCUACACUGAAACAGUAACAUUAUACAUUGAUGUGUGACUUUACUAUACAUGAAUUUCAUGUACAAAACAGUUGUCAUGAUAGUGCUUUAAAAUGAUUUUGAAGUUUCAAUUAGUACUUAAUACUUGAUAGCGUCUACAACAAACUUAUACACAUAAAAUCGUAUUGUAUUUUGGUCACUUCAAUGAAACCGGAUGAUAAACUAUGUGGUUGAGACUCUUUAAUAAUGUUAAUGGGUGAUGCAACAGUGAACACAUUUUUCUUAGUUAAUAACGAUUAGUUCCAACGGAUUUGUUGACUCUUAUAUGACAUGUAGAAGUUCCUUGAGGAAGAUCUGAAAUAUUAAGCACCAAAUGGAACUUCCUAACUGAUUUGCACAUCCAUGAGAAUUAAAAUACAGACAAAGUACAAUUAGAUGAGAAGCCAAAAACUUAAAAAAAAAAAACAAACGGAAAAGGGCCUAAAAUACCCUUGAAGUAUUGAAAAUAGUACACAAUUACCCUCCAUCCACAUAUUGGCCCCCAAAUACCCUUCACAUCCACCUUUGGGUCCAAAUUUACCCCUUCAUUAACAGACCAAAAUUAAAAAUAAUUAAAUUACAACCAAUGGUUGAGUGCCACGUCAUUAAAAAUUAUUAUUUAAUUAUUUUUAAUUUUGGUCUGUUAAUGAAGGGGUAAAUUUGGACCCAAAGGUGGAUGUAAAGGGUAUUUGGGGGCCAAUAGGUGGAUAGAGGAUAAUUGUGUACCAUUUUCAAUACUUCAAGGGUAUUUUAGGCCCUUUUCCGAAAAACAAAGGUCAAAUACAUAAGCAGAUCCCUAAACUUGUUGCAUUUUCCCCCUUAGGUACCUCAACUAUGCUAUGUUCCUAUUAAAUCAUAGAACCAUCCAUGAUUUGUUCCUUUUAAACACCUUUGGCUGAUGUAGAACCAGAUUCCGUUAGGGGUAUUGAUAGAUAUGUUGUUCUAGAACUCAUUAGUCCAAUUGAAAGUGAAAAUGUUCGAGAAUAAUUGUAUUUUACUUCAAGUCAUGUGAACACAUUAGAAAACAAAUGAGACUAACAUAGUUUAUCUUCAUUCCUUCAAUCAAAAUCAUUACAAUACGAACACAAUUGAAAGCAUUUAUAAUAGAAAAUUCAAUAAAAAUUAACCAACAGUGUUUAAAAGAAACAAAUUACGGGUGAUUCAAUGAUUCAGUAGGAAAAUGACAAACCCAACAAGUUUAGGGAUCUAUUUAUGAGUUCGUUCAGAAAAAAAAAAUCUACUAGCUGGCAGUAGACAUUAUGAGCAUAGAAUUUUACAAUAGAAAUCUAUCAACAUUUUAACUUCAAUUCAUUCCUCAUUACUCAUUGUAAGGGAAAAGAUCAUGUGUUGUAAUAGACUCAUAGCUGUCAAGAGAGAAUAGAUUCUUAUAGUUACAUUUUUUUCAAAUAAAUACUUUUUAUAUAUUGGAAGAAAAAUCAGUUGAUAAUGUGCACAUACGAUAUCCUUAUACUCAUAUAUUUUUUUCAUGACCCAAGCCUACAGUCUGAACGGUACCGACACUCAAGGACCUUUGCUGGUUCCCAAGUGAACCCUCAUCAUGGCUGACUAAAAGUAGAACACUAACUCAAGCAUAUAUAAGCAUUAAAUUGAAAGAAAUGUUUUAAAAAUAGUUAACUGAAUGUCAAACUUUGCUGAAUAUAUUGAAUAUGAAACAUACGUUUUAAUUAAAAUAUCUGAAACCAAAAAGACUCUCCAAAACUAUCUAUAUAUGAAUUCUCUACUAUACAAAGAUGAGAGUCGGUACAAGACCCACGACUCCUCAAAACAACUACAAGUAGAAACUCAUAAAACCGAUUACUACGAAAGCAAGAAGGUCUCAUUCAUAAGUAGAUGAGAGCAUGAAGUAAUUUCAAUAGACUUCUGUUGAGGAUCCUGAUAACAUGUAUAUUGAUACACCGUGGUUUCAUGGUAUUUUUAAUGUUUUUUCCUUAAGUUUAGUGUGUGUCCAAAAACCUUUUUGUAUUAAUUUUUAUGUAAGUUUCUCUUUAUUUGCAGGAAAUCUGUCAAAAGAUGAACGCUGAAGUUUUUAUGCAAGAAAUGUAGAAAAGUACCAAUUACAGAGCUUGUGACGGUCCAUCGUACCUGUGACGGUCCGUAGAUGGCAUCGUAGUGAAGUUGUUGAAGGAAGAUGGGAAAGUCUGACCAAGUGUGGGGUUACGAAGUGCAUGACGGACCGUCGUAGCCAUGAUGGUCCAUCCUUCUAGUUCGUUGUGAUGAUCAGAGAAGUAGUCCCAGUACCCAAAUUCCAAGAGUUUAAGUGUUAUGGAAUGAAGACCCUCGACAGACCAUUGUGUCUGUGACGAUCCUUCAUACCUGCCGUCAAGGGUAAUGAACAGAGUAGCAGAAGAAUUUACAAAGUAUGGGACGACGGAGCCCAUGACGGCCCGUCGUGACCACGACGACCCAUCGCGGGUCUAUCGAUCCAGCCGCGUUUUCACUGAUUUUCAUCAAAUAGAGUCCUUCUUUGAUUAGAUUUUUUUUUUAUAAAUAGUUCAAAAAACCUCAUUUUUGGGGUUAGACUCUCAGAUAGUUAGACUCUGUGUUAUUAGACACUUUUAUGUUAGAUUCUUUGUGAGUAGAUUAUUUUGAUUAUUACACUUUGGAUUGUUACACUUUUCUCUGGAGUUUAUUGUUGGUGAUUUUGUCGAUUAAUCAAGUAAAUUUCUGAAUUUUAUUCUUUCUCAUUGAAGUAAAUGCAUGAAUUCUUAUAUUAUAUAUAUGAAUAUUGUAAUUAUGACUAUGGGUAACUAAACUCCAUAACUAAAGUUGUGGGAAUCAUGGGUGGAUAAUAAGAUAAAAUCUAAUUAAAAUAACAAUUCUAGAAUAGUGUCUUGCAUGUAUUGAUAAUUCUUUUGCUUAUAAGUCUUUUUAACGGAUGACCAACGUUACAACUCGCCUUGAUGCUACUUGCCGGACCAAGGAGGUAGCUAAUAGGAAAAGAAUUAUCAACAUAGAUUUAGUGUAUACUAUCUAAUAGGAUAGUAUUGACUGGUACGAGGUAAUAACUUAGUCAAAUAUCGAAUACAAUGCUUAAUAUGAGGUAAAGGUAAGGGUUAGUAUAGCAACACACGUAGCCGGACCAAGGUGCGGAGUGAAAUUUUCUAGAUGCCGGACCAAUGAUUUAGAAAUACAAGACUUAUCACUUUCCAUGCAAGAUACUAGUAAAGUAUUGUUAUAGUUAGAAUUAUUAAAUUAAGACCCCGUGGGGAAUACGUAAACCCUAGUUACUUUUAUUAAUUGAUUAAACUCCAACAUUUGAAUUUGUUAGUUGUCUACUUUGAUUUAGCUAAUUAUUUACAUUCAUUUAGAAAUAAACCCCCCCCCUUUUAUUUUCUUUGUUUUCUAUGGAAAUAAUUGACUAAAUAAUAGUAAUAAUAGAUUGAAGUUAAGUCUGAACUAUUUUCCUCGUGGAAAUGAUCCUAACCUCAUUAGUUGGGUUCUUUACUUGAUACGACCGCUUUACUUCUUAUUUGAGAAGUAAGUUUGCGCGUAUCAUAUAUGCAUCAUUAAAAUAUGCAGGUUGAAUGACAUCAGUACAUUAAAUGUAAGAGUAUGUAAUAAAGCGGAAUUACAAAUAACUGAAAGAAAAGAUUGAAAUAGAUAACAAUGUUAAGUACUCAAGUUGAAUGUAAAUAAAGGAGUUAAAUCAAUUAAAACUGUACGGAAUACUUUCUCGUCUUUGAUCUCAACAUAAUAUAUAAAAAUACACUUUAAAUCUUUUUUGAUGAUACAACAUCUCUCCCACGCUACCAGACUAUCCUAUACCUUAUCGGGAUAUAUGAAUCCUCAACUAAGUGGAUCUACUAAGCUAUAAUUAAAAAGUAUCAAGGAAUCAUCUAAAAAGUAUGACCAUUUACCAAUGUUGACAUACAUGGUUUAUGAGGACUUUGAGUUGUCUGAAAUCAUCCCCAUAUUGGUUCUCAAUACUACUCCCAAUAAUAUAUAUCCAUGAUCAUAUGAUAAAAAUAACAUAUCUCUUUUUGGUUUGAGAUAAUUGCUCAAUCUAACCUUUUAAAAGACGUAAAUACUCUUGAAAUAUCUUUUGAACUUUAACUCAUUUAGAAAUUUCAGUUCUCUUUUUUCCGAAUAGAAAUUGAUACCUGGUAAUACAUAGUCAUCUUAUACUCUUACUCAAUUCAUACUUGAAAUUCUUUCUAAAACAUAUUAAAACCAUAUUUUAAUAUGAGCAUUGAUGACUAAAGAAGUCAUACUCCAUAAAUGUUGAUGGUAUAUCCAGAUACCAUACUACUCAUACAUUAAUGGCAUACUCGAUUGUCAUACUAAUCAUGUUUUAAAAACUCUUUUCUCAAAACUCAUCUUAACUUUGUCAAAACUCCGUUUAAGAACUCAUAUGUUGGAUUUACAAAGAAUUCAAAAUUAAUAUAUAACUCAAAUAAUAUGGUUCAUGUGUAAAUUAUGGACAUGAAUGGCUUUAACUGAGAGAUCUUAAUACCAAUAUGAAAAUUUAGUACUCAAAACUCAAAACUCAAUGAUACUACUCAUGUAUAAAAUACUCAAUUCAUAGGGUUCAUUCUGAAAUAUAGACAUGAAUGAAUCCACUCAAAAAUUUUAAUGCAUGACAUAUUUCAAUUCAAUAAUAGGGAAUAGAACAUAAAAAUAAAUAGAAACUUGAAAAGUCAAAAUCAACUCCUCUCAAGAAUACACAAAUGUAGGGGGUAGAAUCCUAAAUUUCUCUUUUCAAAUAGCCUUACAUACUUUGAAGAAAAAGUUUCUUGAAGAAUAUUCAAGAAUCUUAAAGAAGAACUUGAUUAAGAGGUGAAAAUCUCAUUCUUUUGGAUCUUUAAUUAGUAAUGAAAUCCAUAUAGGGUUUUCUAGAGGUAAAAUAUCAUGAUCCAAAUUCACAAGUCGUGAUGACACCUAUGCUCCCAACCAAUAGGUAAGACAACCCAACAUAUUUACAAAUUUUAACUAACUAAUGAUAAACAUGUAAACACUAUGUGAAAAAACCCAACACUGAGUUACUUAUAAUUACAAAAUGUGGAAAGCUAAAAAUAUCACCCAAGAAUUAGUGUCAUAAUAUAAGAGCUUCUAAAAUACGAUGCAUGCGUGAAACUAAAUGACAAAUCCAACAUAAGGAAUAUCGUGUCAGAAUAUUAAAAUAACAGAAUAACUAAAGAUGGAGGGAGGUGUGGGCGACGGAACAUUCAAGAAGCUGACUACAACUCCAAGACACUCCAAGCUGGUACUCAAAAAGCUCCAUGAGAUGUGCUCGUACUCGGAAUCAAAUUUGCACCAUAAAAGAGUGCAAUAAGUGUAGUAUAAGUAUGAAACCACGUGUACCCAAUAUAUCUCAUUGACUAACAACGAAGAAGUAGUGACGGGACUUUAUACAAGAAAAUCAGGUCUUUACUUGUACAAGUCUAUAGUAUAUUUGCCAGUCAAGUUUCAUUAAAUAGAGGUAAUAAAAUAUCAAGCACUUCCCAACCACUAAUAAAAUCACAUAAUCAUUAAAAUGAAGGAUAUCAUGAAAUGAAAUGCAAUAUGAUACCAUUAAAUGAUAUGUCUCACGGAAAUACAUCGAGAGUUCUUGACCCACGUGGGACUUGGGAGGUCCAUAUACCAACACGGACAAUCUCUAUGCGUCUGUGUGGAUGAUCUCAAUGCACUAUCAUAAAUCAAACAUUUUCUGCACUGACGAUCUUCACAUGCACAAAUUAUAGUCUUAGCAUCUCACCAUCCCCAUCAAGGACGAUCUCUACGUUCCCAACUUAUACUCAAUCUCAUGUCAAUGCAUGUGGACAAUAUUAUUUCAAUAAGAGGAUGAUGAUGCAUCUCAAUAAGUCAAAUAUCAACAUAAUACAUAACCGCCUCAAUUAUCACAACAAUACGUGUGUAAUAAAGAAAACACUAUCACACAAGGAAUUCAAGUCAAUAAUAUAUUAGCUAAUGCCAUAUGAUUUGGCAUUCUCAAAUUAUAAUACACAUUCUAUAGAAAUAACUUUCCCUUUAUAACGCCGGUACUCGUACCAAUGUCCGUCACACCAUUCGUACGGGACCCCCCAUCUUUCACUUUUACCCAUUGUCUAUUCCAUUUUAGUCUUUAAUUAGGAAAAUGUCCUUCAACCAGUGUUAAAAGCCUUAACAUAAGCUAAAUGACGAAUUCGUGUCACGAAUCCUCAAGAUAAUUCUUUUUCUUUUUGCAGAGUUUCAAAACGUUCCCUAUCUACCAAUGAUGAAACAUUCGUAAUAAGCGAGUUUGUACACAUUCAAAUUAUUAUACGUCUAAAACAGACUCUAAAACUCACUCAUAACUUUAAUCAAGCUCCAAUCUUGAUAUUAUUUAUUUGAAAAAAUUAUAGUAUUUGCUAAAUAUCAAGCCAAGAAUUGAACUUAAUCUCUCCAAAUACCUUAAAAUUUAUUUUUAAAUCAUAUAAUAUAUACCUAAUAAUUAGUUACUUAUCUCAAUAUAUCAAAAACGAGUAUCUUAAUUUGAUAAAAUAAAUAAAAUAAGAACAAAUUCCACCAAUUACAUGCAGUAGGCAAAGCACAGGACGUAUGCAGCGUAACCCAUUUUCCUAAAGUCCAUUCUCUUCAUAAAAAUGCCUAAUUUUCUAAAAUUUAUCACUAAAUCCCAAUCAUUAGCAUGAUUGCCUAAUGAUUGGCUAAGAUUCUUGUCCCCCACCAUUCCAAUAUCACUAUAUUAAGGAAAUUGCAGACCAACAAAUUAAGAUCAAAUAGCAGAUAUUACUGGAACCCCACCCCAUCAACAUACUAGUGACAACAAUUCAAAUAUCAGUAAUUUAUAUUGUAGUUGUAUUUAUGCAAAGUAUUCAAUCUGGAGAAAUAUUGUAUUUCUUUACCUGAACAAGGGUUCUUUUCAUGUAUUAGAGCAAUUCCUCCUAUUUAUGAUUUCUUCAAACUAUGAUAUAAUAAUUUUAACCCUUUUAACUUAUUUUUAAACCAUGGGCCAAAUAUAAAAAGUAUUAAAUGAGUUAUGGGACUUGGUCCAUCAACUAUUAACUAUUUUAAGUAAAUAACUAAAAUUUUCAUCAACUAAAUACUCGUAGUUAUCUAAUAGUUUAAAAUAUCCCUUUAAAUUUUUUAGAAAUAGUCAAAAUAGUCCUAGUUCUCAAAACAACCUAGCGCGUCGAUACAUAAUCUACCACUAAAAAUAUAUUUGUCCUCGAACGGUAACAGAAUAAAAGUAACUGAACGCUUAAAAUAAAUGUGAAUAUCUUAUCUUCAUAUCCAACUUAGUCUCCCAAGUAGCCUCUUCAGCCCUUCCUUUGAACUUUUACUCAUAUAACUUCUUUCGAAAUCAACUUCUAAAUUUUCCUAUCCAUGUUAGAUACUGGCUCUUCCUAAAAGUAAAACUCUAAUCAUUCGAAAUCAACUUCUAAAUUUUCCCAUCCAUGUUAGAUACUGGCUCUUCCUAAAAGUAAAACUCUAAUCAAGUAAUACUUAAUCUUGUUGAAUUACAUAUGCAUUAUCCUAAAUGAAACUUCUUCAACAUCAAAUUAUGAAAUAUGACGUAAACAUCUUACAAUCAAGUGACAAAGAAAAUUGAAUCCACUUCACCAAUACAUUGAUCAAUCUCAACAUAGACAAUAUACCUCAGGCUCAACUUGUGCUUAUUAAAUUUCAGCAGAAUUUUCAUAGCUGUUACCCUCAAUAGGACUCGCUCUUCAAUUAUUAACUCUAAAUAAUGAAUUUUCUGAUUUGAAUAACUCUCUUGCCUACUCGAAUCCAUGAGAAACCUAUCCUCAAUAAAUUUGAUAUUAUCCAAGGACUCUCUCACCAGAUAUGUGCCCCACGACCUAACCUUUAAUGCACUAUACCAACCAUCUAAAGAUCCACAUCUUCUAUCAUACAGUGUCUCGAUUGGUGCCAAUUCAAUACUCGAAUGAUAAUAUUUUUUUGUAUGCAACUCCACUAACCAUAGAUAUUUAUUCCCAAAAAUCACUACAUAUACCCGCAAAACGUUCUUAAUAAUCUCAAUAAUUUGUUCAGAAUAACUAUUCGUUUGUGUAUGAAAGGGUGCACUUAUAUCCACCUGGGUCUCAACUCCGUAUGAUUAGACCAUAAAAAUGAGAUAGAAACUAUAUAUCUCAACAAAAACAUAAUGGGUAAAGGCACCCUAUGUAAUUAAACUAUCUCCCGAACGUAAAAUUGAAUUAACUUCUCUAAUUUAAAAAUAGUAUGAAUAGACACGAGAUAAGUGGAUUUGCUCGAUCAAUCCACAAUGACUCAAAUAACAUCAAUCCCUACCAAGGUCCAUGGCAACCCUACCAAGGUCCAUGGCAACCCUACCACAAUGUAUGUAGGUAAAAUCAUUUCCCACUUCCACUCUAGUAUAGACGUUCUUUAAGUAAUAUUUGUGUUCCAUACAUCUUUUGUUGAUAAAGGAUACAUAUUAAUACACCUCAGAUGAGUUGUAUACCUUGAAUUAUAGGCAUUCUUUAUGAUCGCUCUAGUCAACUUACCUAUCUAAAGAACAAAAAUACGAUUUUUUAUCCUCAAAAUCCCUCACCAUAAAGAAUUUUCUCCUUGGUGUUUCCACGUAACACCUUGUCUCGAAUAUUAUAGCAAUUUUCAUCAUCAAACUUUUAAGUCCGAAACAAAUAAGUAUGACCUCACCUCUAUGUAAGAUAAAACUUUACCCCGUUUCAAAAUAUGAAGUCUCGCAAAGCUAUUGGCUAAGGAAUGGAUAUCCAUAACCCAAGGAAGCUCACCAAUUUGUAACAAAUCUAAAUUCCCUAUGCUCAUGCUAGUAUUUCUACUAAAUUAAUCAACUCUUACAUUCACCUCAUUAUAUAAUAAAAGGUAUAUGUCAUAGUCCUGAAGAAACUCAACAUCAUCUUUGUCGUCCCAAAUUGAUAUUCCUGUUAUUGAAUAUAUAUUAGAUACCACCAUGAUCCUUGAACACCUCACAACAUACACCAUAAAAUAAAACCCUCAAAUCCUCAAUGCGAAUACUACAAUUAUCAACUCCAAAUCAUUGAUAUGAUAGUUUUUCUUGUGAACUAGGAUUAGCUGCCUCGAAGCAUAAGUUAUUACCUUCCCCUUCUACAUCAAUACAAAAUCAAGAUAAAUCUAAGAAGUAUCAUAAUAUAUGAUAAAAUCACUCCACUUACCAGUAGAGUCAAAAUCACAACAUUAAACAAUGAAAUCUUGAGCUUUUGAAAAUUUACCUCUCACCAACCAUUAGAAAACCACUUCUUUUUGGGUCUAUAUAUUUAAUGGGGAUGCAAUGACAGAGAAAACCUCCACCAAUCACCGAUAAUAACUCAUAAGGCCUAAGAACUCCAAAUAUCAUAGCUAAAGUAGGUCUAAUACAAAUUUUAAAUUGCCUUAAUCCUCUUGGGAUCCAUCAUAAAACCUUUCUUGAACAAUACAUAUUUCAAAAUAUGUCAUCAACUAACAAAAAUUCACACUAUAAAAAAUUCAUGCAACUUAGUCUUCUUUAGAUUUUAAAGAACAAUCUUCAAAUAAUGCUCGUAAUCCUCUAUACUACGAGAGUAUACCAAUAUAUCAUCAUUUAAGAUAAUGACAAAGGAAUUCAAGUACAAUAGAGGUGAUCUAUAUGGCCUAUUAUCAAGUAAUAUCUCUACUACUGAUUGACACAACCGAUCUAAGAAUCAUUGUGUAGUCAACUCCAUGAGGCUCCCAUAAUAAAAGAUGAUACAACCUUUUAUGAAAACUAACUAUAAUUUCAUAAUCAUUCUUAUAAAAGUUGUCAUAUAAGUCGGAAAAUUCAUCAUCUUAACCCUUUCAAUCUUUACUACUCACCAACAACCAUGACAGAGCUAUUAGCCAAAAAAUGAUACAGUCGUCCUCUACCUAGACCUCGCACCCGAUAUCUACCUCAUAUAAUAACCAUUGUAGUGGAUGCGGGUGUAAGCUCCAAAUUUGUAAUUGUAGAUACACGAGUACUCACUAAUUGUAAGAGAAUAAGACAAGAAGAUUAGAAUUCCAACUAAGUCAAUUGUGCACUAUAAAGAAUGAAAGAAUAGAAGUUUUCCAAAUAUCUUAUAGCCUCUCGAAGAUAGGUAUGGACGUCAUCAUACCGAUCCACAAGACUCUACUAGUCAUUGCUCUUGUAGUUGUGAGACCGAUAAAUCUAGGGCUCUGAUACUAAAAUUAUCACGACCCUAACUCACAAGUCGUGAUGGAACCUAUGUUUCCAACCAAUAGGUAAGCCAACCCAACAUAUUUUACAAAUGUUAUCGAAAUAAUGAGAAAUAGGUAAACCUUAAGUGAAAAUACCCAACACUGAGUUCUUUAUAAUUACAAAAUGCGAAUGAAAAAAAUACCAUCCAAGAACUGGUGUCAUAAGUUCAAGAGCUUCUAAAAUACGAUGCAAGUCUAAAACUAAAAUGACAAAUCCAACAAAAGGAAUAUCUAUCAGAAUAUUAAAAUAACUAGAUAUAGGGGGGGGGGGGGGCGACUGAAAACCAAGAAACUCACCACAACUCCAAGACACAACAAGCUCAGACUCAAAAAGAUCCACGAGAUGUGCUCGUACUCAAAAUCAAACCUGCACCAUAAAAGAGUGCAACAAGUGUAGAAUGAGUAUGAAACCACGUUUACCCAGUAUAUUUCAUUGACUGACAACGAAGAAGUUGCGACAAGAGUUUAUACAAGAAAAUCAAUUCUUUACUUGUACAAGUCUAUAAUAUAUUUGCCUGUCAAGUUUCAUCAAAUGUAGGUAAUCAAAUAACAAGAACUUUCCAACCACUAAUGAAAACACAUAAUCAUAAAAAAUGAAGGAUGUCACAAAUGCAAUGCAAUAUGUACCAUGAAAUGAUAUGUCUCAAAAUACCAGUACUUUGUCAAUUAUAUAUACAUGAAACUCCUCAGAAAUACAUCGAGAGUUCAUGACCCAUGGGGGACUCGCGAGGUCCAUAUACCGACACGGAUGAUCUCCACGUGUUUCUGUGUGGACGAUCUCAAUGCACUAUCAUAAAAUCAAAUAAAUUCCGCAUGGACGAUCUUCACGUGCCCAAAUUAGAAUAUUAGCAUCACCAUUCCCAACACAUAAAAUCUCCACGUGCCCAACUUAUACUAAAUCUCAUGUCAAUACAUAUGCACAGUAUUAUUUCAAAUAAGGGGAUGAUGAUGUAUCUCAAUCAGUCAAAUAUCAACAUAAUACAUAACCACCUCAAUUAUUACAAUAAUAUAGGUGUAACAAAAACACAAUUACACAAGGAAUUCAAGUCAAUAGUAUAUCAACUAAUGUCCAUAUGAUUUGGCAUUCUCAAAUGACAAUCAACAUUCUAUAGUAAUAGCUUUCCCUUUAUAACAUCGAUACUCGUACCAGUGUCCGUCACACCAUUGGUAAGAGAUCCCCAUCUUUAACCCUUACCCAUUGACUAUUCCAUUUAGUCUUUAAUUAGGAAAACGUCCUUCAACAAGUAUAAAAAACCUUAACAUACCUCAAAUGCCGAAUUCGUGCAAUGAAUCCUCAAGAUAGUUAUUUCCCUUCUCAUAGAGUUCCAGAUUGUUCCCAAUCUACCAAUGAUGCAACAUCCGUAAGUAAGCGACUUCGUAGAUUUCAAAUAAUUAUAUAUCUAUUAUAUACCCUAAAACUCACUCGUAUCUCUAAUCAAGAUCCAAAUGUUGAUAUUACUUAUGCGCCAAAAUUACCAUAAAUGCUAAAUUUCAAGCCAAGAAUUGAACCUUAAUCCCUCCAGAUACCUUAAGAUUCAAUGUUAAAUCAUAUUAUAUACACCUAAUAAUUAAUUGCCUAUCUUAAUAUAUAAAAAACUAGUAUCUUAAUUUGAUAAAAUAAAUCAAAAUAAGAAUCAAUUCCACCAAUUAACAACACCACAAAAAGCACAUGAAGUUUGCAACGUGACCUGAUACGUUCAAAUUACACCUUCCUAUAGAUGUAUAAGCGCUCGUAAUCAAGUAGAGCACUCAACUAGUAGGUUGGGGUCGAUCCCACAAAGAAAAUGGUUUAGACAAAACUUCAAUAUACGAUUAUGUCUAUUUAACCAAGGUUUUUCUGAAAACAAGUAAUUAAAGAGGGGGAGGUUUGUGAAACAAGUUUCUUUAACUCUCCUAAAUUAACAAGUAAGCAAAACUAAAAGUUGAGUUUCUAUUAAAUUGUGAGACUAACUAGGGUAUAUGUGUUCCUCAUAGGCUCAUAACGUAGUAUUCCUAGUAAUAUGCAAUUCUUCACUAGUGUUUUGCAUGUAAAGUGGUAAGUUAUGCAUAUCAAAUCCUUGGUCCGACAUAGAGAAUUUCAUCUCGUACCUUGGUCCAGCUACGUGUGUAGAAUUUACUAACCUUUACCGUUACCUCACAUUAGACAUCAUAUUCGAUGUAUGACUUAGUUAUUACUUCACACUAAUCGACACUAGCCUAUUAGAUAGUAUUACACUAAAUCUAUGUGGAUAAUUCUUUUCCUAUUACUACCUCCUUGGUCCGGCAAGUACUAACAACACUAGCUCUAACGCGUGCACUCAUCAAAAAGACUUUAAACAAAGGAAUUAUCAAUACAUGCAAGAACCUAAUUGAGAAUUGCUUAUUUGAUAGGUAUAGUUUGUUAAUGACCCAUGGUUCCCACAACCCUAGUUGUGAAUUUAGUUACCCAUGCAAGCAAGAAUACAAUUCAUAGUUUGUAAACAAGAAAUCAUAAACUUUAUCAAUAAGAAGAAACCCAGAAAAUCAACUUAAAAUUGCAAGAUAAACUUCAAACCAAAUCCGGAAAUGGAUUGAUUGAUAAAGUUUUCAAAAACCAAUCUCCAAUCAAAAGUAGAAUAAUACUAAGAGUUUCUAUCCUAAAAAAUGAGGUUUUGAAUCCCUAUUUAUAGAAAACAUUGUCCUAAAUUAAAAGGAAUUGAAAUAAGGAAAGUUUGCUCAGUUAAUGUGGCUUCAAUCUACAAACCAACUGACUGACUGUCGAUCAAUCGAUGUUCAGUAGACUCCUUUCAUCGUUUAGGACAUAGAAUAAGUUUUCUCUCCUAAGAUGGCACCCUUUAUGAAUCAAUCAACGGACCAACAGUACGGUCCAUCAAUUCAUCUACAGUUUGUUGAUGCCCUCUGUCGCUCCAUACUUAGAAUUUUUCCAACUUUGUGUACUGGAAUUUUCUCUGAUCCAAACAAUGGUUGUGCAGUAUGGUCCUGAUUAAUCGACUAACCAUCGUUCUCUUUCGUAGUUCCACACAUAGUCAGAUUUCCCCAAGUCGUCUUCAAGGUCCUUAAAUGCUCAUCUACGGUUCCUAACUACGGUUCGUCGAUCAAGCGAUGGACCGUCAAUGGCCUCAUAAGUCCUGUUUUGUUUUUUUAAGCUAUUUCCUCAUCUUGCCGCCUGAACAACUUUCUUGUAAAAUAAACUCAAAAGCAUAUUAAAACUCUACUACAAAAAUUCUCUAAGCACACACAACUCUUACGAAAAAUGCAUUGAAAGCACCGUGAAACCACGAUACAUCAAUACCUUUAACUUAAAUUCCUUGUUUGUUCUCGAGCGAUGUACUAUGAAUCAAAACAACACAUGAACAAAAGUAUACUAUUUUAAGCUUUCGCAAUCACAUGACUAUCAAUCUCGACUCUUUCUUUGUUUAAGUUCAUGUUUACUCUCUCAGGUUUGAUAAGAUAACUCAUGUGGAUCACAUCAUCACCCAAAAUCACCAUGCACUGACACUUCUACUAUUUUCCCUCUCACUAAUUUACCAACUUUUUGACACUACAACUAGUUCUCUCACUUAAAAAGAAAUCCUCAUUUUUUGCAUAGUGAUUUUAAGUUUGGGUACAAGGAUCUUUGUUCAACACUCACGCUUAGAAAAAAUUUCAAACAUAGCUAGUACUCGUCGCCAUAGCCUUGCCCUUGUUUUCUCUGCUUAGGUUCACUACACUAGACACUAGGACCACGGUAGAACUUUCUUGGCUUGUAACUAGCCUUAGGGUCAGGUGUGGUACAUUUGGGUAUAUUUCUACUGAAUUUUUUCCCUACAUUUCUAUUAAUCUUCCUACCACUUUUCAUUGCCUUUUAUGAUCUAAUUCUUUUUGUUUUUCAUCUUUUCUUUACUCCUUUUUUUGGAUAUGACUCUUAUUUAUUUUUCAACUUUUUCUAUUCAAACUCUUUUCUUUAUUUUCUUUUGAUUUUCUCGUCCUUUUCAUUCAAUUGUUAAUUUCACCGAGUCACGUCUUUUACUCACUUUCUCUUUUCUUUUCAACAUUCAACUCUUCUCAUACCCCAUUUGGGUUCUCACUUAUAAUAGCCACCCUGACUCAUGUAUUUUCCAUGACUUGAGGAACACAAUACCCGAGGUCAGGUCAGGGCCAAUCGAGGUCAUCUUGUACAUUAGCUACCCUCAACUUAGACUUUUGGCCUAAGUCGAAGUGCACAUGUCCAAGGAGUGACCGGGGCCAAAACAUUAACCCCUGGGAAGGUAAGUUGGUGAUAAAAGAAAUAUAGGUCUAUUAUAGGCUCAAAAAAUUUGGAUCAAAAGGGAUAAAUAUUUAUUUUGGUUAACUUCGUCUUAGAAUAGAUGUUCACUAAUUCAAACAAAGGCCUAUGAUCCUUUCUUGUUCUUCUACAACAGAUUUCUUUUGCAAGACUUAUUGGGCAAGUUCUAGAUAGGUACCAAAUGUUAAACACUCCAAACUCCUCACACUCUCUUGACACCUCAUUACACUAUUAUAUUGUCAGAUUUCCCAGUUUAGGUGUUAGUUGAGGGUUAUGCAGUAGGUGCCUAUCUAUGUCAUGCUUAGAGCUAACACAUUCAACUCAUUUCACCUAGUCAGGGAAGCCGUUUCUAGGAUGGUACAUCAUUUAAUUUCAGCAAUUAUGCUUCAUAUUUCAUGCUUUUAUAUUUUGUACAAAAAACGACAUGCAUGUUUAAUAGAAAUUAACCAGUCUCUUGGGGAAAAAGAACACGGGUAAGAAAACCCAAGAGAGGAUUGUGAGUUGGAAUACUCAGACUUCACUAUAACACUCACUUUCUAUUUACCCCACCCCCAACAAGAAAAAACACGCCAUUGUCCCUAAUGCAUAAAAAACAUAAGUAUAUGGUAGUAGGUGAAUAAAACCUAAGGCACAUAGCACCGAUGAUCUCUCAACAAGUGGGCGAGUCCGAUUUCCUAGAACCCGCAACAUCAAUUCUUGGGUCGCCCUCAAUGGUGCCUACAUCAAUCGCUGCAACAUCAGUGGUGCUCCUCUCCCCGGUCACUGGUGUCGAACUAGAUGCCUCAACAACCAUCUCUCAUUCCUGAAUCUGGCAGGCCUCCUCAUUUUACCAAAGAUUCCCUCCUAGCAGCCUCGAGAUCUUUCCUCUCUUUCUUUUUCAUACGGGCAUCAUAUCCUACCCCAUUAGUGCAGCUAGAACGGUGCCUCUUGGCUCGACCACAUGGCUAAAGCUGAGGCUCAGCAGAAAGCUUGAACAAAGCCUUAAGCAUUGUGUCCUCUACUAGCUUGAUAGGCACACUCUCCAGUUCCAUCCCCCCAUUCCUAUAAUGGCAUAUACAUUAUCAUACAAACUAGCAACUGCCUUCUAAAGAGUAGUGAGGUAUAUCUUGGGGGCUGGGCACGCUAGGACACAAAGCUCGAAGGUGUGUACGCAUUGAUGGACUCCCUGAAUAUUUUGGUUAGUUUAUUUGGACACCCCCUUCUCAAUAUGGUCCUCAGCCUGAAUGAUGGACUUCUGCAUCCAAGGCUACAUGUGGUGGAGUAGGGUGGCCAUGCGUGCCUCCAACUUCUGUACCCGCGCUAAAAAAACCAGUGCUGCAAAUGGUAGUGUGGCUCGAGACAAGUUGGGGGACCUACUGGAAGCAUGAAUAAAGCCAGCUGAGGUGGUGUCAGCAGGCUCAAAUGUAGUAGGAUCAUCUCCUUCAGCUAACUCCACCAUCUCUACCAAAUUCUCGCUCAAUCAGGGAACCUCAAUCCUAGGCCCUCUUCGUGGUGGCGCUGCAUUGUCUUCAUCCCUGAUGAGACAUAUAUCGACUGUCUCCGCCAGGUGACGUAGUGUAUCACAAUUCCAAAUAGGUACACCGACAUAAAUACUAGAGGUAUUGAAAGCCCUCUCAUAUAACACUGAUAUAAGCACCCGAGCGUAGUCUAUCUCCAACCCUGCUACCGUGGCUUCUACCAACACUGCUCUAUCCCACGUAAGGACAUUAUAAACAUUCGUGGGUGAAAGUUGGUGACAGAUCAGCAACAAGAAACCUUUCCACAAAAGUGAGGUGGCCUUCUUAAUUAACCCUCGGGUGUCUAAUACCCAGGCAAACCUCUCACCGUCAGUCGUCAGCUAUUAGUCCAGUCUUUUCUUCAUUCUCUUCCUUUGCUCAACGGCCAUUUGAAACGCACCACUUUUGAUAGAAGUCAAAUUUCGGAGUCAUGGGUGCCUAUUGUGGCUCAGUGGUGGGGCCAUAUAGUAACUGGAAGAGGGUGGCCUCCAAGAUAUCAACCCGGCAGCCCCGGACUAUACAGAGGUGAACGGGUCCUGUUUGGUAGGCCUUGUCUGCCUACCAAUAGAGACUCUAAGAGUAGCCACAUAGGAAGCAUAGAACUCCCUGACUAUAUAUAUCCUCAUUGUAGGUAUAAAGACUCCGCCAUCCAGUCUAACUAGUGCCUCUUAAACAAACAAUGCACCCUAAGGACCGUGUGCAAACUCCCCGUAAGAGCUUGACGCUCUACUAUCACCAACCGGGUCAUCACCCCCCUUCUAAUUCAAAAUUUUUGCGUUCCUAUAUACCUGGUGCUGCCCAUCGAUGCACCACCGGUGGGGUUCUUCAUCAAUGGGUGCGGACUCAUCUGCUCGGGGUGCAGGUGCAAACUCUGAGCUAUUAGCCUCAUCAGACGAGGCUUUGUUGUUGUGGCCCUCUGACCUCAUGGCUCCUUGAUAUGUGGAACCAGAGGCAGUGGUUGUAUUCAACCCAGAAAAUCAGGUCGACCUUAAUGAAGAACCAAAUUUGGAGCCUGAUGCUCCUUCAAACUAGAGGACGCCCCAAUCAGUGAGCCGGUCAGUGUGUGCUCCUCAUCAAACUAGGAGGCAGUGACUAUGCCGGGAACCACCUUCCGAGGGGUACCCCUAAUUACUCAUGCAGCUGGUGUUAGGGUUGUGGCACCCAGGAGAACGUAUUCUGGAUCUUACUCAUAGUUGGAGUGGCCAACCAUCUUACAAGACAGGGCCACUGACUUGGACUUUCCUCUGGAGUAGACGAUAUCUUGCUUAGGAGCCAUUUGAGCAUGUACAGCAGUUGUUAGUCUCAUUUCGGAGCAAUUGUUAGUCUCAUUUUAGCAAUACUACACAUUCAAAAAACAUCGGGUGAAGACAAUUUGAAAAAUAAGCAACACAGUUCAGUUUGUUAGAGUCAAGUCGGUGGGCACUAUCGAUGGUCUGUCGAUAGGUUCCAUCGUCUAACAUUUGGAAUUAUUCAAAUUAAUCAAACAGUUCAAUUAUCUCAUAUCUAAAUGACUAACGUGCAAAAUGGUCGGUUGAUCAAUCGAUACACCGUAGUCCACUUCCGUCGUCUAUCACUUAGAAUAUUUUUAGAAAUUAGUGAAAACAUGUUCUUUGAAGGAAACAAUGGACGUGCAGAACGGUCUGUCGAUCCAUCGAUGGACCGUAGUCCAUUUCUGUCAUUUCAGACUUCAUCAAUCUUAGAGUGAUCCAAUCGAUGGACCCCAUCGAUAUCCCGUCGAUCCAUCAACGGUCCGUCGAAGGGGUCUCAUACUAUUGGCCUGAGACAGACUUUUUGCCAUUUUGCAAGGUCCAGUUUUGGGACCACAUUAAAACCACUCAAUUUUAGACAUAACAUUUUAACAUGCAAAAGACCAUUUCUUCAUUCCUAGAGUUUCAUUUUCAAAUACAUUCGGCCACAGUACGAAACCCUAAAUCGAAAUUUGGUAAAAACUAUAACACUACCCACAAUUUAGACAUGUUAUCAGGAAAAACAACAACAUUCUUUCAUUCUAAGGGAUGUAAUACACGAGUUAUUAGCAUGUGAUUAUCAAUAAAUUUAGUCCCUCAGUCAAGACCCACAUCAGAAUUUUUGUUAAACAACUAUGAACCAAAAGUCAAAGUGUAGAGAAAAUCAAAAUACCUUAACUUCAGAGUGGUGUGGUUGCCAGAGGAACUUCAAAACAGUAUCCUACGUGCCCAAACUUGAUCAACGUCCAAAUAAAAACGGAGAGGCAAGAGAAUUUGGGAAGGGAGAGUUUAGGGAAAUUGAGGGAUUCUGAUUUGGGAGUGUAAUGGAAUAUGGGAGGAUGAUGGUUUAUGAUAAAGGAAAGAAAUAAAGGGAGAAAAAUGGUUUUGGAAGUAAAUAGUAAAAGAAUUUGAAGGUGGGAAUGAAUAUGAACCGUUAUGUCCUUUAAUAUUACCGGUCAGGUCGGGUCGGUUCACAAGCAAUUAGGAUCUACGAGAACCCGUUGACAAUAUCUAGCACUUUUGAGACAUGGACCCUACACUAAUCUCUAGACAAUACUAGCGCAUAGGCAAGAAUUAAAUAAGAUUAAAAAACAAGAACAAGAAAAUUUGAGUAUUCCUACAAAGAAAAUAAAACCUAUCGUUGGCUAGAGGAUACAACUUGGGUUGCACGGGCGCCAAAAUUUAAUAUGCUCAAAUAAAACCUUCCUAAAGAACUAUAAGAGGUCUUAAUCAAGUAGAGAACCCAACUAGUAGGUUGGGGUCAAUGCCACGAUGAAAAUGGUUUACACUUAACUUUAAUGUAUGAUUAUAUCUAUUUAGCCAAGGUUUUUCCGAAAACAAGUAAUUAAAGGGGGGGUUUUGUGAAACAAGUAUCUUUAACACUUCUAAGUUAAUAAGUAAGCAAAAGAAAAAAUUGAGUUUUUAUCAAGUUGUGAGACUAACUAGGGUAUAUGUAUUCCCCAUAGGUUCAUAACGUCAUAUUCCUAGCAAUAUGCAGUUCUUCCAUAGUGUUUUGCAUGUAAAGUGAUAAGUUAUGUAUCUCUAAAUCCUUGGUCCGGCAACUAGAGAAUUUUACUUCGUACCUUGGUCCAGCUACAUGUGUAUAAUUUACUAACCCUUACCGUUACCUCAUAUAGACAUCAUAAUCGAUGUACAACUUAGUUAUUACUUCGCACCAAUCACACUAGCAUAUUAAAUAGUAUUCAACUAAAUCUAUGUUGAUAUUCUUUUCCUAUUACUACCUCCUUGGUCCGGCAAGUAGCAACGAUGCUAGUUCUAACGUGUGCACUCAUUAAAAAGACUUCUAAAUGAAAGAAUUAUCAAUACAUGCAAGAACCUAAUUGACAAUCACUUAUUUGCUAGGUAUACUUUGUUAAUCAUCCAUGGUUCCCACAAUCCUACUUGUGGAUUUCGUUACCCAUGCAAGCUAAAAUACAGUUAAUAGUUUGUAAAUAAGAAAUCAUAAACUUAUUUUAUCAAUAAGAAGAAAUCCAAAAAAAAUCAACUUGAAAUUGCAACAUAAACUUCAAACCAAACACAGAAAUUGAUUGAUUGCUAAAGUUUGCAAAAAUCAAUCUCCAAACAAAAGUAGAAUAAUACUAAUUUCAUACCUCAAAAACGAGGUUUUAAUCCCCUAUUUAAAGAAUACAUUGUCCUAAAUUAAAAGGAAUUGAAAUAAGGAAAGUUUGCUCAGUUCACGUGGCUUCAAUCUACGGACAAACUUCGUAAACACCUUCUACAGUUCAAGACUUAGAAUAAUUUUUCUCUCCUACUAUGGAACCCUCUUUGAAUAAAUCAACGGACCAACAGUACAACCGUCGAUGAAUCUACGGUCCGUCGAUGGCCUCCAUCGCUCCAUCCUUAGAAAUUUUUCAACUUUGGGUACUCGAACCUUCUUUGAUCAAACAACAGUUGUGAAGUACGGUCCGUCGAUCAAUCAACAGACCUUUGUUCCCUUUAGUGGUUCUACAGUAAGUCAAAUUUCCUCGAGUGGUCUCCAAGGUCCUUAACUGAUCAUCUACGGUUUCCAACUACGGUGAGUCGAUCAAGCGACGGACCGUCAAUGUCCUCGUAAGUCCUGUUCUACAUUUUUCUAGUUGUUUCCUCGUCUUGCCUCCUGAAAAACUUUCCUUUAAAACAAAAAUAAAAUCAUGUUAAAACUACUACAAAUAGGCUCUAGGCACACACAACUCUUAAGAAAAAUGCAUUAAAGUACUGUGAAACUGCGGUACAUCAUGACCCAUUUUUCUAAAAUCCAUUUUGGACAUAAAAAUACCUAAUUUUAUAAAAAGGUAUAUACUAAAUGUCAAUCAUUGGCAUGUUUGCCUUGAUUUGCUAAUAUUCUUGUCCUCCACCAUUCCAAUAUCAUGAUAUCAAGGAAAUUGCAUAUCAACAAAUUUAGAUCAAAUUGCAAAUAUUACCUGAACCCCACCCCAUUAAUAUAAUAAUGGCAACAAUUCAAAUCCCAGUAAUUUAUAUUGUAAUUAUAUUCAAGCAAAGUUUUAAAUCUAGAGAAAUAUUUAUAUUUCUUUACCUGAAUAAGGGUUCUUUUCAGAAGUGUAUUAGAGUAGUUCCUCCUAUUUCUUAUUCUUACGACUAUGAUAUAAUAAUUUUAACCCCUUUAACUUAUAUUAAAGCAUGGGCCAAAUAUAAAAAGUAUUAAAUGAAUUAUGGACUUGUCCCACCAACUAUUAACUAUUUUAAGUAAAUAACUAAAAUUUUAUCAACUAGAUACUCAUAGCUCCCGAAUAGUUUAAAAUAUCCCUUUAAAAUUUUUGGAAACAGUCAAAGUAGUCCUAGUUCUCAAAACGACCAGCGGGUGGUUAUAUAAAAAAACAUGUGACCCAUUAUAAUGUUUUCCCGCCGGCUAAUUCAUCAUAACAAUGUAUCAGAUUUCAAAAAUGGUCAUAACUUUUUAAUCAGAAAUUGGAUUGGUGGUGUUGGAAAGAACAUUCAAAUACCUUUAAUUUGAAAGGUUAUGGGCUACAUAACUCUUUAUAUUCUAAGAGAUAUGGUCGUUUGGCGUUGACCCAAGUAAAAUCAUACAUCAAAACUUAAUCGAUAAAGAAACUUUCAACUCUACAUUGUGCUAAAAGUUUCUAGUGACCUUAAUUGAUAUUCAACAUUAUUCGCACACUAAAAAACUUACUUGUACACAUUUGAGAAAUUUAAGAAUCACCCGAUAUGACCCUACAAGCAAAUCAAAAACGGUUUGAGUCUUAACAUAGAAAAUUUUGGGUGGUAUAUACUUUUUGCAACUACAUGUCACAGGUAGUUGAUGGAUAAUUACAUGCACAACGGAAGAGUACGAGAUCAUACAACUUACAUGAAUAAUUAAAAACAUAUAGUUUAUGCUAGAAAAAAUACAAUCAUGUCAUAGCACAUACACUUUCGAAAAAUUCAUUCAAGAAUUACCUCUUGAAGCAUAAGCAAAUACCUUCAAACGAAUCCACAAGCUAGUCGACUAGCAAGAACCUUCAUGAAAAUCCACAAGCUAGUCCACUAAUUAGACCAUAGAUCUGUGGUCUUCUACAGUGAUCCCAAAUUUACUUCCGAACUCAAUACUUGGGUAGAAAACAUUUUUUAGAAGCAUUAUCUACUUUCAAGGUUUAGAAGAAUCCGUAUUUAUAGAUAUUUCUUCCUAGUCCAAAAAGAUAUGUACAUCUCCCUUUUCUUAGAAAACAAAAAGUCAUGCCCUUCUCCCUUUCUUUAGAAUAGAAAAAAGUGAUAUACAUAUCCCUUGCCUUAGAACAAAUAAAGAUACAUCCAUCUCCAUUUUAUUAGAAUAGAGAAAUACACAUACUUCUCUUGUUUUCCUUUAAAAUAGUUUUUGAGUUUGUAACACCGGAAAAUUUUGAGCUAAAACUCAAACCGUUCUUCAUAGUGAGUGAAAUUUUACUAAGGAAUUAAAAAUUUCUCAAGUAUUAGUGUUAUGUGACUAGAUGUAGCACCUUGAGUACCAAAAAGAACUAAAUUGGAGAUAACAAAAAAUCUGAAGUUUGGAGAGUUAAGUUAAGUAUGAUUUUUGGGUCAACUUCAAAUGACCAUAAAUCCUAGUACAGAAUGAGUUAGGUGUGCUAAAGUUACGUUAGGAAAUAUCUUUGAGUUAUCUUUCCAACUCCACUGCAUUUGCUAAGUUUCAAGUUCGGAUAAAUGAUAUAUCAUCUUUUGAAGUUAUGAUGUCUAGUUAAGGAAAGUUAGUAGAAUAUAGUGAGGGGCAUUUUGGUUUUUUAUUACCCAAUCAAACUUAAUUCAUUUUUAGUAAUAUUUUUAGGGUUGUAAUCCUAUUUAGUUCAGUUAUAUUAUCCUAAUAUACGCCUAGGAUUUUAGUUGAGGUUCAAGAAGAGAAAUAAGAGAAAAGUGGAAAUGAUCAAGCGUUCGUCGAGAUUCUUGCGUCUUGUUGCGAAAUUUCGCCAUGGGUUUAAUCCCUAAGAUGUAUGUAAAUUUACAUAGUGUUGGGUUUUUUCACCCAUGAACCAAAAAUGUUAUUUUUAGUGUAACAUCAUUCUUGAAAUUUAAGGAUUUAAGUUCUUGAUGAGUUAUUAAUCAGUGUUCUUGAAGUUUCCUUAUCGACUACGUUUUGAUUUAAUAUUCUACUUGAGUCAACUUUAAACGAACAUAUCUCUUAGAAUAUUAAGAUUUAAGUGAUAUAUAGCCUAUCCAAUUUAAGAUGAUUGAAUCUACUUUCCAACUCCACCAAUUUCGCAUCAAUCUAUUUCUGAGUAAAAAGUGAUGGCGAUUUUAGUAAUCUAUACAUUGCUUUUAUGCUUUAGCCAAUGGGAAAAUAUUUAAAAUAGUUUUUUUGUAUUUCUACUUCAAAAAAAACCAUAAACGAAUAUAUUGAAUAAUAAAAGUCUAAAUUCAAUCAAAAUUUCAUGUUCACUAAUGAAAAUGAUAAUCCUUGGUCAUAGAGAUUUCAAGAAACUAAUUCAAGAUCUCAAGAAAGGUUUUCUUGAUAGUUUACGUUCAAGCUAGGUUUUCAAGGCUUCUAAUCAAGUCCUUCUUCAAGAUUAUUCAACAAUCUUGUUCCUCUAAAUAUGUAAUUCUAUCAUAGUGUUGGACUAGCUCGUCCUCAUACCCUGUAUCUACUAUCAGAUCAGUAAAAGAAUAAUCUAGUAUUCUACCCCUAGUUUUGAGUAUUGUUGAGAUAAGUUGAUUUUUUGUUCUUCAGUUCAUGUUUCUUUUAAAAUUUCUAUUCCUAAUUAUCGAAUUUCUAUAUUUUUAUUGAGAUCCACCAUAUCAUGAACCAUAACUCUUGAAUUCAUAAUUUACAUUCAAGAGCGAUUUAAGAGUAGUGUUCAAGAAAGUAUUUGAGUUCAAUUGUGAAACCUCGAGAUCAACUAUCAAUUUGAACUAAGUAUUGAGUAAGUAAGUAAGGAAAUGAGAAGAGUUGUAUACAUGAGUUCCAUGUUGUAUGUAGACCUUCAGGUGAGUCGGUCAUUCCCAUAAAUUCCGCAUGGACUCCACAAAUUAAGUAUCUUUGAGAGGAGUAGCAUCUGCAAGUCCUAUGUCUUGAGUAAUAAGUUUUCAACACAUUGAGUUUAUAUUUAUAAUUAUGGGACUAUAACAUGUUACCCAUGGAGUCCUUGAGUUGAAUGGUUCAUGCCCAUAAUUCUGCAUGAACCCUAUAAGUCGAACAGACUUGAGAUGAAAAGCAUCUUUGAGUCCUUGAGUUGAGGUCCAUGCUCAUAAUUCUACAUGAACCUAAAAAAUUUUAACAUCAUGAAAUUAUCCAUAAACAUGGGAUCACGAACCUUGAAUCCAUAAUCCUUCUUUGAAUCACUACGAUACAAAGAUAGUUUCACAAACUAAAUGUUUCACUAUGACUUUAAUCUUAAUUUUUACAGUUUUUGUUGUUCUUUUUCUUUUUCCUUUCUGAAGAGUUCAAGAAAAGAAAAGAAAAUAAUUCAUUUAAAGAGGUGUGAUUUUAAUGUUGGAACAAUUACAUAGUAAUUGUUCCCACCUCUUGUUAAAACUAAUACUUAUCAUUUUCUCCUUUCUUUGUUUUUUAUUCGGAAAAGAAAUUCUCGGGUUUGUUCGAGUUGGGUCGAUCCACAUAGGCGACCCAAAUCCAAAACUUACAUCUCCCACUUUGCAUAUGGUGGAAAAGACCCAAUCCAACAUAACAUCAACUAAACAAACAAUUCAUACGACAAAUAGUUCGUGUGACCUGUGAGCAUCACAAGCUUACCUUUAUGGUUCUACACGACCUAUAUAGGAAUUCAAUCACAUGGAAAAAAUUCAUUAUUAUUAAAAAGGACAUAAUUACUCACAAUACCCCAGACUUCAUUCACUACUUCAAUAGUUACUUAUUCAAUCCCUCGUCCACUUAAGGAGGUUAACUCGAGUUCAUGUUUAGCUUUAUACACACAAUUACACUCAUGCCAGUAUGGUUAGUGCAAUAGUCGUCUUGUGUAUAUAAGUUUAUUAUUCAUUUAAUGUCUUUCCAUUCUAUUUGAAUCUAUCUGCUCCUAUUCAACUGCUUUCCUAGACAUGCACUGCAUUGCCAAAUCAUUUACGGCUAUUAGUAACAUGCUAAAGUAGCAACAUCAAUUGAAACUUCAAGAAAUAGCAAAAGGUCGGGGUAUUUUGAUUAAAAAGUCAUUUUAACUUUUUUGGGUCUCACACAAUGAAGAAGCAGGGAAUAUUCUUUCGUUGACCGGUUGAUCGCUAAACACACGUGGCAUGAAAUAUGUGAUACGAUGUUUUCACCUUAUACGAGUGUAUGUUUCUCAUCAUCCAGAUUAUCCAACAUCGUACAGAUCUCGGUCUAAACAUCUUAAGAUGUUUAACCCUAGUUUCUCUUUUUCAGUAAUGUUUAAACUCAUUUUCUUAGAGAAACAUUUAUCUUGCUCAUAAAACAAGUCUUAAUAUGGUGGUGAAACUCAUGUAUUCAUGUUCCUCGAUGUAAGAGGUGAUUACUCGUGUGAGAAAGUCAAUCCUGCGACUUGUUCGACACACUUUGUUUUAAAAAAAUCACAUGCAUACUACAUUUGAACAUAAAUUUAAUUGUUUAUAUAUAAAAGAGAAUAUUAUAAAAAUAAAUUCAUCUUACAACACUGAAAUAUCAUCAUAAUUUACGUAAACCUAAAGCCUUAACAUGUUUUUCAAACAAGUCUCUAGAGAUGGCCUUCGUAAAAGGAUCAACUGCCAUUUCACGUGUAGGAAUAUAUUGCAAAGUUAUAUCUCUAUUUGCCACUACGUCUCUCACAAAGUUAUACCUGAUGUUGAUGUGUUUGGCUUUGCUAUGAUACUUAGGAUCCUUUAUGUAUGCGAUAGCCGCUUGACUAUCACAAUAUAGAAUCAUGGGACCCUUAGAACUCUUUGUAAUACUCAAAUGAUAAAAUAAUAUCUUUAACCAAACAACUUUUUGUACUGCAGACGCACAAGCCACAAAUUCAGAUUCCAUUGUUGAAAGUGUUGUGCAAGUUUUCUUCUUACUUUUCCAUGAAAUUGUGCCAUUGUUUUGUAAGAAAGCAUAGUCGGAUGUUGAUUUUCUAUCAUCCCAGUCACCAGCCCAAUCAGCAUUAGUAUAACCUCUUAUGAGUAAAUCGGAUCCUUUAUAAAACUUUAUGAUCUGCAGUUCCCUUCAUGUAUCUGAAUAUUCUUUUUACUGCUUUCCAAUGAUCUCUUCUAGGAUGGGAUUGAUGCCUGUUAACUAGACUUACGACAUAACAAAUGUCCGGGCGAGUACAUAUCAUAGCAUACAUCAAACUCCCGACAACACUAGAAUAAGGAACUCGAGACAUGUAUUCCUUCUCUUUUUAAGUCUUUGGGAACAUUUCAAGGCUUAAAGUUUCAUCCCUUGCUACAAUAGUAUCCAUGGAUUUGGAAUUAUUCAUUUGAAAACGUUCCAAUAUUUUCUUAGUUUCUUGAGAUAAACUCAAAAAUUUCUUGGAACGAUCUCUUUGGAUCUUAACACCUAAUAUAUAGUCUGCUUCACCCAUAUCUUUCAUAUCAAAUGAUUUUUAAAGUCAUUACUUAACAGUUUUCACAUGCUCAAAAUUAUUUCCAGCUAAUAAAAUAUCAUCUACAUAAACAGAAAGAUACCACUGCCCUGAAGAUUGCUUUAGUCCAUAAAUUGAUCUUUUCAAUUUACAAACUUUCUUUUUUGACCUUUAACAACGAAACCAACUGGUUGUUCCAUGUAGAUUUCUUCAUUUAAUUCUCCAUUAAGAAAAGCGGUCUUCACAUCCAUUUGGUGUAAUUCUAGAUCUAAACGUGCAAUAAUAGCUAAAAGUAAUCGUAUGGAUGUAAAACUUCACAACUGGUGAAAAAGUUUCCUCAUAGUCUAUUCCAACUUCUAGAGUAAAACCUUUUGCAACCAAUAGUUCGUUAUGUCUUUAAAUUGACCCAUCUAAUUUAUGUUUAACUUUAAGAAUCACAUUAUCCCCAAUAGUUUUACGUUCCUUAAGAAGGUCAACUAGAUCCCAGACUUUAUUGGUUUUCAUGGACUCUAAUUCUUGUUUCAUCGGUUUAAACCAUUCUUCCCUUUCACGUCUUAGUAAGGCCUUAGUUACAGAAUUAUGUUCAUCCAAUUAAGUGGGAGAUACCAGGAAAAUAUAAUCCUCAAUGAUAUAAGAUCGUUUAGGUACACCUUUUCUUGUACUCUUACGUAUUUGAAGUUCAGAUUCCUCUAUAUGAUUUUGGGAUUCAUAACUCCCACUCGGACCAAGAAUCAUUUCUUAAUCCAUUGAUUUAUCAAGUAUGUGUUACAACAUUUCCUAAUCUUUUAAAUUUAAUAUUUCAUACAAAGGCUUAACUUCACCUAUUUCAUCCUUUUUAGGAAAAUCCUUUUUCUAAAAAUUUGACAUCUCGUGAUGCAAUUUCAGUAAUACUUCCAUCAUCAAGUUCAUUGAUUAACACAUAUCCUUUAGUGCUUUUAAAGUACCUUAUAAAGAUAUAUUUCUUUCCUUUUGAACUUAGUUUAUCAAACUCACCGAAAUGAUCUUUAAUAUAUACCGCAUAACCCCACGGUCGUAAAUCAAUCAGGUUUCUUUUAUGACCAUUCCAAAGUUCAUAACGAGUAAAACACACUGACAUAGAAUACACUUUGUUCAAUAUGUAAGCCGCAGUCAAUAAAACAUCUCCCCAAAAAGAGAUAGACAAAUUUGCCUGUACCAUCAUUGAUCUUGUCAUGUCUAAUAAUGUUUUAUUCCUUCUUUUAGCUAAACCAUUUUGUUGAGGUGUAUGAGGAGUAGUUAACUGUCAUAUAAUACCUUUUUCAGUACAUAAUUCUUUAAAUGUUUUGAAAAAUAUUAACGUGGUAGAUCGGUUCUUAAAUCUUUUAUGCUUUUAUUUAAUUGAUUUCAACUUCAUUCAGAUAUCGUUUAAAGCACUCAAGUGCUUCAGAUUUAUGAGAAAUUAAAUAGGCAUAAUCAAAACGCGUGAAAUCAUCAAUAAAUGUAAUGAAAUAUGUAGCAUAAGACCUUGCCCUUAAAUUCAUUAGGCCACAAAUUUUAGAAUGAAUUAACUGAAGUGGGAACUCAUCUCUCUUAGCCUUUCCAAAUGGUUUACGUGUAAUCUUUCAAGCAAGACAUUUUUCACAAGUUGACAUUUCACUUUUGGUGAAAAAACCUAAAUUCCCUUCUUUUUCCAACCUAUUCAUUUGAUCUCCCCCUAUGUGACCUAAUCUAGCAUGCCAUGUAACAACAUCACCAUCAUUGUUACUUGAAUAACAUGUCAUUACACAACAGUCAAUAUAAUAGUCAUAAGUUGAAGGAUUACAAUCUAAUAUGAUAAAACAGUCAUAAUGAAGUCCAAAACCAUAUAAAAUAUUAUCUAGAUCUAUUCUAACACCAUUACGACUAAUAAAACCAAUCAAAACCAAUGUCUAAAAGCACAGUAUCUUAGGAGUAUAUAGGACGUCAUGCAACAUCAAGGAACAACCACCACGAAAAUCUACUUUGUAAGUGCCUAUACCUUUGACUUAAAGCCUAGCAAUAUUUCCUACGUAGAUCCACCUUGAUUUAGAUGAAACUCGACAAAACUCCAUAAACACCUCUCUAUCUCGACUUACAUAGUCGGUGGAUCCUGAAUCACAAUCCACAUAGGAUAAGAUUCAGUUAGUAAAUAAGUGCUAGAAACAUAUGUAGCACUUAGAGACGCAUUAUUUAGAAAUGCUACCUUUUAAGGCUCAGUGCAUGCACGAGCAAAAUGCCCCAACAUUUGCCAAUUGUAACACUUCAUUUUUCUCUUGUCCGUCUUCUUAAAAACAUUUUCCUUUAUUGGAAUUGGUUUCUUCUUUUUCUUAGAGGGUCCUUCUCCAGUCUCUUUGUCUUUCCCAUUUCUUUUCAAAUUUUUCAUGUGCUUGAAAACUUAAGAUUUUGUACCACUUGAAUCUGCCACAAAGUCAUUAGAAGCAACUUUAGCAGUUCCAAGGCGCUCAUCUUCAAGUUCAACAUGACGUGCAACACCGGAAAAAGUUUUGAUGCUAUCAUUAUGGGUCAAGUUAACCUUCAAGUGUUCCCAAUUAUUGGGUAGAGACCAAAUUACUUCCUUAACUUGUUUAUCAUCUGAAAGAAUAUGGUUAGCACUCUUGAGUUGAUUUAUCAUGUUUUACAUCACCCUAAGGUGUUGUUUGAUAUUUUGAUCAUGACGCUUUUUGUAAGUGUCCAAUUUGAUAGUCAACUGUCGGAGGUGGGUAAUAGAUGUACCCCCAUACAUUCCUCGCAGAUGUGCCCACAUAACAUGAGCAGUAGGGAAUCCCCCACAUUUAUGUAUGCGGUCAUCAAAGACAAAACUAACUAUUAUUCCACGUGCAAUGGAGUUAGCGUUCUUCCAAGCUUUGUAAGCUUCAAGAUCCCUUCUGUGUUGUGCAGUAUUGCCCUCUUCAGGUUCAUUCAAAACAUGGUUUAUACUUUCCAAGACAUUUUUUUCUUUCAGUACAUACCAUAUUUUACGACUCCAGACGUUGCAAUUAUCACCGUUAAGUUUUUCUCCUUUGUUUAAGUCAGCAAUGAUAAUUUUUGAUGCCAUGUCUGUUAUUGACAUAUAAUUAGCAAGAAUUUUAAUCAAUUAUGCAUGCGACAUACACAUUCAAGCAAAUUAAUUCUCCUAAAGAUUUCAUAUUUAAUGUAAAAUAAAAAAGAUACUUAUGCAUCCAAUCAUCAUAUACAAAUUAAAUAUUUAAUCAAAAGUCAAAUCUAAUUUCGUAAUGUGUAUAACUAAUAUAUUGUAGACUUCGAUAACAAGGAUUUUUCAGUUUAAUAACAUAAUUUGAGAUUAGUACAAUCUACAUAAUUCAUAUCUUGAAAAAAAAACAAAUAAGCAACGAGAGAUUACAAGUAAUUCAAAGACUGAAAUCCUCCCACAAGUCUUCAAGAUGACUAAUGUAAACCCUAAAAGGUUGAAUGAGCCAUAUGUCAUGAUAAACAUCAGUCAAUAUACUACCCCAAGGUUCACAGAAAGCGUCUAUUAAAUAAGCUAAGAUUCUCCAAUCUAAACUUUCCUUAUAAUCACAGUUCAGCCCAUUUUAUUUCAAAAAGGCGAAUAAAAUCAUGUGCUGACACAUGAGGAGAUAUCUUCAAUGAAUCAAACUCUUUAAAUUUUCUCUCUUUUUCCCUUCGAAUGGGGACCUUAGGUUCCUUGACAGAUUUUGUGUCGCCCUUGGGACACCAAUCUGUAUGAUUUCAUUUCCUCGAGAACAUGUCUUAUAGCGGCAUACUCUUCUACCUCGUCCCUUUGCUCGACUUUGAGAACUCCCACUUGGAGUAGUUUGAGCAUAUUCUCGUUCAUCGAUAUCUGAAAUGGAACAAAAUAAAAUAUGGUUAAUAUCAUUUAAUGCGACAGAUAUGUUGCAAAUUUUCGUUCAAAACUAGGAAAUGUUCAAGGAAAGUAAGGAUUAAACUAAUUUAAAAUCAUAAUCUAGUCAACGAACAAGUGAUCACUAUUCUUUAUUAAAUAAAGAAGAUUACUCAUGGCCUUUAAAAAAAACAAAAAAAAACCACAAUCUUAUUUGACCACUUGAGAAAACCUAUGUUAAACUAAAUACUAAAAUAAAUACUUUGUUAACAAAAAAAGAUACUACAAAACCAUUGUAUUUUUAUAUAAAAAUAAAUACUUUAUUAUUCCAAAGAAAAUGGUAUAAGUAUUUUACUAAACAAAAUUUGACCAUCUUAUUUUUCUUUUUCUUUUUCUUUUUAAUUCUUAAUAGAAAAGGACAAAAAAAUCCACUUUUUUCUUUUAUUUAUUUAGUUAUUUAUUUGAAUAGUGGGACCAUCCCUUUUCUUCUUGAUCUAUGCAGAAAAAGACCAAAACUCAAAAAGAAUGUACACGUUUCCUAUUUUAAAAAAAUGUGUGUGGUACCAUUUAUUUUCCUUUUUUUAAAAUUUUCAAUGAAAGAAGUAUGAUUGUCCCUUAAACUCUUUAUUCUUUUAAAAUAAAUUAUUAACAUAGGAACAAUGAUUUUUUUAAGUCCUUAUCUAACUCAAACUCUUUCUCUUUUUUCAACCUUAUAUUUAGAUUAAAACUUCAAAAAGAAAAUAAACAGAUCAAAAACUCUUUACGCUUCAUUCAUAACAGAGAAAAAAUAUUCUCUAUUUUCCUUCAUCCACAACACCAGAAAAAAAAUUAUUCUCUUUCCUAAACAACAAAAAAAACUGAGCAUCUUUGAUUGUUUCCCCAACAAAAUAUAAAAGACAUCUCACCGUCAGAUUACCAAGUUGAAGAAUUGAAGGUAUGUUCUUAGAUUUACAAUCAAAUUUAAUUUUCUUUUAACUUAUGAAUUAAACUUCACCAUAGUUUUAAAUAAAAUAUAUACUGAUCUUCAUAUAUAUAUAUAUAUAUAUAUAUAUAUAUAUAUAUGACACGCAAUCAGUACAUAAUUUCUACUACAAUAUCAUGGAGCAUAAAACCGUGGCUCAGAUGCCAAUGAAAGUAUUUAAACAACAUUUGGUACAAAAUUUGUGUACUUUUGAUUGUUGAAGUGGAAUGAAAAUUCACUAACUGAAUGAUUUUCUCCAAAUCCUUCUUUGAAUCACUAAGAAACAGAGAUAGUUUCACAAACUAAAUGUUUAUUGUGUUUUCAAUCUAAAUCUUUAGAAUUUUGUUGUUAUUUUUGUUUUUCCUUUCUGAAGAGUUCUAGAUAAAAAAUUAAUUUAAAAGGUGUGAUUAUUAACGUUGGAUCAGUUACAUAGUAGUUGUUCCCACCCCUAUUAAAACUAAUACUUAUCUUUUUCUCCUUUUUUUUUAUUCAGAAAAGAAAUUCUUUGAUUUGUUCAAGUCGUGUCGAUCCACAUGGGCGAACUAAACCCAAAGCAUACAUUGUCAAACCUUCAAUGUAAGUCUUGUGUUGUAGUUCUUCUUCACGUGUACAAAUUUCUUGUUCUCCUUAUUUGAGGUUAGUUUCGUGUGAAUGUUUUAUGGUAACUAUCUUUGUAUAGAUUUUAAGUUCAUUGUUGAAUUGAACUAUCUAGUAUCAUAAUUCUUCAAUAAAUCUUGGUGUACAUGUGAACGACUUUAUUCUUCUUUUAUCUUGGUGCAAGGAUAAGUUCUUAUCUCUUAUCUAUUUUUCUUAUUGACGAGUUGACAUGGUCUAUGCCUCUAUUCAUAAAGAGGUUUUGUAGUGUAUGUUAUUUGGAGACGAUAUAAUACUAAUUGAUGUUAAUUUUUUGUUAAGGGUUUGCAGAUAGACUCUGAGUCCAAAGGGUUCAAGUUGAGCAAGACCAAAAUAAAAUAUUUGAAAUGUGAAUUCAAUGUUGUGUUGCAUGAAGCCGAUGUGAAAGUAAGAUUUUCCACAUAGACUUCUCAAGAGAGAAUGUUUUAAGUAUCUCAGGUCUGCAAUCUAGGGUAAUGGGAUUAUGGGAAUAUCGAUGAUGAUGUCACACAUUGCAUUAGGAAAGCAUGGAUUAAAUGAAAGGCUUUAUUCUGAAGUCUUGUGUGAUAAAAAGAUACAACAUAAACCUAAAAGUAAGUUAUACCGAGUGAUGGUUUGAUCGUUCUUGUUGUAUGAGAUUGAGUGUUGACCAGUCAAGAACUCAUAUCUUAGUAGUGUUCCGAUUCAAAGUACACCCAAGAGGUGGCAUGACAUAUAAUACCCGAAGAGGACCUACACAAGCCAUUUAUUACACAUCAUAAGAGAUGAUAGAGUUAAAGAAUUCAAAAAAGAUAGUCUUAUAACAUAACGAGUUUGACAAAAGAAAAGUAUAACAUAUGUCUCAAUAGACAUCUAAUAAAUCAUAAGGGAAGUGAUCAAAAUGUAAUUCAUACAUCACAUAUACAAAGUUUGAAAAUGAAAGUUACAUAACAAUAAAGGUAUCUUAGUCAUUGAAACAUGAGGAUUCACCACUCUUCGAAGCCAAUGAAACUAACUAGUAGGAGCGUCAGACUCGACAUUAGUAAAACAAUUUGGACAUUAAUAUGCAUUAGUACAUGGAAUGUACUACGUAUAGGGAAAUAUGCAUAAACAUAGAUGUCAUAUCAUGAAUGGCUUAAAGAAUGUAGGCCUGAUCAUUUUUUCACAUUUAAAGACUUUAAAGAAGAAAUGACAUGUGAAUCAUGAAAUAUGAUCACAUACAUUGCAUAAAGGACAUAAGAAAACUUUGAAGAAACAUAGUCAUUUUGUGAGAUAUUAGCCUCCACCCGCAUUAAGACCAUGAGAGCUUUAAUGGAAUCUGGUGUAUCCCUCAUACUGAAAGAAGGUGAUCUACUUGUCAAGGUAGAAUCCAUACAUAUCAUCAUUUGCUUAAAUGGAUCCACUCGCCAAGUCAUUUAAGACAAAUCUAUGAGGUACGUAGUUCGGGAUUAGAGGUUGUUACUAGAGUAUACCCUAUUUGAGCCUCCACUUUGAAGCCCUCUCGAUGCUUAGAAAUUAAAGAAAGGAAAGAAAAAAGGACAAGGUGACACCGGCGUAAUAGUGAGCCUCGUCUCUUUUCGGAGGAUCCCUUUUAUCGCAUUCAGUAUAAGUUAUAUAGUUCAUCAGGAUGUUGUGGGUCUCGUAUCACCGUCAAUCUCAGUUGUUUUAAAGGCUUCAUAGACAGUCUGAUGUUAGUUCAUUCGUCAUUAUCAUAUUAUUGGCUUAUGUUCAGAUUUUGAGUUGCCAUUUUGGCUAAGUUAAAUGUCCAUUUCAAAAUUAUUAUGAUUUUAGUUUUGAGAUUGUUGAGUAAUUUUGUAUUUAACUUCUCUCUUUCUUGCCUAAAAGUCUUCCGCUGAGUAAGUAAGUCAAGCCAAGGGUUCCUUUGGGGCCAACAAGUGUUCUCAAGUGCUAGUCCCGCCCAGGAUAUAGGUUCUGGGUGUGACAACCAUGACCAGGCCUGACAUACCUUUUUUAGUUCAGGUACUUAGUCAAUAUGCACUUACUAAAACUCUCCCACAUGGAAGCUACACUCGGAGUAAAAAAUAAUAGCAGGUGAAGUUCAACACAUAUUCUAAUAGUAAUGACUAAUAAUAUACACGAUUCUUUGUUUCCACCAACGUAACAACCCCCUACCCCCUCUCCCAUUUCUGCGAUCUUCUGCAAUCCUUAACAAAUAUUUCAUGUCUCCUAAUUUAUGUGACACUUUUCCAUUUUCGAAAGCCAAGCGGUUUAAGUUGAUUGGGAAUUUCCGCAUAAAAUUUUUAGUUUUUUUAAUGAAAUAUAUGUGUAUGUGUGUGUGUGUGCGCGCGCAUGUGUGCGUAUGGGUGUGCGUCUAUGUGUGUGUGUGUGUGUGUGCGUUCACGUGUACGUGGGCGCGUGUGCAUGUGUGCUUGUGCAUGUGAGCGUGUGCGGGGGUUAAUAAACUUCUCCAAUUAGGAGUAUCACAAUUAAGUCGCGGGGGUUUCUUGGCAACUCCUGGUACCAUUAGCAGGGGUUAACUAGCGGGGUUUUUUAACACUAACCGCAUUUCAAACUAGGAGUCGAAACCCCAACGAUUUGUGAACUCGGGGGAUUCAAAAAAUCCCGCAAUUAAUGAUUUUUACAUUAAAAUUAAUAGGAGCUUAGACCCCUGUGAUUUAUGAAAUAUAACUUUUUGUAGCAUUUUCUAGGAAUAUUCAAUUUUAGAUGCUAAUAAUAAAUUAAUUAACUAACAUGUGCAUUAUUAUCAAAGGACAUAUUAGUAUUAAGAAAUAUUACAAUAUUCAACACAAAAGUAUAUCAUGAAGUGAAUAAAAACAUAUCAUUUGUUUCAACCAUUACGAUUACAAGAAACUUCAUAUCACUAUAAAAAUUUGCUUUAACUUCAAAUCACUACAAAACUUGCUUAAACUUCAAAUAAAUAUCACCCAAACUCAAGAUAGGAUCGGUUUAUGGAACUUCAACUAGUUUCACUACAAUUAUUGUCACCAACAUCAGCUGGCUGCAAAGGAGAAUACAUAAUAAGUGACUUUAUCCAAACUCAAAAUCAUGGCUGAAUGUAGUAAAACCCAAAGUUUAUCAUAUACUACACAACAACAAACUUAAACAAUAGAAAAGGAUUAAACCAUUUACACAAGCAAUGAUUCUAAACCAUUUUAAAAAGACGACAUACUAUACUACUAAACAAGACACUAUCAAACUGAUUUGAACAAAUAUUAGAAAUAGUUAAAACAUGAAGAAAGAAUCUCAGGUUUCUUGCCAGUAGAAAAAAGACAGACUAGGAACUACAGUGCUAUUUUUCUUAUAAGAGACAAUUAAUGUUUACUUCUUUAUAUUUUUACUAUAAGUUGAUUGGUUAUGAUGUCUACGAGGUUGUAUAUAAUCCCAUGUUCAAUGAUAUGAAUUUCCUACUGACUGAAAUGCUUGAAGGGGAACAGUAUAUCUCGAUUAGAAAUGAGGACGAAUUACCUUUAGAGGAACGGGUAAUGGAAGCAUAACUCCUUGAUAAAGGUUGUUAGCCCACUGCAAGUCACAAAACAAAACAUCCGUAAUAUUAGCAUACUAAGGUUGUAAGCAUUAAACGACAACAAUCCCAAAUAAGUUUGAGUGGCUAUAUGAACUCACAAUUUCAAUUUAUAGACAAAGAUACUAGUAGAAAUGACUUCCCUUUCUAUGUUAACACUUGGACAGAGAAUUUGCAUAUUAAAACAACAGAAAAAUAGUUAAAAUCAUUUAAUCGAGCAAGGAUUUCAAAUCAUUUCAAAACGACAGCACAAUAUACUCAAUCUUUCAACGGAAACAACUGGUUGGACCACAGUGUUAUUUGUAACUCCAAUGAACAACACUGCAAAGUAGAUGUAUCUCAUUGCACUAAAUAAAUACCGUUGAGAGUAACAUAUCAAUAGUUACGAACAACAUGAUCACGAAAAAGGAUUGUAAGUACCACAGGACAAGUCAUGCUUUCAUGAAAAACGGAUACGUAAAGAACCAAAAUCCUGCUGCUGAAAUAAGCAGUUAUGAUUAUCCAAAAAUCAUGAAUGCACAUGCACUUGAGUUUGUUCCAAGAAAAACACAGCCAACUACUGUUGCAAGUGAAGAUUCAAAAGUGACUAUGGAUGUUAAUUCUUCCACAAGGUUGAAUAAUUCUGUCACAAUAGGAUUUAAGAAGAAGAAGAAAUAGGCGACAGUUUUGAAAGCACGGACCUUCUUAUGCAACUAUGAGCUGGUAUGCUAUUCAUUUUCUUUACUUGUAAAAGUCGUUGAUACUAAAGAAUGCCAAUCCAAGUCCUGCUGAAUAGGCGCCAGGUGACUGGUUGCUGUUAAUAAUUUCGAGAAACUUACAAGGUCUUAGAAAUAAAGUGCACCCACAAAUAAACAUGCAUAUGAAAAAUACUGCACUGCACCCACAAAUAAACAAGCUGAACAAAUUUGAGGAGCAGUAGGGGCACACCUUCAACUAGAAAAUAAUAAGCUUCUUCCGAUAUUGCUCACAAAGAUUGUACAAAUCUUUGGGAAUCAAAUACAUAUAUGAAGCAUGGAAUAGAAAGUUAAAGAUACGCAACAUCUUAACUUCUAUUCAUUCCCUCUAGCCUCUGAAGACUACAUUAUCUUUACUAUCUUAAAGAAGGCUUUAUCAAGGGGAAAAACAAUCUUUUGCCGCCCGACGAGGGACAAAGAAACCAACACGAAUGGCUAAAGCAGUGAUUCUGGCUGAACAUGUUAAUCCUAUCAAAUAGCAAUGCUAAAAAAGAGUAAAAUCACCUUGGCAAUGCUUGUAUUAGUCAAAUUUUACCUAAACAAAAAAAGUUUAAGCAGGUAGCCACGCAUCUGCCUAUAAAACACAUACGAAAAUCAACUGGCGACUACACAAAAAAUAAAUAUUAUACACAAAGUAAAGAAAACUACAGGAGCAAAAUUUUUAACUUACAUGUACCAAAUUUUCUAUAAAGUGGCCUUGAGUUAGUACACAAUAUCAUUUUCAUUCUUUAGCAGCGAAAUCAACUGUCAAUAUACCGAUGUCAAUGCAGAUCGCGGAGUUGAUGAUGUCAAAUGAUUCAUUUCUUGAUGAAGAAUGUGCCAAACCUUGUGAACUAGAUGAUGAGCAAAUGAGUUGCGUAAGUUAUCGUAAUGCUUCAGCUUCGGCAUAUCUAGUUACAAUAAAAGUAGACGAAACUAUGAUCUUUGGUCAAGAUAAUUUGGAUCAAGAUAUGAAAUGAGUCAUAUUUCUAUUUUUCUAAUGAUUGCAGGUGAAUUUAUUCACCAUUAACAAGGUAUUACCUCUUUGAGUAUCAAUGUACUAAGUUAGUAGCUUCACAGGAAGUCCAACUAGUAAGAAAAAAUAAAAAUCUCCCAGUAGUAAAAACAACAUUCAUUGUAUAAAUAAGUGUUGACUAAUACUCCAUUGAUUGUUGCAAAUAUACAUUUAUUUUACCUGUUGUAGAAACUUGCUACAUUACUGAUAUUGUAAAAGAUACAAAUAUAAUAGCAAACCGUGUACUUGACUCGACAUACCCAUCUGGAAUGGAAAGUUCAAUAAGCUUGCUAAACAUAGCGAGACUGAGAGAGAAUAUGAAUCUUUGUACCUAUCGGACAACUAAUCACACACCUUACACACAUUUGUAUUGCUUUUGCAUUAUGAUUGGUCAUGAUAUUACGGUAUAAGAGAGUUGGUUAUGUUGCUCCAACAUGGAUGAACAUAUGUGUGGCCCAGGAAGAGUACAUCGGACUCACCAAAGCUCGACAAAAUAUCCUCACAAUGAUUUUGGUACUCAGUCACGUAGGUUACCUGUUCGAGAUUGGCUCUUCACUCUGCCGCAGACUCAUAUCAUUUCUGUUUAAAUCGAAUUUUCAUCUUAUCAACAAAAUCCAACCAAUCACUUGAUUGAUUAUUCCUAAAUAACCACGGGUACCAUUGUAAUGCUUCACCAUCAAGGUAGAGCGACACCACAUUAAGCUUUUGUUCUUUCUCAAUUUUAUAGAAAUCGAAAUAAUGUAUAGCUUGAACUAUCCAAGCCUCCUGAUUCUCUCCUCGGAACUGUCAUAGUUUGGCAACCAUAAUUGUUUUUCUAGGUUCAAAAGAUGUCCAAGCCUUUCCCCUAGGAUCGAAUCAUCAACGAAAUUUUCAGUCAAAAAUUGAUGUUAUUCAUCAAUUUGAUGUUUUAUAAAAGCAUAAAUCCAAUUAACAUUAGAAGUUCAUUCUAGCACUUGCCAAACAUUCUCUGUUUGAAAUGUAUGCAACUAUACUUGUGCAAUCCUAGUAUUAUUCUGAAGAAAAUAUCAUCACCAACACUAAGAACAUCCACUGAGAGUAAAUGUCUAUUUAUCUCUAUUUAGUACUAUUAUAGUUGAUUUUAAGCAUAAGCAUCAGGUGAACUUGAGGCUUCAACUAUUUCCAUAGGGGCCUAACCACUGAGAAAUUAUAGUGAUCUAAGUAAAUGAAAGAGUACCUCAAUUCUUUUAUCCCCGAAGAUCUAGAAGCUCUCCUUUUAAUUUCAGUUCCAAAUAAGAAUAUAAUGUAUUAAUACAAGUAUAGAGAGAUAAGUGAAGAUUGAGGGCACAUUUAACAGCUAAAGAAGAAUUAAUUAACAAACAAAGGGGGAAACUAUAUAGACCUUACUCCAGCAUAAACAAAAGGAUACACGGAGACGACAACUCCAAAUUUUAAGAAGAAACAAGGCACUUGUUAGCGACACCAUUUCAGACAAAGUGGCCCCAAAAAAUAUGUAGACACAGAAUAUCUCGAGGAAUCUGUAGAAUCACCAAAAUUAUAACAAAACAAACCUAAUUCUACCACAAAAUACAUGACCAAAUUUGAUAUUUUGAAUUUUCAUCCAUGAAGAAUAUAACAAAAUUAACCUAAUUCUACCUCCAUGCAUCAAUACAAACAGCCAAAAAUAAACUUACCUAGUAAAUACAACCAAUAAUUUGUACAAUUUAUGAAGAUUCAUAUGAGAAAAUCUAAAAAUGUGAAGUAGAUUCAUUAUUCAAAGAGGUGAGAAGUAGAAAACAAUACCAUAGAACACCUAUAAAAAUUUGAAUUUGGUGAGUAGCUGAAGUUUACAGAGUUGUGAGGAGACGUGCCGCUGUAGAGAAGUGCCGACGUAGACGGCGGAGAAGUGCGUUGUAGACGGUGGAGAAGUGUGGCGGUGAGAAAAGCGUGACAGUGAGACAGUAAUUUUGGAAGUUUCCAAAAGCUGUGUUUUUUUUUGUAUUUGUAGUUAAAGUAAUCAAUAGUUAUUUAUUAAGUUAUCUAUUGUGAGCGUUUUGUAUUUCAUGAAUUAAAAAUAUAUAUUUAUAUUUUGAAAUAAAAAUUAUGAGAUAUCAUGUAUUUAAACUUCCGCUAUUUAAUUAAAAAUUUUUGGGGGUUUUAAAUUUUACUAUGUAGUUUUAUUUUUCGUGAGUUAUCAAACCCCCGUCGUUAGAGUAAUUUGUGGGGCUUAUAAUUAACCUCCGCUUUAAAAUCCUCACGAUUAAGGUAUUUUUUUGUAGUGCGUGUACGCGUGUGCGCGUAAACUACAUUAAAAAAAUAAUAUUAUAACUCACAAUGAUUGAGACAAUACAACAUAAUUAAAAGAUAUGAAAAUUUUAUGAUUAAGAAUAAACUUGUUUGAAUCUCGAAAUCUAAAAAGUGGCAUAAAUUUAGAUGAAUGGAGUAUGCUUCAUUCUGAGGUUCAAAGCCGGGGAGAAUUAAAUAUUUAUCAGUCAAACUAUUUAUAAUAUAUUUACAAGUAAAUAUUUAGGUUAUUCCUAAAUUUAUGACAUAAUUAAAACAUCAAUUAAAUUAUAAUAACCGAUUAAAAUUUACAUUAAUAAUGUAAAAAAAAAAGUAGCUGCAUUGUUAUAUACUUAUAUAUAUCCUAUAAAUGAGGCAGGAAGUAGGUGUACUAAUUAAUUCAUUUGGUAAUAAUGAUAUAAAAGAUUAUAUAAUGAAUUACAUCAACAACUGAUAUUGCACGUUGCAUGAAUAAAACUAAUGUUCAUUAAUGUAUUCUCUCCACGGCUUUAAAAGUGUAUAUUACAUCUAAUAAAUAGAACAAUUUAAUUAAGUAUGAGAUUUUUUUCUUAAUAGAACCUGAUAUGAUAUGAGCUAGAGUGAUACUUUUUUUACGAUAAAAAAGGACAUUGUAUCUCCUCCUUCUCAAAUUAUUUAGCCCGAUUUAUAAAAAUAGUUAAACCUCAAAUAAUUUAUCUUUUAAAAGUUCAAAACAUUUUAUUUUCAUUUUAUUCUCUGUAGUAAUAAUUCUUGAAAACUAUAAAUACAUGAUGAAUAGAGUAAAUACUUAAUCGAAAUUAAUUCUAACUCAUAAAUGAGGAUAAAACAUAAAGGUAUCUCUCAAAAUUUUAAUAUACUUUUAGAAAAUUGUGUGUGAUAAAAAUACGAUAAAUAACUUGAGAUAGAGAAAUAUAUCACUACUAAAAAACAAUGUUUAGCGAUAGAUAUUAGCGAUAAAUAAUAUUUCGACAUUAUACAACGACGGAUCCGCGAUGGAAUAACCAUUUUGUUGUAAAAUUAACAAAUAAUUUUUUGAUAUAUAAUAUAGCGACAAAUUUGCAACAGAAUAUUUAAUAUGUCACUAAAUUUUAGUGCGAAAUUUUGGCGCCUAAUUUUUCUACGAAUUUAGUAACAAAGUAGUGGUGACAAAUUUAAUUAACAUUGGGUGACGAAAAUAGUGGCGAAAAAAAUAUUGCUAAACUAUUAAAUAUAUUUUUAUAAAAAUUAUGUUAUAUAGUGACGAAAAUAUCCGUCAAUAUAAUUUUUAUAAAUAUAUAUAUAUAUAUAUAUAUAUAUAUAUAUAUAUAUAUAUAUAUAUAUAUAUAUAUAUUUAUAUUUAUUUAUUUAUUUAUUUAUUUGAAAGCGACGUUUAGAAUCCAUCACUAAUUUCGUUGCAAACUCCAAUUUAAGAUUUCAUCUACUCUCAUUUAAUCUCAUCCGUCGAUCAUGUUUCAUCAAACUCCAAAAGUUAAUCUCAUCCGCUCAUCCAAAUUUAUCAAUGGUCCUGAUUUAAGACCCCUGCUUUCCCAUCUUAUACAAAAGAACCCGAAUCCUAAUUUUCUUCAUUCUCCUCGCCUUCUCUCCAAGUCCGCCGCCCAUGCCUUUUUCGCCUUCUUCUCCAUCCUUCUUUCCGGCCUUUGAAGCCUGAAGAACGAGUAGUGAAAAACAAUGGCGAGCUUCGGAAGACGCAUGAAGGCCUCAAGCGAACCUGCAUCGCUGGCAGCAGCUCCAAUUAGCGAGCAACCAGGUGAUCAGGUGGUCUCCGUCCGGCAACCACAGCAGCACAGAGAUAGAGCCACCAGUUGCCUCCCUCUCCGGCAAAAAACAGCAACAUUAGCUACACGCAGCGAGCAGCGAUGGCAAUCACCGGCAGCAGCCUGCUCCAGCGAGCAACAUCAGCAAACGCCGGAGAGCAAGGCGAAGAUAACGACACAAUUCAUGGACAGUCGCCUCCAGAUUAUAAAUCAUCAUUUUUUAUAAAUUAAUCUUCUUUUUUAGGUAUGAAUUUCUUUUUUUCUCUUGUUGUAAUUUACUUUUAAGUGUCUGAUGUCUUCUCCUCUAUAUAGUGAGAAUGUUGAAUUAGUGGUACUCUUUUUUAUUGUGCUAACUCCGACACUUUCUAAUGGUGUCAAUAUUGUUAACAAAAGUAUUGUAUUGUUACCUGCAGAUUAAAGUGACCUUUUCUUGGACAGAGAACCUAAUUAACAAUCAAAAUAAUUAAUCUUCUUUCAACUUUGUUUAAGAAGCACCAACAUUAUUUGCUCAUUGGUGUAAUUUUCUUAAACUAGAUUAUUACAGUAUGAGUCUCUUAUCCUGUGAUGGUGUUGCAAAGACUCAAAGAGGACUCUCUCUUCAUGGGUAAAAUUGUUUAAAGAGGUAUAAUUGAUGUAUCUUAGAUUUUAGGGAAAAGAGUCUGAUAUACCCUCAACUUUGUCAUUUGGAGCUGAUAUACCCCUCGUUAUAAAAGUGGUUCAUACAUGCCCUUACCGUUAUACAAACGGCUCACAUAUACCCCUGUCGUUACAAAAUAGCUCAAAUAUAUCCUUCAUUUAAUGGAUUUUUAAAAAAUAGUUUUAAAUUAUAUUUAUUACUUCUAAUUUUUUUUAAAAAAAUUAUUUAGGGGUAUAUAUGAUUCUUCUAUCAAAGUUCAAGGUAUAUUUUAAUUUUUUUCAUACAUAAAUUAUUUUUUGACUUCUUUUAUAAUAAUUAUUUGAAUUUCUUAUUCUUAUUUUGUUUUUUCUUUCAUUCCUUAGUUUAAAGAAUAAAAAAUUAAACUAUUUUUUUGUGUAUAUUGUAAUUUUAUUUCGUAUUCGAAGAAAAAAUUUAAUCAAGUUUUACAAGAAUAUUAGUGAAACAUAAAUAAAUUUGAUUAUCAAAAUAAUAAUUAUAAAUUAGUCAUCGAAACAAAAAAAAUAUGUUUGACGAGAAUUAAAUUUACUAAUAUGGGAUUAUAUUUUUUAGAAAAAAAUAAUAAAAAUUUAGAUUAAAAUUAUUUUUUUUUUCAUUUCCGUUAGAGGAAAAGGGUAUAUGCGAGCCAUUUGUUACAAGUAGGGGUAUAUAUGAGUCAGUUUCAUAACAAGGGGUAUAUUAGCACUAAAUGACAAAGUUGAGGGGUAUAUCAGACCCUUUUCCCUAGAUUUUAUCUACAUAUUACGUUGUGCUAAACAUAGUUUUAAUUAAGCCAUGUAUCCUAAAGGACAUUCCAUUUACAUAACAAGGAUGUUGGAGUUCUUUCCCACAUGGUACACUGGUAGCACUUCUCCCAUUGUAUGUUUUUAUUGGUUCAUGCCUUCUUUAGAUCGUUUAGUACAUCAAAACUCCAUUCUGAAUAAUUAUCUAUUUGUAUUGAGUAAAAUUUCACAGGAUAAAAUGAAAUGGUAAAUCUGGAUGUCAUUGAUAGGAAGAUAGUUCACUAAGACAUUUGUAGCAGAUAGUUGACAAACUUACAAUCGGACAAAACUAAUCCGUUUACACUGUUAAUUGCUUCUAAGUUCGCUAAGAUUCUUAUAGUUAUUUACUGACACGAUAAAUUAAUCAAUGCUUUAACAUAUUACUGUGUUGCUGAACUAGUCUCUCCUUGACAAAAGCUUACUUAAGACAUCUUAACUAAUUAUUUUCCAUUACUCUCUCCCUUUGGGGACAUCCGAUAAAAGUGGAAUGAUACGGCUCCUAUAAAAGAUUACCUGCCAGAAUUUUCUCAAGAUACAAAAUUUUGUUAUUUUUUGUACUUAUUUUUCGUUUUUAAUUAUUUGUUCCGAUUCUAAGGUUAUAUAUUUCGACUAACAUCACCGCUAGAUCUGUGAUUCAGCCUAGUGCCUUAUUCACUUGAUGUUUUAGUAUUAUUCUUUUCUAAUCGGAAGAAAAGUUGUUUACAUUGGUGUUGUUACUUUCCUCCUUUAUUGACAAAUAGAAUCUCUUUUCUUGUUCCUAAAACUGGUCAGGUAUCACCUUCUAAAAUCUUGAAAAGAAGAGAUUGAAAGGUGAUCAUUUUUCCUUUUUGUCUAGUUUCAAUUUAAUUUUUGAUUUUCUUUCAUGACACCUGCUUCAAAUUUGAGCAUGCAGUCCAUGAUUGAGAAGUUGUUGUUGAUGCUUCUCGAUCAAGAUUAUCGAGUUAGAUUAUGCUUUGCUUAAUGGGUUGGUGUGAUUUUCCAAACUUGGGAUGGUCAUUCUGAACUGUUCCAGGACAUAUGGUACAAUGCUUAGUUUUUAUUUUUAAUGCACUAUUACCUUUUUUAAGUAUGUCGAAAACUAACGCUUGGCCAGAAAUAACCAUCCAUAUAAAUCUCAAGUGAAAUAGCAUGGUUAUUAGUUUAUCACAGUACGUUGUUUUGUUAUUUUUUUAGAAUUCUUUUGAAAGUUGCUGAAAAGUUCAACGAAGACAAUAGUAAUCAUUUUUUUUUUUAUCAAAAGUUUAAUAAGAACUCACCUUCUCAUAAAGAGUAGAAUAGUUGAAGAACAUGGGUGACACACGAACAGGUCAGAACAAUUCAAUUAGUAGAAGUAUGUACUAUGUCGCAUGAAAAAAGAUGAUUGUCUACGUGUUUUGGGUGCAUCAUACUUGUUCCAGAUUUAGAAUGACAUCAAUUAUGAUAAUCUUAUAAACUAAAUGGUCUCUAUAGUGUGGUGGUUAAACCGACCUUAAUGUAGUGGUUAGAGUGUUAGCCAGUCAAGAACGUUCAAGUUCAAAGAUAAAUGUAGCAGAUACUAUGAUACGUAGAUGGAUGUAUGGACCACCGAAAAGAUAUGAAAAAAUAUUAUAAUAUGUUUUGCAAAGUUCCCAAAUGUGUUUUGCAAAACAUAUUAUAAUAUUUUAAUGUAUACUGUAAAACAUCAUCAUCUUUUAAUAUUUAUAAAUCAAGAAAAGACAAUUAUUAUUUUCCAUGUUUUGAUCUAAGAAUUAAAUCAUAUUUCCUCAUAUCAUUUUUCAAAACUCAAACACUAUAUUUACUAUUUCGGUCCACUUUUAAUUCUCAUAGUUUUCUUUUUAGAUUCAAAUGAUAACAAUUUUGACUAAGAUUUUUUACGAUAUAUUUUUUCAUCAUAUUAAUAUUCUAAAAAUUAGAAUUUAUAGUAUUUUUCAUAUAGAUUUUGAAUACUUGCAUAUAAUACUUAUUUGGUCAGAAAUAUGAUUUAUGCGAUAUUAGCUACCAGAAAUUCUCUAUUUUUUUUUUAUUAUAUGACUCCUUCCUUGUUAAAUAUGUAUUCCCAAUAAUUUUAUAUUUUUGAAUUUAGAAGAUCUUUAAACUUAAAACAUAGUUUUUAAGACGCUCUCUAAAAACCUAGUUGUCAAAACCCAAGAUGUUUGAAUUCUACGACCAGAAUGGGGAUUUGGAUUUUUCGUGGUUGGCAUACGUAUGACUUGAUAUUCACGAAUUUUGAAAGAUUUAUAAAAAACAAUGUGAAUUGAAGGGGGUGUGAACAUAGGGAAAUUAUAUAAUCAAUAUGUGUUGCGUAAGGAAUCUUUUACAUAGCUCAUAGGAACGACUAUUACCUAAUGCAUACCUUUAAAUGGGAUCCGUAAUUUGACACAGCGGAAGAAACAUCAAUAGAUAUUGCAGUAACAUCACUAUUAGCUCUACCUUAUUAAAAUUCCAAUCGAUUAGAAAAAAUCUUAUCACUUCUCACUGGUUGUUGUUGUUGGAAAUCAUGAGAAGUUGAUAUGGCUACUAAUAACAACAAAACAAGAUCAAAUUUCGAGAGUAAAGGUGGAAGUAGACUUGUUGGGUGAGUUUCCGAGGAGAGUUGAUGUGGCUAAAUGGAUUACCAUCAAAUAUAGUUAUCUCUCUAAGUAUUGCAGAAACUGUAAACAAUAUAAAGGCAUAAUGAAAAGGAGUGUUUUGUAUCACAUCCGAAAUUAUAUCCAAAGGAUGGAGGGGGUGUGGAAAACGAGAAAGAUAAGAGUAAAAAUAACAACAAAGAGAUCAAUAUAGUGUCAAAAAAGAAGGACGAGAAUGCUGACAACGGGAAGUUGACGAACAACAACUUCCAGGAACCUAGAAUUAAAAUUGGGACUAGGAGAGGAUAAUAUAAUUACAGGGGAGGACGGAUACAAAGAUGGAAUACAAAUAAGAAAGUGAGUGAAGAGGAUUAGUUAAUGACUAGGAACAAGUUUGAUGUACUUAAUGAGGAAGAGGAGACAGAAGAAACAAGUCAACAACAAGAAAAUAUAUAAUGACCAUAGAAACGCCAAGGCUGAGAAAAGCACAAAGGAUAAAGUUGUGGUUGCAAUCAAAGACUUGGUGGGAGAGAAUUUUUGAAAUCAAGCAAGGAAAAGGAUAUAUCAAUGAAUAAUUUAUUAAGAAACAAGGAGAUGUGAGAAAUUACCAACAAAAAAGAACAAAGGGGAAGAGUACCAGAAUUAAGAGAAAUCAGUAAUGAAGAAGACAAUGAGAUGAAAAAGUUCAGUGAUAAAAUACAAGCCAUUGGAAAAGAUAGUUAAAAAUGGGGUGGCGAUGGGCAUUAAAUUGACGAAUACAAAGGUAGGACAGAAAGAAGAAGAAAAGCCACCAAACCAAUUAAAUACAAAUACAAGUGAUAUGAAGGGGGAAGGUUACGUUCAUCAUAUAACAAUCAAGGAAAAUUCACCAACAGGGAAAAUUUUCAAGAACAAUAGGAGAAAAUCCAGGGGCAUAAAUAGGGGGGAGAAAAAAAGAAUAUAACUGAAAAUAUCAAUGAGAUAAACAAAUAAAGAGAUCUAUCACCAAGGUGUACGAAAUAAUUGUGAAAAUAGUUGGAAAGAGCUACAAAGCUACUGGUAAGGACAAAAGCACAAUGAGUAGUGUAGCAAAACCACCAAUGUGUAAAUGGUGAUAGACAAACUCUUAUUCUAGAGUGGAUUAGAUUCGUUAGCUCACGAAUUUUUAAGAUUAUUUAAUUUGAAGAAAAGAAACAAAUCUGUAUUUAUUUCCCUUAAAUAAUUCAAAAGUCUUCAACAAAAAAGAAACCUAUAGAAUUCAAAAUGACAAAUAUUGUAGCAAAUAUCUCUUCAAAAAUUUGGAUAUGAAAGAUCAUGUUGAGGGAUAUAGACCAACACAGGCUCCACCCAACUUUAUUACCACCUCAGUACUUCAAGAUACCUUGGUUCAUAUGCUAGGACUCCUCGGAAGAAUGACUUAGGCAAUAAUAUUUUUUGUCACCUCUAGUGGCUCACACACUGGUUUUUGAGGUUAGACUCCAGAUCAAAUAGUUUCUCCAUGUUUUCAAACUCCGAGAACUCAGUCAGUUGCUAUUAUAGUCCUCUAUUUAAUAAUGUGGUAUUGCAUAACAUUUUGCUAACAUUCCUUCCAUGACCAUUUAUGAGCAAAAGAUGUUCGGAAGAUUAAGGAUGAUGAAUCUUUCCACCUAUACGGGUGACUUGAAUGAGGAUACAUAUGAAUUUGUAGUAACCUGUAAUGGAAGAUUGCAUAACCUUAGAUUAGAUGAGUCUCAUGAAAUUGACUAUACGAUGUUCCAGAUGACUGGCCUUAUGAAGCAGUGACGGAGGGAUUAUAUUAGUAGUAUUUCAAAUAGAUCACCUCCACUAUCAUAUUUCUAGAUAAGUUUAUUCUACGGGAUGAUCGAGUUCGAGGAUUCGCGGCAAGACGAUAUGUCAAUCACAAAGUAGGAGGUUAAAUUUCAUGCUUCUGCUAGGAACUCAUUGAUGAUACUUCCCACUGAGAGGUUGAGAGAGUGAAAAGGUUUAUUAAAGGUCCAAUUAUUUUGAUUCAUAUUAGAGUUUCUACGGUUACCACUUCUGGCGUUUCAUUUAAGAAAGUGGUUGAUACUUCCAAGGAGCUGGACAUGGUUUGACGUGAGGGAUUUGAGCAACAUGAGGCCAAGAGGGCCCAUCUUUUAGGUCAUUUGGGUAGUGCUACUCUUGAGAGUCGAGAUUAAUUAGGGAGUGGUUGUCACUCUUAGUACCCACUCAUGUUGCGAUAUCAGCUGCUGAGGUUGAUUAUAUUAGGCAUAGUUCUUCUAGUUCGAUACAUACUUCACAUGCUUCAUUUUCUAUAUUGGCAGGUCGUGGAGGAAUUAUGGUCAUUCAGGUUCCUCUCAUCAGUAUAUGUCUUAUAUUUACCAUUGAACCCUUAUUUAAUAUUUUUCUUAAAUUCAAGUUUUCAAUCAAUGAACAUGAAUUAAUUUAUUUUGAGUAAUUAAUUAACUUGAACAAUAGACAUGAAUUGUUUACUUAGUUUUUUCAUGUUGGUCAAGUGUAUAUUUCUAGGCUAAUAAUUUUCAAAAGGGUAAAAUAGGAAUAAUAGUCAUUUAUGCAUUGAUUUGUAAAAUAAUAAAUAUUAAGAAAUAUCUAUUUUAGUGAAGACGACAUGUAAAUAGGAACGGAGAAAGUAUUUUUCUAUUCUCUCUAUCAUAUAUUUUAACUCUAGUUAAUUCCUUAACUAUUAAUUCUCCUAAUUCUCCAUUCAAUUUUACUUGUCGCACUUUGACUUGACAUACCAAUUUAGAAAAUAAUUAUUGAUAUAUGUAUUUACCAAAUUAUCUCUAUAAAAUGAUUUGAAACAUAAGUAUUUAAUGUUGAGGGUCAAACAUGAAAAAAAAUUAGAGUCUUCUCUUAAUAUCUCAAAAGUGACAAGUACAAAUGAAAAUCUCUUUUAGAAAUAAGUGAUAAGUAAAAAUGAAUUGAGGGAGUACUUCUUACCAUCUAUUUUGGAACACCUUAAUUUUUAGGGGUCAUUUGGUUGAGAACUAUUUAUUCCAUGAUAAUUUAUUCUGGGGUUAGUUAUCAUGAGAUAACUUAUUCCAUCAUUAUGUUAUAAAUGGUUGGAUAAGUUAUCUCAAACAUGUCAACUAAACAAGAUAUCUAAAUUAUGUCCCAGGACUAUUUUUUUUUAUCCUAGGACUAUUUCUAUUUAUCCCUCACAUCAAACAAGCCCUUAAUUCUCUCAAAAUUCUAACCAUAUAUUUUAGGACUCCUUAAUUCUUAGUUUUCUUAAAACAACUUAUCAUAUGUUAUAGGACUAUUUAAUUAUUAAUUUUCUUAAAUGUUCUUAUCAUAUGUUUUAAGACUACUUAAUCAUUAAUUUAUUUUUAGUACUUAUACCAUAUAAUUUUUCUAUUUAUGUUUUCUUAAAACAACUUAUCAUAUGUUAUAGGACUAUUUAAUUAUUAAUUUUCAUAAAUAGUUCUUAUCAUAUGUUUUAAGACUACUUAAUCAUUAAUUUAUUUUUAGUACUUAUACCAUAUAAUUUUUCUAUUUAUGUACAUGCAUAUAUUACUUACAUCAUAUUACAUGAAAUUAAAAAAAAAAAAGAUUUAAAAAGAGAAGGAAAUGUAAUAAACAAAAGAGGGAACUACCAAGAAAUAUAUUUACCACACUUUCCAACUUCACACUAAAACCCAGCAACAGCAACAACAAUGAUGGGACCUCCAGUCUCUUUUCCAUCAAGGAAAGUGCACUUGCUUCCCCUUUAUAUAUAUACCCCCAAAACUAUAAAGUCGAAUAUGAAAAACUUAAGAAUUCUUAAAAUUAAAUCUAUACAUUUAAAAAAUGUUAUACUGUCCAAAUUUAUGUGACUGAUUUCAUUUCUUGAAAGUCAAAUAAUUCAUAUUUGUAAACUAUGUAAAAAAAAAAAAAUUUAUUUGUAUCUAAAAAAUCGAAGUGUCACAUAAAACAGAGGGAUUAUAAAUUACUCUCUCUUCUUUUUUACUUGUACUAAUAUUACAAGAUAUUUUUUUAAUUAUAUUUAUAUGAAAGAAAAUAUAAUUUUAAUAAUUUUUGUAUAGUUUUUCACUGUUUAAUUUUUUAUUUUAAAAUAUUUUAUCAUCAUAAUCCAAUUUAGCUUUCAAAGUUAACAAUAUUAAUUUUAUAAAAAAUAUUUUACAAAAUAAAUAAUAUAAAUUAAAAGGAAAUAAAUAAUAUUUGAAUCAUUAGUACAACAUUUUCUUGAGAGGUCACUGCAAUAUUUUCCUCGUACGUAAUCUUUUGAAUUAUAAUCAUGCAGCAAAACCUCGCCAUAUUAAUAUAGUUGGGAUCAUGAAAUAUUAUUAUUUUGUGGAGAUAUUAUUUAAUCAAUAAAUUAAUAUUUAUAAAUUUAAAGAGUGUUUUGAGGUUCAACCUUGUGAUACUGGGAUAAAUAGAGAUUUCAAGUCAUAUCACCGCAACAUAUUUUAUUGAAAGAUAUUAGAAAACUAUAAAGUCAUUAAAACUAGUCAGAAACAAUUAAUGUUCUGGAUGCUAUCGAGUUUGCAAUCUCAGCUUGAACAACAAAUAUUCAACAAGAUAUAUACAAAAGCAAAUUAUUUUCGACACUGCAAAGUUUGUGUGGAAUAGGGGUUCAAAUGGGCUGGGCGGAUUAGAUUGAGAUAGAAAUCGGGUUGGGUCUUGACGCAUUCAAAUUUACUUUUGACUCAAAUGGUGUUGGGUUCAAAUAAACUAAAAACGGGUUGGGUCUUGACAAUCCAAUUUGACCAGAUUAAUCUCAAUAAUUUUAACAUAGUGAUAUUUAACUUUAAUAAUUAAAUUCGAAUUUCCUCUCAAAAAUUCAUUUUUAAAAAAAAAACAAAUUGGAUAGAUAAAUCCUAAAAUUGUUAAAUAGAUAAUAAUUCAUACCUUUAAUAUAGAAACAUAUCUUAGUAAAGAGUUAUAAAACAUGUUGAAAUUGAAAAUUCAAUUGGGUUCAAUUGAGGAUUCUCUUAAAAUGGAUUGCUUGAAUGGGUUGAGAUUUAAUCCGAUUUAAAUUUUCUUGAACCCAACCCUUAAAAUUCUGGGGGGUUGGGCAGGUUAUGUAUGUUUGGGUUCAAUUCUGACACCCCUAGUUCGGAGGAUGAAAUCUCAAUGAUUUAGAAUGAACUCAUUCAUGAAAAUGUCAUUCAUUUACUUAAUGUCAUAAUUAACGUUCUCGAUUAUCGCGGUAAAAUGGACGUCAAUAACUUGUUGAAUCAUCCAGGUGAAAAUGACAUAUGACCAGAGAUUCAGAUCUUAGAAUAAAUUGUGGAUGCAAUGAAAAAUAAUGUUAAUAGUGAAAUUGAAGAUGAGACAAUACCUUUGAAAUCAUUUAUGUAUAAGAAAAAUACUUAUCACAUCUAGAACUCUUCACAUUUUUAUGAUGCAGUUCGAAAAGACAAGGAUGAAACUUUUUGAUGUAAUAAGAAAAUGUAGAGAUGAACUUCAUCAACAUUUAGAGUUCAACAAUUAAUGAUACACAAUAAAAUCAUUCACUUAGAUAUAUUUAUAUUUUUAGAUAAUUAUUAAUUUUAUAAUAUUAAUGAGAUCAUAUAUUUUAUAUAAGGAUUUUCUAAAAAUAUAUUAUCUCAUUAUUUUAUCGUAAUAAGUGAUUUUUUACAUCAACUCAAAUCGAGAUCGAAGAAAAAUAUUAUUAAUUUAUUUAAUAUUAACUUGGUGAAGUUUUAUUGUACAUCACAAUUUUGAUACUUUAUUAAUUACACACUUACUUGGUAAAAGAGUACUGAAUGGAACAUGAUUUAAUAUAGGCAUAGAGUUGUUUAAAUGAAAUGACCAUUAUUAAUUGGUAAUAUUCAUUCUUGACUCACUAAAAGUAAAAUCUACUUAUACUCCGUGUUAUUCUUAUUUAUUACUUUUAUAUAUAUUGAUACUACUUUUAAAUCAUAUAGUAUUUUCUUAUUAGUAUGACCACCGGUAAGGAGGAAAUGAUUAAUUAUUACGUUUUAUAAGCUUUAUAAAAGGACAAAUAUUGUGAAUAUCUAUUUUUAAUAAAAAUGCAAAAUAAUUAGAAACAAUUUUUUAUCAUAAAAAAACUUAUGACCGCAAAUAAAUUAGUUAAAAUUUAUAAAAUAGGAUUAAAAACAAGUGAAAUAGUAUAAACCUUUUUUUCCAAUUAGGAGCUAAUAGAAAUUAUAUUCAAGAUUGAACAUAAAAAAAAAAUUACUCCUGAGAGGACGUUUAAUUUGGAUUGACUUAAUAGUUGGUCAAAUAUAUCUUUAACUAAGUUUUUGACUUCUGAAAAUGUUUGAUAAAUAUAAAAAGAUAACAUAAAAUAAGUCAAAAAUAAUUUAGGAAUAAGCAACAAAGUACACUCUUACCAUCUCCUCUUAUUUUAAGACUUUAAUUAUUAGUUCUCUCAAAACAUCUAACCUAGGACUCCUUAAUUAUAAGUUCUCUUAAAACGUCUUACCAUAUGAUUUAGGACUAUUUAAUUAUUAAUUUUCUUAAAUAGUUCUUACCACAUAUUUUAAGACCACUUAAUCAUUAUGUUUUUUUUAUACUCUUACCAUAUAAUUUAUCUAUUUCUAUUACCUUAUUACCAUAUAAUUUUUCUAUUUCUGUACAUAUAUUACUUCCAUCAUAUUAUAUGAAAUAAAAAAAUUUUAAAAGAGAAGGAAAUUUUAUAAACAAAACAGGGAACUUAUUUAAUAGAGCGAAAUGAUGUAAUACAUGACAAAAGAAUAUGACAAGUAAAUCUAUAUAAUUUUUUUUUUUAAAAAAAAGUAACUACAAAACUUAUAAAGAAAUAUAAUUAAUAACUUUCCAAGUUUGAUAAAAAAAAACUCCAGAAAUUCUAGAAACACAUGUGUGAUUGUGAAUGGGCAGAAACAACUAUACAUUUAUUGGUAUACGCAGAAGCACAAGGGGUAGUAUAACAAAAUAAUCAAUGUGUAAAUGAUGAUAAACAAACUCUCAUUCUGGAAUAUAAGAUUAGUAGCUCAUAUAAUUCUUUUUAAACAAUAAUUUAUUUGAAGACAAAGAAACAAAUAUGCAUAUAUUACCCUUACGAAAUGGUACAAAUUGAAGGUCUUUAGGAAAUAGAAACCUUUAGAAGAAAGCUCGAAAUGACAAAUGUUGUGGCAAAUAGCUCUUCCAAAGUUUGCAUGUACAAGAUUAUGUUGAGGAAUAUGGACCAACUCAGGCUUCGUCCCACUUUAUUACCAGCUUAAUGCUUUAAGAUACCUUGGUUCAUAUGCUAGGACUCAUACGAAGGAUGGCUUUGUCGGAAAUAUUGCCUGUCACCUCUGAUAGCUCAUACACUCAUUUGGAAGUGAGACUCAAGAUCAAAUAGUUGAUUCACGUUCUCAAACUCUUCUAUUUUAGUUCCUCAAUUAGAUAACAUGGUAUUGCUAGGUGUUGCAUCACAUUUGUCUUAUAUGCCUUCCAUGACCAUUUAUAAGCAAAAACUGUUCAUAAGGUUCAAGAUUGUGAAUCCUUUCACCUAUAUGGGUGACUUGAAUGAGGAUGCAUAUCAAUAUAUAAUUACAUGUAAUGCGAUAUUGCAUAACCUAGAUUAGUUGAGUCUCAUGAAUUGACUACACGAUGUUCAAGUUGAGUGAUGAUUGGCCUUACCAAGCAAUGGGAUUAUAUUAAUAGUAGGUCACAUAUCAAAUCAUCUACCAUGUUUCUAGAUAAGUUUGUUCCAUGUAAUGAGAGGGAAAGAAAGAGGGUUGAGUUCUAGUGUUUGCAGCAAGAUGGCAUGUCAAUCGCACAGUAUGAGGUUAAAUUGCAACCCUUGGCUAGGCACGCUUUGAUGAUACUUUCUAUCAAGACUGAGAGAGUGAGGGUUUAUAAUUAAGGGUAUAAUUAUAUUGAUUGAUUAUAUGGGGGUUUCUUAGGUUACCGCUUCUCGUGUUUCAUUUCAGAAAGUGGUAAAUGUUGCAGUAGUGUUGGAUAUGAUUCGAUGUGAGGGAUUUGAGUAGCGUGAGGACAAGAGAGCUCAUCACUCAGGUCAUUUGGGUAGUGCUCCUCCUAAGAGUCAAGGUUACUUAGAAAAAGUUUGUCACUCUUAGUUUAACAGGCCCGUUCAUGCUGCGAUAUAAGUUGUUGCGGCUGAUUAAAUUGGGCAUAGUUCUUCUAGACAUAUUGGUCAUGGAGGGCAUUGUGGUCAUUCAGGUUUCUAUCAUCAGCAUACAUCUCGUAUUUACCAUUGUACCCUUGUUAAGUAAUUCAUAAAGUCAAGUUUUAAGUUAAUGAACAUGACAUAAUUUAUUUUGAUUAAUUAACUAAUUUGAUUAAUAGACAUGAAUUAUUCACUUAGUUUUUCUAUGUUGAUCACAUGUAUAUUUUCUAGGCUGAUAACUUUCAAGGGUAAAAUAGAAACAUUUAUAGUCAUUUGUGCAUUGAUUUUGUAAAAUGAUAAAUAUUAGCAAUAUCUAUUUUUGGUUAAGACAACAUGUAAAUAGGAACAGAGAAAGUAUUCUAUUUUUCUACCAUAUAUUUUAACACUACUUAAUUCCUUAACUUUUGGUUCUCCUAAUUCUCCCUUCAUUCAAUUUUACUUGUCACAUUUUUACCUGACAGAAAAAUUCGUUCAAUUUUAUUUAUCAGUGAAGUACACUUUGAAUACUACAUCAAGUAGUAUAAAAAGUCUAGAAAAAUUAUUUUAUUAAAAUGAGAGUAUCCCUCAAUUUAUAGAAAAACAAAGGGUAGUGUGAAUAAAGUUUUUAUUGUGCCUUACCGGAAAGGUCACCACCAUUCAUAAAAGUCGCAACUUUUCAUAAAACACGCAAUUUUUCAUAAUAGUCACAACAUUUCAUAAAAGUUGCAAAUUUUCAUAAAAGUCGCAACUCUUCAUAAAAGUCGCAAUUUUUCAGAAAGGUCACCACCUUUCAUAACAGUCACAACUCUUAUAAAAGUCGCAAUCUUUCGGAAAAGUCACAAUCAUUCAUAAAAGUCACAACUUUUCAUAAAAAUCACAAUUUUUUUUAUCAAAGUCACAACUCCUUAAAAAAUCGCAACUCUUCAUAUUCCAGUCACACCUUUUAAAACCCACCAUAUUAAAUGUAUGUAUAUAUAUAUAUAUAUGUAUGUAUGUACAUGUAAGCAUAUAUGUAAUUCCAAUCUCUUUUCCAUCGAGGAAAGUACACUUCCGCAACCACCAUAAAUAAAAUCAAGUACCACAGCAGAAGAGUAGAAGAAAACAAACAAUUCUCUUUCACUUGAAAUUUUUUUGAAGAAAGUUGGAGAAAACGAAUAUUUGUGCCUCAGUUUUUGACAAUAUUAGACUUUCAUCGGAUAUCGCUGCAAAACUCUGAUGAGUUUCAGGCGAAGGAGAACCAUAGCGAAGAAGUUUUUGAAUUAUCUUUAGUGUCUGAGAAUUUGGAUAAAUCAAUAGAGAAAUUCAUCUAUGAAGGUCAAACAAAAUUCUAGCAACCAAUUUUCCCUCUUUUGAAGGACAAAUAAAUUUUGAUUUCGUGAAGAAGUUGUUUCUAGAAUAAAAUGAAUCAACGGCAUCUUCAUCGGUAGAAGAAUUGGAGAAGAUACCUACUGGAACUUACUGUAUAUGGAAGCCGGAGAUAAGCGAGCCAUUACCAGGAAUAGACAAAAAGAGUAAAUCAACAGGAUUUGUAUCGAAGCGGUGGCUGAGGAUCCGAGAUUUGUUACGGUGGAGUAGUAGUGAAGGUAAGGAAUAGGGAAGUUUUGCAUUUCUAACAAGAAAAUAAAAGUAAAAAAUUUCCAGUGAGGUGGUAAAGACAGCCGGAAAAUUGAAGCAGAAAAAACCAGCUGAGGAGAGAAAGGUUCAUCGACAGUGACAUCUGAGCAGGCAUUGUAUUAUGUAUUAAAUACAGAAGGUGAUAAGAAUAUGAGAAAAUCAAAUUUACCUCCUAGGGAACAACUUAUUGGAGUUUUUGCUAAUUGUUUGAGUAAAAGUUAUCAAACAUCUUAACACGCUACUGCUUUUAGCAUAGAUUGUUAUAGAGUUCUUUUAUUGGUAUUCUAGUAUAGGAUUUUAUCACCAACCAUUUAGAAAUGGAUGUUUCUUUUUUAUGUUUUAUUUUCCAAUUCUGAAAAUAAAAAGAUUUUUACAACUCCCCACUCUAUCAAAAUGUUCGAUUUUUAGAUUCAUUUUUUUUUUGAAAUUUUGACUAUAGAUUGUAUAUAAGUUACUCUCUCCUAGUUAUUUUUUACUUGUACUAAUAUUAUAAGAUAUAUUCUCUUAUUAUAUAUAUUUAUAUAAAAAAUACAAGAAAUUACAUUUAAAUCAUUAGUACAACAUAUUCUUGAGUAGUAGACAACAUGAUAAAUAUUAAUAUAUCUUUUUUUUUCCGUAAAGACAAUAUGCAAUUUGGAAUAAAGAGUAUUUUUUUAAUUCUUUUUACCAUACAUUUUGAAACUACUUAAUCCUUUAACUGUUAAUUCUCCUAAUACUCACUUCGGUCAAUUUUAUUUAUCACGCUUUGACUGGACACAAAAAUUUGUUCAAAGGGUAGUGUGAUAAAGGUUCUUAUUGUGCCUCUCAACUUUUCAUAAAAGUCACAAAUUUUUAAAAAUUUGCAACUUUUCAUAAAAGUCACAACCUUUCAUAAAACUCGCAAGUUUUGAUAAAAGUCGCAACAUUUCAUAAAAGUUGUAACUCUUCAUAAAAAUCGCAACUCUUUAUUUUCCAUUCACACCUUUAAAAUCCACCACAUGAAAAGUGUAUAUAUAUAUAUAUAUAUAUAUAUAUAUAUAUAUAUAUAUCUGUUGUGUGUGUGUGUGUGUGUAUGUGUGCGUGCGUGCAUGCGUGUGUGUGUGUGUGUAACUAACUAUACAAACUAACUAACUAAAUGAAUAUAAUAACUAACUAAUUUCCAAUACUCCCCCUCAAGCUGGAUGUAUUGAAGAUAUUCAAUAAUCCAAGCUUGGAUAAAAGAAAAUCAUGUUGAGUUCAUCCAAGAGCUUUUGUUAAAACAUCCGCUUGUUGCUCUUUGGAAAUUAUGUAAUUGGUUCGUAUUAGUCCUUGUAAUAUCUUCUCACGAAUGAAGUGGCAGUCUAUUUCGAUGUGCUUCGUCCUCUCAUGAAACACAGGAUUAGCAGGAAUCUGAAGAGGUGCUUUGCUAUCACAAUGUAUUAUGGUUGAGGAUUCCAAUUUUACACAUAAAUAUUUGAACAAACUAGUUACCCAAACCACCUCUGCAGUCAAGGUUGCUAGACUCCUAUAUUCUUCUUUAGCAGAACUUUGAGAUACUGUAUUCUGUUUCUUAGAUUUCUAGGAGAUGAGGGAGUCACCAAAUUUCAACAAAUAACCUGUCACAGACCUUCUAGUACUAAGACAAGCUGCCCAAUCAGCAUCACAAAAUCCAGUUAGCUUUGUAUCUUUGUGUGAACUCAUAAGUAACCCCAAACGUGUACUCCUUUUAAUGUAAUUAAUCACUCUCAAAGUAGCAUUCCAAUGUGAAUGUUUAGGUUGCUGCAUAAAUUGACUCAAAUUCUGGACUGCAAAUGCAAUAUCUGGUCUAGUAUUAGUCAAGUAAAGAAGUUUACCAAUCAUUCUUUGGUAUCUACUUACAUCAAGAAAAAGAGGAUCAACAUUGCUUGUGUUAUAUUCAACUGAAGUGAGCUUUAUAUUACAUUCCAAAGGAGUAAAAACAGGUUGUGCUCCUGCAAGACCAGCCUCAGAAAUUAAUUCCAAUGCAUACUCUCUUUGAUUAAUUACUACACCACUUUCUGAUUUGCAGAAUUCAAUUCCUAAGAAAUAUUUCAACUCUCCUAGACCCUUCAUCUUAAAGUGACUAUGCAACACUUGUUUAGUAGCCUGAAUUAACACAAGAUCACUACCUGUGAUCAACAAAUCAUCAACAUAAACCAAAACUAUUACCAUCCCUGUAUCACUCCUCUUAGUAAACAAUGAUUAAUCCAAAAGACUCUGUGUAUAUCCGGAUUUACAUAAUGCCUCAGUAAGCUUAGCAUUCCAUUAUCUUGAGGCUUGCUUUAGACCAUAUAAUGACUUAACUAGCUUGCACACACAAUUUUGUUCUGCACCCUUGAAUCCUUUAGGUAAUUCCAUAUAGACUUCUUCAUACAAAUCACCUUGUAAAAAGGCAUUAAACACAUCCAUUUGGAAUAUUGGCCAGACCUUUAUGGAUGCCAAAGCAAUAAUGGCUCUUAUAGUAACCAUCUUCACAAUAGGAGAAAAGGUCUCCUGAUAAUCAAUCCCUUCUUUUUGAUUGUACCCUUUAGCAACUAAUCUUGCUAUAUAUCUAUCAACCAUCCUAUCUGCUUUAUAUUUAAUUUUGAAUACCCAUUUACAACCAAUAACAGAUUUUCUUUCAGGAAGUUUCAUGAUCUGCCAUGUACCAUUAUCCUCUAGUGCUUUAAUCUCUUGUUCCAUUGCUUCCACCCACCUAGGAUCCUUUACUGCUUCCUCAUAAGUUCUAGGUGCUACUUCUUCAGAAAAAUGACAAAGAAAAGAUUGAUAUCCAGUAGACAAAUGAUCAUAUGUUACAUAUUUAGACAUGGAAUAAGGAUGAUCAGAAACAUUUGUAACAUAAUCUUUUAACCAAACUGGAGAAUUACUUGACCUCUCUGAAUGUCUUGUUGCUAUAGGUGCUACCACUGGAACAUUAGGUACCAAAUAAUCUUCUAACUCAACUUCUUCAGAAUUGUUAGAAUUAUUAGUAUCAGUAAACUCCAAAGUAUCAUCAGUCACUGCUGGUUCUUGGACUGUUAUAACAUCCUUCACACUUUGAGAAUCUGUAGUAAUAUGUUGAUGAUUGAAUAAUGGCACAUCUUUGUCCAUUUUCUUUGUUGCAAAUGGAAACACUUCCUCUUUAAAAACAACAUCCCUACUUACCAACAUUUUUUGGUGGUUUAAACUGUAAACAACAUAACCCUUCUUAGUAGAAGAAUAUCCCAUGAACACACAUGCAUCAGCUCUAGUUGAAAAUUUGUCAUCCUUGACAAGUUUAGUUGCAUAACAAAGACAACCAAUUGUUCUCAAGUGACUUAGACCAGGCUGCAUUCCAUGAAACAUUUCAAAAGGUGACUGUCCAUUUAGAACACUAGUUGGCAUUUUAUUAAUUAGAUAUACUGCUUCCAAGACACAUUCUCCCCAAAAUCUUAUUGGUAAAGAACCUUGAAAUCUUAAAGCUCUUUCUACUUCAAGAAUGUGCCUAUGUUUUCUCUCCACUACCCCAUUUUGUUGUGGAGUGUGAGGACAACUACUCUCAUGAAUGACUCCCAACUUUUCAAACAAUGCUUUACAUCCACUAUUGAAAAAUUCAGUCCCAUUAUCUGACCUGAUCUUCUUAACAGUUGAAUUGAGUCUGAACCAUGACAAAAAAGCACUGUAAUAUCUGGAAAACAUCACUUUUGAAUUUCAUCAGAAAUAACCAAGUCAUCCUAGAAUAGUCAUCAACAAUUGUUAAGAAAUAUCUAUAACCAACAAGUGUAGGACUCUUAUAUGGUCCCCAUACAUCCAAACGAAGUAAGUCAAAAAUGAGAAAGGUCUUUGACAUGCUUAAAGGAAAAGGAUGCCUAGUUUGUUUUGCAAGUGGACAAACUGGACAAUUAUUACACUCACUUAUAUCUUCACCUCUUUUAAUCAAACACAAACUUUUCAACACCUUCAUGGAGGGAUGUACUAGCCUAUUAUGCCACUUGAAGCCUUGUGAAUUAAAAACCAUAUUGCUUAUCAAUGCAUUUUGUUCAUCAUGUGUAUCUCUUUCUGGGAUUUGACUGGGUAGGUAGUAUAAACCAUUCCUCUCUUUACCAAUCCCCUUCACCUUUCCAUUUGAGAAGUCCUGAAAUACACAGAACUCAGGGAAAAAAUUCACAGAACAAUUCAACUGUCUAGUUAGCUGUGAGACUGAUAACAAAUCAUACUUAAAAUUAGGAACAACUAACACAUUCGUCAAUGUGUCACCAAUUGACACUUUACAGCUACCAAUUUGAGUUACUGAAGUUGCUUGUCCAUUAGGUAGAUGAACCUGUUUAUCUAGAUCUUUUACAGAAACAGAAUAAUCUAACUUGGUUUCUUUAGAAGUCAUAUGACGAGUUGCUCCAGAAUCAAUUAUCCAAUCUUCAUUAUCUUUUCUUUUAGCUUUCGUGUUAUAUACAGAUAAAAGUUUAUAAGUACCUGCAGUAUUUGCCAUAUACUCUUGUGAAUCCACUUUGUUUAUCAUCUGCAGAAUCUUGUUAUAUUGAUUUGGAGUAAAAGUAGGUUGUGUUGUUAGCUGAUUCUCAUGUCCAUUCUGCCCCACUUUUGCAGCUUGUUUUAAACUUCCUGAAUUGUUAUUCAAUCCCUGCACAGACUCAAAUUCAUCUCUGAUCUGACUAUCAACAUAUGCAUGAUUUGCUUUCCCUGCAUUUUGCACAUCUUGACCAGGUCCAAAUUUCGUCGUGAAUUUCCAAUCUAGUGGAUAUCCAAUCAGUCUAAAGCAUAUAUCCUUUGUAUGACCAUGCAACUUACAGUAAUCACAUACCAAAUGCCAAUUCUUCUUUUGUUUAAAAUUGCUACUAUUUCCUAUAUUUCCAUAGCUUCCUCGUCCAACAUACAUUGCCAUAGGAUCAUAACUACCACUAACAUUCUUUCCUUUUUUAUAUUGCACUACAGAAUCAUCAUUUUUUUAGAAUACAAUGCCAUCGACUCAUCAAUAUCUCCGCCAACUCUAUUCACAACAGUCAUACGCUGACUUUCAUCAGAAGUUAUCAUAACAUAUGCUUUGUUUACAUUUGGAAGAGGAUUCAUCAUCAAGAUUUGGCUUUUUGCAUGGCUGUAUAUUUUAUUUAAUCCCAUCAAAAAAUCAAACAGUCGCAGAAACAGUAAAUGAUCUAUAUAUAUCUUUGAUUUAUCACAAUCACAAGUAGGAGGAGGUACCAACGCAUCAAAUUCGUCCUAUAACAGUCUCAAUUUUGUGAAAUAAGUUGAUACUGUAAGAUUACCUUGAUGAAGAGUACAUAUUUCUCGAUGAAGUUGAUAACUUCUUGAACCAUCAACCUUGUUAAAUCUUUCAUUCAGAUCUUCCCAAACCAUGGCUGCAUCUGAUGCGUACAUAAUCCCACUCAACAACUCCUUAGAAACUGUGUUCAUAAUCCAAGCCAACACAAACGCAUUACACUUCUCCCACUGUUCCCCUAAUUCAGGUUUAUAAUCUGACUUGCGAUAAGAUCCAAGUACAAAGCCUAAUUUGUUCUUUGCAUGCAAAUUGAUCAUCAACGACCUACUCCAUAAUGAGUAGUUUUCAGUUCCUGUGAGUUAAACUGAAGUUAAUACACUACCUAGAGUGUAUGAAGGGUGUAGGUACAGAGGAUGAUUGCGAUUCUUCUCAAUUUCUUCAAGAAUAUCUGCUGAAACACUUGAACUUGAACUUGCGAUAACUUUUGAUACCAUGGCUCUGAAACUCAACAAUGAUUAUCAAACUCAACAAUGGCAGAAAAGAAAAAAAAACGUGAAUCUGAUGUUGUAGACUCACGGCUCUGAUACCAUGUUCUAAUUUGGAAGAAGAGUUGAGAGGAAGAAGAGUUGAGAGUAAAAGAAUUCUAUUCAAACUGAAUUUUCAUCCUAAUAUUACAAAGGGUACAAUUCUCUGUGUAUAUAUAUAUAUAUAUAUAUAUCCUAAAACAGAAUUUAGUUACUACACAUUAAUCAAUGUAACUGACUAUACAAACUAACUAACUAAAUGAAUAUAAUAACUAACUAAUUUCCAAUACGGAGUAGUAGUGAAGGUAAUUAAGAGGACAUUUUUGUAUUUAUAACAAGAAAAGAAAAAUAAAAAAAUUCUAGUGGGUUGGUGAAGAAGGUUGGAAAAUUGAAGCAGACAAAAACCAACAUAGGAGAGAAGGGUUCACCGGCGGCGGCUUCUGACCAGACAUUGUAUUAUGUAUGAAAUAGAGAAGGUGAUAAAAAUAGGAGAAAAUCAUAUUUACCUUAUAGAAAAUAAGUCAAUGCAUUUUUUGCUAUUGGUUUGAGUAAAAGUUAUCGACCAUUUUAAUAUGCAAAUGGUUUUAGCAUAAAUUGUUAUAGAGUUAUUUUUUUGGUAUUCUAGUAUAGGAUUUUAUCACCAACCAUUUCAAAAGGGGUGUUUCUUAUUUAUUUUUUAUUUCCCAAUUCUGAAACAAAAAAGAUUUUGACAACUCCCCUCUAUAUCAAAAUAUUGGAUUUUUUGAUUCAAUUUUCUUUUUUAAUUUUUUUUGACUAUAGAUUGUAUAUAAGUUACUCUCUCCCAGUUGUUCUAAUAUUGUAAGAUAUAUUCUAUUAUUAUGUAUAUUGAUUUUAAAAAAUGCAAAAAAUAACAUUUAAAUCAAUAGUACAACAUUUUCUUGAGUAGGAGACAACAUGAUUAAUGUUAAUAAUAUCUAUUUUUAUUAAAGACAACAUGAAAUAGGAACGAAGAAAGUAUUUUCUAUUCUUUUUACAAUAUAUUUCAACACUACUAAAUCCCUUAACUAUUAAUUCUCCUAAUACUUCCUUCGUUCAAUUUUACUUGUCAUAUUUUGACUUGACACAAAAAUUUAUUAAAUUUUACUUGGCAGUAAAGUAUACUUUUAACACUACAUUUAGUAAACGAAGAAGUCUAGAAAAAUUAUUUUAUUAAAAUGGGAGUGAAAUCCUCAAUUUAUAGAAAAACAAAGGGUAGUGUGAAAAACAUUCUUAUUGUGCCUUAUCAGAAAGGUCACCACCUAUCAUAAAAGCCGCAACCUUUCCUAAAUGUUGCAACCUUUUAUAAAAGUCACAACCUUUAAUAAAAGUCGCAACUUUUCAUAAAAGUUGCAAUCUUUCGGAUAGGUCACCACUUUUCAUAAAAGUCACAACUUUUCAGAAAAAAAUGCAAUCAAUAAUCAAAGUCACAACUCUUCAUAAAAAUAAAAACUCUUUAUUUUCCAUUUUCACAUUUUAAAACCCACCACAUGAAAAGUAUAUAUAUAUAUAUAUAUAUAUAUAUAUAUAUAUAUAUAUAUAUAUAUGUAUGUAUGUAUGUAUGUAUGUAUAGACAUGAAAAAAAUAAAAGAAGGUAAUUACAAAUGAACUUACAAAUAUAUUUAAUAACUUUCCAAGUUGAUAGAAAUUGUGGAAGCACAUUUGUAAUUCUAGUCUAUUUUCCAUCGAGGAAAGUACACUUUACCUAUAAAUAAAAUUCAGCACCAGAGCAGAAGAUUAGAAUUAAAACCACAAUUCUCUCUCACUUAAAACAAAUAUGAAGAAUGUUGGAGAAGACGAAUAUUUGUGCCUUAGUGUUAAAAUUUAUGGACUUUCUUCGGAUAUCGUUGCAAAACUCUUCGAUGAAUCUCAGGCAAAGGAGAACCAUAGAGAAGAAGAUUUUGAAUUCUCUUUAGUCUCUGAGAAUUUGGAUAAAUCAAUUGUGGAAUUCAUCUGUGAAGGUCAAACUAAAUUCCAACAGUCAAUUUUUCCUCUUUUCAACCGCGAUCUAUCGCUUAGCGAUUCGGAUUUGAUGGAUAAAUCAAUUCUAAUCCCAUUGAUGAUUUUUUUUGUAAAAACAAUGAAUGAACGACAUCGUCGGAUGCAGAAGAAAUAAAGAAGAUACCUGCCGGAACAUACUAUAUGUCGAAGUCGGAGAUAAGCGAGCCAUUACCAGGAGAAUGCAAGAAAAAAAUCAACAGGUUUUGUCACGAAGCGAUGGCUGAGGAUUCGAGAUCUGUUACAGCGGAGUAGUAGCGAAGAUACGGAAGAGGACAUUUUUGAAUUUCUCACAAGAAAAGAAAAAUAAAAAAAUUCCACUGAGGUGGUGAAGACGGCCGAAAAAUUGAAGCAGGCAAAAACCAGUGGAGGAGAGAAGGGUUCACCGGCAACGACUUCUUAGCAGACAUUGUAUUAUGUAGGAAAUAGAGAAGGUGAACGGAAUAGGUGAAAAUCAUAUUUACCUUAUAAGAAAGAACUCAUUGGAUUUUUUGCUAUUAGUUUGAGUAAAAUUUAUCUCCAAUUUUACAUGCAAAUUCUUUUAGCAUAGAUUGUUAUAGAGUUCUUUUAUUGGUAUUCUAGUAUAGGAUUUUAUCACCAACCAUUUCAAAAUGGAUGUUGCUUCUUUAUUUUUUAUUUCACAAUUCUGAAAUUAAAAAGAUUUUGAAAACUUCUCUCUCUAUCGAAAUAUUGGUUUUUUAGAUUCCUUUUUCUAACUUUUUUUUUGGAGUAUAGAUUGUAUGUAAGUUACUCUCUCCUAGUUAUUGUAUACUUGUACUAAUAUUUUAAGAUAUAUUCUCUUAUUUUAUAUAUAUAUAUAUAUAUAUAUAUAUAUAUAUAUAUAUAUAUAUAUAAUACAAUAAAUAACAUUUAAAUCAAUUAGUACAACAUUUCUUGAGAGGUUACUGCAAAUAUAUUCCUCGUAUAUAAUCUUUAUGAAAAUUUGAUACUUUAUUGAUUACAAAUCUUAAAUGGAAAAAGAGAACCGAACGGAAGAUGAGCUAGAAUAGGCUUAGAGUUGUUUAAAUAAAAUGACUAUUAUUUAUUGCUAGCAUUCAUGCUUGACUAGGGGUGGGCAUUUGGUAUUUCAGUUCGGUUCGGUUUUUUUUUCGGUUUUUUCAGUUUUCGGUUUUUGUAAAUUGCGUACCGAAUACCGAACCGAAAUACUUCGGUUCGGUUCGGUUUUUGUUAAUUCGGUUCGGUUUUUAUUAAUUCGGUUCGGUUUUUUAUUUCGAUUUUUUAAUGGGCCUGUUUAGUGGGCUUUUUAAACUUAACAAUUUUUUCAAUUUUUUGUUUGAUUUUUCAACUUAAUGGGCUUUGAUAUUUCAACUUAAUGGGUUUUGAUAUUUCAACUUAGGGUUUCUUAUUUUUUAAAAAAAGAUUAUUUAAUAUUAAUAAUUAUUAAAUAUAAUAUAAUUUAUAAAUUAUAAUUUAAUAUUUCGGUUUAAACCGAAAUACCGAAUUCCAAAGUAACAUGUACCGAAAACCGAACCGAAAUGCCAAAAAUACAAAAAAUUAAACCGAAUACCGAACCGAAAAUCGAAAUACCGAAACCGAAAUUCUGAAAAAUUUCGGUUCGGUUUGGUGUUUCGGUUUUCCGGUUUUUAUGCCCACCCCUAUGCUUGACCCACUUAAUACUGAAAGCUAGGAAUCUUUGGUAUUGUUACCUAAAUUGGCUUAUUUUUAGAAUUAAUUUUUUUAAAAUAGUUUUUUAGGAAAAAAUGUUUUUUAAAUUUUUUAAAUUUAUAUUUGGUUAACUUAUUUGAAAAGUGCUUUUGAUAAGAUAUCGUGUUUGACUAAGAUUUAUUUUAAAUAAUGUUUUUAAGUGUCAAAUUUUAAAAAAGGACAAUUAUCUAUGUAUUUUUAAUAUGAAAUUAUUUUAUAGAUAGAAAAUAUUUUAAAUAUCAAUUAUUAAAAAAUUAAGCAAAGUUUUAGUUUUUGUUGAAUUAAAAUUUGUAGAUUUAAUUUUUCAAUCAUUAUACAAAUAAAAAAGUCAAAAAGUACAUUACAUAUUGAUAAAUUUUUAAUGUGAUUAUUUUAAUAUAUUUAAAAUAUCAAAUAUAAAGUAAUGAUAAUAAAUUAGUAUAGAAAAAUGAAAUUUUUAGAUGAAACUUUUACCAAAAGUUAUGAGAUAUGUUCAUUAAUUUACAAGGGAUAAAUGGGUAAAUAUGUAAAUAUGAAAGAAUAUUUUGGUCUUGUAACAAUAAUUUUCCAAUUUUCCUUUCUUUAAGAGGUUGUAGUUUUUAGUUUCCUUUCAACAACCAAAAAUUGUUUUUGCUUUUAUUCAACAAUAAUUUUAUUGAUUUGUCCAAUACAUUACUUUUUUAAGAAAAAAACUAAUACAAUUUUCAAAAUAGGUGUUUUUGGACUUCGAACACUAAUGUCAAAGAUAUUCCCUACUAUCCUUAUUUAUUACUUUUAUCGAUAUGAUAUUUUUUUAUCAUAUUAAUAUUUUUUUAUAUUUAUGACCAAGGGUAAAGGAAGGAAUAAUCAAUUGAUUAUGUUUUGAUUUUUGAAAUGAAAUAUAUUGUGAAUAGCUAUUUUAAUAAGAAUGAUAAAUAUUUAGAAACAAAAUUUAGUCGUCGAAAAAAUUGUGACUGCAAAUAAAGUUAAAAUUUAUAAUACAGGGCAAAAAGCAAGUGAAAUAGUAAUUACUUUUUUCCCAAUUAGGAGAUAGAAUAUAAGCAAAAAAAUUAUUCAAGAUUGAAAGUUAACAAUAUGCUACUCCUAGAUGGUAAUUAGAUUUGAAGAUUAAGAGUGAGAUAUUAACUAGAAGAAAAAAAUACUGCUCCUACUUUCAAGCAAGAGCUCAUUUGUAGGAUUUGUUUCUUGGAAACUUAUAAAGAAGGCUAGUAAAUUGUACUUAGCUAGUCCUCUCACGUGAUCAUAAAUCAACACAAGCUUUGUGGUUGUUCCUGUUGAGAUAUAUACUAUUAACAUAUGUUUAAAUAUAUUUUUUGACAUAGAAUAAUUAUUUAUUCGCUUUUAAUAGAUCAUAUAUUCGCCUAUGAUGUUUGUUUACUUAUAUAGUAGAUGAUUUAGUACAUAAACUUUUAGCUUAUAUAAAACUGAUUAAGUCAUUGUGUCUUGUAAGUAUAAAUUUUUUCUUCACAAUGUAAGUUGAGAAUUGGACAUGUCAUCGAUAUGAUUGUACUACAAGAUUAUGUGUAGUUUAUUUUGAUUAUGGGAAUGAUAUAGUUUCAACUUCUUGUGCUAGUGCAUUUCAUAUGUAUUGAACGAAUUCUUAAUCCCUAAAUAACUAUUAUGAUAUAUAUGUAUAUCUUUAUUAUCAUUUUGAUUUAUUAAAAUGUGAGAUUCUAAGAUGAGUCGAUACGUUUGUUAGAUUGGAUGGUGACAAUAUAUAUUGGUGAAAUAAUAAGUUAGUUGACACAAUCCAUGGGAUAGAUGAUAUGCCAUUUUGAGAAGCUUAUACGUUUUCAUUGUGUCAAACCUUGCAAGAGAAUUUAUUAAGUUAAGCAAUGCUCUAAAGGAAAUUGACCAUUGAAUUAAAUUCGUGAGUAACUUAAUUUAUUGAUUCGUAUUUGUAAUCUUAACGCGGGGAGUUUUAGAAAUAUAAUAGAGGAGUGCAAUUACGAAUUUCUAAUGGAAUGAUUUGUAAUUCAAUGUGGUAAGAAUAGUUCAAAUUAAUUAUUUAGAAUUAUUUGCAUAUUAGAAAUGUCACACCCUGAGUCUAUACCGUGAACGUGGCCGACACCCAAUGACCAUUACUGGCCUUGAGCGUACCUUUGUCCUGACUUGCUUAACUCAGCGGAAGACUUACACUCAAGAGAUGAUGUAACAACCCCCAAAAAAAUUUCGAACUAAGACUCAAAGAGUUAAUCGUAGUGAGUGAGAUUUAACCAAGAAUUCAAAAAAUUUCUUAAGUAUUAAGGUCAUUACACAAGGAUUAGAACCAAGUGUUCCAAAAAGAACUAUAUUCGAAUUAGCAAAAAUCUGAAAUUUGGAGAGUUAAGUUACGUAUGAGUUUUGGGUCAACUUCAAACGACCAUAACUCCUAGCACAUGAUGAUUUAGGUGUUCUACAAGAUACCGUAGGAAAUAUCUUUGAGUUUAACUUUCCAAAUCUGCCAAUUUUGUUAAGUUUCAAGUUCGGAUGAGUGAGAUAUGACCUUUUUAAGUUAGGCUGUCCAGCUAAGGAAAGUUAGCCGAAAAUAUUAAGGGUAUUUUCAUCAUUUCCUUAUCCAAUAAGAUUUAAUAUGUUUUUAGUACUAUUUUAAGGGCCUAAUACUUUUAGAUUCAGACUUAUAAUCCUAAUAUACACCUACGGUUUUAGUUGAUAGUUCAAGAAGAGGCAAAAAGAGAAAAGAAGAGAAAAGAGGAGAAAAGAUGAAAAGAUGACGGCGUUCAUUGACGUUCUUGUGUUUAGUUGCAGAUUUUUGCCAUGGGUCUAAUCCCUAAGAGGUAUGUAAACUUACAUAGUGUUGGUUUAGUUCACCCACAUGUCAAUCAUGUUAUUUUUCAGCGAAUUUUGAUAUUUAAAGUUUCAAGAUUAGAGUUCUUGAUGAGCUCUUAAUAGGCGUUCUUGAGGUUCAUUCUAAAUCUUGUUGUGUUGAGUUUUUGAUAAAUUCUUGAUAUGAAAUUGAGUAAUUUGAGUGUUGCUUUCAGUAGAUUAAAGUGUAAUUAAGCUGAGAAAUCAAAUCCAAGUGAUUGGCGGAUAAACUCUUCGAUUUUAGGCGAGUUAGGGUGAGAAAACGAGCAAAAGUGCUCGGCAGAACUUUCUGCACCACCCAUAGCUCACGAUCACCUGCUCCAUCCAGUUUGCCCCCGAUUGCUCCAUUUGAGCUCAUAUAAAUUCACUUCUUUUGAUUCUAAACAAUUUAAACUACUUCUAAAAACUUGAAAAUCAUUAGUAACAUGAAUUAUAACCUUAAAAUAAUAAUUCAAAUACAAGGUAGGAUUAAGAUUAAAUUUUGAGAGUUCUUCCAAAACCUUUUAAGAAUGUCCCUUUGAUUCCUUUUGAGGAGUCUUCCACAACUAGUAACUUGUUUCAAGACUCAAGUAAGUCAGGAUGAGAGUGAGGAGAAUGUAUUCAUGAGUCUACAAUACAACCAAGGUUAUUCAUAUCAUGAACCACAACUCUUGAACUCAUAAUUUACAUUCAAGAGAGAGUUAAGAGUAGAGUUCAAGAAAGCCUUCAAGUUAAAUUUUUAAUUCUUUGAUAUGCAUCAUUGAUUGAACUAAUUUUUGAGGAAGUAAAAAAGAGAAUGAGAAGAGUCAUAUACAUGAAUUCCAAGUAUAUAUGUAGUCCUUGAGUGGAAUUGUUCAUCCCUAUAAUUACGCAUGAACCUUAUGUGUCGAACUGUGUUGAGAUGGGAGGAACUUUGAGUUCUCGAAAUGAGUAGUUCAUGCUUAUAAUUUUGCAUGAACCCUCCAAAUUGAAAAUCAUGAAAUCAUCCAUAAACAUGACAUCAUGAUCCUUGCCUCUAUAAUACAUUUAAGGAAAGUUAUGAUAAAAGUCAAAGAAGUUAAAAGUCAAGUAUAAAAGUUAAGAAACAAGUCAAAGUGAGUUCUUAAAGUUUCCAAGAGUCUUUAACAAACCUUUUUAACUUUGUUUUAAGACUCAAUUUACAAGUUAAGCAAGAGCAAACAGUUGACUUCAUUCUCAAAUGUUAUAAGGGAACUAAGUAUUUCCUAAAUUAAGUUUCGAGUAAGCAAAGAGCAUAAAAUUGAGUUAAUUUCUCAAGAGUUAUGAGGGAACUAAGUAAUCCCUUAGAGCUUAAACUAAAACAUUUUCAAACAUUUGAGAAACAAAGGAAGUUUCACUGCCACAGAGCCUAUGACUAGUUUUAAUAGAAGAAAGAGGAAACUAUGAUUUCCAAGAGAACUUUUUAAAAACUAUGUUUUGAGUACUAAUCUCGAAUUAGUAUGUUUUUAAAAUAAAAGCCAGUAUAUUUGUAAAGUAGUAUUGAACAUCGAUAUGGGGGAGAGUUCAAACAACUCACAACCGUCAUAAACCAUGUAGCCACCAUGGAUAGAAGAGGGUCAUACCUUUUAGAUGAACCCUUUUCAUAGAAGACUAGUGGAUCCAUUAGACAAUUCAGGUCCUAUAACCUCACAAUGUUAGGAUGUAAGGGUAGCGUAGGCUGAAUAACUCUUAUUUCACUAUAGUUCUUAAGUGAUGGUUGAUGGUAAGAGAAGCUCCCACAGAAGUUAUAGUAUUUUUAUAUAAAUCAGUUUUUAUUUUCAUAUACAUUUGAGAGUUAUGUUGUAUCCUUGAUAUACACAUAGAGUUGACAUCAUGUUUUUAAACAACUUUUCAUUUUAUUGCACUUGUCUUAAACUUCUUUAUAUUGAAAUUAGUUCAGUUGAGUAUCUAAUCCACGAGUUGAAUAUCUUAUUCUUAAGUUGAGUUGAGUGAGUUUUAGAAGAGGUAAGUAUGUUUCUUUUUUUAUUCAAGUGUAUAGCUUAUGUCAUACUUUAAAAUUCCUUUUACAUGCUCGUAUAUUCCACUUACUGAGCCAUUUGACCUGCAUCUUUAAAUGAUGCAGACACAUGUAUUCAUGAUAAUCAAUAGGAGCUUCGUUCAUACAUCCUAGAGUUCAAGUGAGCGAUGGUGAGACUCCUUAUUUUUGGAGGAUUUCAUUUACUUUUUAGUUUUAGUCAGGAUGUCGUGGGUCUUGUCCCGACUUCCAUCAUUAUCAGUUAGAGGUUUCAUAGAUUGUCAAUAUAGUUGAAGAGUCUGUAUUAAUCAUUUAUUUUUGAAGGCUAAGUUUUGAGCACUAAUCUUAAAUCACAGAAUCAAUAUGUUUUAAAACAUAUGAGAUAGUAUAUUUUUAGGAGUAGUAUUAAGCGAUUUGGAGGAGAUUUCAGACAACUCACAGCCCCAUAAACCAUGUAGCUACCAUGGGUAGAAGAGGAUCAUACUUUUUAGAUCAACCCUUUUCAUAGUAGACUAUUGGAUCCAUUAGGCAGUUCAGAUUCUAUAUGCUAGUAAGGUUAGGAUGGACGGGCAGCAUGGGUAGAGUAACUUUGUAUCAUCACUAUAGCUCUUAAGUAAUGGUUUUCAAUUAGAGAAGAUCCUAAAGAAGAAGUUAUAGUAUUUUUAUAUACAUCAAUUAUUGUAUUUUGAUGCACAUUCCAGAGUUAUAUUGUAUCCUUUUUAUAUACAGAGUUGUCAUCAUGUUUGUAAACAUGUUUUCAUUUUAUUGCACUUGUCUUAAACUUCUUUAUAUUGAAAUCAGUUCAGUUGAGUACCUAAUCUUCGAGUUGAAUAUCUUAUUCUUAAGUUGAAUUGAGUUGAGUGAGUUUUAAAAGAGAUAAGUAUGUUUCCUUUUUAUUCAAGUUUCAAACUUAUGUCAUACUUAAGAAUUCCCUUACAUACUCGUACAUUCCACUUAUUGAGCCAUUUUGCCAACAUCAUUUGAUGAUGCAGACACAGGUAUUCAGGAUUAUCAACAUGAGCUUCGUUGGUACAUCCCAUAGUUUGAGUGAGUCAUGGUGAGCCUCCUUGUUUUUGGAGAAUUUCAUUUACUUUUUAGUUUUAGUCAAGAUGUCGUGGAUAUUAUCCUCACUUUCAUAUUUAUCAGUUAGAGGCUUUAUAGAUAGUCAGUAUAGUUGAAGAGUCUGUAUUAUCAUUUAUUUUAUUAAAUAUUUUAAAGACUAUAGUUUCCUAUUUAAUUUCUAGUUAAAUAAUUAUUUUAUUCAAAAGUUGUUUAUUUCAGUUUUAAGUUUUUUGUAUGCAUAAGUUAGUCUUCUGCUUGUAAUAAGCCAGGAUGAGGGUUCGCUUGGAGACCAGCAAUGGUCUUCGAGUGCUGGCCGUGUCUAGGGUGUAGACUUGGGUCGUGACAGAUAACUCAAGAAAUAACUUUAAAUGCAAUAUUUAGCCAAAAUUGCAAUUUCAAGUCUUAGUCAAUUACAAGUGAAAGAAAAAACUAAGAAAACUAGUACCAUUUGUCUAUGAAGCCCCUAAUAUAAAUAUGGAUGUUUGGACAGGACCCCUAAUCAUCCUAAUAACUAAUUAAUAAAUAAAUAGCUAAAAUUAGAUAUGUCCUCCGCAAUGAAGAGAGGCUCACCAACUGACUCUGAGCUGCUCAAUGGAUCAAUGGUGCACCAAAUGCUGAUCACAGUUACCUACAUCUGCAUCAUAAUACGAUGCAGGCUAACUAACAUCAGUACAUUGAAUGUACGAGUAUGUGAGCUGGAAUUCUAAAAUAACACUUCAGCUAGAAAAUGAGUAGGAAGGAACAUUUACGUUGACUCUUCUCAACUCAUGGAUAACUACUCAUUCCAUUAUAAUGCAAUUUAAAAGUAAGGUGCAAUAUAGAGAAAAAAAUGAAAUGCCUGAAACAUGUUGAAAAUUCUGAAUGUAUGCAAGAUACAAUUUAAUCUGGCACAUAUAUAAAAAUACAAGUAAACUGAUGUAUAUAAAAUGCAAGAACUUCUUUGGGAUCUUCUUUAACUGACAACCAUCACUUAAGAGCUAUAGUGAUGAUACAACGUUACUAGCCCACGUGCUCGACGAUCCUAACCUUACAAGAGUAUAGGACCUGAACUGCCUAAUGAAUCCACUAGCAAUCCACUAGUGUACUAUGAAAAGGGUUCAUCUAAUAAGUAUGACCCUCUUCUACCCAUGAUGGCUACAUGGUUUUCAUGAAGACUCGAGUUAAUAUGAAACUCGCAUCCCCACACGGUGCUCAAUACUAUUCCCACAAAUAUACUCUCUCUUAUAUUUUCAAAACAUACUAAUUCUUGAUUUGAGAUUAGUGCUCAAAACUUAACUCAAAGGCUACCUUGGGAACCUUAGUUUCCCUACUUGCUUAAUUUUUUAUAAAGCUAUUAUUCUUUCUGAAACAAGUCUGAAGGGUCCUUACUUGUUUAACUUUGAAAACAUUUGUAGCUCUUAGGGAUUACUUAGUCCCCUUAUAAUUUUUUAGAAUGAACUCAACUCUUUAUUCUUGAUGAACUUGUAACUUGAGCCUUAAAACAAUGUUUAAAAUGUUUGUUGAAGUCUUUUGGAAACUUUAAGAACUCACUUUGACUUACUACUUAAUUUUUGGACUUAACACUUAACUUUGACUUUGAUCUUUAACUCCUUGAAUUGGAUUAUGGAUUCAAGAUUCAUGAUCUCAUGUUUAUGGAUGAUUUCAUGAUGUUUAGAUGUACCUUAGAGUGUUGGAAUCAACUAAGAAAUGUGGGUACAUCACUUAGAAACUAGUACGAAAAGAAAGGGAAAUAAUGAGCUCUCUAGGCAACCCUGACGCUCUGAGAGGCGCGGCGUGCAAGAGCUUGACGGACAACACUAUCAUUAGGCGCUCUAGUUGUACGGAGCACUAGAGACUGAUGGACUGAGUCUGUUCUGAAGGGCUCUGGUUGGCGCGGCGCCCCAGGGACUGUCAGACGGGAACUUCUGACUUUUCUUCUCCGAUUUUCAUCUCUAAACCUUCUAAGAAUCCAUGUAUAUUUCCCCCAACACUUAGCAACAUUAAUAUUCUCAAUUUCCUAUAGAUUCGACUUGAAAAACAACCCAUAAACACAAAUCAAAUCAUCUAAAGGCAUGCUACAACUCAACGAAUAGGGAUUCAACAAUUGUUCAUCAAGAACUUCAAUAUUCGUCAUUCAAUUUUUUAAGAACACGCUGAGUUAAACAUGUUUGUGUGUGUGUGUGAACAAAUCCAAUAAAAAAAGAUCUCACAUACCUUAUAGGGAUCACUCACAAUGAUUCCACUCGAAAAUCUUGGCAUAUUUGAUGAAUUCUUGGCCUUUUCUCCUUUCUCCUUAUUUUCACCUCUUUUCUCCCAAGCUUUAAGCGUAUUCCAAUUUACUAAAAUUGACUUAAGGCUUAGUUUUAUUCCUAAUAAACCCUUAACACGAAUUAGGAAAUAGUAGGGUGAAAAGAUUACUUUACACUUACUAAAAUCCAGAUUGAACUUUUCUCAAUCCAACAACUCAACUUCCGAAAGACAGACCUUCCUCAUACAACAUCGAAAUCAAUAAAAAUUGUUACCGCUGGAAAGAUCUUCCCAAGGAUUUUCCAACAAUAUUAAGAACUGAUCCUAACUCCUCGUGAUCUAGAAGUUAUUACCGUUUGAAAAUGACCAAAACUCACUUUUUAAGCUUAGGAAAUCUCCAGAUUUAAUUCCUUUCUUUCCAAAAGUGAUUAUUAUUGUGUUACUAGCUUAUUCUUAACUAUUUCGAGUUACAAGAUGUUAUGAUAAAGUCUCACUGAUUAAUUCCAUGGUCUCUACCAUGCUCAUACAUAACUAGAACUUAGAAUCUAUAUACUAUAAGGGGAAAAUAGAGAAGUAUGUGUCUUUUUAUAUUCUAAUGAAAGAGAAAAGUAUAUGAGUUUUUCUAUUCUAAGGAAAGUGAGAAUUAUGUGUCUUCAAUUCUAAGAAAAUGAAGAAGUACAUGUCUUUUUCUAUUCUAAGGAAAGACAUGGUGUUCCCUCUCCUCCUUGGACUAAGAAGAAUUCUCUAUAAGUAGAAAUUUGUUUAACCUUGAAAGGAUAUAAGUUUCUAUACGAUACUUUUACACUUAAUAUUAAGAGAGUUCAGAAGUGAACUUGGGAUUACUGUAGAAGAUUGUAGAACUGCCGUCCACUUUGUGGAUUAGCUUGUGGAUUCACUUGAAGAUUUUAACAUAUCAACUAUCUUGUGGAUUCGCUUGAAGGUAUCUACUCACACUUCAAGGGGUAACUCUUAGAUUAAAUUUCAGAAAGUUUGUGUGUUCUAGCUUAAAUUAUAUGUUGCCCAUAUUCAUGUAAGAAGUACGCUUCUAAUAUGCAUUCGUUGUUCAUAGUAUUUUAUCAUUUAAUUAUUAGCGAUAAUUUAUUUAGCAUCAAACUUUAUGCCUUGGAUAAAAUGGGGGAUCUGGUCUUCAAGGUGUUGCUUUCCGCAGGGAAAGCAGAUGCUAAUCCCACUUAGUAAUGAUAUUAUUAGUUUUCUCAUGAGUUCUUUUUUUUCUCAUUUUAAUCCCUUUUAUAGCUUUUAUAUGGUGAUUUAUGAUUUGCGAAAAAUGAGUGACACUUUUUGAAGUGAUCAAAUGAAAUAUUACUAUAAAUUGCCCCAUUAAUUAUGAUGUGAACAUUGUAACCAUGUACUAUCACAUUAUUCUAUCUUAUUUAAUAUUACACUGCUCUUAAAUUCACUCGAUGAAAAAAAUUGUAUAUUUAUAGGGUUGUCAAUAGGGUUGUGUGGGACGGGAUGAUUGUGGGGAAAAUCCACAUAAAUCCGUUAAAAUUAUCAUCUGCCCUGCUCCGCAUAACAUUAUUUAUUUGUUUUAAUACACCCCACUCAACCAUACAUAAAUCCGCUUUACCUCUCUCUGCACCCCAUAAUUUAUAAAAAAAAGUUUUAAACAUUAGAUGUAACAAGUUUAUAACCAAAAAAAUUUAAAAUAUUUUAAUUGCUUGAAACUUUUUAACCUCUAAAAUUAAGUAUGUUAUACUAUUCCACACAGUUUUUAAUUUCUUUUGUUGAUAAUUUUGAAUUGAUUACAUAUGACGUAAUAAACAAAUUAUUGAAUGUAGUAAAAAAGAAACAAAAUAUGUCAAAAAGUUUUUUUCCUUUUUAAUUUAUUGACUAUUCAAAGACAUUUUUUCAUCUGAAAGGAAAAAAAAAUACCAAACAGUGACCAAAUAGAUAAAAAAUCGGUGCAAAUAUUAGUGUAGAUCCGCGAACUAACUCACGGCCCACCUGACGAGAAUUUUGAAUAUAUAUUAGAACCCAUAAAAGCUAUAACCCGCCCUACCCCACGAACGAUGAAACCUGCCCUACCCUACUUACAUCCUACCCCGCCCCAUUAUCAUUCCCUAUAUAUCUAAUAUAGAGGUGUUCCUUUCCUGACUUGUUACAUGAGAGAUAUUGCUGUAUGCACGAUAAAAGUGAUGUGAAUUUAUAGUGAAAGAAAGAGUUGAAUCGAGUCAAAAAUAUUUUAGGUUUUUUUACUUAAUACUAUAAAAGGGAGUAAUUUUAUUUAAAGAAACAUAUUGUUACAAUUUGUACCGUGGUAGAGUUUGAACUCUUCAAUGAACAAACAAUUAUUUGAGUCCGAUAUUAUUUUUUAAUUAUUGUAUCCUAGAAAAAUAAGUUAAGAGGUAUAUUGUGUUAUCUCCUAUAUUCAGAUUACCAAACCAGAAAUAAUAAAUGAUGAAAUGGAAAAACAAAAAACUAUCCGAGUCCAUAGAACUCGCUGUGUGUCUUUAAGAAAGUUAAUCCUCUCAAAUACCAGAGGUUGCAUAUUAAUUCAUCCUAAGAUAAAAGGGAUUAACCAUUAAAGAAAUAGUGGUUCCUCAAACUUCCAUUAUUUCAACGAACACAAAAUGACUACGAUGAAUUAUACAUAUAAACAUGAUCAAUUGAUUUUGUUUUGUAAGAAAUAUAUAUAUAAGAAGGAAAGAAAUCAACACAGAAAAAUGAGAGAACACCUCUCCAUUUAUAGCAAACAAAGAGUAAAGGGCACAAAUCUUUGGAAAGAAGACAACCUUUUAGAAAGGUCAAAAAAACUUUGGAAAAGGCAUCACCUUUCAAACAGUCACAACCCUUCAGAAAGAACACAACUUUUCAUAAAUGUUACAACCCUUCAUUUCCUGUUCACACCUUUAAAAAACCAACAUCUCCCACAUAAAUAGGGAAUGCCUAUUGUGUUAACAUGUGCAUAAUAAAUUGAGUGAUUCAAAAAUAAGGGUUGAUUGCAUCUGUAUAAGUGAGUUUCCCUUUGAACUUUCCAUAAGGAACAUAUAACAGAUUAACUUAGUCAAUCAUUAGAUUUGAUAUCUUUGAAUCAUCGAGUUUUGGUGUAUACCUAGAUAACAUAAGUCACACAAUGAACCCUUGAACUAUUUUUGGUUCUCAUUAUUUUAUUCAUUUCAGUCAGGAACACAUCUUGGUUUAUAAGUGCGUAGAGAGCUAGCCUUAUUGGAUUCUCCAUGAAGCAGCUUACACUUCACACUUACAUAGGUGAUUUCUAAAAGUGUUAUACCAUAGAUACAUUAUUUGAUAUACUCUAUAUCAAACUUAGAAACCAUUAAAAAGUCUUAAUGCUUUUAUCCUUGUUGCUGAACAUUGUCUUAUCAUAAGAAUAGACCAUAAAAAUAUUUUAACAAUAUUGAACCGUCAUCAAUGACUUUAUUUGAUCUCCUUGAACCUAGAUCUUGAGAUCUGUAGUCUUCUAGGUAGAUUUACCGCCACAAUAAAUUGUAACUGAUCAUAGUCUCAUUUCUUUUGAUAAUCUAUCAACUCUAUCUAGUUAGGCCUUUUAUAAGUGGAUCUGAAACAUUAUACUUUGACUUUACACAGUCAAUUAUGAUAAUUCCACUAGAAAGUGGUUCUCUAACGAUAUUAUGUCUACUUCAUAUAUCACGAGACUUUCCGUUAUACAUCAUGCUUCAUGUUCUACCUAUUUCAAAUUAAAUCUCACAAUGUACACAUACUGGAGCUAGACAGUUUGAGCCAAAAAAUCAUUCAAGAAAUUUCAGAGUCAUUCAACUUCUUCAGCAUCCUUAUCUGGAGUGAUAAAUUUAGAUUUCAUAGCAGAGAAAGCCAUACUUAUUCAAUUGGCGGUAGUCUAUAGACAUUCUAAGGGAACAAUCAUUCUUUCUCUAAAACAAGAUCGAAUCACACCAAUGUGAGAAACUUGGUUGGAUAAAACCUUUAUCUAAUAGAUCUUUUAGCUGUUCCUUCAAUUCUUUUAACUCUACUGGUGCAAUUCUAUAUGGAGGAAUGGAGAUAGGACGAGUAUCUGGGAUGAUAUCUAUGUCGAAGUCUAUUUCUCUCUCAGGAGGAACUCUAGGUAUAUCAUUACUAAAGACUUCUGGAAUAUUUUUAUUGUAGGAACUAACUGAAGGGAAGGUACCUCAACACAUGAGUCAUUAACUCGGACUAUGUGAAAGAUGCAUCCUUUUGAAACUAACUUUAUAUCCUUAAGGUACGAAAUGAAGUGACCCUUAGGCACUGAUGAACUACUACUCCACUCUAUAAUUGGAUCAUUAGGGAUCUAAAACUUGAUAACUCGACUUCUACAAUCUAUUGAUGUAUAACAGGCAUAGAUCCAAUCCAUACCUAUAAUGACAUCAAAAUCUACCAUGUCUAACUCCACUAGUUCAGCCAUUGUUGUCUUGUGAUUAAUAGAAAUAGGACAAUCACAAUAGUCUCUUUGUUUUAAAUAGACUCCCCAACAGGUGUAGAAACAUAGUAGGAUUCACAAUGUUUUCCAGGAAGAAUCUCAAACUGAUUUGCAACAUAAGGGGUUAUAAAAGAUAAACUUUCUCCUGAGUUUAACAAAGCAUAAAUAUCAAACUUAAAAAGACUUUGAUCAUACCUAUGACAACAUCUGGAGAAUUUUCUUGCUCUUGGUUACUAAUGAUUGCAUAGAGACGGUUUGCUCCUCUGCCAGUGCCGGAAGUAGCUCCUCUAGGUGCAACCCUUUUUGGUGGAGCAACUAAUGAAAAUUAGGCUCUAUUGCCCGAAUAUCCACCACCCUUAUUAUUCUUACGGCAGUCUCAUAAAGUGACCAGCUUAACCGCACUUGAAGCAACCUGACUUGACACACAACUCUUACUGGCAUGGUUUCAACCACACCUAUCACAUGUCGUAGCCCAACUACCUCCUUCUGACACACUACCUUAGGACUGGGAUGGUCUAAACGUAAAUUUAUGCGAAUUCUGGCCGUUAUACUCACCUUUGUUUCCGGGCGCUGGUGCACUAGCAGAUGAUGGUGCAUACUCCUAUUUUUUAUGAAAUAGUGGCUGACUCGAACCAUGUUUCUGCUGUCCAGACUCAUUUCCAGUCUAUGAUUUUUUUUCCUGUACACCUUUCUAUCCCUCAGAUUCUCUUUCUCAACUUGCUGCAUAUACACCAUUAAUAGGGAUAUGUCUAUGUCACCAAUCAAUAUUGCAGCUCUACCCUCUUUACUAGAUGCACGACUCAAACCAACGAUAAACAAACUCAUUUUUAUCUUUAUAUCCUUAACCAUUACAGGAGAGUAGCGAGACAUCUGGGUGAAAGAAAUACCCUAAGAAAGAAAUUCCCCAAGAAAGCCUCUUCGAAACAAGCCCAACUUGGACUUGGUGCAUUCUCAUCUAAACCCUCCUUUCACUAGUCGAACCAAUUUCUAGCCACAUUCUUCAGUUGGUAUGCAUCUAGCUUGACUCUAUCAACACCAAUGACAUGUAUCACAUAGACUAUCAUUUUCAACUCUUCCAUAAAGUUUUUUGUAUCCUCAAUAGUGCUGAAAUCCGUGAAACUGAGAGGAUUCAUUCUUAAGAAUUCACGAAUACUCGAGGUGUCAGCCUCUUCUUGUCGAGCUCCUCUCUAUUUCCCUAAUUCGUUAGUUACCGCUUGACUUUGGAUCCGGAUAGCUUCGCGGAACUCAGCAUUGGUAAGUCCCCCUUAGGGUUGCACUUCAGGUACAUUGGGUAACUUUUGAUCUUCAACAUUCCUUCUAGAUGGACAACCAUUGGCCGCUCUUCCUGGAGGCAUGAUAAUCUGAAAGACUUGCAAGCAAAAAUUAGAGAGAGACUUUUGGAGAUAAACUCUAAUGCACAAAAAAGGAAUAAGAAAGAAAUGAGAAAUUCCUAAAUGUUGUAGCCUCCUAAUCAUAGAUGUGACGUGUUUCACACGAUUGACUAAGACCCUAUAGAUACGGCUUCAGAUACUCCCUAGGAGUGUUGAACUCUAUGCUCUGAUACAAUGUUUUUCACGUCAAGCCUACACAUUGGAUGUGGCCGAUACCCAAUGAUCAUUGCUUGUCUUGACCGAACCCUUGCCCUGGAUAACUUAACUCAGCGGAAGCCUUAACUUGACUCAAUUAUAAAAGUAUGGAUCAUAUUAAGGAUAAAUACAUAAAAUGUAAUAGUCUGGACAAACUGGCUUAAGUCUUAUAGUUUACAAAUGAAAUGAAAAGACCAUGAUCUAACACAAUCUGUCUAUGAAACCUUUAAAAAUACUAAGGUGAAUGUUGGGAUAAAUCACACAAAAUUUUACAAGUAAAAGACUGAAAGAGAUAAAGAAGUCAUUCCGAUGCAAAGAGGCUCACCACAGACUCUGGAUGCUCAAACUUGAUCAACAAGAUGCUGGAUGCUGAUCCUGAUUAUCUGCGUUUGCAUCAUAAUACGAUGCAGGACAACUGACAUCAGUACAUUGAAUGUACGAGUAUGGAAGUUGGAAUGCUAAACAACAACUUAAAACUUGAAAUGAUUAAGAAGAACUUACCUUGGCUCUGCUCAACUCAUGAAAUACUGAACUCAAUAUAAAGUAGUAAAGACACAUGCAUUAUAUAUAUAAAUUAUGUAAAAUAGUGUACACAAACUCUACUUUACUUAAUAUAAGAAAAGUAAUAUAGUUUCUGUGGGAGUUUCUCAAACCGACAACCAUCACUAUAGACUAAGUGAUGUACUACGUCUUACCUCAAGUUACAAGAGGACCAUCCUAUACCUUGCCGUCAGUAUAAAACCUAAACUACUAAGUGGAUCCACUAGUCAAUGCUAAAAAACACAAAGGAAUUAUCUAAAAAUUAUGACCCUUUCUCUGUCCACAUUGGCUACAUGGUUUAUGAGCACUUGAGUUAAUAUGAACUCGCAUCCCCAUAUUGGUGCUCAAAACUACUCCCAAAAUACUUAGCUCAUAUGUUUUAAAAGAACUUCUUCUCUAGUCUGAUGUAAUUUGCUCAAACUUAGCUUUUAAAAGAUCUCUUGGAAAUCAUGGUUUCCUCUUUACUAAAACUAACCAAAGGCUCUGUUGGAAGUCUAACUUCUUUUGUUGCUCCAAAUGUGAAAAAAUUGUAACUCUUAGGGAAUACUUGUUCUCAUAUAACUUUUGAGAAAUGAACUCGACUCUUUACUCUUUUCUUACUUUUGAGAAAUGAACUCAACUCUUAACUCUAUGUUUAACUUACAACUUAACUCUUAGGAAAUACUUAGUUCCCUUAUAACUUUGUGGAAUUUUACUCAACAUAUUACUCUUUGCUCAACUUGUAUCUUGAGCCUUAAAACAAAGUUAAAAUGUUUGUCUUAAACACUUGAAAACUUUUUAAAGCUUACUUUGACUUGCUUCUUAACUUUUAGACUUGAAUUUUAACUUCUUUGACUUUGAUCUUAAAUUUCCUUGAAUUGAGUAUGAAUUCAAGGUUCUUGAUCUCAUGUUUCGGGAUGAUUUCACGAAUAGAUGGGAAAACAAAGAGAUCUCCAUGCAUCAUUGGCACUUUGAGAGGGCAAAGGAAGGCGGACCGAAAGAAAUGAGCUAUUUGGGAACAAUGAAGAAAAUAAAAGAAGAUUUAGGAAGAGGAAGAAUAAUGAUGAGAAUUAGUAAUAGUCAUUAGGAAAAGAAUGGUACAGAAAAACUGGAAUGAUUCUCUUUUAUUUUUUUAGAAUUCUCAUCUUGUUGUACUUUUCAUUACUGAUUUUUCUUAAUUCCGACAAUAUUACCCUUUCUUCUUUUUUUGGUACUUUUCCUUAUAUCCUUGUUUCCUAACGAAUUAUUCACUUAUAUACCCUUUUCCGCGCUUGGUUUUCCAAAAUUUUCUUCUUCCUAGUCUUUGAUUUCUAAUGACGUAAAGUUAGCCUGAUUUUGAUAUAGUAUGAGGGAGAUAUGCCUUUCGAAAGUUGGGUUGUUGUAGUGGGGACUGUCCAAUUCCAGAUUUUAGUAAGGUUAAAAUAAUCUUUCCACACAACUAUUUCCUAAUUCAUUUUAAAUAUUUAUUAGGGGUAAAACUAAGCCGCCUUAAGUUAGUUUCAAAAAAAGUAUUCACGCUUAGGACUUGGGAGAAAAGCGAACAGAAGCGAAGAAGAAAAAGGGAGAAAACUUCAAGAAUUCAUCAAGAACGCAAAGAUCUUCAAGUGAAAUUCGUCGGGGUUGAUCCCUAUCAAAGUAUGUGUGAUAUUUCUGUUUUUAAUUCAAUUACACACCAAUUUGUUUCAUUUAGAAAAUUUUGAGUAGAUUGAAUGAUGCACACUGAAAUUCUUGAAGAACAAUGGUUGAAUACUUGUUGGUUGAGUUGUAUUAUGCUUUUAGUUAAUUGAAUUCAUGUUUACGGGUUGUUUUAAAGUUUAAUCUAUAGGUAGUUGAGGUUAUUAAUGAUCCUAAGUGAUUAAGGUGAGAUCCAUGGAAGUUUAGAAGGUUUAGAGAUGAAAAAUGGAAAAGAAAAGUCAAAAAUCCCGUGUGACGAGCCCUGGGGUGUCACCUGCUGGAGCGUCUCAAGACGGGCUCUAUCCGACAAGACCUGGCGCACAGCACCAUCCAGAGUACCUCGGGAAAAAUUCUGUUCGUUAGGCUCUGGCGCUUAUAUACCCUUUUCCGUGCUUGGUUUUCCAAAAUUCUCUUCUUCAUAGUCUUUGAUUUUACUCAACUUCUUACUCUUUGCUCAACUUGUAUCUUGAGCCUUAAAAUAAAGUUAAAAUGUUUGUUUCAAACACUUGAAAACUUUUAAGAGUUAACUUUGACUUGCUUCUUAACUUUUAGACUUGAUUCUUAACUUCUUUGACUUUGAUCUUAAAUUGCCUUGAAUUUAAUAUGAAUUCAAGGUUCUUGAUCUCAUAUUUAUGGAUGAUUUCAUAAUGUUUAGAUGUAACUUAGAGUGUUGGAAUAAACUAACAAAUAUGGGUACAUCACUUAGGAACUAGUAUGAAAAGAUGGGAAAAGAACGAGAUCUCCAGGCAACAUUGACACUUUGAGAGGGCAAAGGAAGGCAGACCAAAGGAAAUGAGCUAUUUGGGAACAAUAUAGAAAAUAGAACAAGAUUUAAGAAGAGGAAGAAUAAUGAUGUGAAUUGGUAUUGGUCAUUAGGUAAAGAAUGGUACAAGAAAAUUGGAAUGAUUCUCUUCUAUUUUUUUUCUCCGAAAAAAAUGUGUGUAUUACACUGGGCAACAAAGAUUGGGGUGGGGGUGGGUGGGUGACAUUUUAAGGGUGUUAAUAUCUUAGAUUAAAAUAUUUCAUGGGGUAAUAGGAUUCCCGUAAAAUAUUAGUGUGUAGUUAAAAAUUGGGCAAUAGAUUAAGGGGGUAUAUGGCCAUUUUCUUUAAGUAUACAUAGCUCACAAGAACUAGUAUUACCCAAGGUGGACCAUUAUUUGGGUUAUUUAUUUUAUCUAGCGGAAGAAAUAUCAAUUGCGGCUGCAUAAAUAUCACUACCAGCUCUACCUCAAAAUUUCUUUAGAAAAGAAACAAUCUUAGAGCUUAAAACUUCUUUAGCAAUGAAACAAUCUUCUUGUUGGUUGUAAUUGUUGGAAAGCAAUUACAAGUACUUAUAUACUAGCAACAAAAUGAGAUCAAGUUGAGCGAGAGUAAAGGUGGAAGUGUACCUUUGGGUGAGUUUCCCAAGAAAGUCAAUGUUGGAAUCAAGAAAAAGAAGGUGAAAUUGUGACUAAAUGGAUUACCAUCAAAAGAAACAAUAAAUUACAAAGGCAUAAAGAAAAUGAGUGUCUUGUAUCACAUCAAAAAUUAUAUCCAAAGGAGGAAGGGGGUGAAAACCGAGGAAGAUAAGAGUUAAAUUAACAACAAAGAGAUCAAUAUAGUGCCACAAAAGAAGGUGAAUGCUGAGAAAGGAAUGUUGACAAACAAAAAGUUUCAGAAACCUAGAAUAAACAUAGGGGCCAACAGAAGAGGAUAUUAUUAUAGGGAAGGACAAAUUCAAAAAUAGAAUCCAAAGGAGAAAGUGAGUGAAAAAGAUUUGCUGAUGACUGGGAACAAGUUUGAUGCACUUAAUAAGGAAUAUGGGACAAAAGAACCAAGUCAAAACAAGAUAUAUGACGACCAUAGCAACGCGAAAGGCUAGGCAAAGAACAAAGGAAAAAGUUGUGGUGGAAAUCAAAGACUAGGAAGAAGAGAAUUUUGGAAAACCAAGCGCGUAAAAGGGUAUAUAAGUGAAUAAUUCGUUAGGAAACAAGGAUAUAGGGGAAAGUACCAACAAAAAAGAAGAAAGGGGAAUAUUAUCAGAAUUAAGGUAUAUCAGUAAUGAAAAGUACAACAAGAUGAGAAAUCUAAGGAAUAAAAUACAAGCCAUUGAAAAUUGAGAAAGAUAGUCAACCUGAGGUGAAGAUGCGCAUCAAAUUGUUGAAUAUGAAGAUUGGAGAGAAAGAAGAAGAAAAUCCACAAGAAAAGUUAAAUAAAAAUACAACUGAUAUGGAGGGGGGGGGGGGGUUCAUCAUACAACAAUAAAGGGAAAUUCACCACUAGGGAAAAUGACCAAGAAUAGUGGAAGAAACUGUAGGGUCUAGAAUUAGGGGGAGAAGAAAGGAAGGAGGAUGAAGAAGAGGACAUAACUGAAAAUAUCAAUGAGAUAAGCAUGUAAAUAUAUCUAUCACUAAGGAAUACAGAAGAAUUUUCAAUGGGAAAAAAGAUCUACAAAGUUGUUGGUAAGGACAGAUGCACAAGGAAUAGUAUAUCAAAACCAUCAAUGUGUAAAUGAUGAUACACAAACUCUUAUUCUUAAUUAUUAGAUUAAGAAAUUAUUUCGAAAUAUUAAUUGAUCCAAAGAAAAGAAAUAAAUCUGCAUAUAUUGCCCUUAUGGAAUCAUUUACAGGUCAUCAGGAAAUAGAAACCUAUAGAAAGCUCAAAUACAAAUAUUGUGGUAAAUAGCUCUUCCAAAAUCUGGACGUGCAAGAUUAUGUUGAGAGAUAUAGACUAACUCAAGAUCAACCCGAAUUUCUUACCACCUUACAUCUAUGUUAGGAUCCCUUUGAGUGAAGGCUCUGGAAAAAUUGGUUAUCACCUCUGGUAGAUCAUACGCUCGUUUUGAAGGUUACACUCCGAAUUAGAUAGGUGUUCCAGGUUCUUGGACUCUAGGGACAUCAACUUAUAUUAUAACUCCUCGAUUAGAUAAUAUGCUAUGUCUAGGUGUUGUAUCAUAUUGCGCUGACAAGCUUUUGAUGACUAUUGAUAAGCAAAGGAUGUUUGAAAGGUUCAAGAUGUUGAAUCCUUUGACCUGUACGAGUGACUUGAAUGAGGAUGCAUAUCAAUUUAUAGUUAGCUGUAAUGAGAUAUUUCAAAAACUUUGAGUAGUUGAGUAUCAUGGAAUUGACAAUACGAUGUUCCAGAUGGUUGCCUUACCAAGCACUGGUGCAGAGAUGAUAUUAAUAGUAGGUCAGCUGAAUCACCUUCACUAUCAUGUUUCUAGAUAAGUUUAUUCCACUCCAUAAGAUGGAGAGCAUGAGGGUCUAGUUCGAAAGUUUACAGCAAGAUGAUAUGUCAAUCACAGAGUAUGAGGUUAAAUUUCAAGCCUCUACUGGGUACACUUUGAUGAUACUUUCCACUGAGACUAAGACAAUGAAGUUUUGUUAAAGGUCUAAUUAUUAUGCUUGAUAUGGGAGUUUCUCAGGUUACCUCUUUUGGUGUUUUAUCUCAGAAAGUGGUAAAUGAAGCUAAAAUUUUGGAAAUGAUUCGAUGUGAGAGAUUUGAGGAGUGUGAGGGCCAGAGGGCUCAUCAUUCAAGUCAUUUAAUUAGGGUAGUGCUAGCUCCUCAUAAGAGUCGAGGUUGUCACUCUUAGUGUAACAUACCCAUCAUGUUUUGUUAGUGUGACAUUUUAAUAUAUUCUAAAAAUAUUAAUUUCAAAGUAACAAAUGUGUUCUGCCGUUUGGUUGACUUAUUUAUGUGCUACAUUUGGAGUUACUGCAUAUAAUUAUUCCAUUUUGUGUUACUCCAUACGUUACAAUUAUUUUCUUGAAAGUCACCCAACAGUUGGUUUUCAUCUUUCAGCCCAGAGAAUUUUGUAACUUCACAUUUUUCUUUCUUUAUUCCUCCAUUAUACCUUGUAACAUAUGUAACUCCUAAAACCAUUAUCUUCACUAGUUAAUACACCAUUCUCUUCCUAUUCAUUGAUAGGAAGACUUCUUCUUGUAUAAAUAGUGCUGAUUUUCAUUUGGUUUGAUACAACACACAAGAGAAAAAUAUAAAGUGAAAGAGUUAGUCAAAAAGAGAAUUCUUAUUAGUUGAAGGGAGGUGUUCUAUUUUGUGGAGCUUCGAACUCAACUCUUGUCAAGAAUUGCUGAGUUAUACUUUGUGAAGGUUGUUGUAUCCUGGAGGGGACAAGUAAAAGAGGACUACUGCUGGACCAGUGAAUAUAUUUGUUGCAGUGGGCUUGAAUCUUGUUAAAGAAAUCGAGAUAUCCACGCAUUAGUGAGAAGAGAUUUAUUUAUUCCUUUUAUUUUCAAUUGUAAUCUUGCAAUAUUAUUAUCUUGUAUGUUUUUCACUAACAAUUCUAAGGAGAUUCAACAUGGCUACAGUUGAAUAAAAUGCGGAUGUCAAGAUGGGACACUUCAACAAGCUAUUUCGAUUCAACGGUAACCAUUUCAAGAGAUUGAAGGGUAAAGUACUUUUCUAAUUAAUUCUUCUCAAUGUUUGUUAUGUAUUAAUCGAGAAUAAUCCAAACAAAUAAGACAUCACUUCUAUGAAUGAUGAUGAAACUAUUUCUCAUCUAGAGAAAGUGGAAAAGUAUGAUGGUGAUUCAUAUAAAUGUCGGUACUAUAUACUUAAUUGUCUAUCUGAUAAUUUUUAUGAUUAUUAUGAUAGAACUUACUCUAGUGUAUAGAAAAUUUGAAAAGCAUAGCAGAGUAAGUAUGAUACCGAAGAGGCGGGAGCAAAAAUUAUGCGGCUAGUAGAUUUUUUCGUUUCCAAAUGGUGGACAAUAAAUUGAUGGUACACCAAGCUCAAGACUUUAUCAUGAUUUUUGGAGAUCUUAGGUCUAUAGAAGUUAAAAUUGGAGAUAACCUUAUUGUUUGUGGCAUAGUAGAUAAACUUCCACGUUCUUGGAAGGAAUUUUUAAAAACUAUGAGCCACAUACAAAAGGAAACCUCUCUUGAAAACUUGAUCAUGAAAAUCUGCAUGGAAGAAGAAGCAAGGGGCCAAGAUACGCUUUUACAAACAAAAGAGAACAACAUCACAUCGAAGGUAAAUUUAACUACUUAGAAUAAUGCUACUCUUGAAACUCACGAAAAUACUUAUUUAAAGCCUAAGAAGAAAAAGUUCAUGAAAAAUAAUGGUAGACCUUCCAAGUAUAAUAAUGGUGAAAAUAACCAAGCACACAAUCAACAUGUUCAAGAAAAGGGCCCAUGCUUUGUUUGUGGCAAGAGUGGGCAUAUUGCUUAAUUUUGGAGAUUAUGGAAACAUAGUCCUAGCCAUCAGACAAACAUUACCGACCUAAACAUGGUUGAAAAUGUUGAUGGGAUGGCAGGCUGAUUCUUGUGCAAACCAUCAUGUCUGUUAUGACAAAGACUGGCUUAAAAAAUAUACCCAUUUUGAGGACCCCAAAACCAUCAUGCUUGGUGAUGCUCACACUAUUCAAGUUCUUGGAAAGGGAGAUGUCGAGUUGUGUUUUACUUCUGGAAGGGUAUUAACUUUAAAAGAUGUACUUUAUACUCCUUCCAUGUGAAAAAAUUGAUGCUUAGUUUUCUUAUUAUUAAAGCAGACUUUAAACAGAUUAUUGAAUUUGAUCAAUAUGUAAUUGUGAAGAAAGGUAUUUUUUUGGGUAAUGGGUAUGCAUGUGAUGGGAUGUUUAAGUAGAAUGUUGAGAUGAAUAAAACUUCUACUCCUGUUUAUAUGCUUUCUUCUACCAAUUUGUGGCAUGCUCGUUUGUGUCAUAUUUUGUGAUCGUUUUGUUGGUAUCAUAGGUUGUUUAGGAUAAUCCUAAUGGUUAAAAGGAAUUUUGAUGAAGCUUGUAAUAAAGCUAAAAUCACUAAAAGACCUCAUUUUCAAGUUGAAAGAAAGAUAGAUUUUUUAGAAGUAAUUCAUAUUGAUAUUUGUGAACUUGGAAAAUUCUAACUAUUGGAGGUAAUAUAUAUUUUAUAACUUUCGUUGAUGAUUUCUCUAAGUUAACAUAUUUUUUACUUGAUGAAAAAUAAAAGUGAUGCUUUUGAAAAUUUCAAAACUUAACUCCAUGAGGUUGAAAAUCAGUUCGGAAGAAAAAUAAAAAUACUUAGAAGUGAUAGACGCCAUGAAUAUGAAUCAAAUGAGUUCAAUUCUUUCGUUAGACCAUUGGGAAUAAUUCAUGAAACUAUCCUCGUCACUCUCCUUCAUCUAAUGGAGUAGCGGAAAAGAAAAUAGAACUUUGAUUGAAUUGACUAAUGUCAUGCUUAUUGAGUCACAUGCACCUUUAAAUUUUUGGGGUGAAGCUGUUUUACCUGCUUGUUAUGUAUUGAAUCUUGUGCCUUAUAAAAAGUCUAAAUUAACACAUUAUGAAUUGUGGAAAUGUUACAAGCCAAGUUUGGGAUAUCUAAGAGUUUCGUGUUGUCUAGCUUUUGUGAGUUUAAUGGAUCCCAAGAUUACAAAGUUGGGUAAGAAAGUUACUACUUGUGCUUUUCUUGGUUAUGCUUCAAAUAGUACAACCUAGAUACUUUUUAAUCUAGAAGAUAAUAUUGUAAUAGAAUCCAGUGAUGCUAUUUUUCAUGAAAAUAAAUUUCCAUUUAAUUCUAAAAAUAGUGGGGGUCAAAUGAUUGAAUAAAAUAUUUUGUCAUUACCUAGUUCUUCUACUUCUACUUUGAUAAAUAAAGAAGUUGAUGAUUUUGAGAUAAGAAGAAGUAAAAGAGCUAGAGUAGAAAAAUAUUUUGAUCCUGAUUUUUAUAUGUUUAAUGUUGGAGAGGACUCUGUCACUUUGAAAUAAGCAUUAUAUUCACAUGAUUCUAUUUUUUGGGAAAGAGACUGUAAAUGAUGAAAUGAAAUCACUAAUUUAUAAUUAAACAUGGAAAUAGUUGAUUUACCGCCGGGUUGUAAAACUAUUGGUUGCAAAUUGGUCUUAAGAAAAAAAUUGAAACCGGAUAGAUCUAGUGAUAAAUACAAAGUUAGGCCAGUGCAAACGGUUUUAAACCACUAGAAGGCCUAGACUUUUUUGAUACUUUUUCUCCAGUAACAAGAAUUUCAUUCAUAAGAUUUGCGAGUGUUUUGUUGAAGCAGGCCAAGAAAGUAAUGUAUGUAAACUUACUAAAUCCCUAUAUGACUUGAAACAUGAACCAAAGAAAUGCAUGAAAAUCUUGAUUCAUGCAUGAUUGAAAAUAGUUUUAAAACAAAUGAGUGUGAUAAGUGCAUAUAUCAUAAGUCUUGGAAUAAUUCACAUGUGAUUAUUUGCCUAUAUGUUUAUGAUUUGUUGAUCUUUGGCUCUAACAUGAAUGUUAUUCAUGAAGCUAAAAGUGGUCUAGAAGCCAGUUUGAUAUUAAAGAUCUUAGUGAGACAAACUUUAUUCUUGGAAUAAAAAUAACAAGAACAUGUGAGAGAAUUUUCCUUGACCAGUCACAUUAUAUUGAGAAAAUAUUGAAAAAUAUAACUUUCAUGAUUGCAAGCAUGUUGAUACUCUUUUCGAUUCAAGUGUUCGUUUAUUUCUUGUGUAAAGUGAAAAUGAUGUAAUAAAUCAAAAGGAAUAUGUUAGUAUAAUCGGAAGUUUGAGAUAUGUGACUGCUUGCACUAGGCGUGAUAUUGCAUAUGUAGUAGGAGUACUUGACAGGUUUACAAGUAAGUCAAGUAAUGAAUAUUGACAUGUUUUAACAAGACUUAUGAGAUAUUUAAUUGGAAUAAAAAAUUGCGGUUUGUUCUAUAUAAAAUAUCUUGCUAUACUUGAAUUCUUUUGUGAUGUAGAUUAGAACACUUUAUCAGGUGAUUCGUGUUCUACCACUGGUUAUGUUUUUACUUUAGGUGGUUGUGUUGUUUUUUGGAACUAAAAAACAAACUAUAAUUGAUAACUCUACCAUGGAGCUAAACUAAUUGUUUUAGCUUCAACUAGUGAGGAAGCGAAUUGGUUAAAGAUUUAUUGCUUCAACUUCCUAAUUUUGAAAAACUAAUUCCUCAUAUUUGAAUUCACUGUGAUAGCAGCUCUGCAAUUCAUAGAGUUCAAAAUUCUUAUUACAAUGGUAAAUUCAGACCUAUAAGGAGGAAACAACGUAAUGUAAGAUCAUAUUUGACAAAUGAUACCAUUAAUGUUGAUUAUCUCAAAUCUUGAGAUAAUCUUGCAGAUCCCCUUACUAAGGCCUUAACAAGAGAAAAGGUUUGGAUUACAUCAAGGGUAUGACAUUGAAGCCUACAAAUCCUUGAGUCAUGUAUGAGGAAAGCCAACCUGGGGACAACAGAUCCCUCCUUAUGAUGUGAGUGUGUUGUUUCCUGUAGUUUGUGAAGGUUGAGUUGAUAAAACUCUUAAUGAAUAUCUGUAGCUCAUAUGGGUGGAGUGUUAAGUUUACAGGAGCACUCUCGACAGAUUUUUCUUAUGUGAUGUGUAGAAGUAGGUCGCUUCUUAUGAGAAUUUGACUAAUUCUCAAACGCACUCAUGUAAGAGGGAUAGCUAACGUGUUGGGCUUUAUAGAUUAUGUCAACAACUUGAUUAUUAUGUGUGAUUAGUGAUAUUUUAUUUCUCUUAAGCAGUCAUAGUUAAAGUCUGAGAGCACUACAACUUUAGAGUAAAAGUUGCUGUUUCACUAAGUGGAGGUUCAAUGCAGAGCACACUUUAAUUAUCCAUGAUAGUCUUCCUUCAACUGAUAGACUCUCUUAUCAAAUAUUAAAAUAAGUGGAGGAUUGUUAGUGUGACAUUUUAAUAUAUUCUAAAAAUAUUAAUUGCGUUGUCACAAAUGUCUUAGGUUGUUUGGUUGACUUAUUCAUAUGCUAUAGAAGUAAUGAAAAUUACUCUUGGAUUAGUGAAUUACUCCAUUUUCCAGUUAUUGCAUAUCAUUACUCCAUUUUGUUUUACUGUAUAUGUUACAAUUAUUUUCUUAAAAGUCACCAACAGUUGACUUUCAUCAUCCAGGGUAGAGAACUUUUGUGACGUCUCAUUUUUCUUUCUUUAUUCAUCCAUUAUACCUUCUAACAUAUGUAACUCUUAAGACCAUUAUCUUCACUAUUUACUACACCAAUUAUCUUUCUAUUCAUUGUUAAGAAGACUUCUUCUCGUAUAAAUAGUGGUGAUCUUCCUUUUGUUUGAUACAACACACGAGAAAAAUGUAGAGUGAAAGAGUCAGUCAAAAAGAGAGUUCUUAUUAGUUGAAGGGAGGUGUUCUUUUUUGUGGAACUUUGGACUCAUCUUUUGUCCAGAGUUGUUGAGUUGUACUUUGUGGAGACUGUUGUAUCCUAUAUUGGACAAGCCAAAGAGGACUAUCGCUAGGCCGGUGGAAAUAUUUGUUGAAGUGAUUUAUUUUAUCAUUUUAUUUUGAAUUGUAAUCUUGCAAUUUUAUUAUCUUGCAAGUUUUUCACUAACAUGCUGUAACACAUGCUUCUGAGGCAGAUUAUAUUAAGCAUAGUUCUUCUUGAUCGAUACAUACUUCACAUAGUUCAUCUUCUAGACCUUUAGGUCGUGGAGGACAUUAUGGUCAUUGGGGUUCCUAUCAUUAGCAUACGUCUCUUAUUUACUAUUGUACCCUUAUUUAGUAUUUUCUUAAGGGCCUAUUCUUUCAAUAUACAAUUUAAGAAUUUUAUCUAAACCAAAGUAGUAGUAUUUUUUCCCCUUUACAUAGCAAUAUUUGUUUUUUUCAAAAAUAGAAUUUAAAUUAAAAAUGAAUUUCUAAUUGAGCCACAAUAAUCGUUAUUCCCAUUAAUUAAUCUAAAGUCGUAUUUUAGUGUAUAUGAUUAGUUGGUGUAUUUUUUGGUUCAAAUUAUAUUACCUUCAUGAAUUUUAAAAUUAACAUGUAACUGCAUGGAUUUUAUGUAGAUUUAAAAACAAUACCAAAAUUAUACCCAACAUAUUAUAAUUAUUAUUGGGUAUACUUGCUGGUGAAAAAAUACACUAAUUUGACGUCUAUGAUAUAUGUUAAUGUUAUAGUUGUUAAGUUGGUGUGUAUGAUAAACAGAGAACACUUCACAAAAUAAUGUGAAGACGAUGAGAAAAUGAUUUAAUAAAGAGAUGAAGAUGACACUGAAGAAGAAAGAUUGGAAGACUAAAGAGAAAGAAGAACAUCAAAGUGAUGAAGAAGAUGAAAGGUAAGAUAGAGUUUUUAGAAUAACUCAUAUACCUAUUGAAAACAGUACCAAUUUUCUUGGUACCAUAAGCAUAAAAAUUCUUUAAUUAAAUAAAAUAAAUAACUCAAUUAUAGCAAAAAUAUAACUGAACGUAAAAGGAAAAAAAUACUUGUGUGAAAAGGGUUUGUAAUAUUUCUAGGAAUUAUAACCAACUUUAUUGGUACCACAAAUCUAAAUAUAAAAGGAAUCCAAAUAAUAAGUACACAAAACAUAAAAAAAAAUAGAAGUUAAAAAAAACAUGUGAAUGUGGGUAUGUUUACUAAGACAGAGAGUAACUGAUAAUUAAAUACCAAAAUACAGUCCACUAGGCACUAUAUAUGACAUAAUCUACUAAAAGACAAAAAGAGAAAAUUUCGAAAAAAAUAAUUAAAAAACAUAAGAUUAAAUAUUUUGUCAUUUUUGUAAUUUAAAAACUUAGUUUGUAAUUAAAUAUAAGUAUCUGAUAUUUUGUUAAUGGUAGUCUUAAGUAGUAUACUUCUAUAAUUUUUCCUUUUCAUAAAGUCAAGUUUUAAGUCAAUGAACAUAAAUUCAUUUAUUUUGAGUAAUUAAUUUAUUUGACCAAUAAACAUAAAUUAUUUACUUAAUAUGUCCAUGUUGGUCAAAUGUAUAUUUUCUAUGUUAAUAACUUUCAGUGGUAAAAUAUUAAGAAUAGAGUCAUUUAUACAUAUAUUUAUAAAAAGAUAAAUAUUAAGGAGUAUAUAUUUUUAGUAAAGAAGACAUAUAAAUAGGAAUGAAGGAAGUAUUUUUAUAUUCUUUUUACCAUAUAUUUUAACACUACUUAAUUCAUUAACUAUUAAUCUCCUAGUACUCCAUUCGAGGUAAAACAUACCCGCAUAGGGUGUUUACACCAAUUCAAUGUGCAUGUCAUGUGUAUAGUUCAUUUUAUUUAAAUUUAAUUAAAUAAUACAUUUUUUACUUCAUUAAAUCAUAUUAGAAUGUAAAUUUAAUUAGUUUGGUGGAAACACCUGGUGCGAGUAUGUUUUUUCCCUCCAUUCGUUCAAUUUUACUUUUCAUACUUAUUAAAUGGUGUCUUGAAAAAUGAUUUGAAAAGAGUAUUUAAUGUUGAGGGAAAAAUAUGAAAAAAAAUUAUUAUCCUUUUUCAUAGGGAUAAUGCACAAUUACUCCCUAGAUUAUAACCCAAAUUUCAGAGACACACCUUAACUACACAAAGGUCCUAUUACCCCCUGAAUUUACAAUUUUUUUUGUAAUUAUAUACACCUUUUGUCUUACGUGGCACACUCCGUGACCUCCACACAAUUGCGGUGCUGUGGGAGAUAUUUUGAUGCCACGAAAGUUAAAAAGGUGCACAAAAUUAUAAAAAAAAAGUUCAGGGGUAAUAGAACCUUAGUGUAGUUAAGGUGUGUCUCUGAAAUUUGGGUCAUAGUCUAGGGGGGUACUUGUGCAUUUUCCUUUUUUCUUAUGAUAUAUUUCUUAUUUUAUUGUUUCUCCUAAUAUACCUUACCACAUAUUUUAAGGCUCCUUAAUUAUUUAUUGUUCUAAUAUUUCUAGCCAAUAUUUUUAAAACUCGUUAUUAUUCACUAUUCUAAUACUCCUUGCCAUAUAUAUUUUAAGGCUUCUUAAAUAUUAAGUUAUUACUUUCCAUAUAUUUUAAAGCAUCUUAGUGAGUAAUUGUUCUAAUAUUUCUUGUCAUUUAUUUAAAGGUUCUUAGAUAUUAAUUGUUCUAAUAUUUCUUGUCAUAUAUUCUAGGACUCUUUUGUAUCAAUCACAUUUUAUAAAAAAUAGUAAUCAAUGAAACAAAUAUACAUGAAAUAAAAAAAGGUUAAAAAGAGAAGGAAAUGCAAUAAUCAAAAAAAGGAAACGAAUAGGAUUUUUUGUUAUUGGUUUGACUGGAAGUUAUCGUCCAUUCUAGCAUGCAAAUGCAAAUGCUUCUUCUCAUAUAUUGUUAUAGAGUUCUUUCUUUUGGUAUUCUAGUAGGUUUUAUCACCAACCAUUUCAAAAUGGAUGUUGCUUUUUUUUUCCUUAUUCUAAAAUUAGAAAGAUAUUGACAACUCCCUCUCUCUAUCAAAAUGUUGGCUUUUGAGAUUCAUUUUUUUAAAAAUAUUAACUAUAAAUUGGGAUAUGAAAAAUUUAAGUAUAGUUAAUACUAAAUCUAUAUAUUUUAAAAAAAAUUACUUUCUGUCCCAAUUGAUGUGACACAUUGUAACAUCUCGUAUUCUAGAUAAACUAAUUUAUAAAGUGAGAUUUGGUCAUUUUCAAACGGUCAUAAUUCCCAGAUAACUAAGAGUUUGGGUAGGUUAUUUAUGUGGAUGGAAAGCUCAUCAAAAUUUCUUUCCAACAAUGCCAAGUUUGCGAAUUUUUGAGGUCGUAUGAGGGAGAUAUGACUUUCGGUAGUUCGAUUAUUAAGGGUGUUUUGGUACUUUCCUAAGUUAAUUAUUAAAUUCGUUUUUGGUGGUAAUAUUUUGGGGUCUAAAAUGAUCUCACUCAGUUUACAGACAUAGAAAAUAAGCUAGGGAUUUGAGAGAAAGGAGAAAGGAGGAGAAGGGAGAAGAGGACGCAAGAACGCUAAGAAUUCAUUCGUGCUUGUUGUCGGGGGUGAUUCCUAAAAAGGUAUGUGAGAUAAUUUGAAGUUGGGUACUUUCACCCACCCUCCAAUUUGAUUCUUUACUGAAAUUUUAGUUAAUUGAAUGGAAAUCUUGAAGUUCUUGUUGAAUGUUUAAAGUUCUUGUUGGUUGAAUUGUUGUUGAUCUGAAUUAGUUUUAUUUAAUGUUUCUGGACUAUUUUGGGGUCUAAACUAUUGGGUAAUAAGUUAUUUAGGGAACCUAAGUGUUUGGGGUGGGAUCCAUGGGAUUUUGAGAAGGUUUAGAUAUGAAAAACAAAGAAGGAAGUCGGAAAACACGUUGGAGAGAUGGUGGGGUGUCACACUUCCAAAGUGUCUCAGGACAGAUUUAAGUCUAGGAGUUAAGAAGCAAGUCAAAGUAAAUCUAUCAAUAUAUCUAAUGUCUUUCACAAACAGUUUCACUUUGUUUAAAAGACCUGAAGUUCAAGUGAAGAAAGAGUAAAGAGCUGAAUUUAUUUCUCAGAAAAGCUAUACGAGAACUAAGUAUUCUAUAAGAGUAAAAGUUUCAAAUAAGCAAUGAGUAUCAAGUUAAGUUCAUUUCUCAAGAGUUAUAAGGGAACUAAGUAGUCCCUUAGGAUUUAAACAAAAAUGCUUUCCAACUUUUGAGAAGGAAGGGAAGCUAGACUUCCACAGAGCCUAUGACUAGUUUUAAUAGAAGAAAGAGGAAACUAUGAUUUCCAGAGAUCUUUUUAAAAGAUAAGUUUUGAGCACUAAUCUCAAACCACAACAUUAGAAUGUUUUUAAAUAUAAGAUCCAGUAUAUAUUUGGUAGUAGUAUUUAGCACCAAUAUGUGGGAGAGUUCACAUAACUCACAGCCCUCAUAAACCAUUCUAGCCACCAUGGAUAGAAAAGGGUCACACUUUUUAGAUGAUUCCUUUUCACAGUUUACUAGUGGAUACAUUAGGCAGUCCAACCCCUAUACCUUUGGCUGGGUAUAGGAUGCACUGGCAGAGUGCGGUAGACCCUGUGUCAUCACUGUAGCUCAUAAUUGAUGGUUGUCUGUUAGGUAAUCUCCCUUAGGUAAAUUGUAUUUUUAUACAUAGAAGUAUUGUAUCUUUAUAAUACAUCAGGAUUGUAUUUUAUAUACAUCUCAGACAUCAUUGGGUACUUAUAUAUAUAUACUCAGAGUUGCAGUUAUUCUUAUUGUGUAUAUUCAAUAAAAGUUAGUAGAUAUGAGUUGAACAGAGCCAAGGUAAGUAUUCAUUCUUACUCCAUUUCAAUCAUACAUUUUGUUUAGCUUCCCAACUCGCAUACUCAUACAUUCAAUGUACUGAUGCUUGUUGGCCCGCAUCAUUUUAUAAUGCAAACGCAAGUAAGGAGGAUCAACAUGUGACAUUUCGCUGAUCCAUAUUGAGGUCCAGAGUCAGUGGUGAGCCUCCUUGCAUUCCGGAGGACAUCCAUUUUAGUUACUUUUAGUAGUUUAGUUUUAGGAUGUUGUGGGUUCUGUCCCAAUGUCCCUCUUAAGUCAGUUAAGAGGCUACAUAGACACUAGUAUUUCAGUUUAGAGUUUAUUGUUGCUUGUUGAGACUUAAUUGCCAUCAUGACCAGAUAUUAUAUGAAGUACUUUCCGAUAAACAUGUCUUAUUUGUUUCAAAAGAUGAGUUUAGUCUUCUGCUGAAUUAAGUAAGCCAGACCAAGGGUUCUCUUGAGGGCCAGCAAUGGUCUUCAACUGCCAGUGUCGCCCAAGGUAUAGGCUCGGGGCUAGACAAACAUGAUAUCAGAGCACAGAGUUCAAACGUCGUAGGGAAUAUAUGAAGCCGUGCAUGUAUAGUCUUAGUAAUCGGUGUGAAGCACUCCACAUUUAUGAUUAAGAGGUCACAACAUUUUGGAAUGUUUCCCUUCUUUUAUGUUCCUUUGGUGCGAUGAGUUUGUGUAUAAAGUCUCUCUCUAAUUCGUGCUUACACGUAUUUUUCAAAUCAUCAUGCCUCCAAGAAGAGAAUUCAGGGGAGGAACACCAAGGAAUGUUAAGGAACAAGAGGUUCCAAAUGCACCAGAGGUGCAACCCAAGGAGAGGUUACCAAUGACGAAUUUCGACAGGCUAUCCUGAUGCUAAGUCAGGUUGUGACCAACCAGGUUGGGCAACAGAGAGUGGAUCGACAAGAAGGAUGUAAUACCUGGAAAGUUUGUGAGUUUCUGAGAAUGAAUCCUACUAGUAUCACUGGAUCAAACCAUUUUGAGAAUCUGGGAACUUUUGAAAGGAAUUAAAGAAGGAGAUUGAGGCAAUGCAUGUGGUGGAUGUUGAGAGGGUUUAAUUGGAUGCGUAUCAACUAAAGGGUGUAGUUAGAUACUGGUUUAAUCUGUUGAAGGAUGGAAGAGCUGAGGAUGCCCCAUAUCCAAGUUGGGCUUGAUUCGAAGAAGCCUUUUUUGGGAGGUUCUUUACUCGCAAACUGAAGGAAUCCAAAGUGAGGGAGUUACUUACACUGAAACAGGACUCCAUGAGUGUACGGGAUUAUGGGAUGAAGUUCACCUAACUAUCUCGCUAUGCUCCAAAGAUGGUGAAAGACAUGAGGAGCUGAAUGAGUCUGCUUGUUGUAGGGUUGGGUCAUGCUUUAAAUAAAGAAGGUAAGGCUUCCAUGUUGAUAGGUGACAUGGACAUAUCGAGGCUGAUGGUAUAUGUUCAACAAGUUGAAGAAGAGAAGGUGAAGGAUAUAUAAGAGUACCGAAAUAAGAAGUUCAAGACUGGAAACAAGUCUAGCCAACAGAAAGUUAGUUCAAGCCAACCACAAUUCCAAAAACCAAAGGGUCUUGCACUAUCAUCUACUAGAGCACUUGCACCUGGAAACCAAAGUGAGUAUAGUGGGCAGAAUUUGGAGCACUUCAAAGGUAGACCCGCUCAGUCUCAAGGUAGUGUAGCACAAUAAGGUACUAAGCCUCCUGCCUGCGCCAAGUGUGGUUGAAAUCACUAUGGAAUUUGUUGCAAAGGCUUCAUCGAUUGUUUCAAGUGUAAUAUAGAGGGUCACUUCAUGAGAGAGUGCCCCAAGCACAAGCAAGGCGGUGGAAUCCAGUCAAUAGAGUUCAAUCUUCAUCAAUAUCUCCACCAAAUAGGGUUGCACCUAUGGGAGCUGCUUCGGGUACAAGCCGAGGAACAAACCGCUUGUAUGCUCUUACUAAUCGCCCUUAACAAAAGAAUUCACCAGAUGGCGUCACUAGUAUGAUUUGAGUCUUUGACUUUAAUGCUUAUGCAUUAUUAUACCCAGGAGCUACUUUAUCUUUUGUAACUCCUUAUGUGACUAUGAACUUUGAGAUUUCUCCUGAUCAACUUAGCAAGCCAUUCAGUGUAUCCACACUUUUUGGUGAAUGAAUUAUAGCAUAAAGAGUCUAUCAUGAUUGUCCUAUUUGCGUCAGUCACAAGAGUACCAUGGCUGAUUUAAUAGAGAUAAACAUGGUAGAUUUUGAUGUCAUUCUAGGUAUAGACAGGCUCCAUGCAUGUUGUGCAUCAAUAGAUUGCAGAACAUGAGUUUUCAUGUUUCAGAUUCCUAAUGAUUCAGUCAUAGAGUGGGCUAGUAGUUCAGCGGAUGCCUAAGGGUUGCUUCAUUUCGUACCUUAAGGAGAGGAAGUUAGUUCCUAAAGGGUGUAUCUAUAACUUAGUCUGAGUCAAUGACUGUUGACACCCAAUUUUUGACCCGUGUCGGUAUAAAUUAAUUAUCGAGCUUCGUGAGUUUUUCAAAUUAUUUAAGCUAAUUAGUUUUAUAAAUCUUGCGAAAAUUAAUAUAUAUAUAUAUAUAUAUAUAUAUACACAUAUAUGUAUAUGUAUAUGUAUAUAUGUAUAUCUUAAGUUUAGAAGGUAUUCUAUUAAACUACUUUACGUUAAAUCACAACUAUAUUUUGAAUCAUUAUUUUUACAAUUUAAAUAGUUAUGUUACUAAAUAAAUAAGCUCGUUAACAAAUUUACACCAAAUUCAUUUUCGUUUUAACUCAAUUGGCGAUUAUUUAAAUUGAAUUCCCUUUACAUUUUAACAAUCCAUUUCAAUUUCAGCCCAUCCCCCUCAAACCCAAAUCAAUUUCCCAUGUCCAAUUUGUAGGCCCAAACGUUUUCUGUAACAGCCCACUCCAUUUUAAACAACCAUCCAAUCUUCCAACCCAUUACCAAUUAACCCCAGGCGGCCCAUCCUCCUCAACCCAACUCACUAAAACCCAUAACCCGACCCAACACCUCACGAUCCGACCCGAACCCAUAUCCUUUUCUUCUUCCCCUUCCCCUCUCACACCCCAAAUAACGAAAAAGCCAAAGAACCCAGUGAAAAAACCCAGAGGAAGCAGAACCCCAAAAUGGAAAAUUUCUCCCAUACCCUUGCGUCUCCCUCACAUCCUCUAUCUCUCUCCCAAACUCUCUCCCUCGCGCAGAACCUCCCAGACACGAAAUUAAUUCCCCAGAAAUCAUCAAAAUUCCCAAAACUCACGCGCAAGGAGUUCUCACAGCAUGGUUUGUCUUUUUCUUCGCGUGUCCUCGAGUCGCGCGUCUCCUUCCCUCUCUCUUCGCGCUCGUACAAGCGCACAGUGGACAGUAGCCGCCCUCGCCUUAACAUCCUUGCAACAGUGCUGCGACCCUGCCCUCGUCGUACAGCCCUGCAGCAUGCUAGGGGGCGCGAGCUCGUCCUUGGCGACGUAGGAUCAUGCCGCGUCAUUUGCCUAGGACGAGAGUUUAAUCUCGACCAUCCACGUCGCCUCAGAGACGUUCAAAGAGCCAGGAAUCGAGGAAUAUCCGUUUCUGUUGGAUAAUGUUUGAGAUUUCAAAUUUUGAAAUGGGCCAUCGUCAAUCCCGCCUAAAAUCCAAAACCCUAAUUCCGUUCUCCUCUAUAAAAACCCUUUUCUUCUUCAGAAAAGGGGUUGGACAUUUUUGGUUUAAUAAAUUUUCCGAGAGUUGGAGCUUUAGUAAAAAAGGGGGGGGGGGGUUGUAUUCUGUCUGUUCUAGGCUUAGAAAAGAGUUGUCGUGGUCUAGCUUUGACGAGAGGAUUUCUGGAAAAGAAUCUUGGAGAGAUUUUUGUUCAGAGGUUUUUCGCUCGUCUCUACUUUUCUGGUCGAGAAAGACGGAGUGUGAUCGUUGCCAUUUUUUUUGUUGGCGAUUCUGAGAAGGAGACCUGUCUCGCGUUCUUAGAAAGGAGAGGAGGAAGUUUUCUAAGCUAGCUUGCGUUGGACUGGUGUUCGUGCUCGCACGGUGGUAGUCGUCCCCAUUCCCUGCUCAUUCUCGUCCCAGUUUGCCUCCCCUAUAAAGGUAACAUUUGUUUCGACUCUCGAUCUUUAGUUGUAUCUGUUGUUUACACUUCGUGGCUUAGGUUGGUUUUAGCUGUUGUUGACUCGAUGUAGUGCGAAAACCAUUUGAAAAUUCGUGGUUAUGUUGUUCUGUUUCUGUCGCUUACUGUUUACCUUUCCGAACACCCCGCGUUCAUGCUGUUUUUGACUUGAUGAUUCCUUGCAGUGACUGGAGCUUCUUUCGAGUUAAUAGUCGAAACCGUUACGUAUGAUGUUGUUCAUUCAAAAUGCUGGUCCUCUUUUUAUAUUUCUUUUUUCUUUGGCAAGCAUGUUAAAUGUUCGAGUGUUGAGUAUGUAUGGUUUGUUCGCUGUAAGUGUAGAAGGUUAUACUUGUUGGCGUUUCUUGAGUUCGAGUCGCAUCGCAUAUAGGGGUUUGUUUCGUUGCGAUUCGUCUGUCUUGCGUCGCUCAUCUGAGGCUUAACUGAAAAGGUCGAUUAUAUUAGUGUUGUUAGCUGUAUUUUUACUUGCUGAUUAGUCGAAAUAAAAUGAUGAAAUCUGUUUCUUUGUUAGUCCAUGUUCGCUGCCCGUCAUUCAUUUGAUGUGAUCGAGGGUUCUUGACGUUUUCUCCUUCUUGUUCCCACUGUCAGAACCUUCUCAUUUCAGUGAUGCCCUUAUCGACAGGUUAUGCAAAGUUAUGGUUCAGUCACGAGGUUCAAAAUCAUUUUCCACAGAUUUUUUUACUACUAAUCUGACCUACGAUCUGUUUAUCACUUUCAUCAUCUGAAGUUGAAGCAUCAUGAUGUAUUUGUUGUUUACGCAUAUUUGGUGGCUUUUACUUAAUAAAAUUGGUCGAGUGGUUACAUAGGCGGACUCAUCUUCCCUGGAUGAUGGAAUGUCUUUUUAUGAUGACUACGUUAUUCUCUUCUUCUGUAUGUUUCGUGUUCCUGAUUGCCUGCUAGUUCGGCUGUCGAACAUCCGAAUGGCCGUAGUUUUGCUAGUAUUCGGAAUUUGUAAGGUUGAGUAGAUAUCACAUUCUUAGCUCUAUGCAUAUGAUGGCUGUUUCAGUGUAUAUGUGCGCUGUAUGUCCCCGUUGUUGUGUAUUGGUUGCAAUUUCUCUUUCACGUCUUAGUUCUGAAAAUUGAAUUGGAGUCUCUUGUUUCCUCUAACUCAACUACACAUAUUUCCGCUUUAUUCCCCUCUUAUUCAAAAAUGUUUGUUAAUGGUUCUUUAUGCAUAUGCUAAUCCAUCGUCAUCUUAUUGCAUGUGAAAUCAUUCGCGAGUCCCUAUGGACUUCGUUCUAGCUUGCACAUCUUUGUUGAGCCGUAAAGGCUCAAAAUUUCUUCGAGUCAAGGCCACGGGCGGAAUCCGGAAUUUCGUGGAGAUUGAAGAAGAGCCAGGGCGAAUUAGGAGAUUGUCCUUGUUUUUUUUUAUUUAGUUGUAUUGUUGUAAUUGGCAUAAGCCCUUGUAGUUUUUUUUUUCUUUUUUUUUCAUUCUUCUUAUUUCAUUUUUGUAUGUUUAGAUUACGACAGGUACAAAAUGGGUCAAAUACCCAAAAACAGGUGGGUCCAACAUUCGGUCAAGGCGAACAGAACCAAAGUUGAAUCCAAAUCUCUCUCUCCCUCUCUCUUUACUAUUCGCUUACGUAUUUGCUCAUAUUUCGUUAGUUUUAGGACUAGAAAACUCCAAAUCCCUUUGAAGCGCCUUUCUAUUUUAUCAAGUUAAAACUAAUCUUGAAAACAAUAAGUAUUUCAAAAUUCGUAAAGCCUGUCUAGAUAAAAAUCUUAACUUUGACAGAUUCGCAAAAUACAAGAUAAGCAACAUAUUUCGAAACUUGUCAAAAUUGCCUAGAUAAAAAUCAAUAAGAUCAAAAUUGCAAAAGCUAAAACAAACAUAGUCAAAUAAAUUAAUUGCUGGAAAACCGUAAGUUAGCGGAGUGUCUUAGGUGCCUUACACCUUCCUAAGAAGCUAAUAGGAAUCCCGAACCCUUAAAAUAUUUUCAAACAAUUUUCCUGUUUUAAGUUGUUUAGAAAAUAAAGUUUUCUUGAUUUUUCUUAAAAAAUUAAGUGGCGACUCCUAAAAUUCGAAAAUAGCCUUAAAAUAAAAUAAACCUCUUUUCGAAAAUAAUUUUUCGAUAAAACAGAAUGGCGACUCCGCUGGGGAAGGAGGAUUCUAACCCUAAGAAUAAUUAUUUGACUAACUUGUAAUUUGCUGUUUAUAUUGUUUAAAUUGAUUAGAUUUUGAAAUAUUGCAUUUUUCUCUCAUGGCAUAUUUCCAAUAUGUAUAUAUAGUAUAUUAAAGGACAGUUUGCGGAACCGUAGCCGGACUUUUUUGUACUCACCCUAUUUCAAAAUUAGCGGCAAUUUAUUGGUUUGUUAGGCGUCCAAUGGUUGUCGCGAGUUUCAGCCCAAAUUUUCCGUUUGGGUUCCCGGUCCUUUCAAAAGCCACUCUUAGUCAACUAGCGUAGAGCCGAGCCAAAAUCCCGAAUGUAAGAGCAUUUGAACUAAGACGACCCAACACCCAAGGCGUGUUGGGCCCAUUAGAAGCCCACCUUGCGUCUAUUUGGCCUAAAUUGCCAAAAACGGACAAUCAUGCUUAUGUAUUUAUUGAAGGAUGUAUAUGCAUUUUAAAAACGAUUUAUUGUCUACGGGGUGGGGAGUUGACUAAAUUUUGUUCACUAUUUUUUAUAGGAUGAAUCCGGCACACAAACCUUUGAAGACAAGAAUGGUUACUAUCCCCGACCCUUUCCUCAAAGUGUGGUGGAGGUUCAUGAACAACGAUGAUAAAAGGGUCGUUCAAAAACACAUAGGUCAUCUUCCGUCGUUGUUAGAGAUGAAUGCGUGGCCUGGCUUAGUUGGAACGAUGGUAAAAUUCUGGGAUAGCGAGAAUAUGGUUUUUCGAUUCGGGGAAGUAGAGUUGACGCCGACUAUAGAAGAAAUUCUCAGCAGUUAUAAAAGUGUCUCCAUGUGCAACAAAAGGAAACGACAUCCAGAUAUAGAUCUCCUAAAUCCUAUAACAUGAGAUUUCGCCAAAAUUAAAGAGAAGUUGUCAUUGGUUAAAGCCGAGUGGAUGGACAAACUCCCUGGUCCGAAUAUACCUUUCAGAAAGUUAUAUUAUCGAUUUGGGCGUGCAAGGGCUUAUGAGAAACAUGAAGACGAGUUCAUCUCAAAAGAAAAAUGAAAAGAGGAGCGUCCCCUUGCAUUUGCGAUAUGUUUGCUCGGCACGAUGGUUUUUCCCCAAGGGCCAAAAUACACUAUUCAUCCUAGUGUAUUUAUAGUCACUCAUGCCAUUUUUUAUGGAGUGGAUUACAAAACAUCGACGAAGUAUUACACUUUAGCGCCUAUGAUUCUGGCCGACAUCUACAGGGCUUUAGACAAGUGUCAGAACGGAGAACGCUUCUUUCAAGGGUGUAAUUUGAUACUACAGUGGUGAAUGAUGCGUCAUUUAAUCAAGACUCAUAACCCCAAAGAACCAGAUCCCUUAAGACGAUCCGACGAGCUACAUAGUCAUGACUGGUGGUUGUAUCACAAUCGUUGCAACAAGACUGGAGGAGAGAGUUUUUGGUAUCCGAGGCUUCGAGGGCUGAGAGAAGAAGACGUGCAAUGGUCAAUAGAUAGUUUGGUGGUGACUAAGAAUAUGGUGGUUCGAACUGAAAAGGUCCCCUAUCUAGUAUUUGCUGGACUAAGAGGAACUAGACCAUAUGCUCCCGGUCGAGUUCUGAGGCAACUAGGAGGGAAACAAGAGUUGCCCCAGAUUGCAGAUAUGAGGAAAUUCAUAACUGACCACGAGAAUGGGCGAGUGGCAUUUUCCGAAGACAUGCGUAGGAUGUGGAGAUCUCGAAGAGUGUUGGGUGAGCCUGUACCCGAUAGGUUUCGUCCAGAAUUUUCGAGGGAGUACAAAGAAUGGUUAAAAAAGAGUCUCACUGGAACAAUUGAGCCUGCUCCGAACGUUCCUCACGUUAUUGCCGAUGUUGGAGCCAAACAUCAAGUCCGACUUCACCGCCUUCAAGAGAAGUUUGAUAGGAGUGAAUUAGAGCAUCAACGUCGUCAUUCCGAAGAUGCCAAAGUCAUAGCUCGAUUGAAACAAGAACUGCGAAGUGCCAGACAAUGCAUGACAGAGUUAGAUGAUAGCAUGGAGCGACAGAUUCAAUCGAUAGAGGGGUUCAGUCAUCAAGAAGGAGCUCGAUUGGCGAGAGAUCAUCUCUGGGCGAAUAGAUAUGCCAUGUGGGAAGAAGUCAACAUCGCCAAGAAGACCAGACUUGGCGAAGGAUCAGAGGAAGCCUGAUUUUUACCAUCCCCUACGUGGGACUGUUUUAUUUUGUACUUUUUUUUGUAAUUUAUUUUUCAUGUUUAUCAGACAUUUUGGAUGCUAUUAAUGAAAUAUUGUGGGGAUAAUGAUCGGGUUUAAAAAAAGCAUAUACAUCCUUCAAUUCGUUAGGCUUACCCUUGGCACAAAAGGGUCACAUGCAUGUUUAGGACACGAUAUUUGUUUAAAUGUUUAUGUGUUAUGUUGCUUUGAUUGAGGAUAUCGUAAACCCACUCCAAGACAAAAUUCCAAAGAAUAUACAGAAGCCACUGUUAUAAAUGUCCGACCAAAAGUCCCAAGUCUCAAGUUUUUCACACAAAAUCCACACCAUAAAUCCUAAAUACCGCUCCAUCAUCUCAGGAAAGUCGAAUCACCGCUAUGGACAAAGGCAAGAACAUCCAGAUGGAGCUCACUAAGGAGGAAGUGCGAAGAGAAAUCGAGCGAGUCACUCGAGAGAUUCAGAAGGUUAAGGAGGAAGGGCUCAAAGUAGACAUGACCACGACGAUCUACAAAGCUGCGGUCACGACCUUGGAUGAAGAUUUGGCGUCGCAAAUAAAGAGAAAGAAGGAGGUUGAGAUGGAAACCGAAAGCCUAAGGAAAAGGUUGAACUUGCUUCGUUCGGAGAUACAUGAAGGAAAGGCGAGAGAGGCGAAGAUAGAUAUCGAGACUGCUGUGUUGUUGUCCAGAAGCACGGCGCUCGACGAGGAAUUGGCGACCCAUAGCAACCGAAAGGGCGGAAAACACCUCGCCCGUGAUCAGGGAGCAGAUAACAGUGGCCCCGGCCGUGAAGUGAUUGAGGAGGAUAAUGAAGAAGAAAUCGUCUACAAGCCUCCAUUUCUGACUGUCUGGAAAAAAAGGGGGAAUGACGCAGCCACAAGACAAGAAAUCGCCAAAUGUUGUCUUCUAGAAAUUUCAAUGUUGUUUUUCAAUUCCCUUGUAAUCACAACGAAAGAAUGAAUGGAAAAUUUUCAUCCUAAAAUUCGAACUACGUUGGGCCUGAAUUCUCCCCGUGAGAUACGUAGGCAGCCUUCCCGGCCCGGCCCCUAUCACCAAAAAUUUUCAUUCUCCUCUAUGUUUCGGAGAUACGAAGAUAAGAUCAACAGACGUCGCAAAGCAGCUGCAAGAAGACCAUAGCUCAACGUGAUUCAGAUUUCCCAAGAUAGCGCCAAACAAACAAAUUCCUGUUUGUUCAAAAUAUAUAUCCGUCCUUAUUCGUGGGUUAAGAUAUCCUCAAACAAAACGACUUGUGUGUUUAAUCUGUUUGCUGUGCAAUAUUAUGUAUUUUUUACUCAAAUAUGCGCUAACAGAUUUGCCUUUGAGUUGUUUUUACCUCUCAGGUACCUCUUACUGGUCUGUGUCUAUAAAGCUGGCAGAUCACCACUACUUUACCAGAUCAAAAGGUCGCGCAGAUUCCUUCCCCGGAUCAAACGCAAAUAUAGACAUGGGCGACAACAAUGAACAAAUCAGCCUCACAGAUGUCGUGGUGGCUCAGCCCACCGUGGCAGAGCAGAAUGAGCUUAUUGCGCAGCUAAUGCAGCAAAUAGCUGACAUGAGGGUAGAGAUGCAACGGAGGCAAGACACUCCUCCACCCGGGUUUGGCCCCAACUUUCUCGACGCAAGACCUCCUGCAUACCUUCCUUCGUCCAACUCGGAUCCUACUCAGCACCGUCCAUCGAUACCCGUGCAUAACCCCUCCAGAAUGGAUAUGACAGCCCAAAACCCCCAAUACACGUCAGUCUCCUAUCAAACUCCCUCACCACUCCCAGACAAUCCUCCACAAAUACCCCCACCCCCCAAAAUACUCAAACAGCCACACUACCCCAAAAUCAAACCCAAAAUCCCACCGCUUUCAAUUCUCAAACACCGCAUCCCCAUUUAACAAAAAAUACCAAUCCCCAAAAUUAUCCGCAAAAUUAUCAAACCGCACAGAACGUCCCAAGCCCUUCCAUAGCUCCACCCCUCCCCAAAAGAACCACUUUUCAAGUCCCUGUCCCUGCCGAGCAUGAGGUGCACGGCUCUGAGUUAGACCAUUACGAGGAGCAAGAAAGAGAGUGGAGGGCGAGGGAAGAAGUGAAGGUAGACAUAAAGGAGGAGAUCAAAAGGGCAAUGAAAGAAUUGCAAUGCACUCCAGACGUCGCCGGGUUAAGCUACGCAGAACUAUGCAUCCACCCAGACUUGAACCUGCCUGAAGGGUUCAAGAUCACGAAGUUUGAUACCUUCGGUGGGGUGGGCAACCCCAUGGCACACCUCAGAGCAUACUGUGACCAACUCGUGGGAGUUGGCGAAGAUGAAGCCUUGCUGAUGAAGUUAUUCAGCCGGAGCCUGCGCGGUGAAGCCCUGGAGUGGUUCACGUCACAUGAGACUCGACAAUGGCCCAGUUGGAGUGCCCUGGCUAAAGAUUUCAUGGACAGGUUUGCGUACAACGUCGAGAUAGUCCCCGAUAGGUACUCCUUGGAAAAGAUGAAGCAAAAAUCCACCGAGAGCUAUCGAGAAUUUGCGUACAGAUGGAGGAAGGAGGCAGCGAGGGUGAGGCCUCCCAUGACAGAAAAAGAGAUUGUAGAGGUGUUCGUGCGGGUGCAGGAGCCCGAGUAUUAUGACAGGAUCAUCUUGUUAAUCGGCGCCAAAUUCGCCGAAAUAGUCAAAGUGGGUGAGACUAUUGAAGAUGGCCUGAAGUCGGGGAAGAUAGCCCGAGUGUCUGCAUCGCCUGGAUCUUCUGGACUGGUAAGGAAGAAAAGAGAGGAGGUUAACGCUAUCUCACACGGGGAAAGAAAGGCCUCCAGAAACUUACCACAUCCCCAAGGCCGCUCCUACCCUCCAUCAAAGCCUCAUCAAGCCUAUCGUCCAAACUCAAAUCAUUCCAGCCACUACAAUGCCGGCCCCACUUAUCCGGAAGCCCAUAUUGUGUCGUAUCAGAAUCCACCCCCGAUUCCCCAAAAUUUUCCAAACUACCCCCAAGCCUAUCAAGUCCCUCCCCACUACCAGAAUGUCGCUCCCAGCUGCGCUAAUGUACAACUAAGCUAUCAACGUCGUUCCCCGCAUAUCAAAUACAAACCCCAGCAUAUCAAAACCCCCAUCUAAAUUACCAAGCCCUAAUGCCAAACUACCAAAUAAAUCCCCAUCCCAGAGCCCAAGCUCCACGACCAAAUGCCUGCAAUUACCAACAAGUCCCUCCCCCUCAGCAAAGCGGUUAUGAUCCUCCCCGUCCGAGAUUUGAAAAAAGGCCUUCAAGGAAAUUUACCACACUUGCUGAAAGCCGGACCAAACUAUUUGAGAGGCUAGUCGCAGAUGGAUACAUCCACCCUGUGGGGCCCAAACCCGUGGAUAUCAACUCAAAGUUCUACAGGCCAGAUCAAAGGUGUGCUUAUCAUUCCAACAGUGUUGGACAUGACACGGAAGAUUGCAUCAACCUUAAGCACAAAAUCCAAGACCUGAUCGAUCAGGAGGUAGUUUCUCUUCAACCGGCGGCGCCACGCGUCAACACAAAUCCGUUGCCAAAUCAUGGGGGUGGAAACAUCAACAUGAUAGAAACUGACGAAGAUGAGCGUGAAGCCAAGAGAAUUACUCCUGUUGUUCAAGAAGACUUGGAAAGGGCUGUCGCUUCUUUAAGCAUCAAGGAAAGAAGGGAGUUUGUUAUUCUGACACCUGCAAAGGCUGUUGCCUUGGUGCCCUCAAAGACUCUCCCCAAACCCAAGUUGUGAUAGAAACGGUUGUGGCUCAAGGCAUGACUAGGUCCGGAAGGUGCUACACUCCUGAUGAGCUUGCUCUCGGAGGACAGAAGAAGGACCAUGCUAAGAGGCUGAUAAGCGAGGGGGGAGCAGAAGAGUUCUGGAGAAGGAUGCAACCGAAGGACUAUUCUAUCGUCAAACAUUUAGAGAAGACUCCGGCUCAGAUAUCUGUGUGGGCCCUGCUGAUGAGCUCUCAGUCCCACAGGCAGGCCUUAAUGAAAGCUCUUGAUGAUACAUACGUGCCCUCAGGCACAAGCAGCGACAAUGUAGCUGCUAUGAUUCACCGAGUCAUUCAGGGACACCGCAUCAGCUUCUGCGAUGAUGAGUUACCAUCCGAAGAGAGAGCCCACAACAAAGCUCUACACAUCACCGUGGUCUGCCGUGGAAAGAUCGUCAACCGUGUUUUGGUAGACGAUGGAUCUGGCCUAAACAUAUGCCCCUUGUCCACGCUGAAGCAGCUGAGGUUUGACCUCGGAAAGUUGGAGAAAAACCAGGUCAAUGUGAGAGCAUUUGAUGGUGUGCAGAGAGAGACGUUAGGAGCGGUGAACUUGAUCAUCCAAAUGGGCCCCGUAGAGUUCGAGGCAAAAUUCCAGGUGUUGGAUAUCAACACCAGCUAUAACCUCCUUUUGGGAAGGCCAUUCAUUCAUAUGGCUGGAGCCAUCCCCUCCACUCUUCACCAAGUGAUGAAACUAGUAUGGAGAAAUGAAGAACUAGUUAUUCACGGGGAAAGGAGCCAUUCAGGUAAGCAGGUGCCGAUUUUGGACGAGACGCCGCAAACUUCGGAUUUCUACACAGUGGAGUUGGUAAAUGCCACCGAUGAGGGCUUGGCACCACAGACUCCCAUGCCGGCCGUGUACAAAAUGAUUGCCACGGUAAUGCUGCAGAGCGGAUUCGAACCAGGUUCCGGACUAGGAAGGAAUGCCCAAGGGAUUAUCAAGCCAGUUCCCGUCCUUGCUCAGGGAUCAAAGUAUGGUUUGGGGUACAUCCCCACAGAUAAUGAUAUGAAGAUGAAGAGGAGAAGGGAUCAAGAGUUGACUAAGCCGAUCCCGCAUCUCUAUCACUUCUUUCCAGUUCGGGAGCAUGCCGAGCCUGAAGACGACGGGGAAAGAAUCUAUGACCUGUUCAAGGAGAUCAAUGCCGUAAUAGAGGAGGAGGCUGAGCCAACUGGCUUUCGUGAUGCCGAACCAGGGGAGAUGCUGAAAAAUUGGACGUCCACACCAAUCCUGAUGUCCCGGACUUUUGGGUAGAAAGGAAUUAUUUUGUGCAUGUCGAAAUCGGUGGUCGUUUGGAAAAGGCCCGAGACCUACCAUUUCUGCAUUUUUUUAUUUUGAAUUUUGUUAUGAUUGUUUAAAGGGCGACAUGGCCUUGUGCCAUGACCCAAGUUUGCAUUUUUGAUUCAAUUUAAAUGAAGGCCUCCUUAUUUUGACUUUGUUUAUUCGAUUGCUUGUUAUAUUUUACUUUUCUAAUUUUGUCUGUUUAUGAUUUCAGUAACGUAAGUUACAAACCUGCCAAUGUCAUGUCAUGUCAUGAGCUAAACAAGCAGAAUGAGGCAAAUGAUGACGAGGCUGAUGACUACGACGAAGAAAGUGGGGAACCAGACUAUGUGGUAGAAGAGUUUCGACAGUUCGAGAAUCAACAUAAACCGAAUCUGGAGGAAACCGUGGCGGUAAAUUUGGGAGAUUCAGAAUGUGUCAAAGAGGUUAAGAUCAGCACUCACCUGAAUGAAACUCAGAAGGAGAGCCUAGUUCAUUUGCUUGCCAAAUACAGCGAUGUGUUUGUUUGGGAGGUCGGUGACAUGCAAGGGUUGAGUACCGAUGUCGUAUCUCAUAAGCUGCCUAUCAACCCGGGGUUCGAACCAGUGAAGCAAAAGACUCGGAAAUUCAAGCCCGAAUUGAGUUUGAAGAUUAAGAAGGAAAUCACCAAGCAGAUAGAGUCUCGAUUGGUGGAAGUAACAGAAUAUCCAACCUGGUUGGCCAAUGUCGUUCCGGUCGCCAAGAAAGAUAGAAAAAUCAGGAUUUGUGUCGAUUACAGAGAUCUCAACAAGGCUAGUCCAAUGGAUAAUUUCCCGUUGCCGAAUAUCCAUAUUUUGAUUGACAACUGUGCCAAACAUGAGAUGCAGUCAUUCAUGGAUUGUUACGCGGGUUAUCACCAGAUUUUGAUGGACAAAGAAGACGCAGAAAAAACGGCCUUCAUCACACAUUGGGGGGUAUAUCACUACAGGGUAAUGCCGUUUGGCCUCAAGAACGCCGGUGCUACUUACAUGAGAGCCAUGACGACUAUCUUUCAUGACAUGAUUCACAAGGAAAUUAAAGUGUAUGUGGACGAUGUCAUAAUCGAAUCCCGCGAGAGUUCGGAUCAUUUGACGCACCUGAGAAAAUUCUUUGAGCGUUUGCGUCGGUACAACUUGAAGCUAAACCCCGCCAAAUGUGCUUUUGGAGUCCCAGUUGGGAAGUUGUUGGGGUUUAUAGUCAGCAGAAGGGGUAUUGAGCUCGACCCUUCCAAGAUUAAAGCAAUUCAAGAGUUGCCUCCGUCGAAGACGAGAAAAGAAGUGAUGAGUUUCUUGGGGAGGUUAAACUAUAUCAGCCGGUUUAUAGCACAAUCAACAGUGGUAUGUGAGCCCAUUUUCAAGUUGCUGAAGAAAGACGCCCCAACUAAGUGGACUGAGGAGUGCCAGACCGCUUUCGACGCUAUCAAAAGCUACUUGUCUAAUCCACCAGUAUUGGUUCUUCCACGAGAAGGGAGUCCUUUGCUACAGUAUUUGUCGAUUUCAGAUAGUGCAUUUGGAUGUGUACUGGGUCAACACGACGAGACAGGGAAGAAGGAAAAGGCUAUCUACUACAUCAGCAAGAAAUUUACUCCGUACGAGUCUCGCUACACUUUGCUAGAGAGAACAUGCUGUGCUCUGACGUGGCUUGCCCAGAAGUUGAGACACUAUUUGUCGUCGUAUACUACAUAUCUUGUCUCCAGAAUGGAUCCAUUGAAGUAUAUUUUCCAGAAAGCGAUGCCGACCGGGAAGUUAGCUAAAUGGCAAAUGUUGUUAAGUGAGUUUGACAUCGUGUACGUGACUCAGAAGGCAAUAAAGGCACAAGCUUUGGCUGAUCAUCUUGCGGAAAAUCCCGUUGACGAAGAAUAUGAACCUCUCAAGACAUAUUUUCACGAUGAAGAAGUGUCAUUUGUGGGUGAAGAUAUCUCUGAAGCUUAUCCAGGUUGGAGAUUAUUCUUUGAUGGAGCGGCAAACCACCAGGGUAAAGGUGUUGGAGCAGUCUUGGUAUCAGAAUCUGGUCAACACUAUCCUAUGGCAGCCAAACUGCAAUUCAACUGCACAAAUAACAUGGCUGAGUACGAAGCUUGCAUUCUCGGUUUGAAAAUGGCCGUUGAAAUGAAUGUUUACGAGUUACUGGUUAUCGGAGAUUCAGACCUCUUGAUUCAUCAGGUUCAAGGAGAAUGGGCUGUGAAGAACCCGAAGAUUGUACCUUACGUACAAUAUGUGCAAAAUCUGUGUAAAAGGUUUCGCAAGAUCGAGUUCAGACAUACUCCAAGAAUACAGAAUGAAUUAGCUGAUGCUCUUUCCACCAUCACUUCAAUGAUCAAACAUCCGGAUACUGAUUACAUCGACCCGUUGGAUAUAGACUUGAAGGAACAUCCAGUCCAUUGUUCACAUGUUGAAUCAGAACCAGAUGGUUUUCCUUGGUAUUUCGACAUAAAAGGUACUUGGAGUCUGGGACAUAUCCGGAAGAUGCCACAUCUAAUCAAAAGAAGUCGAUACGUCGUAUGGCUCUCAAUUUCUUUUUGAAUGGAGAAGUCCUUUACAGGAGGACUCCAGAUUUGGGUCUUUUGAGAUGCGUGGAUGCUGCUGAAGCCAUGAGGCUUAUUGAACAGAUACAUGCUGGAGUUUGUGGUACACAUAUGAACGGGCUUACCUUGGCAAGAAAAUUCCUUCGAGCCGGUUAUUUCUGGAUGACUAUGGAGCAUGACUGUUGCAAAUUCGUGCAAAAAUGCCACAAAUGUCAAGUGCACGGCGAUCUGAUAAGGGUGCCACCUCACGAACUCAAUGCUAUGAGUUCACCUUGGCCAUUUGUAUCUUGGGGAAUGGAUGUCAUCGGUCCUAUAGUGCCGGCCGCUUCUAAUGGACACAGAUUCAUUUUUGUUGCCAUCGAUUAUUUCACCAAGUGGGUGGAGGCAGCUUCUUACAAAUCGAUAACCAAGAAAGUGGUGGCCGACUUUGUCCGCAACAAUUCGAUAUGCAGAUUUGGAGUUCCAGAAUCCAUCAUUACUGAUAACGGUGCAAAUCUCAACAGUCAUCUGAUGAAAGAGAUAUGUGAACAGUUCAAGAUUAUUCACCGGAGGUCAACUGCUUAUCGCCCUCAAAUGAACGGAGCCGUAGAGGCUGCCAACAAGAAUAUCAAGAAGAUUUUGAGGAAAAUGAUUGACAAACAGCGAGGUUGGCAUGAAAUGUUGCCAUAUGCUCUACUGGGUUAUCGAACGACGGUCAGAACAUCAACUGGGGCUACUCCAUACUUGCUAGUAUACGGAACAGAAGCAGUCGUACCUGUUGAAGUUGAGAUACCGUCACUGAGGAUCAUCCAAGAAGCUGAGCUAAGUAAUGUUGAGUGGGUUAGCAAACGGAUUGAUCAACUAGCUUUGAUUGAUGAGAAGAGGAUGAUCGCUGUUUGCCAUGGCCAGUUGUAUAGACAAAGAAUGACUCGCGCUUUUCACAAAAGAGUAAGAACCAGAAAUUUUGAAGUUGGUCAGUUGGUUCUUAAGCGUAUUUUUCCUCAUCAAGACGAUUACAAAGUAAAGUUCGCACAAAACUGGCAAGGUCCUUACAUGGUUCGCAAAGUACUAUCUGAAGGUGCUUUAGUCUUGUCAGAGAUGGAUGGCGCUGUAUGGCCCAAGCCUAUCAACUCAGAUGCUGUCAAGAGAUACUACGCGUGAAGUUGCGCUUUGCAUUUUUCUAUCAUUUGCUUGUAAUCGUUUUGUUUGCUUGUAUUUGUCAAAUUUGAAUUAUUAUCCCUUUUGUAACGAACUAUGUCUGACCUGAAUUCUCGAGAACGAGAUACGUAGGCGGCCUAUGUCGGCUUCGGUCAUCCCAUUUACCCCUUUAAUCAUUUCUUUGUAUUUGAACUACGUUCGACCUGAAUUCUCAAGAAUGAGAUACGUAGGCGGCCUUUGUCGGCCUCGGUCGGUUUCUUUGUAAAAUUUAUUCCUGUUAACCGUUAAGGGGAACUACGUUUGACCUGAUUCCUGCCUCAACGGGAUACGUAGGCGCCACAAGGGCUCGGUCAUAUAUCUCGUAAGGUCUAUUUCCCCCUUUCUACAAUAGAAACUGGGACAGAAUUUUUGAGAGGGACUCAAAAAUUCUCCAGAAGAAGCCUCCUCUUCAGCAAGCCAGACAAAAGAUAUUUCGAAUUUGCGACUGGGACAGAAUUUUGAGAAGAUCACAAAAUUUCCGCGAUUUGUUCGGUUACAAUGGAAAGAUGAGCAAGAUACUAAACUGGGACAGAUAUUUUGAGGAUGGCCUCCAAAUUUCGUCAUGGGACUUACCUACAAGUCCGGAAUGCCUCUGAAAUUCAUUCGACAAGCGUCGGACUCAAAGAAGCUCGUUAAGCCUGACAUGACAUGAUUUGGCAGUGACUUUUUCGAGAUACUAUUUCUUAAAAAUUUCUUGUUUCUCUUAAAAAUUUCCCUUUUAUAUUUCAUCUGUUUUGGCAUAAGAUAUUUUCUUAUCUAUCAAGAGUUAGGAAAUUGGGAAAUCAACCGGAGACGUCAAGACAAGGAGCAAACAACCGAAGGGAUCGACACAGAUCAGUAUGUUUAAAACUGACAAUUUUUCUGUGGAUGCAGGUUUAUAACUUCGCUUCGAAAUUGGCCGAAUUCUUCCGACUGAUGAAUACGGAGAAGGAGAAAACUAUAUCCAAAGCCAGUGAUUUUAUUGAAAGCAAGAAGCAUUUCUUAUCGUUUAUGCAAAGAUGCUUGUGAAUGUGUUUGAUUAUUUCAAGCCAUUCCCCAAUACAUGAGAUUUACACAGUGCCUGGCCAGAUUCAAAGGUGAAUCAAAAAGGAAUCUCAGCGAAGAUUUCACGAUUUCUAUAGAAGACGCUAUUUGCAUUGCGUUAUCAAAGCAAGAUGAUUAUUGUCGAUCAAGACAAUGCAUUACCUCAGAAGAGAAAACUAUGAAAUUAUUAUUUUUAUCAUUAUCAAUCAAGUCGAUAUAUUAUUUGGAGGUCGUCUUGCCGUUACUAUCCACGGGGGUGAUAUAAAUAUUCAUGCAUCGCGGAAUUUAUACACAGAAAAACCAUGCAUCACGGAAUCAUGCAUAGCGGAAUCAUGCAUCGCGGAAUCAUGCAUCGCAGAAAUCAUGCAUCGCGAGUCAAUAAUUAUGCAUGACGAGAAGAUUUCAUGCCUCGUCAAAAUUUAUACAUCGCGAGAAGAAUUUAUGCCUCGCUGAAAAUCAUGCAUCGCGGAAUCAUGCAUCGCGGAAAUCAUGCAUCGCGAGUCAAUAAUUAUGCAUGACGAGAAGAUUUCAUGCCUCGUAAAAAUUUAUACAUCGCGAGAAGAAUUUAUGCCUCGCUGAAAAUCAUGCAUAGCGAAAAUCAUGCAUCGCGGAAAUCAUGCAUCGCGAGUCAUUAAUUAUGCACGAUGAGAAGAUUUUAUGCCUCGUCAAAACUUAUGCAUCGCGAGAAGACUUUAUGCCUCGCUGAGAAUUAUGUACGACGAGAAGAUUUCAUGCCUCGUCAAAAUUUAUACAUCGCGAGAAGAAUUUAUGCCUCGCUGAAAAUCAUGCAUAGCGAAAAUCAUGCAUCGCGGAAAUCAUGCAUCGCGAGUCAUUAAUUAUGCACGACGAGAAGAUUUUAUGCCUCGUCAAAAUUUAUACAUCGCGAGAAGACUUUAUGCCUUGCUGACAAUUAUGUACGACGAGAAGAUUUCAUGCCUCGUCAAAAUUUAUACAUCGCGAGAAGAAUUUAUGCCUCGCUGGAAUUCAUGCAUAGCAAAAAUCAUGCAUCGCGGAAAUCAUGCAUCGCGAGUCAUUAUUUAUGCACGACGAGAAGAUUUCAUGCCUCGUCAAAAGUUAUGCAUCGCCAGAAGACUUCAUACCUCGCGGGAAUUUACGUAUUGCGGGAAGAUAUUUAUGCCCCGCAAGAGGACAUACACGGAUAAAGAAAGAGCAAUAUUUAUCCAUCGACCUCAACCGCAUUCCUUAUUUUGAUAAAAGAAAACAUCAAGAAGAGCAUCGAAGCACAAGGCAUAAGCUUUAUUUGCUAGAUGUCAGACCGAUCGAGUCGACGUCGAAUAUUGAGGAGAACAAGGAAGUGUCGACAUGGUAAAAAGACACUGUCUCCCAUCCUAAUUGCAUUUUUUAAGCUGAUGAGUUUUAUCUUAGUUUUGUCGAGAGCAUCCGAAAGGAUGAAUUCUCCAAAAACCACAGGUGCGGACGACAUCAAAAAGGAUGCAGCAAACCGUGGAGCUUUUUCUUAGCAGCAGACUGGGACACAGUCCGGAGAGGAAUGUCAAACUCUCAGGACGCGAGCAGAGGAGCGACUUCCACCACAAUCGAACCACCCUCUCAAGGCAUGUCGGUCUUUCUUUAGUUCUGUCAGUUUCAGUCUCGCAUCCGGAAGUUCCGACUUAUCAGAAGCAAGUUUCCAAUCUGAGUGACAACUCGCCAAGAGCUUUGGAAAUUAUGUCCGUGUAAGUUCUUACCUAUGGAUGUGAAGAGCUCCACAUUCAUAACUAAGAGGUUACAAGCCUCCUUUUCAUACUCGUUAAUGUGUCACCCUUCCAAAACCGAAGGUUAUCUAGCAUAAUAGGUUCCCUUUUCCAUCGAUUGAGUCGAACUACACAGAGCCUGAUUCCGAAGGUCUAGGGAUAUGUAGGCGGAUUCUAUGUCAAAAACUCGGCAGUAUUCCAACAUUCUCUCUCGAAUUCUAUUCUCGAGCAUUUCGAUACCUUCAUAAUUCGGUAUCGAGGGGGCUUUUGAUUCUUUCAAGAUCUUGCGGUGAAUCAAGCUUAUCGAACUACAAGUGGCCUGAAUUCUCAUAUAGCCUGAGAGAGGUAGGAAACUCGUUUUCAAGGGUUCGGACAUAAUUCCUAAACUCUUUGUCAAAUCCUUCCUUUAAAAUUAAUAGGGUUGGCCAAAAUUGGUGGUCAAUUUCAUUUUCCUCGAGUUGCUUGCAUCAAACCAAGUAAAAUGAGGGACAGUUGUUGACACCCAAUUUUUGACCCGCGUCGGUAUAAAUUAAUUAUCGAGCUUCGUGAGUUUUUCAAAUUAUUUAAGCUAAUUAGUUUUAUAAAUAUUGCGAAAAUUAAUAUAUAUAUAUAUAUAUAUAUAUAUAUAUACAUAUAUAUAUAUGUAUAUGUAUAUAUGUAUAUCUUAAGUUUAGAAGGUAUUCUAUUAAACUAGUUUACUUUAAAUCACAACUAUAUUUUGAAUCAUUAUUUUUACAAUUUCAAUAGUUAUGUUACUAAAUAAAUAAGCUCGUUAACAAAUUUACACCAAAUUCAUUUUCGUUUUAACUCAAUUGGCGAUUAUUUAAAUUGAAUUCCCUUUACAUUUUAACAAUCCAUUUCAAUUUCAGCCCAUCCCCCUCAAACCCAAAUCAAUUUCCCAUGUCCAAUUUGUAGGCCCAAACGUUUUCUGUAACAGCCCACUCCAUUUUAAACAACCAUCCAAUCUUCCAACCCAUUACCAAUUAACCCCAGGCGGCCCAUCCUCCUCAACAUAACUCACUAAAACCCAUAACCCGACCCAACACCUCACGAUCCGACCCGACCCCAUAUCCUUUUCUUCUUCCCCUUCCCCUCUCACACCCCAAAUAACGAAAAAGCCAAAGAACCCAGUGAAAAAACGCAGAGGAAGCAGAACCCCAAAACAGAAAAUCUCUCCCACACCCUCGCGUCUCCCUCACAUCCUCUAUCUCUCUCCCAAACUCUCUCCCUCGCGCAGAACCUCCCAGACACGAAAUUAAUUCCCCACAAAUCGUCAAAAUUCCCAAAACUCACGCGCAAGGAGUUCUCACAGCACGGUUUGUCUUUUUCUUCGCGUGUCCUCGAGUCGCGCGUCUCCUUCCCUCUCUCUUCGCGCUCGUACGAGCGCACAGUGGACAGUAGCCGCCCUCGCCUCAACAGCCUUGCAACAGUGCUGCGACCCUGCCCUCGUCGUACAGCCCUGCAGCACGCUAGGGGGCGCGAGCUCGUCCUUGGCGACGUAGGAUCAUGCCGCGUCAUUUACCAAGGACGAGAGUUUAAUCUCGACCCUCCACGUCGCCUCAGAGCCGUUCAAAGAGCAAGGAAUCGAGGAAUAUCCGUUUCUGUUGGAUAAUGUUUGAGAUUUCAAAUUUUGAAUUGGGCCAUCGUCAAUCCCGCCUAAAAUCCAAAACCCUAAUUCCGUUCUCCUCUAUAAAAACCCCUUUUCUUCUUCAGAAAAGGGUUUGGACAUUUUUGGUUUAAGAAAUUUUCCGAGAGUUGGAGCUUUAGUAAAAAAAAGGGGGGGGGGUUGUAUUCUGUCUGUUCUAGGCUUAGAAAAGAGUUGUCGUGGUCUAGCUUUGACGAGAGGAUUUCUGGAAAAGAAUCUUGGAGAGAUUUUUGUUCGGAGGUUUUUCGCUCGUCUCUGCUUUUCGGGUCAAGAAAGACGGAGUGUGAUCGUUGCCAUUUUUUCGGUUGGCGAUUCUGAGAAGGAGACCUGUCUCGCGUUCUUAGAAAGGAGAGGAGGAAGUUUUCUAAGCAAGCUUGCGUUGGACUGGUGUUCGUGCUCGCACGGUGGUAGUCGUCCCCAUUCCCUACUCAUUCUCGUCCCAGUUUGCCGCCCCUAUAAAGGUAACAUUUGUUUCGACUCUCGAUCUUUAGUUGUAUUUGUUGUUUACACUUCGUGGCUUAGGUUGGUUUUAGCUGUUGUUGACUCGAUGUAGUGCGAAAACCGUUUGAAAAUUCGUGGUUAUGUUGUUCUGUUUCUGUCGCUUACUGUUUACCUUUCCGAAAACCCCGCGUUCAUGCUGUUUUUGACGUGAUGAUUCCUUGCUGUGACUGGAGCUUCUUUCGAGUUAAUAGUCGAAACCGUUACGUAUGAUGUUGUUCAUUCAAAAUGCUGGUCCUCUUUUUGUAUUUCUUUUUUCUUUGGCAAGCAUGUUAAAUGUUCGAGUGUUGAGUAUAUAUGGUUUGUUCGCAGUAAGUGUAGAAGGUUAUACUUGUUGUUGCUUGAGUUUGAGUCACAUCGCAUAUCGGGGUUUGUUUCGUUGCGAUUCGUCUAUCUUGCGUCGCUCAUCUGAGGCUUAACUGAAAAGGUCAAUUAUAUUAGUGUUGUUAGCUGCAUUUUUACUUGCUGAUUAGUCGAAAUAAAAUGAUGAAAUCUGUUUCUGUGUUAGUCCAUGUUCGCUACCCGUCAUUCAUUUGCUGUGAUCGAGGGAUCUUGACGUUUUCUCCUUCUUGUUCCCACUGUCAGAACCUUCUCAUUUCAGUGACGCCCUUAUCGAUAGGUUAUGAAAAGUUAUGGUUCAGUCACGAGAUUCGAAAUCAUUUUCCACAGAUUUUUUUACUACUAAUCUGACCUACGAUCUGUUUAUCACUUUCAUCAUCAGAAGUUGUAACAUCAUGAUGUAUUUGUUGUUUACGCGCAUAUUUGGUGGCUUUUACUUAAUAAAAUUGGUCGUGUGGUUACAUAGGAGGACUCAUCUUCCCUGGAUGAUGGAAUGUCUGUUUAUGGUGACUACGUUAUUCUCUUCUUCUGUAUGUUUCGUGUUCUUGAUUGCCUGCUAGUUCGGCUGUCGAACAUCCGAAUAGCCGUAGUUUUGCUAGUAUUCGGAAUUUGUAAGGUUGAGUAGAUAUGAUAUUCUUAGCUCUAUGCGUAUGAUGGCUGUUUCAGUGUAUAUGUGCGCUGUAUGUCCCCGUUGUUGUGUAUUGGUUGCGAUUUCUCUUUCACGUCUUAGUUCUGAAAAUUGAAUUGGAGUCUCUUGUUUCCUCUAACUCAACUACACAUAUUUCCGCUUUAUUACCCUCUUAUUCAAAAAAUGUUUGUUAAUGGUUCUUUAUGCAUAUGCUAAUCCAUCGUCAUCUUAUUGCAUGUGAAAUCAUUCGCGAGUCCCUAUGGACUUCGUUCUAGCUUGCACAUCUUUGUUUAGCCGUAAAGGCUCAAAAUUUCUUCGAGUCAAGGCCACGGGCGGAAUCCAGAAUUUCGUGGAGAUUGAAGAAGAGCCAGGGCGGAUUAGGAGAUUGUCCUUGUUUUUUUUUAUUUAGUUGUAUUGUUGUAAUUGGCAUAAGCCCUUGUAGUUUUUUUUUCUUUUUUUUCAUUCUUCUUAUUUCAUUUUUGUAUGUUUAGAUUAGGACAGGUACAAAAUGGGUCAAAUACCCAAAAGCAGGUGGGUCCAACAUUCGGUCAAGGCGAACAGAACCGAAGUUGAACCCAAAUCUCUCUCUCCCUCUCUCUUUACUAUUCGCUUACGUAUUUGCUCAUAUUUCGUUAGUUUUAGGACUAGAAAACUCCAAAUCCCUUUGAAGCGCCUUUCUAUUUUAUCAAGUUAAAACUAAAUCUUGAAAACAAUAAGUUUUUCAAAAUUCGUAAAGUCUGUCUAGAUAAAAAUCUUAACUUUGACAGAUUCGCAAAAUACAAGAUAAGCAACAUAUUUCGAAACUUAUCAAAAUUGCCUAGAUAAAAAUCAAUAAGUUCAAAAUUGCAAAAGCUAAAACAAACAUAGUCAAAUAAAUUAAUUGCUGGAAAAUCGUAAGUUAGCGGAGUGUCUUAGGUGCCUUACACCUUCCUAAGACGCUAAUAGGAAUCCCGAACCCUUAAAAUAUUUUCAAACAGUUUUCCUGUUUUAAGUUGUUUAGAAAAUAAAGUUUUCUUGAUUUUUCUUAAAAAAUUAAGUGGCAACUCCUAAAAGUCGAAAAUAGCCUUAAAAUAAAAUAAAACUCUUUUCAAAAAUAAUUUUUCGAUAAAACAAUGACUCAUGUGUUGAGGAACCUUUACUUCAUCUAGUUUGUACAGUCAGUGAGUUUCCAGAAGUAUUUUCUGAUGACUAACCUGGAGUCCCUCCCGAACGAGAGAUAGACUUUGGCAUAGAUAUCAUCCUAAUACUCAUCUUAUCUCUAUUCCUCCAUACAAAAUGGCACCCGUAUGGUUAAAAGAGCUAAAGCAGUAGUUGAAAGAUCUGUUAGAUAAAGGCUUUAUUCGACCGAGUGUCUCACUGUAGGGUGCUCCAGUCUUGUUUGUUAGGAAGAAGGAUGUGUCCCUUAGGAUGUGCAUAGAUUACCGUUGAUACGCUCAAACUUACUUUUCAAAUAAGAAGUAAAGCGUUCAUAUCAAGUAAAGAACCCAACUAAUGAGGUUAGGAUCGUUCCCACGAGGAAAAUAGUUCAGACUUAACUUCAAUCUAUUAUUACAACUAUUUAGUAUAUUAUUUCCUUGGAAAACAAAUACAAUAUAAGGGAGUUUUUUAUUUCUAAAUGAAUGAAAAUAACUAGCUAAAUUAAAGGAGACAACUAAUAGAUUCAAAUGUUGAAGUUUGAUCAAUUAAUUAAAGUAACUAGGGUUUAUGUGUUCCCCACAGGUUCCUAAUUUGAUAAUUCUAACUAUAACAAGUAUUUCCUAGUAUCUUGCAUGCAAAGUGAUAAGUUAUGUAUUUCUAAAUCCUUGGUUCGGUAUCUAAAAUAUUUUACUCCGCACCUUGGUCCGGCUACAUGUGUUGCUAUAGUAACCCUUACCUUUACCUCAUAUUAAGCAUUGUGUUCGAUAUUUGACUAAGUUAUUACCUCAUACCAAUCAAUACUAGCCUAUUAGAUAGUAUACGCUAAAUAUAUGUUGAUAAUUCUUUUCCUAUUAUCUAUCUCCUUGGUACGACAAGUAGCAUUAAGGCGAGUUCUAACGUUGGCCAUCCGUUAAAAAGACUCCUAAGCGAAAGAAUAAUCAAUACAUGCAAGACACAAUUCUAGAAUUAUUAUUUUAGUUAGAUUUUAUCUUAUUAUUCACCCAUGGUUCACACAACCUAGUUAUGGAGUUUAGUUACCCAUAGUCAUAAUCACAAUAUUCAUAUAUAGUCAUAUUCACAAUAUUCACUACAUUAAGUUUGCUAUACAACUUUUAGGAUCACAAUAGGACUUUCUUAGCUUGUAACAUAGGUUCAAGGUCAGGAAGGGUAUAUGUAGGUAUACUUUAGUGACUUUUUCCCUCCUUUACAUAUCGGCUAAACAUACCACUUUUUAUCUUUUUAUUUAGCCUAGUUUCUCAUGUUCUUUCACCUUGCUAUUUUCCCUUCUUUCUUCAUUUGUGUAAGUGACUUUCUUCUUUUCUUGUUUGUAUUUAUUGUAUUUUUUUUAUUUUUUUGUUUCACUUUUAUUUCAACUGAUUCUUGAUUCACUUCACUUUUGUUCUUUCUCUCUCUUUGUUCUUUCAACCCCACUUUCCAGAGCAUUUCUCAUAAUAGUCACCCUCAACUCAUGGCUUUGCCAUGAGUCAAAGUACACAAUACCCAAAGUUGGGUCAGGGCCAUAAAAAGGUUGUUUACUGCAUUAGCCACCCUCAACUUAUGCUUUGGGCAUAAGCUGAGGUGCACAUGUCCAAGGAGGGACCAGGGCAAACACAUCAUUCCCAGAAAAGAUCAGUUGGGGUGAAAAAGAAAGGCCUAGUUUAAGCUCAUAUCAUUUGGAUCAAAGAAGGAUUAAUUUCAUUUGGUUUUUUAUAGGCUAAAAAUGGGCUAUAUUGAACAAGGGCCUAUGAUCCUUUCCUAAUUGUCUAUUACAACGUACUUUUAGCAGGACUAACCAGGCAAGUUCUAACUCAGUACAAAUAGUGAACUAUUCAAAUCUUCCUCACACUAACUUAACAUCUCAUUACUCUAUUUAGACUUAGGGUCAUGCAGUGGUGUAUCUCUAUGUCAUGCUUAGAGCCACACUUUUAUCAAUUAUUAUGCCUAGUCAUGCAUCAUUUUCAUUUCAUCAGGAUAUCAAUUUUAGCCAUCAUGCUUCAGAGUUAGACUAUGUACACAAGAUAUAGACAUGCCAAUUAAACAAUAAAAAUAAUCAGUCUCUUAAGUAAAAAGAACGCAUGCAAGAAAACCCCAAAAGACGAUAGUGAAUUGGUCUACUCAGAUUUCACCCUAUCACUCAAUUUCCAUUUACCCCACCCCCAAAAAAAAGACAUGCAAUUGUCCCCAAUGCAUAAAAAAAUUCAAAUACGAGAGUGGUAGGUGAAGUAAACCUGGGGCGCAAAGCGCCGACGAUCAGCAAGUUGGUGGGUCCGUUUCCCCAGAAACCACUACGUCUAUAAUCUGGACACCCUCAGUAGCGUCAUCAUCAGCAACAACACUAUCAGUAGUGCCUCCCGCUAUCUCCACAUUUCUGGAGCUAGAUGGCCCAGCAACUGACUCUACAGGCCUCACCCGACGCGCCUCCUCAUCAGCAAGCGAGGCUAUCAUCGCAGACUCCAUCUCACGGCUCUCCUUCUUCCGUGCUCUAGCCUUAUCCUCCUCUCGACCCUUAUGCCUCUUGGCAUGCUCUCGAGGGGGAGGUGGUGGAAUCUCAGAAGUGGCGAAUAAGGACGCCAUCACUGUGUCCUCGGCAAGCUCUGCAGAAAGGGCCUCAGAUUCAUGCACCAUAGCCUCUAGGAUCAUAUCAAUGUCUGCUCAAAGACUCUCGAUCGCAGCCUGAAGGGUCGACAGAUCCACAAGAGGGGCUGGCCGGGCUAGCACCCGCAACUCAAAAGCGUCAAAGCGCUGAUGAACCUCAGAAAUCUUCCGCUUUGUGUGCUGGACAAUUCUCCGCUCCAAGCGCUCUUCUGCCUCAGCAAUAGACCUCUGCAUCUAAGGCUGGAUGUGAUGCAGAAGUGUAGCCAUCUGUAACUCUAGUUUCUUGACCCUAGCAAGCGAGACCAGAGCGGGGAAAGGGACUGAGCAAGAGAAGCUACGGGCAGUGCUACUACCCGAGAUAGACUCGAUCGAGGUAGUGUUAGUGGUUUUAGAAGAAGCCUGCAGCCUGUGCCACCGUAUCGGCCAGAUUGUCACCAUGUGGAGGCAACUCUUGACGGGGACCUUUACGUGGAGCCAACUCAUUGGCCUCAUCCCUGAUGAGGACAAUAUCAACAGUGCCCAGGGAGGUCUUGAGCUGAUUAAUGUUCCUGAUGGGCACACCUGCGGACUUGCAUAAAGAAAAUAUCAUGCACGCAAAAGGGUAAGUAGUUGUGACCUUAAAAGCCCUCUCGUGCAUGACCGCCUGUAGAAGCCAAGAAAAGUCCACCUCAAACCCGGCUGUCAUUGCCGCCAUCAAAACUGCACAAUCCCAUGUGACUAUAUUAUCAACCGAUAUGGGGGAAAUGCAGUGGCGGAUAAUCAACCAGAAGAACUUAGCCGUGAAGGUUAGGUUAGCCUUUUUGAUGGAUCCCUUCAGCUCGGUUACCCAGUCAGCACCCUCUCCAUCAACAGACAAGUGCAAGGCCAUCCACCUCUUGGUGGUCUCUCUUAGCCAUGGCUCACGCAAGAAUUAGCCAUCUUUGAUAAUUUGCCACCGAUAGUCAAACUCGGUGGUGAGAGGGGUCCGGUUUGCAUCAACAUCCUUGCCGUAUAGAUACCGGUGGAUGGAUAUCCAGGGAGAUAUCAACCUAAAUGCCACGUACUCGGGCAUGCUCAAGUGGGUAUUUGGCGGGGGAAGCCCGCCUCUCAAUCUUGAUUUGAGAGUAUCCACGUAGGAGAUUAUGGAUCGCUGGCAUAGUAGGGAGACUUCCCGUAAGGACCCGCAUCUCCAAUGUAAGGGUCCGUGUCAUGACUCCAUUUUCAUUAAGAAACUUUUCAUCUGAAUAAACUUGAUACAGCGCGUCGACACACCACCGGUUGGGCUGGUUGGCAAUCGGGGUGAGAGCACGAGUCGGUGAGCCAGCUGUGGAUUCAGAACUGUCAGCCUCAUCAGACAAGGCAGACUGUGCAGCUGUGGCGGGUACAGGUACUUCAGCAGACUCAGAGGCUUCCUCCGACCAUGAAACUCCUAAGGAGGCAGACGCUUCUUCUUCAUGAGUAGCUGCCCUAGAAGGUGUGCCGGUCAGUGUGCGCUUCUCAUCAGACUGCGAGGCAAUGACUAUGCCGGACGCCACCUCUUUGGACGUAGCUCUGGCAGCACAUGCAGCUCGGAAUGGAGUGGCAGUGCCUAGGGGCAUGUACUUGGGGUCACGCUCAUCAUCAGAUCCAAUGACCAAGCGGGCAGAAAGGGCGACAGACUUUGAUGCCAACGUGUAUAAACUCGAUCUUGUUUUAGUACAAUAAUAGAUAGUACCUGUGAAGAAUCAAUAUUAGUGCGAGAAGGAGCAAAUAAGACGAGCAAAAACGAAACAAAAUAAAUAAAAGAGUCAAGAUGUAAUAACAUUUCUAUAGUAAUAGUGAAGCACAACGGACCAGGUGACAGAUCGUCGUGAGUAUAACGGACCAUCGUGGGGGUCCGUCGUGUCUUAUUUCCACUAUGAUGAUGUGAAGUCCCCUAAAGGAAAGUCUCUUACAAGUAUUACGGAUAAGAAGGACGGACCGUCAUGACAAUGAUGGUCCAUCAUUAAUGUCCGUUGUGGGGUACUUAGAAAAGAGAAUGGAGACCCUUAGGAGAAGGGUCUCUGACCAUCACAACGAUUAUGCAUGACGGACCGUCGAGGAUAUGAUGGUUUGUCGUAGAUCUCCGUCAGAGGACACUUAGAAAAAGUAUGGAGACCCUCAGGAGAUAGGUCUCUGACAACCAUGACGGUUGUGCAGGACGGACCUUCGUGGGUAUGAUGGUCCGUCGUAGAUGUCCGUCAGAGGACACUCAGAAAAAAAGUAGGAGACCCUUUGAAAAAGGGUCUGUGACAACAAGAACGGUUGUGCAGGACGGACCAUUAUGGUAACGACGGUCCGUCGCAGGUGUCCGUUGGUGGAAAAUUUGAGAAAAUUUGACAGCAAGAUUAUGGGGGUGUUGGGAUGGACCCUAUGACGGUCCUUCAUCGGGGUCUCAUUCUGUCAUUUAGUAAUAGAAUUGGGGAUGCCACAAUCAUCCCCUAUGACCCAAAUGGAAUUUUUAGUGUUUAACCUACAUGUGUCUAACCCAAAUACCUAGUACAUUAGCAAUUCUAAAGCACCUAUUUCUAGAGUUUGAACAAGAAACUUUUGAGGAUUCUUAACCUAGGUCAGACAAAAUUUGGAUUAAAGACUAAACCCAUCAAUAAGAAAUAGGCUAAUACUAAUUGAUAAAUAAAAAUUCAAUGUAAAUGGGUAGAAAUCAGAGACAUAUACCUUAGAAUUUGAGAAAAACAAGCGAGGAGGUAGUUGUUGAUCAAGAAGAGAACCACAACAACAGACUCCGACUAGUAAAGAGUUGAUUUUAGGAAUUGGGGAAUUUGGGGAAAUGAUUGGUUGAAAGAGAGGUAGGAAAUAGGAAUUUUAAAAGGGAGGGAAUGGGAGAAGGAGGUAAAGAAACCGUUUAAAUGAAGGGGUAGGGGUUAUAUAGGUUGAUAUUUUUUAAAAGUUCCCAGCAGGGUCGAGUUGGAUACGCUCAUUAAUGACGUGAUGAGUCCCCGACGACAGUCCUACGCAAUUGAGACGAUCCGUCAUUGGUUCCAUCGCGUGUUCCCUAGUUUUGAAAAUAAAUAAAACAUGUACCUGGAAUGAGAGAUUCAUGCGACGGUCCGUCGCUUUCGUGAUGGGCCGUCGAUGGGUCCAUCAAUGACUGCUGCAGAGUGAUUUUCUGUAGAAUUUCCUGGUGAUAUGCCUACAAAUUUAAAACCCAUAAUUAGAAAAUGCUACUAUGACUAUAAAGAAAAACUAUAAGUAUUGGGUGUCCUCCCAACAAGCGCCUGAUUCAACGUCACGGCACGACUGAGGACACUUGAUUACUCAGUCUUCGUCAAGACGGUAUGCCUCGAUCAUUUCAUUUACUGAUUCAGUAUGCCCGAAAUAGAGUUUUAUUCGUUCUCUAUUCACCUUAAACCACACUCCCUCCUUGGUUUCUUACUCAACUGCUCCAUGAGAGAAUAAUUAGGUAAUCAAGUAAGGUUUAGUCCAUUUGGACUUGAGCUUGCCCGGAAGCCAACGCAAACUAGUAGUGUCUAAAAGCACCAAAUCAUCAACCAUAAACUCUUGUUUUUCACUUUUUAGUUAAUAAUCCUUCUUCAUCUUUUGUUUGUAGGAUAUAGCAGAUACCGAUUGGAGCUCACCGCUCUGCCUCAUGGACCUACAAUUGUUGAAGGUAGCUUCUUCAUUGUUCAACCAAAAUUUCAUUUGCCCCUUUUUAAUAUCAACUAAGGCUCUACCCGUAGCAAGGAAUGGCCUCCCAAGAAUAAUAGGCACUUCAAAAUAGACUUCACAAUCAAGAAUAACAAAAUUUACCGGAAAUAUGAACGACUCCACUAUUACUAGAACAUCAUGGAGUAUCCCUAUAGGCCUUUUCAUUGUUCGAUCGGCCAUCAGUAGCAUCAUGGUAGUGGGUUUUGGGUCACCCAAACCCAACUUUUUGUAAAUCAAGAGGGGCAUGAGAUUUAUGCUUGCCAUCAGAUCACAUAAUGCUUUCACAAAAUGUAAUGACCCGACUGUACAAGGAAUAGUGAAUGCACCCGGAACUUCUUUCUUUUGUACGAGAGAUCUUAUAGCAAUAACAAUACAAUGUUGCAUUCUAUCAUCACCCUCUAAAGUGACCAAUCUUUUCUUUGUAACCAGAUCUUUCAUAAACUUGGCAUAACCAUGCAUUUGUUCUAGAGCUUCUACCAAAGGGACAUUGAUAGAAAGCUGAUUCAACAUUGUUAUAAAAUGCCAAUAUUUACCAUCAUCGGUCUUUUUCACUAAUCUCUGACUAGGCAUGGAAAUUACCUUUAUAGGCACUUCAACAUCUUUUGUUGUGUUAUCUUCUACUUCACCACUACCCUUUAUCACCUUAUCAUUAUCUUUUAUCACCUUUUUCUCCUUAGACGGCAUAGGUGGGUCAAUGGUCUGCUUACCACCCCGAGUAGUGAUUGCCAUACAGUGUUCGUCAUUUUCCGGAUGUUGGACAGUGUUGCUAGGAAGAGUGCCCAGUUGACGUGCAUCGACUUUCUGCCCAAUACCCGCAAAAUCACUCCUUAACUUUUUAAUGUGCUCAUCAUUAGAAUCGAACCUCCUCAUCAUUUUGUGCAACAAAUCCUCAACUAGCGCCAUACUAUCUCAACCAUCCAUAGGUUUAACUUCACAAUUUUGAGGAGGGACAUAGAGCUCAUUCCUAUCAUUUCUGUUACCAUACUUACCCCUGUUGAAGUUGUUGUCGUGGUUGUAGUUUCCAUCUCGGACAUAAUGACCCUCACGGAUAUAGUUACCAUAGAUCUGACCUUGGUUUCCUUGACCUUGGCGCCAAUUCUCUUGAUUUGAACCUUGGGCACUCAGUCAGAAACCCCCAUCUACUCAUUUACCACAUAUGAAUCCUCCGCAAAAUAGCAUUCAUAAUUUGGUGGGGGUGCUUUAGAAAAGUAGUUAACUGCAUUUAUAUUUUUGCACCCUCAAUGAUAUGUUUAAAUACCAACCCAAGCUCGGUUCUCAUCUUAUCCAUCUCUUCACGAAUCUCAUCUAUGGCUGGGUUGUGAGUGGAUUGUACUGCGAAGGUAUUUCUCCCAGUACCUGACUUCCUAGUACUCCAAGCUUUAUUGUUCCCGUACAUUUUCUCUAACUUUUCGGCAAUCUCAGCAUAAGGACACUACCCAUAAGAACCACCCGCUAUAGUAUCCAACACCGCUUUAUUAUUAUCAUUUUGUCCCCGAUAGAAGUAUUUUUUCAGCGACUCAUCAUCUAUACGGUGAUUUGGGACGCUUCUAAAAAAUCGAGGUAAAACUAUCCCGAGAACUACUAACUGACUCUCCUUGUAGUGCCACAAAGUUUUUCACUCUGUCUUUGUGGUUUAGUUUCUUGGAGACCGGGUAGUAGCGUGCUAAGAAAACGUCAAGUAGUUGGUUCCAAGUGAAAAUUGAGUUAGAAGGGAGCUCAGUGAACCAAAUAGCAGCCUCUCCCAUCAGUUAGAGAGGAAACACUCUUAUCCCGAUUACAUCAAAGUCCAAGUCACGCCUCUCUGCACAACUUUUACACACUGCCCUUACCUUAGCUAUAUGGGCAUGUGGAUCCUCAGAAGGUAGCCCUGAUAACAAACCUCUGGCAGUGAGCAUUUGCAUCAAGCUACUAGUUACCACAAAGGCGUGGCCUGGUGGUAGAGGGUGCAAGACAAGUGGCCCAUCGGAGUCUGUUAUAUCGUCAUAGCCUCUACAGUAUUCUUGGGGAUGUGGAGCGGGAUUUUUUUCCCUCUGUUGGUUUACACCCGGAGCAUCGGGUAACUACUGAACAUGAACAUCAACCGCAGCUGGGAUGUUCUGGCUUGGAUCAUUAUCAUUAAUACCAAAUUUUUGAUUCAUGUUGCAUAGUGUACGCUCUAAUUCUUGAUCGUAGGGAAAAAAGGGUUCUCUUCCUCUCCAUGUAUUUGGCAUACAAGGAAGAUAGUUUAGCAAGAAUAAAAAAAACAAGAAACAAAGUAAAUUCAAGAAAAUAUCGACUAAACUAUAGUAAUAAGUUUAAGUUAAUAUAAAAUCUACUUUCCCCGACAGCGGUGCCAAAAUUUGAUAUGCUCAAACCUAUUUCUCAAAUAAGAAGUAAAGCGGUCGUAUCAAGUAAAGAACCCAAAUAUUGAGAUUAGGAUCGUUCCCACGAGGAAAAUAGUUCAGACUUAACUUCAACAUAUUAUUACUACUAUUUAGUCAAUUAUUUCCUUGGAAAACAAAGAAAAUAAAAGGGGGGGUUUUAUUUCUAAAUGAAUGAAAAUAACUAGUUAAAUUAGAGGAGACAAUUAACAGAUUCAAAUGUUAGAGUUUAAUCAAUUAUUACAAGUAACUAGUGUUUACGUGUUCCCUACAGGUUCCUAAUAUGAUAAUUCUAACAAUAACAAUUCUUUCCUAGUAUCUUGUAUGCAAAGUGAUAAGUUAUGUAUUUCUAAAUUCUUUGUCUGGCAUCUAGAAAUUUUCACUCCGCACCUAUGUACGGCUACGUGUGUUGCUAUACAAACCCUUACCUUUACUUCAUAUUAAGCAUUGUAUUCGAUAUUUGACUAAGUUAUUACCUCGUACCAAUCAAUAUUAGCCUAUUAGAUAGCAUACACUAAAUGUACGUUGAUAAUUCUUUUCCUAAUAUCUACCUACUCGGUCAAACAAGUCGCAUUAAGGCGAGUUCUAACGUUGUCCAUCUGUUAAAAAGACUUCUAAGCAAAAGAAUUGUCAAUACAUGCAAGACUUUAUUCUAGAAUUGUUAUUUUAGUUAGAUUUUAUCUUAUUAUUCACCCAUGGUUCCCACAACCCUAGUUAUGGAGUUUAGUUACCCAUAGUCAUAAUCACAAUAUUCAUAUAUAUUAUAUAAGAAUUCAUACACUUACUUCAACGAGAAAGAAUAAAAUCCAGAAAUUUACUUAAUUAAUCGACAAAAUCACCAACAAUCAACUCCAGAGAAAAGUGUAACAAUCCAAAGUGUAAUAAUCAAAAUAAUCUACUCACAAAGAAUCUAACAUAACAGUGUCCAAUCACCUAAAGUCUAACCGUAUGAGAGUCUAACCCCAGAAAUGAGGUUUUUACAAUUAUUUAUAAAAAAACAAAAACUAAUAAAAGAAGGACUCUUAUUGCUGGAAAUCUGUAAAAACUCGGCUGGGUAGACGGACCUCGCGAUGGAUCGUCGUGGUCAUGACGGGCCUACAUGGACUCUGUCGUCCCAUACUUUGCAAAUUCUUCUGCUUCUCUCUCAUUACCCUCAAUGGCAGGUAUGAUGGAUCGUCACAUGCACAACAGUCCGUCGAGGGUCUUCGUUCAAUAAUACUUGAAUUCUUGGAAUUUGGGUACUGGGAAUACUUCUCUGAUCAUCAUGAAGAACCUAAAGGCGGACCAUGCUCACUAAGACGGUCCGUCACGCACUUCAUCACCCCACACUUGGUUAGACUUCCCCAUCUUCCUUUAGCAGCCUUACUACAAUGCCACCUACGGACCGUCACAGGCAUGACGGACCGUCACCAGCUCUGUAUGUGGUAAUUUUUGUACAUUUUUUGCUCAAGAACUUCCACGUUCAUCUUUAAACAGAUUUCCUGCAAAUAAAGAGAAGCUUACAUUAAAUUUAAUACAAAAAGGUUUUUGGACACACACUAAACUUUAGGGAAAAACAUUAAAAAUACCAUGAAACCACGGUAUAUCAACCGUCAACUAAAUAAGGUGACCAUGAAGAAUAAAUAUCCUCUUACAAGGAUAGAUGACCUUUUUGAUAAACUUUAGGGUGCUUCAUGUUUUUCCGAGAUCGACCUCAGAUUAGAACAUCAUCAGUUGAGACUAGGGGAGAUAUUCCCAAGACAUCUUUAGAACAGGGUAUGGGCAUUAAGAAUUUUUGGUUAUGUCCUUUGGUUUGGCAAAUGUACCUGCAACGUUCAUGGAUCUUAUGAAUUGAGUCUUUAAACCUUAUUUAGAUUUGUUUCUUAUCAUCUUCAUUGAUGACAUACUGAUUUAUUCAAGGAACGAAGAAGAUCAUGCUAGUCAGCUAAGGAUUGUUUUUCAAACAUUGAGAGACAAAGAAUUGUAUGCCAAGUUCUCCAAGUGUGAGUUCUGGCUUAAGUCUGUGGCACUCUUAGGCCACAUUCUUUCAGUUGAAGGUAUUAGGGAUGUUCAGAGUUGUCCUAGACCAUUAUAUUAAAAUCUUGGGUUUGGCUGCAUAUUAUAGGAUAUUUUUUGAAAGAUUUUAAUCUAUCUCCUCUCCUUUGAACAAGUUAAUCCAGAAGACAGUCAAGUUUCAACGGUCUGAAGCUUGUGAGAAAAGCUUCAGGAUUUGAAAAAGAGAUUCACUACCGCUCCAAUUUUGACCUUAACAGAGGGUACUCAUGUCUUUCUGGUGAAUUGUGAUGCAUAGAGAGUUAUCUUGGGCUAUGUAUUAAUAGAGAAUUGUAAGGUUAUAACUUAUGCCUCUAUAUAGUUGAAGGUUCAUGAGAAGAAUUAUCCAAUUCAUAACUUAGAAUUAGCUGAAGUAGUAUUUGCAUUAAAGUUAUGGUGUAACUAUUGGUAUUGAGUUCAUGGGGAUAUAUUCACUAAUCACAAGAUCCUCCAAGAUAAGUUCACUCACAAAGAGCUCAACCUCAGACAAAGAAGGUGGUUGGAAUUACUCAAGGAUUAUGACAUGAGUAUUCUUUACCACAUAGGUAAGGCUAAUGUGGUUUCUGAUGCCUUAAGCAGGUUGUCCAUGGGAAUUACUUCCUAUGUCAAAGAAGAAAAAAAGGAGUUAGCAAAAGAUGUGCACAGACUUGCACGUUUGCGAGACAUGCUUAUGGAUUUCAUAAAAUGAGAUAUAGUGGUGACCAAUUGGGAUGAAUCAUCCUUGGUGUCAGAGGUGAAAGAGAAGCAAGACCAAGACCCUAUUUUUCUUGAUUUGAUGACAAGUGUCCAUAUCCAAAGAGUUUGGCCUUCGAACAAGGGGAAAUGGUGUGUUGAAAUACCAAGGCAGAUUAUGUGUACCUAAGGUGGUUUGACUCCAAGAGAAAAUCUUGGAGGAGGUUCAUAGCUCCAGAUAUUCCAUUCAUCCGGGUGCUACCAGAAUGUACCAUGAUUUGAGAGAAGUAUACUGGUGGGAAGUCAUAAAGAAAGAUAUUGAUGAGAUUGUUGCCGAUUGUCCAAAUUGUCAACUAGUGAAAGUGGAAUACCAAAGGUCUGGAGGUUUAUCUCAGAAUAUAGAGAUUCCAAAAUGGAAGUGGGAGAUGAUUAAUAUGGACUUCAUCACAGGUUUUCCAAGAUCGUGAAGGCAACAUGAUUCCAUUUGGGUGAUUCUUAAUCGAAAGACAAAGUCUUAUUCAGUUGAGGAUUAUGUUGGGUUGUACCUUCAGGAAGUGGUAAGACUUUAUCGAGUUCCGAUCUCAUUAUUUCAUAUAGAGAUGUACAAUUUACUGCAUAAUUCUGGAAAUCUUUCUCGAAAGGUUUGGGUCCCAAAGUCAACUUGAGCACUACUUUUUAUCCUCAAACAUAUGGAAAAGCAGAGCAUACGAUCCAGACCUUAGAAGUUAUGUUAAGAGUUUGUGUUAUCGACUUCAAGGGAAAUUGGGAUGAUCAUGAACCUCUUAUUGAGUUCACUUACAAUAAUAUUUAUUAUUCGAGCAUCUAAAUGGCCCCACAUGAAGCUCUUUAUGGGAGAAGAUGUAGAUCUCCUAGUGGGUGGUUUGAAGUUGGUGAAGCAGGGUUUAUAGGACCAGAUUUAGUUCACAAAGCUAUGGAGAAGGUUAAAGUGGUUUAAGAAAGGUUGAAGACAACACAAAGUCGCCAAAAGUCCUACAAAGAUGUUAUAAAAAAGUCCAUUAGAGUUUGAGGUAAUUGAUUGGGUGUAUCUUAAGGUUUCACCUAUGAAAGGAUUUAUGAGGUAUGUUAACAAGGGAAAACAUAGUCCUCUGUAUAUUGGACCUUAUAGAAUCUCCAAGAGAGUGGGAAAUGUGGCUUAUGAGUUGGAGCUACCCCAAGAGAAUGAGGGGAUUAAGGAUAACUGAUCCUAUAAAGAAGUUUCAGUCCAUAUUUUGGAUUGGCAAGUUCGUAAGUGGAGGAAAAAAGAAGUUGCUUUAGUGAAGGACAUUUGGAGGAACCAAUUUGUUGAAGAAGAGACUUGGGAAAUAGAGGAGGAUAUGAAGAAGAGAUAUCCACAUGUCUUUGAAUACGGAGAGAAUGCAAAUCAAGGUACUAAAACUCUCUUCUGAGCAAUUUAUAGAAUUAUGCAUAAGCAUGUUACUACGUACUUUUGUGGUUAAGUGCUGAAAUAAUAUUACUAUCCUUAUCUUAGAGAAAAAAAUUCUCAUUCGAGGAUGAAUGUUCCUAAGGGGGAGAUACUGUAACAUCUCGUAUUCUAGAUAAGCUAAGGUUAAGCUAAGAAAAACAAGAAGAAUCAAAUUUGGAAAUAAGUAAGACAAACUGGAAAAUUUCUAGAUUUCAAAAGUGAUUUUUGAUCAUUUUCAAAGGGCCAGAAUUCCCAUAUUAGGAGAAGUUUGGGUUAUUUAUUUAUAUGGAUAAAAAAAAUUUGAAAGAUUUUUUUAACAACGCCAAGUUUGCGAAUUUCCAAGGUCGUAUGAGGGAGAUAUGACUUUCGAAAGUUGGGUUGUUGAGCAGGGAAAGUUCCAAAAUAAGAUUUGUUUAGGGUGUUUUGGUCUUCUCCUAUGUUAAUUAUUAAAUUCGUUAUCCCAUUCAGUUUACACACAUAGAAGUAAGCUAGGGUUAUGAGAGAAAGGAGAUAAGAGGAUAAGGGAGAAGAAGACGCAAGAACGCCAAGAAUUCGUUCGGGGAUUUCCUCGGGGUUGAUACCUAACAAGGUAUACAAGAUCAUUCGGUGUUGAGUCCUUUCACCCACCCUUAUUUUGAUUCAUUGCUGAAAUUUAUAGUUAAUUGAAAGGAAAUUUUGAAGUUCUUGAUAAAAUUUUUGAAGUUGUUGGUUCAAUUGUUAUUGAUCUCUGUUAGUUUCGCUCCAUAUUUACGACCUGUUUUGAGGUCCAAACUAUUGUGUAAUAAGUUUUAGGGAUCCAAAGUGUUUGGGGUGGGAUCCAUGGGAGUUGGGAAGGUUUAGAUAUGAAAAACAAAGAAGAAAAUAAAAAAAAACUCGUUGGAGACAUGUUGGGGAGCCUCGCCUCUCAGAGCGCUAUAUCUCCCUGAAGACCCUAUUCUUUCUCUAUCUUUUUGAACUAUUUCCUAGGUGAUGUACCUUUCACUCUUAGUUCAUUCCAACACUCUAUAGCACAACUAAUCAUCAUGAAAUCAUCCAUAAACAUGAUAUCAUGAUCCUUUAAUCCAUAAUCCAAUUCAAGGAAAGUUAAGAUUAAAGUCAAGAAAGUAAAGAGUCAAGUCUAGGAGUUAAGAAGCAAGUCAAAUUAAAGUUAUCAAGUUUUCUAAAGAUUUUCACAAACGUUUUCACUUUGUUGUAAAUACUUAAAGUUCAAAUCAAGAAAGAGUAAAGAGUUGAGUUCAUUUGUCAGAAGCUUUAAGGGAACUAAGUAUUCCCUAGGAUUUAAAGUUUCAAGUAAGCAAAGAUUAUCAAGUUGAGUUCACUUCUCAAGAGUUAGAAGGGAACUAAGUAUUUCCUAAGGAUUUAAACAAAAAGGCUUUCGAAUUUUAGAGAAGGAAGGGAUGCUAGCUAGACUUCCACAGAGCCUAUGGCUAGUUUUAAUAGAAGAAAGAGGAAACUAUGAUUUCCAAGAGAGCUCUUUAAAAAGCUAUGUUUUGAGCACUAAUAUCAAACCACGGAAUUAGCAUAUUUUUAAACAUAAGAGCAAGUGUAUUAUUGGGAGUAGCAUUGAGCACCAAUAUGGGGGAGAUUUCAGAUAACUCACAGUCCCCACAAACCAUGCUAGACACCAUUGGUAGAAAAUGGUCAUACUUUUUAGAUGAUUCCUUUACAUAAUUUACUAGUGCAUCGAUUAGGCAAUUCAACUCUCAUACCUUUGGCUGGGUAUAGGAUGUGUUGGCAUCAUGCGGUAGACCGCUGUAUGAUCGUUGUAGCUCUUAAUUGAUGGUUGUCGGUUACAUAAUAUCCCUCAGGUAAAUUGUAUUUUUAUACACAACAACAUUUUAUUUUAAUAAUGCAUCAUUAUUGUAUCUUAUAUACAUCUCAGACAUGAUUGGGUACUUGUAUAUAUAUACUGAGAGUUGCAUUUAUUUUAACUACGUAUAUUGAAUAAGAGUUCGUAGAUCAUGGUUGAAUAGAGUCAAGGUAACUAUUCAUUGUUACUCCUUUUCAAGCCUAUGUUUUGUUUAGCUUUCCAACUCGCAUACUCGUACAUUCAAUGUACUGAUGCCUGUUAGCUUGUAUCAUUUUAUUACGCAGACACAUGUAACCAGGAUCAGCAUGCGGCGUUUCGUGGAUCUAGAUUGAGCUCCAAAUUUAGUGGUGAGCCUCCUUGCAUUCAAGAGGACAUAAAUUUCUUUUGCUUUUAGUAUUCUAGUUUUAGGAUGUUAUAGGGUCUGUCCCAACAUCCCUGUUCAGUCAGUUUAGAGUCUUUGUAGGUGCUAGUAUUUAAGUUUAGAGUUUAUUGUAUUUAAGUUUAGAGUUUAUUGUUGCUUGUUGAGACUUAAGUGCCAUCAUGCCCAGAUAUUAUAUGAAGCACUUUCUGUUAAACCUGUCCUAUUUCUUGCUUAAGAUCAGCUUAGUCUUUCGUUGAGUUAAGUAUGCAAGGCCAAGGGAUCACUUGUGGUCCAGCAAUGAUCUUCGAGUUUUAGUCCCGCCCAGGGUGUAGACUCUGGGUGUGACAUAGAUUAUUUUUUUAAAGGGAUAAUGAAUAAGUACGCCCCUAGCCUAUGACGAAAACCCCACUGACACACCUAAACUUAAUAAAGAUCUUAUUACUCCGUUGAACUCAUUUUGUUCGCAUUUUUGUUUGCCUUUUUGUGUUGAUGUGGCAUAUUCAACAACCCAACUUGGUUGUGUUUGUACACACUCGCGCGCCUUGUGUGUUUGUGUGUGUGUGUGUGUGUAUGUGUAUAUAUGUGUGUAUAUAUAUGUAUACACAUAUAUAUAUAAAUAUAAUUUUUUAUUAAAAAAUUCUCAAUUUUUUAAAAAAAAAUCAUAAUUUUUUUUAAAAAUAUUUUUUUCUUUUUUAAAAAAGUUCUUUUUUUAUCUUGCAUUUUAAGUUAAGUUAAUACACAUUUUUUUACCUUGUAUCGAGACUAUAUUAUUACUUACAUUCAUUUUUUUCUUUUAUUUUUUUAUUGAGUUUAUUUAUUUUCAAUUCAAAUGUCUAGUUUUUAGAAUAAGUAAAUUUUUAACGGAUAUCAAAAGAAGUGAAGAAAUUCAAAUCAAACAUAAACAUAUUAAAAUAUAGUAAAGGACAAUUUUAAAUUAUUUUUUUAUACAAACACAAUUUACUAAUAAUAAUUAAAGUGAAAAGAUGAUAAAUUAUUUGCAAAAAAAUUUAAAGUGAAAAGAAAUUAAAAUAAAUAUUUUACAAAGAAAGAAACAAAAAUAAUUAAAUAUAUAUAAGUUUUAUUAUACAUAAAUAUGUGUACUAAGUAAUUAUAAAGUUACAAAUUAAAAAAUAACAUGUGUCCAAUUUGUGCGCUAAUCACUUGCCUUCAAGAGAGUGUGCACACUCUAUAUGACAUGUCAGCAUUUGUGGUGUAUUUAAGUAUGUGUAUGCAAUUUCAUUCAUAGUCUUAAGAGUACUUAUGCAUUUUCACUUUUUUGAAAGUUAAACAAUUUAUAUUUAUAAACUACGUGAAAAUAUGAAUUUGUUUAAAAAUCAAAAAUCGAAAUGUAUCACAUAGAAAAGAGGUUUGAUAAAUUAUUAUCUCUCGCUUGCUUUUUACUUGUCAUAUUUUUACUUAUACUAAUAUUUGAAGAUAUAAUUUUUUAUUAUAUUUGAUAUGAAGAAAUUGUAAUUUUAGUAUUUUUUGUAUAGUUUUUGACUAUUUAAUUUUUUAUUUUAAAAUACUUUAUUACUCUUAUCUAAUUUAUCAUUGAAAGUAAACAAUAUUAAUUUUAUAAAAUAUAUAAAAAAAAUAUCAUAUAAAUUAAAAGGAAAUAAAUAAUAUUUGAAUCAUCACUGCAAAUAUUUUCCUCGUAUGUAAUCUUUUCAAUUAUAACCAUACGGUAAAACCUCGUCAAAUUAAUAUAGUUAGGACUAUGAAAUAUUAUUAUUUUAUAGAGAUAUAUUUAAAUCAAUAAAUUAAUAUUAUAAAUUUAAAGAGUGUUUUAAGGUUCAACCUUGUGAUAUUGGAAUAAAUAGAGCUUUCAUGUUGUAUCACCGCAAUAGAUUUUAUUGAAGAAUAUUAAAAGGUUAUAAAGGCGGACAAACUAAUUAAGAAAACAUAAAUGAUUUGAAUGCUACCAACAUUGCAAUCCCGACUUUGAAAACAAAUAUUCAACAAGAGACAAAAAAAAUUAUUUUUGACAGUGCAAAAUUUGUUUGAAUGAUGAAAUCUCAAUGAUUUUGAAUGGACCCACUCGUGAAAAUGUUAUUCAUUUACUUGAGGUCAUAAUUAAUAUUCUCUAUUACCCCAAAAAAGUGGAUGUGAAUAAUCUGUUGAAUUACCGAGGUGAUAAUGAUACAUGAUUAGAGAUUCAGAAUUUGGAAGAAAUUGUGGAUAUCAUAAAUAAUAAUUUUAAUACUGAAGUUGAAUAUGAAACAAUACCUUUAAAAUCAUUUAUGUGUAAUAAAACACUUAUUGCAUCUGGAACUCUUCACAAUGUUAUGGUGCAUUUAGAAAAGUCAACAAUGAAACUUUUGAAUGCAAUAAGAAAAUGUAGAGAUGAACUUCAACAUGAUUUAGAGUUUAACAAAAAACGAUACAUAAUAAGAUCAUUCUCUUAGUUAUAUUUGAUAUGAAAAAAUUUAUAAUUUUUGUUUUUUAAUAUAUCUUUUGAUUGUUUAACUUUUAUUCUAAAAACAUUUAGAGGGAGAGAAAAAGGGUUGAGUUAGAGAGUUCGCAGCAAGAUGAUAUGAUAGUUGCAGAGAAUGAGGUUAUAUUUAAUGUCUCGGCUAGGUAUACUUUGAAAAUAAUUUCCAUUGAGACUUAGAGAGUGAGAAGGUUUGUUAAGAAUUUAAUUAUUUUGAUUCAAAUAGGAAUUUCUCAAAUUACCACUUAUACUGUUCCUUUUCAGAAAGUCAGAGAUGUUGUCAAAGAGUUGGAGAUAUUUGAUGUGCGAGAUUUGAGUAGUAUGAGGACAAGAGGGACCAUCAAUUAGGUGAUUUGCGUAGUGCUGCUCCUAAGUGUUGAGAUUACUCAAGGAGAGGUUAUCACUCUUAGUCUAACAAACUCAUGUUCCAAUACCAGUGUUCGAGGUUGAUUAAUUUAAGCAUAAUUUUUCUAGUUUGAUACAUACUUCGCAUGGUUCAUCUUCUAGCUUGACCUAUAGGUUGUGGAGGGCAUUCUGAUCGUUCAGGUUUCUUCAUCAGCCUACAUCUCAUAUUUACCUUAGUAUCCUUAUUUAGUAUUUUGUUAAAGUCAAGUUUCAAUCAAUGACCAUAAAUUUAUUUAUUUGGAUUAAUCAAUUUGACCAAUAGACAUGAAUAAUUUACUUCACUUUUUCUAUGUUGGUCAAAUAUAAAUUUCUUAGGAUAUUAGCUUUCAACGGUAAAAUAAGAAGAAUAAAGUCAUUUAUGAAUUAAUUUUGUGAAAUGACGAGUAUUAAAGAACAUCUAUUUUUUAUAAAGACAACAUUUAAAACAAAACGAAUGGAGUAUUUUUUAAAAAAUUCUUUCUACCAUAUAUUUCAAGAGAUAAGUUUCAAAACCACACCUAAACUAUUCCAUUUUUUGAGUUUCAUACCUAAACUAUUGAGAGUGUGAGUUACAUUCCUAAACCAUCAAUUUUAGGUUUGAGAAACACACCCUAGUGGUGUGCGUAAUAAACAUUCCUUUUUAUUUGGAAAAAAUCUUGACAUAUGACAUUUUACAUUGAUAAAAUAUUCCACCUUGACCAAAAAAAUUAUAAUAACUAUUAGUACUAAUUAAAAACUAAAGUAUUUCUGUCCAUAAAAAAAUUACUUUUUUUUUAAAAAAAAUAAACAACAUACACCCCCUCCACCACACCCAAUAAACCACCCAUUAUUCAUCACCGCAAGAACUCUCGCAUAGCUAUCACUUGUCUUUCCUAAAGCAAACCAGGCUGAAGACAGUAGAGAAUGAAUUUUUAUUACGUUAUCCAGAUCGUUUCUCCAAGGAACUCAUCCCCUCCCCAACCCCCAACCCCCACCCCUUAAAAUUUGAUAUAUUUUUUUAAAAAAUAAUUAAUCUAUCCCAUCCUAUUUAACUCCUCUGCUCCUAAUUUUUAUUUUAUUUUUACAUUAUUUUCAUUUUGUGUUAGAUAUACACGUACAUAUAGUUUUAGAGAAAAAAAAUUCUAUUAGUGUAUCGAAUAUAAAAUAAAUGUAAGAAAUUAAACAAUGUCUUAUAGUGCCAAGUAAAUAAUAUUUUGAUUUGUACAAUAUCUAACACAAAAUGAGGAAAAAAAUUAAAGCGCUGAAUUAGGUGAGGUGGGUAGAAUUAUUUCUUAAUAAAUAAAAUAAUAUCUAAAUUAGUAUUUGAAGAAUGAUGGGAGAGAUCAAGUACAAAAAUAAUUAAAUUCUUUUAUAAGAAAAUUUAAACAAAAAUGAACUUUAAAAAAAAUUUCAUUGGGGGGGGGGGGUUAGAGGAGAGGGUAAGAAAAAUAUUUUACAUUUUAUUUUAUAAAUGAAAUAUCUUCUUUUUGGAUACUGAUUUUUUAAUUUUUAAAUUUUAAUGAUACUAAUAAUUUAUUUAAUUUUUGUCAAUGUUGAAUAUUUUAUCCAUGUGGAGUGUGAUGUGAGAAUUUUUUAAAAUAAAAGAGAGAGUGUUACACACACCAUGGUGAGAGUUGUAUAAAAGAGAGAUGUGUGUUUAUCAAACUAAAAGUUGAUAGUUUAGGUAUGAAAAGCACCCUCUCAAUGAAACGAUCAGGUUCCGCCUUUAACCAAAAGCCAAUGAGUAGAAAAUUUGGGUACGAAACAUUUUAGUAAAAUCUUAAAAUUUAAUUUUUAACCUUGUUUAGAUUUAGACGAAAUUGACGCACUUAAAGUCUAGAGAAAUCAGGUAACAAUGAUGUGGUUAUUUAUGAUUUGAUUUGAGGAAUGGAUCGAAAAUGCGUUAAAUAAUUUUUAAGGCAUUACGAAAUUGAAUUUGGUUAAUUAGAUCUCAGAAAUUGACCUAAGCGUGAAAGGAAUUUUUUGAGUGUUGUUAAUUGAGGGUGUGUUGUGAAGUGGGAUUUUUGAAAUUGUUGAAGGAACUCUCUGUUUCGUUCAUGCUGCUUAGGCGCUUGUUUUUCCUCUAUGGUGAGCUGCUACAAUGGGAUUUGGGCGCUUAGGCAGGCUCAAUGGAACUAAAAGUCUUUAAUAGCUCACUGCCUUAGGACUGCCACUUUGGCGUGUAUUUUGGUCGCUCUGGUGCCAUUGCUGUGGCAGGAUGGGUGCCUCUAUGGUGGGCUAGACACGACUCAAUGUGGUUAAUGAACCCCUAAACGACCUUAUUUGUCACUUUUCAAAUUUUAGAGCUAAGGAACGAAUCCAUGUGAUUCUUACUCAUUUUUCACCAUUCUUAAGGAUAACGGUAAGCUUUCCAUUCCCAAAUUCAUUUUUUGAUCCGUAGAACGCAAUAGGAUGGGUUAAUAUUGAUGGGGAGGGUUUUUAUCUCAUAAUUCAUGGUGAAAACAACCCUAAUAGGAUCAUGGAAUGAUCUAGGGUUUGUUAGUAAUCCGGGUAAUUAAUGAUUAUCUAUUGAUUCUCAUGUCAUAUUUAUUGCUUGUAGACCACGAACAAGCAGAACAAAUCCGAAAAGGGAACAAUCAAGUUUCUUUGGAUUUCAAGAUUAUUUCGAGGUAGGUGAUGGUUGUGAUUCUAUGAUUGUAUGAUAUAUGUUUGUUCUUGCUUCAUUAUAAUGCAUGUAUGUAUGCGAAUGUUUCAUGAUCGAUCACACUAAUUGUAAAUGAGUAUGAACACAUGACUAUAUGCCAUGAAUAACUUCUUAAUUUUAUAAUUAUUGAGAAUAUACUUGUGAAUGUGAUUGUGGUGUAUUGAUGGAUCAUAUUGCCACGUACCGACAUGACUGUUUGGGAUCAGUUUCCACGUUUCGAUAUAAAAAUGGGACGGAUUGCCACAUUUCGGCAAACUAACAUGGAUCAAGGACCAUGUUUCGGUGUACUAACAAUUUCGGUUUGGUUCCAUGAGAGGAUGAACUACUUGUGAUAAAAUGUAUAAAGUUAAGUAUCUGUUAAUCAAUAUUGCUAUAUUCGAUAUAUUGUAUGGUUAUAAUGUUGUAUGACUUUCUUAUAUUACACUAGCGGGAUACCAGUGAUCCUACCAGUACAUGAUGGUUUUGUACUGCAUCUGCACUUGCUCUUAUUUUUAUUAAGUAGAAGACAUCUUCCGGUGGCUAUUGGCAUACCUCGUUAGAAGAUCUAAGAUCGUGUUCAUGUCCAAGGGUGAGCUAGCAUCUUCCGGGUUGCUUUGGGUUUUCUUAGAGUCUAUCCAUAUUACAAACUUAGACUAGUUCUUUAUAUAGUUUGUUAGUUAGGAUUAUGACCUUUCUUAUUUAGACAUUGCCUAUUUAGACAUUGUUUUGUUUCGUAGAUGUUUUGAUAUAUUGACUUUAAAAUUCUAGGUUAUUUCUUCUACAUUGUUAGUUAGCUCUUUAGAAUAUUUCUUGAGUUUUAUGUGAACUUCAUUAAUUUAGUUAUUUAACCUACUUCCGUAGUUGAAAUGCUUUAGUUUUGCUUUAAUUUUGGUUCUCUGAUCGGAGGAUUUAAUGUAGGUGUCACUACGACAAUUUGGGUCGUGACAAAGUUUGUAUUAGAGCCUAGGUUCAUUGAUCUCAAUGUACCAAAAUGAGUCUAUUAGAUUCUCGUGGAACAAUACGUGGAAACCUUUAGUUUUCUUCGAUAGACUAUAAGACUUUACGAAAUUCUCUAUUUUUCUCUUGUCUUUUCUCAUGUUAUAACUUGGGUCCAAUUGGUAUAUAGGUGAUACAAAUGGUAGCUAAACUCCUUCACUUUUCUGUCCGCAUAAUGUUCGUACAAGAUUUAACGGUGCUUUUCAUGAUUGAGGAACUCCUCCUAGUCGCAACCGGUGUCUUCGUCCUCUAAGAGACCUUAAACAAGCCCUUAGAAUACAUCAUUGAAUUUCAUAGGUAAGAAUUACGGAAAAUUAAAAAACUUUAUAUUAAAUUUUACAUAGACUUCUCAUAUAUCGAAAAUAGACUACAUAGUCUCAGGCAUAACCAUCUAACAUAGGAGUACAACAUUUGGGACGUCACCCUUACAAUAUUACAAUAAGUCUCAUAUAGGAUUACAUCAUAGUCUCAAAAGAUAAGAGACAGAAUGGAGUCUUUAAACUAAUCAAAUAGUAAGAACUAAAAUAGUAGGCUUCAUCCUCGGACUUGAGGACUCACCAACUUGGAAAUCUAUCCUAGCUUCUUGAAAUUUGGCCUUGAAUCCCUUCAAUCGCCCAAACCUAUAUUUUUGUAGAAAUAGAGUGAAUAUAGGUUAGUACAAACCACAUGUACUAAGUAUGAAGACAUAUGCAAUUAAAACCUUUAGAAACAUGCUAAAAAGGAAAUUUUGUUCGAAAGCAUGCUAAAUAAAGUUAAAAGCCUUUAUGCACAUUCCAAGCAUGUACAAGUCUAUGUCACCACAACAAUAAGACAUAUUCAUAUUCAUGUUCUAUAGUAAAAUCCUAUCAAAGCCAUAAUUAACAUAUCAUAUAGAAAACAUUUCAUGAAAAUCUUAUAAUACCUUACUUACAAUCCCAAUCUAAGCUAACUAGCGCAAUAUGUAUGUGAAAACACAUAACCCCACACAAACUAAGUCAACUAGUAAAGAGACCACAAGCAUUGCAUUUACAUCAUAUAACAUCACAUAACAUCAUAGCAAGAAUAUUAAAUCUCAUAUGGCAUUUAAACCAAUAACAUGUAUAUCAAGUGAAUGCAACAUCAUAUGAGACCAACAUUAUAUAGAGUCAACGUGAUGCAUUUUAUUCAUAACAAUUUUAUAUAAAGAAUAACCCUAGGAGUUACCUCAAGGUCCACAUGUGCAAUGUAUAGGCAAUGUUUCAUACCCUUACCUACACUAGUACACCUCUCAUGUCAUCCUAGUUAUUAUGUAUCUUUUUUACUUUCAUUCAUUCAUUUUACUUUUGAAAACUUUUCAAUGACUGACAAUAAUACCAUGCUAAACAUGGAAUCCGGUGUUAUCCGCUCACACCGAAAGACAGGUAUCCUACUUGCAAAGGUAGGAUAUAUACAUCAUAAUAGUGUCUACGUGGAUUCACUAGCUAGGUUUCGUAUGGGGCAAAUAGUUAAGGAAGUAGGAGGUUUUUACUAGAAAUCUUCUUCAUUCUAAUUCAGUUCAUGGUUUCCCCCUGACGAUACCAUAGGAGAACCUACCUUCCUCAUUGGAAGGGACACCUCGUUCACUCGGUGCUAAGCUAAUAUUCCAUUUUUGAAGUAUCUUAGAUUCUUUCUUAACAUUAGUGUAUAUCAUAGGUCUUACGAGUCUAGCCUCUUGUAUAACAUGAUAAUCGCUCCUAGGUUCUAGGCUGAGAAAGUUCGUUCAUCACAACCGAACAUUAAGUGAGAACAUUACAUCAUAAUCAUAGUAAUAAGAUGCAUAAGAGAUUUCCUUCCAAUCCAUCAAAAUCUUAAUAUAUCAUCAUUUCAAAUUAAUCAUGUUCAUAGCAUAAUCAUUUAAACUUCAACAACAUCAAGAAUAUGCCAAUAUUAACACAAUAAAGUAUUUAUGAUCUUGAAAGUCUUACCAAUGCCUUCAAAAAAUCUUAUCAAAGAUCUCACCCCCAAAUCCAUUAUAUUUACCCCAUAAUCAAUCAUUAUCAUCAUAUUAGGUAAACUAUCAAGAACACAUUCAAUUUGAUCCCGCCUUAUUCAUAAUCAAUCAAAUUUACAAGUUAAGGUUAGGAGAAGAAGAGUAUCCAAGGGUCUAUAGAGAUUUAGGGAAAAUAUUAAAGAGGCUAAUUCAAUCCACACAUAAACAUACAUAAUUCAUCACUAACAAUCAAAUUAAGACUAUACAAUCUAACUUCGAAAGUAGACUACUAAAUUUGAUGAAAACAAGCUUUUGAAGAACAUUGAAAUCAAAUAUUUGAAGAGCCUCUUGGGGAAAAGAGUCCCAAGGGUAAAUAGCCUACAUACCAUGAGAAUCCUUGAAGAACAUUGAAGGAAUUUUUUUAUCUAGGAGCCUUAGAGAAUCUUGAACUUGUUCUUCAAUGGUGUUUCUUUGAUAGUAGUUAAAGAAACUAGAGAGAAAAGGGAGUUAUUUGAGUUUUUGGAUUCAUGAGAUGUUAGGUUAAUUUAUUGACUUACGAUACUCUUAUAAUCCUAAACUAACUAAUUAUAACCGACCCCAAUCAUUAGUAAAUUAAUUAAACAAAUUACCUAACCAAAUCUACUUAACCCGUGUAGAGGUAGUAAGGCAGGGGUCCAUCGAUGAGACCCUGUCGACAAACCGUCAUCCCAUUCAUGGACCGGAUCAGUCAAACAUGGUUUGGUACAGAAUCUUCAAUUUCGGUUCUCAAGGGGAAAAGUUUAUGUGUGGACCAAUAAGAACCAUUCAAAGGGUGUUAUCUCAUCGACGACUCGUCGUUCCCCCUCGUUGGUUGCACACUAUUUUUGACAGGUUUAGGGUCAAAUGUUGGGUCAUCCUCAAAAACCCUUAGUUUGGCCCUUGGGAGAAAUACCCAAACGUUUGACCCGAAACAAGUAAUAAUAUAAGUUCAUGUACUUAGUACAAGAUUUAACCCUCAGAAGACUCUUUAACACCUUUCCAACACAUAAAGGAACACUAGUUAACUUUCACUCUUCUCCGUACAUCAUGGUCGUUUCUUUAUGUUUAUACUAUAACACUUCCUUAUCAAGUUAAUUACUUUUAUUAAACCCUAGAAACAUUAUUUUAGAGUAUUGUUCAUUUAAUGAUGCUCUACUUUAGAUCAUUGGACUUUUGAGGUAUCAUAGUACUCAUCCUGCCGCUCCCGCCAACGCUCCAGCUGAUGUCUCACAGUGAUAGGUCGUGAUCGAGGUAGGGGUAGAGAAAGAGAUAGAGGUAGAGGUCAUGGAAGAAAAUAACUUAUUACGAAUGUAGAUCCUAUUGAUAAUACUCUCGUGAAUGAGAACCCUCCUACACAUCAUGAAGAUCUAUAUGUGAAUGUUGAAGAUGUAGAGGACUUUGAGGAAACUGGACAAGGGAAAGAAGUGCUAAUUGAAAAUAUUAUAGUUCCACAUUUUGGAUCCAUUGUUAGAGAAACAUAUCAUGCUAUUUAUGAAGAGUUAGGACUGUCCUGGGAUGCUCCUUUCUAGUAAAGAGACUAAGGGUCCUGCUAAUCCUCGUAUUGCUAACACUUCUCCCGAUUGAAAAGAAUGAUGCUUCUUUCGCCCCUUGUUGUGUUUUGUUAUGAUUGGUAAUGAGAAUUAUUUGACUAAGUUUUUGUAGCUCAAGCCUCCUUUGUUUCUUGGUUCUGAGAGUGAGGAUGCUUAUGAGUUUAUCCUUGAUUGUUAUGAGACUUUGUAACUUAGGAAUUGAUCACCAGCAUGGGGUUCAGUUUGUGUCAAUCAAACUUUAAGGUGAGGAUUAAUAGUGGUGCAAAGCUUAUAUUGAAUUUAGAUCUUCAACCUUAUCUCCAUUCACUUGGAAUUAGUUAUGUUCUUUGUCCUUAGAAAAAUAUAUGCCUCGUGCUUUAAGAUAUUGCAAGAAAGAUGAGUUCAUGGCAUGCAUUGGAUCAAGGUGGUAUAUUUGUGGUUGGUUACGAGGCCAAGUUCUAUGUUGUAUCUAAAUAAUGCUACACAAUUUGUGACUACUGAAGAGGAAAGGAUCUGGUUAUUUAUUAGGGGGCUAAAUUUUGAGUUAGAAGUGUUAUCUGUUCACAUGAGUAUUGCGGGAAGAAGAUUCAAUGAGUUAACUGACUUUGUGAAGAAAGUGGAAGGCGUAAGGCAAGAUGUUGAGGAUAAGGCAAGAGUACCUGGUAGACCAACUGUUGCAGCUCGGCCUAUUAAGUCUAUUAUGCCCGCCUCUAUAGGUAAUUACUCUCGAACUCCACCUCAGAAUUUCUGUGGUGGAUUUCAACCCAUCUUUUGAUUGUAGUUUUUAUAAUUAUGGGGAACUAAGACUUAUGAGGAGAGAUUGUCCCCACCCGGACUUGUAGGCUUCCUCUAAGCAGCAGACUAAGGUGUUGGUACCCGUGGGAAAUGGUAAUAAUGGUCGAGGUCAUCCACAAGGUGGGUGAGGAGGUAAUCGGCGAGGUCGUGGGGGUCGUUAAAACGGUAAUGCAGAAAGAGGUAAUGUGCAACUAUACAUGGAAGUGGAUCAUCGAGAUUGUAUGGCUCUGUGAUAAAGGACAGGAAUAAGGUAGAGGCGUGUGAUGCGGUGAUCAUAGGUACAAUUCUUGUUUGUGACUGGAUGACUGACUUCCUAUUUGAUCCAGACUCUACUUAUUCUUAUGUCUUUUUAAUAUUUGUGUGGAAUUUUGAAAUAACGUGUGAUGUACUUGAUUCUCCCAUUCAUGUAUCUACCCUGUUGGAGAGUAUGUCAUAAUCACUCAUAUCUAUAGUAUUUGUCUUAUUGUUUUUGUGGGUUAUUAGACUUGGGAUGAUUUGAUGAUUUUGGAUAUGACUGACUUUGAUAUAAUCUUAGGCAUGACUUCAUUUUCCCCCUAUUAUGUUGUAUUAAAUUGUAAUACUCAUUCGACGACUCUACAAAUUUUGAGAAGGGAAAAAUAGAGUGGCAAGGGGUGUACAAGCAUGAGCAUACUAAGAUCAUAUCCUCCAUAAGAGAUAGGAAACUAGUAGGUCAAGGAAACAUGAAGGGCAGGGUUAUUUGUCUUACUUGACUCAUAUUAGGGAUGUUAAGAUUGAUGUUCCAUCCAUUGAGUCUAUUUUUGUGGUGUAAGAAUUUAGACUAGUUUUCCCUAUUGAUUUGUCUAGUUUGACUCCGGAUAGAGAUAUGUAUUUUUGUAUUUAUUUGGAGCCUUGUACUAGUCACACCUCUAUUCCUUCGAUAUGGCUUUGACAGAAUUAGGAGAGAUUAAUUCUCAAAUCAAAGAGAUUCUUGACAAUGGAUUAUUCAUCCUAGUAUUUAUUCAUAGGGUGUCCCAGUUCUAUUUUUUAAGAAGAAAGAUGGUAGUAUGAGAAUUUUUAUAUAUUACCGGCAAUUGUAUAAAGUGACCAUUCGAAAUAAGUAUUUAUUGCCUCGGAUAAAUUAUUUAUUUGACUAAUUGCAAGGUACAUACGUCUUCCCUAAAAUUGAUUUAAGUUCUAGGUACCAUCAAUUAAAGAUUAGACCAUAAGACAUACCAAAAACGACAUUUAGGACUUGAUGUGGACAUUAUGAGUUCCUAGUUAUGACAUUUGGGUUGACUAGUGCACCGAUAGCCUUCAUAAGUUUGAUGAAGGAGGUGUUCAAACCUUUUCUUCAUUCGUUACUUAUUGUACUUAUUGAUGAAAUCCUAGUUUAUUCUAGAAAUAAGGUUGAGCAUGUCGAUCAUCUUCCUAAUAUUCUGGGUGUUCUUAGGAAACAAAGGUUGUAUGCUAAAUUUUCUAAGAGUGAUUUUUGGUUGAAUUCGGUAGUAUUUUUAGGCCAUGUGGUUUUGAAUGAAUGGGUAUUGGUAGAUCGUCAAAAGAUUGAGGUAGUUAAAAAUUGGGUUCGACCAAGUUUUGUGACCAAAAUUAGAAGUUUUGUAGGGCUUGCUAGUUAUUAUCGUCGGUUUGUUAAGAAAUUUACUUCAAUUGCUAUAGACUUGACCAAUAUGACAAAAAGGGGGUACAAUUUGAGUGGAAUGAAAAAUGUGAGGAGGGAUUUAAAAAUCUCAAGACUCUUUUGACCACCGCGUCUAUUUUAGAAUUACCAGUUGAAGGUAAAAAAUUGUAAUUUAUUGUGAUGCUUCUCAUUCUGGUUUAGCACGGUGUUGUUGAAAUAUAAGAAUCUUAUAUCCUAAGAAUCACGUCAAUUGAAGAUUCAUGAGAGGAAUCACCUAUCACAUUAUUUGGAGUUGGCAGUGGUAGUAUUUGUUGUUAAGAUCUGGCGACAUUAUCUAUAUGGGGUCAAGUGUGAAGUUGUUACUGAUCAGCGUAGUUUGCAGCAUGUGUUUACUCAAAAAGAUCUGAGUUGGAGACAAAGAAUGUGGAUGGAGUAACUCAAGGAUCUUGAUGUGACCAUCCAAUACAAUUUGGGUAAUGCUAACGUGGUGGCGAAUGCAUUAAGUCGAUUAGUGGAAGUAUGGAUAGUCUAACUUGUUUGCAUAUAUCCAAGAGACCUUUGCCACGUAAAUUCUUUUCUUGGAGUCUAACUUCAUGCGAUUUGGCAUCUCGGAGAGAGAAGGAGUGCCAGCUAGCAUUGAGGUUAGUUCCAUAUUUCUUAACGAGAUCAAGGCAAAAGAAAUUGAGGACCAAAAUAUGAAUGAACUUAAGGAGAAUAUGGCAAUUGGCAAGGCACAAGAUUCCACUCUUGAUAUGGAUGGCAUGCUUAAGUUCAACAGAAGAAUUUCUGUUCCUCGAGUUUAUAACUUGAUUCAAAAAUUGUUGGCGGAAGCUCAUAGGUUACGAUAUUCCAUUCAUAUAGGUGUGACCAAGAUGUUUUAGGAUUUGAAGCAAAUUUAUUGGUGGCAAGGUAUGAAGAAAGAUGUUAUAGAAUUUGUGGCGAAGUGUCAAAAAUGCUAACAAUUAAAAUACAAACAACAAAGGUCGACGGGGUUGCUUCAAGGAUUGCCAAUUCCAAAAUGGAAGUGGUAGAGGAUAGUCAUGGAUUUCGUGGUUGAUCUUCAAAGACCUUGAAAAAGUAUGAUUCAAUUUGGGUAGUUGUAGACAAAUUGACUAAGUCAACCCAUUUUAUUCUGGUAAGGACCGAUUAUAAUUUUUAAAAAUUGGCUAAAAUAUAUGUGAAAGAGAUAUUAAGGUUUCAUGGAUUUCCCAUUUCUAUUAUCUCAUAUCAAGGUACCUAAUUUACUUCAUAGUUUUGGAAAAGGAUACAUCAUGAAUUGGUACACAACUUACUUUUAGUACAACUUUACAUCUAGAGACAAACGGACUGUCUGAAAGGACUAUUAUGUGUUAGAAGACAUGAUGAGGGCAUGUGCGAUCGACUUUGGUGGACAUUGGAUGAAGUUCAUAGCUUUGUGUGACUCUCAUAAUAAUAGUUAUCAUUUUAGCAUUGAUGUGGAUCCAUUUGAGGAACUUUAUGGGAGAGGAUGUAGGCCACCCAUAGGAUAGUUUGAGGUUGGAGAUGUGAAACCUUUUGGGGUAGACUUAGUGAAGGAUUUUCAAGAUAAGGUGAGGAGUACUCAAGAUAAGUUUCUAGCAGCCUAGAGUAGAAAGUAAAACUAUGCGGAUCAUAAGGUAAAAGACAUAGAAUUUCAAGACAAUGAGAGUUUUCUUCUUAAGGGUAUCACUCAUUAAAAGGGUGAUAAGGUUUGGUAAGAAGCGCAAGUUGAGUCCACGAUAUAUUGGUCCCUUUGAUGUUUGUGAAUGUGUAGGAAUGGUAGCGUAUAGAUUGGAUUUACCUCCUGACUUAUCGGGUGUUCACCUAGUAUUUCAAGUUUCCAUGUUGAAGAGAUAUCAUGGUGAAGGGGAUUACAUUAUUAAGUGGGGCUUAAUUUUACUACACAUGGACCUUAAAUAUGAGAAACCAAUUGUUAUUCUUGAUCGUUAUAAACAUAAAAUGAGGACUCAGGAUAUCAAGUCAGUGACAAUUCAAUAGAAUCAUCGUCAAGUUGAACAAGAUACUUGGGAAAUCGAAAAGGAUUUGCAAGAAAAGUAUCACCAAUUAUUUGUCGAUUCAAGUACUACUUCAUUCCUUCUCUAGCCGUUUUUCCAAGUUUGUCAAUCGUGGAUGAGUAAUGGAUAAAUUCAUAUCUGUUUUAAUGUUCAGGUUCCAUCUUUAUAGAUAACCAUAUAAGGAGAAUUUUUGAGUCUAUAAUUUUUUUAGUAAAAUCUGGUAAUUUCCCAACCUAGUCAAAAUUUGGACAAAAUCGAUGUGCUUAAAGUCUACAAAAAUCAUGUAUCAAUUUGGGUGGUUUGUUUAUGAUCCAAAAUCGAUGUGCUUAAAUUCUACAAAAAUCUUGUAUCAAUUCGGGUGGUUUAUUUAUGAUUUUGAUUUAAUGAACUAAUAUAUAACGCGUUAAGGAAUCUGUUUGACUUUACAAAAUUGAACUUGUGUAAGCUGAUCUCCGCGAAUCGACCUUAGCGUGAAAGCUAUUUUUCGAGUGUGGUUAGUUGAGGGCAUGUUGUGAAGUGGGAUUUUUUGAUUUUUGAAAGAACAUUCUGUUUCAUUUAUGCCUCUUUAGUGUUGUGUUUUUCCUCUAUGGCAGAGCCACUACAGUGGGGUUCGGGCAAUGUGGUGGGAUCGACGGGACUAAAAGUCGUUAAUAGCUUGCUGGUUAGGGAAUCUCGCUCUGGCGCUGCCGAUGUAGCAGGCCAAACGCGAAUCAAUGUUGUUAAUAAACCCCUAAGCAAUCUUAUUUUUCAGUUUUAAUCUUUUAAAGCUAAAGAACAAACCCACUGUGUUUCUUACUUGUUUUUCAUCAUUCUUAAGGCUAAAGAUUUUUAUUCACUGAUUUUAUUUUCGAUCUAUAGAACGCAAUAGGAUGGGUUAAUAUUAAUGAGCAAGGGUUGGAUCUCAGAGUUCAUACAAGAAACAACCCUAAUUCGAUCAUGGGAUGAUCUGGGGUUUGUUAGUGUCAUUAGUAAUCCUGGUAAUUAGUAAUUAUUUAUUAAGUGCCAUACUAUAUUGAUUGUUUGUAGACAACGAACAAGUCGAGAAAAUUCGUAAAGGAAAUAAUUGAGUGUCUUAGGGUUUUAAGUUUGAUUUCAGGUAGUUGAUGGUUGUGAUUUUAUUAUUGUGUGAUAUAUGUUUGUUCUUGCUUCAUUAUGAUGCAUGCAUGUAUGGAAAUAUUUCAUGAUUGAUCACACUAAUUAUAAAUGUAAAAAGGCCUAAAAUACCCUUGAAGUAUUGAAAAUGGUACAAAACUACCUUCCAUCCACCUAUUGGCUCCAAAAUGCCCUUCUGAUCCACCUAUUGGCUCCAGAAUACCCUUGUCAUCCACCUUUAGGUUGAAAAUUGACCACUUAUUUUACAUUUUUAAUUUAAAUAGUUUCAAUAUUAUUUUAAUAUUUGACUAUAAACUAUUGUUUAUAAUUUAGUUAAAAUAUCAUUUAUAAACAAACCCACUACUCAUUCAUUAUGUCAUGCCCCAAGCCUACACCCUGGACAUAGCCGGCACACAAUGAUCAUUGUUGGUCUUGAGCGAACCCUUAGCCUGAUUUACUUAACUCAGUGGAAGAUUUAACUAACUCAAUUAUGAAAUAAGAGCAUUCUUAAUAGAAAUACUUAAAACAUAAUAGUCUUGCCAAAAUGGUACUUAAAUUCUCAUAGCAAAACAUCUGCAAUUUAAGAAACUGACUAUCUAUCUGAAGCCUAUACAAUAACUAUGAUGAAUGAAGGGAUAAACCCCUCAACAUUCUAUAAAGGAAAAUAUUGAAAGAAAUAAAGGGUAUUUUUGAUGCAAGUAGGCUUACCACUGACUCAAGAUGCUUAAACUGUAUCAACGAGGCGUUGUAUAGUGAUCAUAGUUACGUGCGUCUGCAUCAGAAGACAAUGCAUGCCAAUUGACAUCAGUACAUUGAAUGUAUGAGUAUGCUAAGUGGAAUGCUAAACAAUAAUUUAAAGUUUCAAAAUAUUAAGAAGAACUUAUCUUGGCUCUGUUCAACUCACGAUAUACUAACUCAAUACAAAGACAUAAGGAAACGUGCAAUACAUAUGAUAAAAACUUGUAAAAAAGUGUAAACAGCUUACUUCGUUAAGAUAAUGUAAUAAAAACUCAACUUUAUUUAUAAUGAAGAUAAUAUAGUUUCUGUGGGAGAUUCUCCAAUCAAAAAUCAUCACUAUGAGCCUAAGCGAUGGUAUAAUGUCUUACCUCACAUUGCAAGAGGACCACUCCAUACUUUGCCGUUGGUAUAAAGCCUGAACUACCAAGUGGAUAGACUAGUCUAUGUUAAAAAUCACUAAGAAAUCAUCUAAAAAGUUUGAUCCUUUCUCUGUCCAUGCAGCUACAAUGAACUUUUAUGAAUUCGCGUCCCCAUAUCGGUACUCAAUACUAGUCCAAAAAACACUUAGUCCAUGUGUUUUUAAAACAACUUUUUCUCUGGUUUGAGGUAAUUUCUCAAACUUAGCUUUAAAAGAUCUUAGAAAUCAUAUUUCCUUUUUUGUAAAACUAGACAAAGGCUCUGUUGAAGUCUAGCUUCCAUUCUUUUCUAAAAAUGUGAAAACAUUUGUAACUAACUCUUGAGAAAUGCACUCACUCUUUGCGCUUUUCUAUACUUGAAACUUAACUGUUAUGUAAUACUUAGUUCCCUUAUAACUUUUGAGAUUUAAACUCAACUCAUUACUCUUUAAUCAACUUGUAGAUUGAGCCUUAAAACAAAGUUAAAAUGUUUCUUUAAGACUCUUGAAAACUUUAAGAACUUACUUUGUCUGGCUCCUUAACUUUUCGACUUGACUCUUAACUUCUCUGACUUUGAUCUUAACUUGUCUUGAAUUGGAUUAUGGAUUCAAGGAUCAUGAUCUCAUAUUUAUGGAUGAUCUCAUGAUGCUUAGAUGUAACUUAGAGUGUUGGAAUCAUAUAAGGAAUAUGGGUACAUAACUUAGGAACUAGUACGAAAAGAAGGGAGGGAAAUGGGGUCUUCACGUGGCCUUGGAGAUCUGAGAGGUGCGGGUGCCAGAGCUUGACGGACAGACAAUGUUCUUAGCCGCUCUGGAUGGUGCGGUACGCCAGGGCGUGAUGGUUAAAGUUUGUCCUAAGGGGAUCUUGUUGGCGCGGCGCCUGAGGGUCUAUCAUAUGGGAUUUCCGAAUUUUCCUUAGCUUAGGCACAGAAUCAUCCACCUCAAACUUUAACGGUCCUCUCCUAAUAUAUAUGUAUAGGACUUCUGGCGACUCUUUGCCAUUUUCAAUCUCUCCUUAAUAUCUUUCACCUUCUCCAUAGCUUGGUGAACUAGAGUGGCCUUAUCAACCCUCCUUAACCACAUUCACUCACCCAAUUGGAUAUCUGCAUGUUUACCAUAAAGAGCUUCAUAUGGAGACAUUUAAAUGCUUGAAUGUUAAGAGUCGUCGUAAGAGAACUCAAUAAGAUGUAGGUGAUCAUCCCAAUUCCCUUUUAAGUCAAUCACACAAGCUCUCAACAAGUCUUCUAAUGUCUGGAUAGUGAGCUCUGCUUGUUUAUCUAUCUGUGGAUGAAAAGUUGUGCUUAAGUUCACCUUUGAACCCAAGCCUUUGUUGAAUGAUUUCUAGAACUAUGCAGUAAAUUGUGCACCUCUGUCUGUAAUAACAGAAACUGUAAUUCCAUGAAGUCUUGCCACUUCUUGAAGGUACAACUUAGCAUAAUCCUUGGUCUAAUAGGUAAUCUUUACCAGAUAGAAAUAAGCUGAUUUUGUCAUUCAAUCGACAGUCACCCAAAUAGAAUCAUGUUGUCUGCGAGAUCUUGGCAAGCCUGUGAUAAAGACCACAUUAAUCAUCUCCCACUUCCAUUCUAGAAGUUCUAUAUUCUUAGCCAAACCUCCCAUCCUUUGGUGUUGUACGUUCACUUGUUGGGAUUCGGGCACUUGGGAACAAACCGACUCUGCAAUGCCCUUCUACUUACCUUCCCACCAAUAUAACUCUCUCAAAUCGCGGUACAUCUUUCUGGAACCCGAAUAAAUGGAAUAUCUGGAGCUAUGAGCUUCCUCAAUGAUCCUCUCUUGGAGUCCAUCCACCCUAGGUACACAGAACAUACCGUGAUACUUUAGCAAACCAAACCCCCUUAUUCGAAGCUAAUACUCUAUGCUUAUGAACAUUUUCCUUAAAUCAAGAAAAAUGGGAUCUUGGUCCUUUUCUUUUUCACCUCCUUUUGUGGAAUCCAUAAGUCUGACUCCUAGGAGUGCAAGUCUAUGCACACCUUUAUCUAACUGCCUCUUUUCUUCUUCAGCAUGGUCAAACUCCCCAUGGAUAAAAUUCUUAGAGCAUCAGCAACCAAAUUAGCCUUACCAAUAUGGUAAAGAAUAGUCAAGUCAUAAUCCUGGAGCAAUUCUAACCGCCUCCUCUUUCAGAGAUUUAGCUCCUUCUGAGUGGACACGUAUUGGAGGAUCUUGUGAUAAGUGAAUAUAUCAACAUGAACACCAUACAAGUAGUGACGCCAUAUCUUCAAAGCAAAAACUACUGCAGCCAAUUCUAAGUCAUGAGUCAGAUAAUUCUUUUUAUGAACCUUCAAUUAUCUAGAGGCAUAAGAUAUAACCUUGCCAUUCUGAAUCAACACACAGCCCAAACCAACUCUCGGUGCAUCACAGUAUACCACGAAACCUUGAGUACACUCUAGUAAGGUCAAAACCGAAGUGGUAGUCAAUCUCUUUUUCAAUUCCUGAAAGUUUUUCUCACAAGCUUCAAACCAUUGAAACUUAACUUUAUUCUAAGUUAGAUUGGUCAAAGGAUAGGAUAUAGAUGAAAAACCUUUAAAAAUAUCCUAUAAAAGUCAGUCAAACCUAAGAAACUCCAUAUAUUUGUUGGAGAUGUGGGUUUAGGCCAACUCUGAACUGAUUUUAUCUUUUGGGCAUCAACUCUAAUCCCAUCAUAAGGAAUGACGUGGCCCAAGAAUGCCACAGACUUAAUCCAAAACCCACACUUGGAGAACUUGGCAUAUAACUCCUUAUCUUAAAAAAUCUACAGGACUAUCCUGAGGUAACUAACAUGAUCUUAUUGAUUCCUUGAAUUAAUAAGUCCGUCACCAAUGAACACGAUGACAAACAUAUCUAAAUAAGGUUUGAAGACCCCGUUCAUAAGAUCCAUGAAUGAUGGAGUUUCAUUUUUCAAACCAAAGGACAUAACCAAAAACUCAUACUGCCCAUAUCUUGUUCUAAAGGUUGUCUUUAAAAUGUCACAUUCCCGAACUUCCAACUGAUGGUAUCCUGAUUUGAGAUCAAUUAUGAGAAGAAAGAAACACCCUGAAGUUGGUCAAAAAAUAUCAUCUAUCAUUGGAAAAGGAUAGUUCUUAUUGAUGCCUUAUUCAACUAACUGUAAUCUAUAUACAUCCUAACAAAACCAUCUUUAUUUCUCACAAAUAAGACCGGAGCACCCUAAAGUGAGACACUUAGUCGAAUAAAGCCUUUGUCUAACAAAUUCUUUAAUUGUUCUUUCAGCCCUUGUAACUCUGUUGGCGCCAUUCUUUAUGGAGGAAUAGAGAUAAGACGAGUCUCUGGAAUGCUGUAUAUGCCAAAGUCUAUUUUCUCUCUUGAGGGACUACAGGUUGAAUAUCAUAAAAGACUUUUGGGAACUCUAUAACUAUUGGAACAGACAGAAGAGAAGGUACCUCAACACUUGAGUCAUUAACUCAGACUAAGUAAUGAUACACCCCUUUGAAACUUACUUUAUUUCUUUAAGGUAUGAAAUGAAACGAUCCUUAGGCAUUGUUGAACUAUUACUCCACUCUAUGACUAGAUCAUUACGAAUCUAAAACUUAAUAACUCGAGUUCUACAAUAUUUUGACGCAUAACAGGCAUGAAACCAAUCCACACCUAGAAUGACAUCACAAUCUACUAUGUCUAAGUUUACUAGAUCAGCCAUGGUAUUCUUGUAAUUGAUGGAUAUUUGACAAUCACGAUAGACUCUUUACGCUAGAAUAGACUCCCCAAUAGAUGUACAAACAUGGAAUGGUUCACAAAUUUUUUCAGGAAGAAUCUCAAUGUUAUUUGCAACAUAAGGAGUUACAAAUACAAACUUCCCCCUUGUUCUAACAAAGCAUAAACAUCAAAAGUAAAGACUUAUAUCAUACACGUGACAAUAUUUGGAGAGUUCUCUUUCUCUGGUAGUUAGUGAUUGCAUAGAGGCGGUUUUCCCCUAUGCCAGAACUAGAAGUGGCUCCUCUAGGUGAAGCCCUAUCUGAUGGAGCAAUUAAUGAUGAUUGGUCUCUAUUACCUGGAUAUCCACCUCUUUGCUUAUUCUUAGGUAAAUCUUUCAUGUAUUUCCCAUCUUGAAAACACUUGAAACAACUUGACUGGCCAUCACAACACUUACCGACGUGAUUUUUACCAUGCCUACCACAUGCAGGAGCCAUAUUACCUCCUCGUACCACAUUGUCUUGGGACCAGGCUGGUCUAGACUUGAAGUUCUUCAAAUUCUUGCCAUUAUACUCAUAUCUAUUUUUGGGCACAUGUGCACUACCACAUGAUGGUAAAUGCCCCGUAUAGUUUCUGAAAUUGUGGUCAUCUUGAAACACCCUUCUGUUGACCAGACUCAUUCGAUCUUAGAUUUCUUUUACCUAUACUUCUUUUUAUACUUCAUCUUCUCCUCUUAAACUUGUUUCACAUAGACCAUUAGCCUUGAUAUGUCCAUUUCGCCUAUCAACAUUGUAUCCUACCUUCUUUGCUUGAAGUACGACCCAAGCCAACAACAAACAAGCCAUUCUGCUCUUCAUAUCCUUAACCAUCUUGGCAGCAUUGCGAGACAGUUGGGUGAACUUUAAUCCAUACUCAUGAACACUCAAGGAGUCCUAUUUCAAAGUAAGGAACUCCCGUACAUUUCCUUCCUCAAGUUCUGGGGAAAGAAACGCCCCACGAGGUAUUUUCAAAGCAAGCCCAACUUGGAUGUGAUGCAUCAUCGUCUCUGUUCUUCUUGCACUAAUCGAACCAUGUUCUACACAUUCUUCAGUUAAUAUGCUGCUAGUUCAACUUUAUCAGCGUCUACCACAUGCAUCACAUUGAAGACCUUCUUCAACUCUUCCACAAAGUUUUCCAUAUCCUCAAUAGUGCUCAAACCGAUGAAGCUGGGAGCAUUCAUCCUCAGGAACUCACGGAUCCUCAAGGUGUCAGCCUCUUCCUAUCAAGAUCCUCUCUAUUGAUUGCCUUGGUUGGUCACAGCUUGUCUUAACAUCCGGAUAGUCUCACGGAAUUCAGUGUUGGUGACUUCUUCUUGAGGUUGCACAUUUGGUGCAUUAGGUACCUCUGGAAUGUCGACAUUCCUUCUGGAUGGAUGACCUCAUGCUGCUCUUUGUGGAGGUAUAGUUAUCCCAAAAACGCGCAAGAACGAAUUAGAGAGAGACUUUUUGAGAUAAACUCUAACACACUAAAAAGGAAUAUCAAAGAAGUGAGGGAUUCCUAAAUGUUGUAGCCUCCUAAUCGUAGAUGUGGCGCUCUUCACACCGAUGACUAAGACUAUACAUACACGACUUCAUAGACCCCUAGGACUCUUGACUCUGUGUUCGGAAAUCUGAUAGCAAGUUUGUCAUGCCCCGAGCCUACAACCUGGACGUGGCCGGCACCCAACGACCAUUAAUGGUCUUGAGCAAACCCUUGUCUUGUCUUACUUAACUCAGCGGAAGACUUAACUACACUCAAUUUUGAAAUAAGAACAUUCUUAAUAGAAAUACUUAAAACAUAAUACUCUGGCAAAAAUGACACUUCAAUUCUCAUAGAAAAACAUUUUCAAUUCAAGGAACUGACUAUCUGUUUAUGAAUCCUCUACAAUAACUAGGAUGUAUGUUGGGAAAAAACCUUAAAUAUUCUAUAAAAGAAAAUACUGAACGCAAUAAAGGGCCUUCCUAAUACAAUGAGGUUCACCACUCACUCUGGAUUCUCAAACUAGAUCAACGAGGCGCUGGAUGCUUAUCAUAGUUAUUUGCAUCUGCAUCAUAAGAUGAUGCAGGCUAAUUGGUAUCAGUUUAUUGAAUAUACGAGUAUGCGAGGUGCAAUACUUAACAACAACUUAAUUCUUGAAAGGAUUUAGAAGAACUUACCUUGGCUUUGUUUAGCUCAUGAAAUACUAACUCAAUAUAACGAAGCAAGAACACAUGCAAUACAUACAUACAUAUAUAGAUAUAUAUAUACAUACAUACAUAUAUAUAUAUAUAUAUAUAUAUGAUAAAAACUUGUAAAACAGUGUAAAAAACUUAGUUUGUUAAUGAUAAUGCAAUAACAAACUCAACUUUACUUAUAAUGAAUGUAAUAUAGUUUCUGCUGAGAUUCUCUUACUGACAACCUCACUAUAAGACUAAGUGAUGGUACAACGUCUUACCUCACGUUGCAAGAGGAACACUCUAUACCUUGUCGUCGGUAUAGAACCUGAACUACUAAUGGAUCAACAAUAAGGACUCAUCUAAAAAGUAUAAUCCUUUAUCUGUUCAUGUUUGCGACAUGGUUUAUAGAGACUUGAGUUGUUAUGAACUCGCAACUCCAUAUCGGUGCUUAAUACUACUCUUUAAAAUACUUAUCUCAUGUGUUGUUAAAACAAUUCUUCUCUGAUUGGAGGUAAUUUCAAACUUAGCUUUAAAAGAUCUCUUAGAAAUCAUAGUUCCUUUUAUCUAAAACUAGCCAAAGGCUCUGUAAAAGUCUAGAUUCAUUUCUUUUCUCAAAAAGGGAAAACAUUUGUAACUCUUAUGGACUACUUAGUUCCUUUGUAGCUCUUUAGAAAUGCACUCAUUCUUUGCUCUUUGCUUUACUUGAAACUUAACUAUUAGGGAAUACUAGUUCCUUUAUAACUUUUAAGAUUUAAACUCAACUCAUUACUCUUUGCUCAAUUUGUAGCUUGAGCCUUAAAACAAAGUUAAAAUGUUUAUUUUAGACUCACUAAAACUUUAAGAACUUACUUUGAUUUUCUUCUUAAGUUUUAGACUUGACUCUUAACUUCUUUGACUUUGAUAUUAAAUUCCCUUGAAUUGGAUUAUGGAUUCAAGGAUCAUGAUCUCAUGUUUAUGGAUGAUCUCAUGAUGUUUAUAUGUACCUUAGAGUGUUGGAAUAAACUAAGGAAUAUGGGCACAUAACAUAAGAACUAGUACGAAAACAUAGGGGGAAAAUGGGGUCUUCAGGUGGCCUUGGCACUCUGAGAGGUGCGGAGCGCCACAUCCUGAUGGACAGACACUGUCAUCAGGCACUCUUUGUGGCACGGAGCACAGGAGUUUGAUGAACAGAGUUUGUAUGGAGGGGCUCUGGUUAGCGCGGAGCCCCAAGGCCUUUCCGACGGGAUUUCUAACUUUUCUUCUAUGAUUUCCACCUCUAAACCUUCUAAACUUCCAUGGAUAUUUACCAAAGAAAUUAUGAUCACUAAUAUUCUAAAUACCAAAUAAAUUAGACCCAUAAAACAACCUGGAAAUACGAAUCAAAAUAACUAAAGGUAUACUCUAACUCAACCAACAAGAAAAAACAAUUGCUCAUCAAGAACUUCAAGUUCCUCAUUCAAUCUACUCUAAAUACGCUGAACUAAACACGCAUUGGUGUGUCGGUGAAACAACCCAACACAGAAAUAUCUCACAUACCUCAAUAAAAAAACACCGCUGACGAAUUCCACUCAUGAAUCCUUAGUCUUGAAGGAUUUUUUUAUCUUCCUCUUCUCUUUUCUCCCAGGCCCUACGCGUAUUCCAACUUUUAUAUACUGACUUAAGGCUUAGUUUUAGACCUAAUAAACUAUUAAAAUUAAUUAGAAAACAGUAGGGUGAAAAGACUAGUUUGCCCUUACUAAAAUCCAGAUUGGACAUUCCUCAAUCCAACAGCCCAACUUCUGAAAGGCAUAUCUCCCUCAUGCAAUGUCAAAACCUAGAAAGCUUGGCGCCGUUGGAAUGAUCUUCCCAUAGUAUUUCGAACCAUAUUAAUAACUUACCCUAAUUCAUCUUGAGAUAGAAGUUAUGGAUAUUUGAAAAUCACCAAUACUCUAUUUUCAAACUUAGGAAAUAUCCAGAUUUUCCCUUUAUUUUCAAAAGUGAUUAUUUUUUUUUAUUGUUGUCUUAUUCCGAGUUACGAGAUGUUACACAUUAUUAAUUAAACCCCACUCAAUUAAUUAACCAAUUCUAAAAAUUAUUCGAGUCCGAAUUGAAGCCUUAAUUAAAUUUACGUUGAGUCGCUUAUUAGGAGGAAAUUUUCAUUAGGAUUCUUUUACAAGCUUGAUAUCAAAAUUUAUGAUUAAACAUAAAGAAGUGAUACAUCCCAAAUUAAUUCAUGCACUUUUUUAUAUAAUUUAUUAAACAAUUUUGAUUUGUUUUAAAUAUUAAAACUUAAAUAUAUUAUUUUUGAAAAAAGUUAUCUCUUAAGUAACAUCACAAUAUUGAGACGAAGGAAUAAUUAAGAUGAACAUAGUCAGAAUUUUAAGUUUACCGAUAAAUUUUAUUCAGACACUUGAAUUAUAAUAUAUUUUGAUUGAGGACGUGAAUGUAUGAUAACGUACUUCUAUAGAUAUUUUCACUUCAAAUUUUUAGAAACAUUCAUUGGCAGUAGCUUUCCUGUUAUUGCAUUUGUAAUUAGGCGGGUUUAUCAACUGGGUGGGAUUGAAUUAGAAACGGGUGGAUACUGAAUUGAUUUGUAAAUUUGAUUAAUAAGUUAUAUUAUAACAAACAGUUGAGCGCCACGUAUUUUAAAAAUAUUUAAAUAGUUUAAAUUUAAAAUUGUUUAAUAACUGGUCAAUUUUGAACCUAAAGGUGGAUGACAAGGGUAUUUUGGAGCCAAUAGCUGGGUGUGAAGGGUAUUUUGGAGUCAAUGGAUGGAUGAAGGAUAAUUUUGUACCAUUUGUAAUACUUCAAGGGAUUUUAGGCCCUUUUCUGAAUUGUAAAUGAGUAUUAAUGCAUGAUUAUAUGCCACGAAUCAAUUCUUGAUUGUAUGAUUAUUAAGAAUAUACUUGUGAAUGUGAUAUUGGUAGGCUAAUGGAUCAGUAUUCCACGUUCCAACAUAACUAACUGGAAUCGAUUGUCACGUUCCAACAUUAAAAUGACAUCGAAUUGCAACGUUUCGGCAAGCUAACAUGGAUCGGAUACCACGUUUUGGUGCACUAACAAUUUGAUUUUGGAUUCUAUGAGAAGAUAAACUACUUGUGAUAAAAUGUAUAAUGCUAAGAAUGUGUUAAUUAGUAUUGUUAUAUUCUUAUUGCAUGGUUAUUAUGUUGUGAUGACUUUCUUAUGUUACACUAGUGGGAUAGUUGUGUGAUCCUACCAAUAAAGGGUGGUUGUAUAGUGAUUCUGCACUUGCUCUUAUUUUUGUUGAGUACAUGACAUCUAUUGGCGGCUAUUGGCAGACCUCGCUUUAAAGAUCUUUGAUGGUCCUCAAAUCCAAGGAUGAGCUUGCAUCUUCCGAGUUGCUUUGGAUUUUCUUUGAGUCUCUAUCCACAUUUCAGACUUAGACUAGUUCUUAGUAAUAGUUCAUUAGUUAGGAUUAAGACCUUUCUUAUUUAGACAUUUUUCCGUUGCUUGGAUGUUUGGUACAUUGACUUUCAGGUUCUAGGUUAUUUCUUCGGCAUUAUUAGUUAGUUCUUUAGAAUAUUGCUGGAGUUUUAUGAGAACUUCAUUAAUUUUGUUAUUUAACCUACUUCUGUAGUUUAAAUGCUUUAGUUUUGCUUUAGUUUUGGUUCUCUCACCGGAAGGUUUAGUGUGAGUGUCACUCUUAAUGGUUUGGGUCGUGACACUCGAUAGUUUAGGUAUGAAAUUCAAAGAAAAAAGUAUAGUUUAGUUGUGUUUAUAAAUUUUAUCUCUAUAUUUCAACAGUAUUUAAUUUCUUAACUAUUCAUUCUCCUUAUACUUUCUUAUCAUCUAUUUUAGGACUCCUAUUAAGUCCCUUAAAACUUCAUACCAUAUGUUUUAGGACUAUUUAGUUAUAAAUUUUUCUCAAUACUUUGUAUCAUAUAUUUUAGAACUACUGCACUAUUAAUUUUCUUAAAUACUUCUUACUAUAUAGUUUAGGACUACUUAACUAUUACUUUUUCUAAUAUCCUUACCAUAUAAUAUUUCUAUUUCUCUUGCCAUACAUUUUACCACCCCCUUAAUUUCUUAUUUCUGCUAAUACUACUUACCAUAUAUUUUAUGUUAUUUAGUUAUUAAUAGUUCUAAUAUUUCUUGCCAUUUUUUUAAAAAAAAUAAGACAUAAAUUUUUUAUUGUAAAACUAAAGCAAAAUAAGACAAUGAACAUAAAGAUAAAGCAAUAAAAAUAGGGAGACAAAAGAUGAGAGUAUGUCUUAUUCUUCAAUGUAUUCAUCAAAUCUUCAUGUGUAUAUAAUAUAAACUCUUAUGCCUCUAUUUAUAACAUAGAUUCAUACAAAAGGUUAGUUAUAAACAUGACAUUAACAUGAAUAUAAUGGAGGAGGUUAUGAAAGUGAAAGGUUACAAGAAUAAUAGUUAUAAAGUUGGAGGUUAUGGAGGCUAUGGUUAUCUUCAUAAAGGAAGAAAAUAAUGGAGAGAACGGGUGAGAAACUUCUUGGUGUAGUGGACAUCCACAAUAUAAUAUUUUAUAACACUCCCCCUUGGAUGUCCAUAGAUAAGAUUCCCCGUUAAACCAUACUACAAAAAAAACUGUGAUAAAAAUCGUAGUUAAGGUAAAAGAGUACAUAUAUCUUGUAAUACAGUUUGAAUGUUUCCUCGUUAAAAACCGUACCAAAAAAAUCAAAUUGGGAUAAAUGAUGGUUAAGGAAAAGAGUACAACGCACAUUUUUCACCAUCGAUAAAAACUUUACUUGAUAUCUCGAAAACAAUGUAUUCCAAUCUUGUAUCACAACUUCUCAAAUAUUAAUGUUGGCAAUCUUAAUUGAAUAAAUUUACAAGAUUAUCACUUGAAUUUAUCUUUGAAUGUCUAUCUCACCGUUUUGUUGAAGAUCAUGUAUGAAAAAAAAAAUUACAAAUAUACUUUGGCAUAACUCCUUUGACUGUAUCCUCCAUUCAAUUGAGUUAUAUAUCAUUUUCGUAUAUGGUGGCUGGAAUAUCCUUUUGAAGUGAAAACUACAUGUUUCUUGAAUAUGACGGAUCAUGAUUCCAACCAAAAAUACUCUUGACUAACUUAUAAAUCAAUAUUAUUUCUGCAUGAUUCGAAGAAGUGGCUACUAGUGUAAUUCUUUGAUUUUCAUGAUAUUGUUGUGUAUCCAUAAGUAAAUAUUGGUCCAUUUGAGAUCGAGUUUUAUGCAGAUCAAAUAGUUUUUUUGCAUCUACAUAAUCAAAUCAUUUCUGACUCGAGAAUUGGUCAUUUUAAUUGUGUUGAAGCUCGUGUUUUAUUCGGAAAGAAAAUCACACAUCUUCUAUGGGUUGAGUCUCUUACUUUGUUAGUUUCUUGUCAUAACUCGAAUAAAAUUGUGAAAAUCUUUCCACAUAACUUUUGUUAUGCAUAUCAAAUAAUCUUCUAACAUUUGUAUAACCAGGAAUCUGUAAGUGCACCAAUUGCAGUAAUACCUUUUAAAUUCUUCAAAGAUUUUCAUUUAACCUUAAUUUUCAAGUUAGACAUAAUAAGCAUUUUUUGUGCAUAUUCAAGUAUUUCAUCUAUUGUCAGACUGAAAAGUCUUAUUUAAUCCACCACUAGAGAAUAUAUCUUCAUUUAAUAAUGUCAAGAUUUUUGUGAAUAUCAUUUAUGCCUCGAGGCACAAAUCGUACUUUAUAUCUUAUAGUUAUACUUCGCACAAUGAUUUAUUCGUACCCCACUGAUAUAUAUUUUGAUCUAUGAACUAUAUGUUUAUAAACAUCACUUUUUUAAGUGCAACAAAAUAAAUUUGAAUAGUGUAUUUUAUUUUUCUAGUCAUUUAUUUGUCCACACUAUAUGAAUUGUUUAAAUGUAAAAUCCUCGAAAUCAUUUAUAGCGUUGAGUGCUACUUCAUAUCAAAUAUACCAUCAACAAACAUUUUAAUAUCAGUUUCAAUACGACAUAAAUUAUCGAGAUCUCUUCAUUUUCAGGUACCUGAACCUUUGCCAUGUUUUUAUGAAAUGUUUUGUAAGCACUUACCUCAUUCAAUUAUCAUUUUAAUAAUUUGUGUCUCUCCUUCCAUAAGGAGUUUUUCAUUUGGAAUCGAUUGGUCUAUUACGCUUAUGGCGUAUCAUAGACUCUGUCCUUCAAGAACUAUUUAUUGGAGCAUUAACAGCUUAGUUAAAAUAUUGGGUCAGCAAAUACAUCUGACAAAUUACUUGUGACAUUGUUCAAAUGAAUUAUCUCUUGAACUUCAAGUUCACAUUUUCUUUAUCAAGGAUCUAGAUAAUUCACCCCACACAUAUUUUUCAGCUGAUACACAUAUCUCCCCCUAAUGUUAAAAAAUCUAACAUUCACCCUCAACCUCAAUUGGGGAUCCAUCUUUGUGUAUGGAGCAAUAAAAUCAUAUGUGCACACAUCAAAUUUUUAGAUGGAAAUUAUUUGGUUCUUGACCCGGAACCAAUUGUGUUGGGAGAACCUUAGUGGCUUGAUGCAUACAUUUUAAAUUAACUCAUUUCAUACCAAAUUUUAUUUGAGAGAUUUAUUCUCAUAAUCAAUGGUCAAUCUAUAAUUGGAGGCAUACAAUUUCUGCUAAACCAAUAAGCAAAUUAUCAACAUGAAUUCAUAGUUUGGAACUCUGCUCUUAAUGUAAUAACUCGAGCAAACAACCUUACAAAAACCAAUUUAUAAGUUGAUACAAAUUUACAUGUGACCAUACCAUAGAUGCAUCUAUUAAAUCGUAAUAGUAAGCGGUCCACAUGGCAGAUGAACAAGUCCAUAUUCACCUUUUUAAAUGUUCUUAAUAAUUUUAGGGGAUACAAUUCCAACCUAAGACUGUACAAUGAUCACUUUAUCACGAGAACAAGCUACAAAAGAGAACUCUUGAAGAAUCUUUUAUUUCUUCAACAUAUAACCACGUGAAUUCUCAAUUUCUUUUGCAUCACAUUUGAAUCGGAAUGGCCAAUCGAUUAUGCCAAAUGAUAUUUAUUUUAGUAACUUCUAGUUUACUUUUGCAUGUGAUUUAAUCCUCAUGCCCAUGUUGGUAUAUAACAAACAAGAGGGGGGAAAUUGGUUUUCUUUUACAUAAAUAUUUACAACCCACUUUUGUUAUAGUAAUUUGAAUAUAUUAAAUCUACCCAUAAUUUAUAGGCUCAAUAUAAUAUUUUUAUUUUCAAUCCUUCCGAAACAUAAAUUUUUUCUUUUGAGACUCACUUCAACCCCAAUAUUACAAACAAUUUCAUUCAUCCGGAUAGUAAUAAAUUAUCCCUUUCGGAACUCUCAACUAAUUUUGUGUACUAUCACGAAUUUCACAAAACCAUUCUUAUGGUGACCAUCUCCUUCAAGGAGAAAAUUAUUAUUAUUGUCAUGAUCAAAAUUAUCGCAUGCAAGACUUAUUUCUUGACAACCAUGACAAAUUUUUUUGGUCAUCCCACAACCUCUGUAGGAAAGAGUUAUUUCUUUUUUUUGUCCAUCAAUAGUUCAUAACAUAACAUAUCACAAUAUAUGUGUAGUACUUAAAGUAUAUGACUAACUGAUCAUUUAUGUCAAAAUAUUUUUUUCAAUAUCUCAAAUCUCCCGUAGAGGUGAGAUGUGACAUAUAUUCAAUAAUUCAUGACAUGUUCUUAUCCGUAAACACACAAGUCACAUUUUCUUUAAGAAAUGGAUCAUAACGAUUUGAACAUGCUUCAUAAGUUUUUAUUAGAAACAUUUGUCAUACUUUCACAUUUAUCAAAUAUAUGUGACUCACCUCAACACCACUUUAAGAGAUCAAUGUAUCAAAUGUACUAUCGCUUUGUAUUAUUUUAUUUGAUGGAGGAUUAACAAAACGUUUCAAAUUCGGGUUGCACCAACAACAAUGUGCUCAAUAAAUUCUCAUACCACUUUUAUGGAUACAAAUUACCUUCACAUUUGACGGAGUAUCUUAAGAAAAAAUGUAUUCAAUAACCUUUCAUACCACUUUAAUGGAUAAAAUUAUCUUCAUAUUUAAAGGAUCAUCUUAAGAACCCAUAAUGUUCUUCCUUUAAAUUACCACAAUUAUCAUCAUUAGUAUUUUACCACACUCAAAUUCAUACAUUCAACCACUUGUCAUUUUUCAGACAUAUUAUGCACUGCUACCACAUUCACAUUAAAAAAUAGAGAAAACUAAUUGAGUAAAUUUCAAGACUUUCAGUCAAAGUAUAUAAAUAUAUGUUAGUCAUAUCAUAUAAUCAUAGUGUAUUGGGACUUAAUCCAAAUGUCUAACCCAUAUAAAGACGUCUUUGGUCAUAAAUUAAUGGGACUUGAACCCAAAUUCUUAUUAUCGUGGUGUGCGGAGACUUUAACUCGAUGUCUUACCAACUUGGUAUGGUGAAAUAUGAAUUCACCGUCUUACCCUCAACCAAUGUCUUAAUAAAACCAAAUGUAAUAUCAAAAAAAAUAUUGAAUACCAUAAAUAUAAUAUGAUUGGACUUAAAAUUAAAUAAAAUUAAAUAAAACUAAUUAAUUAGAAUAAUAUGUUGGAACCAUAAAAAAAUUUCAAGUAAAAUAAAUUAAAAAAUUUGUACCUCAUAAUAUUGUUAUGAAUAUUCUAAGAAUUUACUAACCAUUUUAAAUAACCACAAAACAAGCUUUUUUAAUAAAAAUAAUAUAUCAGAUAUGAAGUAUACCUUGCAGCAGCCGAAAAAUUACUAGGAUAAUUCAUCAAAAUCAAGAGAUACCUACAGUUGAUGCUUGGCGGAGAAUGAUCAACUCAUGCAUGUUGAUAACAUAUUGUAAAACUAAAGUAAAAUAAGAGAAAGAAUAUAAAAGAUAAAGCAAUAGAAAUAGAAAGACAAAAGAUGAGGGCAUUUCUUAUUCUUCUAAGUAUUCAUCAAAUAUUCAAAUGUAUACAAUAUGAACCCUUACACCUCUAUUUAUAGUGUAUCAUCGAGGCAUACAAAAAGUCAUAAACAUGACAUUAAUAUGAAUAUAAUAGAUGAGGUUAUGAAAGUUAAAUGUUACAAGAAUAAUGGUUAUAAAGUUGAAGGUUAUGGAUGAUAUCGUUAUCUUACUAAUGGAAUAAAGUAAUGGAGAUAAUGGGUGGUUAACUUCUUCUUGUAGUGGACAUCCACAAUAUAAUAUUUUAUAACAUGUCAUAUAUUUUAAUGUUUCUUAGUUAUUAAUUGUUCUAAUAUUUGUUGAUUGAGAAAUUUUUAUAUUCUUCAUAAAAAAAAUAAUAUAAGAAUGUGAAAAACCAACAUCUUUAUGAAAUCGUACUAAAAUUUAGAUUAAAAAAAAAACUACUUACCAUAUAAUUUAUGUUCUUUAGUUAUUAAUAGUUCUAAUAUUUCUUGCCAUGUUUUAUAAAAUUAAGAAUAUAUAUAUAUAUAUAUAUAUAUAUAUAUAUAUACAUAUACAUAUACAUAUACAUAUACAUAUAUAUAUAUAUAUAUAUGUAUAUAUAUAUAUAUAUUUUCUAAGGUUCCUUAGUUAUUAAUUGUUCUAAUAUUUCUUUCCCUAUACAUUGAAGUGCCUUAGUUAUUAAGUGUUCUAAUUUCUCUUAAAAUAGUGUGUGUUGGUGCACUAUCUAUAAGACAUAUAUCAUCAUGCUUUAUUUUGAAGCUAACUAAUGACUGAAAAUUUUUCAUAUUCUUCAUUAAAAUAAAAAAUACAAUAUAAAAAUGUGAAAAUUAAAAUCAAUAACUUUAUGUCAUUUUACUAAAAUGUAGAAAUUAGUACGAAGAAUAAAAUAGUUUCGAACAUAAAGAAAAAAAUAAUUAUUCUUAUAAAUAUAUUCUCACUUAGAUCAUCAGUUCUUCUAUCAAUACUUUCAUAAAAAAUUUCAUCUUUGAAAUGAGUAAUAUUUGGAAGGCUUCAAAGUCAUCAUCUUUAUAUGUAAGAUUUGCCUCAAUAUUAUAAUAUUUAUUUGAGGGAGUUUCUUCAUCCUCAUCAUUCUGAAAAGUCAAGUGUGCCGCCACAUUAUUAUCUUUUCUUUUGAGAGGGACUUUGAUAAAGUUUCACAAAAUGAAAAGGCGUACAACAUUCUCAUGUCCAAUGACUUUUCAUAUCAUAUCGAUGAUAAAUAAAGAUUCUACCAUAAUGUCGAUAAUAUUUCGUCUUAUACCACUUCCUCAUUCACGUCCAGGAUCAGGAUAAUUAUUUUGUCUUGACUCACACUGAUUAUGUGCUGCUACAAUAUUUGCUUCAGCGAAUGGAGCAGAACAAGUAGGACAGACUUCAUGAUUUUCAUUAAGAAAGUAUUGAUCUCCUUAACAACAAGUAUGCAUGUAAUUAAUUCAGAAUAUUUUUAAGAUCUUUUUCAAAGUAUUGUUGUUGUGAUAAUAUAUUUGAACUGUGAAAAGUGAAAUAAGUUUUCUCAAGUAAGUGAUUAUUAGUGAUAGUAUCUCUACAUAAUAUUAAUAUGAAGCUUACUCUAUGAACAACAGAAUUAUAUUCAGUUAAAGUUUUAAAAUCUUGAAAUAGAAGGUUUAUCUAUCCAUAUCAAGCUUUUGGUAACACCGUAAGUUUUAGGUGGUCACGUCGAUCCUUUAAAUUAAUUCAUAAUUCGAGAGGGUCUUUCAUAGUAAUUCAGUAUUUAAUCCCUCGUGAUGAUAAGAUCGGAGAAAAAUCACAAACUUCAUUUUAUCCUGAGUUGAUGCUGCAUUUUCUUGUUUACUAGUAUCACCAAGACUUUCAGUAUCCUGGUGAAUUUCAGCAUCAAAGACGCUAGAAAAAUAUUUUUUUUUUUAUAAUAUCAACUGUCACAAACUCACUGUGUUGAUAAGCUUGACUUGAUGAACACUACAAGAAGAGAGAUGAGAUAGAAAUAAUUAAUUGUCAUGUGAAAAAAUAAUUACUUAUAAAAAAAUCACAAGAAACAUAUAUAAAUUUAAGGUACAUAAACUAGUAAUAUAGAAAUAUACAAAUAAAAAUAGGGAUACAGAGAUACAUAAAUACGUUCAGCAAUAUACAAAUACACAAAUAAAAUUUUUAUUGUAAAGUACAUCAAAAUUAGAUAUAAUAGUAACAAUACAUAAAUGAAAUUUGGAAAAGCAUUGUAAGAUGUUCAACAAAAAUUAUGGUAAAAUUAUUAUUUAAACAUUAUUUAAAUAUAAGGAUAGUUGGAAGAAAAUUGUAUACCUACUAAAAUUAAUGGAACUCGGUAAAUAAUAAUAUAGUUAGAUAUUUUAUGCUGAUAAUAUGUUACGAAAUAUUAAUUAAAUAAAAACGGAGAAAAAGAAGAAUAGAAGAAAGUGAGAAAGUGACGGAAUAUAUAGAGAAUAUAUAGUAAGAAGAAAAAAUGAAGAAAAAUAAUAGCCUUUUUUACGAAAAAUGUAUUUUAAAUAUAAAUUACAUUUGUUUUAUAAUUUGAUUUUUUUAUUUGGUUUCGAAUUUACAAAAAUGAAUAUCGAAAAACAAAAAAAAACCAUAUAUUUAAUUUUUCUUGUUUUUUUCAAGUUGCAAAUAUAACUUUGUUAUGUUUCUAAUUACUGACAUAACCGAUUAACUGGGAAAAAAAUCCAAACAAAAAAGACAAAAUCAAACAAAACAAUAAUUUUUUUUUGCUCGGAUUGGGUUACACUACCAAAUAAAAAAUUGAAAAAUCUAAAUUGAAUAAUAUAAGAUCAAACCAAAAAAUCAAAUACACACCCCUAAUUAAAAGCAAGUGAAAUAGUGUAAUCACUUUUUUUUCAAUUAGGAGCUAAUAAUCCAAACAAAUAGCAAUUAUAUUCAAGAUUGAAAGUAAACACAAAAAAGCUGUCAAUUUUGUUUAUUUUUUAAAACUAUCAAACAAAUAAUUAAGUGUACCCUAGCUAAUAUUUACAAGAAAAAAUAAGACUGACAGGAAUAUGCGGACUUCCCGACUUUUUUACCUGUCAAACCUCGUACUUGUAUUGAAUUUUUUAAAAUUAUACGAAUUUUAAAGAAUCCGGUACAUUUGAAGAAUCUGAAUAAAUAUAUUUUUAUAAUUAUUUGAAAACCUCUAAUAAAGUUUGUUUUAGAAAAAUGUAUUUCAUGUUCUUUAGUUGAAUAGUUAUUUAGAAAAAUAACAAGCCUACUUGCUCGGUACACUUACUUGCUUUAUUUGAAAGUUUUAAAAAUUAAAAAAGUUGACAACUUUAUUAUUUUUAUUAUUAUAAUGAGUAUAUAAUUUCAUUAGAUCUGAAUCAUAAAUUAUUAUACAUUUACACAUAACAUGAAUCUAUAAAACUAUUAAACAUUACUUGUCUAAUUAUACUUGAUCGGAUCUUUAUACAAAUUCUCCUCCCUCCACAUAUUUGGGACAUAUUAACAAUUAUCCAUACUAAAAAGGUGGAAAAUAAGAAAAGGAAAGCUGACAUAAUAUAUAUAACAACCAUAUUGGAAUAACACAUCCUUGAAGAUUCUAUAAAGACCAUGGAUAUCAAUAUAUAUAUUUUAACGCUUCUUAAUCAUUCAUUGUCCUAAGAUUUUUUGUCGUAUACUUUUAAGGCUUCUUAAUUAGUCAUUAAUUGUUCUUAUAUUUUUAGUCAUAUAUUUUAAGGCUCCUUGGAUAUUAAUUGUUUUAAUAUUUCUUGUCAUAUAUUUGUAAUGCCUCUUAAUUAUUAAUUAUUCUUAUAUUUCUUAUUAUAUAUCUUUCUCUUACCAUAUUUUUGUAAGACUCCUAUAUACCAACCAUAUUACAUCAAAUUUGUUGAUCAAUAAAACAAAAUCAUAUUACAUGAAAUAAAUAAUGUUUAAAAGAGAAGGAAAUCUAAUAUUAAAAAAAAAGGCAACUUGUUUAAUAGACCUAAAUGAUAUAGACAUGAAAAAACAACAUGGCAAGAAAAUCUUUGUAUAAAAAAUAAAAAAAUAAAAUUAUAAAGAAGUUACCAAAAAAUUCUCCCUUCAUUUUAAAUUAAUUGAAUUAUUGAUAUAUUUUUCAUUUUUAAAAUUAAUUUAAAUAUUCAAUUUUAUUUACUAUUUUUAAAAUAUUUUUCCAAUUUUAUUCUUUAUUAAUUAGUAUUGAAAUUAGUUAUAAUUAUAAAUUUGACAAUGAUUAAUAAUAAUAACAAUAAAGUUAUAUUUAACAACUUUCCAAGUGGAUAUGAAAACCUCAGGAAAUUCUAGAAGCACAUGUGUAAUGGUGUGGCCCUCUAGUCUCUUUUCCAUCAAGGAAAAAGUGCUCUUGCACAACCCCAAUAAAUAUCACCAAGCAACUAUGUGUAUUUGGAAGUCGAGAUACAAUUUGGUCAUUUCGAUCACAUAUGAGAGGAGACAUCAAUUAGACUAUCUAGCUGGCUAAAGAAAGUUUGAGAUACUAAUCAAUGUGCAGAUUGGAUGUUGCCUCAUGUUUUUUAUGAAUUGUAUUUGUAUUGAAACACAUAUAAGUAUAAGGUAAUGUUAGAACAAACCAAAAAGGCUAGAGACCCACUACUACAAAAAUGAAUCAUGAACUCUCUAUUUUUAGAUUCAUGUUAGCGAUUAUAAAUUCUUGAAACAUUAGCCAUAGAGCUUAUUUUGGUAUAUGUGAAAAGAGGCGGAGCCAGGAUUUUCAAUAAAUGGGUUCAAAAUCUGUAGAAAUAGAUAGCCAAAGGGAGUUCGAUAUCUACUAUAUAUACAGAUAAACUUAUUUUAACCAUGUAUAAAUAAUAUAAUUUUUCAAACCUCCUUCUGUAGCUCCUCCCCUUCAUGUGAUUUCUUCAGUUAGUUCUUCCAUUGUAAUGUUGAAGCAAAUGUUUACUUCUCUUAAACAGUCGCAUCUCUCUAUUUAUCAAUUCAAGUUUUCUUCAAUGUCUCUCAAUUAUAAAAUGUUACAAAUAUUUGAAUUUGUAGGUGUUUUGAUCAUGAUUUGCUUUUAGUCUGGCCUUUGUAUUAGACAUUCAAGAGGUCAUAAUCUUGAAUGCAAUAUGUUAUUAUAUAUAUAUAUAUAUAUAUAUAUAUAUAUAUAUAUAUAUAACAUAUAGUAUUAAAUAAAUAGUAUUAUAUAAUAAUAGUAUUUACUGUGUACUAAUCCUAGUCCUAUUAGGAUUAGUACUCCUUCCUAUAUCUCCUAUAUAUAUCUCCCAUGUAUUCCCUUAUUAGAAUAAUACUUCAAUACAAUCAAUAUUCCUUCAUGGUAUCAAAAGCCAGAAAACCUAGAUCUUCUUUUCUCUAGGUUUUUUUUUCUCUCUUUAGGGCACCGAUCGUUCCCUCUCUUCUCUUGGGCGGCGGCAGCCAUGACAACCGAGGUGGAUCCUCUCGAUUCACUUCCUUCUGGCGUUAAACUUCUUCUCAGGCAUCUUCAUGCCCUGAUUCCCGAAAAAUUAUCAGACAUAAAUUACCCUACAUGGAAAAUCACCGUUCUUACAGCCCUUGAGGCCAAUUACCUUCUCAAAUACGUCGAUGGAAGCACAGAACCGCCGCCGACAGUCAUCACCGCGGAGGACAAAUCAGAAAAAACCUAUCCGGCCCAUGCCGCCUGGAAAGCCGUGGAUGGCCAGAUCCGAUCAUGUUUGAUUGCGGUCAUCUCUCCCACGGUUCAGAAGCACGUCUGAUACUACACAACUGCUUCAGCCCUGUGGACGGCCCUCGCAACACGCUAUGCAUCAAUUUCCCACUCUCAUAUUUUUCAAUUGCGUGAUCGUCUCCACACAAUUACAAAAGGCACGAAAACUAUUGCGGGGUAUUUAGAUGAGGUCUCCACCAUCAUCACAGCCCUCGACACCGUGAACGAAAUCAUUCCCAAAAAGAUCUCGUCAUGUGCGUCGUUCGGGGGCUCCCAUCAGCUUACUCCUCCAUUAAACAGGCGGUUCACAUCAGUCCAACGCCCGUUGACCUGGAUACUCUCUCCUCGUGGCUAAAAAGUGAAGAAAUCAAGAUGGAUCUAGAGAGCAAACUUCUUCUCUGAGAAGCGGCUGUUAUGGAGCCGGCCACCGCCCUCACCGCAAGCCAGAACUAUCGCGGGGGGCGUGGUGGCGGCCGGCAGGGGAGCCGCGGCGGCUACGGCAGAAACAGCGGAGGCCGCGGGCGCGGCGGUCGGCAGGGCAGUCGUCCGCCGUACGACGGUCAGCAGCACUGCAGCAACAACAGCGUGCACUCCUUCGACAGCGGCGGACAGUCAUCUUCUAGCGGUGGGCAGGGCACUUACGAGCGGGAUCGUCCAACUUGUCAAAUCUGUCAGAAAUCAGGACACAACCGCUGUUCGUUGCUGGUUUCGGUAUGAGGAGAGCCAAAAUAGUGAUAACCGUGCCAAUUAUGCAUCUAAAGCCGGCCCUUCCUCUGAAUGGCUGUUGGAUACUGGGGCCAAAAUGCACGUUGCUUCUGAUUUAUCCAAGCUUAACACUCCAAAUCCAUAUCAUGGCUCCAAUGGUAUUACUGUUGGCAACGGUGAGUCCCUUAAUAUUUCUCACACUGGCACGGGCACCAUUACAACCCCCACCGCUAUGUUUCACCUAGGUAAUCUUACCUACGUCCCUUCUAUUAAAACCAAUCUCCUUUCAGUUCACCAAUUCACAAAAGACAAUAAUUGCUCACUCUUGUUCACCUCUAAUUAUUUUCAAAUCCUAGACAAUACUACCAAGAGGGUGAUUUUUCAGGGCCCCUGUGAGCAUGGUCUGUACGUUCUUCCUGUCACAAGUUCGUCUGCCCACCCAGUUUCAGAAAGCGUUCCUGUGGCUCCGGUGGCUCUUUCGGCUGAUGGCCACAGUCUGUUGUGGCACAGUCGUCUGGGUCACCCGUCUACUCAAAUAAUAAAUUCUUUAAUGUCUCAAUUAGGUUUUUCUUCCAUUCAUGUAAACAAUUGUGACUCCUGUUCAAUUGCUAAAUCUCAUAAAUUACCUUUUACUUUAUCUGAGAAGCGUACAACUGCACCUUUUCAACUUAUUAAUUCUGACCUAUGGGGUCCUACUGCUGUUCCUUCAUUUGCUGGUUUUCGCUAUUAUAUUUGUUUUGUGGAUGAUUUUACAAAAUACACUUGGUUGUACCCACUAAAACACAAAUCACAGGCAUACACCACCUUUGUCACUUUUGAAAAAAUGGUCAAAACACAAUUCAAUUCUCAUGUUAAACUUUUUCGAAGUGACAAUGGAAAGGAAAAUGUCAAUAACAUCUUUGGCCAGUUUCUGAAAUCCCUGGGAAUUAUACAUCAAACCUCCUGUCCAUACACUCCCGAACAGAAUGGGGUGGCUGAGCGUGAGCAUCGCCAUCUCAUUGAAAUGGUGGUUACUCUUCUACAUCAAUCUCAUCUCCCUCUGUCCUUUUGGGUAGAAGCUCUAGCCACCGCAAACUACCUCAUUAACAGAAUGCCCAGUCACACUCUGUCCAACAAAUCACCCUAUCAACUCCUUUACCAAGAACUUCCCAAUUAUACCAACCUCCGCGUCUUUGGGUGUCUUGCCUACCCUUGGCUACGCCCUCAUAUUACUCACAAAUUACAACCCCGAUCCCGUCCUUGUAUUUUUUUGGGCUAUCAUCCUACCUCCAAGGGUUAUCGCUGUCUUGACCCAGAAACUCAUAAAGUCUAUAUAUCUCGUCAUGUCAAAUUUGUCGAAAAUGAUUUUCCCUACGAGUCUAUUUCCUCCUCCACAAAUACAUCAUUCAUUGACAUCCUUCCCCUUUUUCAAACAUACUCACAGGGUCCCUCACCACCUUCCCCCACACCUCCACCCACUACCCAACCACCCCUCAUCACCCCUUCGACCGUCACCCACAAUACACCCGCAACCACCACCCACACUCACAACCAACCCGAACCACCCCAUACCCACAACAUCUCCAGCCCGAUCCGUUUUGGGUCCUUCCCGGCCACCCCCGAAUCACCACCGCCCAUGCCACCCCUCAAUAUUCAUCCCAUGUUAACCCGUGGCAAAGCCGAUAUCUUUAAACCCAAAACCUUUCAGGCUACCAUACUACCAAAUACACCCCUUCCCGAUAGUAAACCAACAACCUACUCUGUUGCCUCAAAAAAUGCUUAUUGGCGUCAUGCUAUGAAUGACGAGUUUAAGGCUUUGACUGAUCAGAAAACAUGGGUUCUUGUACCUAAGCCCCAUGGGCGGCACCCAGUAGGCUGUAAAUGGGUGUACAAAAUUAAACACAAUUCAGCUGACAGUAUUUCCAGGUACAAGGCUCGUUUGGUUUCUAAAGGCUACGAUCAGGAGUAUGGGCUUGAUUACUCCGAGACAUUCAGUCCUGUUAUUCGGCAUGAAACCAUUCUCCUGGUACUGUCACUCGCCGUGCGCAACAAUUGGCUCAUCAAUAAGUUGGAUGUUUCCAAUGCUUUUCUUCAUGGCAUGCUUGAUGAAACUAUCUACAUGCCGCAACCACCGGGCUAUGUUGAUCCCCGCUUCCCUCAACAUGUUUGCAAACUCCAGAAGUCUCUGUAUGGGCUCAAGCAAGCCCCCCGUGCUUGGUACACACGUCUGAAAAUGUUCCUCCAGGGACUCGACUUCACGUGUUGCGUACACGACACGAGUCUGUUUACUCGACAUUCAGCACACGGUACAGUCAUUCUUCUUGUCUAUGUAGAUGAUAUCAUUAUUACAGGCUCUACUGCAGCUCUCAUUCAGGAUGUUACUCGAGCUAUGCAUACUACCUUCAAGAUGAAGGACCUUGGCCCAUUACAUUAUUUUCUGGGAAUAGAGGUCUCUCGGACAGGCAGCGGCUUGUUUCUUCAGCAGUCAAAAUAUGCUCGAAAUCUGUUGCAGAAAGCUGGACUGGAAAAAUGUACCGGUCAACCAACACCGAUGGCAGUCUCUUCGUCUACCAAUGGAGCCGACACCCCCUUUGCCGAUAUCACCCACUUCCGCAGCCUUAUUGGGGCUCUACAGUAUCUGUCCAUUACCCGCCCUGACAUCCAGUUUGCUGUCAACCGAGUUGCUCAGCGCAUGCAUCAACCAAGUGAACAUGAUUACCAUUGUCUAAAACGCAUUCUCAGGUACAUUUUUGGCACUCUUGGUCGUGGUUUACUCAUUCGACCCGGGGACUUGGAGCUUCGGGUUUUCUCAGAUUCAGAUUGGGCGAAGAUAAAAAUGACAGAAAAUCUACAUUGGGGUUUCUCGUUUUUUUGGGGCCGAACCUGAUCUCCUGGUGUACAAAAAAACAACCCAGGGUCUCUCGGUCCUCGACUGAAGCUGAAUACCACGCUCUUGCUCUUCUUGCUGCUGAGACCAUGUGGGUCACAUAUAUUCUUCGCGCCACUCACACUGUUCCUGCUCUCUAUUGUGACAACAAAUCAACCAUCUGUGUGGCCAAGAAUUCCGUCCUACACACCAGAAUGAAGCAUGUUGAUACCGAUUGUCUCUUUGUUCGCGAUGAAGUUCAGGCCGGAACCAUGACUGUGCAGUAUGUACCCACUGAAGAACAACCAGCUGAUAUUCUCACCAAGCCUCUCUCGAGCCGACAUCACGAUUACCUCAGUUCCAAGCUUCCGUUCGCUUCCGCUCAGCUCAGCUUGAGGGGGGAUAAUAACAUAUAACAUUAAAUAAAUAGUAUUAAAUAAUAUUAGUAUUUACCUAGUGUACUAAUCCUAGUCCUAUUAGGAUUAGUACUCCUUCCUAUAUCUCCUAUAUAUAUCUCUCAUGUAUUCCCUUAUUAGAAUAAUACUUCAAUACAAUCAAUAUUCUUUCAAUAUAUAUAUAUAUAUAUAUAUAUAUAUAUAUAUAUAUAUAUAUAUAUAUAUAUAUAUAUAUAUAUAUAAACUGGGCAACAACUUAAACUCGAUCAAUUUGUUGUCUUCCAGUUACUUCGACUAAAGCUCAAGCAAGAGUUUUUAAUGACGACUAGUUCUAUUACUACUAAUAGAUGUCUCUCUGUUUUAAAAAUGUAUUAGGUAUUGAAUUUGCCAUUUAUUUUGACAUGUUAUUGGAAAGAAUGCGAGUUCACUCUCUUUGACAGAUUGUUGGCCAUUUCCAAAUAAUUAAGGACACUAUAUGCAUGACUUUAGCACCUCAAGGUUAGGCAACUCAUCUAUGACGUCCAAGUAGGACCAACUUCUAUAUGUUUCUUUAAACCUCAACUUCAUGAGCAUUCUUGGUAAAGCUUUUGUACUUGGACAAGCUCUUUUUAAACUCAAUGUUUCAUGUUGAUACAGAUUGUCAAGAACUAUAUAAUUUCGAUAACAUUCUUUGACUCAUAACUUCUGAACAUUAUGAAUCCCCGAAAUAACCUCCUUGGUGCAACAACUUGGAGACAAAUAAGAAAUAAUUUGUAUAUUUAAAAAGGCAUUGUUAACAGAUACACUUAGGGGAUUUGGCAAAAUAAAUCUGAUCAUUUUCAAAUGCCUUAAUUGCAUUAGUUCCCAAAUCUGUACAGGAAAAGAUAUAAUUAAUCGAUUAUACCCUUUAACAAUGAAUUUUGUAGAUUCCAUAACCUGCAAAUUUCUUGAGAUAUGUCAGAAUUCUCAUUGACAAACAAUAAUAGGUAUCUCAACCAGAUGAGGCUUAGUAUAUGUAGAGAGAAAUCAUCAACCCUUAAUAUGUGACUCAAGUCCAGGAUUUUGAGGAAUUCAUAAAGAAUAAGGUUUGAUUUGAGCAUAAAAGCUGAAACAAAAUGAUCCAGAAAGAAAACAGAAUGAGUUUGUUUCAAAACUCUGUCACACUGAUGAUGUGCAGUGGUGUUUCAUCACCAGUUCAGCACUUAAAGGUCUGCAAUUUACGGCUAUUGAGAAAUUGACGGUAAACUGUUUUCAUGAUGAACAUUUUUCCCUUUGAAUUGCUCUCAAGCACAUGUCAUAUAGAUGGUUACAGCUUUACUCUUCAAUUAACCAUGGGAAAAUUGAAGAGUAUGGACUGGUUCCUUCGUUAUGAUCCCACUUAAAUACUUUUCUCGACUUCGAGUGAGAGCAAAGUUCAAACCAUCAUUAUAAUUUUACUAUUGAUUCCCCAACCCGUAAAAUGAAUAUUACUCAAACAUUAGCAAUAAUUUCAAUUAUGUUUGUGUUAAAAGGUAUUAAUGGAAAAUGAAGAAUUGCAAUUUUUAUGAAGAGUUGUGACUUUGAUGAAAAGUUGUGACUUAUAUGAAAGAUGAUGACCUUUCUGAAAGAUUAUGACUUUUCCAAAGGUUUGUGACCUUUCUGUUAAGACACAAUAAGACCCUUUUUGCACUACCCUUUGUUUUCUAUAAAUUGAAGGAGUUCCUAUCAUUUUAAAAAUAGAACUAGACUUCUUCUACAACUAAUAAGUCUAGUAUUUUAAGUGUACAUUAUUGUCGUUGAGUAGCUCAUUGACGCUAGUGUUUUGGGUAUCAAUACACUGGUGAUUGAGAUCAUUCCAUCCUGAGAGGACAUAUUUCAAAUCAAACCUUAGAUACUAGAGGGAAAUAAUUUUCUUAAGGGGAUACUGUGCAUUCAGUGGGCUUGAUCCUUUCCGUCUUGUCUUUUUCCAAUUUCUGGUAUGUUUUACAGAUUUUAGUUGUUGGGAAUUAAUUUUUGUUCUUAUGUUCUUACUGGCUCAUUAAACUCUGGUUACUUUAUGUUUGGGGACAAUACUCAAUUACCCCCUUAGCCUAUACCCAAAAUCUCUACGACACACCUUAUCUUUGAUGAGGUCCUAUUACCCCCUCCAACUUUUUUUUAAAGUAAUAUAUUACCCCUUGCGUGCCUACGUGGCAAAAAUCGUGAUUUCACCCAUCUAGGGCGCGUGAGCGCGGAGUGAGUGCAGAGUGAGUGCAGCUUUUGGCUAACAAUGGCCAAUAAAAAUGAGCCACGUGUCAAUGCAAUUUGAAAAAAAAAUCAAAAAUAAAUUUUAUUGUUUCUCUCAAAGCAUCUUCUUCCUCUUUUCAAAAAAUAACCCCAUGUUUAUGGUUCUUCAUUUUUGAAGAAGCUCCAUCCAUUAUCAUUCAAGCUCCUUGAUUUGAAAAGGUAAAGUAAAAUUUAAUAUAUUCUUUACAUCUUUUUAUGUCGAUUAUUAAUUCUUAUUUUAUGUCGAUUAUUAAUUCUGAACUUGAUAAUUAUAUUAAACCAAAUGAUAAAAUAAUAAAAGAUCAAUAUUAACAAUUUGAAACAAAACUCAUUAUCUUUAUUCAUAUAGAUUUAUUAAUUAUGGGGCAUAGGGAGUGGGGUGGGACGUGAGAGAGGAGGAGUAUAUUUCAUUAAAGUUACUUUAUCAAAAAUUGAAAACUGGGUCCCGGCGCGUGUUCAACAAACAAAUCGAUCUUGCAGAUUAUUUUUGCCACGUAGGCACGCAAGGGGUAAUAUAUUACUUAAAAAAAAGUUGGAGGGGGUAAUAGGACCUCAUCAAAGAUAAGGUGUGUCGUAGGGAUUUUGGGUAUAGGCUGGGGGGGUAAUUGGGUAUUAUCCCUUAUGUUUGUGCAAAGUUAAUUGAAAUCAAUAAUUUUGUUUUAAACACAGACUUGCGACAAACAUACUCUUCUUUAAGAAAAAUAUUUUGUAUAUUUUUUCUAAUCUUAUUUCUCAUUGUAAUUUCUCUACUAGUUUUAAUUUUCUAGUUGUGAAAGUGUUCUUAAGCUUUGUUGUAUCUUAUCAACAUUUUCAAGUUUUGGUCUAAGUAUCUUAGGAAUAUAAGAUGAACAACAAUUUUAAGAAAAUUAUCAUAUUGUUAAUAUUUCUUGCAUUCUACUGAUUGAGAUAAUAUGAUCGUAGAAGUAGAAGAUAAAUGCAUUACUCUCCGUAAUUUAUUGUUUUCUUGAGCAAGGUCGAAGUGAGAAUGUAAGAGAAAUAUUGGUAGUAUUUCUAUUAAAGAUUAUACCAGAUAACCUUCUUAUUAUUUAUCUAAGGAGGAAUAUAGUUUUUAAAGUUUAAUAAUUCAUGUGCGUCUUUGAAAAAAGUUAUGCAAAUCGUAUGUUUUUUUAAUGAAUUUUCGUUGGUAAAUAGUGUUGUGUUUAAAAAUCACCAAUUUGCAGAAUGAGAUAUGCAUAUUUUGUUUGAUAAAAUAGUAUGUCAAAAAUGUUAUAGUAUGAAGACUAUUUAUAAAUAAAACAUUUCUAUGUGAUAAUCUAAGAAUAUGUUUUAUUCUGUUUGGAGAAAAAAACAUUUGUAUUUUUGUACUCCUUGUGAAUUUGAUUAUGUAUGAUUGUUGUGGACUAAAUUGUUUUGUAGUUUUUCACUAUUAAUAAAUUAGACUAUGCAAUGGAUUUGAAUAAUAUGAAAUCUUCACCUACUUAGUCUGUGUUGUACCUUUGAUUUUCUAUAAAUUUCAUUGUUAUAUGGAAACAAUCUAAAUAAUAAGUGGUAUGUCUAUUUGUGAUAGAGGAAAAAGACCAGUGACUUAGAGUUUAUGAGUUUGUCCCUCUAUUAAAUGAACUUUGACACUAUAUAAAGAUUGUCAAAGAGAAUUGAAACUCUAUAAUUAUUUGGAGAAUAAUAUUUUAAAAAGAGGUUUCAUACUGUCAAUGACAUUUUUAUAGACUGGGAAACUAUGUGGAAAAACUAUUGUCAAAUACUUGAAUAUCUUUUAGAUCACAUUUAAAAUGUGGGGGUUCUUUGAUUAUGAAUAAAGAUAAAAUUAAACUUGGUGUCUAAUUUAAUUUUGGAGAAAAAUAUAUGAAAUUCAGUGAUACUUUUGUAUUAUAUUAGACCCACAAAAUUCUUGGAGUAUAUUUGAUAUUGUUGUUAUUGAGUUUCUCUAUUGCUAGUAUAUGACGUGAAUAAUAUCAAACUACCAAAUUAUAUAUACAUGUUCAAAAUUAUUGUGUUCUGUUAUGAAAAAUGUCACUUAAAAUGUUGUGAUCUUUCAUGAAAAGUUGUCUUUUAUCAUAAAAGUAUUUGCAUAGACACAAAUAUUAGCGAAUAGUCAUUCGUCAUGUUUUGUAAAAGAAAUAUCUGGACUAUAUUGCCUUUAUUGGACUCGAUAAAACUUUGUUUAUGGGUAGUUAUAUAAUAAUCAAACUGAAAGUUAUGGAAAGGUCCUUCUGAAAAGGACAUUUGACAAGGUGAUGACUCUAUACAAUGUUUGUAUUAACAAAAAAUUGUAAGAAAUAGGAACAAUAUUAGUGAGAAAAAGCUACCCCGUGAAGAUUUUUUUGAACUCAAUAUUUUUAUUUGUUCUUACUAGCUUGAGUGAAAGUUUGUGACAUGAACACUUGCGGCAUGUAAAUUACAAAAUCUUGUAAGGAAAAAAUUGAUCAACUUAGAAGUUUGUCUAACUUUGAGUGCAAUAAAUAAAAAUGUUAUGUUUAUGUGGAAUCAAGUAUUCUGAGCAUUGUUAUAAAUAUGUUGAAAGAAAUUUUAAUCUUAUAGAGUUGAUUUACAUGACAUUUGUGAUAUGAAUACAAUGUCAUCUUGUGGUGGAAAAAAUUAUCUCAUAACUUUCAUUGACAAUUGCAUUAGAAAUGACUAUGCCUAUUUGUUGAGCGGUAAGGAUGAAGCAAUAGAAAUAUCUAGACAAUAUAGUAUCAAAGUUGAAAAUCAGUUGAGAAAAAGAUAAGAAGUGAUAAGAAUGGAGAGUAUAAAUUUUCUUGUACAGAAAUAUGUUUGGAAAUUGGAAUUAUCCAUCAAAUUGUUGUCCUAUUCACCUCAAUCUAAUGAAAAACCGAAUGUUGAAAUAAAUGAUGAAUGCAUUAUUUAUAAGUUCGAAUUUACCACAAAACUUGUGUGUAGGAACAAUCCUUACUCCAAAAGGGAACGAUAAAAAGUUAUCUUUUUAAAAAGAAAGCAAUUUUGCUUGUUUAGGACACAAUCUAUUCCAUGUGAUGAAUGAAAAUGAAGGAAAUCCAACUUGAAAUAUUUCAAAGUGUGGGGUGUCUAUCCAAAGUCCAAGUCCUUAUUCCUAAAAUGAUUAAAAUAGGAUCUAAGUCUGUGGACUAUAAACUUAUACUUGCAUAGUCUGCUGAAAGGUGUAAUCAACCUUGGGAAGAAGAACAAGAGGAGAAUGUACUUAAUAAAUAGAUUCUGAGUUGUAGUAAAUGUCAAAGGAUAUCUACUUCCUUAAAAUAUGAUUUUGUAACAUUUUGAUGUGUCUUUUGUAGACUUGCCCUUUUGGACAAAUAGUGUCAAUAGUGAGAUCGGUUCAAUCUUGAGCAGUCCUAUUUGAAGUUGGUUGAUCUUCCUCUAAAAAAUAAACCUUUAGGUUCAAAGUGAAUACUCAAGAGGAAAAUGAAAGUCAAUGGAACUAUUACACUAUAAAGCAAGAUUUUUUGUCAAAGGAGUUAGACAAAAUAAGGUCUUAGUCUUUUCGACACAUACCAAUCUGUAACUCGAAUUACAUUCAUUUGGAUGUUAAUUGUGUUAGCUGUGGUAUAUGACCUUCAAAUUCAUCAAAUGGAUAUAAAACAACUCUCUUAAAAGGAGAAUUGGAGGAAGAAAUUUACAUGGAACAACUCGAGGGUUUUAUGAUUCCUCGUAAAUAAAAAGAAAAUGUACGAACUUGUUAAGUCACAUUAUGGACUAAAACAAGCACCCAAACAAUGACACAAAAAAUUUGAUCAAACCAUGUUGGGAAAUGAACUUAAGAAUGAUGGAAGUGAUAAAAUAUGUUCACAUUAAAUCAUAAGGUCAUUGUUUCUUUGUAUAUUGGUGCUAUGUUGAUCAUAAAUAGGGACACUAAUGACAUAAAUGCUACUAAAAAUAUGCUAGAAAGCAAAUUUGGAAUUAAAAAACUUAGAGUUGCUGAUGCGAUCUUAGGUAUAAGAAUUCUUAAAAAUCCAUAAUGUGUAGCAUUUUCACGGUCUAAUUGCAUUGAAAAGAUACUUGACUAGUUCAUGAACUAACAACUUAGGGUAUCUCUUUAGAUUCGAGCAACUUAAAUUUUAUUAGCUAAUAUGCAGUAUGUUCAUGAACAACAACUUAGGGAAUCUCUUUCAAAUGAGAGCAACCUCUAAUCACGAGUCGUUCAAGGAUAUGAAAAUUAUCUUUUGUACCUUUCUAGUACGUCUGAUCAUUACCUUGAAUUACCAAAAACUUUAAUCGAGUAAAUUUAGAAACAAUUUGAUACCAUUCUUUGACACAACAAGAUAUAUGCAUGAGCUUUAGCACCUCAAGGUUAGGCAACUCAGCUAUGACGUACAAGUGGGACCAACUUCUAUAAGUUUCUUUCAACCUCAACUUCAUGAGCAUUCCUGGUAGAGCUUUUGUACUUGGACAAGAUCUUUUUGAACUCAAUGUUUCAUGUUGUUACAGAUUGUCAAGAAAUCUAUGAUUUCGAUAACAUUCUUUAAUUCCUAACUUCUUAACAUUCUGAAUCCCCGAAAUAACCUCCUUCGUGCAAAAACUUGGAGACAAAUAAGAAAUAAUUUGUAUAUUUAAAAAUGCAUCGUCAAUAGAUACACUUAGGAGAUUUGGAAAAAUAAAUCUGGCCAUGUUAAAAUGCCUUAAUUGAAUUAGUUCCCAUAUUUGCAGGAAAAGAUGUAAUUGAUCGAUGAUAACCUUCAAAAAUGAAUUUGUGUAGAUUCCAUAACCUGCAAAUUUCUUGAAACGUGUCAAAAUUCUCAUUGACAAACAAUGAUAGGAAGCUCAACCAGAUGAGGCGUAGUAUAUGUAGAGGGAAAAUAUCAACCCUUCGGAUUUUGAAGAAUUUAUAAAGAAUAAAGUUUGAUUUGAGAAUAAAAGCAUAAAUAAAAUGAUCCAAAAAGAAAACAAAACGAGUACGUUUCAUAACUCUGUCAACUGAUGAUGUGCAGGGGUAAGAAGGACCCUUUAACGACCAUAAUGAGAGUCAUAAAUUUCAUCACCAGUUCAGCACUUAAAGGUCUGCAAUUUAAGACUAUUGAGAAAUUGACGGUAAACUGUUUUCAUGAUAAGCACUUAUUCCCUUUGAAAUUCUCACAUAUCAGAUCAUGAACCUUACAUGAUAUGAUUUUUAUUUCAUCCAUACUUUUCUUGUUGAUGAGAACAAGAUGUUGAUAACGAUAGAUGGUUUCAUCUUUACUAUUUUAUACCUCUAUUUUCUCCAAAUCUGUCUUGCAGUUGGGCUUGCAACGUGAACACCAUGGAAACUUAAUAUACACAAAAUCCCAAACACUUGAAAUUUGAUAACAUGCUCUCAGAAACAUUAUCUGCUAUAAACAACGCCUAAAAAUCUUGCUUUUUGUUGACAACUAAUGUUCGGUAGGAACAUUUUCAUUUAUUCUUUUGUUGGAACAUCUUGCAGCGAGCCACUGUUUACAAUUGCUUCUUUCGACCACCUUCACAUAGUUGAGAUUUUUCUUCUUCUCCUUGAUCUUUUUAAGAACAGACAGUCAAAUUAAAUGUGCUCCAUUAUUUCUUUCUGGUACAUCCCCACAUAGUUGGUGUUUAUCAUCAUGGCAGAUCCCCAUUUUAUAGAGCCUCGCUUUGGUAAGUAAUCUUCCAUGAAGGGUUAACCAACAAAUAAACUGUGCUUAGGAAGAAUUCACUUACACCAAAUCGACCUGCUCCACGUCCACUCUUCUAGCUUGCCUCUUCUCCAUGUAUAUCCGCCUGCUAUUGUGUACUUGACCUCAGGUUUAAGAGAUCCUGUUUGGUUGUAUUCUGGUUCAAAAUUAUAUCUUAUAUGAAAAGUCUUUUUCCAACACCAACAACAAUCAUGUGGAAUAGCAAAGUGUCAGUCUGUCCCCUUUAUGUAGACAUCAUCCACGUAACGCACACAUAGAUUAUAAGAUUUUUGAACUAUGUUCCACACAUAUUUUUCUACCGUAUCCUGGUUCCAUAUCACACAUUCAGUAAUUUCCAGUCCUCCUUCUUUUUGGUCUUUAAUGGACUUGCUACAACUUCUCCAGUAAACACCUACAAAGUUGGCAGGAGAAAACUAAGGCCAGUAAUGAGUACUGGAGCUGGAAAAUUAGUUGGAGAAAACUAAUGCCAUGAGAGAAGGCCAAUUUGGUAAUAAGUAGGUUCUCACAGGUGGUUUAGUUGAUUUAGAAGUAUGGGAAGCAAGUGAUGUAUUUCCUGGUACUAAGUCAGCCAGAUUCGCGGGAUUUAUUGAACUACUAUCUUUUAGCAAAUAUUUAUUCACCAUAGUAAAAUUAUCGUUAAGACUACUAUCUUUUAGCAACUAUUUAUUUUGAUUUAUUGACUAAAACAAAAAGGACAAUGACUAGCCGAUAUAAAUUACCUUUAGUAGCCAACAUAAAAUAUACUUCACAUCUUCAAGACCUAUAAAGGUCGUGGAGGGCAUUGCGGCCAUUCAGGUUUCUCUCAUCAACCUACGUUCAUAUUUAUCAUAGUACUCUUAUUUAAUAUUUUCUUAAAGUUAAAAUUGGAAUCAAUGAACGUAAAGUAUUUUUUAGGCUAAUUGAUUUCAAGUGUAAAAUAGAAAGAAUAGAGUCAUUUAUGCAUUGAUUUUGUGAAUUGACGAGUAUUAAAGGACAUUUAUUUUUAAUAAAGAAAACAUUUUUUGUAGGAAUGAAGGGAGUGUUUUUCUAUUCUUUUUUACCAUAUAUUUCAAAACUAGUUAAUUUCUUGACUAUUAAAUCUCCUAACUUUAUCAUUCAUUUUAGGACUCCUUAAUUAUUAGUUUUUUAAAACUUACCAUAUUGUUUUAGGACUAUCUAAUUAUUAGUCCCUCUGUCAAUUUUUCUGUCACGUUUCACUUUUGAAAGUAAGUUUAACUAAUGGGAUAAUGCACAAAUCCCCCCUCAACUUCUGUCCGAAAUUUCAGAAAUACACUUAUACUAUACUAAUGUCCUAUUACCCCUCUGAACUUAUUUUAUUAAUAAUUUUCUACCGCUUUUCGAACUACUGAUACGCUCAAACUUACUUCUCAAAUAAGAAGUAAAGCGGUCGUGUCAAGUAAAUAACCCAACUAGUGAGGUUGGGAUCAUUUCUACGAGGAAAAUAGUUUAGACUUAACUUUAACCUAUGAUUACUAUUGUUCGGUCAAUUACUUCCUUGGAAAGCAAAAACAAUAAAAGGGGGGUUUCUAUUUCUAAAUGAAUGAAAAUAACUAACGAAAUUGAAAGAGACACUUAACAGCUUCGAAUGUUGAAGUUUAAUCAAUUAAUCAAAGUAACUAGGGUUCACGUGUUCCCCACAGGUUCAUAACUCGAUAAUUCUAACUAUAACAAUUCUGUCCUAGUAUCUUGCAUGCAAAGUGAUAAGUUAUGUAUUUCUAAAUCCUUAGCCCGGCAUCUAGAAAAUAUCACUCCGCACCUUGGUCCGGCUACGUGUGUUGCUAUCCUAACCCUUAUCUUUACCUCAUAUUAAGUAUCGUAUUCGAUAUUUGACUAAGUUAUUACCUCGUACCAAUCAAUACUAGCCUAUUAGAUAUUAUACACUAAAUCUAUGUUGAUAAUUCUUUUCCUAUUAUCUACGUCCUUUGUCCGGCAAGUAGCAUUAAGGCGAGUUCUAAUGUUGGCCAUCCGUUAAAAAGACUUCUAAGCGAAAGAAUUAUUAAUACAUGCAAGACACUAUUCUAGAAUUGUUAUUUUAGUUAGGUUUUACCUCAUUAUUUGCCUAUGGUUACCACAACCCUAGUUAUGGAGUUUAGUUACCCAUAGUCAUAAUCACAAUAUUCAAAUAUAUUAUAUAAGAAUUCAUGUACUUCAAUGAGAAAGAGUAAAAUCCGAAAGUUUACUUGAUUAAUCAACAAAAAUCACCAACAAUCACUAAUAAUAUAGAGUCUCGCAAUACGGUGUCUAACAAUACGGUGUCUAACCUCAAAAAUGAGAUUUUUCAAACUAUUUAUAGAAAAUAAAAACCUAAUUAAACAAGGAAUAUGUCUGCUGGAAAUCUGUCAAAAUGCGGCUGGGUCGACGGACCUCGCGACGGAUCGUCGUGGUCACGACGGACCGGCAUAGACUCCGUGGUCCCAUACUUGUGCAAUUUUUCUGCUGCUCUCUUCCUUACCCUCAGCGGCAAGUAUGACGGAUCGUCACGGACACGACGGUCUGUCGAGGGUCUUCGUUCCAAAACACUUACACUCUUGGAAUAUGGGUACUGGGAUUACUUCUCUGAACUUCAUGGCGAACCUGCAGGGCGGACCGUCAUGGACUCCGUAACCCCACACUUUGUCAGACUUCCCCAUCUUCCUUCAGCAGCUGCACUACGCUGCUACCUACGGACCGUCACAAGCAUGACGGACCGUCACAAGCUCCGUAGGUGGUCUCUUCUACAUUUCUUCGCUCAAUGCAAAUAAAGAGAAACUUAUAUAAAAAUUAGCACAAAAAGGCUUUUGGACACACUAAACUUAAGGAAAAAGAAUUAAUAAUACUGUAAAACCAUGGUAUAUGAACACCCUCAACUUAAAUUCGUUGUUUGUCCUCAAGCGACGCAAUAUGACUCAAUACAAAAUCUUUGUACAAUAGUAUCCAUGUUUUAUCCUUUGCAAUCAUUUGGCUAUCAAUCCCGAUUAAUCUCAUCAUAUUUAUGCAUGCUAUCACUAUUAGGCUUGAAUUAUGUGGGAUCAGAGCAUGACACAAACUCACCAUGCACUAACACCUAUUCUCUUCAGUUUAUCACCGAGGUGCUAAUAUUUCCGGUAUUGCAACUAGUAUCCUCACUUUCAAGCAAAAUCCUCAUUUUUCACACAAUGAUUUCAGUUUGAGUAUAAGAAUUACUUUUCAACACUCGCUCUCAGAACAAAUUCACGCUCAUUCAUACAUAUUGUCAUAAGCUUGCCUUUAUUUCACUGCCUUAAGUUUGCUAUACAACCUUUAAGAUCACGAUAGGACUUUCUUAGCUUGUAGCAUAGGCUCAGGGUCAGGUAGGGUAUAUUUAGGUACACUUUAGUGACUUUUUUCCCUCUUUCACAUAUUGGCUAAACAUACCAUUUUCUAUCAUUUUAUCUCGCCCAGUUUCUCAUAUUCUUUCACCUUGCCAUUUUCUCUUCUUUCUUCGUUUGUGUAAGUGACUCUAUCCUUUUCUUGCUUGUAUUUCUUGUAUAUUUUUAUUUUUCUUUACUUUUCUUUCAACUAAUUCUUGAGUCAGUUUACUUUUGUUCUUUCUCUCUCUUUGUUCUUUCAACCCCACUUUCCAGAGCAUUCCUCAUAAUAGUCACCCUCAACUCAUGGCUUUGCCAUGAGUCAAAGUACACAAUACCCAAAGUUGGGUCAGGGCCAUAACGAAUGUUGUUUACUGCAUUAGCCACCCUCAACUUAUGCUUUUGGCAUAAGCUGAGGUGCACAUGUCCAAGGAGGGUCUAGGGCCAACACAUUAUUCCCAAAAAAGAUUAGUUGGGGUGAAAAAGAAAGGUCUAAUUUAAGCUCAGAUUAUUUGGAUCAAACAAGGAUAAAUUUCAUUUGGUUUUCUUUUAUUUAGGCUAAAAAUGGGCUAUGUUGAAUAAGGGCCUAUGAUCCUUUCCUAAUUGUCUAUUACAGCUUACUUUUAGCAGGACUAACCAGACAAGUUCUAGCUUAGUACAAAUAGUGGAUUAUUCAAAUUCUCCUCACACUCACUUGACAUCUCAUCACUCUACCAGAUUAUCAGACACCUAGUUCGAAUUUUAGACUUAGGGUAAUGCAGUUGUAUACCUUUAUGUCAUGCUUAGAGCCACACACUUAUCAAUUUCUAUGCCUAGUCAUGCAUCAUUUUCCAUUUUAUCAGGAUAUCAUUUUAGCCAUCAUGCUCCAGAAUUAAACUAUGUACACAAGAUAUAGACAUGCCGGUUCAACAGAAAAAGUAAUCAGUCUUUUGGAGAAAAAGAACACAGGCAAGAAAAUCCCAAAAGAGAAUAGUGAAUUGGGCUACUCAGACUUCACCCUAGCACUCACUUUCCAUUUACCCCACCCCCAACAAAAAAACAUGCAAUUGUUCCCAAUGCAAAAAAAAAUUAAAUACUAGAGUGGUAGGUGAAGCAAACCUGUGUCGCAAAGCGCCGACGAUCAGCAAGCUGGUGUGUCCGGUUCCCCAGGACCCAGUUCCUCUGUAAUUUGGACACCCUCAGUUGUGUCCUCAGCAACAACAGAACUAUCAGCAGUACCUCCCGCUAUCUCCACAGUUCGGGUGCUAAAUGCCCCAGCCACUAACUCUCUUACUCUCAUCCGGUGAGGCUCUCCUCGCAACCUCCAUCUCACGGUGCUCCUUUUUCCAUGCUCGCGCCUCGUCCUCUGCUCGACCCCUACGCCUCUUGGCAUGCUCUCGAGGGGGAUGUGGUGGAAUUUCUGAGGUGGCGAAUAGGGCCACCAACACAGUGUCUUCAGCAGGCUCGACAGAAGGGGCCUCAAACUCAGGCACCCUUGCCUCUAAGAUCGUGUCAAUGUCUGUGCGAAGACUGUCGACUGCAGCCUGAAGAGUCGAUACAUCCACCGGAGGGGCUGGCCGGUCUAGCACCCGCAAUUCAAAAGCGUCCAAGCGGUGAUGAACCUGAGCGAUCUUCCGCUUGUAUGCUUGACCAUUUUUCGCUCCAAGCGCUCUUCUGCCUCGAUAAUAGACCUCUGCAUCCACUUUUGGAUAUAAUGCAAAAGUGUAGCCAUUUGCGCCUCUAAUUUUUGGACCCUAGCAAGCGGGACCAGCGCGGGUAGAGGGGCUGUGCGAGAGGAGCUCGGGGCAGUGCUACUACCCGGGAUAGACUCGAUCGGGGUAGUGUCAGUGGACGCUGCCUGCGUAGCCGUGCGGGUUCAGUUUGAGUAUAAGGAUUACUUUUCAACACUCUCUCUCAUAAACAAAGUCACACUCAUUCAUACCUAUUGCCAUAAGCUUGCCUUUAUUUUCACUGCCUUAAGUUCGCUAUACAACCCUUAGGAUCACGAUAGGACUUUUUUAGCUAGUAACAUAGGCUCAGGGUCAGGUAAGGUAUAUUUAGGUAUACUUUAGUGACUUUUUGCCCUCCUUGACAAAUCGGCUAAACCUUCCACUUUCUAUCAUUGUAUCUCACCCAGUUUCUCAUAUUCUUUCACCUUGCUAUUUUCUCUUCUUUCUUCAUUUGUGUAAGUGACUCUCUUUUUUUCUUACUUGUAUUUCUUGUGUAUUUUUCUUUUUCUUUACUUUUCUUUUCAACUAAUUCUUGAGUCACUUUACUUUUUUCUUUCUCUCCUUUUGUUCUUUCAACCCCAUUUUCCAGAGCAUUCCUCAUAAUAGCCACCCUCAACUCAUGGUUUUGCCAUGAGUCAUGGUACACAAUACGCAAAAUUGGGUCGGGGCCAAAAUGAAGGUUGUUUACUGCAUUAGCCACCCUCAACUUAUGCUUUUGGCAUAAGCUGAGGUGCACAUGUCCAAGGAGGGACCAGGGCCAACACAUUGUUCCCAGAAAAGAUCAGUUGGGGUGAAAAAGAAAGGUCUAAUUUUAAGCCCAGAUUAUUUUGAUCAAAGAAGGAUAAAUUUUAUUUGGUUUCUUUUAUUUAGGCUAGAAAUGGGCUAUAUUGAAUAAGGGCCUAUGAUCCUUUCCUAACUGUCAAUUACAACUUACUUUUAGCAGGACUAACCAGGCAAGUUCUAGCUCAGUACCAUUAGUGGACUUAUUCGAAUUUUCCUCACACUCACUUGACAUCUCAUCACUAUACCAGAUUAUCAGACACCUAGUUCGAAUUUAAGACUUAGGGUAAUGCAAUGGUGUAACUCUAUGUCAUGCUUAGAGCCACACAGUUAUCAGUUACUAUGCCUAGUCAUGCAUCAUUUUUCAGUUUAUCGGGAUAUCAUUUUAGCCAUCAUGCUCCAGAAUUAAACUAUGUACAAAAUAUAUAAACAUGCCGGUUCAACAGAAAAAGUAAUCAGUCUUUUGGGGAAAAAGAACACAGGCAAGAAAACCCCAAAAGUGGAUAGUGAAUUGGGCUACUCAGACUUAACCCUAACACUCACUAUCCAUUUACCCCACCCCAACAAAAAAGCAUGCAAUUGUCCCCAAUGCAUAAAAAUGUAAAUACAAGAGUGGUAGGUAAAGCAAACCUGUGGCGCAAAGCGCCGUCGAUUAGCAAGAUGGUGGGUCCGGUUCCCCGGAACCCACAUCCUCUGCAUUCUGGACACCCUCAGUGGUGUCCUCAGCAACAACCGCACCAUCAGUAGUGCCUCCUGCUAUCUCCACAGUGCGUGAGCUAGACGCCCCAACCGCUAACUCAGAUGCUCGCAUUAGGUGCGCCUCCUCCUCAGCAACGGAGGCUCUCCUCGCAGCCUCUAUCUCUCGGCGCUCCUUCUUCCGUGCUCGCGCCUCUUCCCCUACUCGACCCCUAAACCUCUAGGCAAUCUCUCGAGGGGGAGGUGGUGGAAUGUCAUAAGUAGAAAAAAGGGCCGCCAACACGGUGUCCUCAACAGGCUCGAAAGAAGGGGCCUCAGACUUCGGCACCCUAGUCUCUAAGAUCGUGUCGAUGUCUGCACGAAGACUGUCGACUGCAGCCUGAAGAGUCGACACAUCCAUCGGAGGGGCUGGUCGGGCUAGCACUCUCAACUCAAAGGAAUCCAGGAGCUGGUUAACCUCGGCGACCUUCCUCUCUGAAAACUGCACCAUUUUCCUCUCUAGGCGCUCUUCGGACUCAGUAAUCGACUUCUGCAUCCACGGCUAGAUAUGACGCAGAAGAGUGGCCAUUUGUGCCUCUAGUUUAUGGAGCCUUGCAAGCGGGACCAGUGCCGAUAGAGGGGCUGUGCGAGGGGAGCUCGGGGUUGUGCUACUACCCGGGAUAGACUCGAUCGGGGUAGUGUCAGUGGACGCCUAUGUAGCUGUGCGGGCCUGUGCUACCAUAUCAGCAAGAUCAUCAGCAAGUGGGGGAAGCUCUUGACGGGGCGCUCUGUGUGGAGCCAAAUCAUUGGCCUCGUCUCUGAUGAGGCCGACGUCAACAGUGCCCUACAGGUUCUUAAGCUGAUCUACGUGCCAUAUGGGCACACCUGCGGACCUUCAAAGGGCAAAGAUCAUGCACGGGAAAGGGUAGGUAGUAGUGACCUUGAAUGCCCUCUCGUGCAUGACUACCUGGAGAAGCCAUGUGAAGUCCACCUCAAAUCCGGCUAUCAUCGCCGCCAUCAACACUGCUCGAUCCUAGGUAACGAUAUUAUCAGCAAUUAUGGGGGAAAGGCAGUAACGGACAAGCAGCCACAAGAACUUUGCUGUGAAAGUGAGGUUGGCCUUCUUGAUGGCCCCCUUCGGCUCAGUCACCCAAUAGGCACCCUCUCCAUCUACUGACAGGUGCAGGGCCAUCCACCUCUUGGAGGUGUCUCCAAGUGAUGGCUCGCGCAAGAACAGGCCAUCCUUAACUAUCUGCCAGCGAUAGUAAAACUCGGCAGUGAGGGGGGUCUGAGUAGCAUCAACACUCUCGCCGUAUAGAAACCGGUGGAUGGCUGGCAGGGAAAUGUCAACUUGUACGCCCCAGACUCGGACCUGCUCCAGUGGGGCCUUGUUUAGCGGGGGAAGCCCGCCUAUCGAUCUGUGAUCGGAGAGUCGCUACGUAGGAUGCGUAGAACUCUCGGAUCAUUUCUUCAUUGUAUCGUCCCAACGGAAGUGCUGUCCACUCCAAGCGAUGCCUGGUGAAGAGGUUGUGGAUCUCACACAUCAUCGGGAGACUCCCUGUAAGUACCUGCCGCUCCAAAGUGAGUGUUCGAGUCAUCACUCCUUUAUCAGUCAGGAACUUGGCGUCGGAGUAGACUUGAAACUGUCCGUCGACACAUCACCGGUUGGGCUGGUCAGUGGCUGAGGUGGGGACCUGAGUUGGUGAGCCUGAUGUAGAGUCUGAACUGUCAGCCUCAUCGGACGAGGCCGACACUGCAGCGGUGGCGGGUUCGGGAACCUCAACAGAGCCAAAGGCUUCCUCUGACCAUGAUACUAGGAGCCAGACGCUCCUUCCUCAUUUGUGGCUGACCCAGAGGUGUGCCGGUCAGUGUACACUCCUCAUCAGACUUGGAGGCAGUGACUACGCCGGACGCCACCUGUUUGUGUGUGACUCUGGGAGCACGUGCAACACGGGAAGGUGUGGAAAUGCCUGGGGGCACAUACUCGGGGUCACACUCAUCAUCAGAGCCGAUGAUCAUGCGGGCAGAUGGGGCGACAGACUUUGAUCGCCCGCGUGCGUAGAUUCGUUCUUGCUUGGGUGCCAUAGUAGAUAGUACCUGCAAAUGAUCAAUAUUAGUACGAGUAGUGGCAAACAAGACAAGCGAGACCAUACGAAAUAAAACAUUGAAAAUAGUAUGUCAUUGCUGUAGAAACAGUGACACACGACAGGCCUGGUGACGGCUCGUUGUGACUAUGACGGACCGUCGUAGCAUCCAUCGUGUUUUACUUGGACUAUGUAUAUAGAGAGAACCCUGUAGGAGAGUCUCUAACUAGCACGAAGGUAUGUGCGGGACGGACCAUCACAGGUAUAACAGUCUGUCGUAGAUGUCUGUUGUAGGACACUUGGGAAAAAAUAUGGAGACCCUUAGGAGAGGGGUCUCUGACCGUCAUGACGGUCGUGCAGGACGGCCCGUCGUAGAUACAACGGUCCAUUGCAUGUGUCCGUUGAAGGACACUUAGAAAAAAUGAGAGACCUUUAGCAACAGGCUCUCUGACAACUAGAACGGUUGUACAGGACGGACUGUCGUGAAGACGACGAUCCGUCACAUGUGUCCGUUGGGGAACACUUUGGAAAAAAUGAGAGACCCUUAGAAACAAGGUCUCUGACAACCUAGGGCUUUUUGCAACGGACCCUACGACGGUCCGUCGUGAGUACGACGGUCCGUCAUCGGGGUCUCGUUCUGAGUGACAGUGACUGAACUAAGGGUACCCUAAGCAUCCCCGAUGAACCCACAUCAACCUUAUAGUGUUUUGGACCUACAUGUGUCUAACCCAACUACCUAGGAAACUAGCAAUGCAAAAGCACCUAUUUCUAGGGUGGUAAACAUGGCAAUUUCGAACAUUUCUAACCUAGGUUAGACAAAAUCGUAUAAAGUAAACAAAAUACGAUGAGGAACUAAGCUUAAUACUAACUAGUAAACAAAAAUGCAAGAUAAAUGAGUAUAAAUUAGAGACACAUACCUUAGAAAUGGAGAAAAACAAAUGCACAAGUACUCGGUGGCAAGGUAGACACUCACAGCAGCAGUUUCCAAUAUUAGAUAACACUUUAGGGCUAUGGAGAAUUGUGAGAGGGAAAUGAUCGGUGGUUGAUAGAGGAAUAGAUUGUGGAAGUCGAGAAGGAAAGAGUAAUGGGAGAAAUAAUGAAGUAAUGGGGGUGAAAUGAGGGGUUGGGGAGUUUAUACGGUCUAAUUUUGAAAAAGGGUCCAGCCGGGUCAGGUCGGGUAUACCUCAUUAAUCACGCGACGGUUCCCCGACGAUGGUCCAUCGCAGUUGUGACAACCCGUCAUUUGUUCCGUCGUGUGUGCCCUAGUUUCAAAAUAACAGAAAAAUGUACCUCGUACGACAGAUGCAUACGACGGUCCGUCGCAGGCACAACGGUCCGUCGAUGUGUCCGUCAGUGACUGCUGCAGAGUAAUUUUCUGCAGAAUUUCCUGGUGAUGUGCCUGCAAAUUUAAAAACUCAUUAGUAGAAAAUUGCUACCAUUACUAAAAAGACUAUAAGUAUUGGGUUGCCUCCCAACAAGCGCCUGAUUUAAUGUCGCGGCACGACUAGGGACCCUUGAUUACUCAGACUUCAUCAAGAUGGUAUGCCUCUAUCACUUUAUUCCCUGAUGCUUUAUGCCCAAAAUAGAGUUUUAUUCUAUCUCUAUUCCUCUUAAACCGCACUCCCUCCUUGGCUUUUAACUCAACUUCUCCAUGAGGGAAUACUUGGUUAAUCAAGUAAGGGCCAGUCCAUUUGGACUUGAGCUUGCCCGGAAGACAAGGCACCCCAGAACUGUCUACAAGCACCAAAUCCCCAACCAUAAACUCUUGUUUUGCAUUUUUCUGUUGAGUCUCCUUCUUCAUCUUUUCUUUGUGGGAUAUGGCAGAUACCGAUUGGAGCUCACCACUCUGCCUCAUGGUCCUACAAAUGUUGAAGGUCGCUUCUUCAUUAUUCAACCGAAAUAUCAUCUGGCCCUUCUCCAUAUCAACUAAUGCUCUACCUGUAGCAAGGAAUGGUCUCCCAAGAAUAAUACGCACUUCAAAAUCGACCUCUCAAUCAAGAAUAACAAAAUCAGCUGGAAAGAUGAAUGACUCCACUUUUACUAGCACAUCAUGGAGUAUUCCUAUAGGCUGUUUCACUGUCCGAUCAGCAAUCAGUAGCCGCAUCGCAGUGGGUUUUGGAUACCCCAAACCCAACUUCUUGUAAAUUGAAAGGGUCAUGAAAUUUAUGCUUGCCCCCAGAUCACAUAAUGCUUUCGUAAAAUGUAAUGAACCAACUGUACAAGGAAUAGUGAAGCACCAGGAUCUUCUUUCUUUUGUACGAGGGAUCUUGUAGCAAUAGCACUACAAUGUUGCAGUCUAUCAUCAUCCUCGAAAGUGAUCGAUCUUUUCUUGGUGACUAGAUCUUUUAUAAAUUUGGAAUAACCGGGCAUUUGUUUUAGAGCUUCUACCAAAGGGACAUUGAUAGAAAGUUGUUUCAACAUUGUUAUGAAACGCUGGUAUUUACCAUCCUCGGUCUUUUUCACUAAUCUCUGAGUGAAAGGUGGUGGUGGCCUAGGCAUGGGAAUUACCUUGAUAGGUAUUUCUGCAUCUUUUCCAUUACUUUCGUCUGCUUCACCAGUACCCUUUACCACAUUAUCAUUAUCCUUUCUCACAUUUUCCUCAGUAGAUGGCUUAGGUGGGUCAAUGGUUUGCCUACAACUCCGAGUAGUGGUUGCCAUACAGUGCGCAUUAUUCUUUGGAUUUUGGACAGUGUUGCUAGGAAGAGUGCCCGGUUGCCGUGUGUUCACUGUCGCAGAUAAUUAGGGCACUUGCAAUUCGAUCUGUUUAAUCGAAAUUGCAUGUGUAUCAACUUUUUUCCCAAUACUAGCUAAAUCACACCUCAACUCUUUAAUGUGUUCAUCACUAAUGUCGAACCUCCUCAUCAUUUUGUGCAACAUAUCCACAACUCGCGCCAUACUAUCUCCACCUUCCCUAGGAGUAACUUCACGAUUUUGAAGAGGGACAUAGGGCCCAUUCUUGUCGUUACUAUUAGCAUAGUUACCCCUGUUAAAGUUGUUGUCGCGGUUGUAGUUUCCAUCUCGUACAUACUGACCUUCAUGGUUGUAGUUACCAUAGUUCCGAUCUUGGUUCCCUUGACCUUGGCACUUGGUCAGAAACCCCCCGUCUGCUCAUUUACUGCAUAAGUGUCCUCCGCAUAAUAGCACUCAUCAUUAGGAGGUGGUGGUUUAGCCAAGUAGUUGACUGCAUUUAUCUUUUCUGCACCCCCUAUGACAUGUUUUGGUACCAACCCAAGCUCAGUUCUCAUCUGAGCCAUUUAUUCCCGAAUCUCAUUUGUGGCUGGGUUGUGAUUGGACUGUACUGCGAAAGUGUUUCUCCUUGUAUUUGACUUCCUAGUACUCCAAGCUUUGUUAUUCCGGGAGAUUUUCUCUAAUUUUUCAGCGAUCUCAGCAUAAGGGCAUUCUCCAUAAGAUCCACCUGCUAUAGUGUCCAACACCUCUUUAUUGUUAUCAUCCUGUCCCCGAUAGAAGUAUUCCUUCAGUGACUCAUCAUCUAUACGGUGAUUUGGAACACUUCUCAAGAAUGAGGUGAAUCUAUCCCAAGAACUACUAACUGACUCUCCUGGUAGUGCCACAAAGUUAUUCACUCUGUCUUUGUGGUUUAGUUUUUUGGAGACUGGAUAGUAGCGUGCUAAGAAGACAUCUCUUAGUUUGUUUCAAGUGACUAUUGAAUUGUAUGGGCGCUCAGUGAACUACAUAGCAGCCUCUCCCGUCAGUGAGAGAGGAAACACUCUGAUCCCUAUUACCUCUAGAUCCAAAUCAGCCCUCCCCACACAACUUUUACACACUGCCCUUACCUUAGCUAUAUGGGCGUGUGGAUCCUCAGAAGGUAUCCCUGAAAACAAACCUCUGGCAGUUAGGAUUUGCAUCAGGCUACUAGUUGCCACAAAGGUGUCGCCUGUGGGUAGAGGGGGCAAGACAAGUGGCCCAUCCGAGUCCGCUAUGUUAUCAUACCCUCUGUAGUAUGCUUGGGGCCGUGGAAUGGGAUUUUGUCCCCUCUGUUGAUUUUCACCCGGAGCAUCGGGUAACAUCUGACCAUGAACAUCAACCGGAGCUAGGAUGUUCAGGUUCGGAUCUUUAUCAUUUAUUCCCAAGUUUUGAUUCAUAUUGCGCAGUGUACGCUCUAACUUGUGAUCGUAGGUAAACAAGGGUUCUCUUUCUCUCCGUGUAUUUGGCAUACAAAGAGGAUAGUUCUGAAAAUAAAUCAAAAACAAUAAAACAAAGUAAAAUCAAGAAAAUAUCAACUAAACAAUAGUAAUAAGUUCAAGUUAAUCUAAAAGCUCUAAUCCCCGGCAGCGGCGCCAAAAUUUGAUACGCUCAAACUUACUUCUCAAAUAAGAAGUAAAGCAGUCGCGUCAAGUAAAUAACCCAACUAGUGAGGUUAGGAUCGUUCCCACGAGGAAAAUAGUCUAGACUUUACUUCAACCUGUUAUUACUAUUGUUUUUUCAAUGACUUUGUUGGAAAGUAAAAAACAAUAAAUGGGGGUUUCUAUUUCUAAAUGAGUGAAAAUAAAUAACAAAGUUAAAAGAGACACUUAACAGCUUUGAUAGUUGGAUUUAAAUCAAUUAAUCAAAGUAACUAGGGUUUACGUGUUCCCCACAGGUUCAUAACUUGACAAUUCUAAUUAUAACAAUUCUUUCCUAGUAUCUUGCAUGCAAAGUGAUAAGUUAUUUAUUUCUAAAUCCUUGGUCCGGCAUCUAGAAAAUCUCACUCCGCACCUUGGUCCGGCUACGUGUGUUGCUAUCCGAACCCUUAUCCUUACCUCAUAUUAAGCAUCGUAUUCGAUAUUUGACUAAGUUAUUUCCUCAUACCAAUCAUUACUAGCCUAUUAGAUAGUAUACACUAAAUCAAUGUUAAUAAUUUUUUUCCUAUUAUCUAGCUCUUUGGUCCGGCAAAUAGCAUUAAGGCGAGUUCUAACGUUGGCCAUCCGUUAAAAGGACUUCUAAGCGAAAGAAUUAUUAAUACAUGCAAGAGACUAUUCUAGAAUUGUUAUUUUAGUUAGGGUUUAUCUCAUUAUUUGCCCAUGGUUCCCACAACCCUAGUUAUGGAGUUUAGUUAAUCAAAGCCAUAAACACAAUAUUCAAAUAUAGUAGAUAAGACUUCAUGUACUCACUUCAAUGAGAAAUAGUAAAAUCCAAAAGUUUGCUUGAUUAAUCUCCAAAAAUCACUUGCAAGAAUCUCAAAGUAAUCAAUAAUCUCACAAAAAGUCUAUUGAUUAUCAAGAAUCUCACAAUACAAUGUUUACCAAUACGGAGUUUAACAAUGUAAGAGUCUAAUUAUAUGGUGUCUAACAAUACGGAGUCUAACAAUACGGAGUCUAACCUCAAAAAUGAGGUUUUUCGAACUAUUUAUAAAAAACCAAAAUCCUAAUUAAACAAGGAUUUUAAUUGCUGGAAAUCUGCCAAAACGCGGCUGGGUCAACGGACCGUCGUGGUCACGACGGACCGUCAUGGACUCCGUCAUCCCAUACUUGUGUAAUUUCUUCUGCUGCUCUUUUCAUUCCCCUCGACGGCAAGUAUGACGGACCGUUAUAGGAACAACGGUCCGUCGAGGGUCUUCGUUCCAAAACACUUCAACUCUUGAAAUCUGGUACUGGGAUCACUUCUCUGAACUUCACGACGGACCUGCAGGACGGACCGUCAUAGCCACGACGGACCGUCACAAGCUUCGUAAUCCCACACUCUGUCAGACUUCCCCAUCUUUCUUCAGGAGCUGCAAUACGCUGCCACCUACGGACCGUCACAAGCACGACAGACCGUCAUAAGCUCCGUAGGUGGUCUCUUCUGCAUUUCUUCGCUCAAAAUCUCCGCAUUCAGCUUUGGACAGAUUUCCUGCAAAACAAAGAGAAAUUAUAUAAAAAUUAGCACAAAAAGGCUUUUGGACACACUAAACUUAAGGAAGAAGUAUUAAUAAUACCGUGAAACCACGGUAUAUCAUCCGUCUUUCUGAGGAUGAAAAGCAGUGCUAAAAUUCACCUUAGAACCCAAACCUUUCUGGAAAGAUUUCCAAAGUUGUGCGGUAAAUUGUGCACCUCUAUCUGAAAUAUUGGAGAUAGGAACUCCAUGAAGUCUUACCACUUAUUGAAGGUACAUCUUAGCAUAAUCCUCGAUUGAAUAUGUAGUAUUUACUCACAAGAAAUGGGCUGACUUUUUCAUUCUGUCGACAAUCACCCAAAUAGAAUCAUGUUUCCUUUGCAAUCUUGGCAAGCCUGUAAUGAAGUCCAUAUUAAUCAACUCCUACUUCCAUUCCAGAAUUUCUAUAUUCAGAGCUAAACCUCUAGGCUUUUGGUGUUCCAUUUCACUUGCUGACAAUUUGAACAAUCUUUAUUCAUGCCAUCCCACCAAUAUACUUGUCUCAAAUCACGGUACAUUUUGGUGGCACCAUAUGAUAAAUACAACAUUUUCUCUUAGAGUCCAUCCACCUUAGGUACACAUAAUCUUCCUUGGUAUAUAAACACACCAUCUCCCCCUUGUUCAAUGUCCAAUACUCUUUGGCUAUGGACACUUGCAUUUAAAUCAAGCGAAAUAGGGUGUUGGUCUUGCUUCUCUUUCACCUUUGACAACAAGGAUGAUUCAGCCCCAUUGGUCACCAUUAUGCCUCCUUCUGUGGAAUCCAUAUGUCUGAAUACCAGUCGUGCAAGUUUGUGCACAUCUUUUGCUAACUCCCUCUUUCUUUCUUCGACAUCAGAAUUAUUUCCCAUGGAUAACUUGCUUAAGGCAUCAGCAACCACAUUAGCCUUAGUUAGAGGUAAAGAAUACUCAUUCAUAAUCCUUGAGUAAUUCCAACCAACUUCUUUGGCUAUGGUUGAUCUCUUUCUGAGUGAACACAUAUUGGAGGCUCUUGUGAUCAGUUAAUGUAUCCGCAUGAACUCCAUUAAAAUAGUGAAGUCAUAUCUUCAACGCAAACACUACUGCAUCCAAUUCUAAUUCAUGAGUUGGAUAAUUCUUCUCAUGAAAUUUCAACUAUAUAGACGCAUAACUAAUAAACUUACCAGUAUUGCGCCAACUCUUGAUGCGUCACAAUACACCACAAAUCCGUGAGUACCCUCUAGUAAGGUCAAAACUAGAGCGGUAAUCAAUCUCUUUUUCAACUCUCGAAAUCUUUUCUCACACGCUUCGGACCAUUGAAACUUGACCGUGUUCAGAGUUAAGUUGGUCAAAGGAGACCAGAUAGAUGAGAAUCCUUCAAUAAAUCUCCGUUAAUAACCAGCCAAACCAAAAUAACUUCUUAUAUCUGUUGGAGAUGUGGUCUAAGCUAACUCUGAAGUGUCUCAAUCUUCUAAGUGUCAACUCUAAUGCCUUUACCAGAAACCAUGUGGCCUUAGACUACCACAUACUUAAGCCAAAACUCACACUUGGAGAAAUUGGCGUACCAAUUCUUUGUCUCUCAAUGUUUGAAGAACAAUUCUUAGGUGACUAGCAUGAUCUUCUUCAUUCCUUGAAUAAAUCAGUAUGUCAUCAAUGAAGACAAUGACAAACAGAUCUAAAUAAGGUUUGAUGACUCUAGUCAUAAGAUUAUGAACGUUGCAGGUGCAUUUUUUAAGCCAAAGUACAUAACCAAAUAUUCGUAAUGCCCAUACCUUGUUCUAAAAGUUGUCGUGGGAAUAUCACAUUCUCUUACUCUCAACUGAUGAUAGCCUGAUUUGAGGUCGAUCUUGGAGAAACAAGAAGCACCCUAAAGAUGAUCAAAAAGGUCAUCUAUCCUUGGAAGAAGAUAUUUAUUCUUGAUAGUCACCAUAUUCAGCUGACGGGAAUCUAUCACAUCCUAAGGGACCCAUCCGUAUGAAAACAUACGAGACCGGAGCAUCCCAAGGUGAGAUACUCGAUCAAACAAGCCUUUAUCUAAUAGGUCUUUCAAUUUCUCUUUUAUGUCUUUUAACUCUGCUGGUGCCACUCAGUAUGGCGAAAUAGAGAUAGGAAAAGUAUAUGUAAUGACGUCUAUGUCAAAGUUUAUCUCUCUUUCGGGAGGGACUCCGAGGAGAUCAUCAGGAAUGAAUUCUGAAAACUCACUGACUAUAUAAACUAACUGAAAUGAAGGUACCUCAACACUUGAGUCAUUAACUCUAAAAAGUGAUAGAUAUACCCCUUAGAACUAAAUUCCUCGCCUUAAGGUACGAAAUGAAGUGAACCUUAGGCACUGUUGAACUAGUAGCCCACUUUAUGAAUAGAUCAUUAUGAAUCUGAAACUUGAAAACUUGAGUUCUGCAAUCUAUUGAUGCAUAACAUGCAUGGAGAAUGACAUCAAAAUCUAUCAUGUCUAACUUUAUUAAAUCAGUCAUGGUACUAUUGUGACUAACGAAAACAUGACAAUCACGAUAGACUCUUUCUGCUAGAAUGGGUUCACGAAAAAGUGCGGAUACACUAAAUGGUUCUCUAAGUUUCUCAGGAGAAAGAUCAAAGUUCAUACCACAUAAGGAGUUACAAAAGAUAAACUAGCUCAUGGGUCUAAUAAUGUAUAAGAGUAAAGUCAAAGAAUCGAAUCAUACCAGUGACAACAUCUGGAAAAUUCUAUAAUUCAUGGAAAUUAUUAAGAGCAUAAAAGUGGUUUGUACCUCUUCCAGUAGCAUAAAAAUCUAUCCUAUGUGCAGCCCUGAUUUGUGGAGCAACUGAUGAAGUUUUAUAUCUAUUGCCCGGAUUUCCACCGCCUUAAUUGUCCUUGGGGUACUCUCUCAUAAAGUUAUCCUCUUGACCAUACUUGAAAGAACGUGUGAAGACUUCGCGACAGAUGCUUGAGUGAUUCCUACCAACUUGGCACAGGCAGGAGGCUUAGUACCUUUUUGUGACACACUACCUUGAGAUUGAGCUAGCCUACCCUUGAAGUGCUACAAAUUCUGGCCACUAUACUCACUUCGAUUUCUAUGUGCAGCUGCACUAGCAAAUGAUGGUGCAUGCCCUUUUUAUUUAUGGAAUUGUGAUCCGCUUGAACCAGCUUUCUGUUGGCCAGACUCGUUUCCAGUCUUGGCUUUCUUUUUUCGAUACUCUUUUCUAUCCUUCACCUUUUCUUCUUCAAUUUAUUUGACAUAUACCAUCAUCAUAGAUAUGUCCAUGUAACCUGAAAACAUGGAAGCCCUACGUUCCUUACUUGAAGCGCAACCCAACCCUGCAACAAACAUACUCAUUCUAUUCCUCAUGUUUUCCACCAUAUCCAGAGUAUAAUGAGAUAGUUUGGUUAACUUCAUCCCAUACUCUUGUACAUUCAUGGAGUCCUGUUUCAGAGUAAGGAACUCCCGCACUUUGGAUUCCUUCAGUUCGCGAGGAAAGAACCUCCCCAAGAAGGUUUCUGCGAAGCAAGCCGUACUUGGAUGUGGUGCAUACUAACCUCUACAACCCUUCCAUUGAUCAAACAAGGUUCUAGACACACCCUUUAGUUGAUACUCUGCCAAUUUAACCCUCUCAACAUCCACCACAUGCAUUAAUUCAAACACCUUCUUUAAUUUCUCUACAAAGUUAUUCAGAUCCUCUGUAAGGAUUGAUUUAGAAAAACUAGGAGGGUUCAUUAUAAAAAAACUCACGAACUCUUGAGGUAUAAACUACUCCUUGUCGAGUUGCUCUUUUUUGCACAACCUACUUUGUCACAACCUGUAGCAUCUGGAUAGCUUCCACAAAGUCAACAUUGGUAACCUCUCCUUGGGGUUGCACCUCUAGUGUAUUUGGAACAUCUUGUUCCUCAACUUUUCUUCGUGGUCGACCUCAAAAUGCUCUUCUUGGAGGCAUGAUGAUCUUAAAUAUACGUGUAAGCAUGAAUUAGAGAGAGAGACUUUAGGGAUGAACUCUUGAUACGAAAAGAACAUGAAAGAAGGGAAGUAUUCCUAAAUAAUGUAGCCUCCUAAUCAUAGAUGCAGGACACUUCACACUAAUGAUUAAGACUCUACAGACACGACUUCAUAGAGUCCCUAGGACUCUUGAUCCCUAGGGAUCUGAUACUAUGUUUGUCACGCCCCGAGCCUACACCCUGGGCGGGACUGACACUUGAAGACCAUUGUUGGCCCUCAAGCGAACCCUUGGUCAGGCUUACUUAAUUAAGCAGAAGACUAAACUCAACAUAAACAAUAAAUAAUACAUGUUUAAAGGAAAUUACAUUUUAUAAUAUCUGGUCGUGACGGUACUGAAGUCUCAAUAAGCAACAAUAAACUGUAAAUUGAAAUACUAGUAUCUAUUAAGCCUCUAAACUAACUGAAGAAGGAUGUUGGGACAGACCUCAAAACAUCCUAAAACUAACCUACUAAAACCAAAAGAAAUGGAUAGCCUUUAGAAUACAAAAUGGCUCAUCAUAUACUCUGGAGCUCAAUCUGGAUCAACGAAACAUCGCGUGUUGAUUCUAGUUACCUGCAUCUAUAUCAUAAAACAAUACAUGCCAACUAGCAUCAGUACAUUGAAUGUACAAGUAUGCGAGUUGGAAAUAUAAACAAUACUUAGAAUUGAAAGAGAGUAAGAAUGAAUAGUAACAUUAACUCUGCUCAACUCAUGAUGUACUAACUCUUAGUUGAUAUACGGAGUUAAAAUAAAUACAAUACAAAGAAAUGCUGACUAAAAACAGGCUUAAACCUCAGAGUAUAUAUAUAUAUAUAUAUAAGUACACAAUAAUGUCCGAGACGUAUAUAAAAUACAAUACUACUGUGUAUAAAAUAACCAAUGUAUAUAAAAAUACAUUUACCUAUGGGAGAUUCUCUAACCUAUAACCAUCACUUAAGAGCUACAAUGAUGAUACAUCGGUCUACCGCUAUACCCGGCCAAAGGUAUAAGACCAGAACUUCCUAAUGGAUCCAUUAGUAAAAUGUGAAAAAGAGUCAUCUAAAAAGUAGGAACCUUUUCUACCCAUGGUGGCUACAUGGUUUAUAAAGGUUGUGAGUUAUCGGUGCUCAAUACUACUUCCAAAAAUAUAAUGGCUCUUAUGUUUGAUAAAAACACUAAUUCUGUGGUUUGAGAUUUGUGCGAAAAACUUAAUUUCUAAAACGCUCUCUUAGAAAUCAUAGUUUCCUCUUCCUUCUAUUAAAACUAGCCAUAGGAUCUAUAGAAGUCUAGCUUCCUUCCUUCUCAAAAUAUCGUAAACAUUUUUGUUUAAACUCUUAGGGAUUAAUUACUUCCCUUAUAACUCUUGAGAAAUGAACUUAACUUGAUACACUUUGCUUACUUGAAACUUAACUCUUAUGAAAUACUAAGAUCCCUUAUAGCUUUUGAGAAAUGAACUCAACUCUUUACUCUUUCUUGACUUGAGAUUUAAGUCUUUAAAACAAAGUGAAAAAUGUUUGUGAAAGAUUUCAUAAAACUUGAAACUUUACUUUGACUUGCUUCUUAAAUUCUAGACUUGGCUCAUAACUUUCUUGACUUUGAUCUUAAAUUUCCUUAAAUUGGAUUAUGGAUUCAAGGAUCAUGAUGUCAUGUUGAUGGAUGAUUCCAUGAUGCUUAUGUGUACUUUAGAGUGUUGGAAUCAAGUAGGAAUGAAGGGUACAUCAGUUAGGAACUAGUACGAAAAGAUAGGGAAAGAACGGGGUCUCCAGGGGUCCAACCGCUCUGAGAGGAACAGAGCACCAUAAACGAACGGACAGAGGCUGUCUCAGGCGCUCUGAGAGGCGUGAUGCGACAAAGCUUGAUGGAAAGACUCUCUUAGAGAGGCUUUGGAGGCGCCGCGCCUUAGCAUCUACCCAACGGAUUUUUUGACAUUCUUCUUCGUUUUUAAUCUCUACACGUUCCCAAACUCCCAUGAAUUAGACACCAAACUCUUAGGAUCUCUAAAUAACACAUUAACCAAUUGUUUAGACCCAAAAACAUAGAUUAAAACAAUCAGAGGUCAGCAACAAUUCUACCAACCAGAACUUCAAACUUUUUAUCAAGAACUUUAAGAUUUUCAUAUAAUUUAACUCUAAAUUUCUGUAAUGAAUCAAAUUGAAGGGAGUGUGAAAGAAGCCAACACCAAAUAAUCUCACAUACUUUGUUAGGGAUCACCCUCGAUGAAAUUCACGAACGAAUUCUUGGCAUUCUUGCGUCUUCUUCUCCCAUCUCCUCUUUUCUCCAUUCUCUCAAAUCCCUAGCUUAUCUUCUAAAUGUGAAAACAGAUUGGGAUCAUCUUAGACCCCAAUUUAGAACCCCUAAAACAAAAAUAAUAAUUAAUUUAGGAAACGACCAAAACACCCUUAAAAAUCCGGAUUUGGAACUUUCCCUGCUCAACAAACCAACUUCCGAAAGUAAUAUCUCCCUCAUAUGACCUUGGAAAUUCAAAAACUUGACGUCAUUAGAAAGAUUUUCAGACGAGGUUUCCAUCCAUUUAAAUAACUCACCCAAACUCCUCUUGAGCUGGAAGUUAUGGCCGUUGGAAAAUGACCAAAACUUUUUUAAAUAUGGAAAUUUUCCAGAUUUCCUUACUUAUUUCUAAUUUUGAUUAUUCUUGUUCUUCUUAGAUUAACUUUAGUUCAUUCUAGAAUACAAGAUCUUAACAAUUAUCAUUAUUACUAUUAUUACGUUAAUUAAUUUUUUAGGUUAAUCUUAGAUAUUUUAUACUAUAUUAAAUAGUUUUAUUUGUUAAAUUAUUCAAUGAGGAAAUCUCUUUGUCGGCUUUGGAGGUCUUCCCAAUGUUAAAAGACAGAAAUUUAGUUUAAGUUUUUAUUUUCCUUGUUAAAAAUGAUCGAUGAAGAAAUUAUCGUCGAUUUUCAAGGUCUUUCAUGUUAAUAAGACAAAUUUUAUUUUUAAGUUAGUAUUUGAUUUAUUCAUAUUUAUUCAUAACUUAAACAUUUACUAAGUGUGUUUACAAGUACACAGAGUUGCUUCUCAUUGAAGCUAUUCGAAUAAAGUUUGAAUAAUAUACUCGGUUAAUUAUUGUAAUUAUUGACGAUAGGUUAAUUAGGCCGAUUCAUGUAUUAUUGUUAUAUCAUAUUACUUGUGUAUAUUGCAUGUCUAUAAUACUUGUGUAUUAUUGUUAUCUUCUCAUCAAUUUGAAAAAAAGAAUUCAAUCGGACCCAGACUUGUUGAUUCUGAAAGAUUUCUAAUACCUUUCCUUCGGAAUAACUUGAACCCCUUAUCUAUAAGCUAUGGUUUCGUAGACACAUUUUUCUAUUUUCCAAUUGAUUUCUUUGUUUUCCUAAAAUUAGGUGGUGGCUCUCUUUUAUCCCUUAACUCAUUAUAAAAUUGAAUUACUAUUUUUUGGUGAGUUACCAUGACGUUGCUCCCUCUGAAUGGGAUGUCAAAAAGUUGGUCUAUAUCCCCCAAAAUUAUCUUCCACAUCUAAAUUUUGGAUGAGUUAUUUUUCACGACAUUUUUCAUUUCAUUCUUCUUUAGGUUUCUAUUUCAAGAGGACAUUUAAAGGAUUCCAUAAAGGCAAUAUAUAAAGAUUUGUUUCUUUUCUUAAGAUCAAUUAAUCUUUCAAAAGAAUGUUGUGAGAUAACUAAUGUAAUAUUCUAGAAUAAGAGUUUGUCUAUCAUCAUUUACACAUUAGUGAUUUUGUUAUAAUACUCAUUGUGCUUCUUCCCUUACCACAACUUUCUAGCUCUUUGUGCCCAUUCAGAAUUCGUUUCUAUACCUUGGUGAUAAAUCUUUUUAUUUUCCUAUCUCAUUGAUAUUUUAAGUUAUGUCAUUUUCUUCCUACACCUCCCUUUUUUCUCCCCCUAUUUUUGAUCCCUACAUUUUCUCCUAUUUGGUCUUGUGAAUUUCCCUUGAAUGUCCCCCCCCCCCACCCUGCGUAUUGCUUAUAUUUAUAUUUAAUUGAUUUGGUAACUUUUAUUCUUCUUUCUCUCCUACCUUCAUAUUUCUCAUUUCAAUUGCUUGUAUUUUAUUACUUAGAUUUUUCAUCUUGUUGUAUUCUUCAUUAAUGAUUUCUCUUAAUUGUGAUAUUCUUUCCCUUUGUUCCUUUUUGUUGGUAUCACUACUAAAAACUGUAAAAAUAAAGAACGGCCAAAAGAGACAGACUCCAUCCUUGUUUUUUAACAAAAUCGAUGGAAAAGCAACGGAGUCAUGUCUGUCGCUUUUUUGGGUCGAUCCUUUUCAAAAAGCGACGAAUAGUGUUGCGUUCGUCGCUUUUUGAUUAUUUUUAGGAUUUUUUAAAAAUGAAGCGACAGUGUCCGUGCCUUUUUUUAAUUUUUAUUUUUUAAAAGUUCCACAAUGUGACGUAGUCCGUAACUUCUCUAGAAAUUUUAUUUUUUUAAAUCCCAAAAUUUCCAAGAAUUAAAAGACCUUGACCGUCGCUUUUCUGGAAAUUAUUUUUUUGAAAAUCUAGAAAAAGGGACAGAUUAAACCAUAGUGUUCGUUGCUUUUUAUUGCAAUUUAUUUACAGCAGCCACCUGCGAAUUCAACUCAAUACGAUUCAGCCCAAUCAAACACACAAUAUUGUAAACAAGCUACACAAAACAUAAAACAACAAACUUAAAUUAACAUUCAAAAGUAUCCAAAUAAAAUUUUAAAGACUUAUAAAUUCUUCUAAAAUUCGUUAAAAAAGUUUAAAAAUUAAAAAAGAGACCUAAACUAGGAAGUGGGAUCUAUAUAAUCAUUCUUAUCACUAUCAUCACCGGUAUCCUCAUGAGUUGAAGUAGUAGGUGAAUGAGCGAGGUUCAUCACUUGUUCUUUGAUUUUCUCAAUGGUACAACUCAUGAUUUAUUGUUCAACUACACUUCGCAUGUAUGACUUUCUCAGUGCCACUAAGUUUUUCUAUUUGAGUCAACAUAGCAACAAUCUGAACAGCGUCAAGUGCCUCACCUUGACCUGACGACAAUACCUUCUAAGUCUAACUGGAGUCGUCUUACAUCAUUUUGAGAUCCUAGACUAUAUCAACUAUCGUUGUGUGCCCCCCCCCCCACCAUUACCACCACUUUUUCUUUCCAAAUUUGUACGGAUAGUUCAAAUACCAUUUUGACCGAACUAUCUAGAUUCUCAAUGAUGUACUAAUUAAACUCAUUCUGCAUAUGAAAUAUAAAAAUUGAAAUAUAUAUAUAUAUAUAUAUAUAUAUAUAUAUAUAUAUAUAUAUAAAAUAAUUAACAAAACUCCAUUCGGCCCUUUUCUCCACCCAUAUAAUCGGCUCCAGCUUAUUUUCUUUCUUUCUGACAUAAGUCUCUUUAAAAACCUCUGGUCCAAUAAGUUUGCACCCCAAAUCUUUUUGCUGUAAAUAAAAAUUUAAAUUUAUAACGAUAUAUAUUAAUAAAGUAACUAUUUAUUUAAAAUUUUGAAUUAGAACUUACCAUCUCUCUUGCAAUUGUUCUAACGGUCUUGGCACCUCCGGUGUGCAAAGAGCCACCCUUAAGACUGUCUUUAGCCUUUUUGGCUUGCUCUAACAUUGUCUUGAACUUAUUUGUAUUCCAAUACAUACAAUUCAUCAAAAACAUGAGGAAAUAUCCAAUUCAGACGUUGAUCAAUAUCCCAAAUUUUAUUUAGCCUCUAUACAAUCUGACAGCUGUCCUCCUCUCGAAUGUGAUCGAGAUGACCGAAAUGUACCUCGACUUCCAAGUGCACAUAGUUUCUUGUUUAUAUUUUUUGGGAUUGUGCAAGUGCAAUUUUUCCUAGAUGGAAAAGAGACUGGUGGGCCCACGCCAUUAUACAUGUACUUCUAGAAUUUCUGGAGGUUUUAAUUUCUGCCUCGAAAAAAGUUGUUAAAUAUUUUCCUAAUUUCAUAUUAAUUGAAUUGUUGAGUUAUUUAUCUAAUACAUAAAUUAAUUUAAUAUGAUUAAUCAUUUUCAUAUUUUAUAAUUAAAUAAAUAAUUUCAAUACUAAUUAAUAAAUAAAAAAAUUGAAAAAAACAUUUUAAAAGUAGUUUAGAAAAUUUAAUAAUUAAAUUAAUUUAAAAAAUAAAAAAAUAUAUCAAUAAUUCAUUUAAUUUAAUAUGAAGGGAGAAUAUUUUUGGUAACUUCAUUAUAAUUCUACCUUUUUAGUUUUUCAUGUAAAAGAUUUUCUUGCCAUGUUGUUUUGUCAUGUAUACAUCAUUUAGCUCUAUUAAAUAAGUUGUCUUUUUUUUUAUAUCUACAUUAUAUUUUUUCUCUUUUAAACUUUUAUUUAUUUUAUUUAAUAAGAGUUUGUUUAAUUGAUCAACACAUUUGAUGUAAUAUGGUUGGUAUAUACGAGUCUGUAAAAAAUAUUGUAAGAGAAAGAUAUAUAAUAAGAAAUAUUAGAAUAAUGAAUAAUAAAGUGGCAUUAAAAAUAUAUGGCAAGAAAUAUUAGAACAACUAGUAACCAAGGAGCCUUAAAAUGGAGAAAACUUAUCCACACCGAGUGUUUAUACCAAGCUAAUAAGAGUAAGAACAAUAGGAGUUUGAGAAAAUAUGAGAAGUGAUUUUUUUGUUCUGCCCUUUUUGCUUUGUAUUUAUAGUCUUUAUACAUGUUAAUGAGUAAUAUGAGAAUCCUUAUCUACUAUGUAUUAUAAAGGAAGAGUAAUCCAAUUGUUACAAUGAAUAACUUAUAAUAAUCAAAUUCUAGGUUAUGAUGGACUCUAAUAGCCCCCUGCAAGAUCAUGUUCUGGAGCGAACCAUGAGCUUGGAUCAAUGAUUGAGGAAUCGACUUGUGCCAACAACUUAGGUAAAGAUAUCUGCAAUCUGAUUUUGAGAUGAAACAUAACGAACCACAAAAUAUUAAUCUUCAACCAUCUCUCGAAUAAUGUGAUAAUCAAGACAAAUAUGCUUUGAUUGUUGAUGAACAACAAGAUUCCGAGUUAAAAAUUGUGCACUAAGUAUAUCACAAAGGAAUAUGGGAGGUGAAGUGAGAGUUGUUAGGAUCGAAUUCACGCACACACACUAAACGAAUGAAGAACACAAGAACUUUCAAGACAAAGAGAUGAGAGAUCUAGAGAGAGAAAGAGAAAACCCAAUAUUUCGUGGUAACACACCGAGAGUAAACUUCCACGGCGGUGAGGUAUAUAUAUAUUAAAAAAUCAGAGUAUUUUUGGUUACACAGAAUAAAUAGGAAAACCUAAAAUAGAGAAUAAAUAGGAAAACCUAAAAUAGAGAAUAAAUAGGAAAACCUAAAAUUCAUCAGGCUCCACUACCUAACAAUUCUCCCACUUGGAGACUGACUCAGUCAUCAAAAAAUACAUUCUCAAAAAAAUCUCUUCAUCAUCAUCUUUACCGCACCGCAACAUCUGUAGCAACAACUACAGAAGACCAACCGAGGUUUUACAUAACCUCAAUUUCCCAACAUAACUACAUUUAUUCAACAUGUCUGCCGGGUUCUUUGCACCCUCUAUCUUCUCCAAGCACAUAUCACCAUCCUCCACUACCCUGCGAGUGAAAUGGUAUCGCCUUAUGAUGUGCUUUGUCUUCGAAUUGUAGACUGGAUUUUUCACCAACUGUAUGGCACUCUGGCUAUCUGAGUAAAGAAUCUUCUCGCUGUGCUUCUUGCCCAAUUCCUCAAGAUAAUAUUCCAGCCAUAUCAUCUCUUUCCCAGCUUCAGCUAUUGCCACAUACUCAGCUUCAGUAGAUGAAAGAGAAACACACUUCUGAAGCCUGGACAUACAACUCACUGUUGUUCCACCUAUGGUGUAAAUGUACCCGGAUGUACUCUUGCUCGAGUCAAGAUCAGCAUCCACAAAACCCUGCAGAGUAACCUUGCUUUUUCCAAAACAAAGUGAAGUACUAGAUGUACCUCUCUGAUAUCUCAGAAGCCACUUCACAGAUUCCCAAUGCUCUUUCCAAGGAUUCGCCAUGUACCUGCUAACUACUCCCAAUGCAUGUGCUAUAUCAGUUCCAGUGCAGACCAUAGCAUACAUCAAACUACCAACUGCUCAAGCAUAUGGAACAAGUGCCAUGUGAUGACGCUCCUUGGCAGUCUUGGGUGACUGCUCCUUUGACAAUUUAAAGUGAUUUGCCAAUGGAGUAGUCCUGGGUUUAGCAUCAUUAACCCUGAAUCUGCUCAGCACCUUCUCAAUGUACAACUCCUGAGAUAGAUUUAAAGUGCCAACAGAUCUAUCCCAAGAAAUCUUUAUCCCCAAAAUUUUCUUUGCUAGGCCCAAACCUUUCAUCUCAAAUGUUGCAGACAACCUUGUCUUCAGAUUGUUAAUCUCCCUCAAACUAGAUCCUGCAAUCAACAUAUCAUCCACAUACAAGAGUAGAAAGACAUAUGAAUCAGUGUAUUUCUUGAAGUAACAACAAGGAUCGUUUUCAGCUUUGCAGAAUCCACUCUUGGUCAUGAAGGAGUCAAACUUCUUUUACCACUGCCUUGGUGCUUGCUUUAGUCCAUACAAGCUCCUGGUGAGCUUGCACACCAUGUGUUCCUUGCCUGGAACCACAAAUCCUUCCGGUUGUUGCAUAUAGAUCUCUUUGUCCAGAUCUCCAUGUAAAAAUGUUGUUUACAUCCAUUUGAUCUAGAUGCAAAUUUUCCGAUGCAACAAUACUCAACAGAAUUUGAAUAGAGGUUAACUUGACAACCGGAGAAAAUAUUUCAGCAUAAUCAAUACCUUUCCUUUGUGAAUAUCCUUAAACCACUAAAUGAGCCUUGAACCUUCUUUUGCCAUCUGGUUCAGUCUUGAUUCUGAACACCCACUUGUUCAGCAAAGCUCUCUUCCCUACAGAUAACUCAGUCAACACCCAUGUGUCAUUCUUCUCAAGUGACCUCAUCUCAUCAUCCAUGGCUUGCUCCCACUUGAUCGAAUCCUCCACCUGUAUGGCCUCAUCAAAAGACUUUGGUUCCCCCUCAUCAGUCAGCAAUAGAUAGUGUAAUGAAGGUGAAUACCUAUCUGGUGCCCUGAUGGAUCUGGAUGAUCUCCUUAACACCUGCUCAGGUGUAACUUGCUCCACAUCAGAUUCUUCAGUAGGAGUUGGUUGAGUAUAUGAUUUGACAUCUCUAGGGUUACUCUUCUCCAACUCAACCUCAACUCCCACUUGGUUUGUAAUCUCUAGAACCUUCUGCUCUCUGUCCUUGUACAGGACAGACUCAUCAAAUGUCACGUCACAAUGUCUCAGGAUCUUUCUGUUCUUGUCAUCCCAAAAACUGUAACCAAACAAAUCAGAACCAUAUCCUAUGAAGUAACACUUCACAGCCUUGGCAUCAAGCUUGUCUCUCUUUUCUGGAUCAACAUGAAGAUAAGCAGUGCAACCAAAAGUCCUCAAGUGUGAGUACUUGAGUUCUUUUCCUGUCCACACCUCCUCUGGAAUCUUUAAUCCUAAAGGAACUGAUGGUCUCCUGUUGAUCAAGUAUGAAGCUGUGCUCACAGCAUCCGCCCAAAGUGUUUUGGGCAGCCCACAAUGUAUCCUCAUACUCCUUGUACGCUAAUUCAAUGUUCUGUUCAUCCUCGCAACAAUUCCAUUCUGCCUUGCCUUACCAGGAACUAUUCUCAUCAAUCUGAUUCCCUCAGUUGCACAGAAUGCCUUGAAAUCUUAUUUGUCAUACUCUCCUCCUUUGUCAGACCUUAGGCAUUUGACUUUCAAACCGGUCUGAUUCUCAACUUCAGCUUUCCACUUCUUGAAAGUUUCAAACACAUCUGACUUAUGCUUCAAGAAGUAAACUCAUACGUUCCUGCUGAAAUCAUCAAUGAAGGAAACAUAGAAUCUGGAUCCUCCAAGUGAUGAUGCUAGAGAUGGUCCCCAAACAUCUGUAUGGACCAUUUCCAACCGCACUUUCUUUGGCUCUCUAGGAGUCUUUGUGAAGCUUACUCUUUUCUGUUUGCCCAUAACACAGCUCUCGCAAAGACCCAUAUCAACAGACUUCAGACCCUCUAAUGUUCCUUUUGCAACCAGCAUCUUCAUUCCUUUAGUACUCAUGUGUCCAAGUCUGUUGUGCCACAGACAUGAACCGGAAGCACCUUCAGCAACAGCGGCCAUGUUUAUACACCCUGCAGUGGUGUACAAGGUUCCAGAUUUGGUGCCACGAGCUACUACCAUAGUACUUUUCACGAUCUUCCACAAACCUAUCCCAAACUCUGCUGCAUAUCCCGUGCUAUCCAACUGACCAACAGAGAUCAGAUUUUUCUUGAUCCCAGGAAUAUAUCUGACAUCCUCCAAUGUCCACUGGUUUCCCGAGGUGGUCUUUAUGAAAACAUCCCCCUUUCCUUCAAUCUCUAAAGCUUUAUUGUCAGCAAGAUAUACUUUUCCAAAAUUUUCAGAUUUGAAGUUUUGGAACAACUCUUUGCUUGGAGAUGAAUGGAAAGAUGCACCGGAAUCCAAAAUCCAUGAUUCAACUGGGCUGUUCACACUAAGGAUUAGAGCAUCCCCAAUGUCCUCUACUGAAUUUACAGAAUCAUUGUCAUCUCCAAAUUUUUGAUUCUGUUUCUUCUUUGGCUUUGUACAGUUUGUCCGAAAGUGCCCUUUUUCUCCAUAGUUCCAACAAGUCACGUUUGAUCUGUUCAAUGACUUUCCUCGACUCUUUGAUUUUGAUCGACCAUGUUGAUUUUGGCCUUUCGUCUUACUUCUCCCCCUUCGAUCAACGCUGAGAGAACUGCCCGAUGAACCUCCCGCUUCUCGUUUGCGAAUACUUUUACUAAGAACAACAUCACGGAUUUCAUCAAACUUCAGUUUCUCAGAUCCACGGGAACUGCUAAUCGCAGCAAUAACAGUAUCCCAAGACUCGGGCAGAGAUGACAUCAAAAUCAACGCCUUAAUUUCAUCUUCAAAAUUAAUAUCCACAGAAUUGAGUUUACUCACAACCAUAUUGAAUUUGUUUAUAUGAUCAGAAAUGAAUCCAGUUUCAAACAUCUAUAAAUUGAACAAUCUACGCAUCAAAUAUACCUUGUUCAUAGCCGAUGGUUUUUCAUACAUGUUUGACAGUGCCUUCAAUAGAUCGGACGUAGUCUUCUCCUUCAUGAUGUUAAACGCCACGUUUCUUGACAAAGUCAACCGGAUCAACCCUGGAGCCUGGCGAUCCUUGAGUUUCCACUUCUCCUCCGUCAUGGAUUCCGUCUUUACCCCGGUCAACGGUUCGUGAAGAUCUUUCUGGUACAGAUAAUCUUCGAUCUGCAUCUUCCAGAAACUAAAAUCGGAUCCAUCAAACUUCUCGAUUCCAAGCUUCGAACUAUUCAUCUUUUGUGAUCGUGUUGAAUCUCCUUAGCUCUGAUACCAGUUGUUAGGAUCGAAUUCACGCACACACACUAGAUGAAUGAAGAACACAAGAACUUUCAAGAGAAAGAGAUGAGAGAUCUAGAGAGAGAAAGAGAAAACCCAAUAUUUCGUGGUAACACCCCGUGAGUAAACUUCCACGGCGGUGAGGUAUAUUUAUAUUAAUAAAUCAGAGUAUUUUUGGUUACAGAGUAUUUUUUGGUUACAGAGUAUUUUUGGAUGAUUGAGGCUAUUUUCAGGCGUACUGCAGGCGCGUCACGCCUGCCCCUACCUAGGUAUGUCUGACGAAUUUUCAACUUGUUUUCCAUCUCUAAACUCUUCAAAAAUUCCUAGAUCUUUAACUAAACGAUUGGGAACAUUGAUACUAUCAAUAAGUAAUGAAUUCAACUCAAAAUAACUCUAAUCAAGAAGUAUUUAAUCAACAAUGACAACCAAUAAUACAAUCAACAAGAAAUUAAACGUUCUUUCACUAACUUAACUCAUAACAUGAAAUAAAUCCAAAAUUCACUGAAAUGAAACAAAUUGAUGUGUGGGUGAACUAACACAACACAAAAGAUCCUACAUAUCUCAAAGGGAUAACCCCCAACGAAAUCCACGCACAAUCCUUGGCGUUCUUGGGCAAUUCUUGAUCUUCCUUUUCUUUUCUCCUUUUCUCCCAAACACUAAGCAUUCUUAAAUUUGAAAAACUGAUUUGGGACUAUUUUUUACCCCUAAAAUAACCUUAAAAUUAAUUAUAAAAUACUAGGAUGAAAAGAAAACUUUGCCCUUACUAGAAUUCGGAUUGGACAUUCCUCAGCCCAACAACCCAACUUCCGAAAGGCAUUUUUACCUCAUACUACAUCGGAUUUGUGCAAACUCGUCGGCAUUGAAAAUAUCUUCUCGAAGGCUUUUCAACCAGAUAAAGAACUCACCCAGACUCCUCUUGAUCUUAAAGUUAUGGCCUAUCUCACCUUUGAAAGCUGAAAAUCUUCCAGAUUACCUUACUUAUUCUCAAAAUUGAUUAUUCCUGUUUUUCUUAGCUUAAACUUAGUUAAUUCAUGUUACAUAUGUUAAAAAUAUAAUUUAUGAAGAUGAUCCUUCAAAUGUGAAGGUAAUUUUUUCUAUUAAAGUUGUAUGAAAGGUUAUUAGUCCAUCAAAUGGAAAGAUAAAUUUUUAUCCAUCAAAGUGGUAUGAAAAGUUAUUGACCAUAUUGUUGUUGGUGCAACCCAAAUUUUAAAAGAUAGUUAAUCCUCCAUCAGAUAAAAGAAUACAAAGUGAUAGUACAUUUGGUACAUUUGAUCUCUUAAAGUGAUAUUGAGGUGAGUCACAUAAAUUUUAUAAAUGUGAAAGUAUGACAAUGGGUUUCUAAUAAAAACUCGUGGAGCAUGUUCAAAUGGUUAUGGUCUAUUUCUUAAAGAAAAUAUGACUUGUGUUCUUAUGGAUAAGAACAUGUCCAUGAAUUAUUGGAUAAAUGUCACAUCUCACUUCUACGGGAGGUUUGAGAGUAUAAUCCAAAUAUUGGAGGGCCAAAGAAAGAAGUAAUUAUUUUCUAUAAAGAUUGUGGUCAUGUCCAAAAUAAAUGUUGUUAUGUAACAACACAAAAUUGUCGUUGGUUGUCAUGAAAUAAGUCUUGUGUAUAAUAAUUGUAACCAUGAAAUUAAUAAUUUUCUCCUCGAAGGUGAUGGUCACCAUAAGAAUGAUGUUGUGAAUUUUGAGGUAUAAAAUGAAUUAUGAGUUUCGAAAGGGUUAUUUUUAACAAUUUGUUCAUAAUAUUGGAGUUGUAUUAAGUCUCAGAAGAAACUUUUUAAGUUUCAAAGCAAUUCAAAAGAAAAAAAUUUAUUAUACUGAGAUUGCAAAUUAUUGAAAGAUUUAAUAUCAUCAAAUUACUACAACCGAAGUGGUUUGUAAAUAGUUAUGUAUAAGACUACCCAUUUUUUCCUGUUGUUUGUUGUAUACAAACAUGGACAUGAUGAUGGAAUUAUAUGCAAAAGUAAACUAGAAGUUUACUAUAAUAAAUUUUAGUUGGCAGUCAAUCUGUUUCACAUGUGAUGUAAAAGGAAUUGAGAAUUCACGUGUCUAUAUGUUGAAGAAAUAAAAGAUUCUUUAUGAAUUAUCUUUUGUAGCUUGUUCUCAUGAUAAAUUAUAAAGUACUAGCUAAGGUUUGGAUUGUAUCCCCUGAAUUUAUUUGGAACACAUAAAAAGGUGAAUAUGGGUCCGUUCACCUGCCAUGUGGAUAAUUUACUAUUAUGAUUUAAUAGAUGUAUUUAGGGUAUGAUCACAUGUGCAUUUGUAUCAAGUUACAAAUUGAUUUUUAUAAGGUUGUUUGCUUGAAUUAUUAAAUUAAGAGAACAGUUCCGAACUAUAAAAUCAUGUUGAUAAUGCUUGUUGGUUUAGCAGAAAUGGUAUGCCUCCAAUUAUAGCUAUCCCAUUGAUUAUGAUAACAAAUCUCUCAAAUAAAAUCUUGUUUGAGAUGAGUUUAUUUAACAUGUAUGCAUCAAGUCAACAAGGUUCUCCCAACACAAUUAGUUUAGGGUAAGGAACCAAAAAAUUUUCAUCUAAAAAUUUGAUGUGUGACAUAUGAUUUCAUUACUCCACUAUGCACAAAUAUGGAUCCCAAAUGAGUUUGAGGGUGAAUAAUAGAUUUCCUAUCAUUAGGGGGAGAUAUGUGUAGAAGCUGAAAAUUAUGUCUAGGGUGAAUUAUUUAGAUCCUCGUUCAAAAAUGUGAACUUGAAGUUCAAGAGAUAAUUCGUUUGCGAAAUGUUGCAAGUAAGUUGCUAGAUGUAUUUGUUGAUCAAAUAUUUUAAUUAAGAUACUAUUGCUCCAAUAAAUAGUCCUUGAAGAACAGAGUCUAUGGUACGCCAGAAGCGUGAUAGACCAGUCGAUUCUAAUAUAGAACUCCUUGAGGAAGGUGAGGAGAAAAUUAUCAAAAUGGUCAUUGAUAAUGAGGUAAGUACUUUGAGAGAGCACUGUCACAUACAUUUCAUAAAAUCUUGGUAAAGGAUCAGGUACCUGAAAAUGAUAAAAAAUGAAGAGAUCUCGAUAAGUUAUGUCAUGUUGAAUUCGAUAUCAAAAUGGCUUUCGACGGUAUAUUUGGUAUGAAUUAGUACUCAAUGCUAUAAAUGGUUAUGAGGAUCUUAAAUUCGAAUAUGUCAUAUAGUGUGGACAUAUAAAUAAUUUGACACUAUCCAAGUAUAUUUUGUUUCACUUAGAAAAGUGAUGUUUUUGAUCUUAUAGUUCAUGAAUCAAAAUAUAAUGUCAUUGUGGUACAAAUGAAUAAUUGUGUGAAAGUACAACUAUAAGAUAUAAAGUACAAUUUCUACAUCGGGCAUAAAGUUUUUGUGCGAAAAUCCUGACAUUAUUAAAUGAAGAUAUAUCUCUAGUGAUGGAUGCAAUGAGACUUGUUUGAAUUUGAUAAUAGAUGAAAUACUUGAAUAUUAUAAUGAAUGAUUAUCACGUAUAACUAGAUGAUUGAGGUUAUAUGAAAAUCCUUGAAGGAUUUAAAAGGUCUUAAAACAAUUCCAUCGAGUACCCAAUGGCUUUGAGACUGCUUAACAUACGGAAAAAAUCUUUUUGAUCUGAUGAAAAUGAUUUAAAAUGACAUAUAUCAGUGCAAUUGGUGCACUUACAGAUUGUUGGUUAUGCUAAUGCUAGAGGAUUAUUUAAUAUACAAAAAGAAAGUUAUAUGUCAUAUUAUCAUUCAAAUUAUGACAAGAAACUAACAAAGAAAGUGACUCAACACAUAGGAGAUGUGUGAUUUUAUUUCAGAAGAAAAAUAAGCUUCAAUUAAAUUGAAAUGAACAAUCCCCGUAUCAGAAAUGACUUGGUUAUGUAGAUGCAGAAUAUUUAUUUGAUCUUUAUAGAUCUCGAUAAAAAAUAGACUAUUUAUUUACAUAUAAAGACACAACAAUAUCUUGGAAAUUCAAAGAAUCACACUAGUAACCACUUCCAAAUCAUGCAGAAAUAAUAUUGAUCAUGAAUUAAAUUGGGGGUGUGUUUGGUUGAUAUCAUGAUCUAUUAUAUUCAUAAAAUAUGUGAUUUUUAAAAAAAAAAUAUUUCAGCCACCAUAUACGAAAAUUAUAUAAAGCUCAUAAGUUUUUGGACAAGUAUUGAAUAAUGGGUAUCAAUCCAUUUUUACUUUUUGGAUAAUGAAACAUAUUUUAACUUGAUUAGCGCCAACAAUUAGUAUUUUAUAAAAUUUUCUCACAAUUCUUUCUGUUUGAAUUGAGAUUGACGAGGUAAUUUCUAUGGAUUCAAGAGGUACCCGAUAAGAUGUGUUCAUCUAGCUACAAACAAAGGAUUUGAACUAGACCUAACAGUAUGUUUCAAGUGUCUUCACCAGAAAGAAAAUCACAGUUUGCACACAUUUGAAGUGUUUUGAUCGGAGGACAUAUUGAGAAACAUACUCACUCUCGAAAAAAAUCAAUGCAUGCAAUUGUGAUUCCAUAGGCUUGGACUUCGUGUAAAUAUCAACUAAAGUGAGAUCAUUUGAAGUGAAAUCAUGUAGAGAAUGUUAAUGGCUUGUAAUGUAAGCUUUGGGUCGGAUAGGAUAGUCAUUUCGUAUAAAGUGACUUAGUCCUUUCUUGACUAUUACACUGAAGUUGUACUUUCAAUGUUUGGUACACUUUUAACAUUUCAUCCUCUUUGUUGUCCCUUUUCUUUUAUACUUUUGACUUCUUUUGAACCUUUGCUUUUCUAAGCUUUUCCCCUAUCUCAUCACCUUUUGAAUUUUCUUCUUAUUGUUUGGAGUAAUAUUUUUCUUUAUUGGUAACUUGAUUUGUUUGAACUUGUGGGGAAUUUUCAACUCGUCAUUCUUUUCUUUGAAGUCAUUUUUGUAUUCUUAGUUUUCAGGGACUUUGGUAACUUUUAUUUUUGAUAAAUUUGAACUUUGAAUCUUCUUUUGAAAUUUGCACGUCUUCGGUGCGCUCAAGAAAGUCAAGUCAAAUGAGGGAUAGUGCGUAUAAGCACUGACAAAGUGUAUAGGCUAAAAUAGUCAGUGACAGAUCUAGGAUUUUAAGUUUAUAGGUGCUCUGAAGUGAAACUAUAAAAAACAUGUGUAAAAAAUGAGAUUUAAACCUUGGUACAACAACAUUAAAAGAGUCUUAAGUACCCAUUCUAGAAAUAUUGGGCCAACUAUAUGAUUUAUUCAUUGGGUGCUCUAUGUUAAUUUUAUACAAAUACCUAUCAAUUUCUACAUAGAUAUAUAUAUUUCGAAACGAAGUUAAUGGGUGCUCGAGCACCCAGCGUACACCAUGUGGGUUCGCUCCUGAAAAAAGUGGUUACCCAAAGAAAAGGGUUUAAGUCUCAAAGUAGAACACACUAGGGAUUAUUAUCAUUUCGUAGGCUUUGAAAGUCUCAAACUGACCAAAGAAGGCCUACAAUCAUUUUUCAAAUCCAAUAUCACUCAGGAUUUAGCUUUCAAGAAACAUUUAGGCCAAGUUUUAGGUAACCAAAGCAACACAAUUGAAUUUAACUUAAAAAUUCACUGCACAAUGCACAUGAAACAAUGAAUCUGGUUUUGUUUUAUGUUCUCACACUUGAACUAUGUUCGCACCAAUCAUGUCAAAAAUUAUUCCAGAAUUUAAAAAUUUAAAAGAAUAAAAAAUAAAAAAACUUUUGAAUGAAGAAUACUGAACCGAAUAGGGGUUGCUUAUGUUUCUCAUACAUAACAAACAUGUUUCAAACAUGUUUCUGUAGUUCAUUCAGAUAUGACAUAUAGCCUAUAUUUUGAACAAUAAAUGAAUUUUUGAAAGAAAAAAUAACGGGAAUGAAAAAAUAAAGAGCCACAUUUAAAAGAGAGCAACCGAAAUUUAACAAAAACUUAUUUUUUAUUAUUUUAAUAAAACUUAACAAGAAUGGAGAAAUUAGCGAGUCACAUUGAAGGGCGGACCACCCAAAUUUAACAAAAGAUCUCUUUUUCUUAAUUAAAGAAAAAUUGACAAAACAUAAAAAAAUUAAUGAGUCACGUUGAAGGGAAGACAACCCAACUUAAAAAUACAAACAAUUUUAUUUUUUAAAAUUUUUGAAAUUGAGUUAUUCAACUAAAAAUGAAUGAAUCGCAUUAAAUGGUGGGCAACAAAAACUUAAAAAUGUCUGACAAAACAAUCAAAUAUAUACAAUGAAUAUACAUCACAUACAAGAUUUAAUGCACAAGAUACUAAUCAAUUAGGAGUGAUGCCUCAUUGAUCUGGAGUUAGAGCAUAAUCUUGGUGAAAUUUUUAGGGAAUUCUUUAAAAAUGUUGCCCCUGUUUAAACUUUAGCAACUUUGAUAUUCAAUUUUGUAACAACUAUCUCAUUUGUAAAAAAUUUGGAGACCUCCUGAAGAAAAUUUGCCCCAUAUUCCAUUUUUAAAUAGAUGAAAAUCUUACGGGAAACAUGAUCAAGUCCUUAUGGCGCCAACAUAUUCCAUUGAAGCAGAAAUCAAAGUCAAACAUAGUUCCAACAGAUUUUGAGUUCAAUAAUGCUUGGACUUGAAUUAUGAAUAUUCUAAAACUAGAAUAGCAAGAGUCAGUUUGAAAUAAUGAACUAUCAUACAACAUAUUCACAUAUAACAAGAUAUCACAUAACAUACAAACAACGAAUGGAUAGAUUAUACAAAUGUGUCUUAAGUCAUCGAAAAAAAAUAUGCUAAAUACAAGGUUUUGGCUUCGCUUUACAUUAUCUCACUAAGAAUAGACUUUGAAAAUAGACCUGAUUACUCGAGUUGGACAAACUACGGGGUGAAGUAUAAUAAACGUCGUUGGAUGACCACAAGUCAAUUAUUCAUUUAUCACUUCAAAAGAAUUAAAAGUUAUUUUUAUGAAGGACAACCAUGGAAAGCCAUGCAACCACUUUUGUCCUAACGCAUUUUAUUUUCCAUCUGACGGAAAUUAUGCAAUGAAGUGCAAUAAGAAUAUAUAUAGAAUUUCAUGAAUAAUGAAUAAACAACAAGCACAAUAAUAAAUAAUUAAAAAAAAAUACAAGAUACAACGUAUAAUACAAAAUAACAAAAAAUUUCUAAAUUUGAAAAGAUGAACUCAUAAUGGUUAGAACUUCUAUAUCCCCGGCCGAGUCAUCAUUCUAUUGACAUCACUCUGAGAGGGCGCAACAUCGCCAUGACUGACCAAAAAAUAGUCAUUCAAUUUAAAAUAAGUUAAGAGGUUAAAGGGAGUCCCCCCCCCCCCUAAUUUUAGGAAAACUAGGAAACAUAUUACUAAAUUAACUUUAAAAAUGUGUCUACAAACCAAUAAUUCUAGGUAAGGGGGUUCUAGUUAUUCCGAAGGGAAGAGGUUAGGCAUCCUACAAAAUCCACAAGUGCGGGUCCCAAUUGAAUUAUUAUUUUUUCAAAUUGAAGAGGAGAUAACAAUAAUAUACAAGUAUAAUAAACAUGCAAUAUACACAAAUAAUAUAAUAAAACAUUAAUAUAAGAAUUGGCCUCAAUUACCUAUCGUCAAUAAUAUACAAUAAUGAAUUGAGAAUAAAAUUCGAACUUAAUUUGAAUAGCUUCAAUAUGAAGCAAUUACCGGUACCUGUAAAGACACUUAACAAAUAUGUUAAUAAUGAAUAAAUAUGAGUAUAUCAAAUACUAACUUAAGAAUAAAAUUUAUCUUAUUAACAUGAAAGGUCUUGGAAAUCAAUGAUAAUUUCUUCAUCAGUCAUUUUUAACAAGCAAAAUACAAACAAAAACUAAAUUUUUGUCUUUUGACAUUGGGAAGGCCUCCAAAGCCGAUGAAAGAUUUUCUCAUUGAUCAAUUUUAACAAAUAAAACUAUUUAAUAUAGCACAAAAUAUAUAAGAUUAACCUCAAACAAAAUGAAUUACAUAAUAACAGUAGUAAUGAUAAUAUUAAUAAUGAUAACAACACCAACAAUAACAUUAAUAACAAGACUACUAUUAAUGUAUAAUAUGAACUUAUGUCAAAAAAAAAGUAAAACAACAAUAUAAUGAGUAAAACAACAAACCAAUAGAUAGACUAAAGAAAUAAAAUUAACAAUAAAUAACUAACCCAAAAAUAGAACAACUAACAUAAAAGAAACUAUAAUAAAUGGAACUGAAGAAAAAGUACCCAGAUUACUUAAAUUACUAUAGUCGUUAGAAAUAAAAUCAAAACAAACCAAUAAUCAGUAUGAAACAGAGCAAAAAAUAUGAACUUUUGCUCGUUGGAGCUCCUUGAUAUCGAGCAGAAACACCUGAAAACAUAAUAAAAAUGUGAAAAGGGAAGAGGGGAAGGGAAAACUUCUUCGCAUUUAGCUCUAGAUCAUGGGAGUAAACUUUUGCUCGGAGUUGCUGCCAGAAUCGUUGGAUUGGGGAAGAAAGAAGAAGUAAGGGUCGUUUUGGUGGUGGUGUGGCAGGUUUUCUGGUUUUUUGCUAGUUGUCGGAGAAAAAUGAAGGAACGGGGUCUGGUUGAUGUUAUUAGCUCGCUUGUUUUGUGGGUGAGGGACUAUUCAGCCAGAAACAAUGGAGAAAAGGGGAGGUAUGAGAUGGUUUUUGAUGGGAAAAAAAUAGAGAUGGGGUUUUAAGGUUGUCUUGGUCGAUUUUGUGUUGAGCUAGUAGUUGUUGAGCUUGCUGGAGCAAUGGUGGAUCUCGUCAGAAAAUUUGGUUGGGGUUGGGGGGGGGGGGGUUCGGGUCAGGAAAAAAAAUGGAGAAACGGGGAGGCGGUGUUGUUGUUGUUCAAAUGGAUCUGGUGGAUGUUCGGAAAUGGAAGUGAGGAAAAGGUAGAGGGGUCGUUGGUUGUGGUGUGAUGGUGGAGCUCCGUUGAGAUUACCGGAAAACUAAUAAACAAUAAAAGCCCCUCUUUUGUGAAUAAACAAUCUGAAAAUUCUUUUCCCUAAAAAUAUCUAACACUUUGACCUAAUGGGCAAACUAUUCUUAAAAUAGAGAAUAGAAAACUACCAAUACUACAAUGUCACUAUCUUAAAAUUGUGGGCCAAAAUCUCUGGUUAAUAAAAUAUAUGCGUAAGGAAUCUUAUUUCAUAUAGGAAUGAAUUUUUAAAAGUGCAAAAUACUAAAAUGAAUACAAAUGUAACAAAUAAAAUGAAUAUGAAAAAAAAUUGCGAACGUAACCAUAACAUGUAAAAAAUGUAAUUUAACAGAAUAAAGAUUUUUUAAAAGUGAACAAAUUCAACAGGUUGUGACAAAAUAAUAUAAACAGAAUCAAAUGAUAAAAAGUCUAAUAUUUUGGGAGUAAGGAUAAUUAUCAACAAAUUGCAUUAAAAUUUCAAGAGAUGUAUUUCGAAAUGUUUAAAAAAUAAGAUACUUAAAGAGUAUUAACAUUAGAAAUAUCAAAUCGAAUUUGGUGUCAACACAACUUAGGAUCAACCAGACUUUAUUAUCACCUUAAUGCUUUAAUAUACCUUGGUUCAUAUGUCAAGACUCCUUGGAGGGACGACUCAGACGGGAACAUUGUGUCACGACCCGAGCCUACACCCUGGAUGUAGCCGGCACUCAAAGACCAUUGCUGGUACCUAAGCGAACCCUCAUCCUGUUGACUACAAGCGGAAGACUAACUUAAGCAUACAGAAGCUUAAAACAUAUUUCAAUCAUGAAACUCAAUUACAAUGCUAUAACUUAAAUGAAAACAUUGAAUAAUCAAAUAAUCGCCAUAAAUAGCAACUUUAGUCUUUAAAACAUUUAAUAAAAUAAAUGAUUAAUACAGACUCCUCUACUAUACUAACUAUCUAUCAAGCCUCUAACUCAUAAAGAUGAAAGUCUGGACAAGACCCAGGACCUCCUAACUAAACUGAAAAUAAAUGAAAUCCUCCGUAAGCAAGAAGUCUCACCAUAACUAACUUGAAUCCCGGAUGUAUCAAUGAACCUCUUGUUGAUGAUCCUGAAUACACGUGUCUGCAUCAUGAGAAGAUGCAGGACAAUUGUCUCAGUACAUGAAUGUACGAGCAUGUAAGAGGAAUUUUAAAGCAUAACAUAAGUUUGAUACAGGAAUAAAAAUAUGGAAACUUACUUACCUCUUCUCAAACUUGAAACUCAAGGAAUCCUUAAGAAUAAGAUAGAAAACUCAGAAGUUAAAUAUUGAACUCAAAAUUAUGAUACUCAACUCAAUAUAAAGUAAUAAAGAUAUAUGCAAUGUGUAUAAAACUGGUAAAACAGUGUAAACUCUACGUUCAUUAAAGAUGAAACUAUAAACUCAACUUCACUUAUAUAUAAAAGUAUUAUAGUUUUUGUGGGAGAUUCUCUAACCGACAACCAUCACUAUGAGCCUAAGUGGUGAUACAACGUCUUGCCCACGCUACCAGAACUAUCAUAUACUUUGUAGUCUCAUAGGACAUCCUCUACCUAGUGGAUCCACGGGCUAACCUUAAGUGAUCAUAUAAAAAGUAUGACAUUUUAACCCAUGAUGGAUACAUGGUUUACAUGGGGACUUGAGUUAUCUAAACUCUCAUCCCCAUAUCGGUGCUCAAUACUAAUAUCAAAACUUGCUUUAGCUCAUAGUUUUUAAUGAAAUUUUCUUCCUUUGAAUUGAGAUAAUUUACUAAACCCUUUAGCUUAAAAAGCUCCUUUUUGGAAUCAAUGUUCCCCUCUUUAGUUCAAAACUCUUUUGAACGUCCUUAGUUUCCUUUAAACAUAUAUGUAAAACAUUUAUAAAACUUUAGAGAAUACUUAGUCCCCUUUAUAAUUUUAGAGAAAGGAACUCAACUCUUGCUUUUUACUUAACUUGAAACUUUAACUCUAAGGGAAUACUUAGUUCCCUUAUACCUUUUUGAGAAUUAAUUCAACCUUUAAGUAAGACUCUAAGAACUUUGAAAACAUUACUUUACUCACUUAAUACCUUUAAACUUGAUUUUUUAUUUUUAAACUUGACUCUUAACUUCUUGACUUGACUCUUAACUUUCCUUUAAUUCAAAUAUGGAUUCAAGGUUCAUGAUCUCAAGUUUAUGGAUGAUUUCAUGAUUUUCAACUUUGAGAGUUCAUGCGAAAUUAAGAGGGUGAACUACUCAACUUGAGUACUAGAAGGUACUUCUUAACUCAAGAUAGUAAUAAGGAACUCAAUACACACGAUUUAGAACUUAGGAUACUCAUCCUCUCAAUGAUGCUCAAUUUAUGAAAUUAAUGCGGAAGUUAUGGGCAUGAAUAACUCGACUCGAGGGUCUAAGUAACUAGAUGGAACUCAUGUAUAUAACUCUCUAAUUCUAUUAUUUACUUCCUCAAACUUAGUUCAAAUCAAUGAUGGAUCUCAAAGAAUUCACAAUUGAACUUAAGACUUUCUUGAACUCUAAUUUUAACUCUGUCUUGAACAUGAAUUACGAAUUAAAAAGUUUGGUUCUUGACGUGGAUGAUCUAGGUGAUAUUAUAGAGUCAUGAAUUAAUUCUCCUCACUCUCAUGCUCACUUACCAGACUCUUGAAACAAGUUAGUAGAAACUGUAUAAAACUCCUCAAAAGGGCUCGAAGGAUUCUCUCAAAAGGUUCGGAAGAACUCUCAAAACUUAAUCUUGACUUUACCUUUAAUUUGAAUUAUUUUUUAAAGGUUAUGAUUCAUUCUAUGAAGUAUUAGUAAGUGUUUAGAAGUAUUUAAGAGUGUUUAUAAUCAAAAGGAGUGAAUAUACACUUUAAAUGAGCUUAAACGGGACAAUCGACACAAAAGGAGUGGGGGUAGGCGAUUCUGGCGCGUUCAGGCACGGACCGCCAGCCCCUAACAUCAGAGAGUACAUUUGGAAGCACUCUAGGCGCACCUCCCCAUCCCUCUGGGCGCAUCUGGGGUACGCCACACCAGCCCCUUUUUAGGCAAUGUUUCGACGAAUUUCGCCUUUCGUUUUCUGACCCUCAAUAGCUUUUAAAUCAAUUUAUUUUCUAAAGUUUCCUUAGAUUCAAUUACCCAACCUAAGUAAACACUAAUACACUAAAAUACAAUCACUUUCAUCUCAAGAAAUCAUCAAAACGCCAACAAGACAGGAUCUACAAUGAACCCUAAGAAGACCUAACAAGAACUUGAAUCCUUCAACCUUUUGAGAAUGAAGUUACACUGAAAAUAACAAGUUUGGCAUAUGGGUGAACAAACCCAACACUAUGGGUAUUAUUGGAUUAUGAAAGUCAAAGUAAAAGUAUUAUGACCCUAAAAUAUAACUAAAAUUGAGUUAAAUCUGAUUGGGUAAGGAAAUGACCAAAAUACCCUUCACUAUUUUUGGUUAACUUUCCUUAACUGGACAGCUAACUUCAAAAGAUUAUAUCUCACUCAUCCAAACUCAAAAUUUAGAAAACUUUCCAGAUUUGGAAAGAUAAUUGAAAGAUAUUUUCAAUGGUAUAUUGUAGCACAACUAACUCAUCCUGUACUGGGAGUUAUGGUCGUUUGAAGUUGACCCAAAACACAUACAUCGCUUAACUAGCAAAUUUUCAGAUUUUUGCUAUUUCUAAUUAAAUUUUUUUUUGAAGUAAAGGUAUUAAAUCUAGUGAAAUGACCUUAAUACUUGAGAAAUUUUUAAUUCCUUGGUGAAAUAUCACUCACUACGAUUAAAACGAUCAAAGGCUCAAGUCUUAGUUCGAAUUUUUUUUUCUGGGGUGUUACACAUUGUUUAUUACAUCUGAUGGCUCACACACUUGUUUUUUAGGUCAGUUUCCAAAUUAGGUAGUUGCUCAAGGUUCUCAAAAUCCAUGGACUUAGUAAGCUAUUAUAGCUCCUCGAUUAGAUGAUGUUAUGCCUCGUAUUUUUAUACGUAGUGCGCGUCAUGAACGAGUAGAUGUAAGUCCGGGGAAUGACAUUUUAUUUUAAGUUCCAAGUGAUAAAAGAAAUAUUAGACAAGGAUGUUAAUUCCAAAUGUGAUAUUAAGUAUAAUUUGGCUAAUGUAAGUGCCAUUAACUUUAUGUAAUGUAUUAAUUAGCGGCUGAUUAGGAUUAAAUUAAUCUAGUGGGCCUCACCACUCAAGGCAAAUAAAAAGGAAUCAGAUUGGGAGCUGGUCUUAGUGGGGCACGUGUAGAGGGGGGCUGCCUCCACUUCAUAUGAGGUGGUGAAAUGUAUUUCAAGCAUAUCAUCUUUUUCACCACUUGUCUUAGGCAGCCAUGGAAAUGGAGAAAACCAACCAUGCAACUCUUGGCCAGCAGCUGCAAAGAAUUUUGUUAGUAAUCUCUUUGCUUGGUGUGUUAAUUCCUUAAAAUUCCUUUUUUAAUUAGCCAUUAAUGUUAAGAAGGGGGCGCGACCAGUAUCUUAGGAAAUUUUUUUAGUUAUUGAAUGUUCUAAGUAUGAACGAAAACCAUAGUCGGAUUAUUAGUGGUGUCGUGUUAGGCUGUUUUGAUUAAAGCAAACUACGGGAAAUUCUGUUUUGGUGUUAUGUAUAUGUUAAUGUAAUUAUGGGUAUGUACUCCAAAGGAUGAAUACGAUAAGGUAGAUGUGUUGCGAAUUAUAAAACGAGUUAUCGAUCGGUGUGUCGUUGCUUCGUUACUAUGGUUGCCGAGACAGAACUGUUUAGGGGGGCUGUUUAAUAUGAUUCGUUGGGUUAUAUGUGUUAUUGGUAUUGCUGUGGAUAAUUUGGGUUGUUGUCGGAUUGGGGCGAAAUAAGGAAAAUAAGGGAAGUGCUGCCGGAUUUUCGUUAUAUUGUUAGAUAGCUUACAAUAAGUAGUAAAGCGCAACGUUUAUCUAAUUGCGGCACGGUUGUUGUUUGUUAUAGAUUAAUAGCUUGAGCAUUAAAUAUUGGACGUGCAGCUCGACUAUACGGUAUGUAACGCUAUUCUUUCUUUCUUUGUUUGGCAUGACUUUUAAAAAUGAGCGAACAAUGGAUAGGUUUGAUACUUACUUCUAAAGCGUCUAGGUGACGUAUAUUCUUGUUUCCACAACUAGUCCUCUAUAUAUCGGCUAUGUCUAAGGCUAUGGUUAUUUCUCAUAUCUAUGGUAGUGCUUCUUAGAUUCAUUGAGAUUUUACGUUUCCAUAUCGUAUUAAAGGUUCAUAAUCUUGAUAAAAUGUUAAUCUUUGGUAAUACUCCUUGCUGGUUCACGUUGAUUGUUCUAUUGAGUUAUAAGAAAUGAUUUUAAUUGCAUAUGGUUUCUCAUAAUAUUUUGCUCGUGCAUAAAGUCAUUUAUCAUUUCACCAAGUCCCGGGCGGGUAAUGUUCGUGCGGAAUUUCUUGCAUAUGUCACCGAGUCCCUCACUAGAGGGCCGGGUAUGUAUAUUAUAUAUAUGAUUGGUUAUGAGGAUGGUUAUAAUGAUGAUGAUGACGGAGAUGAUGUGAUGACUAUUUCACCGAGUCCCUCACUAGAGGGCCGGGUACGUAUGAUGUAUAUAUAUGAUGACUAUUUUUCCGAGUCCCUUACUAGAGAAGCUGGGCACCUUAUAUGUUAAAGAUAUGCAUGAUUUUCACUUAAAAGGUACGUGUGUAGUGAUAUCUUGUUUCGACUUGUCAUGUUGGUAUCCUGUCAUCUUUACCUUAUGCUUUACAUACUCAGUUUAUUGUCCGUACUGACCCCCUUACCUCGGGGGGCUGUGUUGCAUACCCGCAGGCGUAGACGCACAGUUCGGUGAUCCUCCCGUCUAGGAUAUCUACUCUGCUGAUUGGGAGAGCUCCACUAUUCCGGAGCCUAGUAAUUUUGGUACAUAACUUUUUGUGUAGUCUUUUGCUUGUCUAUGGGUAUGGCGGGGCCCUGUCCCGUCGAGUCUCAUGUCGAGUUUCACUUCUAUACUCUUAGAGGUCUGUAGACAUUAUGUGGGUUGCAUACAUAUGUUUUGGAUAAUUGUCUGGACAUGGUUUGUUUGGGAUGUCCGCUUGUACAGGGGAAACCUUGUCGGCUGCAUACAUCAUUGUGUAUUGUGUGCUUUGGAUAGUGGCAGCCUUGUCGGCUCGCGUGUGUUGUUACGGUUGAAUGGUUAUGACUCCUUACGAGACAGGUCCACUUUAUAUAUAUAUGGCGUUGGGGUUUUCUUGAUUUGAUUAAAUUCCAUAUUGUCUUAGUUUUAGUUGGUUGUACUUAGCAGGUUUGUAUGUGAGUGUCCAAAACGGGCACUAGUCACGGCCCAUCGGGUAGGGUUGUGACAACGAGUGGUAUAAGAGAGGUUCUUCCUCGGAAGUGUCUACAGAUCGUGUCUAGUACAGUAUUUUUUAUCGGUGUGUUGUGCAGCACAUUUAUAAAUAGGAAGCUACAGGACAUUUAGGAUGUCAUCCUUUCUUCUUAUUCUAGAUCGUGCGAUAGAUCUAUAUUAAUAGGAUAGUCCCUCUCUAACGAAUCCCUGUGCUUUCAGCUAUGCCUCCAAAGAAAGCGACAGCUUCCCAGAAGGGAAAAUCGGUAGCAGAAGGUACUAGUAAGACCUGGAGAGUUACUAGGGCCAGUGCCCAGUCUAUGCCUGGUAUUGUGCUCUAGUCGAAGAGCUCUGCUACACCGCCACCGCCAAAGGAUCUUAGAGCAGCAGCAACUCCAGUUCGGGGGACACCACCACCAUCCCCCGAGGCCCUAGCACCUGAACCUCCUGUUCCUCAGCAAGGUGCGGAGGAUAGGGCCAUGAGAGAUGCGGUUCAGUUGCUGACUAGAUUAGUGGCAAGUGAGGCUCGAAGGCAUGGACUAGGAGUUGAUCAUGCAGACAGAUCUGAUAGCUUAAGGGCUCGUGACUUCUUAAGUUGUAAUCCUCCAAAGUUCUUUGGGUCAAUGCCCAGGAUGAUCCGCAAGAGUUUAUUCGUCCGAUGCAGCGUACAUUGAGGAUAAUCAAGGCUUCGGAGACUGAGUGUGUUGAGUUAGCUACGUAUCGUUUGCGGGAUAUAGCUAUUAAUUGGUAUGAGUGUUGGGAGUUAUCUAGGGGUGAGGGUGCUCAUCCAGUGGUAUGGGAUAAAUUUGUAGAGGCUUUCCAAGGCCACUUCCUGCCUCCAGAGAUGAAGUGAGCUAGAGUCGAUAGAUUCUUGCAUUUGAGGCAGAAUAGCAGGAGCGUUCGAGAGUAUAACCUCAAGUUUGAUUCAUUGGCUAGGCAUGCGCCUACUAUUGUGGCUGAUAUGGCAGACAGGGUACAUCGUUACAUGAUGGGGUAGGAUCGUUAUCUGAUUGACGGUUGUAUGGCAGUGACUCUUCAUCUAGGUAUGGACAUUGCUCGGGUGCAGGAAUAUGCACAGGGGGUAGAGGAUAGGCACAGAGGACAUAAGCCAGAUAGAGAUUAUAAUAGAGGCCAGCAUAAGAGGGCUAGAUCAGCAGGUUAUCCUGACGAGUUUCGAGGCGAGUAGUCUCAACAGCAUGUUAGAUUUUUUUCCCAGCCAGCACAGAGUGCACCCCCACGUUCCAUGGGUAGGGGGUUCGAUCGUACGGGAUAUUCGGAAGCUGGUCAGAGCUCAUAGGGCAUUAGGGUCACAGAUGGGCAGGGGUUUGAGCCAGUCGAGGCCACCUUUGCCUCGGUGUUCUCGCUGUGGUAGGUCCCAUCCUGGGAAUGUCGUUGGGCUACAGGUGCGUGUUUUUCUUGCAACCGUCAGGGUCAUACUAUGAGGAAAUGUAACCUUAGAGGUAGUUCAGGUGGUAUGGCUCAGCCUACUGGGUCCGUGGAUGGUUCAUCUUCUUCUGUGGUUAUGCACCCUACGGGGCAGGGUAUUCAGGCACCAACAGGUCGUGGUAGAGGACGUGGUGGAGCUUCCAGUUCUAGCGGUCCCUCGAACCGUAUAUAUGCUUUGACUAGUAGGCAGGAUCAGGAGGCGUCACCUAAUGUGAUCACAGGUAUAUUAUCAUUAUUCUCCCGAUGUGUGUAUGCAUUGAUAGACCUAGGUUCCACCUUAUCAUUUAUAUCUCCCUUCGUUGCUAGUAGGAUUGGAAUAGAGUCUGAGUUGAUAUAACCAUUUGAGGUAGCUACACCUAUAGGAGAUCUGUCAUAGCUACGCGAGUAUAUAAGAAUUGUUCAGUGGUUAUAUAUAGUCAUCGUACCGUAGCAGAUCUAAUAGAGUUAAAUAUGAUUGAGUUUGAUAUUAUCAUGGGCAUGGAUUGGUUGGCUGCUUGUUAUGCUAAUGUUGAUUGCAGAGGAAAGGUAGUUCGAUUUCAAUUUCUAGGGGAAUCGAUUAUAGAGUGUAAGGAGAGUACAGUAUCACCGAAAGGUAAGUUCAUUUCAUACCUUAAGGACAGGAAGAUGGUUAGAAAAGUCUAUAUUUAUCAUCUGGUUCGGGUGCAUGACAUAAAGGCAGAGGCACCGACUCUUCAAUCAGUCUCGGUAGUUAAUUAAUUUCUCGAUGUAUUCCUAGAGGAACUUCCAGGCCUUCCUCCAGAACGAGAGAUAGAGUUUACAAUAGAUGUACUGACAGAUACCCAGCCUAUAUCUAUACCUCCUUAUAGAAUGGAACCUGCUGAGUUGAAAGAAUUGAAAGAGAAAUUUAGAGAUUUGUUAGAAAAGGGCUUCAUCAGGCCUAGUACGUCACCUUGGGGAGCACCAGUAAUGUUUGUGAGGAAGAAGGAUGGGUCGCUGCGGAUGUGUAUUGAUUAUAGGCAGCUGAACAAAGUAACAGUUAAGAACAGGUAUCCCCUCCCAAGGAUUGAUAAUCUAUUUGACCAGUUGCAGGGUGCUAAGUGUUUUUCAAAGACAAACUUGCGGUCAGGUUAUCAUCAGGUGCGGGUAAGGGAGGCAGAUAUUCCAAAGACGACAUUCCGGACCCGAUACGGGCAUUAUGAGUUUAGAGUGCUGUCUUUUGGGCUGACUAAUGCUCCAGCGGUGUUUAUGGAUUAAAUAAAAAGAGUGUUUAAACCAUUCUUUGAUAUGUUGUUAUUGUAUUUAUAGACGAUAUUCUGGUCUAUUCACGUUCAGAAGAGGAGCAUGCAGACCAUUUAAGGACGGUACUUAGGGUGCUUCAGCACCAGAAGUUGUAUGCUAAGUUUUCUAAGUGCGAGUUCUGGUUGACUUCAGUGGCAUUCUUGGGGCAUAUUAUUUGAGCUGAUGGUAUUCGGGUGGAAACGCAGAAGAUUGAGGCGGUAAAGACUUGGCCCAGACCUACGACACCUACUGAGGUACGCAGCUUUCUGGGGUUAGCAGGAUAUUACAGGAGAUUCGUAGAAAAGUUUGCCUCAAUUUCAGCGCCUUUGACAAGGCUAACUCAAAAGGCAGCUAAGUUCCUGUGGACUUAUGCUUGUGAGCGAAGCUUCCAGCUAUUGAAAGACAAAUUGACUACAGCUCCAGUUCUAACUCUUCCGGAGGGACCAGACGGCUAUGUUAUUUAUUGUGAUGCUUCGGGUGUUGGGCUAGGAUGUGUUUUGAUGCAGCAUGGCG
rnacentral:lncRNA from 1 species